GAUUUGAGGAUCCAUAUUUUGAACUGCAAGCUAAUGUUCAUUAAGAAUCCCUAAUGUUCAUAAAAAUCAGAGUAUGGCCAUUGAGUAGAAAAACUAUUUUUGGACAAAUUAUUUUUGUUGAUAGAAGAAUUUCUUAAGGGACUACUAAAAUUAUUAAUAAAAAUGUAGAACACACCCACAUAUCAUCGACACAAUUGACUUUGAGGAUCCAUGCUUUGAAUUGCUGCCUAAUGUUCAUCAAGAACAGAGUAUGACUUGUGAGUAGAAAAUUUUAUGAUUUUGGCCCGAAAUAAAAGGAAAUUAAAUUAGAUGAGAAUCUGCCACUUUCUCAUGAAGAAAGGCAUACGGAGCAUACCAUGGUACCAUACAAUACAAAGAGUCUCUGUUCUCUGGUUUUUCAAACUCUGAAGGGGCCAAUAUUCCCGAAUUCCCCCUUGAAAAUUCUGAUUACGACAUUAUCCAUCGCUUGACGCAAUCAAAGUAGCGACAAAGUUAUGAAAAAUAUGAGUCCUAAGUAAUUGCUAGGUAGGGUUCCUGAGAGUAAAAUUGUCCUAAGCAUUAUAUGCAUACAUGGUGUGGUACAUAGAGCACGUUGAAUUCCCCACUAUAACACAAACCCAGAAAGACAAGUAAUAACUCAACUGAUAUAAAGACAAAAAGAAGAUAAAAUGAUAUAGAAAAAAGAAUUUCAAAGAGACAGCAACAUACGAUAGACUGAAGCCACUUGAUCUGCUCAUUGAUUGCAGCCUUAAACUCGCAAAUAGUUACUGUACGCUAGUGCUCUAAGAAGUGAAAAUGAUGCGAGCCCUGAUUCCCUUUUGACUUCCAUUUAUUGUCAAACAUUCUAGUAAUACAAAAAAUUGUUUAGAUAUCUCGCUAUAAAUAUAGCCGUUUGACUGUCAUAAUAAAGUCACAAAUAACCAUUCAUAUUGAUCCACUGUCACACAACAUGCUUUAUGCAUACAACAACUGUAUGUAUACCAACUCCUAACCUUAUCAAUACAUUUGGCAAAAACUUAAGAAGAAAACUAUUUCUCCAUCUCUUUUUUGAAAUUUCACAAUAAACCAGCACAUUGUAAACGUUAUGUUGUAACCUUAUGAUAAAUGCUCUAGACUCCAAAUGAAUUUUAUAUAUGAGGGUUUGUUGCAGCAGAUAUAUUGACUUAUCAAGUAUGAAUCAUUGUCUAGAAGAACUAUCUUUAGAUAAAAGAACAUUAGAACCACUAUAGAAUAUCUUUAGGCUGCUGGUUCUAACAGGAAUCUGCGUGUGGCAACAAUUGCUAGAUCCACAAUUCCCCAACUUGAAAUACAUAGUUGCACACCGUGAGAUAGUGCUGCAAUCUACUGAGAUCUAACUUAUAUGAUAUUUUAAGCUACUAAUGUUUGCAUAUUUCUACAUGUUAAAUUAAGCAGCUUUUGGCCACUUAUUACUAGCAUCCACAAUUAAUUUUUGUUCAGUAAUCAGCUUAUUUUAAAGAAAUUGAUUUAGUCAACAAGAAACACUAUAAUCCUUGAAAUUAGUUCUUGUUCUUUGUAAUUAUGUAUGAUCUUUCAUACAUCAAUUAAUCUGCAGUACCAAGAUGAGGUUUUCAGAGAAUUGGGGGUGAACUAGCUAGGUGGUUUACUGUUAAAGAUAUAGUUGCAGCUGAGCUAAACAGAGUAGCUGGAGGUUGCUGAACAGUUACAUCAAAAGACGGGAUCAUAGUCUAUGCAUUGAACAGUUACAGUUGCUGCUACCAAUUGCUUCGGCAAAGAUCAAGAAGACUGAACGGGAAGUUAAUGCCAUCAAUGUCGUCUUCACUAUAGCUGCUGGGAAUGUAGGUGAACUUUCCUCAUUUGCAGCUGUCUAUACAUAGGCUUUUCCCCAGCUUAAGUACAAAUAAAUGAACCUGCCUUGAAGGCUUUAUUAUUGACCCCAAUAAGGAUUACUAAUUGAAGAAGACUAUACGGAGUUAAUCCCACACUCUCGUUCUCUCAAUUUCUUUCAGAAGUGCCUCUGAAAAUAGCUGCCAAACCGUUAGUCAGCUUGUAUACUCUGUUUUCUGGAAACAGAGCCCUCACUAACUGACUGUACAGAGUAAGUCAACAUAGCAUAUUUAAUCGUUUUAAUUGAAUUAUCUUCGCAGCGAUCAUCAACAAACUCAUCAUAAGAUAUUUGAAGCACCCAAGGACUAUCACUGGGUUUCUCUUCUGGUUGAUUUAUUAAUUAAUCAUAGAACGGUUGGAUACCCAGCGACAAUUAAAAUUAUUCGACUUCUGGAACUAGGAAUGAAGUGCAAUGAUGGAGCAAAAUUUACAAUGUCUCCGGUUUCUCCUGACCAUCGGACUUUUGCAGUGAGAACAUAUAACAAAAAGGCCUUCAUCAAAAUUUGUAGACUCCGGGUAUGGAUUGGAUUGAGUUUUUUGUUUGAUAUUGAAGAACCUCUUUACUAUCGCGAUAUAGAUUAUGUGCAAGGAGUUGUCUACUGUUCUUUGCCUUGUGCUAUGAUCGGUGCUCUUGAGACUGCCCUGAAACACAGGAAAAUACUUCGAUAUCCUCCGUUCGAUGAUGCAAAGAACCGGUUAAUGUAUGAUUAUCUAAUUGACUCAGGAUCAGGUAACAACAACAACAAUUUAUUAAUAGUAAUAUCACAAACGAAGAAGAUUUCGGAGAGGGAGAUGUAUGCGUAUACUGUUUACAGGUUUGAUCCACUGGGGAUGAAGUGGUCUCAAGUGGAAAGUGAUUUAUUAAACAACAAAUCGUUGUUCUUGGGUUAUACCUCAUGAUGUCAUCAAGUGGAAGAUGAAGAUUAUGCAAGACGAAGAUCGUUUGAUAUUGAAGAAUUUGAACAGAAAGCCCAUAGAAAGUACUUAAAUAAGCAUAUUCUUGUUGGGGUAGAAUAUUGAGAAAGGAGUUGUCUACUGUGUGUUGCGUAAUUAUGCUAUGAUCGGUGCUUUCAACAUUGCCCUGAAAACAGUGGGAAAUACUUCAUAUCCUCGACAUGAUGAUGAAAAAUUGGUUACCGAUUACCUAAUUGACUCAGGUGACAACAAUCCAUUAAUAGCACAAUUUGACGUGAUGCCGUUUAGGUAUAUGGUUUUCAAGUUUGAUUCAUCAGUGAUGAAGCGGACUAAAAUUAAAAGUUUAAAUGAUAAGUCAUUGUUCUUGGGCAUAUCGUCAUUACUACUUCCAGUGAUCAACGAUGAAGAUGAAGAUGAAAAUUGUGCGAGUUCAAGAUUACCAUUUAUCAUUACUUGGGAUAUUACUUCAACAUAGAUGGGGUUAUAAUUUACUCCCACGAACAUCAACUCAACUUUAUGAUUGGAGUGUCUCACCGUGACUCAGACAAAUUCUGAUUCAACCUCCUUCACCAAUGGAUUUUGAUUAGUUAUUUUGUGAUCAAGCAACUUAAUUAAACUCAGUUUGUUAGUCUAAUUUUAGUUUUACUGUGACCACUAUUCAAGGUAAGCGAAAGUUACAGAUGUGGCAAAAUCAAUAAUUAAAUUCAUAAAAUGUUAAAAAAUAAAACUUAUAAAUGUUGCAUGACUACUUACUAAUAAAUAAAUAAGUUAGAAUGUAGUUAUUUAAUUUUACACCAUAUUAUAUAUUAUUCGAUAAUAAUAUAAAAUAAAAAUAAUUAAAAAAUAAAUAAUUGAAUAAACAAAUAUGGCUUUCUAAACAGUAAAAAUUCUAGAGUUAAAAUUUAUAUUAUUAUUUUAUUUUUUAAAAUUGACAUUUUUCUAUUGUCUUACAUGUAUAAAGAUUUUGAGAGUUGAGAAGAAUAUAUUUAAUGAAGCUUGAUAACAUUUGAUGGGAUAGCAAGUAAGGGUAAAUAAGAUAUUUUUAUUUGUUAUUUAUUUGAAUUAUAUCUAUUUUGUUCAAGUUAAAAUACUAAAUAUAAAUUGGAGGUAGACAUUUUAACAGAUCAUCUAAGCUCUCAAAUCUGAAAUUUUGUGUAGAUUUAAAUUCAUAAUUUUAGUUAAUUUUCAUACAUUCAUAUAAACAAAUUUAUGAGAUUUUUCUUUUCAGCAUGUUAUAUUUUGAAACUUUCAAUGUAUUAUUCUAGCUUUAUUUAAACAAUUAAUUUAUUUAAAAUUUAUUUAAUUUUGAAUUUGAUCAGUAGUAAAAUUAUUUUUAUAUCAAAUUUUUUUAUUUAAAUAGUUCGUGGAUUGGACAAAAUUAAAAAUUUUUAAUCCACAAAAUGGUGGAUUAGAUAUGAAUUAGGUUAAAUCCACAUUCGAUCUGCAGUGGUAUGAAUUUGAUUUGGAUUGAAUUUCAUCAAUUCAUGGAUUAGAUUGGAUUGAAAAUUUAUUAUCCGUAAAAUCAUGGAUCGAAUAUGGACUAAUGUCCAAUCAGCAAAAUCCGAUCCCCGAACACGCCUCUAUCAAAAUUUUCAAGAAUAUGUUUUAUCUUACAAAUUUUUUUUAAAGUCAUAGUCUAAUGGCAGCCCAAUUUUAUAAAGUCACACACAACCAUUCUUAUUAAAUUAGCAAGAUCAAACACUGCACUGGAUCUUGAACAGAUCAACACAAGUUGCACAACUUGCGAUUGAAUUCGGCCAGAAACAAUCAACUCUUUAGCAAGAACAAUUAAUCAGAGUCAAGAAACAAGUUUAAUGAAUAUAAACCUAUAAUUGAAACAAACAUAGCCAAGAAAAAAAUACAGAUUUUACACGGUUCAGUUGUACCCAGGAUGGCACAACCUACACCACGAGAGAAGCUUUCUGGUGAGAUUUUAUUGAUGAUCAAAGAAGAAUCUUUUGACAAAGCUAAUAAUAGAGAUUUCAGAGAAUAAGCUAUGACCCUCUCUCCCUCUUCAAUCUCUCUUUAUUUUGUUCCCAUUGAUGACCCCAAUCUGCUUAGUUAGCCAGCUUUAUAGCUGCAUCAGUAACAAACCAGCAAACCCAGAUUGAGCAGAUUGACGACACGUGGAUAACGGCUUUAACGAACCUGGUUAAGAACUGCUCACAUGUUCGUCACGCGUAGGGAUGGCAAAUAUCCAAUUAUGGAUGGAUAAUAUCCAUCCAAACACAAAUCCAUAAUUAUCCAUAAUAGAUAUAUCCAUAUCCAUAUCUAGUAUUUAAUAUUGGACAUGGAUAUGGAUUUUAUCCAUAUAACUAUGGAGAUCCAUGGAUAUCCAUGGAUAUUUUAUUUUUAUUAUAUAAAAAUAAUAAUAUAAAAUAGUUAAAAUAUCCAUAUCCAUAUAACUAAUAAUAUAUAUAUAUAUAUAAUAAAAUGGCGGUCCGGUAGUCGGUGGCGGCGGUCCGGCAACUUUCCGGCAAAUUCCGGCGAAAUUCCGGCGACGGUCCGCGCGAUGUCCGACGGUGGUCCGGCAACUUUCCAGUGAAUUUCGGCGGAGGUCCGGCGACAUUCCGGCGUGGUCCGGUGGUGGUCCGGCGACUUUCCGGUGGAUGUCCAUUUAUAAUAUUAAAUUAAUAAAAUAAAAUAAUAAUUAUUAAUAGUAUUAAAUAAGUUAAAAAAUUAAAGGAUAAUUUUGAAAACUUUAGUUUUUAAUAUAAGAGGAAUUUAAAAUUUUCACUAGUUAAUAUAAUAUUUUUAUAAUUGUUUGUUUAUUAUAUUUUUUAUUUUUUAUUUUAUAAAAUUAAAAAUUUUUUAAACUUGUGUUGGGUUAAACGGAUAUUCAUUGGGUAAAAAUAAUUAUCUAUAUCCAUCCAUAUCCAUCUGGAUAUAAUUUUAAAAUAUCCAUUUCAAAAUCCAAAAAUUUUUGGAUGGAUAUUAUCCGAUCUAAUUGGAUAGAUAUUGUGGAUAUCCAUUAUGGAGCGAUCCAAUUGCCAUCCCUAGUCACGCGUGCUGCUUAAAUGAUGGCCAAAACGACUUCAAACAAAUGUCGUUUUGAGGCUUAUGAAUUACAAGUGAUAACACGAGCUUGUCUCAUGACUUUUAAAUGCAACAGCGUGCCCAAAACGCCGUCGUUUUACUCUGUUGAGUUUGAUUCAUUACUAAGCUUUACGACUGGCACUGGAGAAGAUGAUAAUUUAAUUUACAUGGACAGUUUUUAUAUCACUUUUACAACAUCCUAUGCAAUUGUAAUAUUGGGAAUUAUUGAUGUUUUAUUCUGUGAAUCCUCAUUGGCAAAAACUAGUGGUUUUAUCUUUGUUGAAAUGUAAAUGACCUCUCGUUACUAUUUUAUUAUAAACAUAUAGUUUCGUAAGUGAAACUACAUGUUUAUAAUAAAAUUAACAUAUAGUUUCGUUACAUUUCUGCCUCAUUAAGAUUCUCAAAUACCAGUCAGGUUUGCUUAAGAAAUAAAAUUUUUCCAUUAAAAUUGCAGUAGUAUUUCCAAGCAUAUCGCAUUUUCUAUGAUUUUUCAUAAAUUAAUUAAUCUGCGGUGCCAAUAUCAGAUUUAGUUUUUCAAACUAAAUAAUCAAGAAAGCAAACAUACAAAUAUACAGUUUAGAGGGGUAAACUAGGUAGGUGGUUUAGAUUUUAGAACUAAGCCAGCUACCUCACUAAAUUCCGAUUCGUACAGUGAACUGCAAGAAAUUGAGAAAACAAUGAAUUUAUAAUUUAAUAGAAUCAUAAGAAAACAAUGUAGUCAUUGCUCCAUAUAAGAUGAUGAUUUCGGAGAGGCACAUUGUUUUCAAGUUAAUUUGAUCCGUUUAUAAGAGAUGAAGUGGAAUCAAGUUGAAAGUUUAAAUAACAAAUCCUUGUUCUUGAGUUUUACGACGUCGUUACUCCUUCAAGUGGCAGAUUAUGCAAGUGAAUGCAGAAACACAAUGCAUCAUCCGCGGGGAUGAUACAUCAAAAGGCGGGAUUUGUUUAUGCCUGCAGAUUAGCAAUUUCACUCAUAUAGAAAAUUAAUUUUUUAUAUAUACUAAUCAACACUAAAUUGAUUAUGUGUUGUAUGUUUAUAUGCUAAUCAACACGAAAUUAUAUUGAAUUAUUAACAUUCAUAUUCCUAAUAAAAAUUAUUUUCCAUCAGUAUUCAAAAUUUUCACUUAUGGAAAAUGCGUUUUAUGUGAAUACUAGUUAUUGUGUAAAUUUGAAUGAUAGCGAAAAAUAAACCUAUUUGAAAACUGUAAGGGUGUGUUGGGAUAUUUUACAACUGUCGGAAUCUGGUAGGAUAUUGCACCAUUUGCCCAAUAUUUUUAGACGUACUCUAACCGGUAUUCAAGAUAAGUAAAAGUUACAAGCGUGGCAAAAUAAAAAAAUAAAAUUUGUAAUUUGUAAACGAAUUUUCCUGACAUGUAUAGUAGAUGAAGUUGUUGAUCCUUUCUUUGGAUUAUUUCAGCUCUGGUUGUUGGUCACCGAUGAGCCGAAGUCUUAUUUUAAUUUUAUUUAAACUCAUCAUAAGAUUCGUGGAGCACCUAACUAACUUAACUGACUGUGCAGAGCAUCUCAACAUGGCAUAUUUAACCAUCAUUCAAGUGAUGGGUUUAAUAAGACUGCUUUUGUUCUAUCAACUAUCAAGUUCCUCUGCCUCUAAGCAGAAUUACUAUUGAAGGGCCAAAAGGAAAAUGAAAACGUGUGAGCUCCAACAACCACCCCACAAAUUCAAUGACGAUGCUCGGAGAGGGUUAGGUUGGGCCUCUGAGAAAAAAAAAUUAUUUAGUUAAAAAGUUACCCUUAUUGAAACCUGUAUAAAAAUUUUAUAUUAAUUAGUUAUGUUGCCUCUUCAACUAUGAUCAAAUUUUUAUCCGAGCUCAUCAUUUAAUGAGUAAACAUGUAUUUUAAUGAUCUCAAUUAAUAUUUAGAACAAAUAUUUUAAGAAGUAAAGCUCAUUAUAUCUUCCAUUAUUAUGUAUUUCUUUAAUUUCUUAUUUACAUAAUUAUAUUGUACAUUAAAAAUGUAUUGAAUUUGAAGAAAAAAAAAUUCAACUCACUCAAAAAAAAAAAAAAAUGCUGGUAGCUUCGUAAUAAUUACUGUAUUGACUGCACCAGAUAAAGUUUUGUAAAAUAAUAAGUUCUCAUUAGUGGUUUUUAAUUUUUUUAAUUUUUUUUUCCGGCACACCUGAUCAAGAAUUCUAUUUUGUUAACUAAUCAAUUGCAAAGCAUAAGUGUUGAACGGCAAAAAAAUUUAAAAAAACACUUAAAACGUGGGGAAAUGAGAAAUAUAGAAAGAAAGGAAGAAAGUUGAGACAUGAAACUGAUCUGCAGUGAAAUUGAUAAUCAUGUUUCUAUUUCGUUAACUAAUCAAACGGAAAACUGAAACUGUAAACAAACAUUAACACGUGUGGACUCUGCUAGCUGCCCUACAAGUCUACAAUAGUAAUUGAGUACCUUUGAUUCAUCCUUCUAUGAAUUUCUAGCUGUAUUGACCCCAACUGCUAAAGUUUUGUAAAAAAUAAAAAUAAAAAUAAAAAAACUGGAAUUUCAACAAAAUUCAAAACGUGUGAAAUUCAAAAAUGGACUUUGGCCAUGUGGAACAAAAUGUAAAUUAAGGAAAAAGUAUAAAUCUCAAUUGCUUAGUAUGGUUAGGAUUUUGUGAGCAUCACUAAAAAGUGAAAACUAUGAAUGAUAGAGGUGAUGUUUGCAACAUGAAUAAAUGAUGAACUGAAUCAAUUGAUGAUCGUAAUUACAUAAUGAACAAAAUUUACAAAAUCAACAAAAGUUAAUAAAAAUUUAUUUAAAUAAUAAAAAAUCAAUAAAAACUUAUUAUUUAACGACGCUCUAACCAAGGAGUAUCAUAAUCAUAAUCUUCUUUUAAGAAUUAUAACCUAUUUCAAAUAGCACCGCAAUAUAAUUCUAGAUAUUUAAAAGAAAAACAUUAUCCACCUGGAAUGACUUGAAGUCUAAAGAAAAAGAGAGAAUGGCUCCCCGCAAUUUUCUUGUCUUCGGUAUAUUUUCUUUUUUAAAAUCUUUUGCCGCAUACAUAAUCUACCCUUGUUUAUUAUCUCCACUUUGAUCUGUUCAAGUCCAUUUUUUUCAAAUCUUAUUUUAAAUAAUAAAUUGAAUAAAAGUAUAUUUUUGUAAUUAAUUAGUAUUUGAGAGAGGGGAGGGGGGGGGGGGGCAUAUUUUUUGCACUCAGCUAUUAUCAAACAGUUCCUUAACCUAUUUCUCAGUUUAUUUGCUAUCUUUGUGGAUCUCAUGGGCGUGGCAGAAUUUAAUAAUUUUAUUCGUCUGAAGAAUAAGAUAUUGGCUUCAAUAAAUUUAAACCAACUUUUAUUUACUCUAUCAAUUAAUUAAUGCCAUUUUGUUUUAGAUUAGAUUCUUUUAAUGGCUUAGGUACAUACACAGUACCAGAUCCGGAUCCCGGAAAUGGUGCUCUGAAGGAAUGGAGGGAGAAGAAAAGAUUUACAACUGAGGAUUGAGAUCUGGUCUCGUUGCCUCAGAGGAAUGUACAGAUUUUAUGGCAGAUCUGAUAAAAACCAGUCUGCAAACAUGCUUUGAAGAAAGAAUUAGGCGGUUUCUGUAAACAAUUCAAUUAUGACCCCUUUAAAACUUCUACUUCCAAAGAUUGUAAUGGUGAGUGUUCUAAACCUCGCAAAAACAUUACAAAUCUAGAAAUUUUAGGAAACCCUUUCGUAAUUUUAGAGAACUUCCUUAUAAGAAACCUUCGAGGCCUUAUAAGAAACCCAAGUUCCCUAAAAAAGAGUUCAAAGCCAAACCAAAAAACUCCUUUCACUCCUUUCAAUUACAAAGAAGCUAUAUGUCACAGAUGUGGCAUGAAAGGUCAUACUGCAAAGUACUGCAGAAUGAACAAAAAGCUUCAUGAGCAGUUCGUCAUAAGGGAUUCGGUUAUCAUACAGGGUUUUAAUGGAAUUUCUAACCUUCUCUCCAAGGAGAGUUGGUAAUCCUGCAAGGAAUUUUUCUUUCCAAGUUGUAUGAUUAGCAUCAUCCCUAAGGAAAAGACGAGUGAAGAAAGUGGUUUUAUAGCUUUGGAAUUCACUAAGUUUCCUACAUCUUAAAUUAUGUAGUAACUCAGCGUUUUUAUCACGAAGAUGAGAAGGAUCACCAAUUAAAUGGAGGGAAAUUGUCAAAAUUAGAGUAGCAACGGCAUCCUGGAUUGGAUUGUUGAACUCAUCAAGAAUAGGGGCUCCAUUUUCAUCGACUUGUAUAGAAUUUAGAAUGUCUAGUUGUUGCCGAUUAGUGAGAAGAUGAUCCCACCAACCUUUCAAUUGACCAGUAAAACCGGCAAUGAGGAUUUCUGAUAUGGCACGAUCAGAAGUUCCUGCUUGGGUUUUAUAGGCAUUGGCUGCCAUUGUCAUUUGUUGCAACAAUCCUAGAAUAUUAUACUCGGACAUACCAUCAAUAUUCCACUCAUAGACUGAGGAUGCAUUAUAUCGAGAUUGAUUUAAUGCACUUGGUCUAUUAUCUAUUGCUAGAUCUGGUGGAGUCUUGACAGUGGGAAGGGCUAUUUACAAAAGGAUUUAAAUUUUCAAAGAAUUGAAAGUCAAUUACAAAGUGAUUUUGUUCAAAGAAAAAUCUCUGAUUUCAAAAACCUUAUUGAAAACGAAAUCUGUGCUGAUUUACCAUCUGCUUUUUGGAAUCGAAAACAGCAUUUAGUGGAUUUGCCAUAUGAAAGUUCUUUUGAUGAAAAACAGUAAGAUUCCACUCAGGGAUUUUCUUUCUAACAGUAAUAGGGUUUGACUCUUUGAAUGGAUAAGAGAUGUUGUUCUCCGAAGAAUAUAUUUCGAACCAAUCAAAAAACAAUAUAUGAAUUUUAUGAAAAUUCACAAAUUCAUAAUAAGUUUGUUGGAUUUCUUUUCUUUGAUUUAAAAAAUGUUUGAAGAACCAAAUUCUUUUUUCUUUGUUCAAAUCUGAAUAAAAAUCAUUAUGAAGAAAUGCUUUAUCCAAUUCAAAAUCUUUUUCGAUGACAUUAAUGACAUUUUCUGUAACAGCAGAAAAUGUAGGAGAUGUUGGAGGAGAAGGUUCCUUCUCUUCCUGACUUUGUACCUGUUGACUACUAGUGUAGAUCGGAUGAGGAACACUAGUGGUGUAAUCAACUGAAUGAAUGGAGGUGCUAGGUAAAUCUGAAGUAGAAAACCUAGGCUGACACUUUGUAUUUUGGAAUGGAUGAUUUAUAACAGAAGGUACUUUUGUAAAUUUCCUUUCUAGUGAAGGAAUGCUUGAGCACGACUCUUUAUCAGAAAAUCUGUGAGAGGUAGACCUUCUGAAUGAUAGUUUGACUUUACCAUCGGAAUACUGAGUCACAUUUUGCAACUCUGUAUUGGGCUCAAGUUGUUUCGGAGUCACCUGUGGGGCAGCUCCUUUAAGGAUCCAUUCUUCUGGAAGAUUAACAUCUUUCCAUUGGAUCGGUUUUGGAAUGACAGUGUUUGCUUUGGACAAGUCAGUCUGCAAGAGAAGAGUUUCAUCUCUUUUUGACUGGAAUUUAUGUUGCGUACAAAACGCAGAGACCAUAGCUUUAUAUGAAAUCUUGAAAAUCAAAGCAACUGGGAUGGACCCUUUAACCAUUUGGUAAUUAUGGGUUUUGAUUUGUAAAAUCAUGCUUUUUAAAAUGUUUUUGUCUUUAAGAGAAGAAAUUCUUUUCUUUUAAUUUCUUUAAAGAUUUUUCUGAAAAUAAAUAAAUUGUUUCAAAAGGCUCUGAAAGAGUGGUAUCACGUUCUUCAGUUUUUAUAAUAUAAUCACUUUUUAAAAGAUCAAGCAUUUUUGUUUUGUAAAUCUUUUCUUUGGAAAUUUUUGGAAGUUCCCAACAAUCAAUUGCUUUAUCAAAGUUCUCAAUAAUGAAUUCUUCUGAACUCACAACAUGCUUUGAAUCACUAGUCUUCCCGGAAGAAGAGCUAGAAAAGGACGAUGUUCUACCGAGUAGAGGAUCCAUGUCCAAGACCUUAUGGUCUAUUUUUGGUUUGGUCAGAAUGGCUACAGGUAUGGAUUUACAGCCCUCAGCGGAUAGCUAGAUUGUGGGGUAUCAGGGGCUAUUUGAACUUUGCUAGAUGAGGAAGAAGCAGCUUCUAUCCGAUCUAGUUGUUCUCUAAUGGCUUUAGCAAAAUCUGAUUUUGACUCUUGGACAAGCUUUUGGCUAGUUUUCGAAACCUGAAAAGGUUUGAAAAUAGGUUCCUUAAGCUUUUUAUCAGAAUCCGAUUUUGUUUGAACAGUAGUUGAUGAAACAGUAAUGGUUGACUUUUGGAAUUGGUUUUCUAUCCUAGUCAACUGCUUUCCGAUUGUAUUUAAGUUAGUAUUACAGAAAUUGUUCUGUUGGAUAAUACUACUUAAAUUUGCCUCGGAAUCAUUUGGUUUUGGAAUUUUGUAAGGUGAUGCUCUAAUUUCGACAGGAGGUUCACCAUGAUCUAUGGUUAUACUCCUAAGAGGUGGAUGCUCAGACUCGAUGGAUCAUUCAUUUUUAAAGAAAAUCAAUGUUUUGACUAAAGACUAAGAGACUUUUCUUGAACUUGUAAAACAUAUUUCUGAUCCAAAUCUUCAAAAAGAAUAUCUUGAUAAACUUUUGAAAACUUUGGAUUUUAAUAAAGCCGAGACUUCUAAAGUCCCAAUUGUUAAAAAGAAUUCUUAUGAUCUUACCCAGAUUUUAGAUAAAAAGAAAACAAAGAAGUCAAUGCCCACGAUUCAAGAUCUUCAAAAAGAAAUCAAAGAGAUUAAACUUGAGAUUAAGGAUUUGAAAGAAAAACAGAAAACUGAUUCUGAAACUAUCCAACUCCUUUUACAAAAGCAUUUGGAUAAUGAUUCUGAUAAAGAUGCCGAUUCUGAUGGUGAUCAUAAUGACCAAAAUGUUGAUAAUAUUGAAUCUAUACCAAAUGAUUUUUUGUUUGUUUUAAAACAAAUCACCACCAGGAAGUAUUUAAUUAAAAUCUCUUUAAUUUUUUCCAAAGAUUUUGCUAUCGACGCCAUUGCCCUUUUUGACACUGGUGCUGAUUUAAAUUGUAUAAGAGAGGACAUUGUCCCCAAAAGAUUUCAUGAAAAGACAAAAGAAAGCCUUCUGUUCAAACACCAGUCACUAUCAAUAAAAUGAGCUGUGAUCACCAUGUAGCUCAUGUUUUGAACAGAAGUCCAUAAAUCAGUGGUAAGAGACACUCGCUGUUUGUUGUUGCAAAUCAAACUCUUCAACAUUAUCUUUUCUUCCAAAAAUAAAUCCAUAACAUCCCUACCAACAGUUCUCCGAGAUGGCAUAACAAACUGUGGAAUGGCUACACUACAGAAAUGCCUGAACCCUUUGUUAUCCACAAAACUAAGUGGCAACUCACCCAUAAUGAUCAUUUUGGUGACUGCCCUUCUACAAGCGUCUUGACUCCACCCUUUAGCCAAAACCAUAUUACUUGCAUUUCCUUCCCCACCCUCAGUUGUCAAGUUUUGUUGACUUCCCUCUUGUUGUUCCCGGAAUGUCUUGUAUGCAAGGCAAGCCAGUAUAUGAUUUCUCAUAUUUGUAAUCCCAUCACGCCUUGAAUGACAUUGAUAUUGUCUACCACAAUAGUUGCACUUGCAUUUGUUUGGAUUGUCCUCGAGCAAAGUAAAAUGAUUCCACGUCGCAGAUCUUUUCUUCAUCGCUGGUCUUUUCCGCUUUGCCUUUUGAGUUCCUUCCAUUUGAACACUUUGAUUGUCAUCAUCACUUAUUGAAUUCGAUCUUGAGUGUCCAGACAUCUAAACAUACAAAUAAAUAAUUAUUAAUCAUUAAUUCAUAAAUUAAAACACAAAAAGACUAUUAAAAAAAUCUACUUAAUAGUUAGUAUUACAAAUUGAUUCAAAUAAUUGUUAAUUUAAUUUUAUGAAACUUUUUGAAAUCGAUAUUUCCAAUUUUCCACCAUAAUGUUUAUAUAUGAUCAAGAAUUCAAGAUGCAUAUGCCCACAUUAUAUGUAGUUAACCACUUAAUAUUUACUUAUUGGUUAAUGGUUAUCAUGCAAUUAAUUAAAUUGAUUAAUUAUUUAUUGAAGUUGAAACUUAAAACUACUGCAAUUAAAUUGGUUAAUGGUUAAUUUUUUGUUGAAGUUGAAACUAUUCUACAAAUACACAUAUCAUAUGACAUAUACAAUUAUAAUUUAUAUUGUAACAUAAUAUUUAAUUUUAAUUUUUAAUCUAACAUUAUACUAUUCAUACAAAAAAUCAAUUAUUAAUUAAUAACAGAAAAUUAAUGCCAGAUUAUUUUCAUUUUAUUGAUAAAAUUUAACAAUAUAUAAUUAAAAAUUUAACAUACAAAAUUACAAUUAACAUUUCUCAUAUAACAUAUAACAAAUAAAAAUUAUAAUUAAUCAUUAAUGCAUAUAUAAUUAUAUAAUAUAUACCAUCUCUUAAAUAACUUUAAAAGCCGGAUUUGCUGUCUUGCACUCUUGCUUUGCUUCUUAUUCGGGCUUCAGCCUUCAAGCCUUCAAGUUCCAAUUCCAAACUUCCAAAUUUCCAAUUCCAAAACAGAGAGUGAAGAGAGUCAGAGAGACAGAGACCUUUUGAGACUGGAGGCUGGAUCCGUGACCCGUGAGGCGUGACCGUGAAUGGGUGUGGUGGCCGGAUGUCAACACUCAACAGCCGUGACCCGUGGAUGCCAAUGGUGGAGACUCGAGUAGAUCGGAGGUAGCUUGCUGGGUGGAUCUUCAAUCGGACUGAGUUAUGGUGGAGUGGAGGAUUCAAGGCGUGGAUCCGGCGCUUGGUUGCAGCAGAUCUGUAGAUCGGGUCACGAUCUUCGCGAAUCAGCUUCGGCUUCGGUUGGGGUCGUUCUCGGAAGUGGUUGCUGGCUGCGUGUGGUGGCCGGUUGAAGCUAGCUCCGUGAACUGUGCGUGUGUGUUUGCUGCGCGUGGUGAGUGACGAAGGCCGUGACUCCGUGAGGCGUGAAUGAGCGUGGGACAGUGGGUUGGCUGCUGCCUGCUUGUGCUUGACGGCUGCUGGUUUCAGUGAUUUUUGUGUGACACUGUGACAGUGAGGGUUUGUGAAUUGUGAUAGUGAUACCGUGAGUGAGGGUUUGUGACUGUGAGUUGUUACUUGUUACUUUGCUUAAUUGCUUUGCUUGUGUUGUUUUCUUGGUGAAUUAUUGAAUUGUUUUGUAACUUUUGUUGCGGUGAAUACUGAAUAGUUUGGAGUGAAUUGACUGAAUUCCUGAAUUGUUUUGUUGCGGUGAAUACUUUGUGAAAUGUGAAUUAUUGAAUUGAAUUGUGAAUUACUGUAAAUCCGUGAGUCUGUACUCUGUACUGUGAUCUGUAUUUUGUUUCUGUGAGAGUGUGAGUUACUGAUUCAAUGCAUGUACUCGUGUGAGAUGUGAAUGUGCCAUGUGUGUGUCUGUGUGAUAUUGUAAGUGUAAAUCUGUAAUUUUUGCCCACUUUUUUUUUUUGUCUCAACCCGAUCGGGUUUUCGGAUCGGAUCGGGUGAAACCCGAUCCGAUCAUGAUCCGAUCGGGUUGAGACAAUUUCACCCGAUCGGGUUUUGUUGACCACCCGAUCCGAUCCGAAUCCGAAAUUUUUCGGAUCGGGUCGGGUCGGAUAAUUUGCCCACCCCUACUUCUAGUUCUAGAUGAAAUUGAGAGAGAGAGAGAGAGAGUGUGAGAGAAACUCUGAAAAGCUUCAAGAAUAAUAAAGCCUAUGUACAGGCUGCUGUUCAUUUAUUUGUACAUAAGCAGGGGAAAAGCCUAUGUAUAGACUGCUUCAAGUGAGGAAACUACACCUAACUACCCAGCAGGUAUAAUGAAGAAGACAUUGACGGAGGUUGGUAGCAGCAACUUUAAUUGUUCAAAGCAAACACGUACCUUUCGUUUCUCAUAAAACCUUGUGAGGUAAUGCUUUAGAUGACUGGCAUGCAAUAUUGUCAAUGACAAAAUUUAAUGUUGCAUCCUGCUGAUAUUAGGUUUAUUAAUAGUUGCAGCCUUAGGCAGGCAUAAUUUGGUCACGGAAACAAUAUAUCCAUCCAUUUUCAAAGGAUAGUAACUGUAACAAUAAAUCAAUUAAUAUAAUUUUUAUAAUUGGGAUAGCAUUGAGAAAGUCAAAAUUCAUUGUCCAGAUUUAGAUUUAAACUCGCCAUAGAAAGUUUUUACUUUCAUUCAAUAUCACAACUACAUUUGGGGACCACAAGACAGUCAAUUUUGAACAGAGUUAUAGUUAAUGAGUAAUUUAAAUUCAAACGCAUGAAACGUGAGGAUUUAAUUAUUGAUUUUUUAGUUUUAGUGUCAUUGAAGAUCAUAGAGGGAAAACGAUCGGUAAAAAGAUUGUAGCUUGUUUACAAGAUUGGGGGAUAGAGAGAUUGUUUGCAAUAACUGUUGAUAAUGCCAGUACAAAUGAUGUUGCUGUUAAUUAUGUGACUAUGCAAUUACUUGCUUGGAGGAAUGAUGAUGCAAUUGUAUUGGCGGGUCAGUAUAUGCAUGUGCGUUGUUGUGCACAUAUUUUGAACUUGAUUGUUGUUUCGGGGUUGAAUGAAUUGCAUGCUAGUGUUGCCGCCAUCCGGAAUGCUGUGAAGUAUGUGAGAUCCUAGCGGCAGCUAUGGUGGUACAAGUUAUUCUCCUUAUUUUACAACUGAUGUUGGUUUGCCGGAGGGUCCUAGUGGUGAUGGUGAUGACAUUUUCCGAGUUUCUCGCCCUUUCUUUGGGUAUGCUCAGAAAGUGUUUGUUCAGAAUGAGGGCAAGAGAGUAGUAUCUGAGGUGGAACGAUAUUUGAGUGACCCAGUUGAAGAUCCGAGCAAUCUUAAGCUCAAUGUUUUGCUUUGGUAGAAGGUUAAUGGAUCGAAGUAUCCGAUAUUAGAGAAAAUUGCAAGGGAUGUCCUCGUUGUUCCUGUUUCCACAAUGGCAUCUGAAUCUGCCUUUAGCACAGGGCGUCGCGUCAUUGACGAAUAUCGGAGUUCUUUGACCCCUUGUAUGGUUGAGGCAUUGAUAUGUACCGAAAAUUGGUUACAAGCUAAACUUUUUGCUAAUCUUGUCUACAACCUUCAGGAAGAUAUUAAAGAGCAGAUAUUCCAUAUGGAGCUACAAGAAGGUAAUAUUUUUCUCAUACUUUAUAAAGUUAAGAUGUAUUAUAACUUUAUAAAUAGCAUCUACAUGUACUUAAGUUACUUACUAAUUUCAUUUUUUUUUUGACAUUUUAAAGAGUUUGUAAGAUCACAAGCUUCAACGGUGGAAACAGUGAGCGUUGAUAUGGGUGUUAUGGAUAUUUGAAAGGUAAUUCUUAAUAUAUAUUAUUAUUUAUAAUUUCAUAUUAUAUGUUUAGGUUGUAAUUUACACUAUAAUAAUAGACAAUAGUUGUUAUAGUUUUAAUUUUUAAGUUUUAAUUCAAAUUGUAAUAUUAUAAUUGUUUUAUUUAUUUUAGACACAUUGAAAUUGAUGGAAUGGUAUUACUUGGGCAUAUUUUUUCAAUUUUUCCCUAGGGGAUAUAUGCUUCAAUUCUUCAACUUGGAGUAGAAGAAAUUGAAGUUAAAAGUUGUCAAAGUGCUUGCGAGGAAUGGUGGAGCCGUGGAGGAAGUUGAUCUAGAUUUACAUUUAAACUUUGUUGUGUUUUGGAUUUUGGAACUUUGUCAUUUGUGUUUUGGAAAAUGGAAACUAUUUAAUUAUGUUUAAUUUUGUGUUCUAAAGAUUAAUGUUUAGAUUUUAGAAUUGGAUAUUGCGCUUUGGAUGGAGACUAUUAAAUUUAAACUUUGUGUUAAUUUUAAUUUUAUGCUUUGUGUUAAUUUUUAAUUUUGAAUCAUUUGAAUUUAAUUCUAGAGUAGUUUUCUUUUUUUGUUGGUUGAAAUGAAUGGAUGGAUAAAUGAGGGAGGACAAGGAAGGUGGGAGAGAAAUGUCUUAGUUAGCAAGGUGACAAUAGUGGAAAAGAAACCAAUUGAAAAAUUUUGAGAAAAAAAGAAGAUUAGAAUCCAGCUUAGAUUAUUUGGAAUUUUGGUUAGAAUCCGUGCAUAUAUUAUUUGGAAUUUUGGAUACCAUGCAUAUAUUAUUUGGAAUUUUGGUUAUAGGAUGCACAUGAUAGUUCAACUUUUUUCAUUAUUAAAUGGCAGAGGUAUGAGUAUUUGUUAUAGCUUAAAGCAUUGAUGACAUACUCCAUUGAAGAUUUUUCUUUGUAUUGACAAGUUGGGUUGGUUUUAAUAGUCUGCAAGUGCACAAAUUCUGUUAUUGCCAGAAUGUGAGUAUUUCUUUGUAUUGACAAAUUCUGCAAGUGCACAAGCCACAAAUGCUUGUUUUACAAAUGACAUGCACGUUCAUGUUGUUAUUGCCACUUUGCCAGAAUGAAAAUGAAUCAAUCCCUUACGUUUGCUGUGUUUGUCUUUUGGAUUAGAUAAAUGUUGUCAAAGUUUGGUUAAUUAUUAUAACUAAGUAAUGAAUCAAUCCCUUGUUUUAUAAAUGUUGGGCAAUAAUGCAAAUCUUAUGUCCGUCUCUAUAAAUUUUUUUAUACAUGUUGUCAAAUUUUGGUUUCUUUUAAACGGUUGUACUAUGCCUGUAUCUCCCGAGGUCCCCAUGGCAAAAAGAAUAAAAAAAAGAAGAAAAAAUACAAUAAAAUUAUAAUAAAUUAAUUUCCUUAGUUAGAAUGUGACUUUCCAGCAUCAAAACCCCUUAGGAAAAAAUACAAUAAAAUUAUAAUAAAUUAAUUUCCUAAUUUCACCUCCCCAAUUGCCAAAUUAAUUAUAACCCGAAUUGACCCGAAUUGAUCCGAAUAACCCGAAUUUAAUCCGAACCCGAACUAAUCCGAAUCCGAUCCGAUUACACCCGACCCGAAUUAACCCGAAUUCAUCCGAAUAACCCGAAUUUAAUCCGAACCCGAAUUAACCCGAAUCUGAUCCGAUCCGAACUCCACCCGACUUUUUAACCCGAUCCGAUCCGAUCCGAAUUUAAUUCGGAUCGGAUCGGAUCGGGUUUUAAGUUCGGGUGGAGUUCGGAUCGAUUUUUAUCCAACCCGACUAACCCGAAACCCGAUCGGGUUGAUCCGAACCCGACCCGAACCCGAUUUUGCCCACCCCUAUCUAGAAGUCCCUCCGAAAGCAUCACCCAAGACAGUUUGUCAUCUUUUAUACUCUGUUUUAACAGUAAUUUGAACCGUCUUCAGAGUUAUCGUCAACAAACUCAUUCAUAAUUUGUCCAAUCUUACGGACGAUAUCAUAUGCUUAACUCGACACAAUCUAGAUUCAACCUCCUCCUAUCCAACAACGGAUUUCGAUUUGAGUUACUUUGUGCUCAAGCAAAUUCACAUCAUAGUUUUAAUUCUUUUGAUAUGAAUUCAUCACAUUACAUAUAUCAGAUUAAGUGUAACAAAAUUUUUAAUUUACUACGAAAAGAAUAUGCGCUAAAAAUUAUUUCAAGACUAUUUGAUUACCAAAAGCUGCUGUCAGAGUGCACUGAAAGUUUCUGUAGGAUACUUUGCGGUUGUUUAUUAUGUUAUGAUGGGCAUAUAAUUCUCAAAUUUUGACUCCUCUUAGCGAAAAAUAUAUCAAAGUUUAGAUUGAGUGCAGCAACUCCACAGGCCGAGUGGUACAACUACACCUUGGUCUUACUAGGAAUAUCGAUCUGGGAGAGUGGUAUCUGAAUGCUUCUCUAUUUACUUCCUUUCAACAACUUGGUAACAAAAUAGCCGGCUGCAUGCGUUGAGAAUGAAAGUCCUUCAUUUAAUUUAAUUUACUUAAUUUCUCCCUCCUAAUUAAUGUCUGUAACCAUUAGGAGGAACAAGGGAUUUUAUUAACUCAAAUAUAUGUAAUGGAGGAGCUCAUUCUUUGGUUUUACUAGCAGGUCUAGAAGCAGGUGUCAUCUAACAGCUGCUUUGAUAAUUUCCCACCCCUUCAUCUUUGAUGGAAAGAUGAAAUAAAAACAAAAUGGUGAAAAUGGUAUUGGUACCUGAGGCUAUGUAAUCUAAUUCAACAACUGCACCAUCAAAACGAUUACAUAAGUCCCAGAAGAAUCAAACAUUAGUUUGCAAAAUAUCAAUUGCUGGAGGUUAGAUUCUAACUUCCGCUCUUGGUUUUUAUGGGCAUGUUGUAUUGUACUUGCAUACGAAAAUCAUAUUUUAGUUUACUUACACCCAACGCUUGGAUUAAAGUUUCAGAUGGGGAAAAUUGAAGGAGACUAAAAUGACUCAAAAAAUAGUUGAAUGAGUGAGGGUUUUGUCUUCAUUUAAGGAGCUCUUUAUAAAUUUUAGGAUUUUUUUUCCCGAGAAAAUAUAUUUCAACUUAUUCUUUGCUUCUUUUCUGAAGGGACAAAUGCAACUGAAAGUGUAUUCUUGAAUUCUCCAGGAUAAGAGACAUACGUUUAAUUAGAUUCUCGAGCCUUCAAAACAAUAUAAAAUUUUAGAUUGAUAAAAUUUUAUAUAUCUGAGCAUGAUGGUGUUUGACAUGACUUAAAACUAUUUAAUUUACUCUCACGUACAAGAAUAUCUAGUUAUAUUGUAGCUCAGAGUUCGAGGUUAAUCCAUAGACAAAUGAUUUAAUUUCUUUAUUUAAGAUUAUCCCAUAAAUAAAAAUAAAAUUUAAAUAUAUGUAAUUUAAUUUGAAAAAAGUUAUGAAAUUAAAUUAUUUAGGGUCAUGGAUCCACUCUUAGUAAGUACAAUUUAAUAAAUUCUUUUUAUUUUUAUUUUAUUUCCCAAAAGAUUAAUUAUAUAAAUUAUAAUUAUUUUCCCAUUAAUUUUAUUAUGGAUUAAGUACUUAAUGUGCCAAAACUUAACUUGUUUACAAUAAGUCAAAAUACCAUUUUACCAUACUUUAUGCUAAGAUAUUAAGAAUUCAUGUGCCAAACUCCCAUGUUUGUCUACAAUAAAUCAAAAUUUCAAAACAUAAAAUAUGGAUCAAAUUAAAUAAAAAAUAAUUUAAUUUAUAUAAUUAAAAAUAGAAUUUGAUUAAAUCAUAUUUUUCUACUCAGAGUUUUACCUCACCCUAACUAUUAGUAUUUAGCUAAACAUAUUUGAAAUAAAUGAAAUUAUUAAAAUUGAAAAAUACAUAAUUAAAAAAUGGUAUUUGAAAAUUAGAAAUAAAACUAAUUUUAUUUAUUGAAAAUGUAUUACAAAGAAAGAUGAGAAUAAGAAUUUGAGGGGAAAGAAGAGAAGAAAAUUUGUGGAGAGGUGUGUGAAAUUAUAUUGUAAAGAUGUUACACAAACAAAUGAAUAAAAAAAAAACUAAAUGAAAAUUACACAAAUUAAAAAGAAAAUGAAAAUUAAAUAAAUAAGAUAAAUGUGCAAGAAAAAAAUGCGCAAUAAAAAUAAAUAAACUGAAAAGUAAUUAACUAAAAUUAAAAUAACUAAAUAGGCGGUAAACAAAGUAAAUGCCAAAAAUAAAAUAAGUGCGAAAAUUAAAUUACAUAAAUUAAAAGAAGAAAGAAAGAAAAAAAAUUAUCUCAAAGUGUAAACUCUUUUUCUUUUUCUUUUUCUUUUCAAAUUUUAAAUAUUACUAGUCAAUUAAGUGAUUAAUUCAAAUUAUUAGGCUUUAAUAGUAAUUUUUAAAAUCAAUAUUCAGUUUAUUGAGUCCAAAUAAGGUCCAAAGAAGUUCAAGUUGUUGGUCUAAAAUUGAGAAUUUUGGGAAAUAUUGGCAACGGACCUAUUCAAAAAGUUCUAUAAUUUUGUGGUCAAACUACAAUUAUGAGAAGAAUGAUCCAAAAAUUAGAAUUUUUGGGGUGAGUGAGAUUUAGAAAGAUUUUGUGGAUAUAACAUAAUUUAAGAAAGAAAAAGGAGGUAAAUGAAAAUUUACACAAAAAGUAAAAAAAGAAAAAAAAAAGAAAACAAAAUAAAUACCUCUCCCAGCAACGGCGGUAAAAACUUAACACGAAUUAAAAGUAUUUAAUUUACUCUAAAGUAUAAGAGUACCUAGUUAUAUUAUAUCGCGAGAAGUCUGAGAUCGAUCUACAGAAAAAUUAUUUAAUUAAUUUAUUUAAGUUUAUCUAAAAAAUAAAAAUAAAAUUAAAUACAUGCAAUUUAAUUUGAGAAAAAUUAUGAAAUUGAAGUAGUUAGGAUUAUGGAGCUCUUUAUAAAUUUUAGGAUUUUUUUCCUGAGAAAAUUUAUGCCACCUCAUUCUUUGCUUCUUUUUUGAAGGGACACAUGCAACCGAAAGUAUAUUCUUGAAUUCUCCAGGAUAAGAGACAUACGUUUACAUGCUGGAGCAUUUAAAACAAUGUCAAAUUUUAGAUUGCUGAAAUUUUAUAUCUCCGAGUAUGAUGGUGUUCCAAUUAUAAGCUCCAGGGUGCAACUUCACUGAGGUUUAGAAUGCCAUCCUUUAGAAUUGAGAAAUCUCCGUUUGCAUAAAUAUCUUUUGAAAAUACUGACAUCAGAUUUUGAAUUGGAGAACCUGAUUGGACUCAGCUUGCCUUGUAGUAAGGUUAAGCAAAUUUGGAAAAGAGAAAAGGUAUAAUGUAUUACUAUUACCAAAGUAUAUAUUUUUCUUUCUUUAAGUAUUUAUAAUGAAUAACUUUGAAAUUCAAUGAUGCUCAUUUAGUAUAGUUAUGUAUCUUUGGUUAUAGGAAGCUGUCAAGUUAAAAUCUAUAGACCUUCACCACCCCUCUAUCUCAAUAGGAUCCCAGAAAUACUAAAUCUUAAAAAAAUAAAUCUUUCAAAUUGUGAAAGCAUGCUUACGUUACCCCCGUAUAUCCACAAUUUCAACUAGCUGAGUAUGUUGUGUUUCAGGGAUGCAAAAUUCAUUUUGUUUCUCAUGAAAGGAUUGACUUGUCCGGAUGUAUUAGGGUUAAUAAACCAACUAAUCCCAUAAUUUGUUGAUGUAGGGUCCUAAAAAAUUAUUGCAGUAGAUUGUAGAUCAGUACACUAUUCGAAAAUGUAUUUGAUCCACACAGUGAAGUGGAUAUUGGACCAAUUUGAUGAUAAUGAAUUUCUUUCAAUCUCAAUCGUUUUUCCUUUUAGCAACAUGACUAGUCAUUGCGCAAAUUCAAACUCUGACAAUGAUUUCUCAAUCGGUUUCUAAGAUGAUGACCAUGCAUGUAUAUGUAUAUGCGUGUGUAUAUGUGUGUGUGUGUGUGUAGAGAGAGAGAGAGAGAUCACACGUGUGUGAUUUCCUUUUGCCAAUAGGAUAUGCAGAGAGCUUGAUCUUACCCAAUAGCGAAACAAACUUCCUAAUAAGUGAAGGUAUAGUAUAAAUACUUAUACUUUCAUGUUAUUUUUUUCAUCAGUAGCUUGAUUAUUUUAUAUGCGUCUUCGAUUUUAAUUUUCUUUCCCUAUAAUCGCUAUUAUCUUUGAACUGGUCAUGAUUUGCCUAUAAGAUUUCUCAUGUUGUUUUGAGGUGCAAUGGAUUUUGAAUUUAGUGACGAGCAGUGGAAGCCAGAAGGCAAAUUAUGAAUAUGGAUAAAGAUCUAUAAUUAGCUGUUAUGGGAUGUCACAUAUCAUAUUGAUGGUAACAUUAUACAUAUGUACAUAUAAUUAAUGGGGUUGGCUCACGAGCCCAUUAAUAAUCAUAUAUUAGCUUAAAUACUUCAAACAAUGUACCAUGAAGCAAUUUCACAAAUACUUGUUAGCUUAUGUUGAGCUUUAUUGAAUCAGUAGUUCACAGUUCAAUAAAAUGCAGGUUUGCUAUUUAACGUACAUGGUUAUGGUGUGUGCAUUCUUCAUAAGGCUAACUACAAAUUUAUCAAUGAAACUUGAAAAAUGUAACAGAGAGAUGUCGAUAACAACCGCAAAACACUGAGAUUGAAAAUCAGGGCUAGUAAAUUCUAUUAAAAGCUCUUAAAAUAGACAGCGAUCAUCCUUAACCGCAAAGUUAUGCACUAAUAGAACUAUUGACUACUUAUCUUUAGCAGAAGGUAUAUUUUUAACUACAGCUUUCUGCUUUGUUCUAAGAACUAGGCAAAAGUGGUAUAUCUUCAAUCCAAUCAACAUAUAUACCACUUAUCUUCCUCUUCACUUCUGUCUAUUUUGAUUUGCACUUUACAUCCUGCACUUGCUGCUUAGAAAUAGUCUUAGUCUGGACAUUGAAAGUAGAAAAAGUACUUGAAACUAUCAUUGGCACAGCUCGAGAUUCCAUUGAAUCGUGGACUCCAAGCUUUCAUAGUUCUAUAAAGAAAAUUACAUAACUUCAUACAACUGGCAUUCUGCUUUUAACAUUUGCACAACCUGAGCAAGUUAGCAAGCCCCUUGUCGCGUUCCCAUUGAAUAGACCUACUUCUGUUAUCCACAGAAGAUCCACCACUCAAAAUGUUUAUCACCAGGCUAUUCUUAAACUGAGCCUAAACUGAGUAGAAACUUCCGCACAUCUCUCAGCAUUUACAUGAAGAAAUCGACAACUAUCCUCAUCUCUCAGCACAUCUCUCAGCAUUCUACAAAGUUGCAUUUCACUAGGCAAUCUAUCCUCUCCAUUCCUAGCAAAGUGACAUUGAUUCUCGUAUUUGUAAUCUCCUAACUUGGGUUUUGGGCAUAGCGUGGUCUUAUAAUUACCACCCAAUACUUUGUUCAGUGCCACUGGCAUCCACAAGCUCUAGCCCUGUUAGCUGAAUCAUAUUCAAUGGGACAGUGAGGCAGCAUUUCACUAACAUAUUCAAUUUGACUACUUAUAUUGACGCAAAUAUUAGAAUUUGAAAUCACUUCUUUUCUUGGAAUAUUAUAUUAAAAUAACCCCAAAUGAAAGUUCUUGAAUGGAAAUGAUUUUUAUUUAAUCUUCCAACAGAUUCAAGAAAACCCAGAGAACACAAAAUUUACACAGUAAUAUGAUUAAGAGCUAAGAACGUACAUGUAGUAAAUGUCUAUCAAAAACACCAAAGGGUUUCUUUAAAAUUAGAAACUAGGUAAACUGUUAAGAUUUCGUUGGCUUCACUUGACUAAUUGAGAGAGAUUGUUUCCUUAUAUGUGGCUGAUUUGUAAUCCCUUUGAAUAUGGGAUCGUUAUUUACGUUCCUUUGUUUUGUGAAUAUUAGCUCUUUUAAACUUAUAUAUAAAUCCUCUAUAAUUCUACUGCAGAAAAAACAGAGAAGAAUAAAAUCAGUAUUCUUUUCAAAUAUCAUUUUUUCAUGGUAUCAGAGCAAUGGUUUUGAUUCAGUAAAACACUUUCGCUUCUCUUUUUUUUUUUAUGGAUGAUAUUGAUAGUGAUAGCAGUCACAAUCAUUCACCAAAUCAUAUAUCCUCUCAAACCUCUCAUCACAUUAUGUCUAUGUCUAUGGUUGAUUCCUCAUACCCUCUUUUUCUUCAUGCUUCUGAUCAUCUUGGCAUGAUUCUUGUUCCAAAAGUCUUAGAUGGAACAAAUUAUGCUAUGUGGAAGAGAUCUAUGCUAGUGAGUCUUAGUGCAAAAAAACAAACUGGGAUUCAUUAAAGGAACCAUUCACACACCAGAUGAAGAUGAUCCAAAACAUUCUUUAUGGCAGCGCUGCAACGAUAUGGUGCUUUCUUGGAUCCUUAACUCUCUAAAUCAGGAGCUUGCAAUAGUGUACUCUAUUUAGAGACACCCUCAGAGAUUUGGACUGACCUUCAAGAACGUUUCUCUCGAGGUGAUUUUUCCCACCAUUAUCAAACUCAGCAAUUUAUUGUUGAAUUGAAACAAAAUCAAGAUUCAAUUUUUUCUUAUUACACAAAGAUAAAAAUGUUGUGGGAUGAGCUAACUACUUGCAGUCCUUCAAUCACAUGCACAUGUGGAGGACAAAAAGACUUGAAAGAAAAAGAAGAAAAGAUUAGGCUGGGACAAUUCCUCAUGGGAUUGAAUGAAACAUACUCAGCUUUGCGAGGACAAAUAAUGUUAAUGUAUCCUCUACCAACUGUCAAAAGGCAUAUUCUCUUCUCUGUGAGGAAGAAAAGCAGCGAGGACUUACUGAAGCCAAAGGCAUUGAUCUCAUUCAUGCCAUGAGUAUCAAAGCUCGUGAUAAAUCUAGAGAAACACAAUUUGAUGCACAACAACAAACCAAACAAGGAUCAUCCUCUCAUCCCAAGCCACAAGGAAUGAAGAAAUCUUUCUUUCAUACUUACUGUGAGGGCACAACUCAUUCAGUAGAUUGUUGUUACUACUUGAAUGGAUUCCCAGUUGGUCAUAAGCUUCAUGGCAAAGACGUUCAGCCUCCAAAUCGAAGCAGAAAACCUGUUGUGCAUUAAACUAGUGCUGAAAUGAAUCAGAACUUAGCAAAGACACCAACUAAACAAACUCCCCAAUUUAUCUCUGAAGAGCUUGCCCAAAUAAAAGCUUUCUUUAGAAAUGGUAACAAUCCUGCUCGAUCAAACUACAUAGGUAUCCCUAUACCUUUCUGUUCAUCUUUCAAUACGCAAAAGACAGACUUGAAUCACUGGAUUAUUGAUAGUGGUUCAACAAAUCACAUAGCAACUUCAAUACCUAUUAAAACUCCUCUGUCAUCUCAAGUAACCUUGCCUAAUGGUGCCUAUUCUUAGAUAACUGGAAUUGGUUCAACACAACUCUCAAACCACCUACAUGUUAAUAAUGUAUUAUGUGCACCAUCAUUUCAUGUUAAUUUACUUUCAGUGAGUCAACUUACUGUUGCCAUGAAUUGUUCAAUCCAUUUUUUUUCCCACUUUCUGUAUAUUGCAGGACCUAGCUUCGAAGAAGAUGAUUGGCUUGGGGAAGCAGCUUAAUGGCUUGUACUACUUUGUUCCUCAAGUGAAGUCUACACCAACUUCUUUUUCAAUCACCCAUCAUGCUGAUUUUACUACACAUAUUACUUGGCACAAGUGGUUAGGACAUCCCUUAAAAGCACCUUCACAAUUUUUAAGCAAUAAUAUUCCUGCAUUUGUAUUUGAUUCUCAAUAUUCCUGUGAAACUUGCCCUUUGGCAAAGCAAACUCGUUUACCAUUUUCUUUAAGUUCUAUUCAAACUUUGCAUUCAUUUGAUCUUAUUCAUUGUGAUAUUUGGGGACCUUUUCGUACUGCAACUCAUACAGGGGCACAUUAUUUCAUGACUAUAGUUGAUGAUUACACUCGUUUCACUUGGAUUUUUUUAAUGAAAUUUAAAUUCGAAACCCAAGGAUUAAUAAAAACAUUUAUUUCUUUUGUGAACACUCAAUUUAAUUGUCAAGUUAAAUGUCUUAGAAGUGAUAAUGGCUCAGAAUUUCUUUCCAUGAAACCUUAUUUAUCCACCCUUGGUAUUUUAUUUUAAAACUCAUGUCCAUCUACAACUCAACAAAAUGGUGUCGUGGAACGAAAACACCGUCAUCUCUUAAACGUUAGUCGGGCUUUGAGAAUGGAUGCCAAUCUUCCUUUAAAAUUUUGGGGGGAGAGUUUACUUACUGUAGCCUAUCUUAUAAAUCGUCUUCAUACUCCCUUGUUGCAAUAUAAAUCUCCAUAUGAGUUGUUGUAUAAUAAGCCACCUAACUACACUCACUUACAAGUUUUUGGAUGUCUCUGUUAUGCAACAAAUCUACAGCCGUCCAAUAAGUUUGAUUCUCGGGCUCGACAAUGCAUCUUUGUUGGUUACCCUAUAGGCCAAAAAGCCUAUCGAUUAUAUGAUCUCCAUACUCACCAAUUCUUUUCCAGUCGUGAUGUCAUUUUUCAUGAGUCUAUUUUUCCUUCUCUUCGUAUUGAAAAAUCAUUAGAUAGCACUUUUCCUCAACUUGAGAUAUUAGAUUACAUCGAUAAUCUAUCUCCUCCUGCAACUCAUCCUGUCCCUCCAACAUUAGAGACCAUUAUUCCCUCUCCUAAUCUUUUAUUGUCAUCAACUCCUUCCCCUUCUUCCUCUAUAUCUUCUCCUGCCCCUCAUAUUCGUAAAAGUGAUCGUGUCAGGCAACCAUCUGUUCUUCUUCGUGACUUUCAUUGUGGACAGAUUAGUACAACACCAUCAACUGCAACUUCAAGUCAGUCAUUUUCAACUAAGUCAGGUACUCAAUAUCCUUUAAGCAAAUACAUUUCCUAUGAUUCUUUGUCUUCUACUCAUAAACACUUUGUUAACACCAUUUCAAGUGUCCUAGAACCAACCUCUUAUGCUCAUGCUAUAUUGGAUCCGAAAUGGCAAGAGGCUAUGCAAUGUGAACUUGAUGCUCUCAAAUCACAGAAGACAUGGUCCUUGGUCCCUUUACCCGCUGGCCAUCGCCCCAUUGGCAGCAAAUGGGUUUAUCAUAUCAAAUACAAUUCUAAUGGUACGAUUGAAUGUUACAAAGCUCGAUUAGUUGCCAAAGGAUUUUCUCAACAAGAAGGCCUGGAAUACACUGAGACAUUUGCUCCUGUGGCUAAAUUGACCGUUGUUCGUUGUUUACUUGUUGUGGCAACUGCAAGACAUUGGCCAUUGUAUCAAAUGGAUGUGACCAAUGCUUUUUUGCAUGGUGAUUUAGAAGAAGAAGUAUAUAUGACUCCACCGCCGGGACUUUGUCGACAGGGGGAGAAGCUUGUUUGUUGACUUCAUAAGUCCCUUUAUGGGCUUAAAUAAGCUCCUCGCAAUUGGUUUGCGAAAUUUUCUCAUGCUGUCAAGAAAGCUGGCUUUAUUCAAUCACAUUCGGAUUACUCGUUGUUUGUGAAGACAAAAGGCACAUCUAUAACCAUGGUUCUUAUUUAUGUAGAUGAUAUGGUGAUAACUGGAAAUGAUGCAGUCGCUAUACAUAAUCUCAAACAAUUUCUUCACUAGCAAUUUCAUAUCAAAGAUCUCGGUCAUCUUAAAUAUUUUCUUGGGCUGGAAGUUGCAAGGUCCAAAGCAGGUCUUGUUAUCUCUUAACGAAAAUAUACCUUAGAAAUCAUAGAUGAUGUUGUAUACUUGGGUGCUCAACCGGUAAAUUUUCCCAUGGAGAUGAAUUUGAAACUCACAAACCAUUAAGGUGAUUUGCUACAUAAUCCAACUCGCUACAGGAGAUUAGUUGGCCGACUAAUAUAUCUCACAAUUACGAGACCAGACAUUACAUACUCAGUUAACAUCUUAAGCUAAUUUAUGCAUGCUCCAAGAAAGCCUCACUGGGAUGCUGCUCUUCGUAUUAUGAAAUAUUUAAAGGGCAGCCCUGGUUUAGGUUUGUUAUUCUCCUCAAGCAAUUCCUUUACUUUAAAGGCUUACUGUGAUGCUAAUUGGGCAAAUUGUCGUAUAACAAGAAGAUCAACAACAGGUUAUUGUGUGUUCUUAGGGGAUUCUUUGAUUUCUUGGAAAGUAAAGAAGCAGAAAACAGUCUCAAGAUCAUCAUUAGAAGCUGAGUACAGGUCCAUGGCAGCAGCAACUUGUGAGCUCACUUGGUUUAGAUUUUUAUUCAAUGAUAUGCAAAUUUCCAUAGGACCAGCAAGGCUAUUAUGUGAUAACCAAGCUGCUCUUCACAUAGCAGCAAAUUCGGUAUAUCAUGAACGCACCAAACACAUAGAUCUUGACUGUCAUGUGGUAAGGGAGAAAAUGUACGAUGGUCAGAUAAUCACCAAAUUUGUUCCAUCUCAUUUACAGUUGGCAGACAUUUUUACAAAAGCUCUUGGAGGAAAGGUGUUUAAGAGACUAACAACCAAGUUGAACAUGCUAGAUAUACAUGCUCCAACUUGAAGGGGGAGUGUUAAGAUUUCGUUGGCUUCACUUGACUAAUUGAGAGAGAUUGUUUCCUUAUAUGUGGCUGAUUUGUAAUCCCUUUGAAUAUGGGAUCGUUAUUUACUUUCCUUUGUUUUGUGAAUAUUAGCUCUUGUAAACUUAUAUAUAAAUCCUCUAUAAUUCUACUGUAGAAAAAACAGAGAAGAAUAAAAUCAGUAUUCUUUUCAAAUAUCAUUUUUUCAUAAACAAAAAGAAAGAAUCAUUUUACAUUUUUAGCAAGUUUGAAUGAGUGAGAAAUUGAAACCCUAAAGUGAUGACAACAAUAAGAUUCAGUAUGAAGUGAAACCCCAAUUUGAAAUGUAGGCAUGAGUUGCUGAGUCAGUAGAUGAAGCUAUAAAUAGGCAUUCGGUUUCUUUCUUUUCGGUUUGGAGGGCCAUGGAAUAGUGUAUUGGAGUGGGCUCGAAGUAAUAGCCUUUAUCACUGAAUGACACGUUUGCAAAACGUGAUACAUAGGGAAGGAUUGAGCAUUAUACUCUUAGAUUAGCGCCUUAUUUAGGGUGUAUAUUAAGCAGAUUAUCUAUAUAUUACAUGGAGAUGGAGUUUAUGAAAUAGAUUAAAAAGAAAAGGAAAAUUAGUGUCUGGAGUUUGCCACUUGGAAUAUUUCGGUGUCUAAACAUUCACUCACCACUUAUUUCAUGUCUGAUCAUAUGUUGAAAAAAUAUUAAAGUAAUAUAACGCUAUUAAGGCUUAACGUAUAUUUUUUAUUAGUAGAGUGUAGAACUUUUAAGAAAUAAAUUAUUAAAUUACUAUAACUAGCAUAUUAUUUUAAAGUUGUGUUGUGAAAAAAAAAAUGAAAUAAAAACGUGAAGUAAAUUAGAGUAUUCUAAAACUUUUAUCUUUUUAAAAUUAGUUUUUAACAUAAGGUGAACUAUUUUUUUUUUAAAUCACAUACUCUAGUUAAAAUCAAAUAUGUAUUUAUAUGAAGCUUGUAAUUUUUUUUUCAGUACUGAUAUUUGAAUAUUAUCAAUAUUAUUUUUAUGGCCCACAAAAGGACAACACCGUUUAUGUUAUAAUACUAUCACCUCUGUUAUGAUAAUAUUUUUUUUGUGGCCAAAUAUCAUUUUUUUAAGUAAAAAGGUGGACAAAAUGCAAAUCAAUUUUUAAUCCUCAAACUCUCCCAAAAUUUAAAUUCGUAGUUAACAAAACACAAUUGUUGGAAAACCAUUAAGCUAGGUCCAUCGGUUGUUAAAACUAGGGAAAUUUAUAAAAAUAACUUAAAAACUUUUAUAAUUUCACAUUUUACCCUCCGAAAUUUUUCCUAUCAACAUUAGCAAAAAAUCCUUUCAAGUGCCGAAAAUACCCCUCCCAUUCUCAUCAAACUUCCUCUCUCUCUCUCUAACCAACGAUUUCUUUCUCAAGGUGGUCACUCAUCGCCGCCGGCUUUCCAGAGUCCAUCCUUGAUAGUCAACAUCACCAAAAUUUCAGUCAAGAUCUGAAAUCAAAGAUUAAUUUAAAAACCCUAGAUUUUGAAGCAUGUUCUAUUUCUAUUCUUCUUUUAUGUUGUGGUUUUGUUGUUGUGCUGGUGAUGGUGAGUGAAGAUUGAAGUGUUUGUGAUGUUGAUGGCAUGGGCGAAGUUGUUGGUGUAGUGCAUGGGUGAAGAUUGAAGUUGGCGUGGGCUUGGGGCCGGGAGAUAUCGUGCCUGAUCAGGCGCAACAACGCCCCUGUCGCACAAGAUCUGGGAGACAGGCACGCGCACCUGUCACUCACGCCUGUCGCGCGUGCUUGGUGCGACAGGCAGCAUGUUACAAUUUUUUUUUUUAACGUGAAGUUGGUGCGACAGGCGCAAUUUCGGUGCAACUCACACCUGUCGCACAAAUUUAGUACGACAGGCGCCUGUCGCACUAACAUACAAUCACACUGAAACUCUCUUGUCGCACGAAAUCAAGUUGACAAAACAUCUCUUAACACUCGGUGAUGCAAAAACAAAGUAUAAACAAUCAAAGAAACAUUUCAUCAAACACUUAAUACGCAAUAUUUUUACAAAACUAAUUUCCUUUUAAUUAGCUUACCUAGAUUUUGGGCUCUAUUUCACUUUGUUAGAAUUGUGUCCGAUUGGUGUUGGAUCCGAAUGGAUUUGGCUAUCUUUGAUCUUAGUUCACUUUUACCGUUCGCAGUCAUCGUUUGCCGUUGCCAUUUGCCUGUGAUGAUUUAAGAGUUCAAGGCUGCGUUUGGUUUGAUAAAGAGGGAGAAGAAAAGUUGCGUUUGGUUUGAUAGACAAGAGUAAUUUAGGGAAGAAACCUUAUGUUUGGCUGAUUAUGAUAGUAAAAACUUUAGAGGGCCAAUUGUAAAAAUUAUAAAAGUUUUUAGGUUAUUUUUAUAAAUUUCUCUUAAACUAUAGCUGACAAAAAGUUACUAACAAAAAGAGAAUGUCUAUUUUAUAACUUUCUUAAAAAACUUUCCUUAACUUUUUCAAAAAAGUAAUGAUAUAGUCACAAAUUCUUGUAUAAAUUUAUUUUGUACAAAUUAAUGUGAUAUGAUAAAAUUAGUUGAAUUAAAUAUCUUUUGGUCCACAUAAUUUAUUUUUAUUAUUUAUAUUUUCAUUCAACUAAUAAAUUAAUAACACGUAAGAGUUAUGACUGUAUCAUCAUUCUUUUUAAAAAGUUACUAACAAAAAGUUAUUUCCAAUUUUUAUUUUGUUAUAAUUUUUAAAACAAAAUUCGUAGUUAACUAAACUCUUCUUAAUUCCUAUGCCCUUUCUCAACUGCCAUACCCUACCCUGCUCCCCAUGUCCCCACUAAACCACGCUCAAUUCAGGCCAUCAGAUUCUCCCGGACCCACAUUAAUCCAACUGCUCACAGUGACCGACAGCCUCUCUAUCGCCAUUUCAAGCUCCCUCUUAAACUGGCUUCUGCUACCGUCGUACUCUUUCUCGGAUUCGGAGUCCGUAUUUGCUCGGCCGGUCCCACGCAGCUCCCUCUCACUCCAAUUGUCACCCAACAAGGCCAAUUGCUUACUCAAGGCACAGAACAAGAAGAGGAUGAGAAAUUGAAACAAGAAUUUGAGAAUUGGAAAUCGAAAACGUACGCAUUGACCGUGCCUUUGAGGGUUGUUUCUCUUCAGAAUUCAGUGCCUUAAUCUUGGGUUAAGGAUUUUAUGCGAAGUCAAGGAAAGACAUUGAUAAGUUUCAGAUGAAUUUGUUUGCUAGCAUUGAUGGGAUCUUUCACAAUUUAUCUAUGCCCUUUAACAAAGUUAAGGCUAAGUCAGCUUCAUAUAUGGCUGCUGAUUUGGUUAGUGUUGGUGAUUCAUGGCUCAGUUAUGCGAUUAUAAAGAGAUUGAUUGAGCCAAUAGCUGUAGCUGAAGAUCAAUAUUGGUUCAAAUGCUUAAGUCACAAAUGGAAGGUAACAUCUUUAUCUUUGCCCCGAUAAUUUUUAUUGUCUUACAUUGAAAUUUGGUAAUGUAAUUUGUUCUCUAUCUGUGUCACCCUUUGUAGUCAUUUUAUUUAUUUAUUGUUUUGCUUUUAUUUGCACUAACGAAUUCUCAGGCAUAUCUACCCAGGAAUGAUGCUGGAGAAAUUGAUCCUCGAGGUAAAAUAUGGGCGGCAGCAUACCGGUGGGGCACAAUGGGAUAGCUUACAAGAAAAGUAAAUUGCGAAAGCAUAUUUGGCUCCGAUUUAGGUAAUUGCCUUUAAGCUCAUUUAGUUUUAUAUGAAACAAAAUCAAGACUGCCUUUCUCUUCAAUAUUUUUGAUGAUAAUAUCUUUAGAAGCAUCUCAUUCACGGGUAAUCAUGGUAUCCCUUAAAGAGUCUAUAAACUCAAUGAUAUUAUCUUCUACAAAUGGUUCAUUAAACUUCUUAGUUGCAGUCAAAUGUACACUAAGAACAACGAGAAGCUAUGCCACUGUAGCAUGUAGUGAUGGCACUUAAUAAGUGACUUGCUAGGAUGUGAACUAGAUAAAUUAAAUAUUGUCUCCCUGGGCAUGCUAGCUCAUAAGUUGGGGUUAAUAUUAGCUAUUGACUGCCAAUUAAAAUAUCCAUUAAAAUGUCUAAGGAGUUACGAAGGUGGAGGUAUCUUCCAAUUUCUAAGGCCAAAUAGCAGACAUCAUCCAGGAUCCUGGGAAAGUGCAGUUAACUUCCUGCUUGAUCCUAAUGUGAAAACAAUUAAUAAAUUUGGUCAAUGCAACUGAAACCUGCUAACCGAUGUCACAAUGCGACAUCAGCACCUCAAAAUGGGAUAGAUGGUUAGUAGCACUAAAUUUUUCUGGCCUCAGAUUGAGCAAUUGGCCCAACGACUAACCCCGAUUGUGGGUUGAUGAUAAUUUUUUAAUUAUUUUCAUUUUGACCGAAAAAGUUACAGAAUCUUGAUCUGAAUAUUGUCACUGAACAGUGUCAAUAUCGUUUAGCAUAUCCAACUAACUUGAGUUUGGUGAAACAAACACAGAGUGUGUCUCUCAUGUCUCACCCUUCAAAAUUAUCAUCUGUAAUGAUGGAGAAUUUUUCUAAUGUAUGAACUAUGCUUCGAUAUAUGGGUUAGCUUGGAGAAGAUAUCUCAAGAUAAAGAAUAUGGGAAGCUAAUGGGAAGAAACAGGGGAUCUUCAUUCUUUUUCCUUUUUAUACCCAGAUAUCUCUCGACCUUUAUAUGAUCCCUACUGGAUAUUUGCUUCUAAUAACUAAAAUAAAAAUUUCACCCACCAAAAUGAAUACUGACCAAGCUUUAACAAUAAAAAGUAGCAUCUUUAGUCAAGUAAUUUGCAGUUCCUCAUCAUCUUAGUGUGAGUCUAUCAGUAUGAUCAAAAAACAUAAUAAAACUGGUUAGAUCCUGUUCAUUGAUGUUUAAAUGUUGUUCAGUGUGAAAUGUAGCAAUGAUGAGGUGAAGUUUCUUUGGUCAUCAAUUAGUAAGAUCUUGUAAUCUGGCAUUACUGGGAAACCAGGUACUCUUAAAGAAAUGAUAUCUGGUCAUUGCAUGUUAUUGCCUGACAACUGAUUUUGUUUGUAAAAGUCUGCUUCUUCAUACAUAUGAAUGCAUAUGUUAGUGUUGUCUUUUCCUUUUCCUACAUAUUAAUGCAUAUGUUGGUGUUCUCUUAUGAAAUGGAUGCAAUAAAGGCUUUUUCUCCUAAAUUUAGCUGAGGAAAUGGCAGGGGAUGUGAGAUUCUGUCUCAUUAAAUUAACAAAAACCCAAAACAAUAAAAACCCAUAAUAAUGUGGUGUGGGUAAAUUGGCGACAUUUGGCUCGUUACCCUGAUGUGAAUAUGCGAGCAAUGGAGACUAACAAAAUGAAGUGACGAUUCAGUGUCCUUUGAUGGAUGCAUUUUUAAGCAAAAAUAGGUUUGUAACUGACCAAAUUUGUCUGGCAUGCCAAUUUAAAAAAAUUAAAUUAUGUGGUUGUUAGCUGUAGUGAAGGGGGGGUAGUAGGUCCAAUCCGGUCGAUCCAGGAAAGUUCAACAAAGUUCUGGUAUGGUGCAGUGAAACUGGUUUGUGCAACUCAAGAGUCGUUCAGGUAAAAGAUGAUGUGUUUUGAUUUAAAAAUGUUAUAAAUUUACUGUGUAUAGUAUUCUAGUAGAAUCAUCUAUAAAUUUAAGUUUUUGAAAUUAUCUGCUUUUCCCAGUUUGAGUUAAGGGCACAUGUAAUAUGAAAAAUAGUUGUCGAAUGUUGUAGGUUACCUAACAUUUGAUCAAUCCUAUUAUGAUGGCUUCAAGAUGUCUAACAAUAUGUAGAAUGCCCCUGCUCCUCCCCAUUGUUUAUCUUAUACAAUAAUAUGUUGUGGAUGCUAAUAUCUUUGUCGAUACCUGUAACAGUAUUACAAAAUCUGCGUUCAUUGGGUUUUAUAUAGGUUCAACUGUCUGACAGUUCACACUGUCUGAAGGCAUUUGGAAUUGGAGAUGUAUGGGUUGCCGUUGAGGGGAGUAGUGAUGUUCUUCCUGCUGUCAAACGUAUGUCUAAUGUUGCAGUUUUUGUUCCCAAGUCUGGUGCUAGCUUAUGGGCCGAUCUUUGGGUUAUAACCAUGCCUGUCAUUCUACUUCGAUAUUCACUUUGUUAUCACCUUCAUAUUAGUGAUCAGUAAACAUGACAAUGUGACUAAUAAAUUUGUAUUCUCUUUAUAGGCAAUCCGAGCUGCCUCAAGACUUGAAACAAAACAAAUUGAAGGCAAGUCAGAGGUCCAUCUCCAUUAAUCCAUUAAUAGAUAGAGUUCCACUUGCAAACAGCAAGAGCAUUGCCUUUCAAGCAAAAGGUUAUCCCGGGUGCAACUCCCUCUGCCCUUGAAAGUACUCUGGUUAAGUUGCCUGAACAACUUCUGAAGGGUAAACCAAGUCUGGAUACUAACUUAACUGCUGGAGUACCUCCGGCUGAAAUUCUGGCCAGAUGUGGGUUUUUGGAGCCAUUAUCUGAAGCUACAUUGUCAAAUUAUGAGUGGCUGGUUGCUAAUCUACAAAAACCUGCUCCUGUCUUGAUGAAAAGGGUGCAACAUUACAUGUCAUCAUUAAUCCGAAGCUUUCUAGCAAAAGCUACAUUGAAAAGUUAAUGGCACCGCAUGCCAGUCAUUAUAAUGCUGUCAGGGCAAUUGGGUCAGAGCAUAACUUCAUUGGGAAAAGAGGAUUCAGCUAGGUUACCUAUUACAGGACGUACUGAGAUGGCUGAAGUUCUUGAGGUUUUAUGAGAAAUGAAAGAUGAGUGCUUGUUUGAACAAAGUUGUCACCAAUCUCGUAAAGUUCAAGAAGAAAGAUCACAGAGCUAAUGCCACCAAUUUCUUCAUUAUUGCAGCCUCCAUUGUUGAAGUUUCCUCAUUUGAAGCUGUUUAUGCAUAUGCUUCUUCCCUGCUCAAGUACAGGAAAUUGAAGAAUUAGCCAGAUAUGAUAUGAUGAAAGAGGGAAGUUUUCUUCCUUGAAUAUGGCCUUGUAAUUUGUAGUGAAGGAGUAGGAUGAUCACUAGCAAGAACCCUAUCAAGGUAGAUUUUAUGAUGUUAACAUAUUACUAAGCAUUUGUUUCUUUAGCAAUGAUACUUUCAUAGCAUGAAUUUAAUUAUAUGAUCCUGAUUAAUCAAUUAAUUUUCAUGAGUUUUAACCUAGUUAAAACGAAGUACAAUCAUCGUUAACAAAUACUGAAAUUGGGUAAAUAUGAUCUUGACAUUGAAGAAGAAUUUGAAAACACAACCCGCAGAGGAAAUUACCUAUUGCAUGGGGAUGGAGAUGUAUAUUGCAGCGAUAUAGAAUAUGUGCCAGGCGUUGUCUACUGCUCUUUGGGUUAUGGUGUGAUUUGCGAAUUCAAUGUUGCCCUGAAACAAUGGAAAAGAUUAACAUAUCCUCCAAUGAAUGAAAACGGCUUGACUAAUUUUGACUACCUACUUGACUCAGGAUCAGGUGACAAUAAUGGCGGUUUAUUAACAUUGCACGGCCCCAGUACUCUUCCAGGAUCAGAUACGAAGUAGUCUAAAGUUGAUAAUAAGAGUUUUAUUAAAUGACAAAUCAUUGUUGUUGGGUGUUGGUUAUAUACGUCAUUACAACUACAAGUUGAAGAUGAAGGUUAUGCAAGUGAUUUCAGAAAUACAAUACAUUCCAAGAGAUGCUGGUCUACAAUUGCAUGCCCCCAGAUAUAAGAAUCUUUUGAUUGGGGCAUUGAAAAUGAAGAAUUGAAAAUGAAGUUGCAAGUUGCCGCCUAUAGCUGCUGAGUAAUAAUAAAACGAGAUAAAUUAAUUAAUCUCAGACCUCUAUGUAUAUGUUAUCCUAACUUUACUUACCCUUAUUUGUUAUAUUCACUUAAAACUUGAUGCCUAAACCAUUAAAAUCAAAUGACCAUAGGGGUAUUUACAGUAUGUAAAAACAAACAAAAACACGUAAAAAAUUUCAAAAAAUUAAUAAUCACACUCUAAACUUACCACUCAACUCCUAAGAAUAGUCAUAAUCUAAAACAAUUUACAACUUUUGAAGGGAGUAGCUAUGAAGAUGGGGGAAAAUCCUUUUCUCAGUGGAGUGCCAUUGCCCAAGAGUUGCAAUGAAAACGGACCACAUACAGCUGUGCCGGAAGAUUCAACGAGGUAUGAAAAAGAUGAUAAUUUAAGUGAUAUGGGCAGUAAUUGUGAUGUCAGAAAGCAUUAGUAUUCUAUAUGUGAACCAUUAUUGACGACAUCAUUGGUUUUAUCUUAUUAAAAUGUGGAUGACUUCCAGUUACUAUUUUAUUAGAAACAAUCUUAUUCAAUUAACAUAUAGUUUAAAACUAUUAUGUAAAUCAAUCUAUUAAUUUUCAUGGUAUUUAACUGAGUUAAAACUAAGUGCAAUCAAUAAAUCUUUUUUUCUUUAAAAAACUGCUACGCUUUGAUUUUAUUACUUAAUAUUUAUUGAACUCUGGUACAGGAAAUUUGAAAUCAAACUCGUAACUACAGAUUAUCUAAUUGCGAGUUACUGUCCAUGGCUGCUGAUUUGUAGUGAUUGUCUAAUUGACUGAGGUGACAAUAUUUUUUUUUUAAUUUUCAAUAGCACAAUGUGAAAUUCAAUAAUUAAAUUCUCCUGUUUAAUUUGUUUCAAGUUAAAUUAUUAAUUACUUAAACUCUUUUUUAAGUCUUUAAUUUUACGUCAAGUGACUUGGACAUGACGUACAAUGAGAGUGACAGUAAACAAACAUUAAAACGUGUGGACUCCGGUAGCUGACCUACAAGUCUACAAUAAUAAAUUGGGCCGGGGUUAAGUUACAUGAUCACGUAACAAACAUUACAUGAAUGAGGGCCGUUAGAUGUGAACAGUAAAAUCGAAUGGAUGGGAAUGAAAUGAACAGAAAAAAAGAAGUGAUGGGAAACUGGGAAAACUGGUGAACGAAAACCGCUUGGGCCACCGGGUCAAAACAAGGGUUAUUGUUUGAAUUCGAUUCAGGAGGCAAGAAACCUGAUUUUUUGUAAUUCGAUUCAGCGCCAUUAAAGCUGGUUUUCACAGCAACUAUGAUUUUUUUUUUUUAUAAUAGCACCAACUCCUACCCUUAAUUUAUAAUCAAACAUUACAUCUUCAAGAUUUAAUUUAUACCAAUAUUCAGGGGCAGACGACCAUGAAAAGUUCCUUGGAGCUUCCAUUAAUGGAGUUAAAAAUUAAUAUCUCGUUGAUGACUACUCUCAGCACAAGCGGUGAAGUGGCUUUGGCUUUAGCAAAAACCUUCUAUGCAUCUUCAUCUUUUAAAAAGCACACCCUUUCUUGCUCCCCAGUUAGUCCACAUCAAAAUUACAAGCGAACAAGCGAUUCUUUUUUGAGUUAUUUGAUGAAGAGGCAGCAUAAUUCAUAAAAUCCAUAAGUUAUGUCCAGUCCUUUUAAUCAACUCAGGAAAAAAUUAGAAUGAAUCUAAUUAAACUUUUGAUUUUUUGCAUCCAAUACGAGCAGGACAUAAAACUGCAUCUUUCACCGGCUUCAGAUGGUCAGCAAAAACUUUCUUUUUUUAAGCGUUUGGGAGCAAAUCGGAUAAAGCUCUUCAUAAAAAUCAAAAAGUAACCCCAAGGAUCAUCCAGGUCAAUCUGCAUGAGUUUUGCUGUUCAUACAUGAGCCAUAGAAGCAAGUUGAACCGCCAAACCGGGCACUAUGGUAAGACGUGGAAACACCGGAUCCCAUUCGUACCUCGAUCUGUUCGUUUUCUCGUUCAGAACGGGCCGAUAUGCGCAAGUAAGAAGUUUCCUCAGCCUGAGAGUUCAAAGAAAUCAUGUCACUUUGGGUUGCACAGGCUAUAGGAGAAAUUAUUCUUUUCGACUUACUUUUUUCAACCGGCUACAAACCGCUUCAAUCGGUAAAAUUAGAAUUAUAAUAGUUACACGUGUUGUAAUGUUGUUGAUUUAUUUGUCAAUUUCUUUAAUGUUUGUUACAUGUUAUGUAAGGUAACGAGACCCAUAAUUGAGUGCAUAGAAUUUCAAUGAAUUUCUGCCCCGUUGAGUUCACCGACUAAACUUUUGUAAAAUUAAAAAAAAAAAAAGUACAUAAAAUUUCAGAAAGGCUAAUACUAAGUUAUAUGCAUGUAACUUACAACCCUCUUACAUAAAUAAUGAAUAAUAUGAGCCCACUCAUUAUUUAUGUAAGAGCAUUAUAAGUUACAUGCAUGUAACUUAAGGUGAUCCUUUCAGAAAAUACAAAACGCGCGGAAUUAACCAAAAUAUAAUUUAACAAAAAAGGAAAAAAAAAGUAAGAUUUUUAAAAUGUGUGGAAGGUAAUCCAUAUUUUAUUGAAAUGACUUGUCUCGAAUAUUAAAAUGAUUGAUUUUUUUUUUUAAUAAUAUCAACUUCCAUAUUUUCUACCCCAGAACAUGCUCACAUUCAAGUCAAUCUCGCUAAUUUGAAAUACAAAAUCAAAUCAACACCAAAGCAAUGAAAAGUAAAGCUUUUAAAUUUUAACUCCAGCUAGCAAACGUAUUCAGCGUUUUCAAAUUCUUCCCAUUGCAUCUUCCUCCAUCAAUGCAAUAUUUGAACGAUUAAGAAAGAGUUUGAGAACAUAAAAAAUCCCCAAGGCUUAUACGGUAUUAACAAAUUUAAAUUCUCAAUUAUAAUAGAUAAUAAUUAAACUAAUAAUUAUUUAUUUUUUUAUUUUAGUAAUUUCACCUAAGAAUAAUAUUGUAAUUAGAAAAAAAAUCUAAUAAGUAGGGUGGUCUUAUACAAAAUCAACUGCAUAUACAUAUAUAUAUAUAUAUAUAUAUAUGCAGAUGCAAAUGAUAAUUUUUAAUUCUUUUUUUUUAAUAAGAAAAUUGUGUAUUGAGAUGAAUGAGAUGUUUAAUUUAAUUAAUUUCCUUACUUUCAUAUACAUUGUCUUUCUAUCUAAAGAAAGCUUGGUGUUGAGAUCGACAUGAAGUUGCAAGUUGCUGCCCAUGCCUGGCUGCUGAUUAAUAAUAAAACGAGACAAACUAAUUAAACUCUGGCCUCCAUGCGUAUGUCAUCCUAACUUUACUUGCUCUUGUUUGUUAAUAUUCAUUCUUAGAGAGGUGAAAAAAUUACAAGUCUUGAAUAACAAGGAGUUUAAUUGCCUCUAACUUCACUUGGUCUAUCAAUUCCCCUGCAAUUUCGGAAGCCAAGCGCAAAAUCAUACAGAGAAUUAAUUAUCUUUUUAUUAUCAACCCAUCUUCAAGAAGAUUUUCCUCAAUUUGCCCCAGAGGAGUUGGAGCUGUGUUUCUGAUAAGCCAAAGAGAUAGUAGCAAUUAAUAUUGAUAUUGCCUACCCAAGAAAUAUGAGUGAAUUAAGUAUUAGCAAGACUUCAUUCAGAGGAGCAAUUAAACCACUUCCUUAUCAAUUGCGGCAGCCGUCUAUUAACUAAAAUGCCAAUCUAAUACAGGAAGAAACAACAUUUACAGAUUCGGCAAUUGAGUUCAUUAAGAAGUAGCAUCAUAUUCGGGUGAUGAGUUUCAUUUUUUUAAUAAUUUUAGUCUAAUUUCAAUUGUACUGUGACCGCUACUCAAGGGAAGUGAAAGUUACAGAUGUGGCAAAAUAAAUAAUUAAAUUAACAAAAAUGCUAACUAAUUUUCCUGAAUACCUAGGGUUGCACAAUUUCACCAACCUGGAAGAAUUGACAUUAGUGGACUGGUCUCCUCCCCAUAUAAUUAUAAUCCUUCUAGAAAGCUAAUUUUUAUUAAAUAUUUGCUUUUAAGUUAAUUUCAAUUAAAAAAUGUUUUAAGUUAUAUAUACUCUAAUGAGAUUCUGAAUUCCUUUCUUCCAAUAAUAAUGAAAACUUAUUAAAUUAGAAAUGAAAAAAUGGGCGUUGAUGAUUCAUCCUGAUUUGGAUAGAUUACUUGUAUAAAAUUGACAAUUUUGAUUUAAUUUUUGUUUAUUGUUAACUUUCAGGCUAUCUUAAUUUCAAGAAUUUAGAAUAUUAAUUUGGUCAUGGAUUUCAACCCGUGACUGUUAUAUUCUAUACUUAAUGGUACCAUUCUUGAUUGAGGGCAAUGACUCUCACUCCUCUUGUAAAAAAAUAUUUUCAACUAUUUUGAUGACUUAAAAAUUGAUAGAUUUAUUGUUGUCAUGACCAAAUUAUUCAUUCGGCAAAGCUUAUCUUACAUCACCUGUAACAAACAGCCAAUACAUAUGGGUGGUUAGAUUUUGAUAUUUCUUAAUCUAAUGGAUGAAAAUAAUUUUAACGCAAAACAAGGUAUGGGUGUAAUAGCUAUUUACAAAAAAAUUUAUUUUGAAUCACAUAUUACUUAUUUUUUCAAAUAAGUCCUCAUUAAUUUUUUAUAACUAAAUGAUUUUAUCGUCCAUCUCUUUUACAUCUAUUUUUAAAAAUUGUUAAAGUUUUUACUAAAUUUUUAUAAAGAUCUAAAUGAUUAUCAUGUUUAUAAAAAUCUACAAAUUCUAAAUAUAUAUUUGCAUUUACAUUUAUAAUUUUUUGUCUCUCUUAAAAUAUAAACUAGAUUUUUUUUUCUUUUAUAUAAUUCAAGAUGCUAAAUUUAGAUAAGAGAUAUUAUAUGUGAUAAAUAUAUUAUGACUCUAAUAAAUUACUAGAAAGAUGGUAAAAUGAAUAAAUUAUUGGAACCUCUAAUAAUUUCACAAAAUAUAAAAAUUAAUAAAUUAUCACAUUCUAGCUAUACACAAAGAGGAUUUUCGUAUGAAAGAUUAAAAUCCUUUGACCUAAUCAAUGAUUCAGACAUGCGGAGAAAUAAUCAAUUAAAUUAAAUUUCACUAUAUUUAUCAAAUAAAUUAGGAAAACCCAAAUUUAUCUAUAAAUGAUAUAAAAAAAAUGAAAUAUUAAAAAUUAAAAAUUUCAAUGAAGAAAACAUACAACAAAUUAAAAAGUUAGGAGUUCAAAUGAGUAAAAAGUCUGCGCUCUUACCAUUUGAGUUAGCCUUCGCCUCAACUUGAACUUUAUUAUUUUUUUGUAACCCUAAUUGACAUCAACUUUAACUUUAUUAUGUUAUUAUUUCAAUCCCCCAUUAUGCCUUUUUAAUACUCCAUUAUACCAUUUUUAUAGUGCAAAUUUAAUUGCACAUCUAAAUAAAUUGAUUAUUGUUACUCCACCACCAAUAUUUCGAAAAGUCACUAGACCAUUCCUGCCUUUAGUUUCCCUUAAGUUUAACCAUUGACUGUUUUUAGCAUCUUAAAAUAUACAUUUAUUCCUUGAUUAUGUGAUAAAUUUAUGAAAAUAUCCAUUUAACUUAAAUUAAUUGGAAUAACCAUGCGUAACAUAAAUUAAUAGAACAAAAUUAUCAAGUGUAUGUUCUAUCUUACUUUUUGAAGAAUUUAACAUAUAUAAUGCUAUACUAUUAAUUAUAUCCUGAUUUUCAUCGAUUAUAGCGAGAGUUUCUCCAAAUCAACUCCCUUAUUCAAAUAAUACAGAAAAAAUAGUAAUUUAAUUGUAAAAAAAACAGGUGUUGAUUAUAUAUCCUAAGUUUCGUCGAUUAUGUGAUCAAAGCGGCAUUGUUGAUUUAUUUCUUUUUCAAUGUUGAUUUUUAGGUUAUAUAAAUUUCGAGGAUUUAAAAUCUUUGGUCAUGGAUUACAUGCUUAUUAAUUUUUCUGCCAUUGACUGUCAUAUUCUAUACUUAAUGGUACCUUUCUUGAUCAAGGGUAAUUACUCUCUCUUCUCCUCUUAUAAAUUCCUCUUCCAUUAACAUCACUAGGAGUAUGUUGAUCUCUCAGACGUUAACUUGAGUGGAGAGUUUCCAAAUUGAUUGUUAUAAAACAACACAAAAACUAGACAUACUUGAUCUGUCUAAUAAUUCUCAUUCGGUAAAAUUAAUUAAUUUUAGGAGAAUAUUGGGCCAAACUAAUUGCACUCAAUAAAUCUCUUUUCCUUUAAAAAACUGCUACGCUUUGAUUUUAGUGCUUAAUAUUUGCUGAACACCGAUACACGGAAUUUGAAAUCAAACUCGUAACUACAGAUUAUCUAAUUGCAAGUUUCUGUCCAUAGCUGCUGAUUUGUAGUGAUUAUCUAAUUGACUGAGGCGACAACAAUUUUUUUUUUUUAAUUUUCAAUAGCACAAUGUGGAAUUCAAUAAUUAAAUUCUCCUUCAUAAUUUGUUUCCAGUUAAAUUAUUAAUUACUUAAACUCUGUUUUAAGUCUUUAAUUUUAUGUGUUUAUGCAGAAUUGGAUUCUUGAGCGUGUUGGACACGACCAACAAUGAAAUUGACAGUAAACAAACAUUACAACGUGUGGACUCCGGUAGCUGCCCUACAAGUCUACAACUUUACAAAUAAUACUUGAGUAAGCACCUUUGAUUCUCCGGACCCUUCAAUGAAUUUCUAGCCCCGUUAACUCCACCGACUAAAGUUUUGUAAAAUAAAAAAAAAAUACAUGGAAUUCCACCAAAUGCAAAACGCGUGGAAUUUAAUUUUCGGCCGUGUGGACCAAAACAUAAUUUAAUGAAAAAGGAAAAAAAUGAUAAGAUUUCUAAAAUGUGUGGAAGGUGAUCCAUAUUUUACUGAAACGACUUGUUAAAUUUUUUAAGAAUUUAGAAUAUUUGAUCAUAAAUUACAUGCAUGUUAAUUUUUCCGUCAUUGACCAUCAUAUUCUAGACUUACCUUUCUUGAUGAAGGGUACUUAGUCUCUCUUCUCCUCUUAUAAAAAUUAUAUUAAUUGAUUUCUUGUUAUAGUUAAUAGUCUUUAAGAACGUAUAGAUUUAUUGUUUUCAUGACCAAAUUAUGCCCGGCUAAGGUUGCGACUAUUAAUAAAAUUAAUAUUUAAUGUUUAUGUUAAAAGAUAUAAGAUUUUGUGCAUUCAUUUUGUGCAUUCAUUAAUUGUUAUUAGCUAAAGGAUGAAUUUUUUUUUCAACCCAAUCAGUUGAUACAUCUGCAAGAGUUUUUUCUUUCAUUGACCAUAAUUAUAUUCCGGGUACAACAAAUUGUCUUUGGUGCUUGGAAAAUAUGACUUCUUACUUCAAGUUUGAUACGUCUCUCACCAUAAGCGUACUGGAAAUAUAUCCUCAUCUUCUGUCAUUUAUCUAGGACCUUGCUACGUUACAGACUCUGUAUGUAACGCAGCAAAUGAGGAGCAUCCACGCGUUGCAGGAGAGAGGAAAAGUUGUUGGAAUUUAGCUGAUACAAGACUAAUUUCCAUUGAGCUGUUACAUACAGAGUCUGUAAGGUAGUUUUGUCCCAUUUAUCUAAUAUCAAUUGAAGAUCUCACUUUUUCAAACUAUCACUUCCAAGUAUCAUUGUCACUUGGCCAUUCUUGGACCAUUCAAAACCAAUCAAGUGUUGAAAUAAUCAAAUAUAUGCAAAAUUAGAGUCAUGAUUUUCGGUCCCCCAAAUUCUAAUUAUAUAACUUCUAUAUAUCUCAUUGUCAGGUCACGAACUUGUUGGCACAUUUUCCAAAUUCCUCUUCCAUCAGCUCUCACAUGUUAACUUGAGUGGAAAGUUUCCAACUUAAUUGCUAGAAAGCAACGCAAAAUCGGACACACUUGCUCUGUCCCAUAAUUCUCUUUUCUACGUUGAAAAAGAAAAAAAAAAGAAAAAAGAAAAUAUAUCUAUGUAAAAUUAAAUAAUAAACUGAGCAAAAGUACAUUUGUUUAAUUAACAUCUGAUCGGGGCAUUUUUGGUGUGAUUUCGUGCUGUGUAAGCCACAACUAAAAUCAAACAGCCCCUUAGCAUACUUCUUCCAUUUUAUCUGCUACUUUUGUGGAUCUUAUAGGGUGGGCAUGUGGACAGAAUUUAAAAGUUUUAAUAGUCUCAAAGAAUAAAAUAUGUUAAAGCUGAAGUUGAAAAAAUGGGUGUUGAUGAUUCAUCCUGAUUUGGAUAGAUUACGUGAAUAAAAUUGACAAUUUUGAUUUAAUUUUUGUUUAUUGUUAAUUUUCAGGCUAUCUUAAUUUCAAGAAUUUAGAAUAUUAAUUUGGUCAUGGAUUUCAAUCCGUGAGUAUCAUAUUCUAGACUUAAUGGUACCAUUCUUGAUUGAGGGCAACGACUCUCACUCCUCUUGUAAAAAAAUAUUUUCAACUAUUUUGAUGACUUAAAAAUUGAUAGAUUUAUUGUUGUCAUGACCAAAUUAUUCAUUUUAAUGAAAUAUAAUUAAUGCAUCAAAAUUAGCAGGUGUAUGUUCUAUCUUACUUUUUCAAUACUGCACCUUUUCAAUACUGUUUCUCUUGUAAUUUUCUUUUUCCUUUUUUCAAUGAAAAAAAAGGGAAGGUUUUUCCGAGUAAUCCAUUAUUUGAUUACCGUCAAUCAAGAAAACGACCAAAUUAAUUUCUCUCCAUGAGCUAGAAAAUUUUGUUAUUUGAAAAUAACAUCAUUAAUUAUAGAGUGGAUCAAACCGUGUUAUUGUCUUUCAUAAAAUUGAUGUCUUUUUAAGAGUCAAUACUUUUUAUUUACGCAAACCAGUCGACAUCAAUUUAAACUUCCAUAUUUUUAUUAUUAUUAUGUUAUUUAUUUUAUCAGCGGCUAUAUAUCAAGAAAGCGACAAAAUUUAUUUCUCAUGACUUCCAAAAACUAGAAAACAACAUCAUUAAUUGGGGUUGAUCAAACCGCAUUAUUAGUGUCACACUAUAUUUGUACAACCAAGUCAACAUCAAUUUUUUUAAAUUUUAUAAAUUAAGAAGAUCAUUUUGGCCUUACAGAGUCUGCGCUCUCACCAUUUGAUUUAGCCUUCGCCUCAACUUGAACUUCAUUAUUUUUUUGUAACCCUAAUUGACAUCAACUUUAACUUUAUUAUGUUAUUAUUUCAAUCCCCCAUUAUGCCUUUUUAAUCCUCCAUUAUACCUUUCUUAAAGUGCAAAUUUAAUUGCACAUCUAAAUAAAUUGAUUAUUGUUACUCCACCACCAAUAUUUUGAAAAGUCACUAGACCAUUCCUGCCUUUAGUUUCCCGUAAGUUUAACUAUUGAUUGUUUUUAGCAUCUUAAAAUAUACAUUUAUUCCUUGAUUAUGUGAUAAAAUUAUGAAAAUAUCCAUUUUAGCUUAAAUUAAUUGGAAUAACCAUGCGUAACAUAAAUUAAUAGAACAAAAUUAUCAAGUGUAUGUUCUAUCUUACUUUUUGAAGAAUUUAACAUAUAUAAUGCUAUACUAUUAAUAAAUUUAUCAUUUAAUAUAUAUGUUCAAAUAUUUUAUAUAUUUAUUAAUUGUUAUAUAGUCAAAGGAUGAAUGAUUUUUCAGGUCUACAUGAGUUGGUGCAUCUGCAAGACUCAAUUUUGACAACAAUGAUCUAAGGGGUAAUUUACCUUGCUGUUUGAAAAAUAUAACCUCUCUUCAUGAUUUACUUCCAAUCUACUUACUGUAAAUAUCUCCUCAUCUCCUCUAACUUAUAUGAUAACCCUUGAAGAUCUCACAUUUUCAAACGAUCAUAUUAGGGUUUUUAUUCUUAGCAUCAUCGUGUCAAUAAUAUAUGUUGCAGUAAGAUUUUUUCAGACCAAUUCCCUUCUUCAAAUAAUAAUGGAAAAGUAUUAAUUUAAAAAUAAAAUGAAUAUGCAUUGAUUAUAUCCUGAUUUUCAUCGAUUAUAGCGAGAGUUUCUCCAAAUCAACUCCCUUAUUCAAAUAAUACAGAAAAAAUAGUAAUUUAAUUGUAAAAAAAACAGGUGUUGAUUAUAUAUCCUAAGUUUCGUCGAUUAUGUGAUCAAAGCGGCAUUGCUGAUUUAUUUCUUUUUCAAUGUUGAUUUUUAGGUUAUAUAAAUUUCGAGGAUUUAAAAUCUUUGGUCAUGGAUUACACGCUUUUUAAUUUUUCUGCCAUUGACUGUCAUAUUCUAUACUUAAUGGUACCUUUCUUGAUCAAGGGUAAUUACUCUCUCUUCUCAUCUUAUAAAUUCCUCUUCCAUUAACGUCACUAGGAGUAUGUUGAUCUCUCAGACGUUAACUUGAGUGGAGAGUUUCCAAAUUGAUUGUUACAAAACAAAACAAAAACUAGACACACUUGAUCUGUCUAAUAAUUCUCAUUCGGUAAAAUUAAUUAAUUUUAGGGGAAUAUUCGGCCAACCUCUAUAAUUUCAUAGUGAUCAUUAAUUAAUUAAACGAUACAAAUAUCUAAAGUGAUUAGAUGUUUGCUGACAAUACAAGUUCAUGGCUUGAAAUUUGAUCUCUAUCGAUUGAUUUACAAAUGGAAGUACUUGUGCCUUUGUGGCGAUAAUUGAACCAGAGAUGUGAAGCUGUAAAGAUUUGGCAGUAGUAAAUUGUUAAUUAUAAAGACAUAAAGAAAAGUUCCCAUGAUUAUUAUUUUUCCAAAAACUUUUUUACAACAAAUUCAUCUCGCCAAAAAUUAUAUUUUGCUAACAAACAAUAAUUGAGUACUUGGCCGUAUUGACUUCACGUCUCCACCUGCUUUCUAAGUGAAAACAUGGAAAUGUGUAAUUUCCACAAAAUGCCAAACGUGUGGAAUUUAAUUUUUAGCCUUGUGGACUAAAAUGCAAAUGAAAGAAAAAGGGGAAAAAACAAAAAAGAGCCCAAAGACUUUUAAAACGUGUAGAAGUCUUUGGGCCCCAAAGACUUCUAAAACGUGUGGAAGUCUUUGGGCCUUUUUAUAAUGGUGGAUUUUUUUUUUUUUUUUUAAAUUGGAAACUUCAUUAAGAGGCAAAGAUUACAGAGAAGUCCCCAGUUCGAGUCGCAGGAAAGUCGCCUUUGUUGGGAGAACCUGUGCCUCUCGGUUCGAGUGGGGACUUCUAGUCUAGGUUGUGGUACGGACUUAAAGGUGUCUCCCACAGUUGGGGCCCUCCCCAGAAUACCUCGUGGUCAAAACAAAAAAAAAAAAAAAAAAAGAUUACAGAGAAGUAAAUAACCAAGGAGGUGGGACAUGACUCCACUCCUCAAAGCCUGACAAAGAACCCCCCACCCGAGCGGUAACAUGGGCGGCAGUGUUCAAAGACCUUCGAAUAAAAGAGAACUCAAUAUCUCCUAUAGACUUAGCUAAAGCUAGACAAUCAUCAAGAAUAAGACCAUACCCAUUCGGACAAGAAUAGCUUGCUGUGAGAGCUUUAAAAACCUGGAAGCAGUCCAUUUCUACUACAACACAAGACAAAUGCCGCUUCUUAAUCCAGCUGAGGAUCUCACGCACACCAAGCGCUUCAGCAUCCCUUGCACCAAAACUACCCAGGACAGAUGCACAGCAAGCUGCCACAAACAGCCCAUCAGAGUUGCGAAUGACCCCUCCAUAACUUACUUUUCCCUAAGCUGAAAAUGUUGCGGCAUCAACGUUACACUUAAGCCAACCUAACUGAGGAGGUGUCCAGCAAAUUGCCCCAUGACGGCCUUGGAAACAAGUAGCAUUAUUGACAUCAGAUUUCUGCCUCGCAAUUUGACAUUGAAACAAAUAAUUUCCAGCAGAGUUGAGGACAUGACGCACACUACAGACUUUGUUAUUCCAAACUUUGGAUUUUUUAAAAGAAAAAAAUAACAACACUUCUAUGGUUUGUUUUGAUAAUCAUAUUUACAUAUACUCUCUAAUUUUCAAAAUGGACAUAUAAUUUUUUUUUACAAAUAUAUAUUAUUCGUAUUUUUUAUUAUUUUUAUUAUCAUAUUUUUAUUUAUUAUAAAUGUUUAAAGUAAAUUUUUAGGUUGAAAUAUAAUAAAAGGGUAUAAUCGUUCUCUUAUUAAAGACACAUACUUUUAUUUUCUAUCCAUUUGUCAUCUCAAUCACUCUCAAUUAUUCUUUAUUGCUAGCUCAAAACGUGUUGCUGUUGCAAAUUAUAGCAAAAUGAAAAAUAUGGAAAAAAAAAAGGGAAGAAAAUUAAUGCAUGAAAGACUUGGAGAAAACAACCAAAUAAGUCAACUAUAAUCAAGCUGGGUGUAUAAAUUGUUUGAUGUGUCAUAAGCAAAUAGAGAGACGGACAGUGUGUGCGUUUUUUAAUAGUUAAAGAUAUAGAUAGAAUGGGUGGUUCAAAAUCAAAAUUGGUGAUAAUGUUUGUUCUGUUAUUAAUAAUAUUAGAAGGUGGGGGGAGUGAGAGAUGUUUGGAUCAAGAGAGAUUUGCUCUUUUGCGACUUAAACUUUUCUUUGAUGAUCCUUUUAAUUCGCUUCACCACUGGGUAGAUGAUGAGGGAGCUACUGAUUGUUGUCAAUGGGAAAGGGUUGAGUGCAGCAACACCACAGGUCGAGUGAUACAACUAGACCUUUCUUUCAUUGGGAAUUGGGAUUUGAAAGAGCGGUAUCUGAAUGCUUCUUUGUUUACUCCCUUUCAACAACUUGAGUCACUUUAUUUAAAAUACAACAAUAUAGCCGGUUGUGUUGAGAAUGAAGGUGCUUCGUUUAAUUUAAUUAAUUUACUUUCUCUCCCCUAAUUUAUGUUGAAUAUCAAGACCAAGCAAUUAUAUGCAUAUUCAUUCAGUUGACAAUUUUGACUAAUUUUUUUUAAAUGAUUAAUUUUGAAAUUACACGAGUACAAUUUUUAAAUGAUCUUUUUUUUUAUUUUACUUGCAGGUAUAGAGAGGCUAUCAAGAUUGAGCAACUUGAAGAUGCUUGAUUUAAGUGAAAACUUGUUCAACAAUAGCAUCUUAUCAUCUGUAGCUCAUCUUUCAUCAUUAACAUCAUUAUAUUUAUAUUCGAAUAGAUUGGAAGGAAGUAUUGAUGUUAAAGGUACAUAAUUAAAAUUUCAUCUCUUCUCCAAGCUCUUUCAUUAACUUGCUAAAAUAAGAUUCAAGGUUUUGAAUUCAAUUUUUUUUUAUGAUUAAUAUUGAAGAAAAAAAUAAUUUUAAGCAAUUCAUAAAUACAAGUUCUAAUGUUUCUCAUAAUUUUAUCUUGUACUUUUUCGUAUGUCUUGAAUUUAAGAUUAAAAAAAAACUCUAAUGGGGAACCAAACACAUCCACAACUUAUUAUUAUUAUUUUCUAAUUUUUCUGUGUGUUUUGAAACAUUCAACUCAAUUUGUACUUUUUACAGAAUUAGAUUCUUUGAGAGAUUUGGAGGAGCUAUACAUUGGUUGGAACAUGAUUGACAAAUUUGUGGUCCCAAAAGGUACUACAAAUACCAUUAAAAAAUUUAAAUUUUUACAAAUUAGGUAGAUUCUUUGCCAUUUGGUUCAUUAUUUUACAAAUUAGCUAGAUUCUCUGAAUUUAGACAAUGAAUUUUGAUUUUCUUAAAUCCUAUUAUAAUUACUAUUAAAAAACAGGUUACAGAGGUUUGAGGAAGUUGAAAAGCCUAGGUCUAUCGGGAGUUGGAAUUACAAAUGGAAGCAAGUUGUUACAGUCAAUGGGAUCAUUCCCAUCCCUCAACACUCUUCACCUUUCGUUUAAUGAAUUUACGGAAACAGUAACAACUACUACUCAAGGUAAGUAAAUGGUACAUAUGUCGCCAAAUUUAUAAAUAAACUGUUAAUUAAUUAAUUAAUUUUUUCGUAUUAUUAAGAAAGCUAAAUUCGUUGCUCCUUCCUUUUAAAUCUAAACAGAGUUGCACAAUUUCACCAACUUGGAAUAUUUGACAUUGGACUAUUCCUCUCUCCAUAUAAGCCUUCUGCAAAGCAUUGCAUCAUUCACUUCGUUAAAAAAUCUGUCGAUGUCUUAUUGUGAAGUCAAUGGCGUCCUAAGCGGUCAAGGUAAAAGAAAAGUGUUGAUUGUGAAUAAGCUGUUAAUUAAUUAAUGUUGUUGCUCCUUGCUUCUAAACAGAGUUGCGCAAUUUCACCAACUUGGAAUAUUUGAAUUGGACUCUUCUUCCUCGCUUGUCAAAUAUUGGACUCUUCCUCGCUUGCGCAAUUUCAUCAUUCACUUCUGCAAUUUCUUGAAGAAUGAAUUUAUUUAUUUAUUUAUUAUUGUUGUAGUUGUUGUUGUUGUUGAAGUGGGGUGGGCAAGCGUUCACUCAAUUAAUAUGUGGGGAAUUAAAUAUUAACAUCAACGUAGAAUUGUGGAAAAUUAAAGUAAAAUGAGAAAUAUGGAAUGAAAGGAAGAAAGUUAAGAGCAUGAAAGACUGGGAGAAGAAUAAAGACCACCAAAUAAGUCAACUGAAAACAAGCUGAGGCCUGGGUGUACAAAUUGUUAGAUGUGUUUAUUAUAAAUAACAUAGAGCCCUCUUGUUGGUUGCAGAGGCAGAGAGACAGAGAGUGUGCAUUUUAUUAAUUAAAAAUAUUUAUAGAAUGGGUGGUUGCAAAAUCCAAAAUGGUGAUAAUGUUAGUUUUGUUAGUAUUAAUAAUAUUAGAAGGGGGGUAGUGUGAGGGAUGUUUGGUGCAUGAGAGAUUUGCUCUUUCGAGACUUAAAACAUUUCUGCAAACCUCCUUAUAAUUUUCGUCACGAAUGACCGCUGUCAACACCACAGGCUGAGUGGUAUCUGAAUGCUUCUUGGUUUACUCCCUUUCAACAAUAUAGUCGGUAGUGUUGAGAAUGAAGGUGUUUCGUUUAAUUUAAUUAAUUUACUUUCUCCCUCCUAAUUUAAGUUGAAUAUCAAGACCGAGCAACUAUAUGCAUAUUCAUUUAGUUGACAAUUUUGACAUAUUUUUUUAAAUGAUUAAUUUUGAAAUUACACCAAACAGAUGCGAUCUCUGUUUUGAUUUUACUUGCAGGUCUAGAAAGAUUGGCCAACUUGAAGAUGCUUGAUUUAAGAGGAAACUUGUUCAAUAAUAGCAUCUUAUCAUCUCUAGCUCGUCUUUCAUCAUUAACAUCAUUAGAUUUAUCUUACAAUCGAUUGGAAGGAAGUAUUAAUGUUAAAGGUACGUAAUUAAAACGUCAUCUCUUCUCCCAACUCUUUCAUUAACAUGCUAAAAUAAGAUUCAAGGCUUUGAAUUCAAUUUUUUUAUGAGUAAUAUUAGAAAAAUAGUUUUAAGCAAUUCAUAAAUACAAUUUUCAAUGUUUCUCAUAAUUUCAUCUUGUACUUUUGUAUGUCUUGACUUUAAGAUAAAAAAAAAAAUUACUCUAACUAUGAAGCAAAUACCCCAUGACUAAUUUAUCAUUUUGUCCAGUUAAAAAUGAUAAAAUUUAUCAUUUUGUUUUUAUUGAUUAAUUAACUCUGUUUUAAGUCUUAAGUCUUGGCUUCUUGGCAUGUUUGCAGAAUUUGAUUCCUUGAGCAACUUAGAGGAGUUGGACAUGAGCGGCAAUGAAAUAGACAAUUUUGAGGUUCCUCAAGGUAAACUAUUAAAAUAUUAUUCAAUUACAUUAAUUUAAUUCGUUUGAUUAGGGAAGGCCCAAAAGGUACAGAAACAUAAUUGAAAAAAAAAAUAAAGAAACAGAGAAUUCAUAUUAUUUCAAAAAACAAAAGGUAAUACUAUUAUUUCAAAAAUAGAAUGUAAUAAAGAUUUGAUUUCGGUUCUUUAAUCUUUACAGCAAUUGAAAAACAAUGUUGCUCUAAAUAUGAAAUGACUCCAAAUUGAAUUAGUCAUUUAUUUCGUUUAGCUCUAAAUUUAGAAAAAAUGAAUUUUGAUUCUCUUCAAUUCUUUCAAAAUUAUUAUUAAUAAACAGGUUACAAAGGUUUGAGGAAGUUGAAAACUUUGUAUCUAUUGGGAGUUGGAAUUAGAGAUGGAAGCAAGUUGUUACAGUCAAUGGGAUCAUUCCCAUCCCUCAACAAUCUUGACCUCUCUUAUAAUAAUUUUACCGAUACAGUGACCACUACUCAAGGUAAGUAAAAGGUAUAGAUGUGGUCAAAUUCAUAAACAAACUCUUAAUUAAUUAAUUAAUUUUCCAUAUUAUUAAUAAAAGUGAAAUUUGUUGCUUCUUCCUUCUAAUUCUAAACAGAGUUGCACAAUUUCGCCAACUUGGAAUAUUUGACAUUGCACGGUUCCUCUCUCCACAUAAGCUUUCUGCAAAGCAUUGCAUUAAUGUUUCCUUCGUUAAAAAAUCUGUCGAUGCUUGAUUGUAAAGUAAAUGGUGUCGUACGUGGUCAAGGUAAAAGAAAAGUGUUGAUUGUGAACUCAUUGUUGUCCUACGUGUUCAACAUUUUAUUUAUUUAUUUUAUUGUUUAAUGUUUCUGCUAGGUUUUCCUCAUUUCAAGAGUUUGGAACAUUUGGACAUGGAUGACUUGCGCAUUGUACUCAACACCAGCUUUCUUCAAAUCAUCGGUGAAUCGAUGCCUUCUCUUAAGUACUUAUCACUGUCAUAUUCUAGUGCUAUCACUAACAGCAGUGGGAUUCUUCAAGGUUAAUAAGAUGCUCCCACCGUUCCCUCUUAAUCUAUAAUAUUAAUUUUUGAUUAAAUAUAUAAUUACAAAAACCAAUCACUUAUAAAAGAAUGCUAUGUAUUUGUUAAUUUUUUUAUUGUACUGAUGGAUAAAUUAAUAAAUUUUCAGGCCUCUGUUCGCUGGUGCAUCUGCAAGAGUUGCACAUGGCUGAUAAUGAAUUAAGAGGUAGCUUGCCUUGGUGCUUGGCAAAUAUGACAUCCCUCCGAAUAUUAGAUGUUUCUUCCAAUCAACUUACUGGAAGCAUCUCCUCAUCUCCCCUCUUUUACUUGACAUCCAUUGAAGAGCUGAGCCUUUCAAACAAUCACUUCCACAUCCCAAUUUCACUUGAACCACUUUUUAAUCACUCAAGACUCAAAAUUUUCUAUGCUGACAACAACCCAAUAAAUGCAAAAAUAACUAAGUCACAUACUUUGACCACCCCAAAAUUCCAACUAGCAUCUCUUUCAUUGUCUUCCAGUUAUGGAGAUGGUGUCACAUUCCCCAAAUUCCUUUACUAUCAACAUGACCUGGAGGAUGUUCAUUUCUCACGCAUACAAAUGAAUGGAGAAUUUCCAAAUUGGUUGUUGGAAAACAACACAAAAUUAAGACAACUUUCUCUCGUCAAUGAUUCUCUUGCAGGACCUUUUCGAUUGCCAAUUCAUUCACACAGGCAUUUAAGACUGUUGGAUGUCUCCAACAACAACUUCCAAGGCCACAUUCCAGUAGAAAUUGGAGAUAUUUUACCACGUUUAAUAUCCUUCAACAUUUCAAUGAAUGCUUUGGACGGUAGCAUUCCCUCUUCAUUUGGUAAUAUGAACCUUCUCCAAAUUCUGGACUUAUCCAACAACCAAUUGACUGGUGAAAUCCCCGAGCACUUGGCCAUGGGUUGCGUCAACUUGGAGUUUCUUGCAUUAUCAAACAACAGCUUAAAAGGUCAUAUGUUCUCCAGAAACUUUAACCUGAUAAACUUGAGAUGGUUACAAUUGGAAGGCAAUCACUUCGUAGGAGAGAUCCCACAAAGUUUGUCUAAAUGCUCCUCACUAGAAGGAUUGUAUCUUAAUAAUAACAGUCUCUCGGGUAAGAUUCCACGAUGGUUGGGUAAUCUCACAUGGUUAAUACAUAUUAUAAUGCCCAAGAAUCACCUUGAAGGUCCUAUUCCAGUGGAGUUUUGUCAUCUUUAUUCGCUUCAGAUUUUGGACAUUUCAGACAACAAUAUAUCUGGAAGUUUACCAUCUUGUUUCCAUCCUCUCUCUAUCACACAAGUUCACCUAUCGAAAAAUAUGUUACAUGGACAGCUAAAAGGAGGUACUUUCUUUAAUUGCUCUUCCCUUGUGACAUUAGAUCUUAGCUAUAACCUCUUGAAUGGCAGCAUUCCAGAUUGGAUUGAUGGGCUUUCUCAGUUAAGCCACCUUAUCUUAGGUAACAAUAAUCUUGAAGGUGAAGUGCCAGUUCAAUUGUGUGGAUUGAACCAACUACAAUUGUUAGAUCUUUCUAAUAAUAAUCUUCACGGUCUUAUUCCUCCUUGUUUUGAUAACACCAAACUUCAUGAAAGUUACAACAAUAGUUCUAGUCCUGAUGAGCAAUUUAAAAUAUUGUUUUCCAUCAAAGGCCAUCAGGGACAUGUAGAAAAGAAAAUCCAAGAAUUUUUUGAGUUCACAACAAAGAACAUUGCGUACAUUUUCCAAGGAAAAGUGCUUAGCCUCCUAUCAGGACUUGAUCUUUCUUGUAACAAGCUAAUCGGUCAUAUUCCUCCUCAAGUUGGAAAUUUGACAAGGAUUCAAACAUUGAAUCUAUCACACAACAACUUGACAGGAUUGAUCCCAUCAACAUUUUCAAACUUGAAGCAAAUCGAAAGUUUGGAUCUUUCCUACAACAAAUUGAAUGGGAAAAUCCCUCAUCAACUUGUGGAGUUAAAGGAAUUGGCUGUUUUCAGUGUGGCAUACAAUAACUUAUCAGGCGAAAUUCCAGAAUGGAAAGCACAAUUUGCAACCUUCAACGAGAAUAGCUAUGAGGGAAAUACUUUUCUUUGUGGACUGCCAUUACCCAUUUGUAGAUCACCAACAACUAUGUCGGAGGCUUCAAUCGAAAAUGAACGAGAUGAUAAUUUAAUUGACACGGACAGUUUUUUUAUCACAUUUACAACAUCGUACGUAAUUGUGAUAUUCGGAAUUGUUACUGUUUUAUAUGUAAAUUCUUAUUGGCGACAUAGAUGGUUUUACUUUGUUGAAAUGUGGAUAACUUCAUGUUACUAUUUUGUUGUAGACAAUCUUAUUCCAACAAGAUUUUGUCAUUGAAAUUAAUUAGUAGUUUAAUUACAAUUCUUUAAGUACUAAUCAAGUUUGCUUAGGAAAUAAAUUUAUUUUUAUUUUUAUUAAAAUUGUAGUAGUAUUUAGCAUUAUAUAGCUUCCAACUUCCAAGCACUUCACAUUUGUCUCUACACUUAAAAAGCUGAGUGAUCAUGUUUUACAGAUAUGGAUCUGGAGUAGGAUAGAUCCAAACACCAAACUCAUAUCUGUCCAUCAUAGCUUAUAGCUUCCCUAUACUGUGCAGCAUACUUAAAUAAGAGAAUCAUCUCCAAUGUUAAAAGCAGCCACUCUAUAACAUUCAUUUAGAAACUAUAUUCAGAAUAGUUUUAUAAUCAUACACAAGAAAUGAAACACCUAGAUGCACUUGAUCGCCUAUUUUACUCUGAAAAAGAACAAUUAUGGUGCUAUCAUCAUCUUCUCAAUUAGCAACAUUAACACUAAAUCCAGCGAUGGACCCAGACAUUUCAUCAAGAAAGGUAUAUAUCUAAUAAAGUUGAAGCUUGACAAAAAAUUCAGGAAGAUUAAUGCCUCGCCACAACAAGGGGCACAACAACAUCAAAGUAGAGAUAAAACAGUAUUCUCAAAGCUAAAACUCUCAAAUCCACCCACCAGAAUUUCAUAUCUCCUCAACAAUUUUAAAAACUAAAGGUAAUUAGGAUUUAACAUUAAUUUUUUAUAUAUUAGUUUCAUAAUUUACAAAUCAAUGAAGAUGAAGAUUAUGCUAAUGAAUUCAAAUUAUACCAUACAUUCUCUAGAUUUUACCAAAAAUUUCCAAGUCAAUCCCACAUAUUUCAUAAUUUUAAGACUGGAAAGUGUUAUGCCAAAACUCAGUAAAGAACUGACAAUGGCUCCCCAAGAUCCACUCAAGAAGGGUUCUUGUAUCUAAAACUAUUGUGAGCCCAAGCAAUCAAAGCAAGUCAAUGAAAGAAUUAAAAGAGGCAGAAAGAACAAUACACAGGAAAGCUUAUAGUGGUUCGGCUAUGGAAGCCUACAUCCACUGUGAAAGGGUGAAUCCAAGUUUGUAUUCAAUGAGUGUCUUACAGAGUACAAGCUUAUUAGAGAAGCUUAACCAUUCAUGAACAACAUGACAUAUUCCAGAAUACCCAGCUAUAUAUAUAAGCAAUGCUCGAUCAUCACCUGCAAGCUUCCCCUGUUAUCCGUGAAGAAGAACAGCAGCUUCCCGCGCUAAUUAACGGCUUAACAGACUCCUGAUAAGCCUCCCUCACACGUGUCUUCAUCUCUAUUAUCUUAAGUACUAAAACGACACUUCAAGCAGCCGUUUUGGUUAAGUGAAUCACGUGCAAACCACAAGCCUUCUUUGCGCACACAGACGACACAAUUUUCUUGUCAUAUAGCUAUCUCAGGACUGUCAACCAACGUGUAAUGGUGUUAACAAAUCUUCAACCGACUUGUCGCACUUGACUAUAAACUGAUUUGCAGUUCAUAUUCAACAUUCUCCACCUUGAGCUCAAAUCAUCCAUCCCUCAGGUUCACCCUUCCACUUCUUUCCUGCAGUCUAUAUCCUGCAGAUGCCAGCUGAGUUCAAACAGAACUCAAACUUGGCUCCUGGUACAGCUUUGGUAAGCAUGUCAGCAAUGUUGCUAUCAGUGUGUAUUUUAGCCAGCUUAAUCACACCCUUUGAUAUUUCCAAUCUGACAAAGUGAAGCUUGAUGUCAAUAUGCUUGGUUUUCUCGUGAUGUAUCUGGUUCUUACUCAGACAUAUAGCACUUUGGCUGUCACAGUGAAUUGUAAUUUGGUUUUGUUCAAAUCCCAGUUCUGUCACUAUCCCUCUGAGCCAGAUAGCUUCUUUGAUUGCCUCUGCAGCUGCUGUGUAUUUUGCCUCAGUUGUUGACAGAGCAACAACACUCUGCAGUGAAGCCUUCCAGUUUAUGGUGCAGCCAUUAAGCAUAAACAGAAAACCUGUUAAAGACCUUCUUUUAUCCAGAUCUCCAGCAUAAUCUGCAUCCACAUAACCCUCCACACUAACCUCUUCAUAUUUCUCAGCUCCAUAGAUCAGACCAUAACCAGUUGUACCAGCCAGGUAUCUUAAGAUCCAUACAACAGCCCUCCAAUGAUCUUUCCCUGGGUUUGCCAUGUACCUGCUUACCACACUCACUGCAUGAGAGAGAUCAGGCCUAGUCAGGACCAUUGCAUACAUUAAACAUCCAACAGCACUUGAGUAUGGAUAUUUAUUCAUUUCAGCCUUUUCAGUAUCAGAGUUUAGACACUGUUGGCAGGACAGUCUGAAAUGAGAGGGCAGUGGUGUCUGUACUGGUUUACAUUUAUCCAUAUUGAAUUUCUCAAGUACUUUCCUGAUGUAUUUGUGCUGUGUUAGGCUUAGGAUACCAUUCUUUCUGUCUCUCUUUAGCUGAACUCCAAGGAUCUUCUUUGCAGCACCCAGAUCCUUCAUCUCAAAUGUAUUGCUCAGCUGCUGUUUCAGUUCAUUGAUGAACUCCAUCUCCUUACAAGCUAUUAACAUAUCAUCUACAUAGAGUAGCAGGUAGAUCUUGUCACCACCUUCUAUGGUUUUAAAAUAGAUACAGCAGUCAAAACUGCUCCUUUGAAAACCAUGAUCUGACAUGAACCUGUCAAACCUUAGAUACCACAGUCUUGGAGACUGUUUUAAUCCAUAUAGUGACUUCCUUAGAUGACAUACAUGAUCAGUCUUUUCUGGAUCCUCAUACCUUUCAGGUUGUGACAUCACUAUCAUCUCAUCUAUUUCACCAUGCAAGAAGGGAGUCUUCACAUCCAUCUGUUCAAGAUGCAUGUCUUGUACAGCCACUAGAGAUAACAAGAUCCUCAGGGAGGCAUGUCUCACCACUGGGGAGAAAACUUUUGUAAAGUCCACCCCCUCUUUCUGAGUGAAGCCUUUUGCAACCAAUCUGGCUUUAUAUCUUUGUGGCUCAACAUCUGGUAUUCCCUCCUUAAUCCUGUAGAUCCAUUUGCACCCUACUACCUUCUUGUUUGCUGGUCUUUCAAUGAGAUUCCAGGUGUGAUUCUUUUUCAAAGACAUCAUUUCCUCAUCCAUGGCCUUGAUCCAUUCUUCUGCUUUAUCACUGUUAAUAGCUUCUGAGUAUGUUCUUGGUUCAUCUGUUGCUACUUCAUGUGCUGCUGUUAAUGCAAAUGCUAUUAGGUCUGCAUAUGCAUAUCUUCUAGGAGGUCUUAUUACUCUCUUUUCUCUGUCCCUUACUAACUGAUAAUCUCCACUUCUUCCCUGAUCACUUGCUGCUUCAAUCUCAGUGUCAUGCAUUUCCAUGUCUGCUAUGUCUCCAGCCUCUGAUCUUGGUUUCAGUUUCUAGUUUGAGUUUGACAGCUCCACCUCAAGAUAAGAUUUCUCAUCUUUUUCUUUCAUUUCUGCAUUUGUAGUUUUUAAGGAUGCUGAGUGUUGGAGCAUUUCAGCUUCAUUAAAAACUACAUCUCUGCUUAUGAUUGCUUUUGGUGGCUUCAUGUCUGUGCACCACAGUUUAUACCCUUUUACCCCUUCAGGGUAACCAAGAAAUACACACUUCAAUGCCCUAGGCUCUAAUUUGCCUUGUCUAAUGUGAGCAUAUGCUGGACAACCAAAUAUCUUCAAACUGGAGUAAUCUGCUGGUUCACCAUACCAAAGUUCAUAUGGUGUCUUGAAGUUAAUUCCAGUUGAAGGGCUUCUGUUCACAAUGUGACAAGCUGUUGACAGAGCCUCAGCCCACAAGGACAUAGGUAGCUUGGAGUGAAUGAGCAUACACCUCACUUUGUCAACUAAGGUUCUAUUCAUCCUCUCAGCUAAUCCAUUUUGCUGAGGUGUAUAUCUUACUGUUCUGUGCCUCAUGAUCCCAUGCUUGCUGCAAAACUCUUCAAACCUCUUGUUGCAGAAUUCUAAUCCAUUAUCAGUUCUGAGCUUCUUAACCUUCCUAUUGGUCUGAGUUUCAAUCAGUGUUUUCCAGUUCUUGAAAUGUUCAAACACUUCAUCUUUGUUCUUCAGCACAUACACCCAAACCAUUCUGGAAUGGUCAUCAAUUAGAGAUAGAAAAUACCUUGCCCCUCCUAAAGAUGUUGUUUGUGCAGGUCCCCACAGAUCAGCAUGUAUGUAUUCUAGAGUUCCUCUUGAAACAUGUGCACCUGUGCUGAAUUUGACUCUUGAUGAUUUGCCUAGGACACACUCCUCACAAAAUUUCAAGUACUCUAUUUUACCUUCACCCAAGACUCCCUGUUUUGAUAGUUCUCUCAAGCCUCUCUCACUCAUAUGGCCUAAUCUAAAGUGCCACAAUAAGGUUUUGUUUAGGUUCUGGUUUGAAACUCCAACAUCUCCUGUGACUUCAGACCCCUGGAGCACAUACAGGCCAUUGUCUAAGUUUCCUUUCAUCAACACCAUAGACCCUUUUAUCACCUUUAAAGUGCCUGACUCAAGCUUGAUUACACACCCCAUUCUGUCAAGCAUGCCAAGAGAAAUUAGGUUCCUCUUUAAAUCAGGGAUGUGUCAAGCAUUUGUUAAUUCUCUUAUUGUGCCAUCAAGCAUUUCCAGAAUACCCAGCUAUAUAUAUAAGCAAUGCUCGAUCAUCACCUGCAAGCUUCCCCUGUUAUUCGUGAAGAAGAACAGCAGCUUUCCGCGCUAAUUAACGGCCUAACAGACUCCUGAUAAGCCUCCCUCACACGUGUCUUCAUCUCUAUUAUCUUAAGUACUAAAACGACACUUCAAGCAGCCGUUUUGGUUAAGUGAAUCACGUGCAAACCACAAGCCUUCUUUGCGCACACAGACGACACAAUUUUCUUGUCAUAUAGCUAUCUCAGGACUGUCAACCGACGUGUAAUGGUGUUAACAAAUCUUCAACCGACUUGUCGCACUUGACUAUAAACUGAUUUGCAGUUCAUAUUCAACAGAAAGUUUCAUUAGUUAGAAGUUUCAUUACCUUCAAGUGGAAGAUGAAGAAGAACAUUAUGCAAGUGAUUCAGACUACAUCAUACAUACUCCAAAUGCAACUAGAAAUUAAGAAGUUCAUGCCCACAGAUUUCAAAACAUUAUGAUUGGAAAGUUUCACAAAUACAGACAAAUUUUAAAUUCAAUCUCUUACAUCAAGGUAGUUUGAUUGAUAUGAGUUACUUUCUGAUCAAACUACUAAUAUAACAUUCAAUUCAGGGAGAAAGUAAAUUAAAAUUGGGAAGAAAUGAUAGUAAAAAUUUGUUGCUAAACAUGAUGUGUAUUUGUUUUUUUUAGGCAAUUUGGAAACACAGUUGUUACUACAGAUAUUCUCCUCAACUUGGAGGUAAAUACAAAUAUUAAAAUGCAUAUGAUCACACAUAUUACUUGGAGCUUAGUAAGAUUUGAUUAAGAGAAGCAAUCAAACCGCAAUCAAAGCACUUAUCAAUUGCCGCAGUCGUUAUAUAAACUAAAAUGGCAAUAUAAUACAAGAAAAAGAACAUAUAGAUACUUGGCAAGAGUUCAUUAAGAAGUCGCAUCACAUUCGGGUGAGGAGUUUGCUUUUGAUAUCUUGCUAGCUGGGGCUUUUUCUUGUCUUUCUAUGUUUGCCGAGGGAAACCAACCAGCUUGGCCCUGGCAUUCACCUUCCGACCGUCCAGUAAGAGCCACCUUGAGAAGUUAUAACUAAAAAGGUGAAUUAAACAAAAGUUGACCGUUCAAAGACCUAAGGGGAAAACUAAUUCUUUUACGUAGGAGUGAAUUAGUUGUGAUUACUGAAAUUACAGCAUUAACCAUGAAAGCAUAACAAGAUAUAAAUUCAUAUAUCUAUAAAGGUAAACUGGGUGGUUUAGAAUUGAGCUAGCAACCCUACUAUAUUCUGAUUUGCACUUCAAUGUAAAAGGGAAUAUAUAGUAGGAAGAAAGAAAACCAACCAUUAUUUUUUAACUCAUUGUUUUUCAAUCAAAAUUUUAAGAACAAAAUGUCAUGUGCUUUGAACAUCAAAUAAGUAUAAGCAUUAGUUCUAAAUUCCACAUAUUAUAAGUUGUUAGAAGAAUAAGUUAAUAGCAUACUAGAAAAAUCUAUGUGUUGUUAUUUAGAGGGGAAAGUACCUGGCGAACCACAACAUAAUCAUCAAUUGAAAGACUUAGCUCCCCAUUUGCUUGAGCGUCAAAUGGAUUUAUAACUUGCAAGAUAAUGGGAUAAAUAGAACUUAAUCUUAAAAAAAACAUAACAAAAGCAGCAACAGUAGCAGCAGCGUUCAUUGUAACCACUAUGAUUAUGGCCAACAAAGAUAUAUUAGAAAAAAUUUCCAUUUUUACUACGACAUUAAUAUGUACUAUACGAUAUCAUGACGAUUGGGUUACCAAGAGCUAUCAAAGUUCAAUAAGUUCUGUAUAACUUUAUGUAGUUAUUUAAAUUAUGGAUCGGAUUUUAAAUUUGAAAUUUUGACUGCUCUCCACAAAACAUGGCCUAUGCAUAAGAAAGUCAUAGAUAAUGACGAUUACAAGUGUCCGACAUCUUUUGAGGGAUGGAUUUAACAUGACAGCUUAUGGUCAGUCAAUUUCCUCUGCCUAACAAUAUAAGCUUUCUCGGCCAGAUAUAUCAUCAAAUACAUAGAUUGCCCCCAAGUCACAUCCAUAUAAACAUAGUUUUUAUAGGUAAACCAAGUAAGGAGAAUCAUAAUUCAGACAUAAUCACAAAAAGGCCCAUCUAAAUUAAGAGAAAAUCUCAAAAAGAGGGAUGUUGAGCUAUCAGUCAUGUAUCUAUAAGCAAUAUCAAGACCUUACAUCACCUACUACAUCGUGAGUAUCUACACAACUUUCAGUGGUUUGUCUUUCUUUGGCAUGCCUAACUCAGCUUUGAUGUUGCUGAGAUAUUGAUGGUAGAGACACAUGAUACUUCUAGCUCAUGCAUUCUAUCUAGCUCAUCCGACAGCUUUCUCUUUUUUAAUUCAUUAGUGUUUGUUAAACCUCAUGCUUCAAAGUCUUGUUCUCUAAAACAAAGUUUCCUAAGAAUAACUUCCUCAGCACCACAUUUGGACACUUUUAGAGCAAUUUUAUUUUGUGGAAAAGAAUUUUCAAGGUGUUAACUAAUAAAUUUUAAAAAAUAAUUACAAUUUGUCCUACGAUCAUAUGAUAAUUUAUUUGGGAUGAAAGGAUACAGGCAGACAUCUUCCACUUUCAAGACUAAUCACUACUUCCGUAGAUGUUGUACAAUAAUACAAAUACUUGACCAGAUGGUAGUGAUAGAAGAAAAAAAUUUUAUUGCUCCAAAAUUAAAAUAAGGGUCAAUCUAUAAUGCCGUAACUAAAUUUACGACAUUGAUACCGUAAUGUACGUGGACCGUUAGAUUUGAAAAAAAAAUCUCUACCAUUAAUUCUAAAUAAAUAGGUAACCUGUUACCUAAGUAGCAGGUAAUUACUAUUUUUUGUUCAAGUUCCAUGUUACAUUUACCAAUUUUAUGUGUGAUUUACAAGUUUUAUGAAACUUUUACAAGUUUUAAGCAACAUUUACAAGUUUUAUGCAACAUUUACAAGUUUUUGUUUUAUUUACAAGUUCUUCUCACAAUUACAACUGUAACAUUAAUUUACCUAUUUUUCCAUUAAUUUAUUAGUUUUAUGUGUGGUUUACAUAUUUUAUGUUUUAUUUCACACUUAAUGUGAAUUUACUAGUUCUAUGUCAUUUUUCUAAGUUUUUGUUUUGUUUACAAAUUCUUCGUACAAAUUACAACUCCGGCAUUAAUUUACUCAUUUUUUCAUCAAUUUACUAGUUUUAUGUGUGAUUUACACAUUUUUUGUUUUAUUUCACAAUUAAUGUCAAUUUACUAGUUCUAUGUCAUUUUUAUAAGUUUUUGUUUUGUUUACAAGUUCUUCGUGCAAAUUACAAUUCCAACAUUAAUUUAUCAUUUUUUUCAUUAAUUUACUAGUUUUAUGUGUGAUUUACAUAUUUUUUGUUUUAUUUCACACUUAAUGUGAAUUUACAAGUUCUAUGUCAUUUUUCUAAGUUUUUGUCUUGUUUACAAGUUCUUCUUACAAUUUACAACUCGAAUAUUAAUUUACCAUUUUUUCCAUACAUUUACUAGUUUUAUGUGUGGUUUACAUAUUUUUUGUUUUAUUUCACACUUAAUGUGAAUUUACAAGUUCUAUGUCAUUUUUCUAAGUUUUUGUCUUGUUUACAAGUUCUUCUUACAAUUUACAACUCGAACAUUAAUUUACCAUUUUUUCCAAACAUUUACUAGUUUUAUGUGUGGUUUACAUAUUUUUUGUUUUAUUUCACACUUAAUGUGAAUUUACUAGUUCUAUGUCAUUUUUCUAAGUUUUUGUUUUGUUUACCAGGUUUUCGUACAAAUUACAACUCCAACAUUAAUUUACUCAUUUUUCCAUUAAUUUACUAGUUUUAUGUGUGAUUUACACAUUUUUUGUUUUAUUUCACAAUUAAUGUCAAUUUACUAGUUCUAUGUCAUUUUUAUAAGUUUUUGUUUUGUUUACAAGUUCUUCGUGCAAAUUACAAUUCAAACAUUAAUUUACCAUUUUUUUCAUUAAUUUACUAGUUUUAUGUGUGAUUUACACUUUUGUUUGUUUUAUUUCACACUUAAUGUGAAUUAACAAGUUCUAUGUCAUUUUUCUAAGUUUUUGUUUUGUUUACAAGUUCUUCGUACAAGUUACAACUCCAACAUUAAUUUACUCAUUUUUCCAUCAAAUUACUAGUUUUAUGUGUGAUUUACACAUUUUUUGUUUUAUUUCACAAUUAAUGUCAAUUUACUAGUUCUAUGUCAUUUUUAUAAGUUUUUGUUUUGUUUACAAGUUCUUCGUGCAAAUUACAAUUCCAACAUUAAUUUACCAUUUUUUAAUUAAUUUACUAGUUUUAUGUGUGAUUUACACUUUUGUUUGUUUUAUUUCACACUUAAUGUGAAUUAACUAGUUCUAUGUCAUUUUUCUAAGUUUUUGCUUUGUUUACAAGUUUUUCGUACAAAUUACAACUCCAACAUUAAUUUACUCAUUUUUCCAUCAAUUUACUAGUUUUAUGUGUGAUUUACACAUUUGUUGUUUUAUUUCACAAUUAAUGUCAAUUUACUAGUUCUAUGUCAUUUUUAUAAGUUUUUGCUUUGUUUACAAGUUCUUCGUGCAAAUUACAAUUCCAACAUUAAUUUACCAUUUUUUUAAGUAAUUUACUAGUUUUAUGUGUGAUUUACACAUUUUUUGUUUUAUUUCACACUUAAUGUCAAUUUACUAGUUCUAUGUCAUUUUUAUAAGUUUUUGUUUUGUUUACAAGUUCUUCGUGCAAAUUACAAUUCCAACAUUAAUUUACCAUUUGUUUAAGUAAUUUACUAGUUUUAUGUGUGAUUUACAUAUUUUUUGUUUUAUUUCACACUUAAUGUCACUUUACUAGUUCUAUGUCAUUUUUAUAAGUUUUUGUUUUGUUUACAAGUUCUUCGUGCAAAUUACAAUUCCAACAUUAAUUUACCAUUUUUUUCAUUAAUUUACUAGUUUUAUGUGUGAUUUACAUAUUUUUUGUUUUAUUUCACACUUAAUGUGAAUUUACAAGUUCUAUGUCAUUUUUCUAAAUUUUUGUCUUGUUUACAAGUUCUUCUUACAAUUUACAACUCGAACAUUAAUUUACCAUUUUUUCCAUACAUUUACUAGUUUUAUGUGUGGUUUACAUAUUUUUUGUUUUAUUUCACACUUAAUGUGAAUUUACAAGUUCUAUGUCAUUUUUCUAAGUUUUUGUCUUGUUUACAAGUUCUUCUUACAAUUUACAACUAGAACAUUAAUUUACCAUUUUUUCCAUACAUUUACUAGUUUUAUGUGUGGUUUACAUAUUUUUUGUUUUAUUUCACACUUAAUGUGAAUUUACAAGUUCUAUGUCAUUGUUCUAAGUUUUUGUCUUGUUUACAAGUUCUUCUUACAAUUUACAACUCGAACAUUACUUUACCAUUUUUUCCAAACAUUUACUAGUUUUAUGUGUGGUUUACAUAUUUUUUGUUUUAUUUCACACUUAAUGUGAAUUUACAAGUUCUAUGUCAUUGUUCUAAGUUUUUGUCUUGUUUACAAGUUCUUCUUACAAUUUACAACUCGAACAUUAAUUUACCAUUUUUUCCAAACAUUUACUAGUUGUAUGUGUGGUUUACAUAUCUUUUGUUUUAUUUGACACUUAAUGUGAAUUUACAAGUUCUAUGUCAUUGUUCUAAGUUUUUGUCUUGUUUACAAGUUCUUCUUACAAUUUACAACUCAAACAUUAAUUUACCAUUUUUUCCAAACAUUUACUAGUUUUAUGUGUGGUUUACAUAUCUUUUGUUUUAUUUCACACUUAAUGUGAAUUUACUAGUUCUAUGUCAUUUUUCUAAGUUUUUGUUUUGUUUACAAGUUUUUCGUACAAAUUACAACUCCAACAUUAAUUUACUCAUUUUUCCAUUAAUUUACUAGUUUUAUGUGUGAUUUACACAUUUUUUGUUUUAUUUCACACUUAAUGUCAAUUUACUAGUUCUAUGUCAUUUUUAUAAGUUUUUGUUUUGUUUACAAGUUCGUCGUGCAAAUUACAAUUCCAACAUUAAUUUACCAUUUUUUUCAUUAAUUUACUAGUUUUAUGUGUGAUUUACAUAUUUUUUGUUUUAUUUCACACUUAAUGUGAAUUUACAAGUUCUAUGUCAUUUUUUUAAGUUUUUGUCUUGUUUACAAGUUCUUCUUACAAUUUACAACUCGAACAUUAAUUUACCAUGUUUUCCAUACAUUUACUAGUUGUAUGUGUGGUUUACAUAUUUUUUGUUUUAUUUCACACUUAAUGUGAAUUUACAAGUUCUAUGUCAUUUUUCUAAGUUUUUGUCUUGUUUACAAGUUCUUCUUACAAUUUACAACUCGAACAUUACUUUACCAUUUUUUCCAAACAUUUACUAGUUGUAUGUGUGGUUUACAUAUCUUUUGUUUUAUUUCACACUUAAUGUGAAUUUACAAGUUCUAUGUCAUUGUUCUAAGUUUUUGUCUUGUUUACAAGUUCUUCUUACAAUUUACAACUCAAACAUUAAUUUACCAUUUUUUCCAAACAUUUACUAGUUUUAUGUGUGGUUUACAUAUCUUUUGUUUUAUUUCACACUUAAUGUGAAUUUACUAGUUCUAUGUCAUUUUUCUAAGUUUUUGUUUUGUUUACAAGUUUUUCGUACAAAUUACAACUCCAACAUUAAUUUACUCAUUUUUCCAUUAAUUUACUAGUUUUAUGUGUGAUUUACACAUUUUUUGUUUUAUUUCACACUUAAUGUCAAUUUACUAGUUCUAUGUCAUUUUUAUAAGUUUUUGUUUUGUUUACAAGUUCGUCGUGCAAAUUACAAUUCCAACAUUAAUUUACCAUUUUUUUCAUUAAUUUACUAGUUUUAUGUGUGAUUUACAUAUUUUUUGUUUUAUUUCACACUUAAUGUGAAUUUACAAGUUCUAUGUCAUUUUUUUAAGUUUUUGUCUUGUUUACAAGUUCUUCUUACAAUUUACAACUCGAACAUUAAUUUACCAUGUUUUCCAUACAUUUACUAGUUGUAUGUGUGGUUUACAUAUUUUUUGUUUUAUUUCACACUUAAUGUGAAUUUACAAGUUCUAUGUCAUUUUUCUAAGUUUUUAUCUUGUUUACAAGUUCUUCUUACAAUUUACAACUCGAACAUUACUUUACCAUUUUUUCCAUACAUUUACUAGUUUUAUGUGUGGUUUACAUAUUUUUUGUUUUCUUUCACACUUAAUGUGAAUUUACAAGUUCUAUGUCAUUGUUCUAAGUUUUUGUCUUGUUUACAAGUUCUUCUUACAAUUUAUAACUCGAACAUUAAUUUACCAUUUUUUCCAAACAUUUACUAGUUUUAUGUGUGGUUUACAUAUUUUUUGUUUUAUUUCACACUUAAUGUGAAUUUACUAGUUCUAUGUCAUUUUUCUAAGUUUUUGUUUUGUUUACAAGUUUUUCGUACAAAUUACAACUCCAACAUUAAUUUACUCAUUUUUCCAUUAAUUUACUAGUUUUAUGUGUGCUUUACACAUUUUUUGUUUUAUUUCACACUUAAUGUCAAUUUACUAGUUCUAUGUCAUUUUUAUAAGUUUUUGUUUUGUUUACAAGUUCGUCGUACAAAUUACAACUCCAACAUUAAUUUACUCAUUUUUCCAUUAAUUUACUAGUUUUAUGUGUGAUUUACACAUUUUUUGUUUUAUUUCACACUUAAUGUCAAUUUACUAGUUCUAUGUCAUUUUUAUAAGUUUUUGUCUUGUUUACAAGUUCGUCGUGCAAAUUACAAUUCCAACAUUAAUUUACCAUUUUUUUCAUUAAUUUACUAGUUUUAUGUGUGAUUUACAUAUUUUUUGUUUUAUUUCACACUUAAUGUGAAUUUACAAGUUCUAUGUCAUUUUCUUAAGUUUUUGUCUUGUUUACAAGUUCUUCUUACAAUUUACAACUCGAACAUUAAUUUACCAUGUUUUCCAUACAUUUACUAGUUGUAUGUGUGGUUUACAUAUUUUUUGUUUUAUUUCACACUUAAUGUGAAUUUACAAGUUCUAUGUCAUUUUUCUAAGUUUUUGUCUUGUUUACAAGUUCUUCUUACAAUUUACAACUCGAACAUUACUUUACCAUUUUUUCCAAACAUUUACUAGUUUUAUGUGUGGUUUACAUAUUUUUUGUUUUAUUUCACACUUAAUGUGAAUUUACAAGUUCUAUGUCAUUUUUCUAAGUUUUUGUCUUGUUUACAAGUUCUUCUUACAAUUUACAACUCGAACAUUACUUUACCAUUUUUUCCAUACAUUUACUAGUUUUAUGUGUGGUUUACAUAUUUUUUGUUUUCUUUCACACUUAAUGUGAAUUUACAAGUUCUAUGUCAUUGUUCUAAGUUUUUGUCUUGUUUACAAGUUCUUCUUACAAUUUAGAACUCGAACAUUAAUUUACCAUUUUUUCCAAACAUUUACUAGUUUUAUGUGUGGUUUACAUAUUUUUUGUUUUAUUUCACACUUAAUGUGAAUUUACUAGUUCUAUGUCAUUUUUCUAAGUUUUUGUUUUGUUUACAAGUUUUUCGUACAAAUUACAACUCCAACAUUAAUUUACUCAUUUUUCCAUUAAUUUACUAGUUUUAUGUGUGAUUUACACAUUUUUUGUUUUAUUUCACACUUAAUGUCAAUUUACUAGUUCUAUGUCAUUUUUAUAAGUUUUUGUUUUGUUUACAAGUUCGUCGUGCAAAUUACAAUUCCAACAUUAAUUUACCAUUUUUUUCAUUAAUUUACUAGUUUUAUGUGUGAUUUACAUAUUUUUUGUUUUAUUUCACACUUAAUGUGAAUUUACAAGUUCUAUGUCAUUUUGUUAAGUUUUUGUCUUGUUUACAAGUUCUUCUUACAAUUUACAACUCGAACAUUAAUUUACCAUGUUUUCCAUACAUUUACUAGUUGUAUGUGUGGUUUACAUAUUUUUUGUUUUAUUUCACACUUAAUGUGAAUUUACAAGUUCUAUGUCAUUUUUCUAAGUUUUUGUCUUGUUUACAAGUUCUUCUUACAAUUUACAACUCGAACAUUACUUUACCAUUUUUUCCAAACAUUUACUAGUUGUAUGUGUGGUUUACAUAUCUUUUGUUUUAUUUCACACUUAAUGUGAAUUUACAAGUUCUAUGUCAUUGUUCUAAGUUUUUGUCUUGUUUACAAGUUCUUCUUACAAUUUACAACUCAAACAUUAAUUUACCAUUUUUUCCAAACAUUUACUAGUUUUAUGUGUGGUUUACAUAUUUUUUGUUUUAUUUCACACUUAAUGUGAAUUUACUAGUUCUAUGUCAUUUUUCUAAGUUUUUGUUUUGUUUACAAGUUUUUCGUACAAAUUACAACUCCAACAUUAAUUUACUCAUUUUUCCAUUAAUUUACUAGUUUUAUGUGUGAUUUACACAUUUUUUGUUUUAUUUCACACUUAAUGUCAAUUUACUAGUUCUAUGUCAUUUUUAUAAGUUUUUGUUUUGUUUACAAGUUCGUCGUGCAAAUUACAAUUCCAACAUUAAUUUACCAUUUUUUUCAUUAAUUUACUAGUUUUAUGUGUGAUUUACAUAUUUUUUGUUUUAUUUCACACUUAAUGUGAAUUUACAAGUUCUAUGUCAUUUUGUUAAGUUUUUGUCUUGUUUACAAGUUCUUCUUACAAUUUACAACUCGAACAUUAAUUUACCAUGUUUUCCAUACAUUUACUAGUUGUAUGUGUGGUUUACAUAUUUUUUGUUUUAUUUCACACUUAAUGUGAAUUUACUAGUUCUUUGUCAUUUUUCUAAGUUUUUGUUUUGUUUACAAGUUCUUCGUGCAAAUUACAAUUCCAACAUUAAUUUACCAUUUUUUUCAUUAAUUUACUAGUUUUAUGUGUGAUUUACAUAUUUUUUAUUUUAUUUCACACUUAAUGUGAAUUUACAAGUUCUAUGUCAUUUUUCUAUGUUUUUGUCUUGUUUACAAGUUCUUCUUACAGUUUACAACUCGAACAUUAAUUUACCAUUUUUUCCAUACAUUUACUAGUUGUAUGUGUUGUUUACAUAUUUUUUGUUUUAUUUCACACUUAAUGUGAAUUUACUAGUUCUAUGUCAUUUUUCUAAGUUUUUGUUUUGUUACAAGUUUUUCAUACAAAUUACAACUCCAACAUUAAUUUACUACAUUUUCUAUCAAUUUACUAGUUUUUUUCUAUUUUUUAUUUUUUUUAAUUUUGUAGACCAAUUUACCACUGUAACGCUAAUUUACCCGUUUUACCUUCAAUGUACGAGUCAUACGUGUGGUUUAGAAAUUUUUUUUCUUAUUUCACAUUUAUUUGGAAUUUAGGUUAUUUAGUUUAAGUCAAUUGCCUCAACUUAAAUCCAACGUGAAAAUGGUUAAAGAGUUGGAUUAUUGACAUUUUAUGAUUUAGAUAGAAUGAUAUAAGGGUGGGCAUGAGUUGGGUUUGAUAGGGUUAGUGAAAUUCUAACAUGGUCUACUUUUUAAUGAGCUGAUAUAAAAUUCAUCCAAUUUAACUAAAUAAACUUGUUUAACUAAAUUCUACCCAAACCUUAUAUCGUCUGGUUAAGUUGAUUAGGUUGAAGCUCAAAUCAAAAUUUUAAAUUGAACAAUGAAAAUGAUAUUAAACUUAUUAAAAUCAAAUAUAAAUCUUUUAUAACAUGAAAUUUUCAUUCACUAUCUAGUGUACGUAAAGAAAGUUAAUAAAUUAACUAUCUUUAAAUUAAGAAAAUUUCCACAAAAAGCAUAUAGACUUUAUUUCUCUUGCAUCUCCUUUUCCAAUUCCAAAUUAAGACUUUUUAGAUAAUUAGCUAGCAUCAUAUACAAAAAUAAAAUGAAAGUGAUAUAUAAUUAUGUGCCGUUAAGUAUUCACUAAAAAAAUAAAAAAAAAUUAAAACCAACUUACUUUUAUAUUAAUCUUAUAAAAUAAUAAAUUUACUUAUAAGAGAGUGUGAUUUUGGUUUUGGAAUUGUAGUCUAAAGCAGCAGAUGCAAGAAUGAAAUAUCCUCUUGUAUUAAAAGAUUAAAAAGAAUAAAAAAUUAGAUAAACCAUUUAAGUCGUUAUAAUCUUGCAAUUGAGAAUUAACACAUUAUCAUUUUCCUUUUUCUUCUUCUUCUUCUUCUUCUUCUUCUUAUUAUUAUUAUUAUUAUAGAUUUGGUUGGGUUAGACUGGUUAAUUAUAAUUUAUCCAACCCAAACUAAUUAUUAAUUAGGUUUGAAAAAAACAGACCCAAUUAAACCACAAUAAUCUGCUCAUGGUGCAUUUACCAAUCAGUAAUCAUAACGGGCUACAAUCAGAAUCAAGAAUGUGAAUAAGAAUAAGUUAUUUAUUUGAGCUGUAGAAAUUGAAGUCGGAAUGAGAUUCAUUUCCAUCAAUGUGUUUAAUUUGUCUUGAAAUCGGAAUGAAUUAUCAUAAUUUCUUAAAUGCCCUUUGUUGAUUAUUGUCAAUUGGUGGUAAUAAUAAUCAUAAUAAUAAUAAUAAUAAUAAUAAUAAUCAUCAUCAUCAUAAUAUUUAUUAAAAUAGUAUUAUAAUUAUGAUUACUAAUUCAUUAUUGAUAUUAUUUAUUAAUUUCAUGAUUUUGUUUUAUGAUUAUUAUUUAUGAAAAUAUUAUUGUAAUCAAACUUUAUAAUAAUUAUUAUAAUAAUAAGUUAUUAUUAUUAUUAAUAUUUUAUUAUAUUAUUAUUUCGUAAAAAUAUUAUUAUAUUUAUAAUUUUAUUGUUAUUAUUAUUAAUAUGAAAUUAUUUCAUUAUUGUUUAUUAUAAUAUUAUAUUAAUUAUAAUUCAUUAUAAUUUAUUAAUCUUUCAUUAUUGUUCAUGUGCGUAGGAGUUAGAUUUGAGAUAAUGUUCUGAAAAUAACUCGGUUAAUGUUUGAAAUCUUGUUUAUAUUAGGUCUUAUUUUUCUAGCUAGGUUACUAUUAUGCUUGCAAUUUUAUUUUUCUAAAUAAUUAGAUUAUCAUCAUGCUAUCGCAGCAAGUUUGGACAGACAUGAUGGUUGCGUAAAACCUCAACUAUUUUUUAUUAUUGACUAGGCCUUGCUUGCUUCUUGUUUUUCAAUUUAGGCAGUGAUGGUAGUAAAAGCUUUUGGAGUUUUGGACAAUGAUGAUGGCAACUCACAGCUCACAAUGUCAGAACACAUUCAAUUUUACACAACAAUGAUAAGUAUUGACCAUGAGGCAGGAUACUGAAAAUUUGUUGUGUCCGUCAAUGGUAAAAUGAUUACAAUUGAGAUGGUGAUUACAAUUGAUUUUUUUUUAAUGAAACCAUAUGUUUUAAUUAUUUAUGCUUGUAUCCGUCAAUGGUAAAAUUAUUAUGGUAUAUUUGUGUUAGAAAUUAUAUUUAUUUCAUUUGUUGCUGUAACAACAUAAAUAUAAACUAUGCUGAUUAACUUGAAUAUUUCGUUUGGAGUCAAACAAUGAUAAAAACAAAAUAAUACAUAAAAAUUGGAGUGUUGUGGUUGAAAGCAAAUAAAGGCAAAGCUCACACACGGUACAACUGCAAUUAAAAGAAAAAGGCAAAGCAAAACGCACUGAUAUCAAACUUUAAUCACAUCUCGAAUUUACACAAUAAUCAAUAGCAGAUCCUAAAAAAUUCCAAAAGAAAAUCUUAAAACAAAUAGUCAACAAGAUAUUAGAAUCAUUAUAAAAAUAAAUAACCAAGAAUAAUACUAAUUUCAAAUAAAAUAUAUAGAAUGGUAGUAAAACAAAGAACUAUCGUUACUACUGCUCCCCAACAAAGAUGAUCCACUUUCCCACAAGAUGUUACUAAAGAGGAAAUUGUGAGCCACCUGGAGAAUAAAGGAAAACUUGCAUUAAACAUUGACUAUUUCCAGUCCACAUUCUGCUUAUACUCGGUACGCAAUUGCAAAUUGGAAAUUGUUUCUAAUUAAUUUUAUGUGAAACAACAAUUAUAAUUGCAAUAACUAAUAAAUAACUACUACAAAUCAUGAAAUGUAAUAGGAGCAAAAAAAAAGCAAGAAAGAAAUAGUUAAAGAGAACCUACUUUUAACAUGCUGCAAGCUUUUGGACUCUACUUUUUCUUCUUCAAAUUCUUUUGACCAUUAACUUUGUUCGUCACUUUGUUCGGUGGAAGAUUAUUCUUGUGCGAAUCAUAAAUUCUUCAGCCUUACAUCUGAUACUAUCUCUCACUUUAUUUGUAUCUCCGUUGACAAGGUGGAGUGCAAUGCGAUAUCUUUCUAUUGUUGAGUUAUACUAAAUAUAGUACGAGAAAAAAUAAAAAAGUGAGAAACAGAGUCAUCAUUCAUUUUAAAACUUUAAAUCAAUAUGAUAUAAAAUUAAUGUCACAUACAUGUUUUAUAGAUAAUAGAUCACAUUGCGUCUCCAUGAACUUGAUCACAAACAAACCGCAGUCAGUUCCAUUUGGUUGUACUGGGACAUUAUCUGGAUAUGAAAUUUUAAAACUAAAAAAAUCCCAACAUGAAUAAAAUUUUCCCAAAAAAUCAUCGAGGAAAACUUCAUUGAGUCCCUGUAACUGUGAUAAUGAUGAUAAUAGUCAGCAUACAUUUGCAUUUAUUGGUAAUAAUACAGGUGAAAUGCAAGCUUCACUUACAAUUGCUCUAACAAUUUCCUCUCGAUGUGAAUUCGAACUAUUACUAGGUAAAGAGUCCCAAAUUUCAACGGUUUGCGUUUUAACAAUCAACACCGCUAGAUACCAAUGUGCAGAGCCAUCAUUUAUAGGAACAUAGAUCUACAUGACAAAUGCAUAAUUUUUAAUAAUUACCAUUAAAUGUCUUAAACAAUGGCAUGAUUUAUUGUAAUUUUGCAUUUAAUUUCUUACCUUUUCACAUACUGCUAGUUCUGACAUGUAUUUAUCUCGAAUAUUAUGAUUUUUGACAAAAUCUUCGAUGCUUGAUUUCUUAUUGCAGGCCAUGUUUGCCACUAUUUUUUGCUGCAAAACUCAUAAAAUAAAUACAAAAUUAGUAUAUUAUCAACAUAUAGGGUCAACUGUCAAUAAAAAAAUUCACAGUAUAACAUUUACAACUUACCGAAAAGAUGGUGGGCAAAUACCAAAUACGCAUCUUUAGGCUCGUUUUUGCACGUUCUUUGUUUGUCAAGUAGUUGACGAAACAAUCUAUGACCUACGAAUAGAGCCAUUAAACAAGAAGACUUAAAUACUUAGAAAGAAAAUAAAUAAAUUGAAUGAUUAAACUAAAUAUAAAGAAGGUAUGCUUACUGUGUCAAUGAUCCAAGUAUUAGGAGCCAAAGAAAACAUCUCUUGGCGAGAGACGAAAAAACUAAUUCCAUCAACAAUAUGCUCACUAUAUUAAGAAUCCAAAAAUAUAAUUAAAACUAUAGCAGUGUUAAUGCAAAAAUAAUAACAUAUGGAAAGUGGGUCAUGAGAAAAUCUAAUUACUCCAUAGGCAAUUCUCCUUGAAAUAUAUAUUGCAGCAACUUCAUAUCUUCCUCUGAAAAUGAAUUUAGUAGAGUGAUUGAAUCAUGAAAAAAUUUUUGUUUGCUUCGUCUUUUGGGAAACUGAUUAUAAGGGGAUUUUUGGUAUGGACUAGGCUUUCGCUUUCGGGAGCGCAUAUCUUUAACCUCAAAUACACUAAGUUGGUUUGAUGAUUCCUCUUCAAUAGAACAAUCAUCAUUCGGGCCAUUAUCCUACAAAAAUUAUGAUUUAUAACUUAAUACUCAUCUAUGCACUAUUAUGUUUUACUUGUGCAAAAAAGAAGAUCACAGUUUAUUGCUAAAUACUUGUAUAGCUGCAUUGUAGAAAAUUUGCUUACGCUUUCCCUCAUUUAGGUCUGACUCACCCGUCAAAAUUCUCUCAUCAUGUUUCUCUUCAACAUUCUCCUCAUCCACUAAUUUCUUCUCAAGAAUAUCAUCUCCAUCUGGCCUUUCUUUGGCUCUCUUCAUUAGUUCCGCAAAAGUUAAAAUUUCAUGGCUUGAUUCAUCGUUCUUUUGUUGCUUUCGGGAAGGAGAAGUAAUUCCAACAGCAGCGCCAUUAUUCUCCUUUUUCUGCUCAACUUGCUUUUGUGUUAAGUUCUCUUUAAGGGUUUCCAUUACUUGUUGCAUUUGCUGCAUCCAGCUACCCAUUGAAUGCUUUAAACCAUCAAGCUCCAAUGCCAUACGGCCAAUAUCUUUUCGAACAAGUGAUAAUUCCUUCUGAUGUUGACAAUUAUGUAUGCAUUCUUCAUUCUUCCGACUUAUUCCAUCAAAUGUUUCAUGGGCCGUGUUUUGUUGAGGAUGGAUUUCUCGCAAAUUAACCUAAUAAAUACCACAUACUAUUAAAUACAUGUCAUUUCAAUAUGAUACGUUAAUAUUUAAUUAAUAAAAAGUAGAUGUCCUACCUUUGAGCUCCCAUAACCGCCAUUUUUCUUAACAAAACUCAAUAAGUUAGUUACAUCUCGAUUUGUCCAUGUUGUUAUUGGACUCAAAGAUUUAUCAAUAAAUUUUCGUGCAAAUGAUAUAGAAUCCAUGUAAAAAAGCUACAAUAUUAACAAAAUGAUCAAAACAAAGCAAAAACAAAAUAACACAAUAAAACUGAUGAAAUCAUUUUUAAAAAAAAUUACCUCCAAAAAUAGUACACAACCAUUAACAACUUUAUGUUGUCCUGCCUUGAACUUUUGUAUGCCCUCAACUAGCCCUUUAAAAGCCCACGUUGCCCAAUUUUUUUUAUUUAUGGCACUGGUGUCUUUCAAAAAAACCAAGUAAUACGGGGCUAAAUUCAACCCCGAUUUAGGAAAAAUAAUUGUAGCUAUAGCAAACAAAACAAAGCUUCUUUUAAAGUCAUCAUUCACCUCCCUUUGAUUCACCAAUUUUGACUCUAAAGUUUUCAGCUUAAUGUAUCCACUGUCAUCACAAUAUUCAUUCCUCAAUUUAUCUAUGUCAUCAAUAGCAAGAUCCACAUCAAUGUCGACUCCACCAUCUUUUAUUCCCAUAAUGUACUCAAAAUCUCGAGGCGACAGAUUGAUACUCUUACCAUGCAAAAAAAUACAUGAAGUAAAUGGAUCAAAAUUUUGAACCAACCAUGAACAUAAAUCUCGUUUCAGUCGACCACAUUUUAUGUGCAGAAGACUUUCAAAUCCUAACUCCACAACAACUUUUUUUUGAUUUUCUGACAAUUUUGCGACCAGUUUUGUAAAACGAUCUGGAGCGCAUCUAGUUUCCAUGGCUUUUUGAGUUCCCUUCACAAAAUCAUCUUCUUUGUCUUUAUUCUGUGCUAUAUCACUAUCAACCAUUCUAAAUUUAGCCUUUUCUUCUUCACUCAAAUUUUUUAAACAUUUCCCUAAUUUAAUUCUGUUCUAAAAAAUUAAAAAAAAAUAUGACAAUAAGUUAUUGCUUGUAACACAUCCCAAAUUUAAUGGAAAUUAAUUAUCGCACCUACACUCACCAUUUUUUUCCUUGUUCCCAUAAUAUUUUUGCUUCUUGCUUGCUGCAGUCAAUUAAAUAUUUUGAAAAAAAUAUAUAUAAUCAGUGCAUGUUAACAUUAUUAUGCUCGGCUUUACUAAAUAUUCAUAAAUUUACCAACAGUCAAACACAUAAUAUUUAAUGUAAGAAGACUUACAAAUACUCAAUGAAAGGCCGAUUUCUUCUUAAAUUUUCAUUUUCCUGGCUCACAUUAUCAUUCUCCUUGAAAUCAUUCUCAUUACCCUCAUCUACAUUUUCAGCCAUUUUCGAGUUUACAAGAACCUGUACAUGAAGAUUUAGCACAAAAAGAAAUGUCAAAUAUCACAAGUUUUGGAUCCUGUAAAACAACAGAAACUUUAACCCAAAAGCAGUAAUAAAUUUAUCCAGAAACAGCAAAAAAUGUAACUAAAAAACAGCAGUAAAUUUUACCCAAAAAUAAUAGAAAAUUUAACCCAAAUACAGCAGCAAAUGAAGCCCAAAACACCAAAAACAUUUACAUGUAAACAGCAAAAAAUUUAGCCAAAAAACAGUCGUAAAUUUAUCCAAACAGCAACAAAUUUACCCAGAAAUAGCAAAAAAUUUAACACAAAAAUAACAAUAAAUUUAUCCAGAAAUAGUGAAAAAUUUAACUGUAAAACAGCAGCAAAUUUACCUAGAAGCAACAGAAAAUUUAACCUAAAAAGAGUAGCAAAUGAAGCCCAAACACCAGAAAAAUUUACCUAAACACAGCAGAAAAUUUAACCCAAAAAUAGCAGUAUAUUUACACAGAAACAGCAAAAUAUUUAACCAAAAAACAGCAGCAAAUGAAGCCCAGAACACCAAAAAAACUUACCUGGAAACAGCAAAAAAUAUAACCCAAAAACAGCAGUAAAUUUAUCCAAAAACAGCAAACAAUUUAACUCAAACAAAAGCAGCCAAUUUACCCAAAAAUAGCAGAAAAUUUAACCUAAAAAUAGCUGCAAAUGAAGCCCAAAAUACCAGAAAAAUUUAACCAAAAACGGCAGCAAAUCAUCACAAAUGCAGCAGAAAAUUUAUUCAAAAACAGCAAAAAAUUUAAGUGAAAAACAGUAGUUUAUUUACCCAGAAACAGCAAAAUAUUUAACCCAAAACCAGCAGCAAAUGAAGCCCAAAACACCAAAAACAUUUACCUUAAAACGGCAGAAAAUAUAACCCAAAAACAGCAGUAAAUUUAUCAAAAAAUAGCAAAAAAAUAAACUAAAAACCAGCAGUCACCUUACCCAGAAACAGCAGAAAAUUAAAUCUAAAAAUAGCAGCAAAUGAAGCCCAAAACACCAAAAAAAUUUACCUUAAAACAGCAGAAAAUAUAACCCAAAAACAGCAGUAAAUUUAUCAAAAAACAACAAAAAAAUAAGCUGAAAAAUAGCAGCCACCUUACCCAGAAACAGCAGAAAAUUAAAUCUAAAAAUAGCAGCAAAUGAAGCUUUAUCAAUAGGAAAGUUUAAAAUAUUUUUUUUCUGAAGCCAAAGCAAGAAAUCUAUAAAGUCCUUGUGAUCUUCAACUUGAGAAUUGUUACUCAUCCUAUUCUCAUGUUCUUGAAUGACUACCUCAAGAAAAUUAUCAACUCCUUGGUCACUAAAUUUUUCUACUCUAACAUCACGAAAAGAAUAAUGAAUCCUUUUGUUACUUAAAAGUUGUACAACAAAUAAGAUUUGAACUUUUCUUAAGUACUCACCAUAAGGUGUCAUAGAGACAUCUACACAACCGUUUAAAAGUUUUACAAAUGGGGUUAAUUUUGGUUGAUUGCAAAGAUUACAUUUCUAACGAUCUCACAGGAUAGCUUGUCAAAGCGGAACUAGAUUAUCGUUACAAUAAAUUAAAAUGCAUUUAUGGUUUUAUGCAUUUUUGUCAUUUAUUGUGAAUAUUAUUUCAAAUUAUUUAUGCAUGGAUGUUUUAUUUUUCAGAAAAUGUCUUCCCUGAGCCCACUUACUAUUAUUCUGAGUCAAAACAAACUCACUGGAGAGAACUAUAUAGAUUGGAAAAGAAAUCUAUUCAUUGUCCUGACUGCUGAAAAUUAUAAAUAUGUCUUAACCCAGCCAUGCCCCCCAGUUCCAGCGGAUGAUGCUCAUAGAAAUCAGAGGAGGCUUUAUGAGAAAUGGCAAAAGGCCAAUGAAAUGGCAAAGUGCUACAUUUUAGCCUCGAUUUCUAAUAUUCUGCAGACCAAACAUCAGAACUUGGAGACUGCCACUGAAAUAAUGGAUAGUCUCCAACAGAUGUUCGGUCAGAGUACUCGCUCUGCGAGACAAGCAGCGCUGAAAGGAAUUAUGAACAGUAAAAUGGGGAAAGGCACAAGAGUUCGUGAUCAUGUCCUCAAAAUGAUGGACUAUUUGAAUGAGGCUGAGAUUCAGGGAGCACAAAUCGAUGAUAACUCAAAGAUUGACAUGGUGCUAGAAUCUCUGCCAGAAACAUUCAAGGAGUUUAAGGUCAAUUAUAACAUGAACAAAAGAAACAUGACCUUAACUGAAUUGAUGAACGAACUCCAUUCUGCUGAAGAGAUCUAUCGUGCUGAGAAAUCUCUGGGAAGCAUAAAUAUUACUGAAAAAAGUUCAUCUUCUGGGCCUAAACCGAAAGGCAAAGGUAAGAAGAAAGCUGGGAAAAAGAGACCGUCUACCAAGCAAGAUGGCAAGCCGAAAGGCAAAUGCUUCAAGUGUGGACAGAAAGGUCACUGGAAAAAGGAUUGCCCUAAGAUUGUGAAAUCAGGUAUGGGAAAUCUUUUUGUAAUUGAGGCCUGUUUAGUUCAAAAUCCUAUUGACACUUGGGUGUUGGAUUCAGGAGCAACUAAUCAUAUUUGUAAUUCACUUUAUUGGUUUCAGGAAACCAGGAAAAUAAGUGAAGGAAGCGUCAACCUGCAGUUAGGGACAGGACAGUUCGUGUCAGCAGUAAAGACUGGAUCUGUUUUAUUAUCUUUUAAUAAUAAGACUUUAGUUUUGAAUAAUUGUCUUUAUGUUCCAGACAUUAAGAGGAAUUUAAUUUCAGUAGCUUGUUUGUCAAAGCAAGGGUACACUGUAAAUUUUGGAUCCUCUGUUUCUAUUUUUCAUAAUAAGAGACUUAUUUGUUCUGGUACAUUGGAAGAUAAUUUAUAUCAUUUAAGUCCAAUGAUCCAUUCUAUGCAUGACACAGUGAUAAAUAAUGAUGAGCAUACACAUUUAUCUAAGAAAAGAAAUAUUUCUUCCAACCAAUGUUACCUCUGGCAUUUACGCUUGGGUCAUAUAAACCAAAAUAGGAUACAGAGAAUGAUCAAAGAUGGGCUCUUGGGUCCAUUAGAAAAUGAAUCAUUGCCACUCUGUGAAUCCUGUUUAGAAGGGAAAAUGACCAAAAGGCCAUUCUCGGCCAAAGGAGUACGUGCAACAGUACCACUUGAAUUGGUACAUACAGAUGUAUGUGGACCAAUCAAUGUACAAGCUCGAGGAGGUUAUGAGUAUUUCAUCACUUUUACUGAUGAUUACUCAAGAUACGGUUAUGUUUAUCUAAUGCGUCAUAAGUCUGAAGCUCUUGAGAAAUUCAAAGAGUAUAAGGCUGAGACAGAAAAGUAAUUAGAUAAGAACAUAAAGAAACUUCGAUCUGAUCGAGGUGGUAAAUUUCUCUCAGGAGAUUUCAAAGAGUAUCUGGUUGAAAAUGGGAUUAUAUCUCAAUUGACUGCCCCGGGAACACCACAACAAAAUGGGGUAGCUGAAAGAAGAAAUAGAACUCUUUUGGAUAUGAUGAGAUCUAUGCUUAGUUAUUCGUCAUUACCAAUCUCUUUUUGGGGACUAGCACUGGAAACUGCAGUUUACCUUUUGAACUUAGUUCCAUCUAAGUCAGUGCCUAAAACCCCAAUAGAAUUAUGGUCAGGUCGCAAACCAAGUUUACGACAUGUCCGUAUUUGGGGAUCACCAGCACAUGUGCUGAAACCAAAGGCAGACAAAAUGGAUUCACGUUCUGAGGUUUGUAUGUUUGUGGGGUAUCCCAAAGGAACAAGGGGAGGUUUAUUUUAUAGUCCUCAAGAUAGGAAAGUGAUCGUGAGCACACAUUUCACUUCCCUUGAGGAAGACUAUAUGAAUAACUUCAAACCUAAGAGUAAGGUAAUACUUGAAGAACUGUCAGGUGAUCAGGUUGAUGCUCAGCUUUCAAUGCCUAUUACAGAACAGGAAGAACAGCAACAACCAGAUGAUCAACACAGGAUUAACCCUGAACAACCAUCACUUUUAGAACCUCGUCGUAGUGGGAGGGUAACUAGGUUACCUGCGAGAUACAUGCUUUUGGGAGAAACCUAUACGGCUAUCUCAGAUGAACAUGUACAAGAUCCCACUAGUUACAACGAAGCUCUAAUAGAUAGAGAUGUUGAAUUUUGGAAAAAGGCCAUGAAUCAAGAAAUGGAAUCUAUGUAUUCCAAUCAAGUCUGGGAACUUGUAGAGGCACCAAAUGGGGUAAAACCUAUAGGAUGCAAGUGGAUCUACAAGAGAAAAAGAGGAGUAGACGGAAGGGUGGAAACAUUUAAAGCAAGAUUAGUAGCCAAAGGGUUUACUCAGAAAGAGGGAAUCGAUUAUGAGGAAACUUUUUCUCCGGUUGCUAUGCUUAAAUCCAUCAGGAUUCUGCUCUCCAUUGCUGCAGUGCUAGAUUAUGAAAUUUGGCAAAUGGAUGUCAAGACUGCCUUUCUCAACGGGCAUCUUGAAGAAAACAUCUACAUGCAGCAACCAGAUGGAUUUAUACAAAAAGGCCAACAACACAUGGUAUGUAAGUUGCAGAGAUCCAUUUAUGGAUUGAAGCAAGCAUCCCGGUCAUGGAACAUCAGAUUUGAUCAAGCGAUAAAAUCGUUUGGAUUCAUUCAGAACAUUGAUGAACCAUGUGUGGACAAGAAAAUUCAAGAAAAAUCUGUAGCCUUCCUAAUUCUUUAUGUAGACGAUAUUCUCCUAAUUGGAAACGAUAUAGGAGUACUGACUACAAUAAAGAGUUGGUUACCAAAACAAUUUGAUAUGAAAGACCUGGGAGAGGCAAGUUAUAUUCUUGGUAUCAAAUUACUACGAGACCGGAAGAAUAAAACUUUAGCCUUGUCUCAAGCGGUCUAUAUCGAUAAGAUAUUGGCUAGAUUUAGCAUGGAAAAUUCCAAGACUGGUUUAUUACCAUUCAGACAUGGAAUUACAUUCUCUAAGGAUCAAUCACCUAAAACAUCUGAAGAGAUAGAGAGAAUGAGACGAGUUCCCUGUGCAGAAGCUGUGGGAAGUCUUAUGUAUGCCAUGCUUUGCACUAGGCCAGACAUCUGUUUUGCGGUAGGGAUGGUUAGUAGAUAUCAAUCUAAUCCUGGACCUGAACACUGGACUGCGGUCAAGCAUAUAAUGAAGUAUCUGAAAAGAAAUAAAAAUUAUAUGCUUGUGUAUUCUGGUGUUGAACUCAUUCCAGUGGGUUAUACUGAUUCUGACUUUAUGUCAGAUAAGGAUUCUAGAAAAUCAACUUCCGGCUAUGUGUUUGCAUUGGGAAGUGGAGCUAUUAGUUAGAGGAGUGUGAAACAAUCUUGUAUCACAGACUCAACAACUGAAGCUGAAUAUGUGGCUGCAUCUGAAGCUGCAAAAGAAGCUGUAUGGCUCUGCAAGUUCCUACGAAAUCUUGAGGUGGUACCUGUUGUAACUGCACCCCUUAAACUAUUUUGUGAUAAUGGUGGUGCGGUAGCUCAAUCUAAGGAACCAAGGAACCACAAGAAACAAAACAUAUUGACAAGAAGUAUCAUCUUAUAAGGAAAUAGUGUAGAAAGGUUAUAUGACAGUACCCCAAAUGGCAUUAGAUGCUAAAUGGCAGAUCUUAUUACAAUGGCCAUUAGUGGGAAACCUUUAUAACUUGCACUUAGAGCCCUAGAGCAUGUGCAAUAUGCCAGAUAUGCUUUGAGAGCUAGUGGGAGAUUGUUGGGAAAAUAUGCUCUUUAAAAGCAUAUGUGUUUAUUUAAUUGUAAUAAACAAUUUUUCUGAUUAAUAAAAUAAAUGAGGUAUUUUAUUCAAAUAUCUUAAUUGCAUUAAUAUUUGUAUUAAAGUCCAUUUAAUCAUAUUAUAUGUAUUUAUGUGAUCACCAUGUGGAUUCACAGAAGACAUAAAUACAAGUUAUCUUAUGAUUAAAUAAAUUUAGUUCGCAGUUGAUAAAUAAAGUUGGGCACUUUAUUUAGGUAUAGACUGUAAUAAAUUCAUUGAAUGAUUUGUCUUAAUCAUGUAUGAAUUUAUUGAUGUAGUACGACUACAUUGAACAGGAUCACAUAUGAGAUUUAAUUAACUUUGUAAUAACUGUCAGACUUAUUAAAUCUCAUAGGCGUUGAUUUUACUGUAAUCUUAAUCUUGAGUUAAUUAUGAUUUCAUGAUUGUGAUUGUUAUUUCAUUUGAGUUACCAAUGGGCACGACACAUCCUUGUGGUCAAGAUUACCCGGUAUCUUGGUGGGAGCAAUUAUGAGUAUUGGAGUUAUGGAUUAACAAUAUAGAAUUUGUACAACACAUCUCUUGAUAGGUUUUCGGUACUUGAUCAUAGAAUUCUCUGGCCAGAGUGUGUCAACAUAUUUAGUAUGUUGAAAAUGAUCAUUAGAGAAAACCAGUAAGGAUCAAGGAAUAAGAUGUUAUUAAAUUGAUUGGACAGUUGAGAUAUCAAUUUAAUUAACGAUGUGGUACAAAGGAUUGUGCAGUAAAGAAAUCAAUGUGGCUUGGGACGAAUUAUUAUUCGAGCAUACAAUUAUGGAAGUCAGUUCUAAUCUUUUAGUGGAGUAGAUUUGGAAUUAAAUAAUUGGGCUAGUUUAAUUACAGGCCUAAUUAUUGUAGCCACUAUUGUAUGUUCCCAAAUGAUCCCCGGGUUAGCUCAUUUAAUUGACUGCACCACUACUGGACUAAUAAGUAAGAUAACUAGCUAUUUGGGUCAAAAGCCUAAAUAUAUCAUUUAGUGGGAGGCUCCAUUUAAUUAGCUUUUGUAUAAGGGGCCUUAUGUUAUUUUACAAGGUGGGUCCCCUAUUGAAAAAGCAAAUAAACGUGAGUUUUGUUUUUUGAUUAUUUGGAGCCCAGGGUUUUCACUAAAGGGUGAUAUAAAAGGCUUAUUUUUCCCUAAAGAAAAAAAGAGAAGCCAUUUUAUACAGAUCAGAGAAAAAGAUUUUUAUCUCCAUUGUUGAGAGAAAAAUUUUCUCGUGCUAGUUGCUUUGGUAGUGAUAAAGGCGCCCACACGUCAAGUGCAUAUCGAACCUGAGUCAUAACCUGGAAGAUCAUUGGAGACAGUUCGUGAUCUAACAAGCGUGGUGGUGACGGAUCGUGAUCUAACAGGAGUGGUGGUGGCGGAUCGUGAUCUAGGAGCCUAAAUCACUUCAACGGAAAAAGUCCAAUCGGAUUUUCAAGGUACGAUUUCUAGAAUACAAAUUCUUAUAUAUUAUAUGAGAGCGAUCUUCAAAAGGUUUUAUAAAAAUUUAAAAACCGAAUUUUUCCCCAACAUAAAUAUCCUUUGAAAAUAUUGCCAUCAGAUUUUGAAUUGGAGAACCUGAUUGAACUCAGCUUGCCUUGUAGUAAGGUUAAGCAAAUUUGGAAAAGAGAAAAGGUAUAAUGUAUUACUAUUACCAAAGUAUCUAUUUUUCUUUCUUUAAGUAUUUAUAAUGAAUAACUUUGAAAUUGAAUGAUGCUCAUUUAGUAUAGUUGUGUAUCUUUGGUUAUGGGAAGCUGUCAAGUUAAAAUCUAUAGAUCUUCACCACCCCCUGUAUCUCAAUAGGAUCCCAAAAAUACUAAAUCUUAAAAAAAUAAAUCUUUCAAAAUGUGAAAGCAUGCUUACGUUACCCGCGUAUAUCCACAAUUUCAACUAGCUCAGUAUGUUGUGUUUCAUGGGAUGCAAAAUUCAUUUUGUUUCUCAUGAAAGGAUUGACUUGUCCGGAUGUAUUAGGGUUAAUGAACCAACUAAUCCCAUAAUUUGUUGAUGUAGGGUCCUAACAAAUUAUUGCAGUAGAUUGUAGAUCAAUACACUAUUCGAAAACGUAUUUGAUCCACACAGUGAAUGUUUGAGGGUGCAUUUCUCGCGAACUAGCCAUACCCUAAACGAGGAGCCAGUCUCCUUGUAAUUGAGCAGACAGGUGAAGUCUGGUAGCAAAUAUCCAAGAGCAGGAAUUCUAUGCUCAAUCACAAGGACAUCCUCUUUUGGACUAUAAUUCGAACAUGGUUCCUACUAGGAGCCGAGAGCCUUUCCUGCUGGAGAUCGGGGUCGGCAGACCUAGUCUAUAACGGUUAACGAGACGUGCACUCCUAUUUGAGAAUCUAGGCACGAAACCAACUCAGCCGCAACUACGACAUUCAGGCAUCCACUUCCGUAAGCUGAGGGAGGUGAUGGACGUGGAUCGUGGGGCGUUGGAUUCGUAGGAAGGCUAUAAAACGGUAAUCAACGAAGGUAAAGGGGUUAGACACUUUUACACUAGAACUUAAGAAAUAAGAGCAUUUACUAAAAAAGGAGAGAAACACUCAUAGGUGUUCCACUGCCUAAGAGAUCAUGAGAGAGCCACGAGAUCAGUGGCCGAGUUUCCCAAAAAGUAAACUUAAAUUUUUGACUUGAGCGUAGGAGGAUUUUUCCUGCGUGCUCUGACCAGUUUUUGUGUGCGCAGGAGUCUGCUAAGUCAUACGAGGCAUAGCUCUGCUCGGUUAGAAGAGUUACGUGAAGUAUCCUAGGUUGGUCGUGAGUUCGGGAGUUGAGGAGAGAUCCUGGUUGCAGACGAGCAGACACCAGAAUCUCGCAUCAACAGUGAAGAUAGGGAUGGCAAAAGUCCGGGUCGGGUCCGGGUUUGGGGGUGCCCGAGACCGACCCGGAUUUCACACAUAACUGCCCGGACCCGGACCAUGCCCGGAUUUUUUCUAUGCGGGCCGGGUAUAUACCCGGCACUAUCCGGGCAUGGGUUUUUUCCAGGUUUUCUCUACCCGCAUUUUCAAAACUGACUAAAAAAAAAAAUUUGAUAAAAAAUGCUAAAUAAGUAAACAGGGCAGUGGAAAUUCACAAGGUUGAAAGCUUGCGCAAUUGGGCCUGAAAAUUCAUAACUUAUCCCCGAAUUAGCACUUAGCAGAAAACUCCCUUUCAAACUGUAAAGAGAUUUGAUGCCCAGGAAUCGAUUUGACGAAAGAAGAAAAAUGCCUUGGUCUUUUUGUUCUCUCUUCUUUUUCCACAGUGAAGAGGAAAGAAAAAUGCCCAGGAUUAUCUUGUGGACAGCAAAGUUGAUUUCAUGUGCUUUGUUGUCUUCUUAUUUUCAAAUCCCUUAGAAACAAAGUCAGAACCUGAAAUCACUAUCCUUAAACCUGCAAUUCCCUAUGUUGCAAGUCAUUUUCAGCUUCAUAGUUUUCGGUAUCAGCCUCCCUUUCCCCUUCUCCGUCAUCAUGGACGCUUCCAUUUUCUUCUUCCUCAUCUUCAUCUACUUCUACUUCAUCUUCCUCGUACUCCCCUUCUUCUAGUUCCUAGAUGUCAUCCAAGAAAAUAAUUAAGCAUGCUGCAUAUAUAUAUAUAACACCUAACAACAAUAAUGCCAAUUACUUAAUUUCUUCAUUUUUUUUUGAAAAAAACAGCCAAAAAAAAUUAAUAAUACCUCGUGGUCGUGGGUCGUGGCUGUGUUGGUGAAGUUGCAGCUGAACAAGAACAGCUGAUGCCGUCGCGUGGUGGCUGCUGCUGAGAAGAUGAACAAACGGUGAAGAGCCCUGUGACAGGACGGCUGUGCUUUGCGAGGAGAAAUAGAGUUGACUGAGGAAGGUAAGAGUUUCGGGGAGGGAGAGGCACGGUCAACACUGCAUCAGUGCCGGUGGGUGGUGGAGAGACGGAGAGAGGUGCCGCCGAUUUGGAGAUUUCUGGGUGGGUGCUGACUGCUGCAGUGCUGCAUUGUUCACUUGCAAAGUUGCAAUCGCGUUUUAGGGUUCAGUUUUGGGGGCAAUUAGGCAAAGCAAAUUUUAUUUUCGGUUUUAUAUUUUCCUUUUUUUUUUUACUUAAUAAAAAACCGGGCACAGGUCCGAGUUCCGGGUUCUUGGUGCUGUGACCGGACCCGUGCCCGGAAGCAUCCGGGCAUUGAAAAUCAAUGCCCGGAUUCGCUUUUUUCAUUCAUGCGGUCCGGGUAAAACCCAGACCGCACACACCGGGUCCGGGCCGGAUCCGGUCCGGACGGGUUUUUCUGCCACCUCUAAGUGAAGAUGAUUCAAUAUUAAGCAUGUCAUAUAAUCUAGAAGUGGAUAUUGGACCAAUUUGAUGAUGAAUUUCUUUCAAUCUCAAUCUUUUUCUUUUUAGCAACAUGACUAGUCAUUGUGCAAAUUUAAACUCUGACAAUGAUUUCUCAAUCGGUUUCUAAAAUGAUGACCAUGCAUGUAUAUGUGUGUGUGUAGAGAGAGAGAGAGAGAGAUCACACGUGUGUGAUUUCCUUUUGCCAAUAGGAUAUGCAGAGAGCUUGAUCUUACCCAAUAGCGAAACAAACUUCCUAAUAAGUGAAGGUAUAGUAUAAAUACUUAUACUUUCAUGUUAUUUUGUUCAUCAGUAGCUUGAUUAUUUUAUAUGCAUCUUCGAUUUUAAUUUUCUUUCCCUAUAAUCGCUAUUAUCUUUGAACUGGUCAUGAUUUGCCUAUAAGAUUUCUCAUGUUGUUUUGAGGUGCAAUGGAUUUUGAAUUUAGUGACGAGCAGUGGAAGCCAGAAGGCAAAUUAUGAAAAUGGAUAAAGAUCUAUAAUUAGCUGUUAUGGGAUGUCACAUAUCAUAUUGAUGGUAACAUUAUAUAUAUAUAUGUACAUAUAAUUAAUGGGGUUGGCUCACGAGCCCAUUAAUAAUCGUAUAUUAGCUUAUAUACUUCAAACAAUGUACUAUGAAGCAAUUUCACAAAUACUUGUUAGCUUAUGUUGAGCUUUAUUGAAUCAGUAGUUCACAGUUCAAUAAAAUGCAGGUUUAAUGUGACAGAGAGAUGUAGAUAACAGCCGCAAAACACUGAGAUUGAAAAUCAGGGCUACUAAAUUCUACUAAAAGCCCUUAAAAUAGACAGCGAUCACCCUGAAAUGUAUAUACUGAAACUAAGAAAUAUUAAUCGCAAAGUUAUGCAUUAAUAGAACUAUUGACUACUUAUCUUUAGCAUAAGGUAUAUUUUUAACUACAGCUUUAUGCUUUGUUUUAAGAACUAGGCAAAAAUGGUGUAUCUUCAAUCCAAUCAACAUGUAUACCACUUAUCUUCCUCUUCACUUCUGUCUAUUUUGAUUUGCACUUCAUAUCCUGCACUUGCUGCUUAGAAAUAGUCUUAUUCUGGACAUUGAAAGUAGAAAAAGUGCUUGAAACAAUCAUUGGCAUAGCCCGAGAUUCCAUUGAAUCGUGGACUCCAAGCUUUCAUAGUUCUAUAAAGAAAAUGACAAAACUUCAUACAAUUGGCAUUCUGCUUUUAACAUUUGCACAACCUGAGCGAGUUAGCAAGCCCCUUGUUGCGUUCCCAUUGAAUAGACCUACUUCUGUUAUCCACAGAAGAUCCACAACUCAAAAUGUUUAUCACCAGGCUAUUCUUAAACUGAGCCUAAACUGAGUAGAAACUUCCGCACAUCUCUCAGCAUUUACAUGAAGAAAUCGACAACUAUCCUCAUCUCUCAGCACAUCUCUCAGCAUUCUACAAAGUUGCAUUUCACUAAGCAAUCUAUCCUCUCCAUUCCUAGCAAAGUGACAUUGAUUCCCGUAUUUGUAAUCGCCUAACUUGGGUUUUGGGCAUAGCUUGGUCUUAAAAUUACCACCCAUUACUUUGUUCAGUGCCACUGGCAUCCACAAGCUCUAGCCCUGUUAGCUGAAUCAUAUUCAAUGGGACAGUGAGGCAGCAUUUCACUAACAUAUUCAAUUUGACUACUUAUAUUGACGCAAAUAUUAGAAUUUGAAAUCACUUCUUUUCUUGGAAUAUUAUAUUAAAAUGAACCCAAAUGAAAGUUCUUGAAUGGAAAUGAUUUUUAUUUAAUUUUCGAACAGAUUCAAGAAAACCCAGAGAACACAAAUUUUACACAGUAAUAUGAUUAAGAGCUGAGAACGUACAUGUAGUAAAUGUCUAUCAAAAAACACCCAAGGGUUUCUUUAAAAUUAGAAACUAGUAAACAAAAAGAAAGAAUCAUUUCACAUUUUUAGCAACUUUGGGGUGAGUGAGUGAGUGAGAAAUUGAAACCCUAAAGUGAUGACAAUAGUAAGAUUCAGUAUGAAGUGAAACCCCAAUUUGAAAUGUAGGCAUGAGUUGCUGAGUCAGUAGAUGAAGCUAUAAAUAGGCAUUCGGUUUCCUUCUUUUCGGUUUGGAGGGCCAUGGAAUAGUGUAUUGGAGUGGGCUCCAAGUAAUAGCCUCUAUCACUGGAACGACACAUCUGUAAAACGUGAUACAUGGGGAAGGAUUGGGCAUUAUAUUCUUAGAGUUAGAUUAGCGCCUUAUUUAGGGUGUAUAUUAAGCAGAUUAUACAUUACAUGGAGAUGGAGUUUAUGAAAUAGAUUAAAAAGAAAAGAAAAUUUCGGUGUCUAAAGUUUGCCACUUGGAAUAUUUCGGUGUCUAAAAAUUCACUCACCACUUAUGUCAUGUUUGAUUAUAUGUUGAAAAGAUAUUAAAAUAGUAUAAUGCUAUUAAGGCUUAACGUAUAUUUUUUAUUAGUAGAGUGUAGAAUUUUUAAGAAAUAAAUUAUUAAAUUAUUAUAACUAACAUAUUAUUUUAAAGUUGUGUUAUGAAAAAAAAAUAAAAUAAAAACAUACAGUAAAUAAGAAUAUUCUAAAACUUUUAUCUUUUUAAAAUUAGUUUUUAACAUAAGGUGAACUAUUUUUUUUUAAAUCACAUAUUCUAGUUAAAAUCAAAUAUGUAUUUAUAUGAAGCUUGUAAAUUUUUUUUUUAGUACUGAUAUUUGAAUAUUAUCAAUAAAAAAAAAAGGGUAAUGUUCAUGCUGCAUUAUUUUUGUAGCACACAAUAGGACAACACCGUUUAUGUUAUAAUACUAUCGCUUCUGUUAUGAUAAUAUUUUUUUGUGGCCAAAUAUCUUUUUUUUUUUUUUUAAGUAAAAGGGUGGACAAAAUACAAAUCAGUUUUUAAUCCUCAAUCUCUCCCAAAAUUUAAAUUCGUAGUUAACAAAACAAAAUUGUUGGAAAACCAUUAAGCUAGGUCCAUGGGUUGUUAAAACUAUAUAGCUGACAAAAAGUUACUAACAAAAACAGAAUGUCCAUUUUAUAACUUUCUUUAAAAACAUUCCUUAACUUUUUUAAAAAGUUACCAACAAAAAGUUAUUUCCAAUUUUUAUUUUGUUAUAAUUUUUAUAACAAAAUUCGUAGUUAACUAAACUCUUCUUAUUCCCUUUCUCAACUGCCAUACCCUAACCCACUAAACCACGCUCAAUUAAGGCCAUCAGAUUCUCCCGGGCCCACAUUAAUCCAACUGCUCACAGAGACCGACAGCCUCUCUAUCUCCGUUUCAAGCUCCCUCUUCAACUGGCUUCUGCUACCGUCCUACUGUUUCUCGGCUUCGGAGGCCGUAUUUGCUCGGCCGGUCCCACGAAGCUCCCUCUCACUCCAAUUGUCGCCCCACAAGACCAAUUGCUUAAUCAAGACACCGAACAAGAAGAGGAUGAGAAGUUGAAACAAGAAUUUGAGAUUGAAGUAAUUUGAGGAUAGACUGCCUAUCCUCUUUCUUUUCGGAAUUCAGUGCCUCAAUCUUGGGUUAAGGAUUUUAUGCGAAGUCAGGGAAAGAGAUUGAAGUUUCAGAUGAAUUUGUGUGCUAGCAUUGAUGGGAUCUUUAACAAUUUAUCUGUGCCCUUUAACAAAGUUAAGGCUAAGUCAGCUUCGUAUAUGGCUGCUGAUUUGGUUAGUGUUGGUGAUUCAUGGCUCAGUUUUGCAAUUAAGAUUGGUUCAAAUGCUUAUGUCACAAAUGGAAGGUAACAUCUUUAUCUUUGACCCGAUAAUUUUUAUUAUCUUUUUAAUUGCAAUGAGAAGAAAUGCCACUGUAGCAUGUAGUGAUGGCACUUAAUAAGUGAGUUGCUCGGAUGUGAACUAGAAAAAUUAAAUAUUGUCUCCUUGGGUAUGCUAGCUUGUAAGUCAGGGUUAAUAUCAGAGCUUAAGAUACUAUAACCGUGAGAAGCUAUUGACUGCCAAUUAAAAUAUCCAUUAAAAUGUCUAGGGAGUUAUGAAGGUGGAGGUAACUUCCAAUUUCUAAGGCCACAGAGUAGACAUCAUCCAGGAUCCUAGGAAAGUCCAGUUAACCUCCUGCUUGAUGCAAUUAAUAAAUUUGGUCAAUGCCACUGAAACCUGCUAACUGACGUCACAAUGUGACAUGAGCACUUCAAAAUGGGACAGACGGUCAGUAGCACUAAAUUUUUCUUGCCUAAGAUUGAGCAAUUGGUCUAACUACUAAUCCCUAUUGUAGGUUGAUCAUUAUUUUUUCAAUUAUGUUCAGUUUGACCCAAAAAGUUGCAGAAUCUUGAGCAGAAUAUUGUCACCGAACACUGUCAAUGUCGUUUAGCAUAGCCAACUAACUUGAUGUUAAAACAAGCACACAAUGUGUCUCAUGUCUCACAAAUCAAAUUAUCAUCUGUAAUGAUGGAGAAUUUUUCCAAUGUAUGAAGUAUGUUUUGAUACGUGGGUUACCUUGGAGAAGAUAUCUCAAAAUAAAGAAUAUGGGGAGAAAACAGUUCAGUAGUUUAUUAUUCUGUAGUCAAGUUUUGUCUUGAAAAUGGUCAAAAUUUAAAUGAAUAAGGACAGGGGAUCUUCAUUCUUUUUUCCCUUUUUUAUACCAAGAUAUCUCUCAACCUUUAUAUAAUCCCCACUGGAUAUCUGCUUCUAAUAAUUAAAAUAAAAAUUUCACCGCUCUAACAAUAAAAAGUAACAUCUUUAGUCAAAUAAUUUACAGUUCCUCAUCAUCUUAGUGUGAGACUAUCAGUACAUUCCAAAAACAUAAUAAAACUGGUUUGAUCCUGUUUAUUGAUGUUUAAAUGUUGUUCAUUGUGACAUGUAGAAAUGAUGAGGCAAAGUUUAUUUGGACAUCAAUUAGUAAGAUCUUGUUUGAAGUUGUUUUCUGAAAUGAACUGCCAAAUGGUAGUUUUUUGGGGACAUUUGAUGGCUCUUUUUUUUUCCUCAUUUUCAACAUGCGCCUGCUUGGAACAGGAAGAAUUAGGCUGCAGAGUUGUUAUAUAUUUUGAGAUGCUCUGGUCAUUGCACAAUUUGUUCACACUGGAAAUUAGAAUGAGAAAUUUGUUGAUGCUGUUUUGAGAGAUCUGCAUUCUAUGCACAAUAACAUGAUUAAUGAAAAUGCAUUGUAGGACUGGAAAGAUCUGUGGCAGCCUGAGCUCGCAAGAAGAAUUUCAAUGGUUAAUUCUCCCCGAGAGGUUAUUGGUUCAGUUUUGAAGUAUAGGGGAGCAUCAUACAAUUCAAAUGAUAUUGAUUCACAAGUUGCUGGUGGGAAGAUUGCUGUUCAGCAGAAUCUGGCAUUACUGGCAAACCAGGUACUCUUACAGAAAUGAUAUCUGGUCAUUGCAUGUUAUUGCCUGACAACUGAUUUUGUUUGUAAAAGUCUGCUUCUUCAUACAUAUGAAUGCAUAUGUUAGUGUUUUCUUCUCCUUUUCAUACAUAUAAAUGCAUAUGUUAGUGUUGUCUUUUCCUUUUCAUACAUAUUAAUACAUAUGUUGGUGUUCUCUCCUGAGAUGGAUGCAAUAAAGGCUUUUGCUCCUAAAUUUAGCUGAAGAAAUGGCAAGGGAUGUGAGAUUCUGUCUCUUUAAAUUAAAAAAAACCCAAAACAAUGAAAAUCCAUAAUAAUGUGGUGUGGAUAAAUUGGCUCCAUUUGGUUCGUUUCCUUAAUGUGAAUGCGCGAGCAAUAGAGACUAACAAAAUGAAGUGACAACAAGAAGUCAGUGUCCUUUGAUGGAUGCAUUUUUAGGCAGAAAUAUGUUUGUAAUUGACCAAAUUUGUCUGGCAUGCCAAUUUCAAAAAAAUUAAAUUAUGUGGUUAUUAGCGGUAAUGAAGGGGGAUAGUAGGUGCAAUCAGGUGGAUCCAGGAAAGUUCAACAAAGUUUUGGUAUGGCGUAGUGAAAUUGGUUUGUGCAACUCAGGAGUCUUUCAGGUGAACGAUGAUAGGUUUUGAUUUAUGAAUAUUAUAAAUAUACUGUGCAUAGUAUUCUAGUAGAAUCAUCUAUAAGUUCUAGUUAUUGAAAUUGUAUACUUUGCCCGGUUUGAGUUAAGGGCACAUGUAAUAUGAAAGAUAGUUGUCGCAUCUUUUAGGUUACCUAACAUUUGAUCAAUCCUAUUAUGGGGGCUUCAAGAUGUCUAACAAUAUGUAGAAUGCCCAUGCUCCUACCCAUUGUUUAUCUUCUACAAUAAUUUGUUUUAGAUGCUAAUAUCUUUGUCGAUACCGGUAACAAUAUUACAAUAUCAGCGUUUAUUGGGUUUUACAUAGGUUCGACUGGUUGACAGUACACACUAUCUGAAGGCAUUUGCAAUUGGAGAUGUAUGGGUUGCUGUUGGGUGGAUCAGUGAUGUUCUUCCUGCUGUCAAACAUAUGUCUAAUGUUGCUGUGUUGUUCCCAAGUCUGGUGCUAGCUGCCUGCCAUUCUACUUCGAUAUUCACAUUGUUAUCUCCUUCAUAUUAGCGAUCAGUAAACACGAUAAUGUGACUAAUAAGUUCGUAUUCUCUUUAUAGGCAAUCCCUGCUGCCUCAAGACUUGAAACAAAACAAAUUGGAGGGCGAGUCAGAGGUCCAUCUCCAUUAAUCCAUCAAUGGAUAGAAUUCUGCUUGCAAACAGCGAGAGCAUUGCCUUUCAAGCAAGAGGUUAUCCUGGGUGCAUCUCCCUCUGCCCUUGAAAGUACUCUGGUUAAGUUGCCUGAAGAACUUCUGGAGGGUAAACCAAGUCUGGAUACUAACUUAAUUGCUGGAGUACUCCCGGCUGAAAUUCUGGCCAGAUGUGAGUUUUUGGAGCCAUUAUCUGAAGCUACUUUGUCAGAUUAUGAGUGGCUGGUUGUUAAUCUGCAAAAACCUGCUCCUGUCUUGAUGAAAAGGGUGCAACAUUACUUGUCAUCAUUAAUCCAAAGCUUUCUAGCAAGAGCUACAUUGAAAAGUUAAUGGCGCUGCAUGCCAGUCAUUAUAAUGCUGUCAGGGCAAUUGGGUCAGGGCAAUUAGGUCUGAGCAUAACUUCAUUAGGAAAAGAGGCUUCAGCUACGUUAAAUAUUACAGGAUGUACUGAGAUGGCUGAAGUUCUUGAGGUUUUAUGAGAAAGAUGAGUGUUUGUUUGAACAAAGUUGUUGCCAAUCUUGCAGAGUUCGAAAACAAAGAUCACGGAGCGAAUGCCACCAAUUUCUUCAUCAUUUUAGCCUCCAUAGUUGAAGUUUCCUCAUUUGAAGCUGUUUAUGCAUAUGCUUUUUCCCUUCUCAAGUACAGGAAAUUGAAGAAUUAACCAGAUGUGAUAUGCUGAAAGAGGGAAGUUUUCUUCCUUGAAUGUGGCCUUUGUGAUUUGUCUUGAUGGAAUAGGGUGAUCACUGGCGAGAACCCAAUCAAGGUAGAUUUUAUGAUGUUAACAUAUUAUUAAGCAUUUUGUUGCAUCAGCAAUGAUGCUUUCAUAGAAUGAAAGUGUUUAAAUUUAACUGAAUGAUCUUGAUUGAUCAAUUAUGAGUUUUAAUCGAGUAAAAACUAAAUACAAUGAUCGUUAACAAAUAUUGAAAUUGGGUAAAUAUGAUCUUGAUAUUGAAGAAUUUGAAAUCACAACCCACACAGGAAAUCACCCUUCGCGUGGGGAUGGUGAUGUUUACUGCAGCGAUAUUGAAUAUGUCCGCUGCUCUUUGGGUUAUGGUGCGAGUGCGACUUGCGAUUUCAAGGUUGCCAUGAAACAAUGGAAAAGAUUAACAUGCCCUCCAAUGAAUGAAACUAUUAUGUUAUUAACAAUGCACAGUCCGAGUACUUUUCCAGGAUCAGAUACGAGGUGGUCUAAUGUUGAUAAUAAUAGAUUAUCAAAUGACAAAUCGUUGUUCUUGGGUGGUGAUUUCAGAAAUAAAAUACAUUCUGAGAGAUGCUGGUUUACUAUUGCAAGCCCCCAGAUUUAAGAAUCUUUUGAUGAUAAUUUAUCACCUGCAGCUGUGCCGGAAGAUUCAAGUAGCACUGAAAAAGAUGAUAAUUUAAUUGAUAUGGACAGUUUUCAUAUCACUUUUAAAUCAUCUUAUGUAAUUGUAAUGUUAGGAAGCAUUAGUGAUCUAAAAGUGAACUAUUAUUGGUGUAAUUGGUGGUUUUAUCUUGUUAAAAUAUGGAUGACUUCCUGUUACUAUUUUAUUAUAGACAAUCUUAUUCAAUUAACAUAUGGUUUAAAACCAUUAUGUUUUAUGUAAAUCAAUCUAUUAAUUUUCAUGAUACUUAACUGAGUUAAAACCAAGUGCACUCAAUAAAUGUCUUUUCCUUUAAAAAACUGCUACGCUUUGAUUUUAGUGCUUAAUAUUUCGUAACUACAGAUUAUCUAAUUGCGAGUUGCUGUCCAUAGCUACUAAUUUGUAGUGAUUAUCUAAUUGACGAAGGUGACAAUAAUUAUUUUAUUUUCAAUAGCACAACGUGGAAUUCAAUAAUUAAAUUCUCCUGUUUAAUUUGUUUUAAGUUAAAUUAUUAAUUACUUAAACUCUGUUUUAAGUCUUUAAUUUUCUGUGUUUAUGCAGAAUUGGAUUCUUGAGCGUGUUGGACAUGACCAACAAUGAAAUUGACGUAAACAAACAUUACAACGUGUGGACUCCGGUAGCUACCCCGCAAGUCUACAACUUUACAAAUAAUAAUUGAGUAAGCACCUUUGAUUUCUAGCCCCGUUGACUCCACCGACUAAAGUUUUGUAAAAUAAAAAAAAAAUGCAUAGAAUUCCACCAAAUGCAAAACGCGUGGAAUUUAAUUUUCGGCCGUGUGGAUCAAAACAUAAUUUAAUGAAAAAGGAAAAAAAAUGAUAAGAUUUUUAAAAUGUGUGGAAGGUGAUUCAUAUUUUACUGAAACAACUUGUUAAAUUUUUCAAGGAUUUAUAAUAUUUGGUCAUAAAUUACGUGCAUGUUAAUUUUUCCGCCAUUGACUAUCAUAUUCUAGACUUAAUGGUACCUUUCUUGAUGAAGGGUACUUAAUCUCUCUUCUCCUCUUAUAAAAAUUAUAUUAAUUGAUUUCUUAUUAUAGUUAAUAGUCUUCAAGAACGGAUAGAUUUAUUGUCUUCAUGACCAAAUUAUGCAUGCCUAACGUUGCAACUAUUAAUAAAAUUAAUAUUUAAUGUUUAUGUUAAAAUAUAUAAGAUUUUAUGCAUUCAUUAAUUGUUAUUAGCUAAAGGAUGAAUUAUUUUUUCCCAAUCAGUUGAUGCAUCUGCAAGAGUUUUUUUUUUCUUUUAUUGACCAUAAUUAUAUUCCGGGUACAAUAAAUUGUCUUUGGUGCUUGGAAGAUAUGACAUCUCUCUGUCAACUUACUGGAAAUAUCUCCUCAUCUACUCUCAUUUAUCUAAUAUCAAUUGAAGAUCUCAUAUUUCCAAACUAGGACCUCCAAAUCUCAUUAUCAUUUGAGCAUUCAAAACUAAUCAAGUGUGGAAAUAAUCAAAUAUAUGCAAAAAUCGAGUCACAAUCUUUGGCCCCUCAAAAUUCUAAUUAUAUAACUUCAUAUCUCAUACAUUUUCCAAAUUCCUCUUCCAUCAACAUCACUAGGAGUAUGUUCAUCUCUCACACAUUAACUUGAGUGGAGAGUUUCCAAAUUGAUUGUCAGAAAACAAUACAAAAGCUAGACACACUUGAUCUGUCUAAUAAUUCUCUUUCGGUAAAAUAAAUUAAUUUUAGGGUAAUAUUCAGCCAACCUCUGUAAUUUCAGAGUGAUCAUUAAUUAAUUAAUUAAACGAUACAAUAUCUAAAGUGAUUAGAUGUUUGCGGACAAUAUAAGUUCAUGGCUUGAAAUUUGAUCUCUAUCGAUUGGUUUACAGAUGGACGUACUUGUGCCUUUGUGGUGAUAAUUGAACCAGAGAUGUGAAGCUGUAAGGAUUUGGCAGUAGUAAAUUGUUAUAAAGGCAUAAAGACAACUAUUUUACAACAAAUUCAUCUCGCCAAAAAUUCUAUUUUGCUAACUAACAAUAAUUGAGCACUUGACCGCAUUGACUCCACGUCUCCAGCUACUUUCUAAGUAAAAACAUGGAAAUGUAAUCUCCACAAAAUGCCAAACGUGUGGAAUUUAAUUUUUGGCCUUGUGGACCAAAAUGCAAAUGAAAGAAAAAGAAGGAAAAAAACAAGGCCCAAAGACUUCUAAAAGAUGUAAAAGUCUUUGGGUUUUUUUAUAAUGGUGGAUUUUUUAAAAGAAAAAAAAUAACAACACUCCUAUGGUUUGUUUUGAUAAUCACAUUUACAUAUACUCUCUAAUUUUCAAAAUGGACACAUAAAUCUUUUUUUUUCCUACAAAUGUAUAUUAUUCGUAUUUUUUAUUAUUUUUAAUAUCAUAUUGUUAUUUAUUAUAAAUGUUUAAAGUAAAUUUUUAGGUUGAAAUAUAAUAAAAGGGUAUAAUCGUUCUCUUAUUAAACACCCAUACUUUUAGUUUCUAUCCAUUUGCCAUCUCAAUCUCUCUCAAUUAUUCAUUAUUGCUAGCUCAAAAUGCGUUGCUGUUGCAAAUUAUAGCAAAAAGACAAAUAUGGAAAAGAAAAAACGGUAGAAAAUUAGUGCAUGAAAGACUUGGAGAAAACAACGAAGUAAGUCAACUAUAAUCUAGCUGGGUGUAUAAAUUGCUUGAUGCUUUAUAAGCAAAUAACAUACAGAGACAGACAGUGUGUGUUCGUUUUUUCAUAGUUAAAGAUAUAGUUAGAAUGGGCGGUUCAAAAUCAAAAAUGGUGAUAAUGUUUGUUAUGUUAUUAAUAAUAUUUAAAAGUGGGUGGAGUGAGGGAUGUUUGGAUCACGAGAGAUUUGCUCUUUUGCGACUCAAACAUCUCUUCGAUGAUACUGGUAGUUAUCCUUACGACUGGGUAGAUGGUGAGGGAGCUAUUGAUUGUUGUCAGUGGGAAAGGGUUGAGUGCAGCAACACCACAGGCCGAGUGAUAGCGCUAGACCUUUUUGAAAUGUAUUCGGGAGAGUACAGCUGGUAUCUGAAUGCUUCUUUGUUUACUCCCUUCCAACAACUUGAGUCACUUGAUUUAACUGACAACAAAAUAGCCGGUUGUGUUGAGAAUGAAGGUGCUUCGUUUAAUUUAAUUAAUUUACUUUCUCCCCCCUAAUUUAAGUUGAAUAUCAAGACCGAGCAACUAUACGCAUAUUCAUUUAGUCGACAAUUUUGACUUUUUUUUAAGUGAUUAAUUAAUUUUAAAAUUACACCAAUAUCUAUGAUCUUUUUUUUUUUUUAAUUUUGCUUGCAGGUCUAGAGAGGCUAUCAAGAUUGAACAACUUGAAGAUGCUUAAUUUAAGUGAAAACUCGUUCAACAAUAGCAUUUUAUCAUCUCUAACUCAUCUUUCAUCAUUAAGAUCAUUAAAUUUAUUUUGGAAUAGAUUGGAAGGAAGUAUUGACUUUAAAGGUACAUAAUUAAAACUUCAUCCCUUCUCCAAGCUCUUUCAUUAACUUGCUAAAAUAAGACUCAAGGCUUUGAAUUCAAUUUUUUUUAUGAUUAGUAUUAAAAAAAACAGUUUUAAGCAAUUUAUAAAUACAAGUUUUAAUGGUUAUCGUAAUUUCAUCUUGUAAUUUCAUAUGUCUUGAAUUUAAGAUUAAAAAAAAACUCUAAUAGCGAACCAAACACCUCCACAACUUAUUAUUAUUAUUAUUAUUAUUAUUAUUUAUGGUGAGGUUGGAAACAUUCAACUUAAUUUGUACUUAUUACAGAAUUUGAUUCUUUGAGAGAUUUAGAGGAGCUAGACAUUGGCGCGAACAAGAUUGACAAAUUUGUGGUCUCAAAAGGUACUACAAAUACCACAAAAAAUGUAAACUUUUACAAAUUAACUGGAUUCUUUGCCAUUUGGUUUAUUAUUUUAUAGGUUUGAGUAAGUUGAAGUCUCUUGAUUUAAGUGGUAUCAAACUCAACCGUAGUAUCUUAUCUUCUCUAACUGUCUUUUCUUCAUUAAGAGAAUUACAUCUACGUGAUAUCGGAUUCAAAGGAACAUUUGAUGUUCGAGGUAAGCCUAAGCCUUGCUUUCUCAUUUUCUAUAUGCCAACUAGAUUUGUGUAUCAUCGACAUAAUUUAAUAUUUAAUUUGAUAAGUCUGAAGGAAUUACAUGCUAAUUUAAACAUACUUUUAUUUACUUUGUCAAUUAAUUAAUUAAUUAAUUACUAUUUGACAUUGGACGGUUCCUCUCUCCAUAUAAGCCUUCUGCAAAGCAUUGCAUCAUUCACUUCGUUAAAAAAUCUGUCGAUGUCUGAUUCUGAAGUCAAUGGUGUCCUACGUGGUCAAGGUAAAAGAAAAGUGUUGACUGUGAAUAAGCUGUUAAUUAAUUAAUGUUGUUGCUCCUUGCUUCUAAACAGAGUUGCGCAAUUUCACCAACUUGGAAUAUUUGAAUUGGAUUCUUCCUCGCUCCAUAUAAGCCUUCUACAAUUGCUUGAACAAUUUAUUUAUUUAUUUAUUUAUUAUUAUUGUUGUUGUUGUUGUUGUUGAAGUGGGGUGGGCAAGCGUUUACUCGGUUAAUAUGUGGGGAAUUAAAUAUUACAAUCCAAGGUAGAAUUGUGGAAAAUUAAAGUAAAAUGAGAAAUAUGGAAAGAAAGGAAGAAAGUUAAGGGCAUGAAAGACUAGGAGAAGACUAAAGACCACCAAAUAAGUCAACUGAAAACUAGCUGGGGCCUGGGUGUAAAAUUGUUAGAUGUGUUUGUUAUAAAUAACAUAGAGCCCUCUUGUUGGUUGCAGAGGCAGAGAGACAGAGAGUGUGCAUUUUGUUAAUUAAAAAUAUAAAUAUAUAAAAUGGGUGGUUCAAAAUCCAAAAUGGUGAUAAUGUUAGUUUUGUUAGUAUUAAUAAUAUUAUAAGGGAGGUGGCGUGAGGGAUGUUUGGUGCAUGAGAGAUUUGGUCUUUCGAGACUUAAAACAUUUCUUCAAUUCUCCUUCUAAUUUUUGUCACGACUGACCGUUGUCAAUGGGAUGGGGCUGGGUGCAGGGUUGAUUUACGUUAGAACAAUAUAGCCGGUAGUGUUGAGAAUGAAGGUGUUUCAUUUAAUUUAAUUAAUUUACUUUCUCCCUCCUAAUUUAAGUGGAAUAUCAAGACUGAACAAUUAUAUGCAUCUUCGUUCAGUUGACAAUUUUGACAUAUUUUUUUAAGUGAUUAAUUUUGAAAUUACACCAAACAUUAUUUGUGAUCUCUGUUUUGACUUUACUUGCAGGUCUAGAAAGAUUGAGCAACUUGACGAUACUUGAUUUAAGUCAUAACUUGUUCAAUAAUAGCAGCUUGUCAUUUGUUGCUCGUCUUUCAUCAUUAACAUCAUUAGAUUUAUCUUACAAUGGAUUGGAAGGAAGUAUUAAUAUUAAAGGUACGUAAUUAAAACGCCAUCGCUUCUCCCAACUCUUUCAUUAACAUGCUAAAAUAAGAUUCAAGGCUUUGAAUUCAAUUUUUUUUAUGAGUAAUAUUAGAAAAAUAGUUUUAAGCAAUUCAUAAAUACAAUUUUCAAUGUUUCUCAUAAUUUCAUCUUGUACUUUUGUAUGUCUUGACUUUAAGAUUAAAAAAAAAAAUUACUCUAAAUGUGAAGCAAAUACCCCAUGACUAAUUUACAAUUUUGUCCAAUUAAAAAUGAUAAAAUUUAUCAUUUGUUUACAUUGAUUUAUUAACUCUAUUUUAAGUCUUAAGUCUUGGCGUCUUGGCAUGUUUGCAGAAUUUGAUUCCUUGAGCAACUUAGAGGAGUUGGACAUGCGCGGUAAUGAAAUAGACAAUUUCGAGGUUCCUCAAGGUACACAAUUAAAAUAUUAUUUAAUUACAAUAAUUUAAUUCGUUUGAUUAGGGAAGGCCCAAAAUGUACAAAAACAUAAUUAAAAAAAAAUAAAGAAACAGAGAAUUCAUAUUAUUUCAAAAAACAAAAGGUAAUACUAUUAUUUCAAAAAAAGAAUGUAAUAAAGAUUUGAUUCCGGUUCUUUAAUCUUUAUAGCAAUUGAAAAACAAUGUUGCUCUUUUCCUAAAGCAUAAAAUAUGAAAUGAGUCAUAAUUGAAUUAGUCAUUUAUUUUGUUUAGAUAUAAAUUUAGACAAUAAAUUUUCAUUUUUUUUUCAAUCCUAUCCUUAUUAUUAUUAUUAAACAGGUUACAGAGGUUUGAGGAAGUUGAAAAGCCUCUAUCUAUCGAACGUUAAAAUUAGAGAUGGAAGCAAGUUGUUACAGUCAAUGGGAUCACUCCCAUCCCUCAACACUCUUUACCUGAAGCAUAAUAAUUUUACCGGUACAGCGACAACUACUACUCAAGGUAAGUAAAAGGUACAGAUGUGGCCAAAAUUAUAAACAAACUGUUAAUUAAUUAAUUUUUCCGUAUUAUUAAUUAAGCUAAAUUUGUUGCUCCUUCCUUCUAAAUCUACACAGAGUUGCACAAUUUCACCAACUUGGAAUAUUCGACAUUGUCCGGUUCCUCUCUCCAUAUAAGCCUUCUGCAAAGCAUUGCAUCAUUAUUCCCUUCAUUAAAAAAUCUGUCGAUGUCUUAUUGUGAAGUCAAUGGUGUCGUACGCGGUCAAGGUAAAAGAAAAGCGUUGAUUGUGAACUCACUCAAUGGUGUCCUGCGUGUUCAACAUUUUUGUUUAUUUAUUUUAUUGUUUAAUGUUUCUGCUAGGUUUUCCCCAUUUCAAGAGUUUGGAACAUUUGAACAUGGAACGCGCGCGCAUUGCACCCAACACCAGCUUUCUUCAAAUCAUCGGUGAAUCGACGCCUUCUCUUAAGUACUUAUCACUGUCAGAUUUUACUCUCAGCACUAACAGCAGCAGGAUUCUUGAUCGAGGUUAAUCAGAUGCUCCCACCCUCCCUUCUUAAUCUAUAAUAUUAAUUUUCAAUUAAAUAUUUAAUUACACAAAUGAAUCACUUAUUAUAAAAGAAUAAUACGCAUUCAUUAAUUUCUAUAUUGAAUUAAUUGAUGAAUUUAAUAAAUUUUCAGGCCUCUGUUCGUUGAUGCAUCUGCAAGAGUUGUACAAGGUUAAUAAUGAUUUAAGAGGUAGCUUGCCUUGGUGCGUGGCAAAUAUGACAUCCCUCAGGAUAUUAGAUGUUUCUUCCAAUCAACUUACUGGAAGCAUCGCUUCAUCUCCCCUCGCUCAUUUGACAUCCAUUGAGGAGUUGCAUCUUUCAGACAAUCACUUCCGGAUCCCAAUUUCACUUGAACCACUUUUCAAUCACUCAAGACUCAAGAUUUUCGAUGCUGAAAACAACGAACUUAAUGCAGAAAUAACUGAGUCAUAUUCUUUGACCACCCCAAACUUCCAAUUACAAUAUCUCUUGUUGUCUUCCGGUUAUGGAGAUGGUGCCACAUUCCCCAAAUUCCUUUACCAUCAACAUGACUUGGAGUAUGUUGAUCUCUCACACACAAAGAUGAAUGGAGAAUUUCCAAAUUGGUUGUUGGAAAACAACACAAAAUUAAAAACUCUUUUUCUGGUUAAUGAUUCUCUUGCAGGACCUUUCCGUUUGCCAAUUCAUUCACACAAGCGGUUAAGACAGUUAGAUGUCUCCAACAACAACUUCCAAGGCCACAUUCCAUUAGAAAUUGGAGAUAUUUUACCAAAUUUAAUAUCCUUCAACAUUUCAAUGAAUGCUUUAGACGGUAGCAUUCCCUCUUCAUUUGGUAAUAUAAACUUACUCAAAAUUCUGGACUUAUCCAACAACCAAUUGACUGGUGAAAUCCCUGAGCACUUGGCCGUCGGUUGCGUCUACUUGGAUUUUCUUGCGUUAUCAAACAACAGCUUAGAAGGUCAUAUGUUCUCUAGAAACUUUAACCUAAAAAACUUGAAAUGGUUACAAUUGGAAGGCAAUCGCUUCGUAGGUGAGAUCCCACAAAGUUUGUCUAAAUGCUCCUCACUAAAAGGAUUGUACCUUAACAAUAAUAGUCUUUCGGGUAAGAUUCCACGAUGGUUGGGUAAUCUCACAUGGUUACAAUAUAUUAUAAUGCCCAAUAAUCAUCUUGAAGGUCCUAUUCCAGUGGAGUUUUGUCAACUUUAUUCGCUUCAGAUUUUGGACAUUUCAAACAACAACAUAUCUGAAAGUUUACCAUCUUCUUUCCAUCCUCGCUUUAUCAAACAAGUUCACCUAUCGAAAAAUAUGUUACAUGGACAACUAAACAGAGGUACAUUCUUUAAUUGCUCUUCCCUUGUGACAUUAGAUCUUAGCUAUAACUGCUUGAAUGGCAGCAUUCCGGAUUGGGUUGAUGGGCUUUCUUAGUUAAGCCACCUUAUCUUAGGUCACAAUAAUCUUGAAGGUGAAGUGCCAGUUCAAUUGUGCGAACUGAACCGAUUGCAAUUGUUAGAUCUUUCUAAUAAUAAUCUUCACGGUCCUAUUCCUCCUUGCUUUGAUAACACCACACUUCAUGAAAGUUACAGCAAUAGUUAUAGUCUUGAUGAGCAAUUUGAAAUAUUUGUUUCCAUCGAAGGCUCUUGGGGAUCGGUAGAAAAGUAAAUCCAUGAAAUUUUUGAGUUCACAAUAAAGAACAUUGCGUACAUUUACCAAGGAAAAGUUCUUAGCCUCCUAUCAGGACUUGAUCUUUCUUGCAACAAGCUAAUCGGUCAUAUUCCUCCUCAAAUUGGAAAUUUGACAAGGAUUCAAACAUUGAAUCUAUCACACAACAACUUGACAGGAUUGAUCCCAUCAACAUUUUCAAACUUGAAGCAUAUCGAAAGUUUGGAUCUUUCCUACAACAAAUUGAAUGGGAAAAUCCCUCAUCAACUUGUGGAGUUAAAGACAUUGGAGGUUUUCAGUUUGGCAUUCAAUAACUUAUCAGGCGAAAUUCCAGAAUGGAAAGCACAAUUUGCAACCUUCAACGAGAGUAGCUAUGAGGGAAAUACUUUUCUUUGUGGAUUGCCAUUGCCCAUUUGCAGAUCACCAGCAACUACGCCGGAGGCUUCAAUUGGCAAUGAAAGAGAUGAUAAUUUAAUUGACAUGGACAAUUUCUUUAUCACAUUUACAACAUCGUACGUAAUUGUGAUAUUUGGAAUCGUUGUUGUUUUAUAUGUAAAUCCUUAUUGGCGAUGUAGAUGGUUUUACUUUGUUGAAAUGUGGAUAACUUCCUGUUACUAUUUUGUUGUAGACAAUCUUAUUCCAACAAGAUUUUGUCAUUGAAAUUAAUAAGUAGUUUAAUUAGGAUUCUUUAAGUACUAAUCAAGUUUGCUUAGGAAAUAAAUUUUUAUUAAAAUUGUAGUAGUAUUUAGCAUUAUAUAGCUUCCAACUUUCAAGCACUUCACAUUUGUCUCUACACUUAAAAAGUUGAGUGAUCAUGUUUUGCAGAUCUGGAUUUGGAGAAGGAUGGAUCCAAACCCAAAUCUGUCCACCAUAACUUAUACCCUACACUGUGUAGCAUACUUAAAUAAGAGAAUCAUCUCCAAUGUUAAAAGCAACCACUCUAUAACAUUCAUUUAGAAACUAUAUUCAGAAUAGUUUUAUAAUCAUACACAAGAAAUGAAACACCUAGAUACACUUGAUCGCCUAUUUUACUCUAAAAAAGAACGAUUAUAGUGUUAUCAUCAUCUUCUUCACUAGCAACAUUAACACCAAAUCCAGCGAUGGACGCAUACAUUUCAUCAAGAAAGGUAUAUAUCUAAUAAAGUUGAAGCCUGACAAAAAAUUCAGGAAGAUUCAUGCCUCGCCACAACAAGGGGCACAACAACAUCAAAGUAGAGAUUAAGCAGUAUUCUCAAAGCUAAAACUCUCAAAUCCACCCACCAAAUUUUCAUAUCUCCUCAACAAUUUUAAGAACUAAAGAUAAUUAGGAUUUAACAUUAGUUUUUUAUAUAGUAGUUUCAUAAUUUACAAAUCAAUGAAGAUGAAGAUUAUGCUAAUGAAUUCAAAUUAUACCAUACAUUCUCUAGAUGUUACCAAAAAUUUCUAAGUCAAUCCCACAUAUUUCAUAAUUUUAAGACUAGAAAAUUUCAAUAGUUAGAAGUUUCAUUACCUUCAAGUGGAAGAUGAAGAACAUUAUGCAAGUGAUUCAGGUUAUAUCAUACAUACUCCAAAUGCAACUAGAAAUUAACAAGUUCAUGCGCACAUAUUUCAUAACAUUAUGAUUGAAAAGUUUCACAAAGAGAAAUUCUAAAUUCAAUCCCUUGCAUCAAGGCAGUUUGAUUGAUUUGAGUUACUUUAUGAUCAAGCUACUAAUAUAACAUUCAAGUCAGGGAGAAAGUAAAUUAAAACUGGGUACAAAUAACAGUAAAAAUUUGUUGCUAAACAUGAUGUGUAUUUUUUUAAGGCAAUUUGGAAACACAUUUGUUACUAGAUAUUCUCCUCAACUUGGAGACAAAUACAAAUAUUAAAAUGCAUAUGAUCGCACAUACUACUUGGAGCUUAGUAAGAUUUCAUUAAAAGAAGCAAUCAAACCACUUAUCAAUUGUCGCAAUCGUUCUAUAAACUAAAAUAGCAAUAUAAUACAAGAAAAAGAACAUAUAGAUACUCGGCAAGAGUUCAUUAAGAAGUCGCAUCACAUUAGGGUGAGGAGUUUGCUUCUGAUAUCUUGCUAGCUGGGGCUUUUUCUUGUCUUUCUACGUAUGCCGAGGGAAACCAACCAGCUAGGCCCUUGCAUUCACCUUCCGACCAUCCAGUAGGAGCCACCUUGAGAAGUUAUAACUAAAACGGUGAAUUAAAAAAAAGUUGACAAUUCAAAGACCUAAGGGGAAAACUAAUUCUUUUACGUAGAGGAAGUGAACUAGUUGUGAUCACUGAAAUAAAAAAAUAACUAUGGAAGCAUAACAAGAUAUAAAUUCACAUGUCUAUAAGGGUAAACAGGGUGGUUUAGAACUGAGCUAGCAACCCUACUAUAUUCUGAUUUGCACUUCAAUGUAAAAGGGAAUAUAUGGUAGGAAGAAAAAAAACCAACCAUCAUUUGUUAACUUAUUGCUUUUCAAUCAAAAUUUUAAGAACAAAAUGCCAUGUGCUUUGAACAUCAAAUAAGUAUAAGCAUUAGUUCUAAAUUCCACAUAUUAUAAGUUGUUAGAAGGAUAAGUUAAUAGCAUAGUAGAAAAAUCUAUGUGUUGGUAUUUAGAGGGGAAAGUACCUGGCGAACCACAACAUAAUCAUCAAUUGAAAGACUUAGCUCUCCAUUUGCUUGAUCAUCAAAUGGAUGUAUAACCUGCAAGAUAAUGGGAUAAAUAGAACUUAAAAAAAGCAUAACAAAAGCAGCAACAGCAGCAGCAGCAUUCAUUGUAACCACUAUGAUCAUGGCCAACAAAGAUAUAUUAGAAACAAAAUUCCAUUUUUACUACGACUUUAAUAUGUACUAUACGAUAUCAUGACGAUUGGGUUAUCAAGUGCUAUCAAAGUCUAAUAAGUUCUGUAUAACUUUAUAUAGUUAUUUUAAUUAUGGAUCAAAUUUUAAAUUUGAAAUUUUGACUGCUCUCCACAAAAUAUGGCCUAUGCACAAGAAAGUCAUAGAUAAUGAGGAUUACAAGUGUCCGACAUCUUUUGAGUGAUGGAUUUAACAUGAGAGCUUAUGGUCAGUCAAUUUCCUCUGCCUAGCAAUAUAAGCUUUCUCGGCCAGAUUUAUCAUCAAAUACAUAGAUUGCCCCCAAGUCACAUCCAUAUAAACAUAGUUUUCUAGGUAAACCAAGGAGAAUCAUAAUUUAGACAUAAUCAUAAAAAGGCCCAUCUAACUUAAGAGAAAAUCUCAAAAAGAGGGAUGUUGAGCUAUCAGUCUUGUAUCUAUAAGCAAUAUCAAGACUUUACAUCACCUGCUACAUCGUGAGUGGCUACACAACUUUCAGUGGUUUGUCUUUCUUUGGCAUGCCUAACUCAGCUUUGAUGUUGCUGAGAUAUUGAUAGUAGAGACACAUGAUACUUCUAGCUCAUGCAUUUUAUCUAGCUCAUCCGACAACUAUUUCUUUUUUAAUUCAUUAGUGUUUGCUAAACCUCAUGCUCAAAAGUCCUGUUCUCCUAAACAAAGUUUCCUAAGAAUGACUUCCUCAGCACAACAUUUGGACACUUUUAGAGCAAUUUUAUUUGGAGGAAAAGAAUUUUCAAGGUGUUAACUAAUAAAUUUUAAAAUAUAAUUACAAUUUGUCCUACGAUCAUAUGACAAUUUAUUUGGGAUGAAAGGAUACAGACAGACAUCUUCCACUUUCAAGACUAAUCACUACUUCCGUAGAUGUUGUGCAAUGAUACAAAUACUUGACCAGAUGGUAGUGAUGGUAGAAAAAAAUUUAUUGCUCCAAAAUUAAAAUAAGAAUGCAAUAUGUUAAGCAAAAGACUGUGCAACAUCAAAUUAAUUGAUGAGUUUGUAAUUCAGUAAAUUAACAACUUUCAUGGUAAAAUACAACAAGUUUCUUUUAAAAAAAAUAAAAAAAAUAAAUCUUAAAAGACAGCAUUCAUUUUUGUGCGCAUGUUAUUUCUUAAGAUUUUUCAGGAGGAGGGCAAUAGAGGGACUUUCACCUAUGCAAGAGAGCAGAAGCCUUACUUUUGCUAUAAAGUAGACGUCAUUCUGAUUAAUAUGCGUUUGAAUCAGCUCCGUUUGCUAUAAAGUAGACGUCACACAUGAGGCAUUUACAUCCAUUUCCAAAGUCACAUGUUGCGAGGAGGACUCAUUUGAUUGCUCCUCUAGGAUCAUCUAAUGCAAGUAGUAAGGGUUGGAAGAAAAUAAAAAGUCACAAUUAUUCUUUUGCGUAAGUGAGACGAAAAUGAUAAAUGCAAUAUUAUCAGCAGUAAACAAGAAGAGAACGCUCCAAGGAAUAGAUAGAUGCAGACAAGCAAGUUAAAAUGCAUAGUCCCAAACCUCCGCAUACAACUUCUCUAAAAUAGCAAUAACGUGUUGAUGAUAUGUUUUCUCAGCAUCUACCUGCAAAGGCCCGAGACCAGGAAAACGGCAAUAAAACCACUAGCUAAAGGAGAAAGUAAAGAAAGAAAUACACUUGACAUAAAUCUUGACAAGAAGCACAGUUUAAACCCCAAUCAUAUUGUUUAGAACUACCAUUCGUUAUUGUAACAUUUCGAACAAGUGUUGACUUAAUUCAACAUUGUUGGAAAGAUAGGCUUUUAAAAGCGGAAGAAAGCCACUCAAACCAAAGUGAUUGUCCUUGUAUUGAUCAAGGGAUGUAAACAUAUUACAUUUGCAGGAUAAGUUUUAAUUAAUCACUCCCCUGAUUUAUUUGGGUUGCAGUUUAAUUUGUGAAUUUUUUUCUAUAGACAUGUUAGUUCUUGCUAUUGAAAUGUUAAAAGCAUUGAAAAAUUAUUCAAUAAAUUAUGCAUAACAUUAAAAUAGAGGACAUAUUAAAAAGUUUCUAAUUACAAUGUUAAUAUUUCCUAUAUUUUAGCAUUUGCAUAUUUUAAUUUAUUUAAAAGCUACGUCGAUCAACUGUGGGCAUGAAGAUUUUAGCUUCUACGAGACUUGAUUGGAAUAUGCAUAAGGAAGAGUGUUAAAAUAUGAUGCAUCCAACGAAAGACAAACCACGUGUAGUCUUUUAAUUAAGCCAAAGUAGCAGCUCAAACAAAUGACACUUGGACCAACAUGCAAUCAUGAAGUGGCCGGAAAAAGGACAAAUGCAACUUUGGCUUAAAUAAAAAAUAACAUGUGACUUGACUUUUGCUGGACAUGCAUCAUGUUAUUACAAGACAACAGAAAUCAGUAUGAUAGUACUAAAAGUUGACAAUAACAUGAAGAUAAGAGGCAGAAUGUCAACACAUGCAUAGGCACACACAAGAAAGUAUUAACUUAUAUACCAUAGCAAAAAGUCUUUGAUAUGUCAUCUGUUGCUGCUGUGAUUCAACUGACAGCAUGGCAGCUGUUGCUUCUCUACCAAGAGCCAUUAUUGUAGAUUUAAGCUCGGUCAAUCUUGCUUCUGCAUUUCGAAGCUUCACAGCACUCUCUGCUGAUAUAUCAGAUUCCCUAAUCUUUGAUCGGCGCCUAAAUACUUCAGCUGCCUGGUGAAAAUAUUCAAUAUAAAUCUAACAUAAUUCUAAUCUUACCUGGGCUUCAACUUCAUGUCGAAGUUUGUCAUAACGAUGAGUCAGGUGUCGAGCAUCUUCCAAAGGUGCUCCGUUGAUUAACGCCCGUAGUGGCUCAGAUACCUACAUGUCCAAAAACCUGUAACAUAGUUAGAAAAAUGAAAAGAAAGAGCGAAACCUCAAUUAAAAAGUUCCUCCAACAUAAUCAUGGAAUUUGGGCCUACUUCAAGGAUAUAUAUAUAUAAGGAUAAUUUAUGCAAUUUUGGGUCUUAGGAUGAUUCAUAUUAGGUUAGUGUUCUUCUCUUCUGUAUUUAAGGUUAAAAUAGAAAUAAACCUAUGCAAAUAUAUAAAUUAGGGCUGUAAGACUUCCACAUGCAUCCUUCAGUCUCAUGGAUUUGAUUUUACUAUAGAUGCAAGUGUCUUUAUCGAAAAUGCUUGGAGUCAAUUGAGAGAACUCACGGCCAAUAACUUGUCAGACGCUAGUCUUUGCUAGUGAUGUAAGAAGUCACAAGGUCUCUUCAGCAUUUGAACCAAUAAAAUUAUUAAGUCAUGGAUGUCACUAGCAAUGAUUUUAAUAUAAAACAUUAAAUAUUUCAGAGUUGUAACUUUAAAAUGGAUUCUUUUAUUCAAUAUCUUAGAACUAAGUUUCCUUAUGAGAAGAUAAUAGUUUCAGUAGUAAUUUACAUAUAAUUUUCUAUAUUUGAAUUAUUUUCUAGUUAGGGAUGAACUAACCUGAUCACCAAGAAUCCCAAGCAAAGUUUCCCUCUCAUUUUCCAUCAAAUCAUGUGAAGUGCCAAAUUGAAGAGCAGCUCUUGCAACGCAAGAAUUGUCACUUUGAUUCUCCGCUCCAUACUUGCAACAAUCUUCAGCCAACUUUCUCGCUACAAUAUUUGAAUACAAAAAUAUUGUGCACAAGAACUAGUCAAGAAAAAAAAAAUCAAAUAUUAUAACGAAUGCAAGAGCAAACAAACAACCUAUUUCCAUUUGUUUCAAGCUUACUGCAACAAGCCCUUCAAUGCCACGAACAAUAUUCCUCUGAAAAUGCUGCGCUACAGAGCAUAUAUUCCAAAUUAUUGUUCAGAUAAAACCAUAGAAACCAUCAUAAUUAUUCAACAUACAUUAAGCUCCGUUUGGUAAAUACUUGCAACUUCAGUCUAGAGAAUACAGUUCUAUAUAUGUAGCAGUCUAAAGGAGGAUGGUGCCUUAGCUGCCCUGGUGGAAUUGUAUAGAUUUUGAAGUUGUUGGUGACACUCAAUUUCAGCUUCAUCAACUGCCUGUACAAAUCAUAAAAAACUAAUGAAAAAAAUAAAUAAAAUCGAGAAAUUUCACUAAUUAAAAGUCUAAAUAUAAUUUUAAAAAAGAAAGAAACGCACUUGGUGCUGCUUGGCGACUUGUUCUCGGAGCUUGAUUGCCUGUUUCUUGAUAGCUUCCAUACUGUUUCUUUCAAAAAGCGGCGACGGCUCAGCUCAUGGAAGUUGGGGAAAAAAAAAAGUGUGAUCAAGAAAAUAAAAAGGCAUAUUAUUGUUGACAAAAUGUGAAAAUAAAAAAGAAAAAAGAAAAUUAUAAGUUUGAAAGGAGAAGAUGAUAGUGGAAGAGUGCGGCGUGGCUGCCAGCUACUUGGAUUGUAUUGUCGGGUAAGGUAAUUGUAGAAAAUUAUAAGUUUGAACAGAGCAUGUUAGACUUUUGUUGACCAAAUUCAAAAGGCAAAUGGCACGGCCCAGAAGCUUUGGAAUACAGUAACUUACAAGAAAGCUCCAUUUAUUCUUCUUAUACUUUACGCUUGCAUCAGCUUAAAUCACUUCUUAAUCGCUUGCUUUAACUGCGCCGCUUUGUACUGUUCUAUAUAUGUAGCAGUUAUGCGGAUGUAGUUCACGGCUGAGGGUACGUGUUUGUUUGACGUGGUAGUUACGUUACGACGUUACGAGAGUAUUAUUAGUUAUUUCACAGGGAUAAAUAAGAUUAGUCACAAUAAACCCACUAGUUUUAUAAAAUUCGAGUAAUAUAGAAUAAAAUAAAAAAUGAAUACAAAAUUGACUUUUAUUUUUUAUGGUUGACUAUAUUUUGUGUUCUCUUCUGGUACUACUACAAUUGUUCCCUGUAUAUCACUCAUACCCAUAUAUCAUUGACACAAGAAAUGAAAUCUAAUGUCAGAUGUUUAGUUAAAGAAUCACUUAUGAAAAAAUUUUACCAUUUUGAUUUGAGGAUCCCUAUUUUGAACUGCAAGCUAAUGUUCAUCAAGAACAGAGUAUGGCAGUUGAGUAGAAAAACUAUUUUUGGACAAAUUAUUUUUAUUGAUAGAAGAAUUUCUCAAGGGACUACUAAAAUUAUUAAAAAAAAAUGUCAAACACGCCCAUAUAUCAUCAACACAAUUGGUUUUGAGAAUCCAUACUUUAAACUGCCGCCUAAUAUUCAUCAAGAGCAGAGCAUGGCUUGUGAGUAGAAAAUUUUCUGAUUUUGGCCCCAAAUAAUCCAGCACUUUCUCAUGAAGAAAUGCAUACAAAGCAUACCAUGGUACCAUACAAUACAAGGAGUCUCCGUUCUCUAGUUUUUCAAACUCUAAAGGGGCCAAUACUCCCUAAUUCCCCCUCGAAAAUUCUGAUUAUGACAUUAUUCAUCCCUCGAUGCAAUCAAAGUAGUGACAAAGUUAGGAAAAAUAUGAGUCCUAAGUAAUUGCUAGGCAGGGCUCCUGUGAGCAAAAUUGUCCUAAGCAUUAUAUGCAUACAUGGUGUGGUACAUAAAGCACAAUGAAUUCCACACUAUAACACAAACCCAGAAAGAGAAGAAACAACUUAAUUGAUGUAAAGACAAAAAGAAGAUAAAAUGAUAUAGAAAAAAAAAUUCAAAGAGAUAGCAACAUACUAUAGACUGAAGCCACUUGAUCUGCUCAUUGAUUGCAGCCUUAAACUUGCAAAUAGUUACCGUAAGCUAGUGCUAUAAGAAGUGAAAAUGAUGCACACCCUGAUUCCCUUCGACUUCCAUUUACUGUCAAACAUUCUAUUAAUACAAAAAAAUUGUUCAAAUAUCUUGCCAUAAAUAUAGCCGUUUGACUGGCUUAAUAAAGUCACAAAUAACCAUUCAUAUUGAUCCACAGUGUCACACCGCCUGCUUUAUGCAUACAACAGCUGUAUGUAUACCAACUCCUAACCUUAUCAAUACAUUUGGCAAAAACUUAAGAAGAAAACUAUUUCUCCAUCUCUUUUUUGAAAUUUCACAAUAAACCAGCAUAUUGUAAACGUUAUGUUGUAACCUUAUGAUAAAUGCUCUAGACUCCAAAUGAAUUUUAUAUAUGAGGGUUUGUUGCAGCAGAUAUAUUGACUUAUCAAGUAUGAAUCAUUGUCUAGAAGAACUAUCUUUAGAUAAAAGAAUAUUAGAACCAUUCUAGAAUAUCUUUAGGUUGCUAGUUCUAACAGGAAUCUGCAUGUGGCAACAGUUGCCAGAUCCACAAUUCCCCAACUUGAAAUACAUAGUUGCACACCGUGAGAUAGUGCUGCAAUCUACUGAGAUCUAACUUAUAUGAUACUUUAAGCUACUAAUGUUUGCAUAUUUCUACAUGUUAAAUUGACACUACCAUCUAUAAUCACUCUAAAACGACAGAUGAUAAGCAGCUUUUGGCUACUUAUUACUAGCAUCCACAAUUAAUUUUUGUUCAGCAAUCAGCUUAUUUUAUAGAAAUUGAUUUAGUCAGCAACAAACACUAUAAUCCUUGAAAUUAGUUCUUGUUCUUUGUAAUUUUCUAUGAUUUUUCAUACAUCAAUUAAUCUGCAGUGCCAAGAUGAGGUUUGGUUUUUCAAACUAAAUAAUCAAGUAGCAAAAAUACAAAUUUAGAGAUUAGGGGGUGAACUAGCUAGGUGGUUUACAAAUAUUCCUAUUUGUAAGGUGAAUUAAUUGAAUCAUGAGAAAACAAUGUGACCAUAGCUCAAUAUGAGAUGAUUUCGGAGAGGCAUAUUGUUUUCAAGUGAAUUUGAUCCAUUAAGAGAUGAAGUGGAUUGAAGUGGAAAGUUUAAAUAACAAAUCCUUGUUCUUGAGUUUUACGACGUUGUUACUCCUUCAGGUGGCAGAUUAUGCAAGUGAAUUCAAAAACACAAUGCAUCAAUCACGGGGAUGCUACACCAAAAGACGGGAUCAUAGUCUAUGCAUUGAACAGUUACAGUUGCUGCUACCAAUUGACUCGGCAAAGAUCAAGAAGACUGAACGGGAAGUUAAUGCCAUCAAUGUCGUCUUCACUAUAGCUGCUGGGAAUGUAGGUGAACUUUCCUCAUUUGCGGCUGUCUAUACAUAGGCUUUUCCCCAGCUUAAGUACAAAUAAAUGAACCUGCUUUGAAGGCUUUAUUAUUGACCACAAUAAGGAUUACUAAUUGAAGAAGACUAUACGGAGUUAAUCCCACACUUUCGUUCUCUCAAUUUCUUUCAGAAGUGCCUCUGAAAAUAGCUGCCAAACCGUUAGUCAGCUUGUUAGACUCUGUUUUCUGGAAACAGAGCCCUAACUAACUGACUGUACAGAGUAAGUCAACAUAGCAUAUUUAAUCGUUUUAAUUGAAUUGUCUUCGUAGCGAUCAUCAACAAACUCAUCAUGAGAUUUUUGAAGCACCCAAGGACUAUCACUGGGUUUCUCUUCUGGUUGAUUAAUUAAUUAAUCAAAGAACGGUUGGAUACCCAAGGACAAUUAAAAUUAUUCGACUUCUGGAACUGGGAAUGAAGUGCAAUGAUGGAGCAAAAUUUACAAUGUCUCCGGUUUCUCCUACCAUCGGACUUUUGCAGUGAGAACAUAUAACAAAAAGGCCUUCAUCAAAAUUUGUAGACUCCGGGUAUGGAUUGGAUCGAUUUUUUUGUUUGAUAUUGAAGAACCUCUUUACUAUCGCGAUAUAGAUUAUGUGCAAGGAGUUGUCUACUGUUCUUUGCCUUGUGCUAUGAUCGGUGCUCUUGAGGCUGCCCUGAAACACAGGAAAAUACUUCGAUAUCCUCCGUUCGAUGAUGCAAAGAACCGGUUAAUGUAUGAUUACCUAAUUGACUCAGGAUCAGGUAACAACAACAACAAUUUAUUAAUAUCACAAACGAAGAAGAUCGCGGAGAGGGAGAUGUAUGCCUAUACUGUUUACAGGUUUGAUCCAUUGGGGAUGAAGUGGUCUCAAGUCGAAAGUGAUUUAUUAAACAACAAAUCAUUGUUCUUGGGUUAUACCUCAUGAUGUCAUCAAGUGGAAGAUUAAGAUUAUGCAAGACGAAGAUCGUUUGAUAUUGAAGAAUUUGAACAGAAAGCCCAUAGAAAGUACUUAAAAAAGCAUAUUCUUGUUGGGGUAGAAUAUUGAGAAAGGAGUUGUCUACUGUGUGUUGCGUGAUUAUGCUAUGAUCUGUGCUUUGAACAUUGCCCUGAAAACAGUGGAAAAUACUUCAUAUCCUCGACAUGAUGAUAAAAAAUUGGUUACCGAUUACGUAACUGACUCAGGUGACAACAAUCCAUUAAUAGCACAAUUUGAGGUGAUGCCGUUUAGGUAUAUGGUUAACAGGUUUGAUUCAUCAAUGAUGAAGUGGGCUUAAAUUAAAAGAUCAUAUAAUAAGUCGUUCUUCUUGGGCAUAUCGUCAUUACUACUUCAAGUGAUCAAAGAUGAAGAUGAAGAUGAAAAUUGUGCAAGUGAGUUCAAGAAUACCAUACAUCGUUACUUGGGAUACUUCUUCAAAUAUGGAUGGGGUCAUAAUUUACUCCCACGAAUUUCAACCCAAUUUUAUGAUUGGAGUGUCCCACCAUGACUCAGAAAAAUUUUGAUUCAACCUCCUCCACCAAUGGAUUUUGAAUAGUCACUUUGUGAUCAAGCAACUUAAUUAAACUCAGAGAGUCAGAGUUCGAUUUUGCUGGCACCGCAUUUUCUUUAAAAUGUGGCCAUGUAAGGAGAGCGGCACAUAAUGUCACUUCCUUAUCAAGCACUUUAAAGAGGGAUUUUAGAAGAAGAUACAACUGCAAUUGUUUUCGUAUGUAUAUAUAUAAACAACAGCACACAUUCAGUUCAUAAAAGAAAUUUUUGCUAACCAUGAUAUGUGGUAGUGCUUUUUAGGCAAUUUAGAAACAGAGUUGUUCAACUUACAGCAGGUAUUCUCCUCAAGUUCGACGUAAAUACAAAUAUUAAUUAGAAUCCAUAUUAUAAUGACACACAUAACUUGCUUCAAAAUUAUCAGAAAUUAAAAUUGCUGAUUCAUAAUGCAGAUAACUUGGAUGAAUUGAUGUUAAAGGAAAAAUCACACGCAUAACUUGGAGAGCAAUUGCGACAGCAGCCAAGUAUAUAUUUUUAUUUGAGAGUUGAGAAGAAUAUAUUUAAUGAAGCUUGAUAACAUUUGAUGGGAUAGCAAGUAAGGGUAAAUAAGAUAUUUUUAUUUGUUAUUUAUUUGAAUUAUAUCUAUUUUGUUCAAGUUAAAAUACUAAAUAUAAAUUGGAGGUAGACAUUUUAACAGAUCAUCUAAGCUCUCAAAUCUGAAAUUUUGUGUAGAUUUAAAUUCAUAAUUUUAGUUAAUUUUCAUUCAUUCAUAUAAACAAAUUUAUGAGAUUUUUCUUUUCAGCAUGUUAUAUUUUGAAACUUUCAAUGUAUUAUUCUAGCUUUAUUUAAACAAUUAAUUUAUUUAAUUUUGAAUUUGAUCAGUAGUAAAAUUAUUUUUAUAUCAAAUUUUUUUUAUUUAAAUAGUUCGUGGAUUGGACAAAAUUAAAAAAUUUUAAUCUACAAAAUGGUGGAUUAGAUAUGAAUUGGGUUAAAUCCACAUUCGAUUUGCAGUCGUAUGAAUUUGAUUUGGAUUGAAUUUCAUCAAUCCAUGGAUUAGAUUGGAUUGAAAAUUUAUUAUCCGCAAAAUCGUGGAUCGAAUAUGGACUGAUGUCCAAUCAGCAAAAUCCGAUCCCCGAACACGCCUCUAUCAAAAUUUUCAAGAAUAUGUUUUAUCUUACAAAUUUUUUUUUAAAGUCAUAAUCUAAUGGCAGCCCAAUUUUAUAAAGUCACACACAACCAUUCUUAUUAAAUUAGAAAGAUCAAACACUGCACUGGAUCUUGAACAGAUCAACACAAGUUGCACAACUUGCGAUUGAAUCCGGCCUGAAACAAUCAACUCUUUAGCAAGAACAAUUAAUCAGAGUCAAGAAACAAGUUUAAUGAAUAUAAACCUAUAAUUGAAACAAACAUAGCAAAGAAAAAAAAUACAGAUUUUACACGGUUCAGUUGUACCUAGGAUGGCACAACCUACACCACGAGAGAAGCUUUCUGGUGAGAUUUUAUUGAUGAUCAAAGAAGAAUCUUUUGACAAAGCUAAUAAUAGAGAUUUCAGAGAAUAAGCUAUAACCUCUCUCCCUCUUCAAUCUCUCUCUAUUUUGUUCCCAUUGAUGACCCCAAUCUGCUUAGUUAGCCAGCUUUAUAGCUGCAUCAGUAACAAACCAGCAAACCCAGAUUGAGCAGAUUGACGACACGUGGAUAACGGCUUUAACGAACCUGGUUAAGAACUGCUCACAUGUUCGUCACGCGUACUGCUUAAAUGAUGGCCAAAACGACUUCAAACAAAUGUCGUUUUGAGGCUUAUGAAUUACAAGUGAUAACACGAGAUUGUCUCAUGACUUUUAAAUGCAACAACGUGCCCAAAACGCUGUCGUUUUACUCUGUUGAGUUUGAUUCAUUACUAAGCUUUACGACUGGCAAUGGAGAAGAUGAUAAUUUAAUUGAUAUGGACAGUUUUUAUAUCACUUUUACAAAAUCCUAUGCAAUUGUAAUAUUGGGAAUUAUUGAUGUUUUAUAUGUGAAUCCUCAUUGGCAAAAACUAGUGGUUUUAUCUUUGUUGAAAUGUAGAUUACCUCUCGUUACUAUUUUAUUAUAAACAUAUAGUUUCGUAAGUGAAACUAUAUAUUUAUAAUAAAAUUAACAUAUAGUUUCGUUACAUUUCUGCCUCAUUAAGAUUCUCAAAUACCAGUCAGGUUUGCUUAAGAAAUAAAAUUUUUCCAUUAAAAUUGCAGUAGUAUUUCCAAGCAUAUCGCAUUUUCUAUGAUUUUUCAUAAAUUAAUUAAUCUGCGGUGCCAAUAUCAGAUUUAGUUUUUCAAACUAAAUAAUCAAGAAAGCAAACAUACAAAUAUACAGUUUAGAGGGGUAAACUAGGUAGGUGGUUUAGAUUUUAGAACUAAGCCAGCUACCUCACUAAAUUCCGAUUCGUACAGUGAACUGCAAGAAAUUGAGAAAACAAUGUAUUUAUAAUUUAAUAGAAUCAUAAGAAAACAAUGUAGUCAUUGCUCAAUAUAAGAUGAUUUCGGAGAGGCACAUUGUUUUCAAGUUAAUUUGAACCGUUUAUAAGAGAUGAAGUGGAAUGAAGUUGAAAGUUUAAAUAACAAAUCCUUGUUCUUGAGUUUUACGACGUCGUUACUCCUUCAAGUGGCAGAUUAUGCAAGUGAAUGCAGAAACACAAUGCAUCAUCCGCGGGGAUGAUACAUCAAAAGGCGGGGUUUGUUUAUGCCUGCAGAUUAGCAAUUUCACUCAUAUCGAAAAUUAAUUUUUUAUAUAUACUAAUCAACACUAAAUUGAUUAUGUGUUGUAUGUUUAUAUGCUAAUCAACACGAAAUUAUAUUGAAUUAUUAACAUUCAUAUUCCUAAUAAAAAUUAUUUUCCAUCAGUAUUCAAAAUUUUCACUUAUAGAAAAUGCGUUUUACGUGAAUACUAGUUAUUGUGUAAAUUUGAAUGAUAGCGAAAAAUAAACCUAUUUGAAAACUGUAAGGGUGUGUUGGGAUAUUUUACAACUGUCGGAAUCUGGUAGGAUAUUGCACCAUUUGCCCAAUAUUUUUAGACGUACUCCAACCGGUAUUCAAGAUAAGUAAAAUUUACAAGCGUGGCAAAAUAAAAAAAAUUAAAUUCGUAAUUUGUAAACGAAUUUUCCUGACAUGUAUAGUAGAUGAAGUUGUUGACCCUUUCUUUGGAUUAUUUCAGCUCUGGUUGUUGGUCACCGAUGAGCCGAAGUCUUAUUUUAAUUCUAUUUAAACUCAUCAUAAGAUUCGUGGAGCACCUAACUAACUUAACUGACUGUGCAGAGCAUCUCAACAUGGCAAAUUUAACCAUCAUUCAAGUGAUGGGUUUAAUAAGACUGCUUUUGUUCUACCAAGUUCCUCCGCCUCUAAGCAGAAUUACUAUUGAAGGGCCAAAUGGAAAAUGAAAACGUGUGAACAACAACAACCACCCCACAAAUUCAAUGACGAUGCUCGGAGAGGGUUAGGUUGGGCCUCUGAGAAAAAAAAAAAUUAUUUAGUUAAAAAGUUACCCUUAUUGAAACCUGUAUAAAAAUUUUAUAUUAAUUAGUUAUGUUGCCUCUUCAACUAUGAUCAAAUUUUUAUCUGAGCUCAUCAUUUAAUGAGUAAACAUGUAUUUUAAUGAUCUCAAUUAAUAUUUAGAACAAAUAUUUUAAGAAGUAAAGCUCAUUAUAUCCCCCAUUAUUAUGUAUCUCUGUAAUGUAUUGAAUUAGAAGAAAAAAAAAAUUCAACUCACUCAAAAAAAAAAAAAUGCUGGUAGCUUCGUAAUAAUUACUGUCUUGACUGCACCAGAUAAAGUUUUGUAAAAGAAUUCUGAUAUUUACCCCGGGUCAAACCCCGAAAAUAACUUAAACGGUGUCGUUUUGAUUUUUUUUUUUUUUAUACUCCAAAACGUUCUUACCAUUUCCGUUUCACUUACCAUUUAAUGCUCACAACUCAAAUAAAAAGCCCAGAAACUAGAAUCAAACUUUACAGAAACUAGAAUGCCCAGAAACGUUGUAUAGCAGGAACGUAUGUAAAGAGAGUAAACAAGAGGGAUUAAACAGAACAUACGUUUUCUUCACUUAUUAUUAGCAACAAACACCCUACACAACACACAUUUAAUGCUCACAACUCAAAUAAAAAGCCCAGAAACUAGAAUCAAACUUUACAGAAACUAGAAUCAAACAAUACACAUUUCAUUUCUUCAAGGUUAGGGAGAGACUCAGGGGAGUGAUUAAUUAACAAAAAUAAGAAUAAUAAUACCAACAUUUGUACAGGUCAAAUAAGAAUAAUAAUACUCAACCUAAUACCCAGUAUAUACAAACAAAUGCCCAGGCCAUCGUUCCUAUUUUGCCAUAACCUAAAGAGGAAAAAGCGAAGCACUACCUCAGGCUGUGAACUUUGCCGCUUCGUGAGUUUAAUUUCCCGAACAAGUUUCGGCUACCAGCGUUACCAGUGUUGACGGUGACCGUGGCUGUCAGCGUUGACGGUGACCGUUGGUGGAUCCCGAAUGCCUGGACCUUGGUCGAGGAAGGAAAGUAACGAAUUUUUUGAACAAACGAAGAAACGAAGCACCGAAGAGAUUUACGGUCAAACGGAACAAGACCAACUUGCUCUUCUAUCUAUGGCUUUCCCAGUUGAAACGAAGAAACGAAGAGGAAGAGGUUUAAUUCUUCUCAAAAUCGUCCAUCAGAAACGGCAACGUUUUGGAGUAUAAAAAAAGAAAAAAAAAUCAAAACGACGCCGUUUAAGUUAUUUUUCGAGUUUGACCCAGGACAAACAUCAUUUUCCUUUGUAAAAUAAUAAGUUCUCAUUAGUGGUUUUUAAUUUUUAAUUUUUUUUUCGGCACACCUGAUCAAGAAUUCUAUUUUGUUAACUAAUAAAUUGCAAAGCAUAAGUGUUGAACGGUACAAAAAAAUUUGAAAAAAAAACACUUAAAACGUAGGGAAAUGAGAAAUAUAGAAAGAAAGGAAGAAAGUUAAGACAUGAAACUGAUCUGCCGUGAAAUUGAUAAUCAUGUUUCUAUUUCGUUAACUAAUCAAACGGAAAACUGGAACUGUAAACAAACAUUAACACGUGUGGACUCUGCUAGCUGCCCUACAAGUCUACAAUAAUAAUUGAGUACCUUUGAUUCAUCCUUCUAUGAAUUUCUAGCUGUAUUGACCCCAACUGCUAAAGUUUUGUAAAAUUAAAAAAAAAAAAAAAAAAAAAAACUGGAAUUUCAACAAAAUUCAAAACGUGAGAAAUUUAAUUUUUGGCCAUGUGGAACAAAAUGUAAAUUACGGAAAAAGUAUAAAUCUCAAUUGCUUAGUAUGGUUAGGUUUUGUGAGCAUCACUAGAAAGUGAAAACUAUGAAUGAUAGGGGUGAUGUUUGCAACAUGAAUAAACGAUGAACUGAUUCAAUUGAUGAUCGUAAUUAUAUAAUGAGCAAAAUUUACAAAAUCAACAAAAGUUAAUAAAAAUUUAUUUUAAUAAUAAAACUUAUUAUUUAACGGCGCUCUAACCAUGGAGUACCAUAAUCAUAUUCUUCUUUUAAGAAAAUUAUAACUUAUUUCAAAUAGCACCAUAACAUAAUUCUAGAUAUUUAAAAGAAAAGCAUUAUUCACCUGAAAUGACUUGGAAGUCUAAAGAAAAAGAGGGAGUGGCUCCCCACAAUUUUCUUGUUUUCAGUAUAUUUUCUUUUUAAAAUCUUUUGACUCAUACAUAAUCUACCCUCGUUCAUUAUCUCUAUUUUGCUCUGUUCAAGUCCCUUUUUUUUCAAAUCUUAGUUUAAAUAAGAAAAUUGAAUAAAAGUACAUUUGUGUAAUUAAUUAGUAUCUGCGGGGGAUAUUUGGUGUAAUGUUUUGCUAUGUAAGACUCAGCUAUUAUUAAAUAGUUCCUUAACCUGUUUCGCAGUUUAUUUGCUAUCUUUGUGGAUCUCAUAGGCGUUGCAGAAUUUAAUAAUUUUAUUCGUCAGAAGAAUAGGAUAUUGGCUUCAAUAAAUUUAAUUUAAACCAACUUUUAUUUACUCCAUCAAUUAAUUAAUGCCAUUUGGUUUUGAAAAAUUCAAUAAUUAAAUUCUCACGUUUCAUGUGUUUGAAGUUAAAUUAUUCAUGGGUAAUUAUCACAAACCUCCCCUGAAGUUUGAUGUAUUAUCAAUUUGAUAGAUUGUAUUCGCGUAUUCUCAGCCACCUCCCCUUAAGUUAGUACACCGUUUAGUAUAAGUUUAGUGAGUGAGGGCAAGAUAGUAAUAGAACUCGUUAAUAAUAAAAAAUUCAAACAAACUUAAAAAUAUCAAAUUGGAUUCUGAAAUUGAUUUGAAUUUUGUUAAUAUUCCAAUGGGUAAAAACAAAAACAUGAUUUUAACCAACAGACAAUAUUAUAACAAAAAAAUGAGAAAGGAAAAUGGCAUCUUCUUGCUCCAUUCAGACAAGAGCUAACAAGAACAACGCCCCUUUCAUCUCUACUAUACUUUAAUAGAAAAAGGGUGCCACGAUCGGGAGACCAUGACGAUGAACUCGAAGACGCCGAUAGCAGGGACGACCGAAUCACGAACGCCAGGUGGAAGAAUGUUGACCAGUGAGUUUCCAUGUUGACCCACAGACAACCUCAGUUUGUUCGAGCCGCGAAUGAGGUAUGAAAAUGCUUAUUACUGUGCAUGUCAGUUUUAUUAGAUGGAAUUAAUCAAUUUGGUAAAAAUGAGUAAUGGGUCUCGACAAUUUUUUGAGAGUAUCUAUGUUGCUUCCAUUGUUUUCCAUCGAUUGGGUUAGUUGUAGGUUAAUGAUUGUUGUAAAUGCAUGUUCACCUGAUUUUGAUUGAAGAUGGCUUCAGCUACAUUAUGCUGCCUUGUGAAUGAUUGAAGAUGGGUAUGAAAAUUUUUUAAUUGUUUAAGCUAUUGCCACUGAUUGUUUGGAUUCAUGCUAGUUUUUAUUAAAUUACAGAUGUAAUUAAGUGUUGGAGAUUCCUUGUGCCGCAAUAUUAAUAUUUUGAGGAUACUUGAUUUUGUUUUUUUUUCUUUUUAUCACGAUAUGUACAUGUCUUGGUUGAAAAAAUGUCAUGAUUUGCUGCAUUCUCUCACACUGGAGCAGUGAGUUUAGUGGUUUUAAUUCUUUUCUUCUCUUUGACUAUGGCUCUACUUCACUGCAUUCAGAUGUCUUUAUUUGUCCAGCGUCAAAUGAUAAAGGAACAUAGUCUCCUUUUGAUUUCAGUUUGUCUUUCUGUUUUGCAGCCAAGAGGUUCUAACUACCAUCGAGAGUGAAAGGCUCUCCAAGUCAAGGCACAUAGCUCCUGCUGCUCUUGUUACUUUCCCUGAAGAUUUUGAUAAUGGGCUGGUGAUUAUUUAGUUUGGUUUCAAAUUAUGUUCUCGACAUUGUAUUUUGAAAUAUUUGGUUGGUGAGAUAAAGUUUAUUAUUAUAUCUCUAAUAUGUGAGAUGGGAUAUUUCAAGAUGGUAUUUUGGUUACAAUGUUUUAUUUGGUAUUUACAAUGUAAUCACAGCUCUUGGCGCUAAAACGGAUAUGACUAGCCAACAAUUCUUUGAUUUGUGUGAACGAAGUAUUUUUUUUCAACACAAGGGUAUUUUGGUCAUUUUGUCAAGUAACAAACAGUCAACUAAAUGGUAUACUAACGUUAGGGGAGGUGGCUGAGAAUACACAAAUACAAUCUAUCAAACUGAGAAUACGCUAAACCUCAAGGGAGGUUUCUGAUAAUUACCCAAUUAUUCAUUAACUAGAACUCUGUUCAAAAUUGACUGUCUUGUGGUUCCCAAAUGUAGUUGUAAUAUUGAAUGAAGGUAAAAACUUUCUAUGCGAGUUUAAAUCUAAAUCUGGACAAUGAAUUUUGACUUUCUCAAUGCUAUCCUAAUUACAAAAAUUAUAUUAAUUGAUUUAUUGUUACAGUUACUAGCCUUUUAAAAUGGAUGAAUUUAUUGUUUCCGUGACCAAAUUAUGCCUGCCUAACGGUGCAACUAUUAAAAAAACUAAUAUUUAAUGCAUAUGUUAAAAGAUUUAAAAUUUUAUGCAUUUAUUAAUUGUUAUAAUCUAAAAAAAAAUAAUUAAUUCAGGUCAAUCUGAGUUGGUGCAUCUGCAGGAGCCUUUUUUUUAAAUUUUUUUCCCCUUAUUGACCAUAAUGACAUCUCCUUCAACAUGACUAUUGACUAGGAGCAUGUAAAAACAUGGAAACAGAAUUUCCACAAAAAUGUCAAACGUGUGGAACUUAAUUUUUGGCCAUGGGGAACAAAUGCAAAUGAAAGAAAAAGGAAAAGACGCCUCUAAGAUUUGUUUCAAUGGUUUACAUUGACUCUUUAAUUUAAUUUAUAGUAACACAAUUUUUUUUUGUACAAAUAUAUAUUAUUCAUGUUUUGUAUUAUUUUUUAACAUCAUAUUUUUAUUUAUUAUAAAUAUUUAAAAUUAAUUUUUAGGUUGAUAUUUAAUAAAAGGGUAUAAUCGUUCUAUCCAUUUCUCAUCUCGCGAUCUCUCUCAAUUAUCCUUUAUUGAUAUCUCAAAGCGCGUUGCUGUGGAAAAUUGUAGCAAAAUGAAAAAUUGGAAAGAAAGGGAAGAAAAUUAUUGCUUGGAGAAAACAACCAAAUAAGUCAACUGGUCUUUAGUGAGAACAUAUCAUUUGUUUUGAUAUUGAAGGACCUACUUCUCUGCCGCGAUGUAGAAUAUGUGAAAGGAGUUGUCUACUGCUCUUUAGGUCAUAAUAAUGUGAUUGGUGCAUUCAACGUUGCCCCGAAACACUGGAAAGUACUUCCAUAUCCUCCGAAUGAGAACUGAUUUAUAUAUGAUUUCCUAAUUGACUCAGGAUCAGAUGACAACAACAACUUAUUAAUAGUUAUAUCAAAACGGCAGAAGACGUGUUUUGUUUACAGGUUGAUCCAUUUGGAAUGACGUGGUCUCAAGUCGAAAGUAAUUUAUUGCAUGCCUGUCGUCUAAAGCAUUACCUCACAAGGUUAUAUCAAAGGGUGUUUUACCUCAUCACGUCUUCAAGUAGAGGAUGAAGUCAGCCACUCGGCCUUUGGCCGAGUGGUGAGAGCUGCUCUCCAAUUUGGAGAGCAGCAGUUCGAACCCCCACAAUGUAUUGUGGGGGUCUUCCUUUCUUCAAUUAAAUUUGAGUGAAGGCAGUCUGUUUUUUUACCCAAGUGUGAGUAGCAGACAUCCCUUGAAAGUGUGAGUAGCAGACAUCCCUUGAAAGGAAUGAAGUUAUAGUCUGAUUUGUAAAUAUCAGUUAUAUUCUCAUGUAAUAUGAGUUGUAGUUUGAGCAAUAGUCUCAUGUAAUCAAAAAAAAAAAAAAAAAAAGUAGAGGAUGAAGUCUAUGCAAGUGAAUUCAGGAAUAUUGCAUGCCUGUCGUCUAAAGCAUUACCUCACAAGGUUUUAUGAGAGACGAAAGAUGUGUUUGCUUUGAACAAUUAAAGUUACUGCUACGGACCUCCCCAAAGGUCAAGAAGACAGAACAGGAAGCUAAUGCCAUCAAUGUCUUGUUCAUUAUAGCUGCUGGGUAGUUAGGUGUAGUUUCCUCAUUUGAAGCUGUCUAUACAUAGGCAUUUCCCCUGCUUAUGUACAAAUAAAUGAACAACCUUGAAGCUUUAUUAUUCGCAACAAAAAGGGAUUACUAAUUGGAGAAGACUAUACAGAGUUUCUCUCACACUUUCUCUCUGUCAAUUUCAUCCAGAAGGUCCCUCUGAAAGCUUCUCCCAAAACAGUUAGUCAUCUUUUAUGCUCUGUUUUCUGAAAGCAGAGUCCUAACUAAAUUAAUUGACUGUACAGUGCAUUUCAACAUAGCAUAUUUAACCGUUUUAACAGUUAUUUGGACCGUCUUCAGAGCUAACAUCAACAAACUCAUUCAUAUGCUUAAUAAUGAACGAAUAGUCUUGGAUCGAUGUUUUGCAGCAAGAGCAACUCGACACAAUCUGGAUUCAACCUCCUCCUUUCUAACAGGGGAUUUCGAUUUGAGUUACUUUGUGCUCAAGCAAAUUCACAUCAUAGUUUUGAUUCUUUAGAUAUGAAUUCAUCACAUUACAUGUAUCAGAUUAAGUGUAACAAAAUUUGUAAUUUACUGCGAAAGAAUAUGCACUAAAAAAUGAUUUCAAGACUAUUUGACUAUAAAAAGCAGCUGUCAGAGUGCACUAAAAAUUUCUGUAGGAUAUUUUGUAGCUGUUUAAUAUGUUAUGAUGGGCAUAUAAUUCUCAAAUUUUGAUGCCUCUCAGUGAAAAAUAUAUCAAAGUUUAGAUUAUGUGUUCGAGCUUUAAUAAAUGGUCGGAAAAAAAGCUGCUGUCAGAGUGCACUGAGUUAAUAAUAAUAACAACAAUAAUAAUAAACUAAAAAGCAGAAUUAAUUACUAUUGAAUGGUCGGAAAAAAAAUUGAAAACGUGUGAACUCCAAUAAUCACCCCACAAAUUCAGUGGCGAAUUUUGGCGAGGGCAAGGCCGGGCUUCUCAGAAAAAAAAUUAUUUAGUUACAAAAUUAUCUUUAUUGAAACCUAUAUAAAUUUUUUUUAUAUUAAUUAGUUAUGUUAUCUCUUCAAUUUGGUGAAUAAAUGUGUGUCUAAAUAAUUUCAAAUAACAUUUAGAACAAAUGUUUUGAGAGGUAAAGCUUAUUUUGUCUCGCAUUAUUAGGUGCAUCUAUAAUUUCUUAUUUACAAAAUUAUAUUGUACGAUAAAAAUGUAUUGAAUUAGGGGGAAAAAAGGUCAGCUCACUCAAAAACAACAAAUGGUAUUAGCUUCGCCACUGCACAAAUCUAGAAUAAUAAUGAUUCCUUAUCAUGCUGGGGGAUCCUUUACUUUCUAGCCGUAUUGACUGCACCAGGUAAAGCUUUGUAAAAUAAUAAGUUACUCAUUAGUGGUUUUUAAUCUUUUUAAUUCUUUUUACCGCACACCUGAUCGAGAAUUUUAUUUUGUUAACUAAUCAAUUGCAACGCAUAUACCGCACACAAGAUUGGAAAAAAAAAUCUUAAAAAACGUGCGGAUUCGGUAGCCACACCAGAAAUCUAUUACAAUAAUUCCUGGCCGUAUUGAAGUUUUUAAAAUAACAAGUUCCCCUUCUUGUUUUUUUUUUUUAAAUAUAUAAGCUUAUAACAAUUUUAGAAUAAUGACUCAUUUGUAGAAGAAUUUAUGAUUUCAUAUUAAUAUUAAUAUUGAAGUGGGGUGGGUCAAAUCUCAAUUGCUUGAAGAAUUUAUUUAUUAUUAUUAAUAUUAUUAAUAUUGAAGUGGGGUGGGUAACGGAUAAGCGGUUCACUCAGUUCGUGGCGAAUUAAAUAUUACCAUCCAAGGUAGAAUUGUGGAAAAUUAAAGCAAAAUGACAAGUAUGGAAAGGAAGGCUGAAAGUAAGGCAUGACGAAAGGCUUUGAGAAGGCUGAAGACUACCAAAGAAGACAACUGAAAGAGAGAAUGUGUGUUUUUUAAUAGUUAGAGAUAUAGCUAGAGUGGGUGGCUCAAAAUCCAAAAUGGUGACAAUGUUAGUUCUCGUAUUGGUAAUCUUGGGGGGGGGGGGGGGGGGGGGAACUCAGGGGAGGUCGAGUGAGGGAUGUUUGGAGCAUGAGAAAUUUGAUCUUUUGCGGCUUAAACAUUUCUUCAAUUCCCCUUAUACACUUCAAAACUGGGUAGGUGAACAAAGGGAAAGGGUUGAGUGCAGCAACUCCACAGGCCGCGUGGUACAACUACACCUUGGUCUUACUAUAUCGAUCUGGGAGAGUGGUAUCUGAAUGCUUCUAUAUUUACUUCCUUUCAACAACUUGGUAACAAAAUAGCCGGCUGCAUGCGUUGAGAAUGAAGGUCCUUCAUUUAAUUUAAUUUACUUAAUUUCUCCCUCCUAAUUAAUGUCUAUAACCAUUAGGAGGAACAAGGGAUUUUAUUAACUCAAAUAUAUCUAAUGGAGCUCAUUCUUUGGUUUUACUUGCAGGUCUAGAAGUAGGUGUCAUCUAACAGCUGCUUUAAUAAUUUCCCACCCCUUCAUCUUUGAUGGAAAGAUGAAAUAAAAACAAAAUGGUGAAAAUGGUAUUGGUACCUGAGGCUAUGUAAUCUAAUUCAAAAACUGCACCAUCAAAACGAUUACAUAAGUCUCAGAAGAAUCAAACAUCAGUUUGCAAAAUAUCAAUUGCUGGAGGUUUGAUUCUAACUUCCGCUCUUCAUUUUUAUGGGCAUGUUGUGUUGUACUUGCAUCAGAAAAUCAUAUUUUAGUUUAUUUACACUCAACGCUUGGAUUAAAGUUUUAGAGGGGGGGAUUGAAGAAGACUAGAAUGACACAAAAGAAAGAGUUGAGCGAGUGCCGCUUUUGUCGUCAUUUAAGGAGCUCUUUAUAAAUUUUAGGAUUUUUUUCCUGAGAAAAUUUAUGCCAACUCAUUCUUUGCUUCUUUUCUGAAGGGAUAGAUGCAACCGAAACUAUAUUCUUGAAUUAUCCAGGAUAAGAGACAUACGUUUAGAUUCUCGAGCCUUUAAAACAAUAUCAAAUUUUAGAUUGCCGAAAUUUUAUAUUGCCGAGUAUGAUGGUGUUCCAAUUAUAAGCUCCAGGGUGCAACUUCACUGAGGUUUAGAAUGCCUUCCUAUAGAAUUGAGAAAUCUCCAUUGGCAUAAAUAUCUUUUGAAAAUACUGCCAUCAGAUUUUGAAUUGGAGAACCUGAUUAAACUCAGCUUGCCUUCUAGUAAGGUUAAGCAAAUUUGGAAAAGAGAAAAGGUAUAAUGUAUUACUAUUACCAAAGUAUCUAUUUUUCUUUCUUUAAGUAUUUAUAAUGAAUAACUUUGAAAUUCAAUGAUGGUCAUUUAAUAUAGUUAUGUAUCUUUCAUUAUAGGAUGCUCUCAAGUUAAAAUUUAUAGACCUUCUCCCCCUGUAUCUUGAUAGGAUCCCAGAAAUCCUAAAUCUUAAGAAAAUAAAUCUUUCAAAUUGUGAAAGCAUGCUUACAUUACCCCCGUAUAUCCACAAUUUCAACCAGCUCAGUAUGUUGUGUUUCAUGGGAUGCAAAAUUCAUUUUGUUGCUCAUGAAAGAAUUGACUUGUCCGGAUGUAUUAAUUUUGCAGAUUUUCCACAGAUUAUGGGAAUAUAACAAAGCUAGACUUAAGCGAGACCCCAAUAAAAGAAGUUCCCUCAUCAAUAGAGUGCCUAGCUGAUCUGAAAACGUAGCGUUCGAGUAAGUGCACGAGGCUGAAGAGGCUUUCCAACAAGCAUUUGUAAAUUGAAAUCUCUUCUUGAGUUUUAUCUUUAUAACUACUCAAACCUUGAAUGUUUUCCAGAAAUCAUGGAGAAAAUGGAACGUUGAAAGAUAUAAAUCUAGCAAGGACGGCCAAUUACAGAGCUACAAUCGUGAUGGUCUUCUGGAUAACAUUAGCAAUUUAAAAUCUUUGAGGUACAUCUCGGCUAAUGGAUCGGCCAUUAGUCCUCUGUCGGAGAUUUGGCUGUACUUAAAUAUCUAUUGUUUUCUCGAUGCAGAGGUUUUGUAUCAUUGCCUCCAAUAUUAUUUUCAGGUUCAGGUUUAUCGAAUUUCGUACAACUAACUUUAAGAGACUCUGCUGUAGUGGAAAUUCCCCAAAACAUUGUUUGGCAAUCCUCAUUGAAAAUUUUAAAUCUAAAGGCUUGUUUGUUAACUACUUGAAGUAUGAAACUAAUGAUUUUUUUUAAUUUAUAUUUGAUUUUGAGAUAUUUGUAUCGGAAUUAAAAAAAUGAACUUUUGUGACAUUUAUCUAAAUAAAAAAAAGCUUAAUGAGAAGUAAAUAAUCCCCUUUUUCGUUUUGACUUACAAAAACAUAAUGUUAACUAACCAUGUUUAAGAUAUUUUUUAUUUAUAAAAACAAAUUAGAUGCUACUUAUAUUUAUUAUCGAAAAUUGAAAAACAAACAUGUUAUUCAUACAUUUAUAUUCAAACUUAUUCAGUCUUCAGCUAAAUACAGAUACAUUUAGAUUUCAGAGAAAAAAAUAAAUACUUCCUAAGUGGGAAUAACUUUGAGAGUUUACUUGCAAAUGUCAAGCAACUUGCAAGGCUAGAAUAUCUUGACUUGAACGGUUGCAAUAUGCUUCAGUCAUUAACAGAGCUUCCAUUGUUUCUAUAUUUUUCAGAAGUAAGGAAUUGCAAGCGCUCCAAUCUUUGCCAGAGCAUAGAUUUCAUGUUUACCAAUUGCCUGAAACUGAAUGAAAACGCAAACAACAGCAGUUUGGCAGAUUCAGAACAAAGGACUCAACAUAUGGCAAAUGCACCACUGAGACUAUUCCAUGAAAAGGUACCCCUACUCACUUUCUCUGUCCAAUCUUUGCAUCUGAUCAUCUGGGAUUCAAAUCCUCUACUCAUCUUGCUACUUGGCCUGCCAUUUUAACAUCCACUGACUGGUCGUUACCAAAAAUCAAAAACAGUAAAAUGAUACAUCUAAACCAUGCAUACAUAACCAAUAAUGUAUAUGUGUUGCAAGACUUUAGAAAGGCAAGAUGAGUAGAGUAUCGGCUUUGGUCUAAAAUUGUGGUUUUUAUAUGACAGCAGAAGCCUCAGGUACAACGUCAUGUCAGCAUUUGUUUACCUGGAAGUGAAAUUGCUGACUGGUUUAGCAAACAAGGUUUUGGAUCUUCAAGAACUAUCCAACUUCCACCACAUUGUUGGAACAGAAACUUAAUCAAAUUUGCUCUUUGUGUUGUUAUUGAACUUGAGGAAGGUUUUGAUGCUAAUGUUGAUGAAUUUUUUGUCCACUGUUUCUGCCAUUUUGAGAUAAGGGAUACUCCCUCUGAAACUAAACAUGAUCACUUUUGCGUUAUGAAAGCCGUAAACGUCCAUUGACUCGGAUCAUAUCAUAUUUGGAUUUCAUCCCUGUUGGAAUGUUGAGUGCAUUUAAGUCCAACCCUGUUACUAUAAAGUUUUUUGCCAACAGUGAAGAGGAAUGCACUCAAAGUGUUCCUCAAAUCUGAAAAAGAUGAAUUGGAACCGACUCCCAAGAGAAUUUAAAGAAAGCAAGUUGGUUUCUCAAGUUCUGAUUUCUUAUCUAAGUCCAACUCUCCAAUUACACUUUCUAUUUAUUUAUCAUUGUGCUUUAUCAUCAUCAAUAUUAAUAUUAAUAAAAUAAAAAGCAGUUGAGAGCCAAAUAAAGCCACUUGAAAAUCACUCAGUCACGCUUUUGGGACAUCAUUCUGCUCAUUACUUUUAAUCUGUAUCUCCGUUGUUUUAUUUGGUAUUUAUUACCAUUAGCAAAUAAAGGGAUUAGUUGAUUAUUGUGAGCUCACUAGAUGGAGCUCACCCUUAAAUGUCGGCUUGUACCAAGGAGGUGCCUUAGGGUUAAUAAACCAACUAAUCCCAUAAUUUAUUGAUGUAGGGUCCUAACAAAUUAUUGCAGUAGGUCAGUACACAGCUCGAAAACGUAUUUGAUCCAUACAUUGAAGAUGAUUCAAUAUUAAGCAUGUCAUAUAAUCUGGAAUAGGAUAUUGGACCAAUUUGAUGAUAAUGACUUUCUUUCAAUCUCAAUCUUUAUCUUCUUCGCAAUAUGACUAGCCAUUGCAAACUCAAACUCUGACAAUGAUUUCUCAAUCGCUUUCUAAGAUAUUGAGCAGGUAUGUAUAUGUAUGUGUGUAUGUGUGUGUGUGUGUGUGUGUGUGUGUGUGUGUGUGUUUGUGUAUAUAUAUAUAUAGAGAGAGAUCACGAGUGUGUGAUUUCCUUUUGCCAAUAAGGUAUGCAGAGACCUUGAUGUUACCCAAUAGCAAAAAAGCUUCCUAAUAAGUGAAGGUAUAGUCUAAAUACUUACACUCUCAUAUUAUUUUGUUCAUCAGCAGUUUGAUUAUUUUAUAUGCAUCUUUGAUUUUAGUUUUCUUUCCCUAUAAUUGCUAUUAUCUUUGAACUGGUCAAGAUUUGCCUAUAAGAUUUCUCAUGUUGAUUUUAGGUGCAAUGGAUUUUGAAUUUAGUGCAGGUGCAGAAGCUCGAAGGCAAAUUAUGAAAAAGGAUAAAGAUCUAUAAUUAGCGGUUAUGGGAUGUCAUAUAUCAUAUGGAUGGUAAUGGGGUCGGAUCACGAGUCCAUUAAUAAUCAUAGAUUGGCUUAUAUAUUUCAAACAAUGUACCAUGAAGUAAUUUCACAAGCACUUGUUAGUCUAUGUUGAGCUUUAUUGAAUCAGUAGUUCACAGUUCAAUACAAUGCAGGUUUACUAUUUGAAGUAAAUGCUUAUGGUGUGCAUUCUUCAUAAAACUAACUACUGAAUUUUUCGUUGAAACUUGCAGAAUGUAACAGAGAGAUGCAGAUAGCAGCCACAAAACACUAAGAUUGAAAAUCAGGACUACUAAAUUCUAUUACAAGCCCUUAGAAUAGACAACGAUCAUCCUCGAAUGUAUAUACUGAAAGUAAGAAAUAUUAAUCGUAAAGUUAUGCAUCAACAGAACUAUUAACUACUUAUCUUUAGCAGAAGAUUUAUAUUUUUAGUUGCAGCUCUCUACUUUGUUCGAAGAAUUAGGCAAAAGUGGCAUAUCUCCAAUCCAAUCAGCAUAUAUACCGCUCAUCUUCUCCAGUUCUUUCCGCUUUGAUUUGCACUCAUACCCUGCACUUGCUGCUUAGAAAUAGUCAUAGUUUGCACAUUGACAGUAGAAAAAGUACUUGAAACAGUCGUUGGCACAGCAUGAGAUUCCAUUGAGUCAUGGUCUCCAAGCUUUCGUAGUUCUGCAAAGAAAAUGACAAAACAUCAUGCUAUUGGCAUUCUACUUUUAACAAUUUUCCACAACCUGAGCUAUUUCAUAUCUCUCUAUAAAUUAUGAUCCAUGAGUGGACCACUGACGGAUGCAAGUUUAUUAUCACUUGUAACUGCUGGUUCAACCUUCAGAUAAGUUUGUGAUAAAGGCAUUUACGAGUACAAUGGCAAAAUUACAUGAACUUAUGUUAUCAAUCAUUGUUUUGCCUUCUCAUGAUAGAAUUCAAUGCAACAUAAAACAUUGAUAUAUUUGUACCUUGCCAUGCCGUGUUGUGAACCUAGAAGCAAUGCAAAGUGGAAGGAACAUAUCAAGCUAUCUACUGUAUAUAACAAAUUCUUACUAGCCCACAAUGCUGUGCCGCCACAUUGAUCAAGUAACACUACUAUUUCAUUUCCAAACUGGCAUAUAUAAUCUAAUGUUGAACAAACCAAAUUGGGAAUCAUCAUUCCUUACAUUAAGCUGACAUUCGUACCUGCUAGUCCAUGGGCAAAGUUGCAUAUAUUUUCAUACAGGCAGCUUCCCCUUAUCUCUCAGUUCCAACAGAGAUUUGGUUUCCCAUCACCAGCCUUUGAUUCAUUCGAUCAUAGAUACUCCGAGUUAGCAAGCCCCUUGUUGUGUUCCCAUUGAACAGACCCACUUCUGUUAUCCACAGAAGAUCCACCACUCAAAAUACUUAUCACUGAGCUAUUCCUAAACUGAGUAGAAACUUUCGCACAUCUCUCCGCAUUUACGUUAAGAAAUCGACACCUAUCCUCAUAUUUGCAAGUUUUCUGAUAAUAGAACGGUCUACAAAGCUGCAUUUCGUUAGGCAAUCUAGUCUCUCCAUUCCUCGCAAAGUGACAUUGAUUCCCGUAUUUGUAAUUGCCUAAUUGGGGUUUUGGCAAUAGCCUGAUCUUAAAAUUAGCACCCAUUACUUUGUUCAAAGCCACUGGCAUCCUCAGAUUAGGAACAACAUUUUCAAAUUUUUUAGCCCUGUUAGUCGAAUCACAUUCAACAGGAUAGUGAGGCAGCAUUUCACCAACAGAUUCAAUUUGACUACUCAUAUUGAUGCACAUAUAAGAAUUUGAAAUCACUUUUUCUUGGAAUAUUUAAUGACCAGACGAAAGUUCUUGAAUGGAAAUUAUUUAAUUUGAUUUGAUUUCCAACAAAUUCAAGAAACCCCAGAUAGUAACUAAACAAAAAUCAAACAAUAAUACGCAAUGGGUUUCUUUCUUUUUGCUUUUGGAGGGCCAUGGAGAUCUGGAGUGGGCUGUAAGUAAAUUAUGCCUUCAUCACUGGAAUGACAAAUUUGUAGAAGAUGAUAUAUGGGGAAGGAUUGAAGUAUUGAACAAAUUAAAUUACGUCCAUUGUGAUGAAUUAAAAAUAAAAUAACAAUUUUAACUUUAUAAUAAAAUUUGAUGUUAUCAUUACAUCUUUUAUUAAAAAAUUAAAUUAAUCAAGAAUGAUAUUAUUUUCUUUUAAUGUUAUCAAACUAAUCAACCUAUAAAAAUUAUAAAUUGUGAAGAAUAAAUACAUACACCACUUAAAAUGAUAUUUAUAUCAAAUUACUAGUUUUUAAGUUUUUCUUUUCAGAUGUUGAAAAAGAAAAAACAAACAUGUCAUUUAGAUAUUUUCAUUCAGACCUAUUCAGAUUUAAACUAAAUACAGACCUAUUCAGAUUUCAAAUAAAAAACAAACACAACCUUAGUAUAGCACAGAGCUUUUUUAGUGUAGCAUUUUAUAAGCAGAUUUUUUUUAAAAAAUUAUUAUUUAUUUGGUUGUUUUGCAUAGGAGAGCGUUUAAAGCUCCAAAAUCUUUGAUCAGUCAAUUUUUUUUUUUUUUGUUAGUAAAACUUUCAACAAAAAUUUAUUAUUCAUUUGAUCGUAUAUGAGAGUUUUUAUUAGUAAGUUAUAUAAAGUUCUUUAAUUUUUUUUUUAUUAGUGCAACUUUGUACAAGUACAAUUUUUAUUUUCUAAAAAAAAUUAAUUCAAUAAUAUUAGGAAUUUCAAUAUUUAAAUCCUAAUAUCAUCUGUCACUCAUUUAUUAAAUGACUAAUUUCAUAACUUAUAAAUUUAUUUAACUAACACCCAAUGAGUGAAUAUUACUAUGAUGAAGACUCAAAUUGAAAUUUAGAUGUUAGGUUGCGUAACGUUGCUCUUAUUUGGUUAUUUAUGAGAGCUUUCUUAUACAAACUUAUUUGUAUACAAAUUGAUAUAGUCUAAAUUCAUUAACUAGAUGAAAAUAUAAAAUAAUAAAAAUAAAUCAUAUGUACUAAGAAUUGUUUAAUUCAUCAAAUUGAAUUAUCCUACUUAUGUUUGUACCAAAUAAAUUUAUAUAAGAAUUUAUAAUUCUAUUUUUAAAUGUCCAACUAAAUUUUUAGUCCUUUAUUCUUUGUAAAAUUCAAAUUCAAAUGGCUCAUCAAAUAAAAUUAAAACUAUUGGCUAAUCAAAUAAAAUUAUUUGAAACCAUUGGGUAUGGUAGCUGGACCUCUUGGAACUAUCUAAGCCAUGAAAUUAACAGCGAAAAGAGUUUUAAAUGUCUAUUUUAUAAAUUUUUUAAUUAUUUUUUUAUUUACCAUUUUACCACCCAUAGUGAAAGUGUCUCAUCGACAGUUGAACAGUCAACAUAUCAGUCCUUAGGAAUUUACGUUUGGGGUAUUUUUGUAAUUAUAAGAAGGUAAACUAAUCGCAAAAUUCAUUUGGCUUGAACUUGCUCGCCUUCGCCCUGUGUAUGGUCGUGGCGUUAUCAAUAUCACCUUCUCCACUCGUACUGACACCAAACCUUAACCGUUCAGAUUCCCUUUCUCGAUUGUCAUACCCUAGGCCCCGUCUACGUGUCUCCGAUAAACAGUGCUCAAUUAAGGCCAUCAGAUUAUCCCGGACCCACAUUGAUCCAACGGCUCACAAUGACCGACAACCUCUAUAUCUCCAUUUCAAGCUCCCUUUUCAACUGGCUUCUGCUUCCGUCGUACUCUUUCUCGGAUUCGGAGUCCGUAUUUGCUCGGCCGGUCCCGCACAGCUCCCUCUCGCUCCAAUUGUCACCCAACAAGACCAAUUGCUUAAUCAAGGCACAGACCAAGAAGAGGAUGAGAAAUUGAAACAAGAAUUUGAGAAUUGGAAAUCGAAAACGUACCCAUUUGUGAUAAGGAAUUUAUGCGAAGUAAGGGAAAGAGAUUGAAGUUUCAGAUGAAUUUGUGUGCUAGCAUUGAUGGGAUCGUUAACAAUUUAUCUGUGCCCUUUAACAAAGUUAAGGCUAAGUCAGCUUCUUAUAUGGCUGCUGAUUUGGUUAGUGUUGGUGAUUCAUGGCUCAGCUUUGCGAUUAAAAAGAGAUUGAUUGAGCCAAUAGCUGGAGCUGAAGAUCAAGAUUGGUUCAAAUGCUUAAGUCACAAAUGGAAGGUAACAUCUUUGUCUUUGACCCGAUAAUUUUUAUUGUCUUACAUUGAAAUUUGGUAAUGUGGUUUGUAGUCAUUUUAUUUAUUUGCUUUUAUUUGCACCAACGAAGUCUCAGGUAUAUCUAUGCAGGAAUGAUACAGGAGAAAUUGAUCCUCGAGGUAAAAUAUGGGCGGCACCAUACAGGUGGGGCACAAUGGUGAUAGCCUACAAGAAAAGUAAAUUUCGAAAGCAUAAUUUGGCUCCAAUUGAGGUAAUAAUUGUCUUUAAAUUUUAUAUGAAACAAAAUCAAGACUGCCUUUCUGUUCAAUAUUUUUGAUGAUAAUAUCUUUAGAAGCAUCGCAUUGACGGGUAAUAAUGGUAUCCCUGAAAGAGUCUAUAAACUCAAUGAUAUUAUCUUCUACACAUGGUUUAUUAAACUUCUUCGUUGUAGUCAAAUGUACACUAAGAACAAUGAGAAGCUAUGCUACUGUAGCAUGUAGUGAUGGCGCUUAAUAAGUGAGUUGCUAGGAUGUGAACUAGAAAAAUUAAAUAUUGUCUCCUUGGGUAUGCUAGCUUGUAAGUCAGGGUUAAUAUUAGAAUUUAAGAUACUAUAACCAUGAGAAGCUAUUGACUGCCAAUUAAAAUAUCCAUUAAAAUGUCUAGGGAGUUAAGAAGGUGGAGGUAUCUUCCGAUUUCUAAGGCCACAUAGUAGACAUCAUCCAGGAUCCAAGGAAGGUGCGGUUAAGCUCCUGCUCGGUGCAAUUAAUAAAUUUGGUCAAUGCCACUGAAACCUGCUAACUGAUGUCACAAUGCACCAUGAGCACUUCAAAAUGGGAUAGACGGUCAGUAGCACUAAAUUUUUCUUGCCUAAGAUUGGGCAAUUGGUCUAACUGCUAACCCCUAUUGUAGGUUGAUCAUUAUUUUUUCAAUUAUGUUCAGUUUGACCCAAAAAGUUACAGAAUCUUGAUCUGAAUAUUGUCACCGAACACCGUCAAUGUUGUUUAGCAUAGCCAACUAACUAAAGUUUGGUAAAACAAACACACAUUGUGUCUCAUGUCUCACAAUUCAAAUUAUCAUCUGUAAUGAUGGAGGAUUUUUCUAAUGUAUGAAGUAUGCUUUGAUACGUGGGUUAGCUUGGAGAAGAUAUCUCAAAAUAAAGAACAUGGGGAGCGAAUGGGAAGAAAACAGUUCAGUAGUUUAUUAUUCUGUAGUCAAGUUUUGUCUCAAAAAUGGUCAAAAUUUAAAUGAAUAAGGACAGCGGAUCUUCAUUCUUUUUCCCUUUUUUAUGCCAAGAUAUCUCUCAACCUUUAUAUAAUCCCCACUGGAUAUCUACUUCUAACAAUUAAAAUAAAAAUUUCACCCACACAAAUAAAUACUGACCAAGCUCUAACAAUAAAAAGUAACAUCUUUAGUCAGGUAACCUCUUUACAGUUCCUCAUCAUCUUAGUGUGAGACUAUCAGUACGUUCCAAAAACAUAAUAAAACUGGUUUGAUCCUGUUUAUUGAUGUUUAAAUGUUGUUCAUUGUGACAUGUAGAAAUGAUGAGGCGAAGUUUCUUUGGUCAUCAAUUGGUAAGAUCUUGUUUGAAGUUGUUUUCUGAAAUGAACUGCCAAAUGGUAAUUUUUUUGGGCAUAUGAUGGCUCCUUUUUCCUCAUUUUAAACAUGUGCCUGCAUGGAACGGGAAGGAUUAGGCUGCAGAGUUGUUAUAUAUUUUGACAUGCAAUGGUUAUUACACAAUUUGUUCACACUGGAAAUUAGAAUGAGAAAUUUGUUGAUGCUGUUUUGAGAGAUCCGCAUUCUAUGCGCAUUAACAUGAUUAAUGAAAACAGAUUAUAGGACUGGAAAGAUCUGUGGCGGCCUGAGCUCGCAGGAAGAAUUUCAAUGGUUAAUUCUCCCCGAGAGGUUAUUGGUUCCGUUUUGAAGUAUAUGGGAGCAUCGUACAAUUCAAACAAUAUUGAUUUGCAAGUUGCUGGUGGGAAGAUUUCUGUUCAGCAGAAUCUGGCAUUAUUGGCAAACCAGGUACUCUUAAAGAAAUGAUAUCUGGUCAUUGCAUGUUAUUGCCUGACAACUGAUUUUGUUUGUAAAGUCUGCUUCUUCAUACAUAUGAACGCAUAUGUUAGUGUUUUCCUCUCCUUUUCAUACAUAUGAAUGCAUUUGUUAGUGUUGUCUUUUCCUUUUCAUACAUAUUAAUACAUAUGUUGGCGUUCUCUCCUGAAGAAAUGGCAAGGGAUGUGAGAUUCUGUCUCAUUAAAUUAACAAAAACCCAAAACAAUGAAAACCCAUAAUAAUGUGGUGUGGGUAAAUUGGCGCCAUUUGGUUCGUUUCCUUAAUGUGAAUACGCGAGCAAUAGAGACUAACAAAAUGAAGUGACAACAAGAAGUCAGUGUCGUCUGAUGGAUGCAUUUUUAGGCAGAAAUAGGUUUGUAAUUGACCAAAUUUGUCUGGCAUGCCAAUUUCAAAAAAAUUAAAUCAUGUGAUUAUUAGCUGUAAUGAAGGGAGACAGUAGGUGCAAUCAGGUGGAUCCAGGAAAGUUCAACAAAGUUCUGGUAUGGCGUAGUGAAAUUGGUUGUCCAACUCAAGAGUCUUUCAGGUGAACGAUGAUGGGUUUUGAUUUAUAAAUGUUAUAAAUCUACUAUGAAUAGUAUUCUAGCAGAAUCAUCUGUAAGUUCUAGUUAUUGAAAUUGUCUACUUUGUCCAGUUUGAAUUAAGGGCAAAUGUAAUAUGAAAAAUAGUUGCCGCAUCUUUUAGGUUACCUAACAUUUGAUCAAUCCUAUUAUGUGGGCUUCAAGAUGUCUAACAAUAUGUAGAAUGCACAUGCUCCUACCCAUUGUUUAUCUUAUACAAUAAUUUGUUUUAGAUGCUAAUAUCUUUGUCGAUCCCGGUAUCAAUAUUACAAUAUCUGCGUUUAUUGGGUUUUACAUAGGUUCGACUGUUUGACAGUACACACUAUCUGAAGGCAUUUGGAAUUGGAGAUGUAUGGGUUGCUGUUGGGUGGAGUAGUGAUGUUCUUCCUGCUGUCAAACGUAUGUCUAAUGUUGCAGUUGUUGUUCCCAAGUCUGGCGCUAGCUUAUGGGCCGAUCUUUGGGUAUACCCAUGCCUGCCUUUCUACUUCGAUAUUCACAUUGUUAUCUCCUUCAUAUUAGUGAUCAGUAAACACGAUAAUGUGACUAAUAAGUUCGUAUCCUCUUUAUAGGCAGGCCCUGCUGCCUCAAGACUUGAAACAAAACAAAUUGGAGGGCGAGUCAGAGGUCCAUCUCCAUUAAUCCAUCAAUGGAUAGAAUUCUGCUUGCAAACAGCGAGAGCAUUGCCUUUCAAGCAAGAGGUUAUCCCGGGCGCAUCUCCCUCUGCCCUUGAGAGUACUCUGGUUAAGUUGCCUGAAGAACUUCUGAAGGGUAAACCAAGUCUGGAUACUAACUUAAUUGUUGGAGUACCCCCGGCUGAAAUUCUGGCCAGAUGUGAGUUUUUGGAGCCAUUAUCUGAAGCUACUUUGUCAGAUUAUGAGUGGCUGGUUGCUAAUCAGCAAAAACCUGCUCCUGUCUUGAUGAAAAGGGUGCAACAUUACUUGUCAUCAUUGAUCCAAAGCUUUCUAGCAAAAGCUACAUUGAAAAGUUAAUGGCACUGCAUGCCAGUGAUUAUAAUGCUUCAGGGCAAUUGGGUCAGGGCAAUUAGGUCAGAGCAUAACUUCAUUAGGAAAAGAGGCUUCAGCUACAUUAAAUAUUACAGGAUGUACUGAGAUGGCUGAAGUUCUUGAGGUUUUAUGAGAAAUGAAAGAUGAGUCUUUGUUUGAACAAAGUUGUUGCCAAUUUUGCAGAGUUCGAGAAGAAAGAUCACGGAGCGAAUGCCACCGAUUUCUUCAUCAUUGUAGCCUCCAUAGUUGAAGUUUCCUCAUUUGAAGCUGUUUAUGCAUUAAGCUUAUUCCCUGCUCAAGUACAGGAAACUGAAGAAUUAACCAGACAUGAUAUGCUGAAAGAGGGAAGUUUUCUUCCUUGAAUGUGGCCUUGUGAUUUGUAGUGAAGUAAUAGGAUGAUCACUAGCAAGAACCCUAUCAAGGUAGAUUUUAUAAUGUCAACAUAUUAUUAAGCAUUUGUCAAUUUAGCACUUUCGCAAUGAUACAUUCAUAGCCUGAAAUUAAUUAUAUGAUCCUGAUUAAUCAAUUAAUCUUCAUGAGAUUUAACCUAGUUAAAACUAAGUACAAUCAUCGUUAACAAAUACUGAAAUUGGGUAAAUAUGAUCUCGACAUUGAAGAAUUUGAAAACACAACCCACGGAGGAAAUUACCUGUUGCAUGGGGAUGGAGAUGGUUACUGCAGGGAUAUAAAAUAUGUGCAAGGUGUUGUCCACUGCUCUUUGGGUUAUGGUGUGACUUGCGAUUUCAAGGUUGCCCUGAAACAAUGGAAAAGAUUAACAUAUCCUCCAAUGAAUGAAAACGGCUUGUCUAAUUCUAAUUACCGAAUUGACUCAGAAUCAGGUGGCAAUAAUAACAGGUCAUUAGCAUUACACAGUCCGAGUACUUUUCCAGGAUCAGAUACAACGUGGUCUAAUGUUGAUAAUAAUAGUUUAUUAAAUGACAAAUCAUUGGUCUUGGGUGUUGGUUAUAUACGUCAUUACUACUUCAAGUAGAAGAUGAAGGUUGUGCAGGUGAUUUCAGAAAUAAAAUACAUUCUGAGAGAUGCUGGUCUACCAUUGCAUGCCCCCAGAUAUAAGAAUUUUUUGAUUGGGGCAUUUGGCAAGAUUCGACAAAUUCUAGAUUCAACCUCCUCCACCAAGGGAUUCCAACUGAGUUAUCAAUUAUCGUAGCAGUUCUAUUAACUAAAAUUAGCAAAUAUAAUAUAAGAAAAAGAACAAUAAAUACACACUGAAGUUGAAUUGAAAAUGAAGUUGCAAGUUGCCGCCCAUAGCUGCUGACUAAUAAUAAAACGAGACAAAUUAAUUAAACUCAGACCUCUUUGUAUAUGUUAUCCUAACUUUACUUACCCUUGUUUGUAAUUUUCACUUAACACUUGAUGCCUAAACCAUUAAAACCAAAUGACCAUAGGGGUAUUUAAAGUAUGUAAAAAUAAACAAAAACACGUAAAAAAAUUCAAACAAUUAAUAAUUACACUCUAAAUGCACCACUCAACUCUUAAUAAUAGCCAUACUCUAAAACAAUCUACAACCUUUGAGGGGAGUAGCUAUGAGGAAAAUCCUUUUCUCAGUGGAUUGCCAUUGCCCAAUAGUUGCAAUGAAAAGAGACCACCUGCAACUGUGCCGGAAGAUUCAACUAGCUCUGAAAAAGAUGAUAAUUUAAUUGAUAUGGACAGUUUCCAUAUCACUUUUAAAUCAUCUUAUGUAAUUGUGAUGUUAGUAAGCAUUAGUGAUCUAUAUGUGAACUAUUAUUGGCGCCAUUGGUGGUUUUAUCUUGUUAAAAUAUGGAUGACUUCCGGUUACUAUUUUGUAGUACACAAUUUUAUUCAAUUAACAUAUACCUUAAAACCAUUAUGUAUGUGCUUUAUUAAGAUUCUCAAGUACCAAUCACGUUUGCUUAAGAAAUAAAAUUUUACCAUUAAAAGCGUAGUAAUAUUUCCAAGCGCUUCGCAUUUAUCUCAACAUUUUGAAGGAAUUUCGAGAAAUACACGGGUCCAAAAGUCUAGUCAUCAUCCUUAUUCUUGGUAUGAGUUGAUUUUUAGUGAUUAUCUAAUUGACUGGGGUGACAACAAUAGCACAACGUAGAAUUCAAUAAUAGAAUUCUCCUGUUUAAUUUGUUUUAAGUUAAAUUAUUAAUUACUUAAAACUCUGUUUUAAGUCUUUAAUUUUAUGUCUUGGCGUAUAUGCAGAGUUGGAAUCUUGAGUGAGUUGGACAUGACCUACAAUGAGAGUGGCAGUAAACAAACAUUAGAACGUGUGGACUCCGGUGGCUGCCCUGCAAGUCUACAACUCUACAAGAAUAAUUUCUAGCCCCGUUGACUCCACUAACUAAAGUUUUUUAAAAUUUAAAAAGGUACAUAGAAUUCAACAACAAGCAAAACGUGUGGAAUUUAGUUUUUUGCCGUGUGGAACAAAAUACAAUUUAGCAAAAAAGGACAAGAAAAAUGGUAAGAUUUCUAAAAUGAGUGGAAGUUGAUCCAUAUUUUACUGAAACGACUUGCCCCGAACAUCACGACGAUUGAUUUUUUUUAUUUAUUUUUUGAAUAACAUCAACUUUCAUAUCUUUCUAACCCCCAGAAUAUGCUCACGUUCUAGUCUAUCUUGCUAAUUUAAAAAAAUAAAAUCAAAUCAACACCAAAACAAUGAAAAGUAAAGCUUUUGAAUUUCAACUCCAGCUAGCAAACGUAUUCAGCGUUUUCAAAUUCUUCCCAUUGCAUAUCUUCUUCCUCCAUCAAUGCAAUAUUUGAACGAUUAUGAAAGAAUUUAAGAACAUAAAAAAUCUCCUAGGUUUAUACGGUGUAACAAAUUUAAAUUCUCAAUUACAAUAGAUAAUAAUUAAACUAAUAAUUUUUUAUGUACUUAUUUUAGUAAUUUCACCUAAGAAUAAUAUUGUAAUUAGAAAAAAAAAAUCUAAUGAGUAGGGUGGUCUUAUACAAAAUCAACUGCAUACAUAUAUGCAGAUGCAGAUAAUAAUUUUUAAUUCCUUUUUUUAAUAAGAAAAUUGUGUAUUGAGAUGAAUAAGAUGUUUAAUUUAAUUAAUUUCCUUACUUUCGUAUACAUUGUCUUUCUAUCUAGAGAAAGCUUGGUGUUCAGAACGACAUGAAGUUGCGAGUUGUCGCCCAUGGCUGCUGAUUAAUAAUAAAACGAGACAAAUUAAUUGAACUCAGGCCCAUAUGUAUAUGUUAUCCUAACUUUACUUGCUCUUGUUUGUUAAUAUUCAUUCUUAGAGAGGUGAAAAAAAUUACAAGUCUUGAAUAACGAGGAGUUUAAUUGCCUCUAACUUUACUUGGCCAGGCCUUCUAUAAUCUCAUUAAUAAUACAGAGAAUUAAUUAUCUUUUUAUUAUUAAACCAUCUUCAGGAAGAUUUUCCUUAAUUUGCUCCAGAAGAGUUGGAGCUGUGGUUCUGAUAAACCAAAGAAUUAGUAGCAAUUAAUAUUAAUAUUUCGCCCAUGGCUGCUGAUUAAUAAUAAAACGAGACAAAUUAAUUAAACUCAGGAGCAUUUAAACCACUUCCUUAUCAAUUGCGGCAGCCGUCUAUUAACUAAAACGCCAAUCUAAUACAAGAAGAAAGAACAUUUACAGACUUGGCAAUUGAGUUCAUUAAGAAGUAGCAUCGCAUUCGGGUGAUGAGUUUCCUUUUGUUAAUGAUUUUAGUCUAAUUUCAAUUGUACUGUGACCGCUUCUCACUCAAGGUAAGUGAAAGUUACAGAUGUGGCAAAAUAAAUAAUUAAAUUAACAAAAUGCUAACUAAUUUUCCUAAAUACCUAGGGUUGUACAAUUUCACCAACCUGGAAGAAUUGACAUUAAUGGACCGGUCUCCUCCCCAUAUAAUUAUAAUCCUUCUAGAAAGCUAGUUUUUAUUAAAUAUUUGCUUUUAAGUUAAUUUCAAUUAAAAAAUGUUUUAAGUUAUAUAUACUCUAAUGAGAUUCUGAAUUCCUUUAUUCCAAUAAUAAUGAAAACGUAUUAAAUUAGAAAUGAAAAAAUUGGUGUUGAUGAUUCAACCUAUUUGGAUAGAUUACGUGAAUAAAAUUGAAAUUUUGAUUUAAUUUUUGUUUAUUGUUAAUUCUCAUGCUAUCUUAAUUUCAAGAAUUUAGAAUGUUAAUUUGGUCAUGGAUUUCAACCCGUGAGUAUCAUAUUCUAGACUUAAUGGUACCAUUCUUUGAUUGAGGGCAAUGACUCUCACUCCUCUUGUAAAAAAAUAUUUUCAACUAUUUUGAUGACUUAAAAAUUGAUAGAUUUAUUGUUGUCAUGACCAAAUUAUUCAUUUUAAUGAAAUAUAAUUAAUGCAUCAAAGUUACCAGGUUUAUGUUCUAUCUUACCUCUGUUUCAUUUUUUUUUUUUCAGUUAUCAGCUAUGCCCCUGAGGCAUUUUGUAGAGUAUAGCUUCUGCUUACCUCUGUUUCAUUUUUUUUAAUAAAAAAACAAGGGAAGGUUUUUCCGAGUCAUCCAUUAUUUGAUUUCCGUCAAUCAAGAAAACGACCAAAUUAAUUUCUCUCCAAAAUUUCCAAAAGCUAGAAAAUUUUGUUAUUUGAAAAUAACAUCAUUAAUUAUAGAGUGGAUCAAACCGCGUUAUUGUCUUUCAUAAAAUUGAUGUCUUUUUAAGAGUCAAUACUUUUGAUGUACGCAAACCAGUCGACAUCAACUUAAACUUCCAUAUUUUUAUUAUUAUGUUAUUUAUUUUAAUCCCCGAUUAUUUGAUUAGCCACUAUAUAUAUAUCAAGAAAGCGACAAAAUUUAUUUCUCAUGACUUCCAAAAACUAGAAAACAACAUCAUUUAUUAUUUUUUUGCAACCCUAAUUGACAUAAACUUUAACUUUAUUAUGUUAUUAUUUCAAUCCCCCAUUAUGACCUUUCUAAUCCUCCAUUAUGCAUCUUUUAUAGUGCAAAUUUAAUUGCACAUCUAAAUAAAUUGAUUAUUGUUACUCCACCACCAAUAUUUCAAGGAAAAUUCUAUGAUGCCGUGAUUAAAAUUACGGUAUUAAUGCCGUAGUUAUUAUGUACCGUUAGAUUAGAUCAACGGCACAUAAUAAUUAUAAUUAUAUAAAUUUUAUUUUUUCAACAGGUUACAACCCGGUUAACAUUUUUUUAUAAGUAAAAGUUAACCGAUUAAAAUUAAAAAUAAUUAUUAUAUUUUUUUAGAAAAUUAUUAUAACUGAUUUAUUUUAAAAUCGCUCAUUCACGUUAAUUAGGGAUUAUGAUAGGACCGAAGUAAAACUUCAGCCGAUUCAUAUUGAGAGGAAAAGAGCAACUGAGUCUUUCUCCACUACCAGUCUUUCUCCACUACCAACUCCACGUCAUCGCCGUUCCGCCGUUUUGUUUCAUCAUGUGUUGGGAAAGGGCAGAGGUUGUUUCCCAGUGGCCAACUCGAAGAAGCUAAAGUUCGUUAAAUUCCAAAACACAUAAUCCUUGCAAACUAGAACGGGCAAAGGCUAUCUUUGAAUUGUGCUUUUUUUUCCUGUUUUUCGAGCCAGACUGCCCACCAAGUUAGCCAAUUCUUGGUACUAAUUUUGUCUUUUAGUAUUGAUUUUUGGGGAAUUCCUUUUUUCACCUUGAUUUUCUUUUGAAUUGUUUUAUAUCUGCUUGAUUUUCUUUCUUUCACUCUUUUGUAUUCUUUGGUUUUCUUCAUCAAAAUUUACUAUUUUCACAUGUUAUCUUGAUUAUUUCCUGCUAAUUAAUUUUGUAUUGUAAAUAAUCUAUUUGUUGGACUUCCAGAGUGAGCAAGUUAAUUUGAUUUAAUUAGGUGCCUAUUAUAAUAGCUUUUCUGGUUUGUUGUAGGCAAUUCUAACUGUAUUCUAAAUAAACUUCCAUAUGAUUAGAUCUUGAUAAAUGCAAAGGAUAACAAUGUUAUAAGCCAUUGGCCUAAGAAAAUGUGUAAAUCCUCUAUUUGAGGUACAAAUUUUCUCUCAUAUGUUUUUUUUUUUAUUUUGUAUUUUUUCACAAAGAACUGGUUGUUAAGAUCCUAUUUCAUUAGUUGAAACUGAUUAAAAGGAGAUUACCCUUCGGCAGUUGGUGGGAAAGAUUUAAGUUCAUCUUUCUGGAUCUUCUACUUUAGACUUAUCAUUCAAGAAAGUGUCAAAACUCGAAUGGCUGUAAAACUUUGAACAGAUUAUUAAUUAAUUUAGGUGCAAGAUCUUUUAUAACACUUUAAUAAGUUAUUACCAUUGCAUUCUUUUUUUCUUUUCUUUGAGAAGAAACCAUUUAACUUUAGACUAACUUCCAAAUUUACCUUUGUAAUUUAGCUAAAUAGGUAAAUUUAUUCAAAAGUUGUCCUCCUCGCAAGCUUAAGGUAUUUCAACUUUGCCUACAACUACAAGUUAAAGAGAAAUUAUCGUGAAAACCAUGCCACGGCCGCAGUAUUUAAAAUGUGCACAAGGAGCUUAGAGAACUGGGCUUUGUUUGAUUACAUGAAAGGAAAUGGACAAAAUUUAUGUUACAAAAGAAGCUUGGAGCUGAUAAAUGAUGCAGUAUGAGUGAACUUUUUGUCGCUCUUUGAGGAAUUUUUCUACAAAUUUUGAUGUAGCUAUUAUUUUGGUGAAUGAUUUAUUCUUUUCUUUUUUCUUCAAUAUUAUGAUUUUGUUUCCAUAUUUUAAUAGAAAUUAUUAAAAUUCUAAGGAAAUUGCACUAUUUAUCUCAAGAAAGUGGCUUAAUUCUACAUAUAUGAGUAAUGUUUCCAUAAUUACAAGCAUAAUAGUGGCUUAACUCCAUAAUUCUACAUAUAUGACAUCAAACCCAACUCAUGCUCACCCUUAUAUCAUUCUAUCUAAAUCAUAAAAUGACAAUAAUCCAACUCUUUAACAAUUUUCACAUUGGAUUUAAGUUGAGGCAAUUGACCUAAACUAAAUAACCUAAAUUCCAAAUAAAUGUGAAAUAACACAAAAAAUUUCUAAACCACACGUAUGACUCGUAAAUUGAAGGUAAAACAUGUAAAUUAGCGUUAGAGUGGUAAAUUGGUCUACAAAAUUAAAAAAAAUAAAAAAUAGAAAAAAACUAGUAAAUUGAUAGAAAAUGUAGUAAAUAAAUGUUGGAGUUGUAAAUUAUAAGAAGAAAUUGUAAACAAAACAAAAACUUAGAAAAGUGACAUAGAACUUGUAAAUUGACAUUAAGUGUGAAAUGAAAAACAAAACUUUGUAAACCACAUAUAAAACUAGUAACUUGAUGGGAAAAUGGGAAAAUUAAUGUUGGAGUUGUAAAUUGUAAGAAGAACUUGUAAACAAAACAAAAACUUAGAAAAAUGACGUAGAACUUGUAAAUUGACAUUAAGUGUGAAAUGAAACAAAAUAUUUGUAAACCACACAUAAAACUAGUAAAUUAAUGGAAAAAUGGGUAAAUUAAUGUUGGACUUGUAAUUGGCAAGAAUAACUUGUAAACAAAAUAAAAACUUAGAAAAAUGACAUACAACUAGUAAAUUGACAUUACGUGUAAAAUGAAAUAAAAAACUGUGUAAAUCACACAUAAAACUAGUAAAUUGAUGGAAAAAAUGGUAAAUUAAUGUUGGAGUUGUAAAUUGCAAGAAGAACUUGUAAACAAAACAAAAACUUAGAAAAAUGACGUAAAACUUGUAAAUUGACAUUAAGUGUGAAAUGAAACAAAAAAUUUGUAAACCACACAUAAAACUAGUAAAUUAAUGAAAAAAAUGGUAAAUUAAUAUUGGAGUUGUAAUUUGCACGAAGAAGUUGUAAACAAAACAAAAACUUAGAAAAAUGACAUAGAACUUAUAAAUUGACAUUAAGUGUGAAAUGAAAUAAAAAAUUUGUAAACCACACAUAAAACUAGUAAAUUAAUGGAAAAAUAGGUAAAUUAAUGUUGGAGUUGUAAUUGGCAAGAAGAACUUGUAAACAAAACAAAAACUUAGAAAAAUGACAUACAACUAGUAAAUUGACAUUACGUGUGAAAUGAAACAAAAAAAAUGUGUAAAUCACACAUAAAACUAGUAAAUUGAUGGAAAAAGGGUAAAUUAAUGUUUGAGUUGUAAAUUGCAAGAAGAACUUGUAAACAAAAUAAAAACUUAGAAAAAUGACAUACAACUAGUAAAUUGACAUUACGUGUGAAAUGAAACAAAAAAAAUGUGUAAAUCACACAUAAAACUAGUAAAUUGAUGGAAAAAGGGUAAAUUAAUGUUGGAGUUGUAAAUUGCAAGAAGAACUUGUAAACAAAAUAAAAACUUAGAAAAAUGACGUAGAACUUGUAAAUUGACAUUAAGUGUGAAAUGAAACAAUAAAGUUGUAAACCACACAUAAAACUAGUAAAUUAAUGAAAAAAAUGGUAAAUUAAUGUUGGAGUUGUAAAUUGCAAUAAGAACUUGUAAACAAAACAAAAACUUAGAAAAAUGACGUAGAACUUGUAAAUUGACAUUAAGUGUGAAAUGAAACAAAAAAUUUGUAAACCACACAUAAAACUAGUAAAUUAAUGAAAAAAAUGGUAAAUUAAUAUUGGAGUUGUAAUUUGCACGAAGAAGUUGUAAACAAAACAAAAACUUAGAAAAAUGACAUACAACUUGUAAAUUGACAUUAAAUGUGAAAUGAAACAAAAAAUUUGUAAACCACACAUAAAACUAGUAAAUUAAUGGAAAAAUAGGUAAAUUAAUGUUGGAGUUGUAAUUGGCAAGAAGAACUUGUAAACAAAACAAAAACUUAGAAAAAUGACACACAACUAGUAAAUUGACAUUACGUGUGAAAUGAAACAAAAAAAAUGUGUAAAUCACACAUAAAACUAGUAAAUUGAUGGAAAAAGGGUAAAUUAAUGUUUGAGUUGUAAAUUGCAAGAAGAACUUGUAAACAAAAUAAAAACUUAGAAAAAUGACGUAGAACUUGUAAAUUGACAUUAAGUGUGAAAUGAAACAAAAAAUUUGUAAACCACACAUAAAACUAGUAAAUUAAUGAAAAAAAUGGUAAAUUAAUAUUGGAGUUGUAAUUUGCACGAAGAAGUUGUAAACAAAACAAAAACUUAGAAAAAUGACAUAGAACUUGUAAAUUGACAUUAAGUGUGAAAUGAAACAAAAAAUUUGUAAACCACACAUAAAACUAGUAAAUUAAUGAAAAAAAUGGUAAAUUAAUAUUGGAGUUGUAAUUUGCACGAAGAACUUGUAAACAAAACAAAAACUUAGAAAAAUGACGUUGAACUUGUAAAUUGACAUUAAGUGUGAAAUGAAACAAAAAAUUUGUAAACCACACAUAAAACUAGUAAAUUAAUGAAAAAAAUGGUAAAUUAAUAUUGGAGUUGUAAUUUGCACGAAGAAGUUGUAAACAAAACAAAAACUUAGAAAAAUGACAUAGAACUUGUAAAUUGACAUUAAGUGUGAAAUGAAACUAAAAAUUUGUAAACCACACAUAAAACUAGUAAAUUAAUGGAAAAAUAGGUAAAUUAAUGUUGGAGUUGUAAUUGGCAAGAAGAACUUGUAAACAAAACAAAAACUUAGAAAAAUGACAUACAACUAGUAAAUUGACAUUACGUGUGAAAUGAAACAAAAAAAAUGUGUAAAUCACACAUAAAACUAGUAAAUUGAUGGGAAAAGGGUAAAUUAAUGUUGGAGUUGUAAAUUGCAAGAAGAACUUGUAAACAAAAUAAAAACUUAGAAAAAUGACGUAGAACUUGUAAAUUGACAUUAAGUGUGAAAUGACACAAAAUAUUUUUAAACCACACAUAAAACUAGUAAAUUAAUGUUGGAGUUGUAAUUAGCACGAAGAAGUUGUAAACAAAACAAAAACUUAGAAAAAUGACAUAGAACUUGUAAAUUGACAUUAAGUGUGAAAUGAAACAAUAAAGUUGUAAACCACACAUAAAACUAGUAAAUUAAUGAAAAAAAUGGUAAAUUAAUGUUGGAGUUGUAAAUUGCAAGAACUUGUAAACAAAAUAAAAACUUAGAAAAAUGACGUAGAACCUGUAAAUUGACAUUAAGUGUGAAAUGAAACAAAAAAUUUGUAAACCACACAUAAAACUAGUAAAUUAAUGAAAAAAAUGGUAAAUUAAUAUUGGAGUUGUAAUUUGCACGAAGAAGUUUUAAACAAAACAAAAACUUAGAAAAAUGACAUACAACUAGUAAAUUGACAUUAAUUGUGAAAUGAAACAAAAAAUGUGUAAAUCGCACAUAAUACUAGUAAAUUGAUGGAAAAAUAGGUAAAUUAAUGAUGAAGUUGUAAUUGGCCAAAAGAACUUGUAAACAAAACAAAAAUUUUAAAAAAUGACAUAGAACUUGUAAAUUGACAUUAAGUGUGAAAUGAAACAAACAAUGCGUAAAUCACACAUAAAACUAGUAAAUUGAUGGAAAAAUGAAUAAAUUAAUGUUGGAGUUGUAAAUUGUAAGAAGAACUUGUAAACAAAACCAAAACUUAGAAAAAUGACAUAGAACUUGUAAAUUGACAUUAAGUGUGAAAUAAAACAAAAAAUUUGUAAACCACACAUACAACUAGUAAAUUAAUGGAAAAAUAGGUAAAUUAAUGUUAGAGUUUUAAAUUGUAAGAAGAACUUGUAAAUAAAACAAAAACUUGUAAAUGUUACAUAAAACUUGUAAAUCAACAUUAACUUGUAAAAGUUUCAUAAAACUUGUAAAUCACACAUAAAAUUAGUAAAUGUAACCUGGAACUUGAACAAAAAAGAGUAAUUACCUGCUAUUUAGGUAACAGGUUACCUAUUUAUUUAGAAUUAAUGGUAGAAAUCUUUUAUUCAAAUCUAACGGUCCACGUCCAUUACGGCAUCAAUGCCGUAAAUUUAGUUACGGCAUUAUAGAAUGACCCAUAUUUCAAAUAGUCACUAGACCAUUUCUGCCUUUAAUUUUCCCUUAAGUUUAACUAUUGACUGUUUUUAGCAUCUUAAAAUAUACAUUUAUUCCUUGAUUAUGUGAUAAAAUUAUGAAAAAAAUCCAUUUUAGCUUAAAUUAAUUGGAAUAACCAUAAACAUAACUUAAAUUAAUAGAACAAAAUUAUCAAGUGUAUGUUCUAUCUUACUUUUUGAAGAAUUUAACAUAUAUAAUGCUAUACUAUUAAUAAAUUCAUCAUUUAAUAUAUAUGUUCAAAUAUUUUAUAUAUUUAUUAAUUGUUAUAUAGUCAAAGGAUGAAUGAUUUUUCAGGUCUACAUGAGUUGGUGCAUCUGCAAGACUCAAUUUUGACAACAAUGAUCUAAGGGGUAAUUUACCUUGGUGUUUGACAAAUAUAACCUCUCUUCAAGAUUUACUUCCAAUCUACUUACUGUAAAUAUCUCCUCAUCUCCUCUCAUUUAUAUGAUAACCCUUGAAGAUCUCACAUUUUCAAACAAUCAUAUUAGGGUUUUUAUUAUUAACAUCAUUGUGUCAAUAAUAUAUGUUGCAGUAAGAUUUUUUCAGACCAAUUCCCUUCUUCAAAUAAUAAUGGAAAAGUAUUAAUUUAAAAAUAAAAUGAAUAUGCAUUGAUUAUAUCCUAAUUUUCAUCGAUUAUAGCGAGAGUUUCUCCAAAUCAACUCCCUUAUUCAAAAAAUACAGAAAAAAUAGUAAUUUAAUAGUAAAAUUAACAAGUGUUGAUUAUAUAUCCUAAGUUUCAUCGAUUAUGUGAUCAAAGUGGCAUUGUUGAUUUAUUUCUUGUUCAAUGUUAAUUUUUAGGUUAUCUAAAUUUCAAGGAUUUAAAAUCUUUGUUCAUGGAUUACACGCUUAUUAAUUUUUCUGCCAUUGACUGUCAUAUUCUAGACUUAAUCGUACCUUCCUUGAUCAAGGAUAAUUACUCUCUGUUCUCCUCUUAUAAAUUCCUCUUCCAUUAACAUCACUAGAAGUAUGUUGAUCUCUCAGACGUUAACUUCAGUGGAGAGUUUCCAAAUUGAUUGUUACAAAACAACACAAAAACUAGACACACUUGAUCUGUCUAAUAAUUCUCUUUCGGUAAAAUUAAUUAAUUUUAGGGGAAUAUUUGACCAACCUAUAUAAUUUUAGAUUGAUCAUUAAUUAAUUAGACGAAAAAAGUACUUGUGCUUUUGUGGCGACAAUUGAACCAGAGAAGUGAAGCUGUAAAGAUUUGGCAGUAGUAAUUAUAAUUUUUUCAAAAAACUUUUUUACAACACAGGCACCUGGCCAAAAAUUUUAUUUUUCUAACUAACAAUAAUUGAGUAGCUGACCGUAUUGACUCCACCUACUUGCUAAAGUAAAAAAAUAGAAAUAGAAUUUCCACAAAAUGUCAAACAUGUAAAAUCUAAUAUUUGGCCGUGUGGAACAAAAUACAAAUGAAAAAAAAUAGAAAAAAAGGCCUAAAGACUUUUAAAAUGUGUGGAAGUCUUUCGGCCCUUUUAUAAUGGUGUGUUUUUCAAAGGAACAAAUAAUAAUAAUGACACUUCUACGGUUUGUUUUGAUAAUCACACAUAUACUCUUUAAUUUGAUAAAUGGUUACACAAAUUUUGUUUACAAAAAUAUAUUAUUCAUGUUCUGUAUUAUUUUUUAACAUCAUAUUUUUAUUUAUUAUAAUUGUUUAAAGUUAAUUGUUAGGUUGAUAUAUAACAAAAACGUAUAAUCGUUCUCUUACUAAACAAACAUACUCGUAGUUUCUGUUCAUUUGUCAUCUCAAUCUCUCUCAUUUAUCCUUUAUUGAUAGCUCAAAACGCGUCACUGUGGAAAAUUAUAGCAAAAUGACAAAUAUGGAAAAAAUGGGAAGAAAAUUAAUGCAUGAAAGAGUUGUAGAAGACAACCAAAUAAGUCAACUAUACGCUAGCUGGGUGUAUAAAUUGUUAGAUGUGUUAUAAACAAAUAGCAUAGAGCCUUGGUUGGUUACAGAGAUAGAAAAAGUGUGUGUGUUUUUUAGAACUUAAAGAUACAGUUAGAAUGGGUGGUUCAAAAUCAAAAAUGGUGAUAAUGUUUGUUCUGUUAUUAAUAAUAUUUGAAGGUGGGUGGAGUGAGGGAUGUUUGGAUCAUGAGAGAUUUGCUCUAUUGCGACUCAAACAUUUCUUCAUUAAUCCUUAUAAUCUUCUUUACAACUGGGUAGAUGAUGAUGGAGCUACUGAUUGUUGUCAGUGGGAAAGGGUUGAGUGCAGCAACACCACAGGGCGAGUGAUAGCACUAGACCUUUUUGACGCGCAUGGGGGAGAGUACUGGUAUCUGAAUGCUUCUUUAUUUACUCCCUUUCAACAACUUGAGUCACUUGAUUUAAGUUGGAACAAUAUAGCCGGUUGUGUUGAGAAUGAAGGUGCUUCGUCUAAUUCAAUUAAAUUACAUUUCGCUCUCCAAAUUUAAGUCGAAUAUCAAGACUGAGCAGCUAUAUGCAUAUUCAUUCAAUUGACAAUUUUUACAUAUUUUGUAAAAUGUUUAAUUUUGAAAUUACACCAAACAUCAUAUGUGAUCUUUGUUUUGAUUUUACUUGCAGGUCUAGAAAGAUUGAGCAACUUGAAGAGGCUUGAUUUAAGUCAUAACUUGUUCAACAAUAGUAUCUUAUCAUCUGUGGCUCAUCUUUCAUCACUAACAUCAUUAGAUUUAUCUGAAAAUAGAUUGGAAGGAAGUAUUAAUGUUAAAGGUACGUAAUUAAAACGUCAUCGCUUUUCCCAACUCUUUCAUUAACAUGUUAAAAUAAGAUUCAAGGCUUUGAAUUCAAUUUUUUUUAUGAGUAAAUAUUAGAAAAAUAGUUUUAAGCAAUUCAUAAAUACAAUUUUCAAUGUUUCUCAUAAUUACUCUAACUGUGAAGCAAAUACCCCAUGACUAAUUUAUCAUUUUGUCCAGUUAAAAAUGAUAAAAUUUAUCAUUUGUUUAUAUUGAUUUAUUAACUCUAUUUUAAGUCUUAAGUCUUGGCGUCUUGGCAUGUUUGCAGAAUUUGAUUCCUCGAGCAACUUAGAGGAGUUGGACAUGAGCUACAAUGAAAUAGACAAUUUCGAGGUUCCUCAAGGUAAACAAUUAAAAUAUUAUUUAAUUACAUUAAUUUAAUUCGUUUGAUUAGGGAAGACCCAAAAUGUACAAAAACAUAAUUAAAAAAAUAAAGAAACAGAGAAUUCAUAUUAUUUCAAAAAACAAAAGGUAAUACUAUUAUUUCAAAAAAAGAAUGUAAUAAAGAUUUGAUUCCGGUUCUUUAAUCUUUAUAGCAAUUGAAAAACAAUGUUGCUCUUUUCCCAAAGCAUAAAAUACGAAUUGACUCCCAAUUAAAUUAAUCAUUUAUUUCGUUUAGGUCUAAAUUUAGAAAAAUGAUUUUUGAUUCUCUUCAAUCCUAUCCUUAUUAUUAUUGUUAAAUAGGUUACAGAGGUUUGAGGAAGUUGAAAAGCCUCUAUCUAUUGGAAGUUAAAAUUAGAGAUGGAAGCAAGUUGUUACAGUCAAUGGGAUCAUUCCCAUCCCUCAACACUCUUGACCUUUCGUGGAAUAAUUUUACCGAUAUAGCGACAACUACUACUCAAGGUAAGUAAAAGGUACAGAUGUGGCCAAAUUUAUAAACAAACUGUUAAUUAAUUAAUUUUUCCGUAUUAUUAAUUAAGCUAAAUUUGUUGCUUCUUCCUUCUAAAUCUAAACAGAGUUGCACAAUUUCACCAACUUGGAAUAUUUGACAUUGGACGAUUCCUCUCUCCAUAUAAGCCUUCUGCAAAGCAUUGCAUCAAUAUUCCCUUCGUUAAAAAAUUUGUCGAUGAUUGGUUGUGAAGUCAAUGGCGUCCUACGUGGUCAAGGUAAAAGAAAAGUGUUGAUUGUGAACUCGCUCAAUGGUGUCCUACGUGUUCAACAUUUUUAUUUAUUUAUUUUAUUGUUUAAUGUUUCUGCUAGGCUUUCCUCAUUCCAAGAGUUUGGAACAUUUGGAGAUGGAUGACGCGCGCAUUGCACUCAACACCAGCUUUCUUCAAAUCAUCGGAGAAUCAAUGUCUUCUCUUAAGUACUUAUCACUGUCAUAUUAUACUCUUAGCACUAACAGCAGCAGGAUUCUUGUUCGAGGUUAAUCAGAUGCUCCCACCCUCCCUUCUUAAUCUAUAAUAUUAAUUUUCAAUUAAAUAUUUAAUUACACAAACCAAUCACUUAUUAUAAAAGAACAAUACGCAUUCAUUAAUUUUUAUAUUGUAUUAAUAAUUGAUGAAUUUAAUAAAUUUUCAGGCCUCUGUUCGUUGAUGCAUCUGCAAGAGUUGUACAUUUAUAAUAAUGAUCUGAGAGGCAGCUUGCCUUGGUGCAUGGCAAAUAUGACAUCCCUCAGAAUAUUAGAUGUUUCUUCUAAUCAACUUACUGGAAGCAUCUCCUCAUCUCCCCUCGUUCAUUUGACAUCCAUUGAAGAGCUGUAUCUUUCAAACAAUCAUUUUCGGAUCCCAAUUUCACUUGAACCACUUUUCAAUCACUCAAGACUCAAGGUUUUUUGGGUUAAGAACAAUGAAAUAAAUGCAGAAAUAACUCAGUCACCUUCUUUUACCGCCCCAAACUUCCAAUUAUCACGUCUCUCAUUGUCUUCCGGUUAUGGAGACGGUGUCAUAUUCCCCAAAUUCCUUUACCAUCAACUUGGUUGUUGGAAAACAACACAAAAUUGAGACAACUUUCUCUCGUCAAUGAUUCUCUUGCAGGACCUUUUCGGUUGCCAAUUCAUUCACACAAGCGGUUAAGACUGUUGGAUAUAUCCAACAACAACAUCCGAGGCCACAUUCCAGUAAAAAUUGGAGAUGUUUUACCAAGUUUAUACGUUUUCAACAAUUCCAUGAAUGCUUUAGACGGUAGCAUUCCCUCUUCAUUUGGUAAUAUGAAAUUCCUCCAAAUUCUGGACUUAUCCAACAAUCACUUGACAGGUGAAAUCCCCGAGCACUUGGCCGUGGGUUGCGUCAACUUGCAGUCUCUUGCAUUAUCAAAUAACAACCUACAAGGUCAUUUGUUCUCUAGAAAUUUUAACUUGACAAACUUGAAAUGGUUACAAUUGGAGGGCAAUCGCUUCGUAGGUGAGAUCCCACAAAGUUUGUCUAAAUGCUCCUCACUAGAAGGAUUGUAUCUUAACAAUAAUAGUCUUUCGGGUAAGAUUCCACGAUGGUUGGGUAAUCUCACAUGGUUACAAUAUAUUAUAAUGCCCAAUAAUCAUCUUGAAGGCCCUAUUCCAGUGGAGUUUUGUCAGCUUGAUUCGCUUCAGAUUUUGGACAUUUCAGACAACAACAUAUCUGGAAGUCUACCAUCUUGUUUCCAUCCUCUCAAUAUCAAACAAGUUCAUCUUUCAAAAAAUAUGUUACAUGGACAGCUAAAAAGAGGUACAUUCUUUAAUUGCUCUUCCCUUGUGACAUUAGAUCUUAGUUAUAAUCGCUUGAAUGGCAGCAUUCCGGAUUGGAUUGAUGGGCUUUCUCGGUUAAGCCACCUUAUCUUAGGUCACAAUAAUCUUGAAGGUGAAGUGCCAGUUCAAUUGUGCGAAUUGAACCAACUACAAUUGUUAGAUCUUUCUAAUAAUAAUCUUCAUGGUCCUAUUCCUCCUUGCUUUGAUAACACCACACUUCAUGAAAGUUACAGCAAUAGUUCUAGUCCUGAUGAGCAAUUUGAAAUAUUUUUUUCCAACGAAAGCUCUCAGGGAAAUGUAGAAAAGCAAAUCCAUGAAAUUUUUGAGUUCACAACAAAGAACAUUGCGUACAUUUACCAAGGAAAAGUGCUUAGCCUCCUAUCAGGACUUGAUCUUUCUUGCAACAAGCUAAUCGGUCCUAUUCCUCCUCAAAUUGGAAAUUUGACAAGGAUUCAAACAUUGAAUCUAUCACACAACGACUUGACAGGAUUGAUCCCAUCAACAUUUUCAAACUUGAAGCAUGUCGAAAGUUUGGAUCUUUCCAACAACAAAUUGAAUGGGAAAAUCCCUCAUCAACUAGUGGAGUUAAAGACAUUGGAGGUUUUCAGUGUGGCAUACAAUAACUUAUCAGGCGAAAUUCCAGAAUGGAAAGCACAAUUUGCAACCUUCAACGAGAGUAGCUAUGAGGGAAAUACUUUUCUUUGUGGAUUGCCAUUGCCCAUUUGCAGAUCACCAGCAACUAUGUCGGAGGCUUCAAUUGGCAAUGAACGAGAUGAUAAUUUAAUUGACAUGAACAGUUUCUUUAUCACAUUUACAACAUCAUACGUAAUUGUGAUAUUCGGAAUUGUUAUUGUUUUAUAUGUAAAUCCUUAUUGGCGACGUAGAUGGUUUUACUUUGUUGAAAUGUGGAUAACUUCAUGUUACUAUUUUGUUGUAGACAAUCUUAUUCCAACAAGAUUUUGUCAUUGAAAUUAAUUAGUAGCUUAAUUACGAUUCUUUAAGUACUAAUCAAGUUUGCUUAGGAAAUAUUUUUUUAUUAAAAUUGUAGUAGUAUUUAGCAUUAUAUAGCUUCCAACUUCCAAGCACUUCACAUUUUUCUCUACACUUAAAAAACUGAGUGAUCAUGUUUUGCAGAUCUGGAUUUGGAGCAGGAUGGAUCCAAACCCAUAUCUGUCCACCAUAACUUAUAGCUUCCCUAUACUGUGCAGCAUACUUAAAUAAGAGAACCAUCUCCAAUGUUAAAAGCAUUCACUCUAUAACAUUCAUUUAGAAACUAUAUUCAGAAUAAUUUUAUAAUUAAACACAAGAAAUGAAACACACAGAUACACUUGAUCGCCUAUUUUACUCUAAAAAAGAACGAUUAUUGUGCUAUCAUCAUCUUCUUCACUAGCAACAUUAACACCAAAUCGAUGGACCCAUACAUUUCAUCAAGAAAGGUAUAUAUCCAAUAAAGUUGAAGCCUAACAAAAAAUUCAAGAAGAUUAAUGCCUCGCCACAACAAGGGGCACAACAACAUCAAAGUAGAGAUUAAGCAGUAUUCUCAAAGCUAAAACUCUCAAAUCCACCCACCAGAAUUUCAUAUCUCCUCAACAAUUUUAAGAACUAAAGAUAAUUAGGAUUUAACAUUAGUUUUUUAUAUAUUAGUUUCAUAAUUUACAAAUCAAUGAAGAUGAAGAUUAUGCUAAUAAAUUCAAAUUAUACCAUACAUUCUCUAGAUGUUACCAAAAAUUUCUAAGUCAAUCCCACAUAUUUCAUAAUUUUAAGACUAGAAAAUUUCACUAGUUAGAAGUUUCAUUACCUUCAAGUGGAAGAUGAAGAACAUUAUACAAGUGAUUCAGAUUAUAUCAUACAUACUCCAAAUGCAACUAGAAAUUAACAAGUUCAUGCGCACAUAUUUCAUAACAGUAAAAAUUUGUUGCUCAACAUGAUGUGUAUUUUUUUUCAAGGCAAUUUGGAAACACAAUUGUUUCUACAGAUAUUCUUCUCAACUUGGAGAUAAAUACAAAUAUUAAAAUGCAUAUGAUCGCACAUAUUACUUCGAGUUUAGUAAGAUUUCAUUAAAAGAAGCAAUCAAACCACUUAUCAAUUGUCGCAGUCGUUCUAUAAACUAAAAUAGCAAUAUAAUACAAGAAAAAGAACAUAUAGAUACUUGGCAAGAGUUCAUUAAGAAGUCGCAUCACAUUCGGGUGAGGAGUUUUCUGAUAUCUUGCUAGCUGGGGCUUUUUCUUGUCUUUCUACGUAUGCCGAGGGAAACCAACCAGCUUGGCCCUUGCAUUCACCUUCCGACCAUCCAGUAGGAGCCACCUUGAGAAGUUAUAACUAAAACGGUGAAUUAAACAAAAGUUAAUCGUUCAAAGACCUAAGGGGAAAACUAAUUCUUUUACGUAGGAGGAGUGAAUUAGUUGUGAUCACUGAAAUAACAGCAUAACUAUAGAAGCAUAACAAGAUAUAAAUUCACAUGUCUAUAAGGGUAAACUGGGUGGUUUAGAACCGAGCUAGCAGCCCUACUAUAUUCUGAUUUGCACUUCAAUGUAAAAGGGAAUAUAUGGUAGGAAGAAAGAAAACCAACCAUCAUUUGUUAACUCGUUGCUUUUCAAUCAAAAUUUUAAGAAAAAAAUGCCAUGUGCUUUGAACAUCAAAUAAGUAUAAGCAUUAGUUCUAAAUUCCACAUAUCAUAAGUUGUUAGAAGGAUAAGUUAAUAGCAGAGUAGAAAAAUCUAUGUGUUGGUAUUUAGAGGGGAAAGUACCUGGCGAACCACAACAUAAUCAUCAAUUGAAAGACUUAGCUUUCCAUUUGCUUGAGCAUCAAAUGGAUGUAUAACCUGCAAGAUAAUGGGAUAAAUAGAACUUAAAAAAAGCAUAACAAAAGUAGCAACAGUAGCAGCAACGUUCAUUGUAACCACUAUGAUCAUGGCCAACAAAGAUAUAUUAGAAACAAAAUUCCAUUUUUACUACGACAUUAAUAUGUACUAUACGAUAUCAUGACGAUUGGGUUACUAAGAGCUAUCAAAGUCUAAUAAGUUCUGUAUAACUUUAUGUAGUUAUUUAAAUUAUGGAUCAGAUUUUAAAUUUGAAAUUUUGACUGCUCUCCACAAAACAUGGCCUAUGCACAAGAAAGUCAUAGAUAAUGAGGAUUACAAGUGUCCGACAUCUUUUGAGUGAUGGAUUUAACAUGAGAGCUUAUGGUCAGUCAAUUUCCUCUGCCUAGCAAUAUAAGCUUUCUCGGCCAGAUUUAUCUUCAAAUACAUAGAUUGCCCCCAAGUCACAUCCAUAUAAACAUAGUUUUUCUAGGUAAACCAAGUAAGGAGUAUCAUAAUUCAGACAUAAUCAUAAAAAGGCCCAUCUAACUUAAGAGAAAAUCUCAAAAAGAGGGAUGCUGAGCUAUCAGUCUUGUAUCUAUAAGCAAUAUCAAGACUUUACAUCACCUGCUACAUCGUGAGUGGCUACACAACUUUCAGUGGUUUGUCUUUCUUUGGCAUGCCUAACUCAGCUUUGAUGUUGCUGAGAUAUUGAUAGUAGAGACACAUGAUACUUCUAGCUCAUGCAUUCUAUCUAACUCAUCCAACAACUAUCUCUUUUUUAAUUCAUUAGUGUUUGCUAAACCUCAUGCUUAAAAGUCCUGUUCUCCUAAACAAAGUUUCCUAAGAAUGACUUCCUUAGCACCACAUUUGGACACUUUUAGAGCAAUUUUAUUUGGGGGAAAAGAAUUUUCAAGGUGUUAACUAAUAAAUUUUUAAAAAAUAAUUACAAUUUGUCCUACGAUCAUAUGACAAUUUAUCUGGGAUGAAAGGAUACAGAUAGACAUCUUCCACUUUCAAGACUAAUCACUACUUCCGUAGAUGUUGUGCAAUAAUACAAAUACUUGACCAGAUGGUAGUAAUGGUAGAAAAAAAUUUUAUUGCUCCAAAAUUAAAAUAAGAAUGCAAUAUGUUAAGCAAAAGGCUGUGCAACAUCAAAUUAAUUGAUAAGUUUGUAAUUCAGUAAAUUAACAACUUUCAUGGUAAAAUACAACAAAUUUCUUUUGAAAAAAAUAAAAAAAAUAAAUCUUAAAAGACAGCAUUCAAUUUUGUGCGCAUCUUAUUUCUUAAGAUUUUUCAGGAGGAGGGCAAUAGAGGGACUUUCACCUAUGCAAGAGAGCAGAAGCCUUACUUUCCCUAUAAAGUAGACGUCAUUCUGAUUAAUAUGCGUUUGCAAAUCAGCUCCGUUUGAAUCAGUAUUCUGAUAGACACACGAGGCAUUUACAUCCAUUUCCAAAGUCACAUGUUGCGAGGAGGACUCAUUUGAUUGCUCCUAUACGAUCAUCUAAUUCAAGUAGCAAGGGUUGGAAGAGAAUAAAAAGUCACAAUUAUUCUUUUGCAUAAGUGAGACGAAAAUGAUAAAUGCAAUAUUAUCAGCAGUAAACAAGAAGAGAACGCUCCAAGAAAUAGAUAGAUGCAGACAAGCAAGUUAAAAUGCAUAGUCCCAAACCUCCGCAUACAACUUCUCUAAAGUAGCAAUAACGUGUUGAUGCUAUGUUUUCUCAGCAUCUACCUGCAAAGGCCCGAGACCAGGAAAACAACAAUAAAACCACUAGCUGAAGGAGAAAGCAAAGAAAGAAAUACACUUGACAUAAAUCUUGACAAGAAGCACAAUUUAAGACAUAACAAACCCCAAUCAUAUUGUUUAGAACUACCAUUCGUUAUUUCGUUAUUGUAACAUUUCGAACAAGUGUUGACUUAAUUCAACAUUGUUGGAAAGAUAGGCUUUUAGAAGCAGAAGAAAGCCUCUCAAACCAAAGUGCUUGUCCUUGUAUUGAUCAAGGGAUGUAAACAUAUUACAUUUGCAGGAUGAGAUUUAAUCACUCCCCUGAUUUAUUUGGGUUGCAAUAAAACUAAGCGAGCAACUGUUUGACUUUCAAGCAACAACUAAAUCAGCUAUUAAAAUUCAAAUAAAAUCAUAAUAGAAUAAUAACAGGCCAUCUUGCAUCAAAAAUUAAGUUUAAUUUGUGAAUUUUUUUCUAUAGACAUGUCAGUUUCUGCUAUUGAAAUGUUAAAAGUAUUGAAAAAUUAUUCAAUAAAUUAUGCAAGCAUUAAAAUAGAGGAAAAAUUAAAAAGUUUCUAAUUACAAUGUUAAUAUUUCCUAUAUUUUAGCAUUUGCAUAUUUUAAUUUAUUUAAAAGCUACGUCGAUCAACUUUGGGCAUGAAGAUUUUAGAUUCUACGAGACUUGAUUGGAAUAUGCAUAAGAGUGUUAAAAUAUGAUGCAUCCAACGAAAGACAAACCACGUGUAGUCUUUUAAUUAAGCCAAAGUAGCAGCUCAAACAAAUGACACUUGGACCAACAUGCAAUCAUGAAGUGGCCGGAAAAAGGACAAAUGCUACUUUGGCUUAAAUAAAAAAUAACAUGUGACUUGACUUUUGCUGGACAUGCAUCAUGUUAUUACAAGACAACAGAAAUCAGUAUGAUAGUAAUAAAAGUUGACAAUAACAUGAAGAUAAGAGGCAGAAUGUCAACACAUGCAUAGGCACACACAAGAAAGUAUUAACAUAUAUACCAUAGCAAAAACUCUUUGAUAUGUCAUCUGUUGCUGCUGUGAUUCAACUGACAGCAUGGCAGCUGUCGCUUCUCUACCAAGAGCCAUUAUUGUAGAUUUAAGCUCGGUCAAUCUUGCUUCUGCAUUUCGAAGCUUCACAGCACUCUCUGCUGAUAUAUCAGAUUCCCUAAUCUUUGAUCGGUGCCUAAAUACUUCAGCUGCCUGGUGAAAAUAUUCAAUAUAAAUCUAAUAUAAUUCUCAUCUUGCCUUAUACAUGCAUAUGUUACCUCAAAGCUUACCUGGGCUUCAACUUCAUGUCGAAGUUUGUCAUAACGAUGAGUCAGGUGUUGAGCAUCUUCCAAAGGUGCUCUGUUGAUUAACGCCCGUAGUGGCUCAGAUACCUACAUGUCCAAAAACCUGUAACAUAGUUAGAAAAAUGAAAAGAAAGAGCGAAACCUAAAUUAAAAAGUUCCUCCAACAUAAUCAUGGAAUUUGGGCCUACUUUAAGAAUAUAUAUAAGGAUAAUUUAUGCAAUUUUGGGUCUUAGGAUGAUUGGUAUUAGGUUAGUGUUCUUCUCUUCUGUAUUUAAGGUUAAAAUAGAAAUAAACCUAUGCAAAUAUCUAAAUUAGGCCUGUAAGACAUCCACAUGCAUCCUUCAGUCUCAUGGAUUUGAUUUUACUAUAGAUGCAAGUGUCUUUAUCGAAAAUGCUUGGAGUCAAUUGAGAGAACUCAUGGCCAAUAACUUGUCACACGCUAGUCUUUGCUAGUGAUGUAAGAAGUCACAAGGUCUCUUCAACAUUUGAACCAAUAAAAUUAUUAAGUCAUGGAUGUCACUAGCAAUGAUUUUAAUAUAAAACAUUAAAUAUUUCAGAGUUGUAACUUUAAAAUGGAUUCUUUUAUUCAAUAUCAUAGAACUAAGUUUCCUUAUGAGAAGAUAAUAGUUUCGAUAAUAAUUUUACAUAUAAUUUUCUAUAUUUGAAUUAUUUUCUAGUUAGGGAUGAACUAACCUGAUCACGAAGAAUCCCGAGCAAAGUUUCCCUCUCAUUUUCCAUCAAAUCAUGUGAAGUGCCAAAUUGAAGAGCAGCUCUUGCAACGCAAGAAUUGUCACUUUGAUUCUCUGCUCCAUACUUGCAACAAUCUUCAGCCAACUUUCUCGCUACACUAUUUGAAUACAAAAAUAUUGUACACAAGAACUAUAAAAAACGAAUGAAAAAUAAAUAAAAUCGAGAAAUUUCACUAAUUAAAAGUCUAAAUAUAAUUUUUGAAAAAAGAAAAGAAACGGACUUGCUGCUGCUUGGCGACUUGUUCUCGGAGCUUGAUUGCCUGUUUCUUGAUAGUUUCCAUACUGUUUCUUUCAAAAAGCGACGACGGCUCAGCUCAUGGAAGUGGAAAAAAAAAAGUGUGAUCUAGAAAAAUGAAAAGGCGUGAAUAAUUUUUGACAAAAAGCGAAAAUCAAGGAAAGCCGGCUCUUUCCAGAAAAUAAAAAAAAGAAAAUCAUAAGUUUGAAAGGAGAAGAUGAUAGUGGAAGUAUGCGGUGUGGCUGCCAGGUACUUGGAUUGUAUUGUCGGGUAAGGUAAUAGUAGCGAAUUAUAAGUUUGAACAGAGCAUGUUGGACUUUUGUUGACCAAAUUCAAAAGCCCAAUGGCACGGCCCGGAAGCUUUUGAAUAGAAAAACUUGCUAGAAAGCAUCAGUUUAAAUCACUACUUAAACGCUUGCUUUAACUGCACCGCUUUGUACUGUUUUAUGUAUGUAGCGGUUGUGUGGUUGUAAUUCACGGCUGACGCUAUGUGUUUGUUUGUACUGUUCUAUUCGGUGAUUGGGUAUUAUUAGUUAGGCCAAAACUAUGUUGCAAUAGUGGUAUUUCAGUCAUUGAAUCUAUAGUUGUACAGUUACAUUAAUAAGAUCUAAUGGCUGAAAGCAACAGUGGUACCGUACCACUGUUGCAAUAUAACUGGACCCUAUUAGUUAUUUCAAAGGGAUAAAUAAGAUUGCUUACAACAAACCUACUAAUUUUAUAAAAUUCAAGUAAUAUAGAAUAAAUUAAAAAAAUAAAUACAAAAUUGACUUUUAUUUUUUAUGGUUGACUAUAUUUUGUGUUCUCUCUGCUACAAUUCUUCCCUAUAUAUCAAUUACACCACAUACUAUCGACACAAGAAAUGAAAUCUAAUAUCACCCGUUUAGUUAAAAAAUCACUCAUGAAAAAAUUUUACCAUUUUGAUUUGAGGAUCCAUAUUUUAAACUGCAAGCUAAUGUUCAUCAAGAAUUACUGAUGGCCGUUGAGUAGAAAAAUUAUUUUUGGACAAAUUAUUUUUGUUGAUAGAAGAAUUUCUUUAGGGACUACUAAAUUAUUAAUAAAAAUGUCGAACACACCCACAUAUCAUCGACACAAUUGAUUUUGAGGAUCCAUGCUUUGAACUGCAGCCUAAUGUUCAUCAAGAAUAGAGUAUGGCUUGUGAGUAGAAAAUUUUCUUAUUUUGGCCCGAAAUAAAAAGAAAUUAAAUUGGAUGAGAAUCUGCCACUUUCUCAUGAAGAAAGGCAUACGGAGCAUACCAUGGUACCAUACAAUAUAAGGAGCCUCUAUUCUUUGGUUUUUCAAACUCUGAACGGGCCAAUAUUGCCAAAUUCCCCCUUGAAAAUUCUGAUUACGACAUUAUUCAUCGCUUGAUGCAAUCAAAGUAGUGACAAAGUUAGGAAAAAUAUGAGUCCUAAGUAAUUGCUAGGCAGGGUUCCUGAGAGCAAAAUUGUCCUAAGCAUUAUAUGCAUACAUGGUGCGGUACAUAGAGCACGUUAAAUUCCCCACUAUAUCACAAACCCAGAAAGACAAGUAAUAACUCAACUGAUAUAAAGACAAAAAGAAGAUAAAAUGAUAUAGAAAAAAGAAUUUCAAAGAGACAGCAACAUACGAUAGACUGAAGCCACUUGAUCUGCUCAUUGAUUGCAGCCUUAAACUUGCAAAUAGUUACUGUACGCUAGUGCUCUAAGAAGUGAAAAUGAUGCCAGCCCUGAUUCCCUUUUGACUUCCAUUUACUGUCAAACAUUCUAGUAAUACAAAAAAUUGUUUAGAUAUCUUGCUAUAAAUAUAGCCGUUUGACUGUCAUAAUAAAGUCACAAAUAACCAUUCAUAUUGAUCUACUGUCACACAGCAUGCUUUAUGCAUACAACAGCUGUAUGUAUACCAACUCCUAACCUUAUCAAUACAUUUGGCAAAAACUUAAGAAGAAAGCUAUUUCUCCAUCUCUUUUUUGAAAUUUCACAAUAACCAGCACAAUGUGAAAGCUAUGUUCUAACCUUAUGAUAAAUGCUCUAGACUCCAAAAGGAUUUUAUAUAUGAGAGUUUGUUGCAGCAGAUAUAUUGACUUAUCAAGUAUGAAUCAUUGUCUGGAUGAACUAUCUUUAGAUAAAAGAAUAUUAGAACCACUGUAGAAUAUCUUUACGCUGCUGGUUCUAACAGGAAUCUGCAUGUGGCAACAAUUGCUAGAUCCACAAUUCCCCAACUUGAAAUACAUAGUUGCACACCAUGAGAUAGUGCUACAAUCUACUGAGAUCUAACUUAUAUGGUACUUUAAGCUACUAAUGUUUGCAUAUUUCUACAUGUUAAAUUAACACUAUUAUCUAUAAUCACUCCAAAACAACAAAUGAUAAGCAGCUUUUGGCCACUUAGUACUAGCAUCCACAAUUAUAAAUAAGAGAUCAUGGGUUUACUUGUUGCACCUACUUAAUUAUCUGCAGUUGACAUCCUGACGCAAGGUUUAAAUAGUGACUGCUUAGAACCCUUGUAGUUGGAUCUUGACCUCUCCCAUUGUAGCCAAGAUUGGUUACUCUGGUAAUGAAUCAACACUCUCCUGCUCAGGGCCAUGAAGAUCUGAAAGCUCAGCACUAGUGGAGAACUUCAUCAAUCUCUUCUUCUCAGCAUACUUGAGACAAGGCUGCCUUACGAGACCAAUCACCACAGCACCAACGCUUAAAACUGCAACUUUUAAAGAAGAAAGAGCCAACACAACACAACACAAAUCAAUAUGGUUGGAGGAAUACACAUGAUAAUGGCUCCAACAGUGACAGUGGGUAUCUUGUAGGGACGAGAUGCAGCAGGAUAUUGCAUCCUUAACCAUACAAAUGCUAUGAACUCCAUAAUCAUUCCAAAACAGUACAGGAAGUUCUCUGCAGCUACAAUAUCUCAAAAGCUCAGCCAUGAUAGCAAAACCACACCAGAUGCUGAGAAUAUGAUUCCAAUCAAAGGAGUCCCAUAACAAGACCUCUUAGCAAAAAACUCAGGUAGCAUUCCACGCUCAGCCAUCCCCAAAAGUUGGAAAGAGUCGCUGCUCAUCUCAGCCACAAACAUGCCCAUAUUGGACAUUGCUGCAGCCCCCUGGAUGCACCAUCUCAACCAAACUCCUCCAAGCACUUUAGCGAUAUCUGAAAAGUAACCAUUGGUCCACAAGUCGCGAUCUAAUGGAAUAGCUCCAGUUCCAAGUAGAAGGGGAAAGAAAUAUCCAAAAACGACCAAGAUCAAAGCAUAAAACAAAGCCUUUGGAAGAGUCUUCUUUGGGUUAUCCACCUCUCCAGCUAGUGUACUUAUUGAGUCCCAGUAGUUGGAGAUUCCAAAACAGGGUGUUCAAAUACAAAUUCCAGUCCACUUCACCUAAAUUUACUACAAGCCAUCUUGAAGGCUCUAACUUGGGAAGGGACACAAGUCCCAUAACCACAAAAGGAAGGAAUGAGAAAAUCCCUAAAAGAACAGCAGCCCAUCCCACAAUGGUUAGACCCCUAUAGUUCAUGAAAGUGAGAACAAAAGUCAAAGCUAACGCCGCAAAGGCUCUAGGUAACCCAUCGCCCAAAGCAGGGAUACCAGACUUCAAGUAGUCAAGAAACAGAACUGGGUAUAAAGCAUUAUCAAUAACCCCACUUAGCCACUUCAUCCAAACUUGCUGAAAACCCCAAUAUGGGCCUAAGGCAGAUGAAACCCAAACCAUAUAACCACAAUUUUCAGGAAACACGGUACCCAUCUCGGCAGUAAUUAAAGCUUCAGGGACACUCCAUAUAAUCGGAAACACCAAGAAACCAAGAAGUGCUAAAAGAGGACCAGCUGCCUUUACACUAUCCUCAACACCAAACGGCCCCCCAGAAACCUCAUAGAAUAUAAGGAAAAUAAGUGGCAAGAUUGAUACUUUUUAGCGCCAUGGACUCUAGGAGAAGAUGGUUGGUCAUUGAUAUUAACAUAUUCAACAGCAUCAGACUGCCCCAUUUCUACUGAAAGUUGCCUAUUCACAGUGUUCCUCAAUUUCUGCAUCAAGUUUAAGCAUAACUAUCAAAAGGGUAUCGGCAUCUAAAUUAUGAAACAAAAUGAGCAUUUACUUAUUAAAAAAAAUCAAAAAAACAGAAAUGGAUUUCACAGAAUACAUGAAUUUAAGUUCAACAUUAAACAGGCGCUUAAGAAAACAAAAGGGUCUGUUCGUAAAGCCAUCAGAUUGCAAGAUUGAACAACAUUAACGGAAUCAAUAGAAUAGAUGUAAAGAGAUCUGAAAAGAAAAUAAAAUAAAAGAUGAAGAGAGAUAAAACGAACCAUCAAAUAAGUGCAUGCAGAGCAGAGAGGCAGAUACUAGAGAAGCUCCGUCGUGUUAGAGUAGGGGUGGCAAUAUGGGUCAGGAUUCGUUUAUUCGAUUCGAUUCGAUACGAAUUAAAUGGGUUUGGGUUUGAAAAAAUUAAUUCGUUUAAUAAAUGGAUGAAUUCGAUUCGAUUCGUUAAUUAAACGAAUCGAAUGCGGGUUUGAAAAUUUAGAUUCGUUUAUUCGUUUAAAAUUCGUUUAAUAAAUGGGUCAUAAACGAAUAGAAUACGGGUCGAUUCGUUUAAAAUUCGUUUAUUAUUUGUUUAAUUAAAUUACUUUUUUAUCCUUAAAUUUAUUUGAAAGCUUUUUAAAAUUUGAAGGUUAAUAUUGUAAUUUUAAGUAAAUAACAAAAAAAAAAAAAACAAAGUAGCGGAAACCUAAAGCUAAAUCCCUAAAAAUUCUCCCUUCACUCAGCCGCCGCUCUCGUUGCUCUCUAGUCUCUACCUCUCUCACACGAAUCACACUCACCCACCCAUACCAAGUGAAGCAAUCAAGCAACAAAAACAGCCGCCGGUAGCCACUGUCAUUAACUCACAGCGAACCGACGAUUACAACCACCAUCGUUCAUCCAUCAUCGAUUGAGCUUGAGGGACGCAGCCACGCGAGUGCAGCCCGCAACUCGGCAGCAACCCAGGAGCAUCAGCCGCGCAACGUAUUAGCAGCCACUCGAACCCACAGCAGUAGCUAACUCGUGCGGCGGUGCAGCAGCAGCAAACCCAGGCGAGCGCGACCCGAACCAGUGCCCAGGUUCUGAGUGAGUUCCUCGUUUAGGAAGAUCGCUUUUAAUCUUUUUGUAGUUACUUUGAUUUUAAGUAACAUAGACGAUGAACCCAACAGAGAAGCUGCAACGAGCUAUCCAUUUUUGAAGCGGCUUCUGUGGCUCUGCGUAAAGAGCUAAUUAACCAGCUGCAUCUUGGACCAAGAGAUAUAAAUGAAUAUAUUUUUCUUUUGCGCAGUACGAAGCAGUAAUUAAGUUGUUCUCUAGGAAAUCAAUCCAUAAUCAAGGUUUUAAUGCUAUUAAUGAUAUACAGUAUGUUCUUCUUUAGAUUUUAUAAGUGUAUAACACCUCCUUUGACAUAAUAUAUAUUGAUGUAGACCUCUCGGAGUCAGAUGGAUGAUUUGCCCAGGCCGGCUGCUUUCUGCAAGACAAUGCCAAAAAAAAAAAAAACCUUUUGCUCGCAGUUUAUGUGUUUUAUCCACAUUUGACAGGGCAUUUUGUAAUUUAUUUGAGCAUUAAUUAUGCCAAGUUUCAGUUCUGUUCUCAUUUUUCUUGGACUCGUAACAGCAAUCAGCAUCAGGAAGAUGCAAGGUAGGUUUAAGUGCUUAUUUAAUUAAUUCCCAAGCGAUCCGAAUCAACAAGCCAUCACCAACUCAGGGUAAUAUCAUGAGAUUAUGGUUGAAUUAUUGAGAAAUUUUGUAUUGUAGAAUAUUAUGAGAUUAUGGUUUAGAAAAUGUUUUGUAUUGUUCGGAAAAUAUUAUGAAAUUAUGUAUAAAUUGAUUAUGGUGUUAAAAAUUAUCUGUAGGAUAAGGAAGAAGCCCCCACAAAUAUUGGAUUAAUUUUUUUUUAGUAUUAAAAUUUAUAAUUUAUUAUGUUGUAUUGUUAAUAUUUUGUGUAUUGGAAUAUUGUGCAUUAGGAAUAUUGCUGGGUUAGAAUUUGGCAUACAUGAUGAAUAGAUUUGAUUUUUGAAAUAUUGUUAGGUAAAGUUUUUAUCUUGUUCAAUUAUCAUUUCCUUGAAAAUGCUACAAAUUUGCUAUAUAUUUGAUUUUUGAAAUUUUACAAUGACUAUUAUCAAUAUUGCAGCAUGUUAAUAACAUUUUAUUUACUUUUUGGUGUAGGAUUUUUGUUUUCAAGGUGACAAAGACAAAUGAAGAGAAUUAAAGAAAUUACAUUUCUUUAUAAUUUGAAUUUGAAUUAUUGUUAUUUGUAAUAUUAAGGAUUUGGUAUUUGGUAUUUGGAUGACUGUAUAAUAUAAUUUGAAUUAUUUGUAUUUUGUUGUGGGAUAUUAAAUUUGUUUUUUUUGCUUAAUUUUGUUUAUUAAUUAUAUUUUCUAAACGAAUUGAAAACGAAUCCUAAUUCGAUUCGAUUCGUUAUGGAUUCGUAAAUGAUAAACGAAUAAUAAACGAAUCCGGAUUCGAUUCGAUUCGUUUAUCAAUUCUAUUAAACGAAUUAAACGAAUCGAACCGAAUAUUCGUUUAAUAAACGAAUCGAAUCCGAAUCCUGAAAUUUCAAUUCCUUUAAUAAACGAAUCGAAUUCGAAUUCGAUUCGUUUAUUCGUUUUGCCACCCCUAUGUUAGAGAGAGCCUAAUUCAAUCAGAGCUCACUGAGUUUCUUUUCAACCGACCGGCAAAUUUGGAGUGCCACAACAUAAUAUUUUUACUUUUAAUUUUUGGAACACUUUUGAAUAGAAUUUUUUGUUUUUAAAAAAGGUAAGGGAGAUUAGUAUUUAUUUAACUUUAUAUUUUUUUAAAUACUUUACAAAUAUUUUUGUCGUUAAAAUAUUAAUAUUUUUAUUAAUAAUUUUUAUAUUUUUAAUUUAUUUUUAUAAUAUUAUUUUUUUAUAAUAAUUUUUUAUUUUAAUAUUAAUAAAAAAUAAUUAAAUUAACAAGUUAAUCCUAAAAUAAAUAAACACGUGUUUGGUUUUGGGCUUUUUCUUUUGUUCGUUUAAUAUCAUCUGGCUCCCUGAUUUGUGACUAAUUAUCAACGGAAUCCCGUUGGUUUCUAAAUUGAAAUAAUAGAAGGUCAUGAGACUAUUUACUCCAUUUAGCACUGCAGACUUAGGUGGCGUUUGUUUUUUAACUUAAUGACUUAAAGUGACUUAACUUAAUUAAUUAAGUUAAUUAGAGGUGUUUAUUUUUAUAACUUAAUAAGACCUUUUAGAUAAUUUUGACUUAAUAAAAUAAGCCAAUUUUUUUGGCUUUUUACUUAAUGGAGAAAUCUGAAUUAAGUCAAUUACUUGCUAAUGUCAAAAAUAUCCUUGCUUUAUAAUUUAUUUUUUAUGUCUAUCCCAAAACUCACCCAUAGACAUUUACCCCACACAAAAAUAUCCUUAUUUUUUCUUUCUUAUAUUAUAUACGAUAAAAUUUAAAAUUUAUGAUAUUUUAUAUAUUAAAAUUCCAAAAUAAUUAUGUAUUCACUUGAAUAUAGUUUUACUUAUAAAUGUUAAAAUAUUGUGGUAUUUAAUUUAUUAUUUAUUUGACAUUCAAAUUUAAUAAGGAUACAAAUGUAAAAGUACAUAUUUUCAGCUUUUUAAGUUGAAAAAAACAAACAACUUAAUACUUGUUUUCCGAGAUUCAGACAAAAAAAUAAACAUAUUAUUCAGAUUCAGACAUUCAGAUCUAUUCAGAAUUCAGAUUAAUUCAGGUCUAUUCAGAUUUCAGACAAAAAACAAACGCCACCUUAGAGUAUAUUGAAAAAGCUUUGUCAAAUAGUAGUAAUAGGGGCAUAAGAAAUAAAUUAUAGCUAUCACAAAUUCGUUAGAAGAAUUUCAAUUUUUUCCAUCAAUAAUGGCUAUGAAGCAAAAUUACCUUAGGUUAUAUUGCAAUACUAAUACUUCAAAUCCUGAUAAUAAAUUUGAUGACAGUCGUUUUUAUCAUGGUUUUAACAGAUAUAAGAAGAGAAAAUUAACUGUUCAAACAAAUUAGAAGCAAAUUCUUUCAUAUCUUUCUUUUAUUUUUCCGCUUACUUUCUUAGCAUCCAAACAAGUUAAAGUUAAAACGCUGUUAGAGCCAACAAUAUGCAGGCAUCAAUAAGCAUAGUAGUUUUGUAUAUGUAUUCUAUACGAUAUUCUAGGGAUGUCAAUUGUAGAACAUUUUGUGGUAACUUUUUUACAUUAAUUAAUGUUUGAAGAACUUGUUAAAAAGAAAAUGGUAAUUUUAUCAUUUUGAAAGACAAAAAAAAAAAAAAAGAGUGAAAGUGGCGUUACCUCAUGGUCAUUAGAGACUUGUUGCAAUGAUAGCUCAAAAUUAAAAAUUUGUGAAGAAUUAGUAGACAACGACGAUACUAUAUUUAUACAGUCACCAACGUGUUGAUUUUUGUUUAAUGUUUGAUCGAUAGAAACUUUCGUCGUCGUCGCCGUUGUUGAAUUCGUGCUUAGAAUAUCACAAGAGAAGAAAAAAGGAUGAAAGGGAAGAGAAGAAGAGAGAAGUGGUGGAUAGCAAAUAUGAUAUGCUAGCUACACACAGGCCUUAGAGAGUUUUUUUUUAAUAUUUAUUGUAUUUUUGUUUUUGUUAUUGGUUUUUCAUAUGCUUCCAAGGCAGCAAUGCGUUACAUCAUAAAUUGGACCUUUUAGGGGAGGUGGUAAAAAACAUGAGAGCAAUGCAUUCUAGCGCAUACAUGCAGAAAGAGUUUCCAAAUUUUCAAAAGUUUUUUUAUUUCUUCCACCUUUUUUUGCUUAAAAUAAAUUUUAAUUGUAUUUUGCAUUAACUUAGAGAAAAAAAAAAUCCAGUUCUAUACAUAAACGCAUACAUUGAUUAGAAAAUGAGUUUUAUGGACACAAAGGGACAAUAUAAGAGAUUCUUUUUGUUUAUUAGAAGUAACAUAACUAGUUAGUGUAACAUGUAAUUAUAAGCUACCAAUAAUUUGCACUGAUGAUAAUUAACGGUAUAGAUUUUGAGCUAUGAAUGUCUUGUGGCUAGUUUAAUUGGAUUUUCGAGUUUUCAGCAGAUCUAUUUUAAUGAUUAUUAAAUUAUUUUCACUUCUUAUGCCUUAAUAAAAAAAAUCAAUAUUUUUUGUUGUAUUCUAUAUUUUAAAACUUAAUUUUUAGUUCUUUAUAUUGCAAACCAAACUGAGUCAAAUCGAGUAUGCUCUUCAAAUAAUUUUUCCAUUGCCUUCAAGAAGAAUUCAUUUUAUUUUUAUAUAUUAAUUUAACACUUGUAAACCGGGCCGUCAGAUUGCACAUAAAGCAAAUGAUCAAACCGUUACAAGACCGGCCCAGGCCCACCGACUCUAUUUUCUUUCAUUUGACCAUUAAAAAGCUUUUGGCCACCCCCACCAAAUAAAUAAGCUCUUGUUCUCUUUUGUUCCCUCUCAAAGGAAAAUAUCUGAUCACCGAAUAAUGAUUCCGGUGACAUAAAAGAUCGAAACACCCCCCUAAAUUCCCUAAAUUUACGAUAAUACCCCACCAUGGAUGAUUAUGUUGAAAUGCCGCCUUACGAUGAAAGGCCUAAAAAGGGUUUUAACUUCACCUCCAUGCGCUUGAUCUUAACCCUCGUUUUCCCAAUUUUAACUUGCUUUUUGUUGGCAUUUUUUAUUGGAAUCGUAGCUGUUUUAUUCGGCAAAUCAUCAGUUUCCAGUUCCAUUUUUGUCCCUUCCCAGUGCAAGAUAGUGUCCAGCAGUAAGCUUUUUUUAACAUUUUCAAUUUUUUCCAUUUAUGAAGUCCAAAAAUUUUAUUAAUUUUGAUUUUUUUGAAUGAUUUUGCAGGUGUUGAUAUAAGUUCAUCAAAAGUUUGUGAACUUGGGGUGUUGAAUUAUAAGGCGAAGCGUGUGUUUUAUCCAUUUGAAGCAAGUAAAUUUCGAUGUCGGUAUGAUUACUAUUGGGCUUCUAUCUUCAAGGUAUUCAUACAUUUUUCCCUGUACUAUAAGCUUCUCAGUGGCGUUCUUGUGAGCGGUAGUGAGCGGUGUGGCUGACAGCUUCUUGAAAAUUAUAAGUUUGAACAGAGCAUGUUAGAGCACCACCAAAAGCCUCUUUAAAUAAGAUUUUAUUAUUUAUUUAAAGAGUCACAUCAAUAUUGAAAGCUCCAAAAGACACUUCAAUUAAAAUUCUUCAAAUAAGAAUUGAUUCUCUCUCUUCAAAUUUGGAGAGUUAAUUUCUCCCUCUUCAAUUUAUAUUUUAUUACUUUUCAUUGAAGAAAUAGAGAAGUGCUUUAAUUGCUAUUGACUUUUCCUUUAAAAAACUAAUUAUAUGAUUAAAAUAAUAUUAACUUAUUUAUAUUUGAAGAGUCUUUUGGAGAAUAUCAUAUUUUUUUCACCCUUCUAUUUGCCACAUAAGUAAACAAAUAGAUAUUUAAAAAGUAAAAUUUAUAGAAGCUUUUGGAGAUGCUCUUAGACUUUUGUUGACCAAAUUCGAAAGCCAAAUGGCACAGCUCAGAAGCUUUUGAACUGAAUAACUUACUAGGAAGCUCCAAUUUUUUGUUGGCUACAGUAAAAGGAUGUUGUUUUAUUCUUCUUAUACUUUACGCUUGCAUCAGCUUAAAUCACUUCUUAAACGCUUUGCUUUAACUCCACUGCUUCGCUGGGGGGAUUUACCUUGGAACAAGUGGGGACUUAAGUCCCCACUGAAAAAAAAAAUUGUUUUAAUAAUUAAUUUGAUUUGCCAAAACUUCUCAAUAAAUUUUUCUUAAGCCCCCCAUAAUUUCUUUCAACAAGCAAUUGAUCUAAAUGAGUUAAUUUCUGUCAGUUGUAUCCAAAUGAGUUCUCUGCAAUUGAUAUCAUGGCACUUGAAAUUCAACUUGAUACAUAUAUUUUGGAUAUGCGCACUAGUGCGAGACUAAAAGACAUAAGGUAUAUCCAUUGGUUUACUUGUUAAUAAUAUUAGCAUUGACUUUACCCGUUGCCACUGCUAGUGUAGAGAGAGUAUUUUCAGCCAUGAACAUUUUGAAGAAUUGGUUAUAAAGCCGUGAGUAAUGGAUGAAUGAUAGUUUAAUUAUUUACAUAGAAAAAUACUUAUUUAAUAAUAUUGAUAAUGAACUUGUAAUGCAACAUUUUUAAUGUAUGAAAACUUGAAAGGACAAUUGUAAACAUAUAUUGAAGUAUGAUAAAUCUUUCAAAUUUAUAUAUUUAUUACUUUUAAAAUUUUUUUAUAUUGCCGUUGAAUGAGCCCCCAGUCAAUCAAUAUGUUGUCUUCGCCCUGCUUCGUACUCUUCUAUAUAUGUAUCGGGUAUGCAGUUGUAGUUAACGGCUGAGACUACGUGUUUGUUUGACGUGGUAGUAACGUUACGAGUCUGUUAAACAUUCGAUGAUUAAAGUAUUAUCAGUUAUUUCAAAGGGACAAAUAAGAUUAGCUACAACACACCCACUAGUUUUAUAAAAUUCGAAUGAGAUGGAAUAAAAUAAAAAAAUAAAUAAGUAAAUUGACUUUUAAUUUUAGUGGUUGAAUAUAUUUUGUAUUCUCUUAGGGCACUGCUGUAAUUAUUCCUUAAACGUCAGUCAUACCCACAUAUAAUAGACACAAGAAAUGAAAUCUAAAAUCACCUGUUUAGUUAAAGAAUCAUCAUGAAAAAAUUUUGCCAUUUUGAUUUGAAGAUCCACAUUUUGAACAACCAACUUAUGUUCAUCAAGAAUGGAUCAUGGCCUGUGAGUAGAAAAAUUAUUUUUGGACAAAUUAUUUUUUUUAAUAGAAGAAUUUUUCAAGGGACUAAUAAAAUUACUAAUAAAAAUGUCAGACACACCCACGUACCAUCGACACAAUUGACUAUGAGGAUCCAUGUUUUGAACUGCCACCUAAUGUUCAUCAAGAAUAGAAUAUGGCUCGUGAAAAGAAAAUUUUCUGAUUUUGGCCUGGAAUAAAAAGAAAUUAAAUUGAAGGAGAAUCUGCUACUUUCUCAUUAAGAAAGGCAGACAUGGUAUACCAUGGUACCAUACAAUAUAAAAAGUCUCCAUUCUCUGGCUUUUCAAACUCUGAAGGGGGCAAUAUUCCCCAAUUCUCCCGUGAAAAUUCUGAUUACGACAAUGUUCAUCGGUUGAUACAUAAGUACAAGUAGUGACAAAAUUAGGAAAAAUAUGACUCAUAAGUAAUUACUAGGCAGGGCUCUUGAGAGCAACAUUGUACUAGGCUUUAUAUGCAAACAUGGUGUGGUACAUAGAGCCCGUUGAAUUCCACACUAUAACACAAACCCAGAAAGACAAGUAAUAGCUCAACUGAUAUAAAGACAAAAAGAAGAUAAAAUGAUACAGAACAAAGAAUUUCUAAGAGACAGCAACAUACAAUAGACUGAAGCCAGUUGAUCUGCUCAUUGAUUGCAGCCUUAAACUUGCAAAUGUUUACUAUAGCCUGGUGCUCUAAGAAGUGAAAAUGAUGCAAACCUUGAUUCCCUGUUUACUUCCAUUUACCAUCAAACAUUCUAUUCAUAAGAAAAAAAAUGUUUAGAUAUCUUGCCGUAAAUAUAGCCAUUUGAUUGUCUUAAUAAAGCCACACACAACCAUUCAUAUUGAUCCACAUUGCCACAUAGCCUGAUUUAAGCAUACAACAGCUGAAUGUAUACUGACUCCUAACCUUAUCAAUACAUUGGCGACAACUUAAGACGAAAACUAUUUUUCCAUCUCUUUUUUGAAAUUUCACAAUAAAACAGCACAAUGUAAGAGCUGCAAUGAAAAUGGACCGUCUGGAACUAUGGCGGAAGCUUCAACUAGUGUAGUGAUUUGACCUUCUUAUUAACCUAGCGAGAUCAAACACUGCCGUUGAUCUUGAACAGAUCAAUACGAUACGCACAACUUAUGAUUGAAUCCAGAAACAAUCAAAUCUUUAGCAAGAAUAAUUAAUCAGAAUCAAGAAACAAGUUUAAUGAAUAUAAACCUAUAAUUGGAACAAACACAGCCAAAGAACCCAAGAAUGACACAACGUACACCAAGGGAGAAGCUUUCCAGUGAGAUUAUAUUGAUGAUCAAAGAAGAAUCUUUUUACAAAGCUAACAAAAGUGAUUUCAGAGAAUAAGCUAUGACCCUCUCUCUCUUCAAUCUCUGUCUAGUUUGUUAACAGUGAUGACCCCAAUCUGCUUUGUUAGCCAGCUUCAUAACUGCGUCAGUGACAAACUAGCAAACCCAGAUUGAGCAGACUAACGACACGUGCAUAACAGCUUUAACGAACUUGGUUAAAGAACUGCUCACAUGUUCGUCACGCGUGUAGCUUAAAUGAUAGCCAAAACGACUUCAACCAGAUGCCGUUUUGAAGCUUAUGAAUUAUAAGUGAAAACACGUGCUUGUCUCGUGACAUUUAAAUGCAACAACAAGCCCAAAACACUGCCGUUCCACUAUGUUGAGUUUGCCAUCUCCAAGCUUCACAACUAGCAACGGACAAGAUGAUAAUUUAAUUGACAUGGAGAGCUUUUAUAUCACUUUUACAACAUUCUAUAUAAUUGUGAUAUUGGUAAUCGUCGGUGUUGUAUAUGUGAACCCUCGUUGGCGACACUGGUGGUUUUAUCUUUAUUGAAAUAUGGAUGACUUUUCGUUACUAUUUUGUUGUACAUAACCUUAUUCACAGGAGAUUUAAUCAUUGAAAUUAACAUGUUAGUUUCAUUAGAAGGCUGAGUGGUUAGGGCUGCUACCCUCCAACUUGGAGGGCAAUAGUUUGAACCCACAAGCGCAAUGUGGGGGUAUUUCAUUCUUUAAUUACAUUGUAUAAUUGAAUAAAGAUAAUAUUCUCUCUUACCUAAGUGUGAGUGGAGUAGACAUCCUUCGAAUAUUAGUGAGGGUCAAAACUUGGGCAGAGCUCAAUAAGUAUUGAUAUAAGUUGGUCCUAAUAAUAGUCUGAUUUGUAAAUAUCAGUUAUAGUCUCAUGUUUCCUUCCUUAGUUAUAUUGUAUAAUUAAGUAAAUGUACUCUUUUCUCUUACCCAAGUGUGAGUGGAGUAAACAUCUCUCGAAUAUUAGUGAGAGUUAAAAUCUGGGCAGAGCUCCAUAAGUAUUGAUGUAAUUUGAUCCCAAUAAUAGUAUGAUUUGUAAAUACCAGUUAUAGUAUCAUGUAAUAUGAGUUGUAAUUUGAGUAAUAAUUUCAUGUAAUUACAAAAAAAAUGUUACUUUCAUUACUUUUUUCUUCGUUAAAAUUCUCAAGUAUCAAUUAUGUUUGCUUAAGAAAUAAAAUUUCAUUAUGAAAAUUGUAGCAGUAUUUCCGAGCACCUCACAUUUUCAAUGAUUUUUCAUAAAUCAAUUAAUCUGCCAUACCAAUAUCAGGUUUAGUUUUUCAGACUAAAUGAUCAAGAAAGCAAACAUACAAAUUCACAUUUUAGAGGGGUAAACUAGCUUUUAGAUUUUAGAACUAGGCUAGCUACCUCACCAAAUUCCAAUCUGUACAGUGAACUACAAGAUUAAGAAAAUAAUGUAUUUAUAGUUUAAUUGAAUCAUGAGAAAACAAUGUAGUCAUAGCUCAAUCGGACAUGAUCACGGAGAGGCAUAUUCUUUUCAAGUUAAUUUGAUCCAUUUAUAAGAAAUGAAGUGGAUUGAAGUUAAAAGUUCAAAUAACAAAUCCUUAUUCUUGAGUUUUACGACGUCGUUACUCCUUCAAGAGGCUGAUUAUGCAAGUGAAUGCGGAAACAGAAUGCAUUAUCCAAUUUCACUCAUAUAGAAAAUUAAUUUUUUAUAUAUACUAAUCAACACUAGAUUGAUUAUGUUUUGUAUGUUUAUAUGCUAAUCAACAAUAAAUUAUAUUAAAUGAAGAAAUGCUUCAAAAUUUUCUAAUUUAAUUUAGAAAAUCAAUUAUUAACAUUAAUAUUCCUAAUAAAAAUUAUUUUCCAUCGGUAUUCAAAAUUUUCACUUAUAGAAAAUGCGUUUUACGUGAAUACAAGUUAUUGUGUAAAUUUGAAUGAUAGCGAAAAAUAUUUUUUUUAAUAAUUGUAAAAAUAAUUAACCAUAACAAAUCCCUUGCGUAAAUAAUAAUCGUUAUUUAAAAGGUAGAAAGAUGGUUAGUGCACAAUCAAAUUUUAAGCCCCUACCUCCUCAGCCCAAGAUUCAAACUUAGAUGAUCAGCCAAAUAAAAGUAUUUGAAAAUCAUUCAAUCAGGUUCUCGGGGCAAAAAUACAAGAUCCUUAUUUGCAUGAUAUAUAUGAAUUAAUGUAAUUUAUUUGAAUUAUCCAAAUUUAUUAGAGAUAAAACUAUAAAAUAUACCAAAAAAGUUAGAAGGAAGGGUGUGUUGGGAUAUUUUACAAACUAUAGGAAUCUAGUGAGAUUUUGAGCCAAACUGUAGGGAGUUGAAGGCAUUUGCCCAAUAUGUUUAGACGUACACUAACCGUUAUUUGCUCUUGUUGUUGGUCCCGGAUGAGCUGUAGUCUUAUUUUAAUUUUAUUUAAACUCACCAUAAGAUUCGCGGAGCUCCUAACUAACUUAAAUGACUCUGCAGAGCAUGUCAACACAUAGCAUGUUUAACCGUUUUAUUUGUAGAAGAAUUUAUGAUUUCCCAUUAGCAUUAUUAUUGAAGUGGGGCGGGUCAAAUCUCAAUUGCUUGAAAAUUUUUAUUAUUAUUAUUAGUCUUGAAGUGGGGUGGGUAACGUUCGCUCAAUUCGAGGGGAAUCAAAUAUAUCAUCCAAGGUAGAAUUGUGGAAAAUUAAAACAAAAUAAGAAAUAUGGAAAGAAAAGAAGAAAGUUAAGAUAUGAAAGACAUAUACAGUUGAAAUUGAUAAUCAUGUUCCUAUUUUGUUAACUAAUCAAAUGGAAAGCUGAACUGUAAACAAACAUUAAAACGUGUGAACCAAGCUAGCUGUCCUACAAGUCUACAAUAAUAAUUGAGUACUUUGAUUCAUCCUUCUAUAAAUUUCUACCCAUAUUGACUCCACCGAAAUUUCCACAAAAUAAAAAAAAAAAAAAAACUGAAUUUCCACAAAAUGCAAAACCCGUAGAACUUAAUUUUUGGUCAUGUGAACUAAGAUGUAAAUUAAAGAAAAAGUAUAAAAUUAAAAAAAGAUAAGAUUUCUAAAAUGUGUGGAAGGUGAUUCAUGAUUCACUGACACUACUUACUCCAAAUAUGAAGAUAAAUCUAUCUAAUUUCAUUAAAAAUAGUUGGAAAAAAUUAACUAAUAGAAAGCUACGGAAAUUAACCCCCCACAAAAAUGACUUUUUAUGGAAGAAUUUAUGUUUUUUAAAAUAUGUUAUCAAAGUGUAUUUGAUCAAAUCUCAAUUGGUUAGUAUGGUUAGGAUUUUGUGAACAUCACUAAAAAGUGAAAAAUAUGAAUGAUAGGGGUGAUGCUUGCAAUAUGAAUAAAUAAUGGACUGAUUCAAUUGAUGAUUACAUUUAUAUAUUAUUGAUUAUUUAUGAAUUUUCAGACUUGUUAUGAUGUAUAACUAUGUGAUUUUGAAACUUGAAACCGUGGCAAACAUUGAAAGGAAUUAUAACUUGAAAUCAUGACUCACGGGGUAUGUCAUGAUUCACGUGCACAAAAAAGGUAGAAUUGUGGAACUUGAUAACCCAACGACAAAUGCGGAAAGAAAGGAAGAAAAUUAAAAGACUUGGGGCCUAGCCUGCGUGUAUAAAUUAUUAGAUUUCUUUCUAUUUUAUAAGCGUAACCAUCAAUUUACUCCAUAACAAUCUUUAAUUCAUUUCUUAAAGAGUAAUGAUAUAGCCACAAACUCUUGUACAAACUUAUUUUGUAUAAAUUGAUGUGGCAUGAUAAGAUUUGUUGAAUUAAAUAUUACUUGGCCCAUAUGAUUUGUUUUUAUUAUUUUAUAUUUUCAUUCAACCAAUGAAUUAAUGUCAUGUCAGUUUGUACAAAAUAAAUUUAUACAAAAAUUUGUGGCUGUAUCAUUACUCUUUCUUAAAAUAUCAAAACUUUAAUUUAUCUUUUAAAUAUCGUUACCUCUCCAUUGGUUUUAACAGUUAAAAGGGUAAAAUUAUAUUUGUAUAUUUUCUUGACUGUUAACUAAAUAAUAAAAGUCAAAAUUCAAUCUUGUUAUCUUGUUUCAAUCCUCUAUCAAUCAAACAAGAUUUCUAAAAUAUGUGGAAGAUAUUGCAUGAUUUCCUCAACGUACCUGGCCCGAACAUCAAGGUAAAUAUCUCUAAAAUAGUUGAUUAAAUCUCAGUUGCUAAGUAUAGUUAGGAUUGUGUGAACAUCACUGAAAACUAUGAUUGAUAGAAGUGAUCUUUGCAAUAUGAAUAAAUAAUUAACUGAACCAAUUGAUUUACAUAUUAAAGUUUAUGAAUUUUCGGACUUGUUGCGAUAUAAUAAUAGCAUAUGAUUUUGAAACUUGAAACAGUGGUAAAUAUUGAAAGGAAUUAAUUUGAAAGCAUGAUCCGUGGGGAAUGUGAUGAAUCGUGUUUACCAAAAAGGUAGAAUUGUGGAAAUUUAUAACAGAACGAUAAAUAUGGUAAAAAGGAAGAAAAUUGAAAGACUUGGGGCCUGGCCUGGGUGUAUUUUCUAACUGUCCAAUGGACAAAAUUAUAUUUGUAUAUUUUCUCAUCCCUAGGUUUCAUACAAUAGCUCAUUUCAUUUUUAUUUUUUAAAUAAUAGCCUAAAACAUCAUUCUAUUAACUCACUAUUAGUUGAAUGUCGUUUGUUAGUAAUUCAUUAAGGGUAAAAAAUCAUUUUCUAUCAAAGAGAAAAUUAGAAAAAUAAAUAAAAGUUGACAUAUAACUAAAAAUGAUUUGAUCUAAUCCCACUAAAUAAGAAAUACCAAAAAAGAUGAAAAAUUUAUAUUUCAAGCAAUUCUUUUUUCACUUAUUUCUAUUUUGGCAACAUGAAAGCCCUAUAAACCCUAGAUCUAAGUACUAAAAAUAUCACAAUUUUCUUAUUCAUAUAAGUAUACUCUCUAAUUGCAUUGUAAAAUGGUUUGAAUUAAAUUGAAAAUAAAGAAGAUAUUCAGCACAUGCAAGCACAUAAAAAUUGGUGGCAUUUUUUAGUUUUUCUUCCAAUGAUUUAAAGAUAUUGUUUUAAUUACAGUUUGUUCCUUAUGACAAUUAUUCAAUGGCGAUAUCAAACUAUAUCAUCGUUGAUUUUAUUUAAGAAAAAGUUAAUGAAUUUUGCAUAUUUUGUAGUGUUAUUUAAUUGUGUAAAAAAAAUUAUUUUAAUAUAGUUUGUAUCGCUUUAAUGAAAAAUCAUAUUUUGCCCCCAAUGAAUUACUAGUUAACGAUUUUACAUUAAUGGUGAGUUAACGGAAGGAUAUUUUAGGCUAUUGUUUGAAAAGUAAGGAUAAAAUGAGCUAUUGCAUUAAACUCUAGGGAUGAAAAAUGCUUUUUCCCCUUUCUUAUCAAUCAACUAUCUGAUAAAAGUCAAAACUCAUAUUUUUUUUUUCCUUGUUUCAAUCCCCUCUCAAUCAAAAAAGUUUCCUUGUCUAAGCAACGAGGAAUAUGGCUAGAAAGAUUGUUAUUAGAAAGAUUUAUCAAUAGUAAUUGGUUCACAACUGAACAUUUUUAGAUUAUUGUGAGUCAAUAUAGGUCCUGUUUGGGAUUGAAGUGUUGCAGUUUUUAAGUUACAACUGCUGUGGAAAAAAAAACUAUAAUUAUGAAAUAAAAGUUAAUAAUAUAUAAUAAAUAUAAAUUUUAACUAAUAAUUUUGAUAAAAUUAUUAAAAAUAUAAUAGAUUUUUCAUAAUACAAGUAAAAUAUCAUAUCUACAUAGCUUGCAAGGUACAACAGUUAGUAUUUACCAAAUAGUUUAGUACUAUUUGUAAUGUUGUAAUGUCGAGAGAUUACCCAACCAUUAUGGAAUCCUACCAAGAUGAUUGUUACCACUAAGAUAAAAUCCUUCUAGUGAACAACAAUCAGACAAAUUUUUUGGGGAUCUCUCUUACAAAGUGAUUACCAUCCAAUCGCAAUUUUGAAUGAAAAUAAUUUUUUUUUAUUGGGAGUUUGACCUUAACAUUAAAUUUAGACAAUAAAUUUUAACUUUCUUCAAUUAUUAAACAGAUUACAGACAUUUGACAAAUUUGAAAACACUUCAUCCAUCGAAAGUUCAAAUUAGAGAUGGAAGCUAGGUGCUACAGCUAAUGGGAACAUUAAUUCCUGUCCCUCAUCACACUUUAUUUUGGGUCUAAUAAUUUUACGGCAGCAUUGACCACUGCUCAAGGUAAGUAAAACUUACAAAUGUGUGGCAAAAUAAAUAAUUAAGUGCAUAAACUCUUAACUAAUUUUCUUGAUAUAUACAGCUAAGGUACUUGUUCCUUUUUUUUUAAAAAAAAAUGUUAAAAAAUUUCGGCUGAGCCUGCUUGUGGUUUUGAUAAAAAGGAGGGGCUGGCUUCAAAUAUUUGAAUAGGCAUCUCCGCCGUACCUCAAACAAAACUGUCAUUAUUAGUGUCAUGAAACAUGUUUCGGCCGUCAAAGUCAUGAGAGGGUUGAUGACGCUACUACGUAUGAUGACACACCAGCCGACAGUGUAGUAACAGCUCAAAAACAAAAUCUACCAAAAUCAACGAAAGUUAAUAAAAUUUUAUUUUAUUAAUAAAAAAACUUUUUAUUUGUGGAGAUAUGUGUAUUUGAGUCUGUGGACUGAAAUGGAAAAUAUGAAGACGUUCGUUGUGUAGAUUGACUUCAGUUGAACGGGUCUAACUGGUAUUUUAUGCUGACGUGGCACGAAUUAGUUAUAAUCUGUUAUAACGAUUCCAGAAAUAUCAGUAUAAAUAGAAGCUGAUGAGCAGUGCCUGUUGUACGAUCCUUUUCUUCUUCACUUGUUCGUCAAUUUGCAUAGCAUCUGUUUCAUUGUGAUCUAUGCAAAGUCUUCUGUAAAUCCACUUAUGUUUGAUUAGUUGUUGAUCAAUAACGAGAGUAAAUUUUUCCUUCAAAUCUUGCUGCUUCGUGCCCCUGUUUCAGUUCUGGUUUUUUUUUUUUUUUUUUUUUAGUUCUGGUUUCUUAAUUCAAUUGAAUUUCUUGGUGCUUAAUUCAUCAAGAUUCAGUGGAAUCGACUUGAAAAGGACUCAAUAGACUCAACAUUAUUUAACGACACUCUGACCGUGGAGUACCGUUAUAAUAAUCUGAUUUUAAGAAAAUUAUAACUUAUUUUAAAUAGCGCCACAAUAUAAUUCUAAAUAUUUAAAAGGAAAACAUUAAUGACAUUUUGUUUUGAAAAAUUCAAUUAUUAAACUCUCACGUUUCAUGUGUUUGAAGUUAAAUUAUUCAUUAACUAGAACUCUGUUCAAAAUUGACUGUCCUGUGUUCCCAAAUGUAGUUGCAAUAUUGAAUGAAAGUAAAAACUUUCUAUGGCGAGUUUAAAUCUAAAUCUGGACAAUGAGUUUUUAGUUUCUCAAUGCUAUUCUAAUUACAAAAAUUAUAUUGAUUGAUUUAUUGUUACAGUUACUAGCCUUUGAAAAUGGAUGGAUUUAUUGUUUCCGUGACCCAAUUAUGCCUGUCUAACGCUGCAACUACUAAAAAAUCUAAUAUUUAAUGCACAUGUUAAAAGAUUUAAAAUUUUAUGCAUUUAUUAAUUGUUAUAAUCUAAAAGAAAAUUAAUUCGUUCAGGUCAAUCUGAGUUGGUGCAUCUGCAGAGCCUUUUUCUUUUUUCCCCUUAUUGACCAUAAUGAUCUAAGGGGUAUAAUACGACCUUGGUUCUUGGUAAAAAUGACAUCUCCUUCAACAUGACUAUUGACUAGGAGCAUGUAAAAACAUGGAAACAGAAUUUCCACAAAAUGCCAAACGUGUGGAACUUCAGUUUUGGCCAUGUGGACCAAAUGCAAAUGAAAGAAAAAGGAUUUUCCCAGCUAAUGUACAAAUAAAUGAACAACCUUGAAGCCUUAUUAUUCGCAACAAAAAGGGAUUACUAAUUGGAGAAGACUACACACAGUUUCUCUCACACUUUCUCUCUGUCAAUUUCAUCUAGAAGUCCCUCUGAAAGCAUCUCCCAAAACAGUUAGUCAUCUUUUAUUCUCUGUUUUCUGGAAACAGAGUCCUAACUAACUUAACUGACUGUACAGAGCUGAUCAAGAAUUCUGUUUUGUUAACUAAUCAAUUGCAAAUCAUAUAUUAGUGUUGAACGGUGAACAAAAUUGAAAAAAAAAAAUUCUUAAAAAACGUGUGGACUCGGAUAGCCAGACCAGAAAUCUAUGACAAUAAUUAGCUUUGAUGCUGGGAAUCUUUUAGUUUCUGGCCGUAUUGACUCCACCAGUGAAGUUUUUAAAAUAACAAGUUCCCAUUCUUCGUUUUUUUUUUUUAAAUGUGCUUAUAAUAAUUUUAGAAUAGUGACUUAUUUGUAGAAGAAUUUAUGAUUUUCCAUUAAUAUCAAUAUUGAAGUGGCGUGGGUCAAAUCUCAAUUGCUUGAAGAAUCUAUUUAUUAUUAUUAAUAUUGAAAUGGGGUGGGUAACGGACCAACGGUUCACUCAAUUAAUAUGUGGGGAAUUAAUUAAAUAUGACCAUCAAAGGUAGAAUUGUGGAAAAUUAAACCAAAAUGACAAGUAUGGAAAGGAAGGCUGAAAGUAAGGCAUGACGAAAGUCUUUGAGAAGGCUGAAGACCACCAAAGAAGUCAACUGAAAGCUAGCUGGGGCCUGGUAUGUAUGUUAGAUGUGUUUGUUAUAAAUAACAUAGAGCCCUUUUGUUAUUUAUAGUUAUAGAGAAAGAGAGAAUGUGUGUUUUUUAAUAGUUAGAGAUAUAGCUAGAAUGGGUGGUUCAAAAUCCAAAAUGGUGACGAUGUUAGUUUUGGGGGUAGAGUGAGGGAUGUUUGGAGCUUGAGAGAUUUGCUCUUUUGCGGCUUAAGCAUUUCUUCAAUUCUCCUUAUAGACUUUAAAACUGGGUAGACGAGCAAAGAGGUUGUUGUCAGUGGGAAACCGUUGAGUGCAGCAAAGUGAAAUUAAUUUCUCCCUAUUCUUAGUCUUACCAGGAGUAUCGAUCUGGGAGAGUGGUAUCUGAAUGCUUCUCUAUUUACUCCCUUUCAACAAAUUGGCAACAAAAUAGCCGGUUGGGUUAAGAACGAAGGUCCUUCACUUAAUUUAAUUUACUUAAUUUAAAUUAAGAAGAAGUUCCGUCAUCAAUAGAGUGCCUAGCUGAUCGUAAAACGUUGCGUUUGAGUAAGUGCACGAGGCUGAAGAGGCUUUCCAUCAAGCAUUUGUAAAUUGAAAUCUCUUCUUGAGCUUUAUCUCUAUAACUGCUCAAACCUUGAAAGUUUUCCAGAAAUCAUGGAGAAAAUGGAACGUUUAAAGAUAUAAAUUUAGCAAGGACGGCCAAUUACAGAGCUGCAAUCUUGAUAGCCUUCGGGAUUGGUAUCAUUUUCAAGCAAUUUUCUCAAUGCAGAGGUUUGGUAUCAUUGCCUCCAAUAUUAUUGUCAGGUUUAGUUUAUCGAAUUUGUUACAGCUAAAUUUAAGGGACUCUGCUAUAAUGGAAAUUCCCCAAAAUAUUGUUUGUCAAUCCUCAUUGAAAAUUUUAAAUCUAAAGACUUGUUUGUUAACUAAUUGAAGUAUGUAAUUAAUGCUUUGUUUUUGUAAUUUAUGUUUGAUUUUGAGAUAUUUACAUUUGAAUAAAAAAGUAAACUUUUGUUACAUUUAUCUAAAUUAAAAAAAAAAAGGCUAAAUGAGAAGUAAACUAUGUUCAAGCAAUUUUUUAUUUAUAAAAAUAAACCAAAUACUACUUAUAUUCAUAUAUCAAAAAAUGAAAAACAAACAUGUUAUUCAUAUGUUCACAUACAAACUUAUUCGAACCUCAGCUAAAUACAAAUCCAUUUUGAUUUCAAACAAAAAAAAAAAAACUUCGUAAGUGGGAAUAACUUUGAGAUUUGACUUGCAAAUGUCAAGCAACUUGCAAGGCUAGAAUAUCUUGACUUGAACGGUUGCAAUGAUUUCUCAUCAUUGAGAGUUUAUCAUUGUGCUUCAUCAUCAUCAUCAUCAUCAUCAUCAUCAUCAUCAUCAUCAUCAUCAUCAUCAUCAUGAUUAAUAAAAAGGUAAGCAAUUAAGAGUCAAAUUAAACCACUUGAAAAUCACUCAUCCACGCUUUUGGGACAUCAUUCUGCUCAUUAUUUUUAUUCCGUAUCUUCAUUGUUUUAUUUGGUAAUUAUUACCAUUAGUAAAUAAAGGGAUUAGUUGAUUAUUGUGAACUAACUAAAUGGAGCUCACCCUUAAAUGUCGGCUUGUAUCAGGGAGGUGCCUUAGGGUUAAUAAAUCAACUAAUCCCAUAAAUUGUUGAUGUAGGGUCCUAACAAAUUAUUGCCGUAGAACAGCACACAGCUCGAAAACAUAUUUGAUCCACACAGUGAAGAUGAUUCAAUAUUAAGCAUGUCAUAUAAUCUGGAGUUGGAUAUUGGAUCAAUUUGAUGAUAAUGAGUUUCUUUCAGUCUCAAUCUUUAUCUUCUUCGCAACAUGACUAGCCAUUGCGCAAAUUCAAACUCUGACAAUGAUUUCUCAAUCGCUUUCUAAGACGAUGAGCACGUAUGUAUAUAUAUGUGUGUGUGCGCGUGCGCACGUGUGUGUUUGUGUAUGUAUAUAGGGAGAGAGAGAGAUAUCACACGUGUGUGCUUUCCUUUUGUCAAUAAGAUAUGCAGAGAGCUUAAUAAUCAUAGAUUAGCUUAUAUCCUUCAAACCAUAUGCUAUGAAGUAAUUUCACAAACACUUGUUGAAUGUUAUUGAAUCAGUAGUUCACAGUUCAAUACAAUGUAGGUUUCCUAUUUGAAGUAAAUGAUUAUGGUGUGUGCAUUUUUCAUAAAGCUAACAACUGAAUUUACCAUUGAAACUUGCAAAAUGUAACAGAGAGAUGCAGAUAGCAGCCACGAAACACUAAGAUUGAAAAUCAGGACUACUGAAUUCUAUUACAAGCCCUUAAAAUAGACAACAAUCAUCCUCAAAUGUAUGUACUGAAAAUAAGAAAUAUUAAUCGUAAAGUUAUGCAUUAACAAAACUAUUGACUACUUACCUUUAGCUAUAUGUUUUUAAUUGUAGCUCCCUACUUUGUUCUAAGAACUAGGCAAAAGUAGCAUAUCUUCAAUCCAAUCAGCAUAUAUACCGCUCAUCUUCUCCAGUUCUUUCCACUUUGAUUUGCAUUUCAUACCCUGCACUUGCUGCUUAGAAAUAGUCAUAGUUUGCACAUUGACAGUAGAAAAAGUACUUGAAGCAAUCAUUGGCAUAGCAUGGGAUUCCAUUGAGUCGCGGUCUCCAAGCUUUCAUGGUUCUGUAAAGAAAAUGACAAAAACAUCAUGCUAUUGGCAUUCUACUUUUAGCAAUUUUCCACAAGCUGAGCUAUUUCAUAUCUCUCUAUAAAUUAUGAUCGAUGAGUGGACCACUGAUGCAUGCAAGUUUAUUAUCACUUGUAACUGCUGGUUCAACCUUCAGAUAAGUUUGUGAUAAAGGCAUCUAUGAGUACAAUGGGAAAAUUACAUGAACUUAUGUUAUCAAUCAUUGUUUUGCCUUCUCGUGAUAGAAUUCUGUGCAACAUAAAACAUGAUAUAUUUGUACCUUACCAUGCCAUGUCGUGAACCUAGAAGCAAUGCAAAUUGCAAGGAACAUAUUAAGCUAUCUACUGUAUAUAACAAAUUCUUAUUAGCCCACAAUCUUGUGCCGCCACAUUGAUCAAGUAACACUAUUAUAUCAUUUCCAAAAUGGCAUAUAUAAUCUAAUGUUGAACAAACCAAAUUGGGAAUCAUCAUUCCUUACAUUAAGCUGACAUUCGUACCUGCUAGUCCAUGAGCAAAGUUGCUUAUAUUUCCACACAGGCAGCUCCCCUUAUCUCUCGGUUCCGACAGAGCUUGGUUUUCCCAUCACCAGCUUUGGAUUCAUUCGAUCACUGAUGCUCCGAGUUAGCAAGCCCCUUGUUGUGUUCCCAUUGAACAGACCCACUUCUGUUAUCCACAGAAGAUCCACCACUCAAAAUGCUUAUCACCGAACUAUUCCUAAACUGAAUAGAAACUUCCGCACAUCUCUCGGCAUUUACAUGAAGAAAUCGACACCCACCCCCAUAUUUGCAAGUUUUCUGAUAAUAGAACGGUCUACAAAGCUGCAUUUCGUUAGGCAAUCUAAUCUCUCCAUUCCUAGCAAAGUGAUAUUGAUUCCCGUAUUUGUAAUUGCCUAAUUGGGGUUUUGGCAAUAGCCUGGUCUUAAAAUUACCACCCAUUACUUUGUUCAAUGCCACUGGCAUCCUCUGAUUAGGAACAUUUUCACAAUUUUUAGCCCUGUUAGUCGAAUCACAUUCAACGGGAUAGUGAGGCAGUAUUUCACUAACAGAUUCAAUUUGACUACUCAUAUUGAUGCACAUAUAAGAAUUUGAAAUCACUUUCUCUUGGAAUAUUUAAUGACCCCUGAUGAAAGUUCUUGAAUGGAAUUAUUUAAUUUGAUUUGAUUUCCAACAAAUUCAAGAAACCCCACAUAGUAGCUAAACAAAAAUCAACCAAUAAUACGCAAUGGGUUUCUUUCUUUUUGCCUUUGGAGGGCCAUGGAGAUCUGGAGUGGGCAGUAAGUAAUAGCCUUUAUGACUGGAAUGACAGAUUUGCAGAAGAUGAUAGCUCAAAACGCGUUGCUGUGGAAAAUUGUAGCAAAAUUAAAAAUUGGAAAGAAAGGGAAGAAAAUUAAUGCAUGAAGACUUGGAGAAAACAACCAAAUUAAUCAACUAUAAGCUAGCUGGGUGUAUAAAUUGUUAGAUGCAUUAUAAGCAAAUAGCGUAGAGCCCUUUGGUUAGUUACAGAGACAGACAGUGUUUGUGUUUUUUAAUAGUUAAAGAUAUAGAUAGAAUGGGUGUUUCAAAAUCAAAAAUGGUGAUAAUGUUUGUUCUGUUAUUAAUAAUAUUAGAAGGUGGGGGAAGUGAGGGAUGUUUGGAUCACGAGAGAUUUGCUCUUUUGCGAAUUAAACUGUUCUUUGAUGAUCCUUUUAAUUAUCUUCACGAUUGGAUAGAUGAUGAGGGAGCUACUGAUUGUUGUCAGUGGGAAAGGGUUGAGUGCAGCAACACCACAGGCCGAGUGAUACAACUAAACCUUUUUUUAAUUGGGAAUUGGGAUUUGGGAGAGCGGUAUCUGAAUGCUUCUUUGUUUACUCCCUUUCAACAACUUGAGUCACUUUAUUUAAGUUGGAACAACAUAGCUGGUUGUGUUGAGAAUGAAGGUGCUUCGUUUAAUUUUAUUAAAUUACUUGCUCUCUCCUAAUUUAAGUUGAAUAUCAAGACUGAGCAACUAUAUGCAUAUCCAUUCAGUUGACAAUUCUGACAUUUUUUUGAAGUGAUUAAUUAAUUUUUGAAAUUACACCAGCAUCUAUGAUCCUUUUUUAUGUUACUUGCAGGUCUAGAGAGGCUAUCAAAAUUGAACAACUUGAAGAUGCUUAAUUUAAGUGAUAACUCGUUCAACAAUAGCAUCUUAUCAUCUCUAACUCAUCUUUCAUCAUUAAGAUCAUUAGAUUUAUCUUACAAUAGAUUGGAAGGAAGUAUUAAUGUUAAAGGUAUGUAAUUAAAACGUCAUCUCUUCUCCCAACUCUUUCAUUAACUUGCUAAAAUAAGAUUCAAGGUUUUGAAUUCAAUUUUUUUUAUGAUUAAUAUUAAAGGAAAAAAAACAAUUUUAAGAAAUUCAUAAAUACAAGUUCUAAUGUUUCUCAUAAUUUCAUCUUGUACUUUCAUAUGUCUUGAAUUUAAGAUUUAAAAAAAAAAAAAAACUCUAAUAGCGAACCAAACACCUCCACAACUUAUUAUUAAUAAUAUUAUUAUUUUUUCUGUGAGGUUUGAAACAUUAAACUCAAUUUGUACUCUUUACAGAAUUAGAUUCUUUGAGAGACUUAGAGGAGCUAGACAUUGCCGGGAACAAGAUUGACAAAUUUGUGGUCUCAAAAGGUGCUACAAAUACCAUAAAAAAUCUAAACUUUUACAAAUUAGCUAGAUUCUUUGCCAUUUGGUUAAUUAUUUUGCAGGUUUGAGGAAGUUGAAGUAUCUCGGCUUAAGUGAUGUGGGAUUCAAAGGAACAUUUGAUGUUCAAGGUAAGUCUAAGCCAUAUGCUUUCUCAUUUGAAUUCAUUAAGGAUAUCAAGAUCAUCGACAAAAUUAAAACAUACUUUAUUUUACUUCGUCAAUCAAUUAAUUAAAUACUAUUUGGCUUGGCUUCAUCAAUCAAUUAAGUCUUAUGUCUAGGCAUGUCUGCAGAAUUUGAUUCCUUGAGCAGCUUAGAGGAGUUGGACAUGAGCCGCAACGAAAUCGACAAUCUUGUGGUUCCUCAAGGUAAACAAUUAAAAUAUUAUUCAAUUACAUUAAUUUAAUUCAUUUGGUUAGGGAAGGCCCAAAAGGUACAAAAAAUAAAGGAAUAGAGAAUUUAUAUUAUUUAAAAAACAGAAUGUAAUAAAGAUUUGAUUCAAGUUCUUUAAUCUUUACAGCGAUUGAAAAACGAUCUUGCUCCUUUCCCAAAGCAUAAAAUACGAAUUGACUCCUAAUUAAAUUAAUCAUUUAUUUCUCUCAUCUCUGAAUUUAAACAAUGAAUUUUGAUCUUCAAUCCUAUUCUAAUUAUUAUUAUUAAAUAGGUUACAGAGGUUUGAGGAAGUUGAAAAGCAUGUAUCUAUCGGGAGUUGGAAUUAGAGAUGGAAGCAAGUUGUUACAGUCAAUGGGAUCAUUUCCAUCCCUCAACAUUCUUCACCUUUCGGAUAAUAAUUUUAUAGAAACAGUGACAACUACUACUCAAGGUAAGUAAAUGGUACAGAUGUGGCCAAAUUUGUAAAUAAACUAUUAAUUAAUUAAUUAAUUUUCCGUAUUGUUGAUAGUGCUAAAUUUGUUGCUUCGAAACAGAGUUGCGCAAUUUCACCAACUUGGAAUACUUGACAUUGGACAAUUCCUCUCUUCAUAUAAGCCUUCUGCAGAGCAUUGCAUCAUUCACUUUGUUAAAAAAAUUAUCUAUGACUAACUGUAAAGUCAAUGGCAUCCUAAGUGGUCAAGGUAAAAGAAAAGUGUUGAUUAUGAAUAAGUUGUUAAUUAAUUAAUUUUGUUGCUCCUUGCUUCUAAACAGAGUUGCGUAAUUUCACAACUUGAAUAUUUGACAUUGGACUCUUCCUCUCUCCAUAUAAGCCUUCUGCAAUUGCUUGACGAAUUUAUUUAUUAUUAUUAUUGUUAUUGUAUUGAAGUGGGGUGGGCAAGGGUUCACUCAAUUAAUAUGUGGGGAAUUAAAUAUUACCAUCCAGCAUAGAAUUGUGGAAAAUUAAAGCAAAAUGAGAAAUAUGGGAUGAAAGGAAGAAAGUUAAGGGCAUGAAAGACUUGGAGAAGACCGAAGACCACCAAAAUAAGUUAUGUGUUUGUUAUAAAUAACAUGGAGCCCCUUGUUGGUUGCAGCGGCAGGAGACAGAGAGAGUGUAUUUGAUUAAUUAAAAUUCAAAAUGGUGAUAAUGUUAGUUUUGCUAUUAUUAAUAAUAUUAUAAGAGGGACUUAAACAUUUCUUCAAUUCUCCUUAUAAUUUUUGUCAAGACUGGGUAGAUGAUGAGGGAGCUACUGAUUAUUGUCAGUGGGUUGAGGUUGAGUGCAGCAGCGCCACAUGCCUAGUGGUAUCUGAAUGCUUCUUGGUUUACUCCUUUUCAACAAUUUGAGUCACUUGAUUUAAUAUGGAACAAUACAGCCGGUUUUGUUGAGAAAGGUGCUUCAUUUAAUCUAAUAAAUUUACUUCCUCCCUCCUAAUUUAAGUGGAAUAUCAAGAUUGAGCAACUAUAUGCAUAUUCAUUCAAUUGACAAUGUUGACAUAUUUUUUAAAAUGUUUAAUUUCGAAAUUACACCAAAUAGAUGUGAUCUCUGUUUUGAUUUUACUUGCAGGGCUACAGAUGCUAUCAAGAUUGAGCAACUUGAAGAUGCUUGAUUUAAGUGGAAACUCCUUCUACAAUAGCAUCUUAUCAUCUGUAGCUCGUCUUUCAUCAUUAACAUCAUUAGAUUUAUCUGAGAAUAGAUUGGAAGGAAGUAUUAAUGUUAAAGGUAAGUAAUUAAAACGUCAUCUCUUCUCCCAACUCUUUCAUUAAUAUGCUAAAGUAAGAUUUAAGGCUUUGAAUUUAAUUUUUUUAAUGAGUAAUAUUAGAAAAAUAGUUUUAAGCAAUUCAUAAAUACAAUUUUCAAUGUUUCUUAUAAUUAUAUCGUGUACUUUCGUAUGUCUUGACUGUAAGAUUAAUAUAUAUAUAUAUAUAUAUACUCUAACUGUGAAGCAAAUCCCCCCAUGACUAAUUUAUCAUUUUUUCCAGUUAAAAAUGAUAAAAUUUACCAUUUGUUUAUAUUUAUUAAUUAACUCUGUUUUAAGUCUUGGCGUCUUGGCGUGUUUGCAGAAUUUGAUUCCUUGAGCAACUUAGAGGAGUUGUCCAUGAGCUACAAUGAAAUCGACAAUCUUGUGGUUCCUCAAGGUAAACGCUUAAAAUAUUAUUCAAUUACAUAAAUUUUAUUCAUUUGAUUAGGGAAGACCCAAAAGGUACAAAAACAUAAUAAAAAUAAAUAAAUAAAGAAACAAAACGUGGUAGUAUUAUUUCGAAAACAGAAUGUAAUAAAGAUUUGAUUCUAGUUCUUUAAUCUUUACAAUGAUUGAAAAACUAUACUGCUCCUUUCUCAAAGCCUAAAAUACGAAUUGACUCCCAAUUAAAUUAAUCAUUUAUUUUGUUCGUCAUUUAUUUCCCAAAGCAUAAUAUGUACAUCCUAUUCUAAUUACUAUUAAAAAACAGGUUAUAGAGGUUUGAGGAAGUUGAAAAGCCUGCAUCUAUCGGGAGUUGGAAUUAGAGAUGGAAUCAAGUUGUUACAGUCAAUGGGAUCAUUCCCAUCCCUCAACACUCUUUACCUGAUGGAUAAUAAUUUGACGGAAAUAGUGACAACUACUACUCAAGGUAAGUAAAAAGUACAGAUGUGGCCAAAUUAUAAAUAAACUGUUAAUUAAUUAAUUUUCCGUAUUAUUAAUAAAGCUAAAUUCGUUGCUUCUUCUUUCUAAUUCUAAACAGAGUUGCACAAUUUCACCAACUUGGAAUAUUUGAGAUUGGACCAUUCCUCUCUCCAUAUAGGCCUUCUGCAAAGCAUUGCAUCAAUGUUCCCUUCGUUAAAAAAUCUGUCAAUGUCUCAUUGUGAAGUCAAUGGUGCCCUACGUGAUCAAGGUAAAAGAAAAGUGUUGAUUGUGAACUCACUCAAUGGUGUCCUAUGUGUUCAAUGUUUUUUUUUAUUUAUUUUAUUGUUUAAUGUUUCUGCUAGGUUUUCCUCAUUUUAAGCGUUUGGAACAUUUGUACAUGGAUUACGCGCGCAUUACACUCAACACCAGCUUUAUUCAAAUCAUCGGUGAAUCGAUGCCUACUCUUAAGUACUUAUCACUGUCAAAUUCUAGUCUUAGCACUAACAGCAGGACUCUUGAUCAAGGUUAAUGAGAUGCUCCCACCCUCCCCUCUUAAUCUAUAAUAUUAAUUUUCGAUUAAAAUUAUGAUUACACAAACCAAUCACUUCUAUAUGAAAGAAUGCUCUGCAUUUGUUAAUUUUUAUAUCGUACUGAUGGAUGAAUUAAUAAAUUUUCAGGCCUCUGCUCAUUGGCGCAUCUGCAAGAGUUGUACAUUGAUAAUAAUGAUUUAAGAGGUAGCUUGCCUUGGUGCUUGGCAAAUAUGACAUCCCUCCGAAUAUUAGAUGUUUCUUUCAAUCAACUUACUGGAAGCAUCUUCUCAUCUCCCCUCGCUCAUUUGACAUCCAUUGAAGAGCUGUGGUUUUCAUACAAUCACUUCCAAAUCCCAAUUUCACUUGAACCACUUUUCAAUCACUCAAGACUCAAGAUAUUGCAAGCUGACAACAACGAAAUAAAAGCUGAAAUAAUUGAGUCACAUUCUUUGACCCCAAAAUUCCAAUUACAAUUUCUCUCCUUGUCCUCCGGUUACGGAGAUGGUUUCACAUUCCCCAAAUUCCUUUACCAUCAACAUGACCUACAGGAUGUUUAUUUCUCACACAUAACGAUGACUGAAGAAUUUCCAAUUUGGUUGUUGGAAAACAACACAAAAUUAGAAUUUCUUUUUCUCGUCAAUGAUUCUCUUGCAGGACCUUUCCGAUUGCCAAUUCAUUCACACAAGAGGUUAAGGUUGUUAGAUGUCUCUAACAACAACUUGGAAGGCCACAUUCCAAUAGAAAUUGGAGAUAUUUUACCAAGUUUAUAUGUUUUCAACAUUUCCAUGAAUGCUUUAGACGGUAGCAUUCCCUCUUCAUUUGGUAAUAUGAACUUCCUCCAAAUUCUGGACUUAUCCAACAAUCAAUUGACUGGUGAAAUCCCUGAGCACUUGGCUGUCGGUUGCGUCUACUUGGAGUCUCUUGCGUUAUCAAACAACAACCUAAAAGGUCACAUGUUUUCUAGAAAUUUUAAGCUGGUAAACUUGAAAUGGUUACAAUUGGAGGGCAAUCACUUCGUAGGAGAGAUCCCACUAAGUUUGUCUAAAUGCUCUUCGCUAGAAGGAUUGUAUCUUGAUAAUAACAGUCUCUCAGGUAAGAUUCCACGAUGGUUGGGUAAUCUCACAUGGUUAAUACAUCUUAUAAUGCCCAAGAAUCAUCUUGAAGGUCUUAUUCCAGUGGAGUUUUGUCAUCUUCAUUCGCUUAAGAUUUUGGACAUUUCAGACAACAAUAUAUCUGGAAGUUUACCAUCUUGUUUCCUUCCUCUCUCUAUUGAACAAGUUCACUUGUCAAGAAAUAUGUUACAUGGACAGCUAAAAGAAGGUACAUUCUUUAAUUGCUUUUCCCUUAUGAAGUUAGAUCUUAGCUAUAACCAGUUAAAUGGUAGCAUUCCAAAAUGGAUUGAUGGGCUUUCUCAGUUAAGCCACCUUAUCUUGGCUCACAAUAAUCUUGAAGGUGAAGUACCAGUUCAACUGUGCGAACUGAACCAACUGCAAUUGUUGGAUCUUUCUAAUAAUAAUCUUCAUGGUGUUAUUCCUGAUUGCUUUGAUAACACCACACUUCAUGAAAGUUACAACAAAAAUUCUAGUCCUGAUAAGCCAUUUGAAAUGUCUUUUUCUGUCAGAGGCCCUCAAGAAAAUGUAAAAAAGAAAAUCCUUGAAAUUUUGGAAUUCACAACAAAGAACAUUGCCUACACUUACCAAGGAAAAGUGCUUAGCCUCCUAUCAGGACUUGAUCUUUCUUGUAACCAGCUAAUCGGUCAUAUUCCUCUUCAAAUUGGAAAUUUGACCAGGAUUCAAACAUUGAAUCUAUCACACAACAGCUUGAUAGGAUCAAUCCCAUCAACAUUUUCAGAAUUGAAGCAUAUCGAAAGUUUGGAUCUUUCUUACAACAAAUUGAAUGGGAAGAUCCCUUAUCAGCUUGUGAAGUUAAAUACAUUGGCUAUUUUUAGUGUGGCAUACAAUAACUUAUCAGGCAAGAUCCCAGAAUGGACUGCACAAUUUGCAACCUUCAACGUGAGUAGCUAUGAGGGAAAUCUUUUUCUUUGUGGAUUGCCAUUGCCCAUUUGCAGCCCACCACCAACUAUGCCAAGGGCUUUAACUAGCAAUGAAGGAGAUGAUAAUUUAAUUGAUAUGGAUAGUUUCUUUAUCACAUUUACAACAUCGUACGUAAUUGUGAUAUUUGGAAUCGUCGGCGUUCUAUAUGUGAAUCCUUAUUGGCGACGUAGGUGGUUUUAUCUUGUUGAAAUGUGGAUAAUUUCCUGUUAUUAUUUUGUCAUAGACAAUCUUAUUCCAACAAGAUUUUGUUAUUGAAAUUAAUAAGUAGUUUAAUUAAGAUCCUUUAAGUACUAAUCAAGUUUGCUUAAGAAAUAGUUUUUUUUUUAAUUGAAAACUACAAGAAAAAUAGUAUAUGACAACAUGCAAAGAGUGUUGUAGAAGGGAUAUCACAACAAGCAUAUGAACGUUGCGGUUCUUGAUGUAGCGAAAAGUAGGUAACUUUCGACUACGUGCAAUUCACGUUGUUGAAAAAGAUAUGAACGUUGUUAAAUAUCAUAUGACAACUUACAAUGAUUGUGGUUAAAAAGAUCAUGUGCUUCCAAACUUUCGACUACAAGCCUAUGAAUGUGGCUAUAAAUUAUAUAGCAACAAGCAACUAAAUGUCGCCAUUAAUUCUAAUUUUUAUUUACAAUAAACCACAUAUCCUGCAUGUUGUCAAAAAAACAACAAUAUAUUAUUAAUAAUUAUUAUUAUCAUUAUUAUGACUACUAAUAUUAUCAUUUUUAUUACACUAUUACUGCCGCCAUAUGUAAAAUUCAUGCGAACUAAUUCUACAAUUUGACUUGUUAUAAUAAGUUUUCAUAAACUUAGUAAUAAGCACACAUCACAGCUAAGGGUCACACCAACAUUUUUGUAUUCAUACAAAUUCUAUUACAUAGCAAAUAUGAAAAACACCAUAUACCAUCAGUUUAAAUUUCAUCUAGCCAAACACCCAAAAAAUUAGUAAAAAAACACAUUAGUGGCUGUUGCAAUUCCAUAAAUAUCAACUUAAAAAAAACCAUCUCCAACGAAAGCUUCUUCAAUUUAGCAAUUCCAUCAAAAACUUGUUCAGGGCAUAUAUACACUCCUAAAAAAAUAUUAACUGAAUCAAUAUUCAUUUGUUGCAUUUGGAAUAUAAUUAUACACACACACACACACCCAAGAAGAAUAUUUUAUGCCUACAUACCUUUUUUAAAACAAUUUGAUACAACUUCCUGAUUAUUUCUCAUUUCUCUAAACUUCUUGCUUAUUGCCUGUCCGGCAAAUAUUAAAAUGUAUAAUUUUCAUAGACAUGAAACUUAACAUGGAUACUAUAAGUGCAAUGCUACGGACUAGCUUACUUUAAAUUCUGGAGAUAAUCUUUACUUGACAAUAUUAGCCCAAUCUUCUUUGAAAAUUAUACUUUUUUGGCCUAAUAAGAGCAACCAGCUCUGUCAUGUACUUUUUUGGUUUCCUUUAUCUUAGUUGUUAGCUCUGAUUUGUAUUGUCUCCAACAAUCACCCAUCGUUCUUAAUGCCAAGCAUUCAAGAUAAAAAAUGUAUUUCUAAAUAAAGAUAAUUACUAUGUAAUUCCAUAAACAUGCACCAAGGGCCAAUAGUUCGCUGUCAACUAAAAGCUAAUUUUCAAUGCACACAAGCACAUGCUCUCAUGUUAUAACUCUAAUAAAAGUGCAUAUUUGUAAGAAUUUACACCUACUAGCUGGCCAUAGUCGUUAAAUUCAAUGCUUAAUGAUGGAGAACAAUCUUGAAUCAUUCCAAGUUUGGUUGGACCUCUUUUGUCUUUUGGUGCAUCUAUCAUCAGAUUGAGGUUUGUGUGCAUUUUCCCUAUUGCUAGUUGCUAAUGAUCCAUUCUCCUCUUGAAUAGUUGCAUUUUCUCUAAAUUUAUCUCGACUUGCCUAGAAGACUUUGUAACGCAUAGCAAAAUUAAUGUAGGAAUAAACAUACUAGAAAAAAGUAUAUGAACAUGAAAAAGUAUAAUUUAAAGUUGAACAAAAAAAAAAAAUUCUUACUUAUACUAAACAAAAUGUAAUCACUCUCACUGGCCAAUAAUAAAUCUUGGAACCCUCUUUGUGGUUUUUUCAAUACUAAAUACUAAUUUGAUUUUUCAUUAUCCUUAGAAUAAAUCCAAAUUGGCUUUGUCCCUCAUGAAGUUUAACCAAAGUGAAUCCUUCGUCAACUUUAACACCAUUAACUAUAUUAGUUCAGUCACAUUUGAAAAUAGGGAACUAAAAGUAUUGUAAUCAAGCACUAAUAUAUCUCUCAAAACUCCAUAGUAAGUAACUUUUCCAAAAGAGAAAUCCAUUUUGAAUUUUAAUUAUACAAGGGGGAAACAGUACCUCAAGUUUGCUCUAUAAUCAGAUCCUAAAAUGUCACAGCUGAUUCAGGAGAUUAAUGGCAUUAACAGAAGUAACUAGUCAACAACGCCAAUAAGAGAUUAAAAUUGUGCCUUUCAAUUGAAAAAAAAAAUCAUUAUCCGUCUCACUAGUAAUAUUUACUCAUUUAAAUUAUUUUUACCGAAAUCAGUUUAUCUUGAAAAUAAAAUAUAAUCUUCAAAAUUAUCUUUUCCAUGUAAAAUAUUUAGCUUCAGGCGUUUCAAAAGAAAAUAAUCUUUUGGUUUCAAUCACCCACCACAGAAAAAGUAACAUUUAUUUUAUUCAUGCAUAACAGAUGAACCCCACAAGCAAUAAAGAAUUGUGCCACUUACCAAACAAUGAAUCUACAAUGGGACGAUGUCGAGUGAUUUUGAGUGAGAAGAAGUAUAGGGUGAAGACCCAAAUCUUCUAAAAACAAAAUAGGUGGAAAGAGUAAAUUAUUAAUUAAAUGGAAUUAGGGAAGUGAAAGUGAGCUUUAUCAAUGAAAUUGAAAAGAAGAGUACCUGAUACACUCAUUUCCUUGGGUGGGCAGCCGCCAUUACGAUGAAGAUUGAGAGGCCUGCUUUGCUUUAGUGGCAGAGAAAGAGUAAAGUGGUACUGCAAAGAGAACCGAGGGUUUCACUAAGUCAAUUUGUCUCUUUUUUCCCCCCUUUUUACCGCGCUUUAACCCGUGCGCGCAAAAUGAAAUUUUUUAUUUAUUACACAUUAUUUUCUAUUACUUUACUUUUAAAAAAAUAUUGUAGUUAAUGAUACCCUCAAAAAAUUUAUUUGUUAUAAUACUUUUAUGCAUAAAUUCCAUGAGCAACUAUUUAUGUUUUAAUUUUCACCAAUUUCAUAUUAAAUGAGAUAACAAAGAAUUUUACAAAAAAAAAAAUAUUUUCAACAACAUGCAACAUAUAAACGUUCUUAUUUAAAUAAUAAUUUUUGCAACAGGCAAUUCAUUGUUGCCUUAAAUAAUUAAUUGCAACAUGCAAAUUAUGAAUGUUGUUAUUACAUACUCCUAUACCGCAACAAAUGGUCGCUCGUUGUCGUAAGGUUUUAGACCACAGUCACUUUUUGCGUGUUGCUAAAACUUUAUAUUUACCAACAUGCAGUUUAUGACUGUUGUUAAUUAUAAAUUUGACAACAUUCCAUCUGUGCACGUUGUUAAAAUGAUGUUGCCUUAUCCCAAUUUUCUUGUAGUAGUAUUGAUCAUUAUAUCACUUCCAGCUUCAAAGCACCUAGCAUUUGUCUCUACACUUAGAAAGCUGGAUGAUUUUGCUUUGCAGAUCUAGAUUUGAAGUAGGAUGGUUCCAAACCCAUAUCUAUCUAUUGUAGCUUACCUAUGUUGUACAGCAUACUUAAACGAUAACACCAUCUCCAAUGUUAAAAGUAGCCAUUAUAUAAGAUUCUUAUGGAAACUAUAUUCGAAAUAGAUUUAUAAUCAUACAUAGGAAAUGAAAAACCUUGCUGCACUUGCUCGCCUAUUUUACUCUGAGCAAGAACAUCAUCUUUUUCAUUUGCAGCAUUAACAUCAAACCAAGGGAUGGAGACCCAGACAUUUCAUCAAGAAAGGCAUAAAUCUACUAAAGUUGAAGCUUUGACAAAAAAUUCAGUCGAAAGUCAAUGUCUGACCACAAGAAAGGGCACAACAACAUCAUUCUAGAAGAGAUGAAGCAAUAUUCUCAAAGCUAACGCUCUCAAAUACACCACACCAGAAUUUCAUAUCUCCUCGUCAAUUUUAAAAACUAAAGAUAAUUAGGAUUUAACAUUAGUUUGUUAUACAUUAGUUUCAUAAUUUACAAGCCAAUGAAGAUGAAGAUUAUGCCAAUGAAUUCAAAUUAUAUCAUACAUUCUCUGGAUGUUUCCAAAAAUUUACAAGUCGAUCCCACAUAUUUCAUAAUUCUAAGACUGGAAAGUUUCAUUAGUUAGAAAUUCAUUAUCUUCAAGUGGAAGAUGAAGAAAAACAUUAUGCAAGUGAUUCAUAUUAUAUCAUACAUUCUCCGAAUGCAACUAAAAUCAACAAGUUCAUGCCCACAAAUUUGAUAACAUUAUGAUUGGAAAGUUUCACAGAGACUUGAGAAAGGCAUUAUGAUUGAUUUGAGUUACUUUGUGAUCAAGCUACUAAUAUAACAUUCAAUUCAAGGAGGGAAUAAGUUGGGAAGAAAUAGUAGUAAAAAUUUGUUACUACAUAAUUCUCCUCAACUUUGAGAUAAAUACAAAUGUGAAAAUGUAUACGAUCUAAUAUUACAGAUAUGAAAAUGCAAAUGAUCACACAUAUUACUUGCAACUUAGCAAGCUUUAACUAAGAGGAGCAAUCAAACUACUUAUCAAUUGUCGUAGACAUUCCGUAAUCUAAAAUGGAAAUAUAAUGCAAGAAAAAGAACAUACAGAUACUUGGCAGAAGUUCAUUAAGAACUCCAACCAUAUUCGAGUCAUGAGUUUGCUUUUGAUAUCUUGUUAGCUGGGGUUUUCUCCUGUCUAUUGACGUAUGCUGAGGGAAAUGACACAACUUAAAAGUAAUUUUUAACUCCCAAGUCUAAGAGUGUCUUGUUGUAUUAUAACUCGGUGAGCCCGAUGUCGAUCCACAGAGAAAAGAUUUAAUUAGUUUACUUUAUUUUAACUAAAAAUUGAAAUUAAAACUUAAAUAUAAACAACUUAAUUUAAAUGAAACUAUGAAAUUAAACUAGUUAUGAUUAUGGAUCCACUCUUAGAAGUAAAUAAAACUUAAUAAAUUCUUUUUGCCCUUUUUUUACAUUUAUUGCCCAAAAGAUUAAUUAUAUAAAUUAUUAUUAUUUUCCCUUUAAUUUUAUGAUGGAUUAAGUAUUUAUUGUGCCAAAAUUUAAUUUGUCUACAAUAAGUCAAAAUACCAUUUUACCAUACCUUAUAUUAAGAUAUUAAGAAUUUAUUGUGCCAAAUUCAUUUGUUUGUCUACAAUAAAUCAAAAUUUCAAAAUAUAAAAUAUGUAUAAAAUUAAAUAGAAAAUAAUUUAAUUUAUAAAAUUAAAAAUAGAAUUUGCUUAAAUCAUAUUUAUUUCCUAAGAGUUUCACCUUCCCCUAACUAAUAUUAUUUAGUUAAGCAUAAUUAAAAUAAAAAGAAGUAGUAAAAUUGAAUUACUUAUAAUUAAAAGAAAUAAAAACAACUAAAAUUGGAAAUAAAAAUAAUUUUAUUUAUAAAAAUAAUUAUACAAAAGAUUAAAAACACACCUGGAAAUCAAGAUUAUAAGGAGAUGGAGAGAAUUUGAGAAGAAAAGAGUUGUAGAGAGAUGAUUAAAAACAUAAAAAUGAGGCUCUAUUUAUAGAAAAAUAAAUUCAUAAUCCAGUGCUUUGCGGUCCAUCAUAAGCUUCAUGCAUGUGCUCCUCACAACCUUUAGAUCAAGAUCCAAUGGCUGGUCAAACUUCAAAAGUCAACAUCACACGUGGCAUCGUUUGACUCGUUCGAUUUGCCCAAAGAACGGUUGAGAUUUGGAGGGUUAAUGGGUGGAUCAGGUCGACCCGAAUACAAAGAUUCGGAUCCUCCAACUUGCUUCACCAACCAUUGCCACGUGGCACACUCAUGGCCAUUGAAUCAUGAACGGUUGAGAUUUAGUCAAAAUUGCCAGCUAUCCCAUGCACUCAUACCUAUUGUAAGCUCAUUUCAUCAUCCAAUCAGUGCUUGGUCAACAGGAAAAGUCAACUUUUUUUUACACAAGCCCAAUUUUAAGCCGAUCUUGACUGAUUUUAAGGUUUUCGGACCUCCGGAAUCCAAAUUUGACCUUCGUUUAUCUGUUUGGAGCCUCGAAUUACGUGAAAUCAAUAUUUUUCCUAAUAAACACAUAAAAAUACAUAAAAUUAAAUAUAUUUAAAACAUAAUUAAUAAUUCCUAAUAUAUUACAUAAACAAAAAUAUAAAUUAUAACAUAAGCAUAAAAUAACAUAUUAUCGCUUGAUAAUUAAACAAUUUUUAAUACUAAUCACACCCCCCAACCAGCUUAUUGCUAGCCCUCUAGCAAUUAAAGCGUUAUAUUAAAUUAAGAUUUAUAAAAUUCACAUGCAAGUUAAUAAUUGUUCAUCUAUCUUCUAAAUUACCAAAUAAAUGAACUCUCCCAAAUUUCUUUACCAUAUUGAUGUUCCUUCAUUAUCCAGAAUAUCAUCAAACCUUCUUUUGUGCUCCAGUAAUUAACACAAUACUUAUGGGGCUUCAUUAAAAGAAAAACAACAUUUUCGUUACAAAAUUCAUUAGAAAUUAUAUCUUUAGGCAAUAGAUUAUUCACACACACACACACACACACACACACAUAUAUAUAUAUAUAUAUUUUAAAUAUUACAUUUCUAACCCGUGUAGCAAGCUUUAGGUCAGUGACUCCCAAACCAGUUGACCUUAGGGCACUAGGUGUUGAAACACCCCUACGGACUUAAUUACUCGGGUUUCUAGAUAUAACAAAAUUAAAAACAUUUUUUUUUCUUUUUUUUCUUUUUGUUUUUGUUUUUUUUUUUUUUUGCAAUAUACACUUUCUACUACCUUAGAUACUAUUCCUAAUAAAUCAAAAGAACUAAAUGCUGUAAAAUUUUAACUUACAACCCACUAGUAUGUAUCAUAAUGUGUGUGUGAAGAAUGAUUCAACAAUACCUGUUAAAUGAGUAAACAAUUAAAUAACUUAAUAACCAAGUGGAGAGUUCACAAAUUCGGGUAAUUCAAAGAAAAGGGAACAAAAACAAUUUACUAUGAAUCUCAAAAUCAAAAUAUAAUACAACAAGACUAUUAGGAUGCGUCUCAAAAGUCGUGACUCUUUACACGGCCAUCCUAGACAAAAACAAAAAUGUUUUUUUUUAAGAAAGAAAAGAAAAAAGAAAAGAGAAAAACAACACACAUAUUUAAAAACAUACGUCAAUUAUCCCCACUCCACAACCUAAUCUAAACAUUAUCUUAACAUUUUAUAAUUUUACAAAUAUGCAAAAAAUAAUAAUAAUAAUAAUAAAAGAGAAUAAUAAAAGAAAAAGAAGAGGAGAUCUCACCUGAACUUGAUGCAGAAGCUUAAAAGCGGAUAACAAAGAUGAAGAAAAAGUCAAUUUUUUUUUUUUAACAACACCCUUAAGACUAAGAAGAUGCGUUUCUAGAGGUACUGCAUUCUCUAUAUCCUGUCAUCUUCGACUCAAAUUUGUCCUAAGUUAGUCUUUACAGAAAAAAAAAAUUUUGUUUUUUUGUUUUUUUUUUUUGUAAACACAUCACCAGGACUAAGACAUUCCACAAUUAUUAACUAUUCCCUCCCCCUAACCUGAAAAAGACAUUGUCCUCAAUGUUUUAAAAGGAAAGAGAAAGAGUUUAGAAGACAACACAUGAACACUACAACAGAAAAUAUUUAGAGACGGAGAGUUAAAUCUAAAUCGCACUUCUUAUUACUGCUACUGUUACCGCUACCAUCAUUAGUUGACCAAUUCAGUGUAAAAGUUUUUGGAUUUGGCUCUGGUGUAUAAGCUUGUAAAAGAUCAAGUAACUCAUUAGUAGUAGAAGCAGAAAUAAAGAGUUUUUUUUAUAGAAUAUGGAACAAAAUGAUUCUUUAUUGCAUGGUUAAUAAAAGUUAGCAAGCCGUCAUAAAAAUUAUUAACAUUUAACAAACCGAUGGGUUUUUUAUGAAUGUUCAAGUGGGCCCAGGAUGCAAAUGUAAUUAGUGCCUCAAAAGUUGCAAGAUCUCCUGGCAAGAAAAUAAAAGCAUCAGCAUGAUUCAUCAUUUCAGAUAUUCUGUCUUGCAUACUUGAUACCACUAAUUCUUCUCCAAUUGGUGGGCCAAACAACUUCUGAGACAAGUCUUGAUAACCCUCGUUCACCUCCUCCAUAUGCAAGAUGCAGUUUCCUCUCUGCUAUGACACGACCAAGAUCUACAGCUGCCUGAACGAACUCUUUGUACUUUCCAUAGUAAAACCCAGAAAAGCACACAAAUGUUUUUGAAUUGUUUACUCGAAGAUGCUGCCAUUGGACUAAUUUUCAAAAACAAGUUGUGAGUGUUUGAAAAACGAGCUCAUAUUUAAAGAUCUUGGUGACAUAAAUAAUGAGAAACAGCUGUAAAUGGGUUGGCAUAUUUGUCAAAUGAAGAGUAAAGCUCGUGGCUCAAUAAUUCAAAAAUAAACAGUAAAAAGAAAAUAAUGAUUAGAAAAAGCAAACAGUAAAAGAAAACAAUAUUUAUUAAAUACAAAAUCACAUCACUAAAUGCAAUAAUACAAAUGAUAAAAUAACAGUGAAGUGAAAGGAUAUUUACUGGUAGUUGUGAUUGCGGCUCACAUCUUCCUCUGGUUUUACGUCCAGUAACGGCUUGAAUGCCCUCUAUGGGUCGAGGAUCGGCUUGCCAUCCAGUUUUCUUAUAAACUGGCAAACAUGGUCUUUUUGAGUCAGAUUCCCAAGACUAAACUGUGUACUUUAUUUUUGGAAUACUAUCCACAAAUUAUAAAUCUCAUGUUGCACAAAUUCACUUCAAUGCGUCUCAAGAGAUCGUAAGAUAUCAUCCAAUGAUUCUUUACUCAUGCCAUCUUUAACGAAUUUAAUUUUAUCUUUACGAGUAUCAGAAACCAUUCCUAAAGAUUUACAAUCUGGUCGUUUGCAACCAAGUCUUACACAGUUAUGACAUUUUGAGCCAAGUCGUUUAGCUCUCCUUUUCUUAGCAAACGUACUUUUACCAAAACCAGGCAUGUAAGAAACAAAUGGAUCAGAAAACUCACCUGCUAAUCAGACCUUUGCUUCAAUUAACCAACGAAUGUCAGAAGGAAUGCCAUUGAUCAUUAACAAACGCAGUCGUUCACAACGAGCUUUGUAAAUUUUCCUGAGGGCAUUCUGAGGGAGAGAGGGAAAAUGCUUAUUGAGUUUAUGUUGUAUUUCUUCCAUGUUUGAUUUUGGGGUUUCAGUUAUUGUGGGAAACUGAAGAUACCGACUUAAGAAGUCACGGAGUACCGUUAUCCGCCAUUUAUACGGGAAAAUAAAUCAAAACACACCAAAAUCAAAUCUGCAAAAUCAAAUCAAACGUGAAAGCGAGCAAAAAGAAACACACAAUAUAAAAGGAAAAUGAACUUACAUUCGUCCUCUCAUUGAGUUAACCUCAAGCUCUAAUUGAAAUUCAUAUAUGCCACUCUCUACUGUUCUGAGUUGUCCCUCUAAAUCCUCAACAUAAGACACGAAUUCUGGUGGUUGCAGAUCCCAAAGUGGAUGUGAUUUACAGCUUUGUAUCAGGCCUCUUAAGUGAAAUUUCACACGCAGAAAUCUUUUUAGAUGUGCGAACAUGAAUUUUCUCAUUGAGGUGCUCAUGAUGUAAAAUGAAAAUUGAUGAAAGAAUGUACAACUGUCAAACAAACACGCUUACACAAGAAAAACAAUGUUAAAAAAAAUAUGUACAGUGCAUCAAUCUAGAGAAAAAAAAAUCAAACAAUGAAAUGGUAAAAUAAUAGUAAAACAAAAAUAAAUAAAUAAAUCAUUAAAGACUUAAUCAAGAACUGGUAGGUCACCCAAAUUAAUUUCGGUGUCCUCGUCACGUGGGUGAUGUUCCAGAUAUGGUUUUAAUCUUUGACCAUUAACUUUAAAUGUGACACCAUUCUUUGAAUUCUCAAUUUCUAUGGCCCCAUAUGAAUAUACAUUUUUUACAACAAAUGGGCCACUCCAUUUUGACUUUAACUUCCCUGAAAAUAAAUGAAGACGAGAAUUAUAAAGCAACACUUUUUGACCAAUCUCAAAUGUUUUUCGAAAAAUUCUUUUAUCAUGAAAUGCUUUUGUUCUUGCCUUAAUAAUUCUUGAAUUUUCAUAUGCAUCAUUCCUUAAUUCCUCAAGUUCAUUCAAUUGCAAUUUUCACACAUUAUCAGCAUCAUCUAAAUUUGAAUUAAAAGCUUUAAUAGCCCAAAGUGAUUUAUGUUCAAGUUCAACAGGUAAAUGACAAGGUUUACCAUAAACUAACCGAUAAAGUGACAUUCCUAAUGACGUUUUAAAUGCAAUAUGAUAGGCCCAAAGUGCAUCAUUAAGUCUAAGCGACCAAUCUUUUCGGUUUGGGUCAACCGUUUUUUUCCAAAAUUUAUUUUAUCUCCCUAUUUGCUAAUUCAACUUGACCAUUUGUUUGAGGAUGAUAAGGGGUAGCAAUUUUAUGUGUAAUUCCAUAUUUCUUCAUUAAAGACUCAAAUGACUUAUUACAAAAAUGCUUACCUCCAUCACUGAUAAUGGCUCGAGGGAUUCCAAAUCGACUUAAAAUAUUUUCUCUUAAAAAUUUAACCACAGUUUUACUAUCAUUAUUUCGACAGGAAAUUGCUUCAAUCCAUUUUGAGACAUAAUCAACUGCAACUAAUAUAUACACAAAUCCAAAAGAUGAUGAAAAUGGACCCAUGAAAUCAAUUCCCCAACAGUCAAAUAUUUCAAUUUCAAGUAUGGGAUUUAAGGGCAUCAUGUUUCUUUUUGUAAUUGAUCCCAAUUUUUGACAUUUUUCACAACUUUUGCAAAAUUCAUAUGUGUCUUUGAACAUGGUAGGCCAAUAAAAUCCACACUGUAAAAUUUUAGCAGUAGUUUUUCUUGAAGAAAAGUGACCACCACAUGCUUCAGAAUGACAAAAAUUAAUGACACUACUUACCUCAUUAUCAGGAAUACGUCGCCGAAAAAUUUGAUCUGGGCAAUAUUUGAACAAAUAAGGGUCAUCCCAAUAAAAUUUCUUUACUUCAACAAAAAAUUUCUUUUUCUCUUGAGCAUUCCAUUGCAAAGGCAUUAUACCUGUAACAAGGAAAUUAACAAUGUUAGCAUACCAAGGCAUUGAAGUAACAGAAAAUAAAAAUUCAUCAGGGAAAGAAUCAUUUAUGGGUGUUAUAUCAUUGCAGAAUUCGGAUGUGAGUCUUGAUAAAUGAUCAGCAACAACAUUUUCAGCACCCUUUUUAUCUUUGAUGGUAAGGUCAAAUUCUUGUAGUAACAACAUCCAACGAAUUAGUCUUGGUUUGACAUCCUGUUUACUCAUCAAAUAUCUCACAGCAGCAUGGUCAGUAAACACAACAGAUUUAGAGCCAAGCAAAUAUGAACGGAAUUUGUUUAAUGCAAAUACCACAGCAAGUAAUUCUUUUUCAGUUGUAGAAUAAUUCAUUUGAGCACUAUUCAAAGUCUUACUCGCAUAAUAAAUCACAAAAGGCUUACCAUCCCUUCUUUGUCCUAAAACAAUACCAACAGCAAAAUCACUUGCAUCACACAUUAAUUCAAAUAACAAAGACCAAUAAGGAGAUUGCAUAAUAGGUGCAGAUGUUAAAAGACAAAUUAUUUUUUUAAAAGAUUUUUGGCAAUCAUCAUUCCAUUCAAACGGUGCAUCUUUUAAUAAGAGGUUACAAAGUGGUUUAGAUAUGGCACUAAAGUUUUUUAUAAACCUCUUAUAAAAUCCUGCAUGUCCUAAAAAGGAUCGCACAUCUCUAACUGUUUUUGGUUGUGGCAAUUUAGAUAUGACUUCGAUUUUUGCUUUAUCAACUUCAAUUCCUUUAAUAGAAACAACAUGACCCAAAAUAAUUCCAGAAGUAACCAUGUAGUGACAUUUUUCCCAAUUCAACACGAGGUCUUUUUCAACACAUCUUUUUAAAACUUUCUCCAAAUUAUCAAGGCAAUCAUCAAAAGAAUUCCCAAACACAGCCAAAUCAUCCAUAAAGACCUCUAAACAAUGUUCAACCAUAUCACAAAAAAUGCUUAACAUACAUUUUUGAAAUGUUGCAGGAGCAUUACAAAGCCCGAAUGGCAUUCUUUUAAAUGCAAAUGUUCCAAAAGGACAUGUAAAUGUGGUCUUUUCUUGGUCCUCAAGUGCUAUAGGAAUUUGAUAAUAGCCUGAAUAUCAAUCUAAAAAACAGUAGUAGGGAUGUCCUGCUACUCUUUCUAAUAUUUGGUCAAGGAAUGGUAAUGGAAAAUGAUCUUUUCUAGUGGCUUCAUUUAAUUUUCUAUAAUCAAUGCACAUGCGCCAACUAGAUGUAAUUCGCGUUGGAAUUAAUUCACCUUUUUUCAUUUUUAACAACAAUGAUUCCAGAUUUUUUAGGCACUACUUGUGUAGGACUUACACACUUACUAUAAAAAAUAGGGUAGAUAAUUCCCACAUCAAGCAAUUUAAGGACUUCUGUUUUGACAACCUCUUUCAUGUGUGGGUUUAAUCUUCUUUGAGGUUGUUCACAUGUUUUAGCAUUUUCUUCCAAAUUAAUUCUAUGUGUGCAAAUUAAGGGAUUAAUACCUUUAAUAUCAUUUAAAGUCCAUCCAAUUGCAUUUUUAUACUUUUUAAGAACAGGUAGUAACUUACCUUCUUAGUCGCUUGUUAAAAUAGAAGAAAUCACAACAGGAUAAGUUUGUUCUUCUCUAAGAAAAGUAUAUUUCAAUCCUUCAGGCAAAGGUUUCAAUUCCAUUUUAGGUGCUUCUUGUUGUUCUGUCUUUUCAAUACUUCCAAGCUCCUCAAAUUUUGGCUCGUCAUCAUAAUUUUGUGAAGUCUGCACAGAAUCAAGCAACGAAUUUAUAUUAGAAAUAUUUAGUUCAAGUUGCUUAUUUGACUCAAUUGAAUUAACUAAAUAAACAUUUGAGAGUUUAGAAAAAUCCCCUUUUUGAAUAUUUUUCUUGAUACAAGAUUCAAACAAUUCAUUUUGUUCAUCAGUAUCAUCUUCAUUCUCAUUUUCUUUAUUAGGUUGCCUGCACAUGUUGAAAACAUUUAAUUCCAAAGUCAUAUUCCCAAAAGAUAAAUUCAUUAAACCAUUCCUACAAUUAAUCAAAGCAUUAGUAGUUGCUAAAAAUGGUCGACCUAAAAUUACAGGAAUUGGUUUGUAAUUAUUCACAACAGGUUCAGUUUCCAAGACAAUAAAAUCUACAGGAUAGAUGAAUUUAUCAACUUGUACUAAAACAUCUUCCACUAUUCCUUUUGGUACUUUAACUGAUCUAUCGGCAAGCAAAAGUGUAGUUGAAGUUGAUUUUAACUCACCAAGAUUAAGUUGAAGAUAAACUGAAUAAGGAAGCAAAUUAACACUAGCUCCAAGAUCUAGUAAAGCAUGCUCAAUUUUGUGAUUACCAAUAAUACAAGAAAUGGUAGGACAACCAGGAUCUUUAUAUUUCAACUUAUUAUUAGUAGACAGAAUUGUACUUACCUGUUCGGCCAUGAAAGUACUCUUUCUUACCUUCAAUUUCCUCUUAACAGUGCACAAGUCCUUUAAAAAUUUGGCAUAUGAAGGUACCUGCUUGAUUGCAUCUAAUAGAAGAAUGUUAACUUUCACUUGCUUAAAGAUUUCAUAAAUUUCAGAAGAGUGGUUUAUUCAAUGCAUGCGGAAAUGGUGGUUCAGGUGGAACACUAGUUAUUUCUUCACUAGGUGUAAGUUCAUUUAGUCCUUCCUUACCCUUUGAAUUUUCAUUAUUUUCAUAAGGUUCAGGCAUAGGUCUAUCAACAACCUUACCACUACGAAGAGUUAUAACUGACUUGACUUGGUCUGUGGGUGGAUUUUGUUGAAUUUUAGGAUUUGGUUGUGGUUGAGCUGGAAAUUUUCCUUUUUCUUGAAUGGUGAGUGCAUAAGCAAUUUUAGCAAGAGUAUCUUUCAAAUCAGAAAAAGUUUGUGCAUUUUGAUUGUUAAUAACAUCUUGCUUUCUGAUGAAUGAAUGCAUUGUGCCUUCCAGAUUUUUCCAGGGUGGUGGAACAUAUGGUGCAUAAGGCUGAGGAUUUUGAAAAUUUUGUGGAGGUGGUGCUUGUGAAGAUUGUGCAUUAUUAUUAUUCCUCCAACUGAAAUUCGGAUGAUUUCUCCAACCAGGAUUAUAAGUCUAUGAAUAUGAGUUUGGUUUAUUGAAAGUGUUAAUGACAUUAGCUUGAUCAUUUAGACAUUCUUUAAGUGUAGGCAAAGUGGGACACUCUUGAGUGAAAUGAUCAUUCGAACUACAUAUGUUACAUGCAAUUUCUUGAACAUAUUUUACUUGAUCACUCUUUUUAUGCUCCAAAGCUUCAACUUUCCUAACUAGGGAUGCAAAUUUUGCUUGUAAAUCAUGAUCUUCCCUAAGGUUAUAGAUUCCUCCACUAGAUGGAGAUGAUUGUUGCUUAUUUGUCAAUUCAAAAAUUCCAACAGUAUCCCAAUGUUGUGUAUUUUCAGCUAAUUGGUCAAGGUAAUCUAGUGCAUCUUCAGGAUUUUUAUCCCUAAAUUCACCAUUACACAUCAUUUCAACAACCGGUCUACUUUGGGGUAUUAAGCCCUAGUAGAAGUAAGUGACCAAUCGCCAAGUUUCAAAACCAUGAUGUGGGCAUAUGUUAAGCAACUCUUUAAACCUAUCCCAACAUUGGUAUGAUGUUUCUCCAUUUUUUUGAGUGAAAGAAGUGAUUUGCCUUUUAAAAGAAUUUGUUCUAUGAGGUGGAAAUAAUUUUUUCAAAAACUGUUCUUACAUGUUAUUCCAAGUUCUUACUGAUCCAGAUCUAAGGUUUUGUAGCCAAGUUUUUAUCUUUUAAUGAAAAAGGAAAAAGCUUUAAUCUAAUUAUGUUCAUGCUACAAUUUUGGUCCGUGUAUGUAUUACAAACUUCCUCAAAAUCUCUUAGAUGCAAGUACGGAUUCUCAGAUUCUAAACCAUGAAAUGUUGGUAAAAGUUGGAUAAUACCUGGUUUAAAGUUGAAUCGAGAUGCUUCUGGAGGAAAUACUAUACACGACGGUGCUCCAGUCCUGGUUGGAUUCAUGUAGUCUCUCAGAGUUCUUGGUUGAUUUUGAUCAUGCCCAUGUUGGGAUUGGUUGUCUCCCUGAUCAAUUUGAGGGUUAAGUUCGCCCAAAACGUUUUCGUCUUGAUUCUCAUCCAUGAUUGGUGGUGGAGAUUGAGAUCUACGAAUUAACCUGCCACUUGAAGAUCGAGACCAACGUCUCAUGCAAUGGUUAUAUUAUAAAGAUAAUAUUUACACAAAUUGAUAACAAAAUAAAAUUAAAAAAAUUAAAUAUGCAAAUAAUAUAAGUGUACGAAAGAAAAUUAAAUAACAAUUUUGGUGGUUGAACCCACCAAUUAACAAUAAAUUAAGUAUAAAAUAAAUGCAAAAGAAAGAAAAAGAAAAAAAAAUGGUGGUUGAACCCACAAGUUAAAAAAAAUAAAGCAAAAAAAAUACAAAAUUAAAUAAAUACUGAAAAUUAAAUAACUGAAAAUAAAAAUUAAGAGUUAGUAGUUAGUUUGGUGGUUAAACCCACCAAUAAAGCAAAAAUAAAUAAAUAAAUACGAAAUAAAAUAAAUGUAGAAAAUUAAAUAACUGAAAUUAAAAAAAGUUAGGAGUUAGCAGUUAGUAAUUAAGAGUUAGUAAUUAGAGUUAGUAAUUAAAGUUAGUUUGGUCCAAAUUAAGUCCAAAAUAAGUCCAAAUAUGUCCAAAGUAUGUCCAAGUCUUGAUUAUUUUGAGGAAUUUCGUCUAGGGAUUCUAUUGCAAAUUAUUUUUAAUUUUAUGGUCAAACUAUAAUUUUUAGAAGUUUAGAAUUGAGCAAUUUGGGAUGAAAGUGAAAUGAUUGAAAGAUGUUGGGGUGAGAAUGUAAUUACCAGAAGAUUGGGCUAGAAACGGAAAUUGUUGGGGUGAAACGAGAAUUAUGAAAGAUAUGGGGACAAAAGAGAAUUUAAGAAAAGGAAAGGGGGCAAACGACAUUUUACAUAUAAGAGAAAAAUAAAAAACGGAAAAACAAACCAAAUAAAAAAAACUUUUCCCCGGCAAUGGUACCAAAAACUUGACACAACUUAAAAGUAAUUUUUAACUCCCAAGUAUAAGAGUAUCUUAUUGUAUUAUAACUCGAUGAGCCCGAUGUCGAUCUACAGAGAAAAGAUUUAAUUAGUUUCCUUUAUUUUAACUAAAAAUUGAAAUUAAAACUUAAAUAUAAACAACUUAAUUUAAAUGAAACUAUAAAAUUAAACUAGUUAGGGUUAUGGAUCCACUCUUAGAAAUAAAUAAAACUUAAUAAAUUCUUUUUGCCCUUUUUUUACAUUUAUUGCCCAAAAGAUUAAUUAUAUAAAUUAUUAUUAUUUUCCCUUUAAUUUUAUGAUGGAUUAAGUAUUUAUUGUGCCAAAAUUUAAUUUGUCUACAAUAAGUCAAAAUACCAUUUUACCAUACCUUAUAUUAAGAUAUUAAGAAUUUAUUGUGCCAAAUUCAUUUAUUUGUCUACAAUAAAUCAAAAUUUCAAAAUAUAAAAUUAAAUAGAAAAUAAUUUAAUUUAUAAAAUUAAAAAUAGAAUUUGCUUAAAUCAUAUUUAUUUCCUAAGAGUUUCACCUUCCCCUAACUAAUAUUAUUUAGUUAAGCAUAAUUAAAAUAAAAAGAAGUAGUAAAAUUGAAUUACUUAUAAUUAAAAGAAACAAAAACAACUAAAAUUGGAAAUAAAACUAAUUUUAUUUAUAAAAAUAAUUAUAAAAAAUAUUAAAAACACACAUGAAAAUCAAGAUUAUAAGGAGAUGGAGAGAAUUUGAGAAGAAAAGAGUUGUAGAGAGAUGAUUAAAAACAUAAAAAUGAGGCUUUAUUUGUAGAAAAAUAAAUUCAUAAUUCAGUGCUUUGCGGUCCAUCAUAAGCUUCAUGCAUGUGCUCCUCACAACCUUUAGAUCAAGAUCCAAUGGCUGGUCAAACUUCAAAAGUCAACAUCACACGUGGCAUCGUUUGACUCGUCCGAUUUGCCCAAAGAACGGUUGAGAUUUGGCGGGUUAAUAGGUGGAUUGGGUCGACCCGAAUACAAAGAUUCGGAUCCUCCAACUUGCUUCACCAACCAUUGCCACGUGGCACAAUCAUGGCCAUUGAAUCAUGAACGGUUGAGAUUUAGUCAAAAUUGCCAGCUAUCCCAUGCACUCAUAUCUAUUGUAAGCUCAUUUCAUCAUCCAAUCAGUGCUCGGUCAACAGAAAAAGUCAACUUUUUUUACACAAGCUCAAUUUUAAGCCGAUCUUGACUGAUCUUAAGGUUUUUGGACCUCCGGAGUCCAAAUUUGACCUCCGUUUAUCUGUUUGGAGCCUCGAAUUACGUGAAAUCAAUAUUUUUUCUAACAAACACAUAAAAAUACACAAAAUUAAAUAUAUUUAAAACAUAAUUAAUAAUUCUUAAUAUAUUACAUAAACAAAAAUAUAAAUUAUAAUAUAAGCAUAAAAUAACAUAUUAAACAAAAAUAUAAAUUAUAAUAUAAGCAUAAAAUAACAUAUUAUCACUUGAUAAUUAAACAAUUUUUAAUACUAAUCAGGAAACCAACCAGCCUUGCCCUUGCAUUCACCUUUCGACCAUCCAGUAGGAGCCACCUUGAGAAGUUAUAGCCAAAAAAGGUGAGUUAAACAGAAGUUGACCAUUCAAAGACUUGAGGUGAAAUAAUUAAAGCAAAAUAGGCUAAUUCUUUUACUUGAAAAGAGUGAAUUAGUUGUGAUUAUUGAAAUUGGAUUAACCAUGGAAGUAUAACAAGAUAUAAAUUCAUGUGAAAUUCUUAAAUGGAAAUAUAAGAUUAGAGCUCCUCAAUUUGCUUUUAAUUCAGCUAGACAACUAAGAGUGAUUUAUAGGUGAAAGUAGUUUGUAUAAGCAUAAAUUUAAUUUUUAGCAGUUCAGUAAGAGUUAAAUCCUUUUGAAUCAUCAAAAUAUCCAGAUUUAUUUCACCCUUUUGAACAGAGGAUAUAGCAAUUUCACUAGGAUUUAUUGUCAAAGUAGGUAAUGCACAGCAAAGAUUUUUUUAAAAACAAAUAACCUAUAAAAAGUACACACAUAUAACGUAUUAACAAAAUUACUUCAUUCUACAACAAUCCGUUUAUAUUAUAGUAAUUGGUUUAGUCGGCAACAAGCACUAUAAUCCCUUAAAUAAAUUUUUUUAUGUAAUUUUCUAUAAAUUUCAAAAAUCAAUUAAACUGGAGCUAAGACCAUUUCUAGUUUUCAGAUAAAAUAACCAAUCAAACAUUCAAAUUAACAGUUUAGGGUAAACUGCGUCAUUUAGAACUGAGCUAGCAGCCUUAUUAUAUUCUGAUUUGCACUUCAAUGUAAAAGGGAAUAUGUGACAGGAAGAAAGAAAACCAAUCAUCGUUUGUUAACUGAGCUAUCAUUCUUGUAUUUAUAAGCAAAUAUCAAGACUUUAGAUCACCAGCUACAUCAUGAGUGGCUACACAACUUUGCAGUGGUUUGUCUUUUUUUGGCAUGCCUAACUCAACUUCGACAUUGUUGAGAUAUUGGCAGUAGAGACACAUGAUACUUCUAGCUAUGCAUUCUAGCUAGCUCAUCCUGCAACGUUCUCUUUUUAAUUCAUUGGUGUUUGCUAAACCUCAUGCUUAGAAGUCUUGUUCUCCUAAACAAAGUUUCCCUAAGAAUGACUCCUUCAGCACCACAUUUUAACACUUUUUAGAGCAAUUUUAUUGGGGGAAAAGAAUUUUCAAGGUGUUAACUACUAAAUUUUAAAAGAUAAUUACGAUUUUGACCUACAAUCAUAUGACAAUUUAUCUGGGAUGAAAGGAUACAGACAGACAUAUUCCACUUUCAAGACUAAUCACUACUUCUCUAGGUGUUGUGCUAUAUUACAAAUACUUGACCAGAGGGUAGUGAAAAUAGAAAAGAACUUUAUUGCUCUACAAUUAAACUAAGAAUGCAAUGUGUCAAGCAAAAGACUGUGCAACAUCAAAUUGAUUGAUAAGUUUCAAAUUCAGCAAAUUAACAACUUUCAUAGGAGAAUACAACAAAUUUCUUUUAAAAAAAUAAAAAAUUAAGUCUUAAUUAAAAGAUAACAUUCCAUUUUGUUUAUAUCUCUUCUAUGUUAUUUCUUAAGAUUUUUCAAGAGGAGGACAAUAAAGGGACUUUCAACCAUGCAAGAGAGCAUAAGCCUUACUUUCGCUAUAAAGUAGGCAUCAUUAUGAUUAAUAUGCGUUUGUAAAUCAGCUCUAUUUGAAUCAGCAUUCUGAUGGCCACGUAAGGCAUUUACAUCCAUUUCCAAAGUCACAUGUUGCGUGGAGGACUCAUUUGAUUCCUCCUCUAGGAUCAUCUAAUUUGAGUAGCAAGGGUUGGAAGAGAAUACAAAGUCACAAUUAUUCUUUUGCAUAAGAGAGACGAAAAUGAUAAAGGCAAUAUUAUCAGUAGUCAACAAGAAGAAAAUGCUUCAAGGGAUAGAUAGAUGCAGACAAGUGAGUCAAAAUGCUUAGUCCCAAGCCUCAGGAUACAAAUUCUCUACAACAGCAAUAACGUGUUGAUGAUAUGUUUUCCGAGCAUCUACCUGCAAAGGCCCAAGACCAGGAAAGUAAAGAAAGAAAUACACUUGACAUAAAUCUUAACAAGAAGCAUAAUUUAAGACAUAACAAAACCCAGUCAUUGUUUAGAACUACAUUUGUUAUUGUAACAUUUCAAACAAACGUUCACUUAAUUCAACACUGUUGGAAGGAUAGGCUUUCAGAAGUAAAAGAAAGCUACUCGAACCAAAGUGAUUGUCCUUGUAUUAAUCAAGGGAUGUAAACAUCUUACAUUUGCAGGAUGAGUUUUAAUCACUUAUUUAAUAACACAUACCCUUGAUUUAUUAGGGUUGCAGUAAAGUUAGAAAAUAUUGAUCAAAUUCUUCCAUUGAAACAAACUUAGUAAACAAAGCUAAGUGAGCAGCUGUUUGACUUUCAAGCAAACAGCUAAACCAGAUAUUAAAAUUCAAAUAAAAUCAUUAAUAGACUAAUAACAGGCCAUCUUGCAUAAAAAAAUUAAGUUUAAUUUGUGAAUUUUUUUCCUAUAAACAUGUUAGGUCCUACUAUAUUGAAAUGUUAAAAGCACUAAACAAUUAUUCAAUAAAUUAUGCAAACACUAAAAUAGAGACUUAUUAAUUAAAAGAUUUUUGGUUAGUAACCGAGAAUGUCGGAGAGCUCCGAUAACCAAGAACUUCAAGACAACCCUACCCUGCUGAAAGUGCCUCCACCGCCGCUAAAUGAAGAUCAGUCCACUAAAAAGGCGCGUUUUCGCAGUCAUGGUACAGCUGAAGAUAAUCCAACGCCGCUAUCCUUCAAGGAAGCGCUUGUUCCCUCUAACCAACAUAGGAACUUUGAUUCCGCUGAGAUGGAUGAAGACUGGGACUUUGAACCUGGCGAUGUGAUGGUUGGAGAAGAUGACACCAUGCCAACUAUUGUGUUCUCGAAAAGAGUCCAUGAUAAACUGACUAAACCUUGGCAAAAUUCUGUGGUAGUGAAGUUAUUGGGGAGAAACAUUGGGUAUAAGGUUUUAUGUAACCGUCUAAAGGUAAUGUGGCCUAUGAUUCAUGAUUUAUCUGUGAUUGACCUCGAGAACAAUUAUUAUUUAGUUCGUCUCCACUCAACAGAGGAUGCAGUCUAUGCUUUAACAGAGGGGCCAUGGGUUAUCUUUGGGCACUAUUUAACAGUGCAACCUUGGACUCCACUUUUCGACAGCACCGUUACUGAUAUUGCCUCAGCAACUGUUUGGAUCCGCUUACCUGGCAUGGCUUUUCAUUUAUACGACAAGCGUGUUCUGCGGGAAGUUGGACAACUUGUGGGCACAAUUAUUAAAAUUGAUUAUCAUACCGAAUCAAGGGAGAGGGGAAAGUUUGCGAGGAUUGCUGUCCGUGUUUCUCUUUCUCAGCCUUUGGUGUCUCAAUUUAAUCUGGACGGAAAAAUUCAGAAGGUUGAAUACGAAGGGCUGCCAAUUAUAUGUUACCAGUGUGGUAAAUAUGGCCACACCAGCAGUACUUGUCCUGAGAAACAAGCUGCGAAUGGGGCUAGGGCCGAGAGUUCGGUGAGAUCUCCACCAGUCAACGUGACAGCUGAUAAGGAUGGCGCCUCAGCUAUGGCUAAUAACAGUGGUGAGAAAUUCGGUCCAUGGAUGAUUGUGGCACGAAGAGGGAGACCUAAAGGAGUUAGGGACAAGGAGAAUAUCACCGAUUCAGAAAGGAAUCAGCGUAUUAACUAUACUACGGCUUCCCGUUUUGCUGCUUUAGUUGAUGGGCCUGAUACAAUUACUGUGACAUAAAUUGAUGUUCAAGAUCCCACCAUUGUCCCCCCCAACAACCAGCUAAAUCCAUUACCGACCACUUUCACACCCGAAGGAACCACCCUCUGAAAAUCCGUAGCACCCUAAAGCCUCAUAAUCACCUAUCCAAAGCUAAACAAGUGGCCAAAUCACACCUUAAAGCCUCAUCAUCUACUUCCAUGCAUGCAAACUUAUGUCCCAAUGUUCAUAUGGAUCACUCCACCCAUAAUAAUGUCCCGAUCCAGUAUCCCUUAGGACAUCCUUUUAGCUUGCCCGUUGAACCUUCGUUCACCUUGACCACCCUGAAUCCUCACAAGCAUACUGCCGUGACCUUUCCCAUAGCCAACCAUGAGAUUGUGGGUAAUCAACCAGGCUACUCAUGUGGAAAAGUGGCUGAUAACCUGGAGCAGCAACUCUACCCAAAGCAAUUAGCUGAUCCUCCCAAUGUAAGAGAAGACGGAGCUGUUAAUCCGAUGGAGUUUUAUGAUGGUGACCCUCAACUUGCAAUUGGCAAUGAAGAGGAAGACAUUAUGUCUGAUGAUGAAAAUACUAGUGUUAAUGAAACCCCCAGAGUGCAUGGAGGAGGGGCCCUAGGGCCUAGAAUGUAAGGACUCCAUGCUCCCCUGUUUUGCUUAUAUCUUUAAUGAUGUACAAUAUAAUGUUUUGGAAUUGCCAAGGAGCUUUUUUGCCGGGAUUUUGCAGGACUUUUAAGACUAUUGUCAGUAAUUAUAGACUGAAUCUGGUGGCCUUAUCCAAGCCUCGCAUUAGUGGAGUAAAGGCUGAUGACUUCAUUAAAAAAAAUGGCUUCCAGAGGUCUCAUCGGGUGGAAGCUAGGGGUUUUUCUGGUGGCAUUUGGAUUUUGUGGGAUGACAGUUUUGAGGUGGAAUUUAUCAUCAAUCAUAAUCAAUUUAUUCACUUUAAAAUAAUUGAUUUGAAAGGUUGUAGUUCCUGGGUCACAGCAGUUUAUGCGAGUCCGAUACCCAUGGUAAGGAAAAUUUUAUGGUCGGAGUUAGAUAAAGUUGCCAAGUCUGUUGAUGGUCCGUGGAUGAUUGGUGGGGACUUCAAUGCAAUUAGAAGAGUAUCUGAAAAAAAAGGAGGGUCAGCCAGGACAAGUGGUGUGCGUGAACUCUUUAAUGGAUGGUUCCAUCGAAACCAUCUCAUGGAACUUGUCUUUAAGGGACCCAAAUACACAUGGUCAAGAGGCAACUUAUCGAAAAGGUUAGAUCGGGUGAUUUGUAAUGAAGAGUGGAUGAUGAUGAACGAUGAGACAGAAGUUUUCCACCUCCCCAAAUUAAAUUCCGAUCAUAGACCGGUGAUGUUUCGUUGCAAGAAAUACAAUUCCGCUCCUACGGGGGUGAAACCUUUUCGGUUUUUGGCUCCCUAGCUAACUGAUGAGAGAUUCCAACCCUUUGUGGAAAAUAACUGGAGGAGCAAUUUGAACUACACUAAUGUUGUGGAUGAUUUUAUCAACAAACUGGGAAACUGGAAUAAAGAUAUUUUUGGCAAUAUUUUUAAAAGAAAAAAAGAGAUGCUGGCUAGAAUAGGUGGCAUUCAACGCUUUCUGGAGAAGCGUCAGUCUAGGAGUUUAAGCAAGCUAGAAUCUAAGCUAAAGAGGGACCUUGAAAAAGUGUUAACUCAAGAGGAAGUGCUAUGGUUCCAAAAAGCUCGAAGAGAAUGGAUUGUCUGUGGGGAUAGGAACACAACCUUUUUCCAUCAAAAAUCUAUAAAGAGACGCCGACGAAAUAAAGUGGGUAUGAUAAAAAAUGAUGAGGGGCAGUGGAUCCAUGACGAAGCUGAUAUUAAAGCCCAUGCAGUCUUUUAUUUUUGUAAUUUGUACACGAAGGAGGGAGGUGUUCCUGUCCAAUACCCUUUUACUCUUGACUUCCCUUUAAUUGAUAAUGUUGUGCUUAACAAUCUGAUCAGAGGUGUUGAUGAUGCAGAGAUUAGAGAUAUUGUCUUUACCAUGAGCCCAUUGAAAGCCCCGGGUAUAGAUGGCCUUUAUGCCAUUUCCUUCCAGACUCAAUGGCACGUGGUGGGGUCUUCAGUUUGUCAGCUUAUUAAAGAGUUUUUCGCGGGAAAGCAAUUGCCCCAGGAAUUGAACCAAACUCUUCUUGUGCUGAUUCCCAAGAUCAAUAAUCCAUAUUCUCUCAAAUUAUUUAGACCUAUUAGUCUUUGCACAGUGGUGUACAAGACUAUAACUAAAUUGGUAGCUAAUCGCCUCAAAGCCAUUUUGCCGCAAAUCAUUGGCCCUGCUCAGACGAGUUUUGUUCCUGGGAGACAUAUAGUCGAAAACGUCAUCGUUGCCCAAGAAAUCAUUCACUCUAUGAGGAACAAAGGGGGCAAAACUGGUCAGAUGGCUAUCAAGGUUGACUUGGAAAAGGCGUAUGAUCGUUUGAGUUGGGAUUUUAUUCAGGAGACUCUGGGGGUGAUUGGGUUGCCGAUGGAUUUGAUUCGUAUUAUAAUGGAGUGUAUAACCACAGUUUCGAUGCAACUCUUGUGGAAUGGUGAGCUCACGGAGAGUUUUAACCCAUCUAGAGGAAUCAGACAUGGGGACCCUUUGUCCCCGUAUAUUUUCGUCAUGUGCAUCGAGAGGCUAAGUCACGGUAUCAAUCAUGCAGUUGGGAACGGGCGUUGGAAACCCAUCAGGCUUAAUCGUGGAGGUAUUCCUAUUACUCAUUUAUUUUUCGCUGAUGAUCUUCUUCUUUUAGCGGAGGCUUCUAGUCAGAAUGCGCAGGUGAUCAAUGAGGUCUUGGAUACUUUUUGUGUAAGCUCUGGCGAGAAAGUGAGCAGAGAAAAGACCCAAAUUUUCUUCUCUCGAAAUGUUUAGAAGAGCACAAUCCGAGAGAUAAGGAAUACACUCGGAUUUUCAGUUACGAAGAACCUCGGUAAAUACCUUGGUAUGCCCAUCAUUCACUCCCGAGUUACCAAGGCAACUUAUCAAGAUAUUCUAGAUAAAGUACAGCAGCGUUUAUCAGGCUGGAAUGCCAAGCAUCUCUCUCUAGCGGGCAGGAUCACUUUGGCACAAUCGGUAAUACAAGCUCUCCCAGUUUAUGCCAUGCAAUCAACGAAAAUUCCAGCUUCGGUUCUUACCAAAAUUGAGCAAAGAUGUAAGCAUUUUAUCUGGAGUGGAAAUGCCGAACAAAGAACAUUGAAUCUCAUCCGGUGGGACACUCUUUGCCAACCCAAGUCAUGUGGGGGCCUUGGUCUUAAAGAUUUAUCUCAUAUGAAUAUGGCUUUGAUGAUGAAAAUUGGGUGGGGUUUAGUCAACUCUCCUAAUACUUUUUGGGUCCAGGUGCUGGCUUCUAAGUAUAAGGUUGAUACCACUUGUCUUCCUGGCAGCUUACAAACGAGGAACGGGUCUUACUUGUGGCGUGCUGUGGGGAAGGUUUGGGAUCAUGUGUUGAAGGGAACUCGUUGGGCUCUUGGGGAUGGAAAACGAGUGCAAUUUUGGUGGGAUUUAUGGCUCAGUGAGGCUGAUAACUUACAAUCAUAUGCCACGAACCCAAUUCCUGAUCAGCUGAUUAAUUUGUGUGUGGCUGAUUUUUCAGAUAACAAUGGCAACUGGAAUUGGCAUUUAUUUGCUCAUUUGCUUCCCAACCACAUAAUUCUAAAGAUUGCUUCAGUUAAAGCUCCUUGUGCUCUUAGUGGUGAGGAUCAAUGUUACUGGGCUUACUCUAAUACAGGUCAAUUCACGGCGAAAUCUGCGUACCUCUCUUUGCACCAAUCCAAUAAUGUGGCCGAUAAAUCUUUGUGGAAUUUGGCUUGGAAAUGGAAUGGACCUCAAAGUAUCAUAACAUUUAUUUGGCUCGCCAUGAGCAAUAGGCUGAAAACAAAGUCGGAGCUUUUUCGAAGGCACAUUACUAUGGAUGCCACUUGUUGUAGUUGCGGCCAACACUUGGAAGAUACCAUUCAUGUGUUGAGGGAUUGUAUCAUUGCCCGGCAUGUGUGGCUCAGUUUGGUGCCUCAUACUUUAUGGAAUAAUUUUUUCGAUUUGGACUUGACGAGUUGGAUCUACUACAAUCUCAAGAACACGGGUUUGAUUAGGAGAGAUGAUAAUUGGCCCUGUAUUUUUGGUGUUGCUCUGUGGCGGAUUUGGUAUUGGAGAAACCAAUUCAUUCACAAUAAAGAAAUCAUCAGUAUUGCAAAUAUUGUGCUGGACAUCACGCACCGCGCGGCCGAAAUCAAUGCUUCCAUGGAGAAUAUCUGUAGACCAGGCCAUGAAAGGAUAAUCAAAUGGUUGAAGUGGAUGGCCCCACCUUGGCCUUUCUUUAAACUAAAUACAGAUGGUGCUCGGAAAAUUUCAGGAAAUGCAAGUGCAGGUGGUCUCAUUAGAAAUUAUUGCGGAGAAUGGGUUCACGGUUUUGGCAUGAAUAUUGGCCAUUGCACUAUUACUGGGGCGGAGCUUUGGGGUCUUCUUCAAGGAUUGCAACUUGCCUGGAAUAUUGGGAUUAGACAAUUACUUGUUGAAGUUGAUAGUCGAUGCAUCACUGAGAUCUUAGCCACAGAUACCAAUCAUCCCAAUGCUAACUCCUCUCUUAUUCAAGGAAUUAAAAGACUUCUCAACAUGGAGUGGCAGGUUUCUCUGUCACACUGCUAUAGAGAAACAAAUUAUGCAGCUGAUUACCUCGCCAAUCAAUCUCUUCUUUUGCCUCUUGGGGUCCAUGUGUUUCCAACGCCUCCAUCCGGAACUGACAGGUGGCUGCUGCACGAUGUAUGUGGGACUGCUUACUCACGAAUGAUCUUUGCUUAGUUUCUUAACUUCGCCCUUUUGUAUCAAAAAAAAAAAAAAAAAUAGAGACUUAUUAGAAAGUUUCUUACUACAAUGUUAAUAUUUCCUCUAUUUUAACGUUUACAUAAUUUUAAUUUAUUUAAAAUCUACGUCGAUCAACUUUGGGCAUGAUGAUUUUAGCUUUUACGAGAGUUUAUUGGAAUAUGCAUAAGGAGUGUUAAAAUAUGAUGCAUCCAACAAAAGGCAAGCCAUGUGCAGUCUUUUAAUUUAGCCGAAGUAGCAGCUCAAACAAAUGACACUUUGACCAACAUGCAAGCAUGAAGUAGCUAGAAAAAGGACAAAUGCUACUUUGGCUUAAAUAGAAAAUAGCACGUGACUCGACUUUUGUUGGACAUGAAUCAUGUUAUUACAAGACAACAUAAAUCAUUAUCAUUAUAAUAAGAGUUAGCAAUAAGUAACAUGAAGAUAAGAGGCAGAAUGUCAACACAUGCAUAGGCAUACACAAGAAAGUAUUAACUUCUAUACCAUAGCAAAAAGUCUUUGAUAUGUCAUUUGUUGUUGCUGUGAUUCAACUGACAACAUGGCAACUGUCGCUGCUCUACCAAGAGCCAUUACUGUAGAUUUAAGCUCGGUCAAAUUUGCUUCUGCAUUUCGAAGCUUCAUAACACUCUCUGCUGAUAUAUCAGAUUCCCUAAUCUUUGAUCAGCUCCUCAAUACUUCAGCUAAUUCUCAUCUCGCUUUAUACAUGCAUAUGUUACCUCAAAGUUGACCUGGGCUUCAACUUCAUGGCGGAGUUUGUCAUAACGAUGAGUCUGGUGCCGAGCAUCUUCCAAAGGUGCUCCGUUGAUUAAUGCCCGUAGUGGCUCAGAUACCUACAUGUCCAAAAGCCAGUAAUAUAAUUAGAAAAUUGGAAAAAAAAGAUCGAAACCUUAAUUACAAAGUUCCUCCAGCAUAAUCAUGGAAUUUGGGCCUACUUUAAGAACAUAUAUAAGGAUAAUUUAAGCAAUUUUGGGUCUUAGGAUGAUUGGUCUUAAGUUAGGGUCUAUCCUUCUGUUUUUAAGGUCAAAAUAGAAAUAAACCUAUGCAAAUAUUUAAAUUAGUGCUGUAAGAGUUCCACAUGCAUCCUUCAGUCUCAUGGAUUUGAAUUUACUAUAGAUGCAAGCGUCUUUAUCCAAAAUGCCUGGAGUCAAUUGAGAGAACUCACAACCAAUAACUUGUCCCACGGUGGUCUUCACUAGUGAUGUAAGAAGCGACAAGGUUUCUUCAACAUUUGAACAAAAAAAUUAUAAAGUCAUGGAUGUCACUAGCAAUUGUUAAAACAUUAAAUAUUUCAGAGUUGUAACGUUUAAAUGGAUUCUUUUAUUCAAUAUCUUAGAACUAAGUUUCCUUAUGAGAAGAUAAUAGUCUUGAAAGUAAUUUUACAUAUAAUUUUCCAUAUUUGAAUUAUUUUCUCGUUAGGGAUGAAUUUACCUGAUCACCAAGAAUCCCAAGCAAAGUUUCCCUCUCAUUUUCCAUCAAAUCAUGUGAAGUGCCAAAUUGAAAAGCAGCCCUUGCAACACAAGAAUUGUCGCUUUGAUUCUGCGCUCCAUAUUUGCAACAAUCUUCGGCCAACUUUCUCGCUACAAUAUUUGAAUACAAAAAUAUUAUACGCAAAAACUAGUCAAGAACAUUAAAAAAAAUAAAUAAAUAUUAUAACGAAAGCAAGAGCAAACAAACAACCUAUCUCCAUUUGUUUCAAGUUUAGUGCAAUUCAACACCACGGACAAUAUUCCUCUAAAAAUGCUGUGUUACAUAGCAUAUAUUCCAAAUUAUUGUUCAGAUAAAACCAUAAAAACCAUCAUAAUUAUUCAACAUACAUUAAGCUCUGUUUGGUAAAUACUUGUAACUCCAGUCUAGAAAAUAUAGUUGUUUGUACAAUAUUCGACAAAAUUAUUAUUUAAAAAUCAUAUUUAAUUACCAAAAGCCACAACAAAUCAAUAUCAAAACAGAGAGGGUAAUACCUUAGCUGCCCUGGUGGAAUUGUAUAGAUUUUGAAGUUGUUGGUGACACUCAAUUUCAGCUUCAUCAACCGCAACAUUUUCAUUACCAAGACGCAUGCAGCAAAUGCUUCAAUACUGCCUGUACAAAUCAUUAAAAAAUAAUAAAAACAUAAAAUUGAGAAAUUUCACUAAUUGAAAGUUUAAAUAAUUUUUAAAGAAAAAGAAAGAGACGUGCUGCUGCCUGGCGAUUUGUUCGCGGAGCUUGAUUGCCUGUUUCUUGAUAGCUUCCAUAUUGUUUCUUCGGGCAUUGCUGCAAUUGUUUCUUCUAUGUCAGUCACACCCACAUAUCAUUGACACAAGAAAUAAAAAUCUUAGAUCACUUGUUUAAUUAAAGAAUCACUUACAAAAAAGUUUUGCCAUUUUAAUUUGAGGAUCCAUAUUUUGAACUACCAACUAAUGUUCAUCAAGGGCAGAGUAAAAAUUACUUUUGGACAAAUUAUUUUUGUUGAUAGAAGAAUUUCUCAAGGGACUAUUAAAAUUAUUAAUAAAAAUGUCAAACACAUCCACACAUCAUCCCACAUAUCAUUGACACAAUUGAUUUUGAGGAUCCAUGUUUUGAACUACAACCUAAUGUUCAUCAAGAACAAAGUAUGGCUUGUGAGUAGAAAAUUUUCUGAUUUUGCAAAAAGAAAUUAAAUUGAAGGAGAAUCUUUUACUUUCUCAUUAAGAAAGGCAUACGGGGCAUACCAUGGCACCAUACAACACAAGGAGUCUCCAUUCUCUGCUUUUUCAAAAUCUAAAGGGGGCAAUAUUUCCCAAUUUCCCCUUGAAAAUUCUGUUUACAACAUUAUUCAUCACUUGAUUCGAUCAAAGUAGUGACAAAGUUUGGAAAAAUAUGAGUCCUAAGUAAUUACCAAGCAAGGUCCCUGAGGGCAACAUUGUCCUAGGCAUUAUAGACAUAUAUGGUGUGGCACAUGGAGCACAUUGAAUUCCAGACUAUAACACAAACCCUGAAAGACAAGUAACAACUCAAAUGAUACAAAGACAAGAAGAAGUUAAAAUGAUAUAGAACAAAGAAUUUCAAAGACAGAGCAACAUUCCAUACACAGAAGCCACUUGAUCUACUCGUUGAUUGCAGCCUCAAACUUGCAAAUAGUUACUGUAGGCUAGCGCUCUAAGAAAUAAAAUGAUGCAAAACCUUGAUUCCCUUUUGUCUUCGAUUUACUGUCAAACUUAUUACUAGCAUCCACAAUUAAUUUUUGUUCAGCAAUCAGCUUAUUUUAUAGAAAUUGAUUUAGUCAGCAGCAAACACUAUAAUUCUUGAAAUUAAUUUUUGUUCUUUGUAAUUUUCUAUGGUUUUUCAUAAAUCAAUUAAUCUGCAGUGCCAAGAUGAGGUUUAGCUUUUCAAACUAAAUAAUCAAGUAAGCAAAAAUAUAAAUUCAGAGAUUAGAGGGGUAACCUAGCUGGGUGGUUUAGAACUGGGCUAGCUACCUCACUGUAUUCCAAUUUAUAGAGUGGAUUAAUUGAAUCAUGAGAAAACAACGUGGUCAUAGCUCAAUAGGAGAUGACUGCGGAGAGGCAUAUUGUUUUCAAUGAUCUAUUAAGAGAUGAAGUGGAUUGAUGUGGAAAGUUUAAAUAACAAAUCCUUGUUUUUGAGUUUUACGACGUCGUUACUCCUUCCAAGUGGCAGAUUAUGCAAGUGAAUGCAGAGACACAAUGCAUCAUCCACGGGGAUGAUACAGUAAUAGGCGGGAUCAUAGUCUAUGCAUUGAACAGUUACAGUUGCUGCUACCCAUUACCUUGGCAAAGAUCAAGAAGACAGAACAGGAAGCUAAUGCCAUCAAUGUCGUCUUCACUAAAGCUGCUGGGAAUGUAGGUGUAGUUUCCUCAUUUGAAGCUGUCUAUACAUGGGCCUUUCCCCUGCUUAAGUACAAAUAAAUGAACGGCCUUGAAGGCUUUACCAUUCACCCCAAAAAAGAUUACUAAUUGAAGAUGACUAUACAGAGUUAAUCUCACACUUUUGUUCUCUCAAUUUCUUUUAGAAGUCCCUCUGAAAAUAGCUGCCAAAACAGUUAGUCAGCUUUUAUACUCUGUUUUCUGGAAACAGGGUCCUAACUAACUGAGCUGACUGUGCAGAGUAUGUCAAUAUAGCAUAUUUAAUCGUUUUAACAGUAUUUUCGAAUUGUCUUCGCAGUGAUCAUCAACAAACUCAUCACAAGAUUUUUGGAGCACCCUAGGACUAUCACUGGGUUUCUCUUCUGGUUGGUUAAUUAAUUAGUCAAAGAACGGUUGGAUAUCCAAGCACAAUUACUAGAUUCUAAAAUGACUAGUUCACUAUUCUUUUACAGCCCUUUCACCAGUCAAAUUAUUCGACUUCUGGAACUGGGAAUGAAGUGCAAUGAUGAAGCAGCAUUUACAAUGUCUCCGGUUUCUCCUGAAUAUUAGAUUUUUGCAGUGAGAACAUAUAACAAAAAGGCCUCCAUCAACGUAGGUAGAAUCCGGGAUAUGGAUUGGAUCGAGUUUUUGUUUGAUAUUGAAGAACCUCUUUACUAUCCCGAUAUAGAAAAUGUUCUUUGCCUUGUGCUAUGAUCGGUGCUUUUGAUGUUGUCCUGAAACGGUGGAAAAUACUUCGAUAUCCUCCAUUUGAUGAUGCAAAGAACUGGUUAAUGUACUAUUACCUAAUUGACUCAGGAUCAAGUAACAAUGACAAUUUAUUAGUAGUAAUAUCACAAACUAAGAAGAUUUCGGAGAGGGGGAUGUAUGUGUAUACUGUUUACAGCUUUGAUCCAUUGGGGAGGAAGUAGUCUCAAGUUGAAAGUGACUUAUUAAAUAACAAAACAGAGUUGUUCAAUUUACAACAGAUAUUCUCCUCAAGUUCAACGUAAAUAUGGAUAUUAAUUAGAAUCCAGAUUAUUAUGACACACAUAACUUGCUUCAAAAUUAUUAGAAAUUACAAUUGCUGAUUCACAAUGCAUAUAACUUGUAUAUUGAGAUGGAUAAGAUGCUUAAUUUAAUUAAUUUACUUACUUUCAUACACAUCGUCUUUCCAUCUAGAGAAAACUUGGGGGUGAGAACGAUAUGAAGUUGCGAGUUGCUGCCGAUAGCUUCUGAUUAAUAAUAAAACGAGACAAAUUAUCUGUUUGUUAAUAUUCAUUCUUAGAGAGGAGAGUAAAUCACAAAUCUUUAAUAACAAGGAGUUUGCCAUUAACUUUACUUGGCCUUAAUAUUAAUAUUGCCCACCCAAGAAAUAAGAGUGAUUUAAAGUAUUACCAAGACUUCAUUGAGAGGAGCAACCAAACCAACUCCUUAUCAAUUGCGGCAGCCGUCUGUUAACUAAAAUGCCAAUUUCAUACUCGGCAAUUGUGUUUGUUAAGAAGUGACACAGCACUCAGGUGAUGAGUUUACUGUGACCACUAUUCAAGGUAAGCGAAAAUUACAGAUGUGGCAAAAUCAAUAAUUAAAUUCAUAAACUAAUUAAAUUCAUGGAGUUGCACAAUUUCAUCAACUUUGCAAGAAUUGACAUUAAUGGACUGGCGCUCUCCCCAUACAAUUAUAAUUAUAAUCUUUCUAGGAAGCAAAUUUUUAUAAAUUAUUUGUUUUUAAGUUAAUUUCAAUUUCAAAAAAUAAAUUUUUUAAGUUAUGUAUACUCUAAUGAGAGUUUCUUCAUAACAAUUCCCCUACUCCAAUAAUAACGAAAAGGUAGUUACUUAGAAAUAAUUAAAAUAAACAGGGGUUGAUUGUAUAUCCUAAUUUGCAUCGAUUUUUUUUUACCUUAAUUUCAGGAAUUUGUGAAUGGAGGAUGAUCACGCGUGUAUUAAUUUUUCAGUCGUCGAUUGUCGUAUUCUAGACUUAACGAUAGUGUUCUUGAUCAAGGGCAAUGACUCCCACCCCUCUUUUAAAAAUAUUGUCAAGUAUAUUAAUGACAAAAUCUCUUAUAGUUAAUAGUCUUUAAAAAUUUAUAGAAUUACUAUUGUCAUAACUAAAUUAUUCAUGUUUAAUGAAAUACUAAUGCAUCAAAAUAAAGGUGUUCACAAUCCAAUUCGAUCCACUCAAUUCGUUUGAUCUGCAGAAGUGCAAUCCGCAAAAAUUUAAUCUGUGAAUUAGUGGAUUGGAUUGCAUUGAAAAUUUAAAAAUCCGUAGUCGAUAAAUUGGAUAUUGAUAUACUUUUAUAAAUAUACAAAAAUUCACGAAUUCACAAAAAAAAGUAUUUAAUUAAAAAAUAAAACUUAUAAAUGUUGCAUGACUACUUACUAAUAAAUAAAUAAGUUAAAAUGUAGUUAGUUAAUUUAACACCAUAUUAUAUCUUAUUCGAUAACAAUAUAAAAUAAAAAUAAUUAAAAAAAUUAAUAAUUGGAUAAACAAAUGUGGCUUUCUAAACAGUAAAAAUUCUAGACUUAAAAAUUUAUAUUGUUAUUCUAUUUUUUUUAAAUUGACAUUUUUCUAUUGUCUUACAUGUACAGAGAUUUUGAGAGUUGAGAAGAAUAUAUUUGAUGAAGCUUGAUAGCAUUUGAUGGGAUAGUAAGUAAGGGUAAAUAUUUAUUAAUUAUUUUUAUUAAAUAAAAUAUUUUUAUUUGUUAUUUAUUUCUAUUAUAUCUAUUUUAUUCAAGUUAAAAUACUAAAUAUAAAUUGGAGGUAGACAUUUUAACAGAUCAUCUAAGCUCUCAAAUCUGAAAUUUUGUGUAGAUUUAAAUUCAUAAUUUUAGUUAAUUUUCAUAUAUUCAUAUAAACAAAUUUAUGAGAUUUUUUCUUUUCAUCAUGUUAUAUUUUAAAACUUUCAAUGUAUUAUUCUAGCUUUAUUUAAACAAUUAAUUUAUUUUAAUUUUAUUUAAUUUUUGAUUUGAUCAGCAGUAAAAAUAUUUUUAUAUCAAAUUUUUUUAUUUAUAUAGUUCGUGGAUUGGGCAAAAUAAAAAAUUUUUAAUCCACAAAUGGUGGAUUGGAUAUGAAUUGGGUCAAAUCCAUCUUCGAUCUGCAGUCGCAUGGAUUGGAUUUGGAUUGAAUUUUAUCAAUCCAUAUAUUAGAUUGGAUUGAAAAUUUAUAAUCCGCAAAAUCAUGGAUCGGAUAUGGACUAAUGUCCAAUCCGCAAAAUCCGAUCUCCGAACACUCCUCUAUAAAAAUUUUCAAGAAUAUGUUUUAUCUUACAAUUUUUUUUUUUAAAGUCAUAGUCUAAUGGCAGCCCAAUUUCUACCCCAUCCAUAUAAGCGGAGUUCAAAUCUCAUACCUCUUAUCUCCACACAAGAGAUUUAACCAAUUGAAAUAGCUAGCACCCACAAAUAUACUAGUACAACAUCUCUUAACGUUUAACAUACAUAUAAUUAACGUUAUAGCCAUUGAUAAACUCAUUGUUCAUUAUGUGAUCAAGAAUUUGAUCCUGCGAGUAAUAGCGGUAAGAAGAACCAUUAUUGUUGGGGGGACUUAGCAUAAGAUUUCUAGGUAUCUAACCUAAAAGACUAGCCUUUUAGGUGGAGUGACCUACUACCUUAUAAACCCAAGCAUCUUCCCUUUACUAGUCAAUGUGAGACACAACUCAACAAUCCCCCUCUCGGACGAAACCACCGCCAGACUCCGAUCCUUUCGUCUGACACACCAGAGUUGUUCCACCACCACAUUCGGGCUAUUAGGGUUUAGCUCUAAUACCACUUGUUAGGGGGACUUAGCAUAAGAUUUCCAGGUAUCCAACCCAAAAGACUAGCCUUUUAGGUGGAGUGACCUACCACCUUAUAAACCCAAGUAUCUCCCUUUUACUAGCUAACGUGGGACAAAACUCAACAAUUAUAAUGCCUAGCUCUUAUCGUAGUUAAUUCUCUGGCCCGAUGCUUCAUCAUAGUGAUUUAAAAAAUCAACAACAGCUAUCUAAAAGAAAUGAAGAUAUCAUCUACGUAAAGAACAUGAGACAGAGAUCACAACCCAUAAGAACUGAGAUAAAUUGGACCAGACCAGUAAUCUUGAGAUAAGUUAAACCGUGACUUAAGUUGAAAUCAGAUGAUAAAUGGCUUUUGGCCACUUAUUUCUAAUUUCCACAAUUAAUUUCUGUUCAGCAAUCAGCUUAUUUUAUAGAAAUUGAUUUAGUCAGCAACAAACACUAUAAUCCUUGAAAUUAGUUCUUGUUCUUUGUAAUUUUCUUUGAUUUUUCAUACAUCAAUUAAUCUGCGGUGCCAAGAUGAGGUUUAGUUUCAAGCAAAAAUACAAAUUCAGAGAUUAGAGGAGUAAACUAGCUAGGUGGUUUAGAACUGGGUUAGCUACCUCACUAUAUCCCAAUUCAUAGCUCAAUAGCUCAUACAUCAAUUAAUUGAAUCAUGAGAAAAUGUGGUCAUAGCUCAAUAUGAGAUGAUUUCGGAGAGGCAUAUUGUUUUCAAGUUAAUUUGAUCCAUUAAGAGAUGAAGUGGAUUGAAGUGGAAAGUCUAACUAACAAAUCCUUGUUCUUGAUUUUUACGUCGUCUUUACUCCUUCAAGUGGCAGAUUGUGCAAGUGAAUUAAGAAACACAAUGCAUCAUUCACAGGGAUGCCACAUCAAAAGACGGGAUCAUAGUCUAUGCAUUGAAUAGUUAAAGUUAUCUCAAAGAGGACAGAACAGGAAGCUAAUGCGAUCAAUGUCCUUUUCACUAUAUCUGCUGGGAUUGUUGGUGUAGUGUCCUCAUUUGAAGCUGUCUAUACAUAGGCUUUUCCCCUACUUAUGUACAAAUAAAUGAAUGGCCUUGAAGGCUUUACUACUGACCCCAAAAAAGAUUACCAAUUGAAGAAGACUAUAUAGGGUUAAUCUCACACUUUCGUUCUCUCAAUUUCUUUCAGAAGUCCCUCUGAAAAUAGCUGCCAAAACAGUUACUCAACUUUUAUACUCUGUUCUCGGGAAACAGAGUCUUAACUAACUUAACUGACUGUGCAGAGCAUGUCAAUAUUCUUAGUAUAUCUAACCGUUUUAACAGUAAUUUUUUACCGUCUUCGCAGUGAUCAUCAACAAGCUCAUCAUAAGAUUUUUGGAGCACCCAGGACUAUCACUUGGUUUCUCUUCUGGUUGAUUAAUUAAUUAAUCAAAGAACGGUUGGAUACCCAGGGACAAUUACUAGAUUCUAAAAUGACUUAGUUCACUAUUCUUUUACAUUCCUUUCACCAAUAAAAUUAUUCGACUUCUGGAACUGGAAAUGAAGUGCAAUGAUGGAGCAACAUUUACAAUGUCUCCGGUUUCUCCUGACUAUCGGAUUUUUGCAGUGAGAACAUAUAACAAAAAGGCCUCCAUCAACUUGAAGAACCUCUUUACUAUCGCGAUAUCGAAUCUGCGCAAGGAGUUGUCCAUUGUUCUUUGCCUUGUGCUUUGAUCGGUACUUUUGAUGUUGCCCUGAAACAGUGGAAAAUACUUCGAUAUCCUCCGUUUCAUGAUGCAAAGAACUGGAUAAUGUACGAUUACCUAAUUGACUCAGGAUCAAGUAACAACAACAAUUUAUUAAUAGUAAUAUCACAAACUACGAAGAUUUCGGAGACGGAGAUGUGUGCGUAUACUGUUUACAGGUUUGAUCCAUUGGGGAUGAAGUGUUCUCAAAUCGAAAGUGAUUUAUGAAAUAACAAAUCAUUGGUCUUGGGUUACACCUCAUUAUGUCUUCAAGUGGAAGAUGAAGAUUAUGCAAGAUGAAGAUCGAGUUUUGGUUUGAGAUUGAAGAAUUUGAACAGAAAGCCCAUAGAAAGUACCUAAAUAAGCAUAUUCUUGGGGUAGAAUAUGGAGAAAGGAGUUGUCUACUGUGUGUUGCGUAAUUAUGCUAUGAUCGGUGCUUUCAACAUUGCCCUGAAAACAGUGGGAAAUACUUCAUAUCCUCGACAUGAUGAUAAAAAAUUGGUUACCGAUUACGUAACUAACUCAGGUGACAACAAUCCAUUAAUAGCACAAUUUGAGGUGAUGUCGUUUAGGUAUAUGGUUAACAGGUUUGGUUCAUCAAUGAUGAAGUGGGCUCAAAUUAAAAGAUCAUAUAAUAAGUCGUUCUUCUUGGGCAUAUCGUCAUUACUACUUCAAGUGAUCAAAGAUGAAGAUGAAGAUGAAAAUUGUGCAAGUGAGUUCAAGAAUACCAUACAUCGUUACUUGGGAUACUUCUUCAAAUAUGGAUGGGGUUAUAAUUUACUCCCACGAAUUUCAACCCAAUUUUAUGAUUGGAGUGUCCCACCAUGACUCAGAAAAAUUCUGUUUCAACCUCGUCGACCAAUGGAUUUUGAUUAGUCACUUUGUGAUCAAGCAACUUAAUUAAACUCAGAGUUUAAUUUUGUUGGUACUGCAUUUUUUUUAAAAUGUGGCCAUGUAAGGAGAGCGGCACAUAGUGUCACUUCUUCAUCAAGCACUUUAAAGAGGGAUUUUAGAAGAAGAUACAACUGCAAUUGUUUUCGUAUGUAUAUACAUAAACAACAGAACAUUCAGUUCAUAAAAGAAACUAGUGUUUUUUAGGCAAUUUAGAAAUAGAGUUGUUCAACUUACAACAGAUAUUCUCCUCAAGUUCGACGUAAAUACAGAUAUUAAUUAGAAUCUAGAUUAUUAUGGCACACAUAACUUACUUCAAAAUUAUAAGAAAUUACAAUUGCUGAUUCGCAAUACAUAUAACUUGGAAGAUUUGAUGUUAAAUUUUGUCAUUAAAAUUGUAGUAGUAUUUCUAAACACCUCGCAUUUGUAUCCACAUUUUGCAGGAAUUUUGAGAAAUACACGUGUCCGAAAAAUCACACGCAUAACUUGGAGAACAAUUGCGACAGCAGCCGAGUAUAUAUUAACUAACUAAAAUGGCCAACCAGAUUUGCUUAAGAAAUAAAAUUUUGUCUUGUAGUAGUAUUUCCAAGCACCUCGCAUUUGCAUCCACAUUUUGCUGGAAUUUUAAGAAAUACACGUGUCCGAAAGUCUAAUCAUCGUUUUUACUAUUCGAGUAUUGGUAUGAUAAUGACGAAUUUGAAAAGCCACACUGUAAAAACAGUUUGUGAUCUGUGCAUGACGAACCACCAACAGUGUAGUAAGAGCACAGGAAAAAAUCUAACAAAAUUAAUUGCGUCCAUAGAUAUUCAGACGCAAACAAUAAUUUUAAAUAAUAGCAAUUAGUAUUAAUAUUGCCCACCCAAGAAAUAAGAGUGAUUUAAAGUAUUAGCAGGACUUCAAUGAGAGGAGCGAUCAAACCACCUCCUUAUCAAUUGCCGUAGCCGUCUAUUAACUAAAAUGACAAUUUCAUACAAGAAGAAACAACAAGUACAUACUCGGCAAUUGUGUUCGUCAAGAAGUGACAUAGCAUUAAGGUGAUGACUUUACUUUUGUUAUCUUGCUAACAAUGGUAGUCUAAUUUUAGUUUUAAUGUGAUCACUAUUCAAGGUAAGCGGAAGUUACAGAUGUGGCAAAAUCAAUAAUUAAAUUCAUAAAAUAUUAAUUGUUUUCAACAAAUUUUGAGGUAGGAAAAGCCAAAACAAAUCUAGAACAAUAAAUUUGUAUUUUUUGGGGAGACGGGGUACCUCACUAGUUUGUUGUGUGCGGUGUGGUGUAUCUGAAAUCUGGGGGAGGUGAGAAGGGGAGAGGGAGUGGCAAAAAUGGUGAAAGGUCAAAACCAAGAGAGAUAUCCUUCAAAAUGAGCUUCACGCCUGCAAAACAGUGAAAUAGAGGUUAGAGGUGAAGCCGGGGUACCCCGGUGUUCACACUCCGACGCUCAAAUUAGCAAACUCAAGCUUUUAUGGUAAAGAGAGCUAGCUAGCCCUCUAUAAAUUAUGGUUUAAGAUUGAAGAAAACCUAUUUUUUAGAGUGUGAGUGUUAAUGGUGAGUGAGAGCAUGAUGGAGAAUGAAACCUAAGCACCUUUAUAUAUGGAGUACCUCAGCUGACACGUGGCGUACCCUUUUUGGCUAACGUCCUUUUACCUUUUUAUGAUUUUUGGGCCGUUAUGUGCAUGUUCGCGGCGUAUCUCAUCCUUUGGGAACAUGGUGCGCGCUAGAGAGUGGUCCAGGGUACCUCUGCAGUAGCUGUCGGGUAGGCGGCUGAGGACCACUGUCCUUGGGAUAGUGUCCUUCACUUUUGGCAGAGGUAGCAGGCGGCUGUCCCCCCUUUUUGGUACGACGUUCUUGAUUCUUAAUUCUGACAAAAUUGAAUAAUAUCUUUUAAGAUAUGAAGACGUUUCUUACGGCGGAUAUUUUCAGAGGGUUCUCUUGCAUCUGAUUUGCCGGGUACCUCGAGUUACGUGGGGUACCUCAAUUUAUGUGGAGUACCCCUAAUUGUGCGGGGUACCUCUAUUUGUGUGGGGUACCUCUAAUUGUGCGGGGUACCUCAAAUCACGCCGGAUACCUCGGAUUGUGCAGGGUAUCUCGUAUCAUGUCGGGUACCUCUAUUUGUCCGGGGUACCUUAAAUCAUGCCGGGUACCUCGAAUUGUAUGGGGUACCUCAGAUUGUGCUGGGUACCUCUAAUCAACUCGAGUACCUCUAAUCAGACCGGGUACCUCUAAUCAGGCCGAGUACCUCUAAUCAUGCUGGGUACCUCGAGUUAUUCCGAUUACCUUGAAUUAUGUUGGAGUUAUUCUGGGUACCUUGAAUUAUGCUGGAGUUAUUCCGGGUACCUCGAAUUAUACAGGGUACCCCAGUCUAUGCGGGGUACCUCGAGUUAAUCUGGAGUUAUGCGGGGUACCUCUGACCGUGCCGGGUACCUCAAAUCAUGCCGGGUACCUCAAAUCACGCCGGGUACCUCUAAUCUUACGGGGUACCUAUAAUCUUGCGGGGUACCUCAGAUUGCACUGAAGUUAUUCUAUUCGUCGACACAUGGCGUUCUGCUAUCUUUCUUAUUUUUCCCUCAAACAAUAUCCCCCUAGUUUCUUUUGGCGAGAAGUAUUGGAGGCAAAAGAAACUUACAUAAAAAGUAGGAGCGACACGUGGCGAUAUGAAGUUUAGCUCGAUGGGUAGCUGAAUAGAGGAUGCCUCUAGGGGUACCCUCAUGAAGGGAAGAUCUCUGGAGUGAACAAGACUUUGAGGGGACACUUUGAUGAAGUUUCAGAGGAGAAUGCCCAUAAGGUGGAAGACCCUGAGGAGCUUUAAGUUAAGCUUGAGGACUUGAUACCUCGACAUAAGAACAUAGUUGACAAUGCUUUUGAGUGCAUCAUGACCGAAGAAUGAAGUGCUGAUAUGGGGCUGGUGGUGCCAAGAGUAGAGAACUAGGUAGAUAAGCCGGCUAUCUUGAAGGCAAUUGAGAAUAGUAGGGCUCCCCACACAUCUUGGUUUGAAAGCCCAUGGAGAUCAACUAGGGUACCUCAGAUGAAGUCGCCAUAAGGUACCCCUGAUACCGACGCUUGUGUUUUUGCUAUUUCUAACACUUUUGUUGAUCCCCUUAUCCUAAAUAAUGAAGGUGAAGAUAACCAUCCUAUUAUGUAACCUUGUUCGGCAUUACCGACAAGGCGUAUGGGGUACCUCGGGUACCCAUAAGCUUGGAUAUCCCCUGAGCUAUCUGUUACUUCAUGGCGGGAUAACCCAAUUUUAUCAAACAUAUGGCGAUUCCUUCAAAUAUGCUUGCUGUUUAUCUCAGGCUUUCUUAGAGUUCCUCUUGGUGUACACGAGGAAUGGUUUUCUGUCAUAGGGUACCCUGAGUACUAUGGGUACCCUUAAUCUUGUCUCAUCAGUGUAUCGCGGUUUACUUAGACAUGCUUGUUGCGGUUAAUUCAUGGCGGAACAACCCAAUUUCAUCAAACAUAUGGUGAUUCCUCCGGAUAUGCUUGUUGCUUAUCUCAAACUUUCUUAGGGUUCCUCUUGGUGUAUUUGAGGACUGACUUUCUGGCGUGAGGUACCUCAGAGGUACCCUUAAUUAGUGUAUGGCAAUUUUCAUAGAAAUGCUUGCCGCAAAUCUUCACAAAACUUGUGGCGAUUCCUUUUGAGAGAUGAUGGAAAACCUCAUGAUCCACCAUUCUCUCUACAUCAAAUAUGCAAGACAAAUAGUCAUAAAGGUGGGCUGCUCGCCUACCCUUAUGUAAGAUGGUAAAAAAUAUCAUGAUCCGCCAUUCGCGUGGAAUCAAAUAUACAACAUAGAUUGAGAUAAAGGUGGCUGCUCGCCUACCCUUUUGCGAUAUGGUCAAAAACCUCAUGAUCUACCAUUCGCUGGAAUCAAAUAGACAAUAUAGAUUGAGAUGAAGGUAGUUGCUCGCCUACCCUUAUGUGAGAUGGUCGAAAACCUCAUGAUCCACCAUUUGCAUGGAAUCAAAUAGACAAUAUAGAUUCAGAUAAAGGUGGCAGCUCGCCUACCCUUAUGCGAGAUGGUCGAAACCUCAUGAUCCACCAUUCACAUGGAAUAAAAUAGACAACAUAAAUAAAAAUGAAGGUGACUGCUCGCCUACCUUUAUGCGAAAUGAUUGAAACCUCAUGAUCGACCAUUCGCUCAGAAUCAAAUAUGGCGAAUAAAUAAUGAUAAAGGCGGCUCUGAUGUUAAGUAGAUUAGCAUGAUUGGGGAUAAGUCAGGUACCUCUGGUACCCUGGAGUAAGGUGAUCUCUGGAUACCCUUUUGCAUCAUAAUAAACAAUACUUUUACUAGUAGUGUGACUUUUCUUUGUUGGAUCGGUGGCCCAAAUCGAGACUGAAACCGAGUCUUCAACUGGGGUACCCUAUUUUUCAUCUUUGGGUAUUCGAGGAUCCAAAUGUGCCUCCAAUUCACAUUUUGGCUUAAUCUGGUCCCCCUGGGGUACCCCCGCAUAACUCUAGAGUAACUAGUUAUGGGGUACCCUACCACCGAGGCCUCGGUGGUGGCUCUUGCUGCUCUGGUGGUGGCGAUCUUGGAGGUUGGGGUACCCGUGAGAUACCCUAAGUGUUAAACACUCGUCCCCACAGGAUAACCCUUGGAGGGCUCCGCAUUCAGGGUACCCUUGGUAUUGGGCCUUCCAUCAUCUUCGGCUUCUCCUUAUUCUUUGUGACCUCGACCUUAUCUUCUUGGCAAUUCAAAUGAAAUUUCUCAUCCAUCUCCACUUGCUGCAACGCCCAAGAACGGGCUUCCCUAUAUGAAAGUGGGUGCUUAUUUUGAAAGGAACGUCAUAACUUGCCCAACCGUAAAUUUUUCUCGAAAUGGGUCAGUGUUUGUUGGUUUCCAAAUGCUCCGGUUCGCAACACCUCUUGGUGGAAACGGCUCAUAUACUCCGCCAAAGGUUUGGCUUCCCCUUGCUUGAUAAAAGCGAGUUUGGAGGCUACCCUAUCUUGAGUGGAAACAUAGGAAAACUCUUUAGUAAAUUCGGAUAAUAAUUGGUGUAGAGAAUAUAGGUUACCCACCUUCAAGGACUGAAACCAUGACUUCGCGAGGCCCAUGAGUGUGUGUGUAAACAUCCUACACAUGGCAUUCUCAUAUACACCCAUGAUGGAGAAUGAAACCUAGGCACCUUUAUAUAUGGAGUACCUCAGCUGCCACGUGGCAUAUCUUUUUUGGCUAACGUCCUUUUAUCUUUUUAUGAUUUUUGGGCCGUUAUGUGCAUGUUCGCUGCGUAUCUCAUCCUUUGGAAACGUGGCGCGCGCUGGAGAGUGGUCCAGGGUACCUUUGCAGUAGCUGUCGGGUAGGCGGCUGAGGACCACUGUCCUUGGGACAAUGUCUUUCACUUUUGGCAGAGGUAGCAAGCGGUUGUCCCCCCAUUUUGAUACAACAUUCUUGAUUCUUAAUUUUGACAAAAUCGAUUAAUAUCUUUUAAGAGAUGGAGACGUUUCUCAUGGCGGAUAUUUUCAGAGGAUUCUCUUACAUCUGAUCUGCCGGGUACCUCGGGUUACGUGGGGUGCCUCAAUUUAUGUGGGGUACCCCUAAUAGUGCGGGGUACCUCUAUUUGUACGGGGUACCUCUAUUUGUGCGGGGUACCUCAAAUCACGCCAGGUACCUUGGAUUGUGCAAGGUAUCUCGUAUCAUGUCGGGUAUCUCAAUUUGUCCGGGAUACCUUAAAUCAUGCCGGGUACCUCGGAUCGUGCGGGGUACCUCAGAUUGUGCUGGAGUCAUUUCAUUUGUCGACACGUGGCGCUUUACUGCCUUUCCUAUUUUUCCCUCAAACAACAUCUCCCUAAUUUCUUUUUGGCGAGAAGUAUUGGAGGCAAAAAAAACUCAUUGUAUGAGUGACACGUGGUGAUGCGUCUGGACCGGGGAUACCUUGCGUAGUUUCUUCCCUUGACAAAACUUUGUGUACUGUCGAGCUAAAAAAAUCUUCUCUUUGUCUUUUCCCUUUCCCGCCACUUUUCUUUCUUUUUUUUUUACUCAACUGCUGAUGAGAACGAACAGUUGUCUUUAUGUCUCUCUCCUGUUUUCUUGGGAAAUGGCAGCCUUCUAACACACAGUUUGAAUUUUAAAAAUAUCAAUCUCACACAAACAUCUCUUACCUCCUUUCUUGUGCAGUGUGUUCUGUCAUGUUGAAUUAAAAACCCCUGACGUGAAUGUCAAUCUCCUCUCAUUUAUUUUGAAAAUCCCCAAACGAUCUCCCAAAAGUUGAUUAUCUCCAGUGGCCUUCUUCUUUCAACAUUUCGUCUUUUCUCCUAACUGCAUCAAUAUUGCUCACAGGAAAAAAUUUCUUCUUUACUUUUUUUUUUUGCGUUCGUUCGUCUUCCCUUGGGCUUUAUUUUCUCUUUACUUUCCUUUUUUUCUUUUAUUUCCUUCUUCUUCCUUUUUCCUUCUUUCCUUCUCUUUCUCUCUCGGUCGGUGUUCAUCUGGUGCGUUUUCCGGCGUUGAUCUCGGCUGCUGCAGUGGCGGUUUUGGCUUCAGAUCUGGUCGGUUCAAGGCAGUUUUUCGACGGCUCAUGACGAGAUCCGACCUGGCGGUAGAUACGGUAACCUCCCUCCCUCGUGUCUUCAUUUUAUCCUUACUUUCUCUCUCUUCUUUCUCAUUUUCUUCUCUCUUUCUCUUCUCUUUUUCGUUUCGGCCGGCGUUCUCCUUGGCGAUUUCUGGCGUCAGUUCGGUGGCUGCAGUCGCGGCAGCUGGCGUCGGUUCAAUGGCUGCAGUCCCCCCCUCCGUGUUGUCUUCUCCGUUCUUCCUUUUCUCUUUUUUCCUUUUUUUUAAUUUUCGGCAGCGUUCUCCCUUGGUGGUUUCCGGCGUCCUUCUCGCGAUCUCCGGCGUCGGUUCUCGGUGGUUGCAGCCACGACAGUCGACGCCGGUUGCUGCAGCUUCCCCCCCCCACCGCGUUGGUUUGGUUCGGUAGCUGCAGCUUCUUCAUUUUUUUAUAAAUAAAAUGAAUUGACUAAUUUCAUUUGUGCUUGAAUAAAUAAAAUAAAUUUGCAGCUUCUUCGUUCUUCACACCAUUGGUUUUUAUACUUGCAUAUUCUUACUUACUGGUUUUGGUUGCCUGCAGCUUUGUCUUCCCACGAUUACCAAUCCUGAUCCGUCAAGUUGGUAAAUCAUAGGUAUCCUUCCUCGUUUCUCCUCCUUUGGCGCAUUUACAAUGGCGUUAUUUUGCAUACUCUGAGAAAAUUUUGUUUGUUUGUUUGUUUUUUUUUUUUUUUGUGGUUGGUGUUUGCAUUUGAUGGUUGAUGUGUGGUGGGUGGUGUAUGGCAUGAAAAUAUUGUUGGGGGAAUUGUGGCUUGGUGGUUACAUUGUUGGGAGAAUUGUGGCUUGGUGGUUACGUUGUUAGGGGAAUUGUGGCUUGGUGGUUAUGUUGUUAGGGGAAGUAAAUAGGCAAGAAACAUACGGGACCUGUGAGGAAGCGACGUGCAAUUGGGGCUAGUAGGUUUGACAGCCCUCCUGCGCGUUCUCCUUCCCACAUCUCCAUUACCGAGAGGGAUAGGUCCCCCCUAGUACCUCUAGGAGUUGUAACUCUCAUUUUGAGCUCCCUCCUCUUAGGAGUACUCCUCGUGUCAGCCCACGCCACUAAACGGCCAACCCCCCAUCCUCGAAAGAAGGGUAGGUCAUCAAAACCUAAGGUUCCAGCUCGUUCCUCAGACCGGCCUCCCAAAUCUCCCCCUGCCACACCUUCAAAAUCUGGCAACCUUUAUUCCCUAGGCACUAGGAGGGCUACUUUGGGGGACUUAGAACAAAUUAGAGCCAAAUACAAUAUUCCUCCGUCUGUCCAGCUUAGGGUACCCCAUGUGGAUGAGCGACCUGAGUGUCCGAAGUCUGAUGGGAUUGCUCUCCACAUUGACCUCUUUCAUCUAGGACUUCGCCUGCCCCUCCAAUCUUUCUAGAUGAAGAUGUUUAGUUUUUUGGGGGUAGCUCAUGGGCAGCUGUCCCUUCCAGGGUGGAGGACACUUACGGGCUUACAUGUGUUAUAAUUGGAGGUAUUGAGGCGCAACAUUUCUAUUCAGGAAUUGAGGGGCCUCUACCAAUUCAAAAAGCCCAAGGGUUCCGCUAUUGCUUACUUCUCCGCUUGGGGUGAUCAUAGUCAUAUUGUUGAGGGGGACCCUACCUUGAAGAAGGGUUACCGAAAGGGGUGGUUCGUUGCUGAGGGUAGGUGGGGGACAGAGACUCUAGGUGAAAAGGGCAACCCCGUGGAGGUUCCAAAUUCCUUCAAUGUAGACUGUAAGUAUCUUCCUUGUUUACGGUUCUUUAUUGUAAUAUUUCGCAUGAAUGUCUCGUUAACCUUGGGUUCCAUGCUUUUGUAGGUGUGACGUGGGCUAAAGGAUCAUGCCUACUUCAGGAGGUGAAAGAGUUUGUGGAGAGGCUCCGAGGUGCACAGAGGGGUAGUGAUGUGUUAGAGGAGAGCAAAUUACAGAGAGCGGGGUUGAUUGACCGAAGUCCUCCAUCUGCUUCUGGGGAUGACUCAUGUAUGAUUCUGAAGUCGGGGGGUACCCUAUUAUUAUCUACGGGACUGGGGUACCCCGUUAUCACCGCAUUCUUUAUUUUGCUUCCCCGCUUUUAAUUUCCUAUUUUUGCUUUUAUAGUACUUAGUACUUGUCCGGCUAACAUAACGUUUGUGCAUUGGGUGCAGUUAUGGAGUCGGCGGGUGACGCCUUUGAUACCUUUUUCUAAGUAGUUGUGUGAGGUGCUUCUAGAUCUCAGGAUUCGGCGGUACCCCAGAAAAGUUCCCGGCCACCUCGAGCUCCCGGACUAAAGGGAAAAUUCCAGGGUACCUCCCACAGUGGGUCGAAGGGUACCCCUCGUUCAAAAAAGAGAAAAUUCGGGAUGGUUUCUGCUUUCCCCGAUGAAUUGCGUGAAGGCGACCUAGACCCGGCCUCCAACAAGGAGGUUUCACACUUGGCUCGGUGUUUCUACUAUUCUGCUGAAAAUGUUACCUCCGAGGUGGCUGAAGAGACAGACAAGAUGAGCUUGAGCCAACACUAUGUCAGGCACUCAGGGCUACCCAAGAGGUAAGCUUUAAUAGGGUACCCCGGGUGUAUCCUCCAUUUUUUAUUUAUUUACUCCUAUUGCCAUACACAUAUAUUUAAAAUGUCUUUUACGACCUGCAGGCAUCCUAUUUUCUCAGCCACUGUCUUUCAGAUCUCGACUCCCUUGUUGCCGCCCAAUCGGAGGUUGACAAGUUAAGGGGUGAGCUUCGAAGUCGUCAGUCUUACGAGAACGAGCUUGCUCGAGAAGUCAAGACUUUGCGGGAACGCAUUACUGGCCUUUCUGGAGAGAAAUCUCGAGUGGAGAAAGAUUGCGACGAGUUGAGGGCCACAAACUAGGAUCUGUUAUCCCGACAAAAGACGAUGGCAGAGGAUGCAUUCUCACUCAUCAUGACGGAGGUGUGGAGUGUGGAUCCGAAAUUAGAGGUACUCCAUGUGCAGAAAUUCGUCAACAAGGCCACGAUUCUGAAGACGAUUGAGGAGAGGAAUAAGUCUUCCCAUGCACGGUCAGGUACCCCUUCCGAGUCGCCUAGGGUACCCCGCGCGCUUCAGCCGUUGCUCGCCUCAGAUGCCCCUACUUCGGCUGCUCAUAUUCCAGGUACCUCAGAGUCCUCUGCUGAUCGCCCUCUGGAGACGGACGGUAGGGAUGGCGUUCCACCCUCGGUGUAACCUUUUCACUGUGCUCUUAUUUUUUAGAUCUAUCCACAUUUUGCUAUUUCGAACUUGUUUCUUUCUUUUUGGUUUCUUGGGAUAUUCUGUAUUAUUGGGACUUCUCUUUUGUUAUGAUAUCAUGCCACCGAGCCCUUUUGUACUUUGCAUUCUUGUUAUUCUGCAAAUGAAUGUUUGGCUAAACUGUUAUCUUGUAAAUUUUCAGGGUACCUCUCAUUUUUCUUUUUUCUUUUUGAAAUGGGGUACCCCCGGUACCUUAACAAAUAUUCGACAUCAGGCGCCUGCUGGUUUAUACAGAUUAGCGAAUUUGGUGCAUGCCCUUCUCGGCAACCAUGGCGGAUUUCCCAUAAAUAGGUAAUCAAAACAUCAUCGCGACAUCUCGAUCAAAAAUUGAAAGUGCGCAAUUGGUCCAACCAAUCAAUUUCUUAUUCUUUCGAAGUUCUCUCCGAAUUUUUGAAUAGCUUACCCCCUACUUUGCUCAAGUAAGAGGACGGAGGUGUGGGUGUUCUCAUACCUAAGCUGAACCUCGUGCCGCUGGGGUAUGCCGAUUUUACUCCAUCCUCGGCUCCUCUUUGACCCUCCCUCUCUUUGUCUAGGUAGUUUUGUCAUGCUUCCGCAGAAAGACUACCCCUGGGCUGUUCACUCCGUUGCCCAUCUUGGCUUUACAUAGAUCGUCAUGAUCUAGGCAUAUCAGGUACCCUGGCUGGUCCUGUGAUAGGUUAGUUAUAAUUGACAAGCGUAUGGCGAGAAUUGCAUAUAACCAAAUGCGAGGGUAUAUUAAUGGCGAUAAAUGAAUAUAAUCCGCAUUCUAAGAUCGAAGUGGCGAAAAAUAAAAAAGAACCCACAUCAUAUUUGUUGAGAAAGAAAAUGCAUUUAUAGAUAACGAAAGCGUUGAUCAAUACAUGACUUAGCGUUGUUACCCUGAGGAGAAUGAGAGACCGCAAGACCUCCUAUCCUUUUCAUUUGAAAAUUAAAGAAACUUUAAAGUUGCAACUGACCAACAUAAGGCAUUCGGGGUACCACAUUUGGCCUACCACGCAAAAACAUUAAAUAAAGCAAACAACAGCAAAAGCCUAAAGGUUAAGACACUAUCCUUUAGUAAUAUUUCCGUAGCAUUGCAGCAUUUCAGGGGUGCCUCACGAUUGUCUUAUUCAUAUGGAGUAGCUAUGCCAAGGUUGGUGACGACUGCAAUGGUGUGAGCUUGAAAAUAUGGUCUGAGCUUCCGUGCGGAGACAACCAAUGCCAAAACGACCUUUUCACAGGUGGGGUACCUCUUUUCGGCAUCAACCAUAGCCUUAUUAGUGUAGUAAAUAGGUCGUUGUACCUCAUUAUCAUCCUCUCGGAGUAACACGGAGCUGGUGGCAUACUCGAAUACGGUGAGAUACAACAGAAGCACCUCUCCCGGCUCAGAUUUGGCAAGUAGUAGAGCAUUCACGAGGUACCCCUUCAGUUCUUGAAAAGCCUCUUCGUAAUCGGGUGUCCAUUGGAGCUUCUUGCCGGUCUUCAAAGCUUUGAAAAAUGGCUUACACCGGUCUGUAGCCUUGGAGAUAAAGCGGCUCAGGGUAGCUACCCGGCCUGCCAAGCUUUGAACCUCCUUGAUGGUGCGUGGCGAUUUCAUGUCAAGAACCGCGUGAAUUUUAUCGGGGUUGGCCCAAUCCCCCGUUAUUGUACCAUGAACCCAAGAAAUUUCCCCAAGGUAACCCCAAAUGCACAUUUUUCAGGGUUGAGCCGCAUCUGGUGUCUUCUUAAAACUGUAAAAGUAUCUCUGAGAUGCCCCAGGUGUUCCCCCAUAUGUACCGAUUUAGUGAUCAUGUCAUCUAUGUACACCUCCAUGGUGUGCCCGAUUUGUUUCUUGAAAAUUUUGUUCACUAGCCGCUGAUAGGUAGCCCCGGCAUUCUUCAAACCAAACGGUAUAACCUUAUAACAGUAUAACCCGCGGUUGGUGAUAAAGGCCGUUUUCUCUUAAUCGGGUUCAUACAUUGGGAUUUGGUUGUAACCGGAGAAGGCGUCCAUAAAACUAAGCAUCUCAUGCCCCGCUGUUGCAUCAACUAGCUGGUCUACCCGGGAAGCGAGAAGCUAUCCUUGGGGCAGGACUUGUUCAAAUCGGUGAAGUCCACACACAUACGCCACCUUCUGUUUGAUUUCCUGACUAGAACAACGUUGGAUACUCAAUCGGGGUACACUGCUUUCUGGAUAAAUCUUGCUGCUAAUAGGCAGUCUACCUCUUGUUCAAUUGCAUCGUACCUCUUUUGGUUGAAGGUGCGACGCUUCUGUUUCACCGGUUUAUUAUGUGGGCUGACAUUGAGUUUGUGACAAGAGAGGAAAGGUGGGAUACCCGGCAUAUCUAAGCGGGACCAGGCGAAUACAUCGUGGUGCUCGCGUAGAAAGGUGAUGAGCCCCUCUCUUUGUUCCUCCGAAAGAUUGGAGCCUACUUUCACGAUCUUUGUUGGGUCGGUGGUACAAAUCGAGACUGAAAUAAGGUCUUCAACUGGGGUACCCCGUUUUUCAUCUUUCAAUAUUCGGGGAUCCAAAAGUGCCUCAACUUCACAUAUGGGCUCCACCUGGUCCCCGUGGGAUACUUUUGACCUAUCCCCCGCAACUGCUUCUACGCCCAUUGGUGAGGAUUCCAACUGUUUUCGUGGGUGGGCUACCUGAGGAGAUUUUUUGAAUACCACUCUCCGCUGUCUAGCAAGUACUCGCUUUGAGGGAUAAGGUGUGGGCUGGCUGCCACUGGGGUACCCCUUCAUUGGCGGAUCAGAAGCGAUUUGAUAAGUGACUUUGGAGGCCAUGAAGUAACAUCCACGAGCCGAUUGCUGGUCCCUUUUAAUGGUGAUAACUUCUUGGGCGGACGGGACUUUCAUGGCGAGGUAGUGCAUGGAUACCACCGCUUUAGUUGCUAUUAAGAACGGCAUACCCAAUAUGAUAUUGUAGGCACCCGGGUGAUCUACAAUAAGAAAAUCAAUCAUAUGAACAACACGGUAAGGUACUUUACCAAGUGUAACGGGCAGUGUAAUGAUGCCUUUUGGUAUAACCAUAUCUCUGGCGAACUCAAUAAGAGGCGUAGCAUAAGGGAUGAUCUUUGGCGACUCUAUCAGUAGUUGAUCCAAGGCGCUUUUGAAAAUGAUGUCAACGGAGCUGCCGGUAUCUACAAGAGUUCUUGCUACCUUACCGAUGGCAACCUUCAACGUAAUUUACUAAGGCAUCGUCAUGGGGGUACGAGAUACCCUCCGCAGUUUUUUCUGUAAAAAGGAUAGGCGGGGGAUGGUGGGGUACUUUCGGUGUACCCCAUUCAUUAAGGUUGACUUCUCUGUCAAUAUUAGUGGUUAUCGACAACGAUCUACCAUAGCCUUUGAUAGCCCUCCUAGAUUGGCCCGCUAAAGUAGGUCCACCCAUAAUCAUCCGGACAUACACGCCUUUCUUAUGUCCCGGGAGUACCUCUCGUUCAGGACUGCCAUCAGCUACCCGCUUGCCCUUAUCCUGCUCCGUGGAUUUCCGAGCUUCUCUCAUGCCAGCAACAAAUUCUUUGAGGUACCCGCUAAGAAUCAAAGAUUCAAUUUCCUCUCGCAAGGUAAAAUACUCGGCUGUGCUAUGACCGAAGUCCUCAUGGAACUCACAAUACUUCAAGUUAUGCUUCAUGUUGGGGUACUUCUUCAUUGGCUAAGGAGGACGAAGGAGGCCGCUAUCCCGAAUAUGGUAGAAGAUCUGCUCUGGGGAUCGAUUCAGUGGAUGGUAAGAUUCGUACCAAGGCCUCGGUGGUGGCGAUCUUGGAGGUUGGGGUACCCUGAGCGUUAUACCCUCGUCCCCGCGGGGUAGCCUGUGGAGGGCUCCAUGCUCAGGGUACCCGCGGUAUUGUGGCCUCCAUCCUCUUGGGAUUCUCUUUGUUCUUUGUAACAUCAGCCUUAUCUUCUUGGCGCUUCAAUUGGCAUUUAUCGUCCAUCUCCACCUGCUGCAACGCCCGGGAACAGGCUUCCCCAUAUGAAAGUGGGCGCUUCUUUUGAAAAGAACGCCAUAACUUGCCUAACCGUAAAUUUUUCUCAAAAUGGGUUAAUGUGUAUUGGUUUCCAAAUGCUCCGGUUCGCAGCACCUCUUGGUGAAAACGACUCAUAUACUCCGCCAAAGGUUCGGCUUCCCCUUGCUUGAUAAAGGCAAGUUUGGAGCCUACCCUAUCUUGAGUGGAAGCGUAGGAAAACUCUUUAGUAAAUUCGGAUAACAAUUGGUGUAAGGAAGAUAUACUACCUGCUUUCAGAGAGCGAAACCAUGACUUCGCAGGGCCCGUAAGUGUGUGUGUGUAAACAUCCUACACAUGGCACUCUCAUCUACACCAUUGAUAAGCAUUUAGUCGCGGUAUAGCUCAGCAUGCUCCGAGGGAUCAGUGACACCCGAGUAUUGGGGUAUUUGAGGCAUGGCGAACGCCUCGGGGAGAGCUGCCUUCCGAAUCUCCAUAGUGAAUGGCGAUUGGUAGGUCAUUGGCGUUGGAGCAGCUGUGAUGUUUUGCUUCUCGGAGAGGAGCUUCACUUGGGCUUCCAGGUUCUCCAUUUUUUUCACAAGUUCGUGGGGUACCCUCGGGGUACCUGAUGAUGUCGCCACCAUUUGAGAAGCCCUUUUGGCGUUUAACUUUUCAUAGAGAUCCUCGUGGGUAUGCUUUGCACGCCUCGUACCCUGGCUGCUGCAGGAAUUGCAAGAGGCGGUGGAACACUCGUCUCGGGAGCCCACGGUAUGAAACUUAAAAUGGGUACCCGAUGGCCUAUGCUUUGGCUUGUUGCCCUCGGGUACCUUUUUUCUGAUCAUAACUUGGUCGUCCUUUUGAGGUGGUAGAGCAUCUAGUGUCACUGGUGGAAGUGAACUUUCGGGUGCCCGAGAUCCAACCGCCCUAAGUAUUGCAUGGGCAAGAUCCUCAAAAUGCUUGUGGGAGAUGGGUUCAUCAUCUUGGCGGAUACCCGUUGAUUGCUUGAUACCCUUGCCCUUGCUGAGAUGGGCUACCCUUCUUACGGUAUCACUACCUUCACCGCUGUUGUCAUCUCCCAUCCUUGUAGGAUCCGCCAUUAAACCUUCGGGAGGUGCGUCAGGUGCCAUGUAUUGGAGUACACACAACAACUAGUUUGGUAACUGCGGUAGAGGCUUUUUGUACGCUUCCCCACAGACGGCGCCAAUUGUUUUCAACAGAUUUUGAGGUAGGAAAAGCCAAAAUCUAUCUUGAACAAUGAAUUUAUAUUUUUGGGGGAGAUGGGGUACCUCACUUGUUUGUUGUGCACAAUGUGGUGUAUCUAAAAUUCGGGGGAGGUGAGAAGGGGAAAAUGAGUGGUAACAACAGUGAAAGGUCAAAACCAAGAGAGAUGCCCUUCAAAAUGAGUUUCACGCCUGCAAAAUAGUGAAAUAGAGGUUAGAGGUGAAGCCGGGGUACCCCGGCGUUCACACUCCGACGCUCAAGUAAGCAAACUCAAGCUUUUAUGGUAAAGAGAGCUGGCUAGCCCUCUGUAAAUUAGGGUUUAAGGUUGAAGAAAACCUAUUUUUUAGAGUGUGAGUGUUAAUGGUGAGUGAGAACAUGAUGGAGAAUGAAACUUAGACACCUUUAUAUAUAGAGUACCUCAGCUGCCACGUGGCAUACCCUUUUUGGCUAACGUCCUUUUACCUUUUUAUGAUUUUUGGGCUGUUAUGUGCAUGUUCGCGGCGUAUCUCAUCCUUUGGAAACGUGGCGCGCGCUGGAGAGUAGUCCAGGGUACCUCUGCAGUAGCUGUCGGGUAGGCGGCUGAGGACCACUGUCCUUGGGACAAUGUCCUUCACUUUUGGCAGAGGUAGCAGGCGGUUGUUCCCUCCUUUUGAUACGACGUUCUUGAUUCCUGAUUCUGACAAAAUCGAAUAAUAUCUUUUAAGAGAUGGAGACGUUUCUCAUGGCGGAUAUUUUCGGAGGAUUCUCUUGCAUCUGAUAUGCCGGGUACCUCGGGUUACGUGGGGUACCUUAAUUUAUGUGGGGUGCCCCUAAUUAUACGGGGUACCUCAAAUCACGCCGGGUACCUUGGAUUGUGCAGGUAUCUCGUAUCAUGUUGGGUACCUCAAUUUGUCCGGGGUACCUUAAAUCAUGCCGGGUACCUCGGAUUGUGUGGGGUACCUCAGAUUGUGCUGGAGUCAUUCCAUUUAUCGACACGUGGCGCUUUACUGCCUUUCUUAUUUUUUUCCUCAAACAAAUAUUAAUUAUUGUGAUUAUUUAUUCAAAAAACUAUAAUUAUUAAUAUAUUAUUGUUAAUAAAAUAUUAAUAUAUUAAUUAAUAGUAAUAAUUUUAUUAAUAGUUAUUAUAAUAGUAUAUUAACUAAUUAAUUAUAAGCUAAACCGUGACUUAAGUUGAACUCAAAAGGACCAGAAUUUAAAAACAUUUCGGGUGAGCCCUUUAGGAAUUUUCUAAAGUACGGCUUCUGCUUAGCUCUGUUUAAUUUCUCUUAUAUUUUUAUACAAAAAGUCUCCGUUCUCUGCCUUUUCAAACUCUGAAGGGGGGCAAUAUUCCCUAAUUCCCCCUUGAAAAUUCUGAUUACGACAUUAUUCAUCGCUUGAUGCAAUCAAAGUGGUGACAAAGUUAGGAAAAAUAUGACUCCCAAGUAAUUACUAGGCAGGGCUCCUGAGAGCAACAUUGUCCUAGGCAUUAUAUGCAUACACGAUGUGGUACAUAGAGCACGUUGAAUUACACACUAUAACACAAACCCAGAAAUACAAGUAAUAACUCAACUGAUGUAAAGACAAAAAUAAUAUAAAAUGAUAUACAAAAAGAAUUUCAAAGAGAUAGCAACAUACAAUAGACUGAAGCCACUUAAUCUAUUCGUUGAUUGCAGCCUUAAACUUGCAAAUAGUUACUGUACGCUAGUGCUCUAAGAAGUGAAAAUGAUGCAACUGAUCCCCUUUUGACUUCCAUUUACUGUCAAAUAUUCUAUUCAUACGAAAAAAAUGUUCAGAUAUCUUGCUAUAAAUAUAGCCGUUUGACUGUCAAAAGUCACACACAACCAUUCUUAUUAAAUUAGCAAAGAUCAAACACUGCCCUAGAUCUUGAACAGACCAACACAAGAUGCACAACUUACGAUUGAAUCCGGCCAGAAACAAUCAACUCUUUAGCAAGAACAAUUAAUCAGAGUCAAGAAACAAGUUUAAUGAAUAUAAACCUAUAAUUGAAACAAACGUAGCCAAGAAACAAAUAGAGAUUUUACAUGUUUCAGUUGUACCAAGGAUGGCACAACCUACACCAUGGGAGAAGCUUUCUGGUGAGAUUUUAUUGAUGAUCAUAGAAGAAUCUAUAACCCUCUCUCCCUGUUCAAUCUCUUUCUAUUUUGUUCCCAGUGAUGACCCCAAUCUGCUUAGUUAGCCAGCUUUAUAGCUGCAUCAGUAACAAACUAGCAAACCCAGAUUGAGCAGAUUGACGACACGUGGAUAACGGCUUUAACGAACCUGGCGAAGAACUGCUCACAUGUUCGUCACGUGUGUUACUUUAAUGAUGGCCAAAACGACUUCAAACAAAUGCCGUUUUGAAGCGUAUGAAUCAUAAGUGAAAACACGUGCUUGUCUCGUGACAUUUAAAUGCAGCAACAAACCCAAAACGCUGUCGUUUUACUCUGUUGAGUUUGAUUCAUCACUAAGCUUCACGACUAGCAAUGGAGAAGAUAUAAUUUAAUUGACAUGAACAGUUUUUAUAUGACUUUUGUAACAUCCUAUGUAAUUGUGAUAUUUGGAAUCAUGGGUGUUCUAUAUGUGAACCCUAGUUGGCAACACUAGUGAUUUUAUCCUUGUUGAAAUGUUACUAUUUUGUUGUAGAUAACUUUAUUCCCACGAGAUUUGUCAUUGUUGUAGAUAACCUUAUUCCCAUGAGAUUUGUCAUUGAAAUUAACACGUAGUUUCAUUGCAUUUCUGCUUCAUUAAAAUUCUCAAGUACCAGUCAGGUUUGCUUAAUUAAGAAAUAAAAAUUUUGCCCACCUUGCAUUUUCUAUUAUUUUUCAUAAAUCAAUUAAUAUGCAAUGUCAAUAUCAAGUUUAGUUUUUUAUACUAAAAAAUAAAGAAAGGAAACACACAAAUUCACAGUUUAGAGGGGUAAACUAGAACGUUCAUCAUACAUAAUUGCAUAUCAUGAGACAGUGCUACAGUCUACUGAGAUCUAACUUACAUGAUAAUUUAAGCUACUAAUGUUUGCAUAUUUCUACAUGUUAAAUUAACACGAACAUCUAUAAUCACUCCAAAACGACAGAUGAUAAGCGGCUUUUGGCCACUUAUUACUAGCAUCCACAAUUAAUUUUUGUUCAGCAAUCAGCUUAUUUUAUAGAAAUUGAUUUAAUCAGCAACAAACACUAUAAUUCUUCAAAUUAAUUUUUGUUCUUUGUAAACUAGCUAGGUGGUUUAGAACUGGGCUAGCUACCUUACUAUAUGGGAAAUUUUUAACCUACCCCAAAUAAAUUGAUAUUUUGCACCGCGCCCCUAAUUCCGUUAAUUUUUCAAUUAUUUCUAACGGCUCCGUCUAACUUUUGAUUGAAUGACAAAAAUGCCCCUCUAUAUGAAAAAAAAAACAAAAUUUUUAGCUCAUUUAAUUUUUUUAAGGUUUUUAUUUCAAUUGCAAUAAAAAAAAAUUUCUUAUUACAUGUACAUUUGUCACCACUAUUAUUUUUCCUUUAAUUUUUUAAAGAUUUUUAUCUCAAUUGCAAUAAAAAAAAUUUCUUGUUACAUGUACAUUGUCACCACUAUUAUUUUUCCUUUAAUUUUUUUUAAGAUUUUUAUUUCAAUUGCAAUAAAGAGAAUUCCCAUUAAAAUUAAUUUAAAGAAUGAACUUUCAAUUUUACCCCUCCACUAUUAAACUUAACUGAAAAAUUAACGUAAUUGGGGAUGCAGUGCAACACGUCAUUUUUUUUUUGGUGCGCGGUGCAAAAUAUCAAUUUAUUUGGGGGUAGGUUAAAAAUUUCCCUUACUAUAUUCCAAUUUGUACGGUGAAUUAAUUGAAUCAUGAGAAAACAAUGUGGUCAUUGCUCAAUAUGAGAUGAUUUCGGAGAGGCAUAUUGUUUUCAAGUUGAUUUAAUCCAUUUAUAAGAGAUGAAGGGGAUUGAAGUGGAAAGUUUAAAUAACAAAUCCUUGUUCUCGAGUUUUACGACGUCGUUACUCCUUCGAAGUGGCAGAUUAUGCAAGUGAAUUAAAGAACAAAAUGCAUCAAUCACGAGGAUGCUACAUCAAAAGACGGGAUCAUUGUUUAUCCACUGAACAGUUACAGUUGCUGCUACCAAUUACCUCGGCAAAGAUCAAGAAGUCAGAACAGGAAGCUAAUGCCAUCGAUGUCGUCUUCAUUAUAACUGCUGGGAACGUAGGUGUAGUUUCCUCAUUUGAAGCUGUCUAUACAUAGGCUUUUCCCCUGCUUAAGUACAAAUAAAUGAACAGCCUCGAAGGCUUAAGUACACUUUCGUUUUCUCAAUUUCUCUCAGAAGUCCCUCUGAGAAUAGCUGCCAAAACAGUUACUCAGCUUUUAUACUCUUGUCUUCCGGAAACAGAGUCCUAACUAACUGACUGUGCAGAGCAUGUCAAUAUUCUUAGUAUAUCUAACCGGUUUAACAGUAAUUUUUUACCGUCUUCGCAGUUAUCAUCAACAAACUCAUCAUAAGAUUUUUGGAGCACCCAAGGACUAUCACUUGGUUUCUCUUCUGGUUGAUUAAUUAAUUAAUCAAAGAACGGUUGGAUACCCAGGGAGAAAGGAGUUGUCUACUGUGUGUUGCGUAAUUAUGCUAUGAUCGGUGCUUUCAACAUUGCCCUGAAAACAGUGGGAAAUACUUCAUAUCCUCGACAUGAUGAUGAAAAACUGGUUACCGAUUACCUAACUGACUCAGGUGACAACAAUCCAUUAAUAGCACAAUUUGAGGUGAUGCCGUUUAGGUAUAUGGUUUACAGGUUUGACUGAUCAGUGAUGAAGUGGACUGAAAUUAAAAGAUCAUAUAAUAAGUCAUUGUUCUUGGGCAUAUCGUCAUUACUCAUUACUACUUCAAGUGAUCAAAGAUGAAGAUGAAGAUGAACAUUGUGCAAGUGAGUUCAAGAAUACCAUACAUCGUUACUUAGGAUACUUCUUCAAAUAUGGAUGGGGUCAUAAUUUACUCCCACGAAUUUCAACCCAAUUUUAUGAUUGGAGUGUCCCACCAUGACUCAGAAAAAUUCUGAUUCAACCUCCUCCACCAAUGGAUUUUGAUUAGUCACUUUGUGAUCAAGCAACUUAAUUAAACUCAGAGAGUCAGAGUUCGAUUUUGCUGGCACCGCAUUUUUUUUAAAAUGUGGCCAUGUAAGGAGAGCGGCACAUAAUGUCACUUCCUUAUCAAGCACUUUAAAGAGGGAUUUUAGAAGAAGAUACAACUGCAAUUGUUUUCGUAUGUAUAUAUAUAAACAACAGCACACAUUCAGUUCAUAAAAGAAAUUUUUGCUAACCAUGAUAUGUGGUAGUGCUUUUUAGGCAAUUUAGAAACAGAGUUGUUCAACAUACAACAGGUGAACUCCUCAAGUUCGACGUAAAUACAAAUAUUAAUUAGAAUCCAUAUUAUAAUGACACACAUAACUUGCUUCAAAAUUAUUAGAAAUUAAAAUUGCUGAUUCAUAAUGCAGAUAACUUGGAUGAAUUGAUGUUAAAGGAAAAAUCACACGCAUAACUUGGAGAGCAAUUGCGACAGCAGCCAAGUAUAUAUUAACUAACUAAAAUGGCCAAUCAGAUUUGCUUAAGUAAUAAAAUUUUGUCUUGUAGUAGUGUUUCCAAGCACCUCGCAUUUGCAUCCACAUUUUGCAGGAAUUUUAAGAAAUACACGUGUCCGAAAGUCAAAUCAUCGUCCUUACUAUUCGAGUACUGGUAUGUUAAUGACGAAUUUGAAAAGCCACACUGUAAAAACAGUUUGUGAUCUAUGCAUGACGAACCACCAACAUUGUAGUAAUAGCACAGGAAAAAAUCUACCAAAAUUAAUUGCGUCCAUACAUAUAUGCAGAUGCAAACAAUGAUUGUAAAUUCUUUUUUUUUAAAGAAAAAAAAUAAGAAAAUUGUAUAUUGAGAUGGAUAAGAUGCUUAAUUUAAUUAAUUUACUUACUUUCAUACACAUCGUCUUUCCAUCUAAAGAAAACUUGGUGGUGAGAACGAUAUGAAGUUGCGAGUUGCUGCCGAUAGCUGCUGAUUAAAAAUAAAACGAGACAAAUUAAAUUAAGGACAAUGAUACAGAGCAUACUUAUCUGAAUUGUGCUAAACUUUCAAAGAUUUUGUCUCACGCGUGCAUGUAUAUCAUUUGUGUUUAAGAUUUAAUUAGUUAUAGUUAUAAUUAUUAGUCAUUUUAUAUUUAUUGAUUCAUCUAUACUGGAUAAAUUUUGAUGGAUUUAAAAAAAAAAAAAAAAAACUCGGUUGCCGAAAAAAUAAAAGAAAAGAAAAUGUUGAAUCUUACAUUUUAAUAUUUAGUUAAUUCUCCUUUCGAGCGUCUUCUUAGGCUUAGCAAACUAACUUAAAUUCUGCUAAUUUCUGUUAAAAAAAUUUGAUGCUGGCACUAAAAUGUUAAAAAAAAAAUGGUUUCUUAGAAAAGAACAAGAAAAGAAAAAUUUCAGCAUCUUCUACUCAGAAUUCUUUUCGUUGUUUAAGACUAUGUUUAUGUUUUCCAAAGAAAAGAAGAUUUUUAUUUUUAGUGACUAAUUUGAUUCUUAUUGGAUGAAAGGGGUGCGAUUUCAAUGAGAAAAAUGGGGAACAAAAUAAAGGAAGAUGAAAGAAUUGAGGGGAUCAUACACGUGGUCUUUUGAAGCUUCCUGAGAAUCGGAAAUGUAUCAACUGCAACUGUUUCUUAUGCCUUUUGCAGUAUUCUGAUAAUUUUAGUUUGAGUGGUUAAGAUAUUAAAUAAUCCAUUACAUUGCUUCCUAUUUUCUUGAUCGACUUACAUGAUCCUAGAUCUAAUGUAUGUUUCUUAUUGGCAGGGACCUCAAUAUGUUUGCACAAACUGCAGUGGAGUACAGUAAGUGUUGAUACAAAUUCUGAAAUUCUUAAUUCCGUCUGCAUACUGUGAAUAGCCUCUGUUUUAAAUUCCAACUUUUCCCAGUUUCAGCUCGACAUUUUAAAGCCAUUCUACGUGAUUCUUAAUUAUCUCUAUUGAAGCUUUAAUUUUAAUGAUGCUAGCUAUAUUUGUAUAAUUUAUAAUCGGUCCGGCCACCAUGUACUAUCUUUUUAUGAUUAAAGCAUCUUCAACAAGAUUUUCUUCAAUUUUCUCCAAGAGGAGCUGGAGCUGUGUCUCUGAUUAGCCAACGAAUUAGUUGCAAUUAAUAUUAACAUUGCCCACCCAAGAAAUAAGAGUGAUUUAAAGAAUUAGCAAGACUUCAUUGAGAGGAGCGAUCAAACGACCUCCUUAUCACCUGCGGCAGCCGUCUAUUAACUAAAAUGCCAAUUUCAUACAAGAAGAAGCAACAAGUACAUGCUCGGCAAUUGUGUUCGGUAAGAAGUGACAUAGCAUUCAGGUGAUGACUUUACUUUUGUUAUCUUGCUAACAAUGGUAGUCUAGUUUAAGUUUUACUGUGGAAGUUACAGAUGUGGCAAAAUCAAUAAUUAAAUUCAUAAAAUGUUAAAAAAUAAAACUUAUAAAUGUUGCAUGACUACUUACUAAUAAAUAAAUAAGUUAAAAUGUAGUUAGUUAAUUUAACACUAUAUUAUAUCUUAUUCGAUAAUAAUAUAAAAUAAAAAUAAUUAUAAAAUAAAUAAUUGGAUAAACAAAUAUGGCUUUCUAAACAGUAAAAAUUCGAGAGCUAAAAUUUAUAUUGUUAUUUUUUUUUAAAUUGACAUUUUUUCUAUUGUCUUACACGUACAUAGAUUUUGAGAGUUGAGAAGAAUAUAUUUGAUGAAGUUUGAUAUCAUUUGAUGGGAUAGCAAGUAAGGGUAAAUAUUUAUUAAUUAUUUUUAUUAAAUAAAAUAUUUUUAUUAAAUAAAAAAAUUUAUUUGUUAUUUAUUUCAAUUAUAUCUAUUUUGUUCAAGUUAAAAUACUAAAUAUAAAUUGGAGGUAGACAUUUUAACAAAUCAUCUAAGCUCUCAAAUUUGAAAUUUUGUGUAGAUUUAAAUUCAUAAUUUUAGUUAAUUUUCAUAUAUUCAUAUAAACAAAUUUAUGAGAUUUUUAUUUUCAGCAUGUUAUGUUUGAAACUUUCAAUGUAUUAUUCUAGUUUUAUUUAAACAAUUAAUUUAUUCAAAUUUUAUUUAAUUUUAAAUUUGAUCAGUAGUAAAAAAAAUUUUAUAUCAAAUUGUUUUAUUUAAAUAGUUCAUGGAUUGGACAAAAUUAAAAAAUUUUAAUUCACAAAAUUAUGGAUGGGAUAUGAAUUGGGUUAAAUCCACAUUCGAUCCGCAGUUGCAUGUAUUGAAUUUGGAUUGAAUUUCAUCAAUCUAUGUAUUAGAUUGAAUUGAAAAUUUAUAAUCUGCAAAAUUGUGAAUCGGAUAUAUAAACUGAUGUCCAAUCAGCAAAAUCCGAUCCCCGAACACUCCUCUAUCAAAAUUUUCAAGAAUAUGUUUUAGCUUACAAUUUUUUUUUUAAAGUCAUAGUCUAAUGGCAGCCCAAUUUCUACUCCAUCCAUAUAAGCGGAGUUCAAAUCUCAUACCUCUUAUCUCCACACGAGAUUUAACCAAUUGAAAUAGCUAGCACCCACAAGUAUACUAGUACAGCAUCUCUUAACGUUUAACAUACGUAUAAUUAACGCCAUAGCUAUUGAUAAACACAUUGUUCAAUAUAUAUGAUCAAGAAUCUGAUCCUGCGAGCAACAGCAGUCAGAAGAACCAUUAUAAUGCCUAGCUCUUAUCCUGGUUAAUCCUCUGGCCCGAUGCUUCAUCAUAGUGAUUUAAAAAACCAACAACAGCUCUCUAAAAGAGAUGAAGAUAUCAUCUACGUAAAGAACAUGAGACGGAGAUUCACAACCCAUAAGAUCUGAGAUAAAUUGGACCAGACCAGUAAUCUUGAGAUAAGUUAAACUGUGACUUAAGUUGAAAUCGGAGGACCAGAAUUUUAAAAUCUUUCGGCUAAGCCCCUGAGGAAUUUUCUAGAGUACGGCUUCUGCUUACCUCUGUUUAAUUUCUCUUUAUAUUUUUCUUUCACUUCAUUAAUAAAGUCAAAUAAUAAAUCAAAGAACGAGGGAAGAUUUUUCCAAGUCAUGCAUUAUUUGAUUACCAUCAAUCAAGAAACCGACCAAAUUAAUUUCUCCCCGUGAUUUUUAAAAAUUAAAAAAAAAUUAUUUGAACAUAACAUCAUUAAUUAUAGAGUGGAUCAAACUGCGUUAAUCAUGAAACUGAUACCUAUUAAGAGUCAUACUUUUUACUUAUGCAUACUAAAAGACAUCAAAUUGUUCCGAUCCCCAAUUAUUUGAUCAGCAACUAUCAAGAACUAACCAAAUUUAUUUCUUCAUGACUUCCAAACACUAGAAAAUUUUGUUAUUUGAUAAUAAUAUCAUUAAUUAGAGUUUAUCAAACCGCAUUAUUUUCUUUCAUAAAAUUGAUGCCUAUUAGUGUCACACUUUAUUUGUAUUACCUAGCGGACAUCAACUUUUUUUUUUAAAAUUAAAAAGACCAUUUGAUUUUAACCCAUGUCCUUGGCCUUAGGGAAGCUGACUUCUUUUAUAGUCGAUAUCAGCUUGAACUUUGUUGUGUAAAUUAUUUCAAUCCCCGAUUAUGCAAUUUUUAAAUUAUAGCCUAACGGCGGUCUCAUCACCAUGUGUGUGAUUUUCUUUUGCCAAUAGGAUCUGCAGAGAGCUUGAUCUCACCCAAUAGCAAAAUAAACUUCCUAAUAAGUGAAGGCAUAGUAUAAAUAUUUCACCCCCAUAUUAUUUAUUAGCAGCUUGAUUAUUUUAUAUGCAUCUUUGAUUUUUAUUUUUUUUUCCCAUAAUUGCUACUAUGUUCGAACUGGUCAUGAAUUAUCUAUAAGAUUUUUCAUGUUGCUUUUAGGUGCAUUGGAUUUUUUUUAGUUUAGUGGAAGAGCAGAGGAAGGCAAAUUAAGAAAAAGGAUAAAGAUCUAUAAUUAGCUUCUCAUAACAUAUUGAUGGUAACAUUAUACAUAUGUAUAUCUAAAUAAUGGGUUGGAUCAGGAGCCCAUUAAUAAUCAUAGAUUAGCUCAUAUAGUUAAAAAAAAUGUACCAUAAAGCAAUUUCACAAGCACUUGUUAGCCUAUGUUGAGCUUUAUUAUCAAUAGUUCAAAGUUCAUCAGUGCACUGCAAGUUUACUAUUUGAAGUAAAUGUUAUGGUGCGUGCAUUCUUCAUAAGGCCAACUAUUGAAUUUAGCAUUGAAACUUACAAAAUGUAAUAGAAAGAGGUAGAUAACAGCCAUAAAACACUAAGAUUGGAAAUCAGGGCUACUAAAUACUAUUACAAGCCCUUAGAAAAGACAGUGAUCAUCUUAAAAUGUAUAUACUAAAAGUAAGAAAUAUUAAUCGCAAAGUUAUGUGUCAACAGAACUAUUAACUACUUGUCUCUAGUAGAAAGUAAAUAUUUUUAACUUCAGCUCUCUACUUUGUUUUAAGAGCUAGGCAAAAGAAGGAAAUUUCGAUGUCUAAAGUUUGCCACUUGGAAUAUUUCACUGUCUAAACAUUCACUCACCACUUAUUUCAUCAACGAAUUUUGUCUAAUUAUAUGUUGAUAAAGAUAUUAGAGUAAUAUAAUGUGUUUAAAGCUUAACUUAUAUUUUUUAUUAGUAGAGUGUAGAACUUUUAAGAAAUAAAUUAUUAAAUUACUAUAACUAACAUAUUAUUUUAAAACAUAUUAUUUUAAAGCUAUGUUAAGGAAAAGAAUGAAACAAAAAUAAAUAAAUAAAUAAGGGUAUUCUAAAACUUUGAUCUUUUUAAAAGUAGAUUUUGACAUAGAUAAAAUAAUUUUUAUAUUUUUUAAAUCACAUACUCUAGUUAAAAUCAAAUUUGUAUUUAUAAAGUUUGUAAAUUUUUUUUUUUUUUAGCACUGAUAUUUGAACACUAUCAAGAUAAGAAAUAGGGUACUGGUCAUGCUACAACAUUAUUAUAGCACGUAAAAAGACAAUACCAUUUAUUUUAUUGUACUAUCAUUGUUGAUAUAAUAGUAUUUUGUUAGUGGUCAAAUAUUAUUUUUUUAAGUAAAAAAAGUGAACAAUGUAAAUUAACUUUUAAUCUCUCCUAAAAUUCUAAUUCCUAGUUACGAAACAAAAUUGUUUAAAAAUCAUUAGGCUAACUGCAUGGGUUCUUAAAACCAUAGGUGAUAGAAGUUACUAACACAAGCAAAUUUGACGGUCCAUUUUAUAAAAUUUGUUAUUUACCAUUUUACCACCUAUAUAAGGAGUGCCGCAUCGACAUAUCAACUCAUUUGCAGAUUAUUUUAAUUUUGUAAAAUUCAUUUAACCUGCACUUGGUCGCCCCUAUUCUCUGAAUGGUUAUGGCGAUAUCAUCAUUAUCGUUACUUGUACCAACGCUAAACCCUUCUUAUUCCCUUUCUCGCCUGUCAUACCCUAACAUUAUAUCCCGUGUCCACACUAAAGACAAGUAGUCAAUUCAGGCCAUCAGAUUAUAGUGGACCCACAUCAAUCCAACUGCUCACAAUGACCGACAGCCUCUCCAUCUCCAUUUCAGGUUUCCUCUUCAACUGGCUUCUGCUUCCGCCGUAUUUGCUCCAUUUCUUGGAUUCGGAGUCCGUAUUUGGUCGGUCGGUCCCGCACAGCUCCCUCUCACUCCAAUUGUCACCCAACAAGACCAAUUGCUUAAUCAAGGCACAGAACAAGAAGAGGAUGGGAAAUUGAAACAAGAAUUUGAGAAUUGGAAAUCGAAAACGUCCGCAUUGACCGUGCCUUUGAGGGCAAUUACUUUUCUUGAGAAUUGAAGUUUGGUAAUGUAAUUUGUUCUCCAUCUGUGUUCCCUUUGUAGUCAUUUCAUUUAUUUGUUUGUUUGCUUUUAUUUGCAGGAGAAAUUGAUCCUCGAGAUAAAAGUAAAUUGUCUUUAAGCUCAUUUAGUUUUAUAUCAAACAAAAUCAAGACUGCCUUUUUCUUCAAUAGUUUUGAUGAUAAUAUCUUUAGAAGCAUCUCAUUGACAGGUAAUCGUGGUACCCCUUAAAGAGUCUAUAAACUCAAGGAUAUUAUCUUCUGCAAAUGGUUCAUUAAACUUCUUAGAUGUAGUUAAAUGUACACUGAGAACAACGAGAAGCUAUGCCACUGUAGCAUGUAGUGAUGGCACUUAAUGAGUGAGUUGCUAGGAUAUGAACUAGAAAAAUUAAACAUUGUCUCCCUGGGUAUGCUAGCUUGUAAGUCGGUUAAUAUUAGAGCUUGAGAUACUAUAACCAUGAGAAGCUAUUGACCGCCGAUUAAAAUAUCCAUUAAAAUGUCUAGGGAGUUAUGAAGGUGGAGGUGUCUCCCAAUUUCUAAGGCCAUAUAGUAGACAUCAUCCAGGAUCCUAUUAAAGUGCAGUUAGCCUCCUGCUUGAUGCUAAUGUCAAACAAUUAAUAAAUUUGGUCAAUGUAACUGAAACUUGCUAACUGACGUCAGAUUGCGACUUGAGCACCUUAAAAUGGGAUAGACGAUUAGUAGCACUGAAUUCUUCUUGCCUAAGAUUGAGCAAUUGUUCUAACUACAAUCUCCUAUUGUAGGUUGAUUAUUAUGUUCUAAUUAUGUCGAUUUUGACCCAAAAAAUUACAUAAUCUUGAUCUGCAUAAUGUCACUGAACAGUGUCAAUUUCGUUUACCAACUAACUUGAGUUUGAUAUAACAAACACACGGUGUGUCUCUCAUGUCUCACCAUGAUGGAGAAUUUUUCUAAUGCAUGAAGCAAGCUUCGAUAUGUGGGUUAGCUUGGAGAAGAUAUCUUAAAAUGAAGAAUAUGGGGAGUUAAUGGGAAGAAACAGUUCAGUAGUUUAUAAUUCUGUCGUCGAGCUGUAUCUCUAACAUGGUCAAAAUUUAUGUGAAUAAGGACAGGGAAUCUUCAUUCCUCUUUCCCUUUUUAUACCCACAUAUCUCUCAACCUUUAUAUGUUGCUCACUGGAGAUCUGCUUCUGAUAACUAAAAUAAAAAUUUCAUCCACUCAAAUAAAUUCUGACCAAGCUUUCACAAGAAAAAGUAACAUCUUUAGUGAAGUAAUUUACAAGUAAUUUAGAGUUCCUUAUCAUCUUCUUGUGAGUCUAUCAGUAUGAUCCAAAAACAUAAUAAAUCUUGUUAGAUCCUGUUUAUUGAUGUUUAAACGCUGCUCAUUGUGAAAUGUAGAAACAAUGACGUGAAGUUUCUUUGGUCAUCAAUUAGUGAGAUCUUGUUUGAAGUUGUUUUCUGAAAUGAACUGCCAAAUGAUAGUUUUUUUUUUUUUUUUUCUUUGGACGCAUUUGAUGGCUCUUUUCUCCUCAUUUUAAGCAUGUGCCUGCUUGGUAUGGGAAGGAAUAGGCUUCAGAGUUGUUAUAUAUGUUGACAUGCUCUGGUCAUUACACAAUAUGUUCAAAUUGGAAAUUAGAAUGAGAUAUUUGUCGAUGCUUUUUGAGAGAUCUGCAUUCUAUGCAGCAUAACAUGAUUAAUGAAAACGGGUUUAAGGACUGGAAAGAUCUGUGGCAGCCCAAGCUUGCAGGAAGGAUUUCAAUGGUUAAUUCUCCCAGAGAGGUUAUUGGUACAGUUUUGAAGUAUAUGGGAGCAUCAUACAAUUCAAACGGCAUUAAUUAGCAAGUUGCUGCUGGGAGGAUUGCUGUUCAGCAGAAUCUGGCAUUACUGGGAAACCAGGUACUCUUAAAGAAACGAUAGCUGGUCAAUGCAUAUUAUUGCCUGACGGCUGAUUUUGUUUGUAAAGUGUGCCUUUUCAUACAUAUGAAUGCAUAUGUUAGUGUUGUCUUCUCCUUUCCAUAAAUAUGAAUGCAUAUGUUGGUGUUCUUUUCUGAGAUGGAUGCAAUAAAGGCUUUUUCUUCUAAAUGACGAGUUUUCAUUUAAAAAUGUUAUAAAUCUGCCAUGCAUAGUAUUCUAGUAGAAUCAUCUAUAAAUUCAAGUUAUUGAAAUUGUCUAUUUGUCCAGUUUGAGUUAAGGACGCAUGUAAUAUGAAAAAUAGUUGUCGAAUAUUGUAGGUUAGCUAAUAUUUGAUCAAUCCUAUAGGGAGGGCUUUAAGAUGUCUAACAACAUGUAGAAUGCCCCUGCUUCCCCCACAAUUUUUAUCUUAUACAAUUUUUAUCUAUAAACAGUAUUUGCCAGACCUUAACUGUUCAGAUUCCCCUUCUCGACUAUCAUACCCUACGCCCCGUCUCCGUGUCUCCGAUAAACAGUGCUCAAUUAAGGCCAUCAGAUUAUCCCGGUCCCACAUUGAUCAACGGCUCACAAUGACCGACAACCUCUGUCUCCAUUACAAGCUCCCUCUUCAACUCGCUUCUGCUUCCAUCCUACUCUUUCUCAGAUUCGGAGCCCGUAUAUGCUCGGCUGGUCCCACGAAGCUCCCUCUCACUCCAGCUGUCAACCGACAAGACCAAUUGCCUUAUCAAGACAGAGAACAAAAAGAGGAUGAGAAAUUGAAACAAGAAUUUGAGAAUUGGAAAUCGAAAACGUACUCAUUGACCGUGCCUUUGAGAGUUGUUUCUCUUCAGAAUUCAGUGCCUCAAUCUUGGGUUAAGGAUUUUAUGCGAAGUCAAGGAAAGUGAUUGAAGUUUCAGAUGAAUUUGUGUGCUAGCAUUGGUGGGAUCUUUAACAAUUUAUCUGCCCUUUAACAAAGUCAAGGCUAAUUCAGCUUCUUAUAUGGCUGCUGAUUUGGUUAGUGUUGGUGAUUCAUGGCUUAGUUUUGCCAUUAAAGAGAGAUUGAUUGAGCCAAUGGCUGGAGCUGAAGACCAAGAUUGGUUCAAAUGCUUAAGUCACAAAUGGAAGGUAACAUCUUUAUCUUUGGCCCGAUAAUUUUUAUUGUCUUACAUUGAAAUUUGGUAAUGUAAUUUGUUCUCUAUCUGUAUUACCCUUUUUAGUCAUUUUAUUUAUUUGUUUAUUUGCUUUUAUUUGCACUAACGAAGUCUCAGGUAUAUCUAUGCAGAAUGAUGCAGGAGAAAUUGAUCCUCGAUGUGAAAUAUGGGCGGCACCAUACAGGUGGGGCACAAUGGUGAUAGCCUACAAGAAAAGUAAAUUUCGAAAGCAUAAUUUGGCUCCGAUUGAGGUAAUAAUUGUCUUUAAACUCAUUUAGUUUUAUAUCAAACAAAAUCAAGACUGCCUUUCUCUUCAAUAUUUUUGAUGAUAAUAUCUUUAGAAGCAUCUUAUUGAUGGGUAAUAAUUGUAUCCCUGAAACAGUCUAUAAACUCAAUGAUAUUAUCUUCUACAAAUGGCUCAUUAAACUUUGUCGUUGUAGUCAAAUGUACACUCAGAGCAAUGACAAGCUAUGCCACUGUAGCAUGUAGUGAUGGCACUUAAUAAGUGAGUUGCUAGGAUGUGAACUAGAAAAAUUAAAUAUUGUCUCCCUGGGCAUGCUAGCUCAUAAGUCAGGGUUAAUAUUAGAACUCAAGAUACUAUAACCAUGAGAAGCUAUUGACUGCCAAUUAAAAUAUCCUUUAAAAUGUCUAGGAAGUUAUGAAGGUGGAAGUAUCUUCCGAUUUCUGAGGCCACAUGGUAGAUAUCAUCCAGGAUCCUAGUACAGUGCAGUUAACCUCCUGCUUGAUGCAAUUAAUAAAUUUGGUCAAUGCCACUGAAACAUGCUAACUGACGUCGCAAUGCGACAUGAGCACUUCAAAAUGGGACAGACGGUCGGUAGCACUAAAUUUUUCUUGCCUAAGAUUGAGCAAUUGGUCUAACUACUAACCCCUUUUGUAGUUGAUCAUUAUUUUUUCAAUUAUUUUCAGUUUGACCCAAAACGUUACAGAAUCUUGAUCUGAAUAUUGUCACUGAACAUUGUCACUGAACAUUGUCAAUGUCGUUUAGCGUAGCCAACUAACUUGAGUUUGGUAAAACAAACACACAGUGUGUCUCAUGUCUCACAAUUCAAAUUAUCAUUUGUAAUGAUGGAGAAUUUUUCCAAUGUAUGAAGUAUGCUUUGAUACGUGGGUUACCUUGGGGAAGGUAUCUCAAAAUAAAGAAUAUGGGGAGAAAACAGUUCAGUAGUUUAUUAUUAUGUAGUCAAGUUUUGUCUCAAAAAUGGUCCAAAUUUAAAUGAAUAAGGACCGGGGAUCUUCAUUCUUUUUUCCCUUUUUUAUACCUAGAUAUCUCUCAACCUUUAUAUAAUCCCCACUGGAUAUCUGCUUCUAAUAAUUAAAAUAAAAAUUUCACCCACACAAAUAAAUACUGACCAAGCUCUAACAAUAAAAAGUAACUUCUUUAGUCAAGUGAUUUACAGUUCCUCAUCACCUUAGUGAGACUAUCAGUGUGUUCCAAAAACAUAAUAAAAUUGGUUUGUUCCUGUUUAUUGAUGUUUAAAUGUUGUUCAUUGUGACAUGUAGAAAUGAUGAGGCGAAGUUUAUUUGGUCAUCAAUUUGUAAGAUCUUGUUUGAAGUUGCUUUCUGAAAUGAACUGCCAAAUGGUAGUUUCUUUGGGGCAUUUGAUGGCUCUUUUUUCCUCAUUUUAAACAUGUGCCUGCUUGGAACAGGAAGGAUUAGGCUGCAGAGUUGUUAUAUAUUUUGACAUGCUCUAGUCAUUGCACAAUUUGUUCACACUGGAAACUAGAAUGAGAAAUUUGUUGCAUUCUAUGCACAAUAACAUGAUUAAUGAAAAUGGAUUGUAGGACUGGAAAGAUCUGUGGCAGCCUGAGCUCGCAGGACGAAUUUCAAUGGUUAAUUCUCCCUGAGAGGUUAUUGGUUUAGUUUUGAAGUAUAUGGGAGCAUCAUACAAUUCAAACGAUAUUGAUUCGCAAGUUGCUGGUGGGAAGAUUGCUGCUCAGCAGAAUCUGGCAUUACUGGCAAACCAGGUACUCUCAAAGAAAUGAUAUCUGGUCAUUGCAUGUUAUUACCUGACAACUGAUUUUGUUUGUAAAAGUCUGCUUCUUCAUACAUAUGAAUGCAUAUGUUAGUGUUUUCUUCUCCUUUUCAUACAUAUGAAUGCAUAUGUUGCUUCUUUUCCUUUCCAUACAUAUUAAUACAUAUGUUGGUGUUCUCUCCUGAGAUGGAUGCAAUAAAGGUUUUUCUGAAGAAAUGGCAAGGGAUGUGAGAUUCUGUCUCAUAAAAUUAACAAAAACCCAAAACAAUGAAAACCCAUAAUAAUGUGGUGUGGGUAAAUUGACGCCAUUUGGUUCGUUUCCUUGAUGUGAAUACGCGGGCAAUAGAGACUAACAAAAUGAAGUGACAACAAGAAGUCAGUGUCCUUUGAUGGAUGCAUUUUUAGGCAGAAAUAGGUUUGUAAUUGACCAAAUUUGUCUGGCAUGCCAAUUUCAAAAAAAUUAAAUUAUGUGGUUAUUAGCUGUAAUGAAGGGGGAUUGUAGGUCCAAUCAGGUGGAUCCAUGAAAGUUCAACAAAGUUCUGGUAUGGCGUAGAAAUUGGUUUGUGCAACUCAAGAGUCUUUCUGGUGAACGAUGAUGGGUUUUGAUUUAUAAAUGUUAUAAAUCUACUGUGCAUAGUAUUCUAGUAGAAUCAUCUAUAAGUUCUAGUUAUUGAAAUUGUCUACCUUGUUCAGUUUGAGUUAAGGGCACAUGUAAUAUGAAAAAUAGUUGUUGCAUCUUUUAGGUUACCUAACAUUUGAUCAAUCCUAUUAUGAGGGCUUCAAGAUGUCUAACAAUAUGUGGAAUGCCCAUGCUCCUCCCCAUUGUUUAUCUUAUAUAAUAAUUUGUUUUAGAUGCUAAUAUCUUUGUCGAUACCGGUAACAAUAUUACAAUAUCUGCGUUUAUUGGGUUUUACAUAGGUUCGACUGUUUGACAGUACACACUCUCUGAAGGCAUUUGGAAAUGGAGAUGUAUGGAUUGCUGUUGGGUGGAGUAGUGAUGUUCUUCCUGCUGUCAAACGUUUGUCUAAUGUUGCAGUUGUUGUUCCCAAGUCUGGUGCUAGCUUAUGGGCUGAUCUUUGGGUAUACCCAUGCCUGCCAUUCUACUUCAAUAUUCACAUUGUUAUCUCCUUCAUAUUAGUGAUCAGUAAACAUGAUAAUGUGACUAAUAAGUUCGUAUUCUCUUUAUAGGCAAUCCCUGCUGACUCAAGACUUGAAACAAAACAAAUUGGAGGGUGAGUCAGAGGUGCAUUUCCAUUAAUCCAUCAAUGGAUAGAAUUCUGCUUGCAAACAGCGAGAGCAUUGCCUUUCAAGCAAGAGGUUAUCCCGAGCGCAUCUCCCUCUGCCCUUGAGAGUACUCUGGUUAAGUUGCCUGAAGAACUUUUGAAGGGUAAACCAAGUCUGGAUACUAACUUAAUUGCUGGAGUACCCCUGACGGAAAUUCUGGCCAGAUGUGAGUUUUUGGAGCCAUUAUCUGAAGCUACAUUGUCGGAUUAUGAGUGGCUGGUUGCUAAUCUGCAAAAAUCCACUCCUGUACUGAUCAACAAGAUGCAACAUUACAUGUCAUCAUUGAUCUUUAGCUAAAGGUACAUUGAAAAGUUAAUGGCACUGCAUACCAGUCAUUAUAAUUGGGUCAGGGCAAUUGGGUCAGGGCAAUUAGGUCAGAGCAUAACUUCAUUAGGAAAAGAGGCUUCAGCUACGUUAAAUAUUACAGGAUGUACUGAGAUGGCUGAAGUUGGUGAGGUUUUACGAGAAACGAAAGAUAGUGUUUGUUUGAACAAAGUUGUUGCCAAUCUUGCAGAGUUCGAGAAGAAAGAUCACGAAGCGAAUGCCACCGAUUUCUUCAUCAUUGUAGCCUCCAUAGUUGAAGUUUCCUCAUUUGAAGCUGUUUAUGCAUAUGCUUUUUCCCUUCUCAAGUACAGGAAAUUGAAGAAUUAACCAGAUGUGAUAUGCUGAAAGAGGGAAGUUUUCUUCCUUGAAUGUGACCUUUGUGAUUUGUCUUGAAGGGAUAGGGUGAUCACUGGCAAGAACCCUAUCAAGGUAGAUUUUAUGAUGUUAACAUAUUAUUAAGCAUUUUGUUACAUCAGCAAUGAUGCUUUCAUAGCAUGAAAGUGUUUAAAUUUAACUGAAUGAUCUUGAUUGAUCAAUUAUGAGUUUUAAUCGAGUAAAAACUAAAUACAAUAAUCGUUAACAAAUAUUGAAAUUGGGUAAAUAAGAUCUUGAUAGUGAAGAAUUUGAAAUCACACCCACACAGGAAAUCACCCUUCGCGUGGGGAUGGAGAUGUUUACUGCAGCGAUAUUGAAUAUGUCCACUGCUGGACUAAUUCUGAUUACCUAAUUGACUCAGGAUCGGCUGGCAAUAAUAACAGUUUAUUAACAAUGCACAGUCCGAGUACUUUUCCAGGAUCAGAUACGACGUGGUCUAAUGUUGAUAAUAAUAGAUUAUCAAAUGACAAAUCGUUGUUCUACUAUUGCAAGCCCCCAGAUUUAAGAAUCUUUUUCAGAAAUUAAAUACAUUCUGAGAGAUGCUGGUCUACUAUUGCAAGCCCCCAGAUUUAAGAAUCUUUUGACGGUAAUUUAUCACCUGUAACUGUGCCGGAAGAUUCAACUAGCACUGAAAAAGAUGAUAAAUUAAUUGAUAUGGAGAGUUUUCAUAUCACUUUUAAAUCAUCUUAUGUAAUUGUGAUGUUAGGAAGCAUUAGUGAUCUAUAUGUGAAUUAUUAUUGGCGCCAUUGGUGGUUUUAUCUUGUUAAAAUAUGGAUGAAUUCCAGUUACUAUUUUGUUGCAGACAAUCUUCUUCAAUUAACAUAUGGUUUAAAAUCAUUAUGUAAAUCAAUCUAUUAAUUUUCAAGAUAUUUAACUGAGUUAAAACUAAGUGCACUCAAUAAAUCUCUUUUCCUUUAAAAAACUGUUACGCUUUGAUUUUAGUGCUUAAUAUUUAUUGAACUCCGAUACAGGGAAUUUGAAAUCAAACUCGUAACUACAUAUUAUCUAAUUGCAAGUUUCUAUCCAUAGCUGCUGAUUUGUAGUGAUUAUCUAAUUGACUGAGGUGACGACAAUUUUUUUUUUUUAAAUUUUCAAUAGCACAAUGUGGAAUUCAAUAAUUAAAUUCUCCUUUUUAAUUUGUUUCCAGUUAAAUUAUUAAUUACUUAAACUCUGUUUUAAGUCUUUAAGUUUAUGUGUUUAUGCAGAAUUGGAUUCUUGAGCGUGUUGGACACGACCAACAAUGAAAUUGACAGUAAAAAAAACAAUACAACGUGUGGACUCCGGUAGAUGCCAUACAAGUCUACAACUUUACAAAUAAUAAUUGAGUAAGCAACUUUGAUUCUCGGGGCCCUUCAAUGAAUUUCUAGCCCCGUUGACUCCGCCAACUAAAGUUUGUAAAAUAAAAAAAUACAUAGAAUUCCACUAAAUGCAAAACGCGUGGAAUUUAAUUUUCGGCCAUGUGGACCAAAACAUAAUUUAAUGAAAAAGGAAAAAAAUGAUAAGAUUUCUAAAAUAUGUGAAAGAUGAUCCAUAUUUUACUGAAACGACUUAUUAAAUUUUUCAAAGAUUUAGAAUAUUUAGUCAUAAAUUACGUGCAUGUUAAUUUUUCCGCCAUUGACUAUCAUAUUCUAAACUUAAUAGUACAUUUCUUGUUGAAGGGUACUUAAUCUCUCUUCUCCUCUUAUAAAAAUUAUAUUGAUGGAUUUCUUGUUAUAGUUAAUAGUCUUUAAGAACGGAUAACUUUAUUGUUUUCGUGACCAAAUUAUGUCCGCCUAAGGUUGUGACUAUUAAUAAAAUUAAUAUUUAAUGUUUAUGUUAAAAGAUAUAAGAUUUUAUGCGUUCAUUAAUUGUUAUUAGCUAAAGGAUGAAUUAUUUUUUCAACCCAAUCAGUUGAUGCAUCUGCAAGAGUUUUUUUCUUUUAUUGACCAUAAUUAUGUUCCGGGUACAAUAAAUUGUCUUUGGUGCUUGGAAAAUAUGACUUCUUACUUCAAGUUUGAUAUGUCUCUCUCCAUAAACUUACUGGAAAUAUAUCCUCAUCUACUGUCAUUUAUCUAAUAUCAAUUGAAGAUCUCACUUUUUCAAACUAUCACUUCCAAGUCUCAUUGUCACUUGGCCAUUCUUGGACCAUUCAAAACCAAUCAAGUGUUGAAAUAAUCAAAUAUAUGCAAAAUUAGAGUCACGAUUUUUGGUCCCCCAAAUUCUAAUUAUAUAACUUCUAUAUAUUUCAUUGCCAGGUCACGAACUUGUUGGCACAUUUUCCAAAUUCCUCUUCCAUCAGCUCUCACACGUUAACUUAAGUGAAAAGUUUCCAAGUUGAUUGCUAGAAAGCAACGCAAAAUCAGACACACUUGAUCUGUCCCCUAAUUCUCUUUUCUACGUUGAAAAAGAAAAAAAAAAAUAAAAUACAUACAUACAUAUAUAUAUAUAUAUAUAUAUAUAUAUAUAUAUAUAUAUAUAUAUAUAUCUAUGUAAAAAUAAAUAAUAAACUGAGUAAAAGUACAUUUGUUUAAUUAACAUCUGAUCGGGGCAUUUUUGGUGUAAGCCACAACUAAAAUCAAACAGCCCCUUAGCAUACUUCUUCCAUUUUAUCGGCUACUUUUGUGGAUCUUAUAGGGUGGGCAUGUGGACAGAAUUUAAAAGUUUUAAUAGGCUCAAAGAAGAAGAUGUGUUAAAUCUAAAGUUGUUGCACCUUCUGAUUAAAUAAAGUUGUACAAUUUCAUCAACUUGAAAGAAUUGACAUUAAUGAACUGGUCGCCUCUCCAUGUAUGAAGCCUUCUUAAAAGUUAAUUUUUAUUUCAGAAAAAAAAAGUUUAAGUUACAUAUAUUACAGUAAGAUUUUUUGAGACCAAUUCCCUUCUUGAAAUAAUAAUAGAAAAGUAUUAAUUUAAAAAUAAAAUGAAUAUGUAUUGAUUAUAUCCUGAUUUUCAUCGAUUAUAGUUAGAGUUUCACCAAAUCAAUUCCCUUAUUCAAAUAAUACAGAAAAAAUAGUAAUUUAAUAGUAAAAUAAACAGGUGUUGAUUAUAUAUCCUAAGUUUCAUCGAUUAUGUGAUCAAAGUGGCAUUGUUGAUUUAUUUUUUGUUCAAUGUUAAUUUUUAGGUUAUAUAAAUUUCAAGGAUUUAAAAUCUUUGGCCAUGAAUUACACGCUUGUUAAUUUUCCUGCCAUUGACUGUCAUAUUCUAGACUUAAUGAUACCUUUCUUGAUCAAGGGUAAUUACUCUCUCUUCUCCUCUUAUAAAUUCCUCUUCCAUUAACAUCACUAGGAGUAUGUUGAUCUCUCAGACGUUAACUUGAGUGGAGAGUUUCCAAAUUGAUUGUUACAAAACAACACAAAAACUAGACACACUUGAUCUGUCUAAUAAUUCUCUUUCGGUAAAAUUAAAUAAUUUUAGGGGAAUAUUCGGCCAACCUCUAUAAUUUCAUAGUGAUCAUUAAUUAAUUAAUCGAUACAAAUAUCUAAAGUGAUUAAAUGUGACUUGAAAUUUGAUCUCUAUCGAUUGGUUUACAAAUGGACGUACUUGUGCCUUUGUGGCGAUAAUCGAACAAGUACCCAUGAUUAUUAUUUUUUCCAAAAACUUUUUUACAACAAAUUCAUCUCGUCAAAAAUUCUAUGUUGCUAACUAACAAUAAUUGAGCACUUGGCCGCAUUGACUCCACGUCUCCACCUCUUUCUAAAUUCUAAGUAAAAACAUGGAAAUGUAAUUUCCACAAAAUGCCAAAUGUGUGGAAUUUAAUUUUUUGCCUUGUGGAUCAAAAUACAAAUGAAAGAAACAGAAGAAAAAAAAGGCCCAAAGACUUCUAAAAGAUGAAGAAGUCUUUGUGCCUUUUUAUAAUGGUGAAUUUUUUUAAAGAAAAAAAAUAACAACAUUUUUAUGGUUUGUUUUGAUAAUCAUAUUUACAUAUACUCUCUAAUUUCAAAAUGGACACAUAAAUCUUUUUUUUUUACAAAAUAUAUAUUAUUCAUAUUUUUUUUAUUUUUUUAUUAUCAUAUUUUUAUUUAUUAUAAAUGUUUAGAGCAAAUUUUUAGGUUGAAAUAUAAUAAAAAGGUAUAAUUGUUCUCUUAUUAAACACACAUACUUUUAUUAGUUUCUAUCCAUUUGUCAUCUCAAUCUCUCUCAAUUAUUCUUUAUUGCUAGCUCAAAACGCGUUGCUGUUGCAAAUUAUAGCAAAAUGACAAAUAUGGAAAAAAAGGGAAGAAAAUUAAUGCAUGAAAGACUUGGAGAAAACAACAAAAUAAGCCAACUAUGAGCUAGUUGGGUGUAUAAAUUGUUAGAUGUGUUAUAUACAAAUAGCGUAGAGCCCUCUAGUUGGUUCCAGAGACAGAAAGAGCGUGUGUGUUUUUUCACAGUUAGAGAUAUAGUUAGAAUGGGUGGUUCAAAAUCAAAAAUGAUGAUAAUGUUUAUUAUGUUAUUAAUAAUAUUUAAAAGUGGGUGGAGUGAGGGAUGUUUGGAUCACGAGAGAUUUGCUUUUUUGAGACUCAAACAUUUCUUCAAUGAUCCUCUUAAUUCUCUUUACGACUGGGUAGAUGGUGAGGGAGCUACUGAUUGUUGUCAGUGGGAAAGGGUUGAGUGCAGCAACACCACAGGCCGAGUGAUAGCACUGGACCUUUCUUAUAUAUAUUCGGAGAGUACAGCUGGUAUCUGAAUGCUUCUUUAUUUACUCCCUUCCAACAACUUGAGUCACUUGAUUUAACUCAAAACAAAAUAGCCGGAUGUGUUGAGAAUGAAGGUACUUUGUUUAAUUUAAUUAAUUUACUUUCUCCCCCCUAAUUUAAGUUGAAUAUCAAGACCGAGCAAUUAUAUGCAUAUUCAUUUAGUCGACAAUUUUGACUUUUUUUUAAAUGAUUAAUUUUGAAAUUACACCAGUAUCUAUGAUCUUUUUUAUUUUAUUUUAUUUGCAGGUAUAGAGAGGCUAUCAAGAUUGAACAACUUGAAGAUGCUUAAUUUAAGUCGAAACUCAUUCAAUAAUAACAUUUUAUCAUCUCUAACUCAUCUUUCAUCAUUAAGAUCAUUAAAUUUAUUGUGGAAUAGAUUGGAAGGAAGUAUUGACGUUAAAGGUACAUAAUUAAAACUUCAAGCUCUUUCAUUAACUUGCUAAAAUAAGAUUCAAGGCUUUGAAUUCAAUUUUUUUUAUGAUUAAUAUUAAAAAAAACAGUUUUAAGCAAUUUAUAAAUACAAGUUUUAAUGUUUCUUGUAAUUUCAUCUUGUACUUUCAUAUGUCUUGAAUUUAAGAUUAAAAAAAAAAACUCUAAUAGCGAACCAAACACCUCCACAACUUAUUAUUAUUAUUUUAAUUUGUGGUGAGGUUUGAAACAUUCAACUCAAUUUGUACUUAUUACAGAAUUUGAUUCUUUGAGAGAUUUAGAGGAGCUAGACAUUGGCGGGAACAAGAUUGACAAAUUUGUGGUCUCAAAAGGUACUACAAAUACCAUAAAAAAAUAUGCUAACUUUUACAAAUUAGUUAGAUUCUUUGCCAUUUGGUUUAUUAUUUUACAGGUUUGAGUAAGUUGAAGUCUCUUGGUUUAAGUGGUAUCAAACUCAAUCGUAGCAUCUUAUCUUCUCUUUCUUCGUUAAGAGAAUUAGAUAUAAGUCGUACGGGAUUCAAAGGAACAUUUGAUGUUCGAGGUAAGCCUAAACCUUGCUUUCUCAUUUUAUAUAUGCCAACUAGAUUUGUGUAUCAUCGACAUAAUUUAAUAUUUAAUUUGAUAAGUCUGAAUGAAUUACAUGCUAAUUUAAACACACUUUUAUUUACUUUGUCAAUUAAUUAAUUAAUUAAUUACUAUUUGGCUUGGUUUGGACGAAAUUCUCAUGAUGUUUUUAAUUUCUUUAAAUUAAUUAAUUAAUUAACUCUGUUUUUAAGUCUUAAGUCUGGGCAUGUUUGCAGAAUUGAUUCCUUCAAUAACUUAGAAGUGUUGGACAUGAGUUGGAACGAAAUCGACAAUCUUGUGGUUCCUCACGGUAAACAAUUAAAAUGUUAUUCAAUUACAUUAUUUUAAUUCAUUUGAUUAGGGAAGGCCAAAAAGGUAAAAAAAAUAAUAAUAAAGAAACAGAGAAUUUGUAUUAUUUAAAAAACAGAAUGUAAUAAAGAUUUUGAUUCUGGUUCUUUAAUCUUUAAAGUGAUUGAAAACAAUGUUGCUCUUUUCCCAAAGCAUCAAAUACGAAUUGAAUGCCAAUUAACUUAAUCAUUCAUUUCGUUUAGCUCUAAAUUUAGACAAUGAAUUUUUAUAUUAUUUCAAAAACAUGACGUAAUAGAAUUUUUUUAAAAACAGAUUCUAAUAAAGAUUUGAUUCCAAUUCUUUAAUCUUUACAGUGAUUGAAAAACGAUACUACUCUUUUCCCAAAGCAUAAAUACGAAUUGACUCCCAAUCAAAUUAAUCAUUUAUUUCGUUCAUCUCUGAAUUUAAAUAAUGAAUUUUGAUCUUCAAUCGUAUUAUAAUUACUAUUAAAGAACAGGUUACAGAGGUUUGAGGAAGUUGAAUCAUCUUGAUCUAUCGGGAGUUGGAAUUAGAGAUGGAAGCAAGUUGUUACAGUCAAUGGGAUCAUUCCCAUCCCUCAACACUCUUUACCUUUCGUGGAAUAAUUUUAUCGAUACAGCGACCGCUACUCAAGGUAAGUAAAAGGUACAAAUGUGGCCAAAUUUAUAAAUAAAUUGUUAAUUAAUUAAUUUUUCCGUAUUAUUAAUUAAGCUAAAUUUGUUGCUCCUUCCUUCUAAAUCUAAACAGAGUUGCACAAUUUCACCAACUUGGAAUAUUUGACAUUGGACUUUUCCUCUCUCCAUAUAAGCCUUCUCCCAAAGCAUUGCAUCAUUAUUCCCUUCGUUAAAAAAUCUGUCGAUAUCUCAUUGUGAAGUCAAUGGUGUCCUACGCGGUCAAGGUAAAAGAAAAUCGUUGAUUGUGAACUCACUCAAUGGUGUCCUACGUGUUCAACAUUUUUAUUUAUUUAUUGUUUAAUGUUUCUGCUAGGUUUUCCUCAUUUCAAGAGUUUGGAACAUUUGGAUAUGGAUUACACGCGCAUUGCACUCAACACCGGCUUUCUUCAAAUCAUCGGUGAAUCGAUGCCUUCUCUUAAGUACUUAUCACUGUCAAGGUUAAUCUAUAAAUCGAUGCCUUCUCUUGAUCAAGGUUAAUCAGAUGCUCCCACUCUCCCCUCUUAAUCUAUAAUAUUAAUUUUCAAUUCAAUAUUUAAUUACACAAACGAAUCACUUAUUAUAAAAGAAUAAUACGCAUUCAUUAAUUUUUAUAUUGUAUUAAUAAUUGAUGAAUUUAAUAACUUUUCAGGUCUCUGUUCGUUGGUGCAUCUGCAAGUGUUGAACAUUGCAGGCAAUGAUUUAAGAGGUAGCUUGCCUUGGUGCUUGGCAAAUAUGACAUCCCUCCGAAUAUUAGAUGUUUCUUCCAAUCAACUUACUGGAAGCAUCUCCUCAUCUCCCCUCGUUCAUUUGACAUCCAUUGAAGAGCUGAUGCUUUCAGACAAUCACUUCCAGAUCCCAAUUUCACUUGAACCAUUUUUCAAUCACUCACGACUCAAGAUUUUCCAUGCUUACAACAACGAAAUAAAUGCAGAAAUAACUGAGUCACAUUCUUUGACUGCCCAAACUUCCAAUUAAAAUAUCUCUCAUUGUCUUCCGGUUACGGAGAUGGUGUCACAUUCCCCAAAUUCCUUUACCAUCAACAUGAUCUGGAGACUGUUGACCUCUCACAUAUAAACAUGAGGGAGAAUUUCCAAAUUGGUUGUUGGAAAACAACACAAACUUAGAAAUAUUUUUUGGUUAAUGAUUCUCUUGCAGGACCUUUCCGGUUGCCAAUUCAUUCACACAAGCGGUUAAGACUGUUGGAUAUAUCCAACAACAACAUCAGAGGCCACAUUCCAGAAAUUGGAGAUGUUUUACCGGGUUUAUUUUCUUUAAACAUUUUCAUGAAUGCUUUAGACGGUUGCAUUCCCUCUUCAUUUGGUAAUAUGAAAUUCCUCCAAUUUNNNNNUUAAUUAAUUAANNNNNGAUGGGAAAUUGAAACAAGAAUUUGAGAAUUGGAAAUCGAAAACGUCCGCAUUGACCGUGCCUUUGAGGGCAAUUACUUUUCUUGAGAAUUGAAGUUUGGUAAUGUAAUUUGUUCUCCAUCUGUGUUCCCUUUGUAGUCAUUUCAUUUAUUUGUUUGUUUGCUUUUAUUUGCAGGAGAAAUUGAUCCUCGAGAUAAAAGUAAAUUGUCUUUAAGCUCAUUUAGUUUUAUAUCAAACAAAAUCAAGACUGCCUUUUUCUUCAAUAGUUUUGAUGAUUAUCUUUAGAAGCAUCUCAUUGACAGGUAAUCGUGGUACCCCUUAAAGAGUCUAUAAACUCAAGGAUAUUAUCUUCUGCAAAUGGUUCAUUAAACUUCUUAGAUGUAGUUAAAUGUACACUGAGAACAACGAGAAGCUAUGCCACUGUAGCAAUGUAUGAUGGCACUUAAUGAGUGAGUUGCUAGGAUAUGAACUAGAAAAAUUAAACAUUGUCUCCCUGGGUAUGCUAGCUUGUAAGUCGGUUAAUAUUAGAGCUUGAGAUACUAUAACCAUGAGAAGCUAUUGACCGCCGAUUAAAAUAUCCAUUAAAAUGUCUAGGGAGUUAUGAAGGUGGAGGUGUCUCCCAAUUUCUAAGGCCAUAUAGUAGACAUCAUCCAGGAUCCUAUUUAAAGUGCAGUUAGCCUCCUGCUUGAUGCUAAUGUCAAACAAUUAAUAAAUUUGGUCAAUGUAACUGAAACUUGCUAACUGACGUCAGAUUGCGACUUGAGCACCUUAAAAUGGGAUAGACGAUUAGUAGCACUGAAUUCUUCUUGCCUAAGAUUGAGCAAUUGUUCUAACUACAAUCUCCUAUUGUAGGUUGAUUAUUAUGUUCUAAUUAUGUCGAUUUUGACCCAAAAAAAUUACAUAAUCUUGAUCUGCAUAAUGUCACUGAACAGUGUCAAUUUCGUUUACCAACUAACUUGAGUUUGAUAUAACAAACACACGGUGUGUCUCUCAUGUCUCACCAUGAUGGAAUUUUUCUAAUGCAUGAAGCAAGCUUCGAUAUGUGGGUUAGCUUGGAGAAGAUAUCUUAAAAUGAAGAAUAUGGGAGUUAAUGGGAAGAAACAGUUCAGUAGUUUAUAAUUCUGUCGUCGAGCUGUAUCUCUAACAUGGUCAAAAUUUAUGUGAAUAAGGACAGGGAAUCUUCAUUCCUCUUUCCCUUUUUAUACCCACAUAUCUCUCAACCUUUAUAUGUUGCUCACUGGAGAUCUGCUUCUGAUAACUAAAAUAAAAAUUUCAUCCACUCAAAUAAAUUCUGACCAAGCUUUCACAAGAAAAAGUAACAUCUUUAGUGAAGUAAUUUACAAGUAAUUUAGAGUUCCUUAUCAUCUUCUUGUGAGUCUAUCAGUAUGAUCCAAAAACAUAAUAAAUCUUGUUAGAUCCUGUUUAUUGAUGUUUAAACGCUGCUCAUUGUGAAAUGUAGAAACAAUGACGUGAAGUUUCUUUGGUCAUCAAUUAGUGAGAUCUUGUUUGAAGUUGUUUUCUGAAAUGAACUGCCAAAUGAUAGUUUUUUUUUUUUUUUCUUUGGACGCAUUUGAUGGCUCUUUCUCCUCAUUUAAGCAAUGUGCCUGCUUGGUAUGGGAAGGAAUAGGCUUCAGAGUUGUUAUAUAUGUUGACAUGCUCUGGUCAUUACACAAUAUGUUCAAAUUGGAAAUUAGAAUGAGAUAUUUGUCGAUGCUUUUUGAGAGAUCUGCAUUCUAUGCAGCAUAACAUGAUUAAUGAAAAUGGGUUUAAGGACUGGAAAGAUCUGUGGCAGCCCAAGCUUGCAGGAAGGAUUUCAAUGGUUAAUUCUCCCAGAGAGGUUAUUGGUACAGUUUUGAAGUAUAUGGGAGCAUCAUACAAUUCAAACGCAUUAAUUAGCAAGUUGCUGCUGGGAGGAUUGCUGUUCAGCAGAAUCUGGCAUUACUGGGAAACCAGGUACUCUUAAAGAAACGAUAGCUGGUCAAUGCAUAUUAUUUGCCUGACGGCUGAUUUUGUUUGUAAAGUGUGCCUUUUCAUACAUAUGAAUGCAUAUGUUAGUGUUGUCUUCUUCUUUCCAUAAAUAUGAAUGCAUAUGUUGGUGUUCUUUUCUGAGAUGGAUGCAAUAAAGGCUUUUUCUUCUAAAUGACGAGUUUUCAUUUAAAAAUGUUAUAAAUCUGCCAUGCAUAGUAUUCUAGUAGAAUCAUCUAUAAAUUCAAGUUAUUGAAAUUGUCUAUUUGUCCAGUUUGAGUUAAGGACGCAUGUAAUAUGAAAAAUAGUUGUCGAAUAUUGUAGGUUAGCUAAUAUUUGAUCAAUCCUAUAGGGAGGGCUUUAAGAUGUCUAACAACAUGUAGAAUGCCCCUGCUUCCCCCACAAUUUUUAUCUUAUACAAUUUUUAUCUAUAAACAGUAUUUGCCAGACCUUAACUGUUCAGAUUCCCCUUCUCGACUAUCAUACCCUACGCCCCGUCUCCGUGUCUCCGAUAAACAGUGCUCAAUUAAGGCCAUCAGAUUAUCCCGGUCCCACAUUGAUCAACGGCUCACAAUGACCGACAACCUCUGUCUCCAUUACAAGCUCCCUCUUCAACUCGCUUCUGCUUCCAUCCUACUCUUUCUCAGAUUCGGAGCCCGUAUAUGCUCGGCUGGUCCCACGAAGCUCCCUCUCACUCCAGCUGUCAACCGACAAGACCAAUUGCCUUAUCAAGACAGAGAAAAAAAGAGGAUGAGAAAUUGAAACAAGAAUUUGAGAAUUGGAAAUCGAAAACGUACUCAUUGACCGUGCCUUUGAGAGUUGUUUCUCUUCAGAAUUCAGUGCCUCAAUCUUGGGUUAAGGAUUUUAUGCGAAGUCAAGGAAAGUGAUUGAAGUUUCAGAUGAAUUUGUGUGCUAGCAUUGGUGGGAUCUUUAACAAUUUAUCUGCCCUUUAACAAAGUCAAGGCUAAUUCAGCUUCUUAUAUGGCUGCUGAUUUGGUUAGUGUUGGUGAUUCAUGGCUUAGUUUUGCCAUUAAAGAGAGAUUGAUUGAGCCAAUGGCUGGAGCUGAAGACCAAGAUUGGUUCAAAUGCUUAAGUCACAAAUGGAAGGUAACAUCUUUAUCUUUGGCCCGAUAAUUUUUAUUGUCUUACAUUGAAAUUUGGUAAUGUAAUUUGUUCUCUAUCUGUAUUACCCUUUUUAGUCGUUUUAUUUAUUUGUUUAUUUGCUUUUAUUUGCACUAACGAAGUCUCAGGUAUAUCUAUGCAGAAUGAUGCAGGAGAAAUUGAUCCUCGAUGUGAAAUAUGGGCGGCACCAUACAGGUGGGGCACAAUGGUGAUAGCCUACAAGAAAAGUAAAUUUCGAAAGCAUAAUUUGGCUCCGAUUGAGGUAAUAAUUGUCUUUAAACUCAUUUAGUUUUAUAUCAAACAAAAUCAAGACUGCCUUUCUCUUCAAUAUUUUUGAUGAUAAUAUCUUUAGAAGCAUCUUAUUGAUGGGUAAUAAUUGUAUCCCUGAAACAGUCUAUAAACUCAAUGAUAUUAUCUUCUACAAAUGGCUCAUUAAACUUUGUCGUUGUAGUCAAAUGUACACUCAGAGCAAUGACAAGCUAUGCCACUGUGUAGCAUGUAGUGAUGGCACUUAAUAAGUGAGUUGCUAGGAUGUGAACUAGAAAAAUUAAAUAUUGUCUCCCUGGGCAUGCUAGCUCAUAAGUCAGGGUUAAUAUUAGAACUCAAGAUACUAUAACCAUGAGAAGCUAUUGACUGCCAAUUAAAAUAUCCUUUAAAAUGUCUAGGAAGUUAUGAAGGUGGAAGUAUCUUCCGAUUUCUGAGGCCACAUGGUAGAUAUCAUCCAGGAUCCUAGUACAGUGCAGUUAACCUCCUGCUUGAUGCAAUUAAUAAAUUUGGUCAAUGCCACUGAAACAUGCUAACUGACGUCGCAAUGCGACAUGAGCACUUCAAAAUGGGACAGACGGUCGGUAGCACUAAAUUUUUCUUGCCUAAGAUUGAGCAAUUGGUCUAACUACUAACCCCUUUUGUAGUUGAUCAUUAUUUUUUCAAUUAUUUUCAGUUUGACCCAAAACGUUACAGAAUCUUGAUCUGAAUAUUGUCACUGAACAUUGUCACUGAACAUUGUCAAUGUCGUUUAGCGUAGCCAACUAACUUGAGUUUGGUAAAACAACACACAGUGUGUCUCAUGUCUCACAAUUCAAAUUAUCAUUUGUAAUGAUGAGAAUUUUUCCAAUGUAUGAAGUAUGCUUUGAUACGUGGGUUACCUUGGGGAAGGUAUCUCAAAAUAAAGAAUAUGGGGAGAAAACAGUUCAGUAGUUUAUUAUUAUGUAGUCAAGUUUUGUCUCAAAAAUGGUCCAAAUUUAAAUGAAUAAGGAGGGGAUCUUCAUUCUUUUUUCCCUUUUUUAUACCUAGAUAUCUCUCAACCUUUAUAUAAUCCCCACUGGAUAUCUGCUUCUAAUAAUUAAAAUAAAAAUUUCACCCACACAAAUAAAUACUGACCAAGCUCUAACAUAUAAAAGUAACUUCUUUAGUCAAGUGAUUUACAGUUCCUCAUCACCUUAGUGAGACUAUCAGUGUGUUCCAAAAACAUAAUAAAAUUGGUUUGUUCCUGUUUAUUGAUGUUUAAAUGUUGUUCAUUGUGACAUAGAAAUGAUGAGGCGAAGUUUAUUUGGUCAUCAAUUUGUAGAUCUUGUUUGAAGUUGCUUUCUGAAAUGAACUGCCAAAUGGUAGUUUCUUUGGGGCAUUUGAUGGCUCUUUUUUCCUCAUUUUAAACAUGUGCCUGCUUGGAACAGGAAGGAUUAGGCUGCAGAGUUGUUAUAUAUUUUGACAUGCUCUAGUCAUUGCACAAUUUGUUCACACUGGAAACUAGAAUGAGAAAUUUGUUGCAUUCUAUGCACAAUAACAUGAUUAAUGAAAAUGGAUUGUAGGACUGGAAAGAUCUGUGGCAGCCUGAGCUCGCAGGACGAAUUUCAAUGGUUAAUUCUCCCUGAGGUUAUUGGUUUAGUUUUGAAGUAUAUGGGAGCAUCAUACAAUUCAAACGAUAUUGAUUCAAGUUGCUGGUGGGAAGAUUGCUGCUGCUCAGCAGAAUCUGGCAUUACUGGCAAACCAGGUACUCUCAAAGAAAUAUCUUUGCAUGUUAUUACCUGACAACUGAUUUUGUUUGUAAAAGUCUGCUUCUUCAUACAUAUGAAUGCAUAUGUUAGUGUUUCUUCUCCUUUUCAUACAUAUGAAUGCAUAUGUUGCUUCUUUUCCUUUCCAUACAUAUUAAUACAUAUGUUGGUGUUCUCUCCUGAGAUGGAUGCAAUAAAGGUUUUUCUGAAGAAAUGGCAAGGGAUGUGAGAUUCUGUCUCAUAAAAUUAACAAAAACCCAAAACAAUGAAAACCCAUAAUAAUGUGGUGUGGGUAAAUUGACGCCAUUUGGUUCGUUUCCUUGAUGUGAAUACGCGGGCAAUAGAGACUAACAAAAUGAAGUGACAACAAGAAGUCAGUGUCCUUUGAUGGAUGCAUUUUUAGGCAGAAAUAGGUUUGUAAUUGACCAAAUUUGUCUGGCAUGCCAAUUUCAAAAAAAUUAAAUUAUGUGGUUAUUAGCUGUAAUGAAGGGGGAUUGUAGGUCCAAUCAGGUGGAUCCAUGAAAGUUCAACAAAGUUCUGGUAUGGCGUAGAAAUUGGUUUGUGGCAACUCAAGAGUCUUUCUGGUGAACGAUGAUGGGUUUGAUUUAUAAAUGUUAUAAAUCUACUGUGCAUAGUAUUCUAGUAGAAUCAUCUAUAAGUUCUAGUUAUUGAAAUUGUCUACCUUGUUCAGUUUGAGUUAAGGGCACAUGUAAUAUGAAAAAUAGUUGUUGCAUCUUUUAGGUUACCUAACAUUUGAUCAAUCCUAUUAUGAGGGCUUCAAGAUGUCUAACAAUAUGUGGAAUGCCCAUGCUCCUCCCCAUUGUUUAUCUUAUAUAAUAAUUUGUUUUAGAUGCUAAUAUCUUUGUCGAUACGGUAACAAUAUUACAAUAUCUGCGUUUAUUGGGUUUUACAUAGGUUCGACUGUUUGACAGUACACACUCUCUGAAGGCAUUUGGAAAUGGAAUGUAUGGAUUGCUGUUGGGUGGAGUAGUGAUGUUCUUCCUGCUGUCAAACGUAUGUCUAAUGUUGCAGUUGUUGUUCCCAGUCUGGUGCUAGCUUAUGGGCUGAUCUUUGGGUAUACCCAUGCCUGCCAUUCUACUUCAAUAUUCACAUUGUUAUCUCCUUCAUAUUAGUGAUCAGUAACACGAUAAUGUGACUAAUAAGUUCGUAUUCUCUUUAUAGGCAAUCCCUGCUGCCUCAAGACUGAAACAAAACAAAUUGGAGGCGAGUCAGAGGUGCAUUUCCAUUAAUCCAUCAAUGGAUAGAAUUCUGCUUGCAAACAGCGAGAGCAUUGCCUUUCAAGCAAGAGGUUAUCCCGAGCGCAUCUCCCUCUGCCCUUGAGAGUACUCUGGUUAAGUUGCCUGAAGAACUUUUGAAGGGUAAACCAAGUCUGGAUACUAACUUAAUUGCUGAGUACCCUGACGGAAAUUCUGGCCAGAUGUGAGUUUUUGGAGCCAUUAUCUGAAGCUACAUUGUCGGAUUAUGAGUGGCUGGUUGCUAAUCUGCAAAAAUCCACUCCUGUACUGAUCAACAAGAUGCAACAUUACAUGUCAUCAUUGAUCUUUAGCUAAAGGUACAUUGAAAAGUUAAUGGCACUGCAUACCAGUCAUUAUAAUUGGGUCAGGCAAUUGGGUCAGGGCAAUUGGGUCAGGGCAAUUAGGUCAGAGCAUAACUUCAUUAGGAAAAGAGGCUUCAGCUACGUUAAAUAUUACAGGAUGUACUGAUGGCUGAAGUUGUUGACGUUGUACGAGAAACGAAAGAUGAGUGUUUGUUUUGAACAAAGUUGUUGCCAAUCUUGCAGAGUUCGAGAAGAAAGAUCACGAAGCAAAUGCCACCGAUUUCUUCAUCACUGUAGCCUCCAUAGUUGAAGUUUCCUCAUUUGAAGCUGUUUAUGCAUAUGCUUUUUCCCUUCUCAAGUACAGGAAAUUGAAGAAUUAACCAGAUGUGAUAUGCUGAAAGAGGGAAGUUUCUCCCUUGAAUGUGGCCUUGUGAUUUGUCUUGAAGGAAUAGGAUGAUCACUGGCAAGAACCCUAUCAAGGUAGAUUUUAUGAUGUUAACAUAUUAUUAAGCAUUUUGUUACAUCAGCAAUGAUGCUUUCAUAGCAUGAAAGUGUUUAAAUUUAACUGAAUGAUCUUGAUUGAUCAAUUAUGAGUUUUAAUCGAGUAAAAACUAAAUACAAUAAUCGUUAACAAAUAUUGAAAUUGGGUAAAUAUGAUCUUGAUAUUGAUGAAUUUGAAAUCACAACCCACACAGGAAAUCACCCUGCGCGUGGGAUGGAAAUGUUUACUGCAGCGAUAUUGAAUAUGUCCACUGCUGGACUAAUUCUGAUUACCUAAUUGACUCAGGAUCGGCUGGCAAUAAUAACAGUUUAUUAACAAUGCACAGUCCGAGUACUUUUCCAGGAUCAGAUACGACGUGGUCUAAUGUUGAUAAUAAUAGAUUAUCAAAUGACAAAUCGUUGUUCUACUAUUGCAAGCCCCCAGAUUUAAGAAUCUUUUUCAGAAAUUAAAUACAUUCUGAGAGAUGCUGGUCUACUAUUGCAAGCCCCCAGGUUUAAGAAUCUUUUGACGGUAAUUUAUCACCUGUAACUGUGCCGGAAGAUUCAACUAGCACUGAAAAAGAUGAUAAAUUAAUUGAUAUGGAGAGUUUUCAUAUCACUUUUAAAUCAUCUUAUGUAAUUGUGAUGUUAGGAAGCAUUAGUGAUCUAUAUGUGAAUUAUUAUUGGCGCCAUUGGUGGUUUUAUCUUGUUAAAAUAUGGAUGACUUCCAGUUACUAUUUUGUUGCAGACAAUCUUCUUCAAUUAACAUAUGGUUUAAAAUCAUUAUGUAAAUCAAUCUAUUAAUUUUCAAGAUAUUUAACUGAGUUAAAACUAAGUGCACUCAAUAAAUCUCUUUUCCUUUAAAAAACUGUUACGCUUUAAUUUUAGUGCUUAAUAUUUAUUGAACUCCGAUACAGGGAAUUUGAAAUCAAACUCGUAACUACAUAUUAUCUAAUUGCAAGUUUCUAUCCAUAGCUGCUGAUUUGUAGUGAUUAUCUAAUUGACUGAGGUGACGACAAUUUUUUUUUUUUAAAUUUUCAAUAGCACAAUGUGGAAUUCAAUAAUUAAAUUCUCCUUUUUAAUUUGUUUCCAGUUAAAUUAUUAAUUACUUAAACUCUGUUUUAAGUCUUUAAGUUUAUGUGUUUAUGCAGAAUUGGAUUCUUGAGCGUGUUGGACACGACCAACAAUGAAAUUGACAGUAAAAAAACAAUACAACGUGUGGACUCCGGUAGAUGCCAUACAAGUCUACAACUUUACAAAUAAUAAUUGAGUAAGCAACUUUGAUUCUCGGGCCCUUCAAUGAAUUUCUAGCCCCGUUGACUCCGCCAACUAAAGUUUGUAAAAUAAAAAAAUACAUAGAAUUCCACUAAAUGCAAAACGCGUGGAAUUUAAUUUUCGGCCAUGUGGACCAAAACAUAAUUUAAUGAAAAAGGAAAAAAAUGAUAAGAUUUCUAAAAUAUGUGAAAGAUGAUCCAUAUUUUACUGAAACGACUUAUUAAAUUUUUCAAAGAUUUAGAAUAUUUAGUCAUAAAUUACGUGCAUGUUAAUUUUUCCGCCAUUGACUAUCAUAUUCUAAACUUAAUAGUACAUUUCUUGUUGAAGGGUACUUAGUCUCUCUUCUCCUCUUAUAAAAAUUAUAUUGAUGGAUUUCUUGUUAUAGUUAAUAGUCUUUAAGAACGGAUAACUUUAUUGUUUUCGUGACCAAAUUAUGUCCGCCUAAGGUUGUGACUAUUAAUAAAAUUAAUAUUUAAUGUUUAUGUUAAAAGAUAUAAGAUUUUAUGCGUUCAUUAAUUGUUAUUAGCUAAAGGAUGAAUUAUUUUUUCAACCCAAUCAGUUGAUGCAUCUGCAAGAGUUUUUUCUUUUAUUGACCAUAAUUAUGUUCCGGGUACAAUAAAUUGUCUUUGGUGCUUGGAAAAUAUGACUUCUUACUUCAAGUUUGAUAUGUCUCUCACCAUAAACUUACUGGAAAUAUAUCCUCAUCUACUGUCAUUUAUCUAAUAUCAAUUGAAGAUCUCACUUUUUCAAACUAUCACUUCCAAGUCUCAUUGUCACUUGGCCAUUCUUGGAUCAUUCAAAACCAAUCAAGUGUUGAAAUAAUCAAAUAUAUGCAAAAUUAGAGUCACGAUUUUUUGGUCCCCCAAAUUCUAAUUAUAUAACUUCUAUAUAUUUCAUUGCCAGGUCACGAACUUGUUGGCACAUUUUCCAAAUUCCUCUUCCAUCAGCUCUCACACGUUAACUUAAGUGGAAAGUUUCCAAGUUGAUUGCUAGAAAGCAACGCAAAAUCAGACACACUUGAUCUGUCCCCUAAUUCUCUUUUCUACGUUGAAAAAGAAAAAAAAAUAAAAUACAUAUAUAUAUAUAUAUAUAUAUAUCUAUGUAAAAAUAAAUAAUAAACUGAGUAAAAGUACAUUUGUUUAAUUAACAUCUGAUCGGGGCAUUUUUGGUGUAAGCCACAACUAAAAUCAAACAGCCCCUUAGCAUACUUCUUCCAUUUUAUCUGCUACUUUUGUGGAUCUUAUAGGGUGGGCAUGUGGACAGAAUUUAAAAGUUUUAAUAGGCUCAAAGAAGAAGAUGUGUUAAAUCUAAAGUUGUUGCACCUUCUGAUUAAAUAAAGUUGUACAAUUUCAUCAACUUGAAAGAAUUGACAUUAAUGAACUGGUCGCCUCUCCAUGUAUGAAGCCUUCUUAAAAGUUAAUUUUUAUUUCAGAAAAAAAAAAGUUUAAGUUACAUAUAUUACAGUAAGAUUUUUUGAGACCAAUUCCCUUCUUGAAAUAAUAAUAGAAAAGUAUUAAUUUAAAAAUAAAAUGAAUAUGUAUUGAUUAUAUCCUGAUUUUCAUCGAUUAUAGUUAGAGUUUCACCAAAUCAAUUCCCUUAUUCAAAUAAUACAGAAAAAAUAGUAAUUUAAUAGUAAAAUAAACAGGUGUUGAUUAUAUAUCCUAAGUUUCAUCGAUUAUGUGAUCAAAGUGGCAUUGUUGAUUUAUUUUUUGUUCAAUGUUAAUUUUUAGGUUAUAUAAAUUUCAAGGAUUUAAAAUCUUUGGCCAUGAAUUACACGCUUGUUAAUUUUCCUGCCAUUGACUGUCAUAUUCUAGACUUAAUGAUACCUUUCUUGAUCAAGGGUAAUUACUCUCUCUUCUCCUCUUAUAAAUUCCUCUUCCAUUAACAUCACUAGGAGUAUGUUGAUCUCUCAGACGUUAACUUGAGUGGAGAGUUUCCAAAUUGAUUGUUACAAAACAACACAAAAAGUAGACACACUUGAUCUGUCUAAUAAUUCUCUUUCGGUAAAAUUAAAUAAUUUUAGGGGAAUAUUCGGCCAACCUCUAUAAUUUCAGAGUGAUCAUUAAUUAAUUAAUCGAUACAAAUAUCUAAAGUGAUUAAAUGUGACUUGAAAUUUGAUCUCUAUCGAUUGGUUUACAAAUGGACGUACUUGUGCCUUUGUGGCGAUAAUCGAACAAGUACCCAUGAUUAUUAUUUUUUCCAAAAACUUUUUUACAACAAAUUCAUCUCGUCAAAAAUUCUAUGUUGCUAACUAACAAUAAUUGAGCACUUGGCCGCAUUGACUCCACGUCUUCACCUCUUUCUAAAUUCUAAGUAAAAACAUGGAAAUGUAAUUUCCACAAAAUGCCAAAUGUGUGGAAUUUAAUUUUUUGCCUUGUGGAUCAAAAUACAAAUGAAAGAAACAGAAGAAAAAAAAGGCCCAAAGACUUCUAAAAGAUGAAGAAGUCUUUGUGCCUUUUUAUAAUGGUGAAUUUUUUAAAAGAAAAAAAAUAACAACAUUUUUAUGGUUUGUUUUGAUAAUCAUAUUUACAUAUACUCUCUAAUUUUCAAAAUGGACACAUAAAUCUUUUUUUUUUACAAAAUAUAUAUUAUUCAUAUUUUUUUUUAUUUUUUUAUUAUCAUAUUUUUAUUUAUUAUAAAUGUUUAGAGCAAAUUUUUAGGUUGAAAUAUAAUAAAAAGGUAUAAUUGUUCUCUUAUUAAACACACAUACUUUUAUUAGUUUCUAUCCAUUUGUCAUCUCAAUCUCUCUCAAUUAUUCUUUAUUGCUAGCUCAAAACGCGUUGCUGUUGCAAAUUAUAGCAAAAUGACAAAUAUGGAAAAAAAGGGAAGAAAAUUAAUGCAUGAAAGACUUGGAGAAAACAACAAAAUAAGCCAACUAUGAGUUAGUUGGGUGUAUAAAUUGUUAGAUGUGUUAUAUACAAAUAGCGUAGAGCCCUCUAGUUGGUUCCAAAGACAGAAAGAGCGUGUGUGUUUUUUCACAGUUAGAGAUAUAGUUAGAAUGGGUGGUUCAAAAUCAAAAAUGAUGAUAAUGUUUAUUAUGUUAUUAAUAAUAUUUAAAAGUGGGUGGAGUGAGGGAUGUUUGGAUCACGAGAGAUUUGCUUUUUGAGACUCAAACAUUUCUUCAAUGAUCCUCUUAAUUCUCUUUACGACUGGGUAGAUGGUGAGGGAGCUACUGAUUGUUGUCAGUGGGAAAGGGUUGAGUGCAGCAACACCACAGGCCGAGUGAUAGCACUGGACCUUUCUUAUAUAUAUUCGGGAGAGUACAGCUGGUAUCUGAAUGCUUCUUUAUUUACUCCCUUCCAACAACUUGAGUCACUUGAUUUAACUCAAAACAAAAUAGCCGGAUGUGUUGAGAAUGAAGGUACUUUGUUUAAUUUAAUUAAUUUACUUUCUCCCCCCUAAUUUAAGUUGAAUAUCAAGACUGAGCAAUUAUACGCAUAUUCAUUUAGUCGACAAUUUUGACUUUUUUUUAAAUGAUUAAUUUUGAAAUUACACCAGUAUCUAUGAUCUUUUUUAUUUUAUUUUAUUUGCAGGUAUAGAGAGGCUAUCAAGAUUGAACAACUUGAAGAUGCUUAAUUUAAGUGGAAACUCAUUCAAUAAUAGCAUUUUAUCAUCUCUAACUCAUCUUUCAUCAUUAAGAUCAUUAAAUUUAUUGUGGAAUAGAUUGGAAGGAAGUAUUGACGUUAAAGGUACAUAAUUAAAACUUCAAGCUCUUUCAUUAACUUGCUAAAAUAAGAUUCAAGGCUUUGAAUUCAAUUUUUUUAUGAUUAAUAUUAAAAAAACAGUUUUAAGCAAUUUAUAAAAACAAGUUUUAAUGUUUCUUGUAAUUUCAUCUUGUACUUUCAUAUGUCUUGAAUUUAAGAUUAAAAAAAAAACUCUAAUAGCGAACCAAACACCUCCACAACUUCUUAUUAUUUGUGGUGAGGUUUGAAACAUUCAACUCAAUUUGUACUUAUUACAGAAUUUGAUUCUUUGAGAGAUUUAGAGGAGCUAGACAUUGGCGGGAACAAGAUUGACAAAUUUGUGGUCUCAAAAGGUACUACAAAUACCAUAAAAAAAUAUGCUAACUUUUACAAAUUAGUUAGAUUCUUUGCCAUUUGGUUUAUUAUUUUACAGGUUUGAGUAAGUUGAAGUCUCUCGGUUUAAGUGGUAUCAAACUCAAUCGUAGCAUCUUAUCUUCUCUGACUGUCUUUUCUUCGUUAAGAGAAUUACAUCUACGUGAUACGGGAUUCAAAGGAACAUUCGAUGUUCGAGGUAAGCCUAAGUCUUGCUUUCUCAUUUUAUAUAUGCCAACUAGAUUUGUGUAUCAUCGACAUAAUUUAAUAUUUAAUUUGAUAAGUUUGAAUGAAUUACAUGCUAAUUUAAACACACUUUUAUUUACUUUGUCAAUUAAUUAAUUAAUUAAUUAAUACUAUUUGGCUUGGUUUGGACGAAAUUCUCAUGAUGUUUUAAUUUCUUUAAAUUAAUUAAUUAAUUAACUCUGUUUUUAAGUCUUAAGUCUGGGCGUGUUUGCAGAAUUUGAUUCCUUUAACGACUUAGAAGUGUUGGAUAUGAGAUACAAUGAAAUCGACAAUCUUGUGGUUCCUCAAGGUAAACAAUUAAAAGGUACAGAUGUGGCCAAAUUUAUAAAUAAAUUGUUAAUUAAUUAAUUUUUUCGUAUUAUUAAUAAAGCUAAAUUCGUUGCUCCUUCCUUCUAAUUCUAAACAGAGUUGCACAAUUUCACCAACUUGGAAUAUUUGACAUUGGAAUCUUCCUCUCUCCAUAUAAGCCUUCUGCAAAGCAUUGCAUCAAUAUUCCCUUCGUUAAAAAAUCUGUCGAUGUCUUUUUGUGAAGUCAAUGGUGUCGUACGCGGUCAAGGUAAAAGAAAAGCGUUGAUUGUGAACUCACUCAAUGGUGUCCUACGUGUUCAACAUUUUUAUUUAUUUUAUUGUUUAAUGUUUCUGCUAGGUUUUCCUCAUUUCAAGAGUUUGGAACAUUUUGACAUGAGGUUCGCGCGCAUUGCGCUCAACACCAGCUUUCUUCAAAUCAUCGGUGAAUCGAUGCCCUCUCUUAAGUACUUAUUACUGUCAUAUUCUACUCUUGGCACUAACAGCAGCAGGAUUCUUCAUCAAGGUUAAUGAGAUGCUGCCACCCUCCCCUCUUAACCUAUAAUAUUAAUUUUCGAUUAAAUAUUUAAUUACACAAACCAAUCACUUAUUAUAAAAGAACAAUACGCAUUCAUUAAUUUUUAUAUUGUAUUAAUAAUUGAUGAAUUUAAUAAAUUUUCAGGCCUCUGUUCGUUGGUGCACCUGCAAGAGUUGUACAUUGAUAAUAAUGAUUUAAGAGGUAGCUUGCCUUGGUGCUUGGCAAAUAUGACAUCCCUCCGAAUAUUAGAUGUUUCUUCCAAUCAACUUACGGGAAGCAUCUCCUCAUCUCCCCUCGUUCAUUUGACAUCCAUUGAAAAGUUGGAUCUUUCAAACAAUCACUUUUGGAUCCCAAUUUCACUUGAACCACUUUUCAAUCACUCACGACUCAAGCUUUUCUAUGCUGACAACAAUGAAAUAAAAGCUGAAAUAACUGAGUCACAUUCUUUGACUGCCCCAAACUUCCAAUUAAAAUAUCUCUCAUUGUCUUCCGGUUACGAAGAUGGUGUCACAUUCCCCAAAUUCCUUUACCAUCAACAUGACCUGGAGUAUGUUGACCUCUCACAUAUAAACAUGAGCGGAGAAUUUCCAAAUUGGUUGUUGGAAAACAACACAAACUUAGAAUAUAUUUUUUUGGUUAAUGAUUCUCUUGCAGGACCUUUCCGGUUGCCAAUUCAUUCACACAAGCGGUUAAGACUGUUGGAUAUAUCCAACAACAACAUCAGAGGCCACAUUCCAGUAGAAAUUGGAGAUGUUUUACCGGGUUUAUUUUCUUUAAACAUUUUCAUGAAUGCUUUAGACGGUUGCAUUCCCUCUUCAUUUGGUAAUAUGAAAUUCCUCCAAUUUCUGGACUUAUCCAACAACCAAUUGACUGGUGAAAUCCCUAAGCACUUGGCCGUGGGUUGCGUCAACUUAGAGUCUCUUGCGUUGUCAAACAACAACUUAGAAGGUCAUAUGUUCUCCAGAAACUUCAACCUGACAAACUUGAAAUGGUUACAAUUGGAAAGCAAUCACUUCGUAGGAGAGAUCCCACAAAGUUUGUCUAAAUGCUCCUCACUAAAAGGAUUGUAUCUUAACAAUAAUAGUCUUUCGGGUAAGAUUCCACGAUGGUUGGGUAAUCUCACAUGGUUACAAUAUAUUACAAUGCCCAAUAAUCAUCUUGAAGGUCCUAUUCCAGUGGAGUUUUGUCAGCUUGAAUGGCUUCAGAUUUUGGACAUUUCAGACAACAACAUAUCUGGAAGUUUACCAUCUUGUUUCCAUCUUCUCUCUAUCAAACAAGUUCAUCUUUCAAAAAAAUAUGUUACAUGGACAGCUAAAAAGAGGUACAUUCUUUAAUUGCUCUUCCCUUGUGACAUUAGAUCUUAGUUAUAACCGCUUGAAUGGCAGCAUUCCGGAUUGGGUUGAUGGACUUUCUCGGUUAAGCCACCUUAUCUUGGCUCACAAUAAUCUUAAAGGUGAAGUGCCAGUUCAAUUGUGCAAAUUGAACCAACUACAAUUGUUAGAUCUUUCUAAUAAUAAUCUUCAUGGUCCUAUUCCUCUUUGCUUUGAUAACACCACACUUCAUGAAAGUUACAGCAAUAGUUCUAGUCCUGAUGAGCAAUUUGAAAUAUAUGUUUUCAUCGAAGGCCCUCAGGGAGGUGUAGAAAAGAAAAUCCAUGAAAUUUUUGAGUUCACAACAAAGAACAUUGCGUACAUUUACCAAGGAAAAGUGCUUAGCCUCCUAUCAGGACUUGAUCUUUCUUGCAACAAGCUAAUCGGUAAUAUUCCUCCUCAAAUUGGAAAUUUGACAAGGAUUCAAACAUUGAAUCUAUCGCACAACAACUUGACAGGAUCGAUCCCAUCAACAUUUUCAAACUUGAAGCAUGUCGAAAGUUUGGAUCUUUCCAACAACAAAUUGAAUGGGAAAAUCCCUCAUCAACUAGUGGAGUUAAAGACAUUGGAGGUUUUCAGUGUGGCAUACAAUAACUUAUCAGGCGAAAUUCUAGAAUGGAAAGCACAAUUUGCAACCUUCAACGGGAGUAGCUAUGAAGGAAAUACUUUUCUUUGUGGACUGCCAUUGCCCAUUUGCAGAUCACCAGCAACUACGCCGGAGGCUUCAAUUGGCAAUGAACGAGAUGAUAAUUUAAUUGACAUGGACAAUUUCUUUAUCACAUUUACAACAUCGUACGUAAUUGUGAUAUUCGGAAUUGUUAUUGUUUUAUAUGUAAAUUCUUAUUGGCGACGUAGAUGGUUUUACUUUGUUGAAAUGUGGAUAACUUCAUGUUAUUAUUUUAUUGUAGACAAUCUUAUUACAACAAGAUAUUGUCAUUGAAAUUAAUUAGGAGUUUAAUUACGAUUCUUUAAGUUCUAAUCAAGUUUGCUUAGGAAAUAAAUUUAUUUUUAUUUUUUAUUAAAACUGUAGUAGUAUUUAGCUCUAUAUAGCUUCCAACUUCCAAGCACUUCACAUUUGUCUCUACACUUCCAAACCCAUAUCUAUCCACCAUAACUUAUACUUCCCUAUACUGUGCAGCAUACUUAAAUAAGAGAACCAUCUCCAAUGUUAAAACCAGCCACUCUAUAACAUUCAUUUAGAAUAGUUUUAUUAUCAUACACAAGAAAUGAAACACCUAGAUGCACUUGAUCGCCUAUUUUACUUUAAAAAAUAAUGAUUAUGGUGCUAUCAUCAUCUUCUUCACUAGCAACAUUAACACCAAAUCCAGCGAUGGACCCAGACAUUUUAUCAAGAAAGGUAUAUAUAUAAUAAAGUUGAAGCUUGACAAAAAAUUCAGGAAGAUUAAUGCCUCGCCACAACAAGGGGCACAACAACAUCAAAGUAGAGAUGAAGCAAUAUUUUCAAAUCUAAAACUCUCAAAUCCACCCACCAAAAUUUCAUAUCUCCUCAACAAUUUUAAGAACUAAAGAUAAUUAGGAUCUAACAUUAGUUUUUUAUAUAUUAGUUUCAUAAUUUACAAAUCAAUGAAGAUGAAGAUUAUGCUAAUGAAUUCAAAUUAUACCAUAGAUUCUCGAGAUGUUACCAAAAAUUUCUAAGCCAAUCCCACAUAUUUCAUAAUUUUAAGACUAGAAAAUUUCAUUAGUUAGAAGUUUCAUUACCUUCAAGUGGAAGAUGAAGAACAUUAUACAAUUGAUUCAGAUUAUAUCAUACAUACUCCAAAUGCAACUAGAAAUUAACAAGUUCAUGCGCACAGAUUUCAUAACAUUAUGAUUGGAAAGUUUCACAAAGAGAAAUUCUAAAUUCAAUCUCUUGCAUCAAGGUAGUUUGAUUGAUUUGAGUUACUUUCUCAUCAAGCUACUAAUAUAACAUUCAAGUCAGGGAGAAAGUAAAUUAAAACGGGGAAGAAACAACAGUAAAAAUUUGUUGCUAAACAUGAUGUGUAUUUUUUUUUAAGGCAAUUUGGAAACACAGUUGUUACUACAGAUAUUCUCCUCAACUUAGAGAUAAAUACAAAUAUUAAAAUGCAUAUGAUCGCACAUAUUACUUGGAGCUUAGUAAGAUUUCAUUAAGAGAAGCAAUCAAACCACUUAUCAAUUGUUGCAAUCGUUCUAUAAGCUAAAAUAGCAAUAUAAUACAAGAAAAAGAACAUAUAGAUACUUGGCAAGAGUUCAUUAAGAAGUCGCAUCACAUUCGGGUGAGUUUGCUUCUGAUAUCUUGCUAGCUGGGGCUUUUUCUUGUCUUUCUACGUAUGCCGAGGGAAACCAACCAGCUUGGCCCUUGCAUUCACCUUCCGACCAUCCAGUAGGAGCCACCUUGAGAAGUUAUAACUAAAAGUCUAAAACAAUGAAUUAAACAAAAGUUGACCGUUCAAAGACCUAAGGGGAAAACUAAUUCUUUUACGUAGGAGGAGUGAAUUAGUUGUGAUCACUGAAAUAACAGCAUAACUAUGGAAGCAUAACAAGAUAUAAAUUCACACGUCUAUAAGGGUAAACUGGGUGGUUUAGAACUGAGCUAGCAACCCUACUAUAUUCUGAUUUGCACAUCAAUGUAAAAGGGAAUAUAUGGUAGGAAGAAAGAAAACCAACCAUCAGUUGUUAACUCAUUGCUUUUCAAUCAAAAUUUUAAGAACAAAAUGCCAUGUGCUUUGAACAUCAAAUAAGUAUAAGCAUUAGUUCUAAAUUCCACAUAUCAUAAGUUAGAAGGACAAGUCAAUAGCAUAGUAGAAAAAUCUAUGUGUUGUUAUUUAGAGGGGAAAGUACCUGGCGAACCACAACAUAAUCAUCAAUUGAAAGACUUAGCUCUCCAUUUGCUUGAGCAUCAAAUGGAUGUAUAACCUGCAAGAUAAUGGGAUAAAUAGAACUUAAUCUUAAAAAAAGCAUAACAAAAGCAGCAACAGUAGCAGCAGCGUUCAUUGUAACCACUAUGAUCAUGGCCAACAAAGAUAUAUUACAAACAAAAUUCCAUUUUUACUACGACAUUAAUAUGUACUAUAUGAUAUCAUGACGAUUGGGUUACCAAGAGCUAUCAAAGUCCAAUAAAUUCUGUAUAACUUUAGGUAGUUAUUCAAAUUAUGGAUCAGAUUUUAAAUCCGAAAUUUUGACUGCUCUCCACAAAACAUGGCCUAUGCACAAGAAAGUCAUAGAUAAUGAGGAUUACAAGUGUCUGACAUCUUUUGAGUGAUGGAUUUAACAUGAGAGCUUAUGGUCAGUCAAUUUCCUCUGCCUAGCAAUAUAAGCUUUCUCGGCCAGAUUUAUCAUCAAAUACAUAGAUUGGCCCCAAGUCACAUCCAAAUAAACAUAGUUUUUCUAGGUAAACCAAGUAAGGAGAAUCAUAAUUCAGACAUAAUCAUAAAAAGGCCCAUCUAACUUAAGAGAAAAUCUCAAAAAGAGGGAUGUUGAGCUAUCAGUCUUGUAUCUAUAAGCAAUAUCAAGACUUUACAUCACCUACUACAUCGUGAGUGGCUACACAACUUUCAGUGGUUUGUCUUUCUUUGGCAUGCCUAACUCAGCUUUGAUGUUGCUGAGAUAUUGAUAGUAAAGACACAUGAUACUUCUAGCCCAUGCAUUCUAUCUAGCUCAUCCGACAACUAUCUCUUUUUUAAUUCAUUAGUGUUUGCUAAACCUCAUGCUUAAAAGUCCUAUUCUCCUAAACAAAGCUUCCUAAGAAUGACUUCCUCAGCACCACAUUUGGACACUUUUAGAGCAAUUUUAUUUGGGGGAAAAGAAUUUUCAAGGUGUUAACUAAUAAAUUUUAAAAAAUAAUUACAAUUUGUCCUACAAUUAUAUGACAAUUUAUCUGGGAUGAAAGGAUACAGACAGACAUCUUCCACUUUCAAGACUAAUCACUACUUCCGUAGAUGUUUUGCAAUAAUACAAAUACUUGACCAGAUGGUAGAAAAAAAUUUUAUUGCUCCAAAAUUAAAAUAAGAAUGCAAUAUGUUAAGCAAAAGACUGUGCAACAUCAAAUUAAUUGAUAAGUUUGUAAUUCAGUAAAUUAACAACUUUCAUGGUAAAAUACAACAAAUUUCUUUUCAAAAAAAAAAAAAAAAAAUUAAAAGACGGCAUUCAAUUUUUUGGGCAUCUUAUUUCUUAAGAUUUUCCAGGAGGAGGGCACUAGAGGGACUUUCACCUAUGCAAGAGAGCAGAAGCCUUACUUUCGCUAUAAAGUAGACGUCAUUCUGAUUAAUAUGCGUUUGCAAAUCAGCUCCAUUUGAAUCAGUAUUCUGAUAGACACGUGAGGCAUUUACAUCCAUUUCCAAAGUCACAUGUUGCGAGGAGGACUCAUUUGAUUGCUCCUCUAGGAUCAUCUAAUUCAAGUAGCAAGGGUUGGAAGAGAAUAAAAAGUCACAAUUAUUCUUUUGCAUAAGUGAGACGAAAAUGAUAAAUGCAAUAUUAUCAGCAGUAAACAAGAAGAGAACACUCCAAGGAAUAGAUAGAUGCCGACAAGCAAGUUAAAAUGCACAGUUCCAAACCUCCGCAUACAACUUCUCUAAAAUAGCAAUAAUGUGUUGAUGAUAUGUUUUCUCAGCAUCUACCUGCAAAGGCCUGAGACCAGGAAAACAACAAUAAAACCACUAGCUAAAGGAGAAAGUAAAGAAAGAAAUACACUUGACAUAAAUCUUGACAAGAAGCACAAUUUAAGACAUAACAAACCCCAAUCAGAUUGUUUAGAACUACCAUUCGUUAUUUCGUUAUUGUAGCAUUUCGAACAAGUGUUGACUUAAUUCAACAUUGUUGGAAAGAUAGGCUUUUAGAAGCGGAAGAAAGCCUCUCAAACCAAAGUGAUUGUCCUUGUAUUGAUCAAGGGAUGUAAACAUAUUACAUUUGCAGGAUGAGUUUUAAUCACUCCCCUGAUUUAUUUGGGUUGCAGUAAAACUAAGCGAGCAACUGUUUGACUUUCAAGCAACAUCUAAAUCAGCUAUUAAAAUUCAAAUAAAAUUAUAAUAGAAUAAUAACAGGCCAUCUUGCAUAAAAAAUUAAGUUUAAUUUGUGAAUUUUUUUCUAUAGACAUGUUAGUUCCUGCUAUUGAAAUGUUAAAAGCAUUGAAAAAUUAUUCAAUAAAUUAUGCAAACAUUAAAAUAGAGGACAUAUUAAAAAGUUUCUAAUUACAAUGUUAAGAUUUCCUAUAUUUUAGCAUUUGCAUAUUUUAAUUUAAUUUAAAAGUUACGUCAAUCAACUUUGGGCGUGAAGAUUUUAGCUUCUACGAGACUUGAUUGGAAUAUGCAUAAGGAAGAGUGUUAAAAUAUGAUGCAUCCAACGAAAGACAAACCACGUGUAGUCUUUUAAUUAAGCCAAAGUAGCAGCUCAAACAAAUGACACUUGGACCAACAUGCAAUCAUGAAGUGGCCGGUAAAAGGACAAAUGCAACUUUGGCUUAAAUAAAAAAUAACAUGUGACUUGACUUUUGCUGACAUGCAUCAUGUAUUACAAGACAACAGAAAUCAGUAUGAUAGUACUAAAAGUUGACAAUAACAUGAAGAUAAGAGCAGAAUGUCAACACCUGCAUAGGCACACACAAGAAAGUAUUAACAUAUAUACCAUAGCAAAAAGUCUUUGAUAUGUCAUCUGUUGCUGCUGUGAUUCAACUGACAGCAUGGCAGCUGUCGCUUCUCUACCAAGAGCCAUUAUUGUAGAUUUAAGCUCGGUCAAUCUUGCUUCUGCAUUUCGAAGCUUCACAGCACUCUCUGCUGAUAUAUCAGAUUUCCUUAUCUUUGAUCGGUGCCUAAAUACUUCAGCUGCCUGGUGAAAAUAUUCAAUAUAAAUCUAACAUAAUUCUCAUCUUGCCUUAUACAUGCAUAUGUUACCUCAAAGCUUGCCUGGGCUUCAAACUUCAUGUCGAAGUUGUCAUAACGAUGAGUCAGGUGUCGAGCAUCUUCCAAAGGUGCUCCGUUGAUUAACGCCCGUAGUGGCUCAGAUACCUACAUGUCCAAAAACCUGUAACAUAGUUAGAAAAAUGAAAAGAAAGAGCGAAACCUCAAUUAAAAAGUUCCUCCAACAUAAUCAUGGAAUUUGGGCCUACUUCAAGGAUAUAUAUAAGAUAAUUUAUGCAAUUUUGGGUCUUAGGAUGAUUCAUAUUAGGUUAGUGUUCUUCUCUUCUGUAUUUAAGGUUAAAAUAGAAAUAAACCUAUGCAAAUAUCUAAAUUAGGGCUGUAAGACUUCCACAUGCAUCCUUCAUCUCAUGGAUUUGAUUUACUAUAGAUGCAAGUGUCUUUAUCGAAAAUGCUUGGAGUCAAUUGAGAGAACUCACAGCCAAUAACUUGUCACAUGCUAGUCUUUGCUAUGAUGCAAGAAGUCACAAGGUCUCUUCAACAUUUGAACCAAUAAAAUUAUUAAGUCAUGGAUGUCACUAGCAAUGAUUUCAAUAUAAAACAUUAAAUAUUUCAAGUUGUAACUUUAAAAUGGAUUCUUUUAUUCAAUAUCUUAGAACUAAGUUUCCUUAUGAGAAGAUAAUAGUUUCAGUAGUAAUUACAUGAAAUUUUCUAUAUUUGAAUUAUUUUCUAGUUAGGGAUGAACUAACCUGAUCAUGAAGAAUCCCAAGCAAAGUUUCCCUCUCAUUUUCCAUCAAAUCAUGUGAAGUGCCAAAUUGAAGAGCAGCUCUUGCAGCGCAAGAAUUGUCACUUUGAUUCUCCGCUCCAUACUUGCAACAAUCUUCAGCCAACUUUCUCGCUACAAUAUUUGAAUACAAAAAUAUUGUACACAAGAACCAGUCAAGAAAAUAAAAAAAAAAUCAAAUAUAUAUAACGAGAGCAAGAGCAAACAAACAACCUAUUUCCAUUUGUUUCAAGCUUACUGCAACAAACCCUUCAACGCCACGGACAAUAUUCCUCUGAAAAUGCUGUGCUACAGAGCAUAUAUUCCAAAUUAUUGUUCAGAUAAAACCAUAGAAACCAUCAUAAUUAUCAACAUACAUUAAGCUCCGUUUGGUAAAACUUGCAACUUCAGUCUAGAAAAUACAGUUUGUUUGUACCAUAUUUGACAAAAUUAUAUUUAAAAAUCAUAACUAAUUACCAAAAGCCACAAUAAAUCAUAUCAAACAGAGUCUUAUUAUUAGCUAAAGGAGGAUGGUGCCUUAGCUGCCCUGGUGGAAUUGUAUAGAUUUUAAAGUUGUUGGUGACACUCAAUUUCAGCUUCAUGAACCGCAAUAUUUUCAAUACCAAGAUGGAGCAGAUGCUUCAAUGCUGCCUGUACAAAUCAUAAAAAACUAAUAAAAAUAAAUAAAAUCGAUAAAUUCACUAACUAAAAGUCUAAAUAUAAUUUUUGAAAAAAGAAAAGAAACGGACUUGCUGCUGCUUGGCGACUUGUUCUCGGUGCUUGAUUGCCUGUUCUUGAUAGCUUCCAUACUGUUUCUUUCAAAAAGCAACGACGCUCAGCUCAUGGAGGUGGAAAAAAAAAGUAUGAUCGAGAAAAAUAAAAAGCGAUGAAUAAUUUUUUGACAAAAAGCGAAAAUAAAAAGGCAUGAAUAAUGAAUAAUUUUUGACAAAAAGCUCUUUCCAGAAAAUAAAAAAGAAAAAAAGAAAAAAGAAAAUUAUAAGUUUGAAAGGAGUAGAUGAUAGUGGAAGUGUGCGGUGUGGCUGCCAGCUACUUGAAUUGUAUUGUCGGGUAAGGUAAUAGUAGAGAAAUUUUUUUUUUGAAGAAAAAUGGGUAAUUUUUAAAAACCUCCCCUGAGGUUUGGCUUGUUGUAAGUAGAUGGCGAGAAUCCAUUUAUUUGUAAAAAACCCCCUACGUUUUUGCUCCGCUUGGUUGCCGUUUGGGCAAUUGUGGCUUGUUGACAUUUCGCAAUAAAACAAAUCUUUUGCAACUUUCGUUUCCUUGAGAACAAUAGCUAGAUUUCUCAAUCUGUUUCAUCCAACACUUCAAAAAUUUCAACUUUUAUGAGUUAUUGCAUUCUCUGGCAAAGUAGACUUCUUCUAAUUUUAUCACAGUGCUUUCAGGAACAAGAAUGGGAUCCAUUAACAUCCCCUCAAAUUUUACAGCUUCCUUACAGCUAUACACUGCUGUAACACGAAGUUUAAUGAUUCCAUCGCCAAAUAGUCCCCAAAAUCUAUUCUUCCCCAUAUUGAACAACUUAAGUUCACAACACUUGCAUUCUAAAGGCUUCCACUAACAUCUAAUAUCUCAAGACUCAACGUUGCUUUACAAUAAUUGUUAUUACUACCAAACAAACAUGAAGAAACCCCGAUUAUCGGAUAAAUCAACCAAAAUGAACAAGAGAAGAACCCAAAACAAGUGAAUCGCUAGAGCAAAACCCCCAACCCAUAUCCCUAAUCCCACACUCAAAAAAACCCAAUUUCUCUCCAAAGUCAUUGACACUAGCAUCACUACUAGACUCUAAUUCCAAUCCUAGAUUACAUUUAAUGUUAACCCAACUAAAAUGAAUGUUCUUACUACAAUACGCAUCGUUUACACUCUCAAACAACGCGCUGAACUUACUCUUAAACGAUCCCACAUUGGUCAAACACUCAUCACUCACAUCGACAUCCAAGAAUUCACUCAAAAACUUCAUAGACUCGACAAUUGGAGAAAACAAAACCACUAAACUCAACUUUAUACAAGCAUACCCAUCGAGAAUCUUACCGUCAUUAACCGAAUCACAACAAAUCACCGGGUCCCACGCGCAGUCGUGAACGAGCUUACGCAUGGACGGGGCAACAUUUAACCCCCGCGGCAAAAACGACGAAGCUUUGGAAAAAUUGUNUUUUUAAAAGGCAAAAAUAACAACACUUCUAUGGUUUGUUUUGAUAAUCACAUUUACAUAUACUCUCUAAUUUUCAAAAUGGACACAUAAAUCUUUUUUUUUCUACAAAUGUAUAUUAUUCGUAUUUUUUAUUAUUUUUAAUAUCAUAUUGUUAUUUAUUAUAAAUGUUUAAAGUAAAUUUUUAGGUUAAAAUAUAAUAAAAGGGUAUAAUCGUUCUCUUAUUAAACACCCAUACUUUUAGUUUCUAUCCAUUUGUCAUCUCAAUCUCUCUCAAUUAUUCUUUAUUGCUAAAAACGCGUUUUGUUGCAAAUUAUAGCAAAAAGACAAAUAUGGAAAAAAAAAAAGGAAGAAAUUAGUGCAUGAAAGACUUGAGAAAAACAACGAAGUAAGUCAACUAUAAUCUAGCUGGGUGUAUAAAUUGUUUGAUGCUUUAUAAGCAAAUAACAAACAGAGACAGACAGUGUGUGUUCGUUUUUUCAUAGUUAAAGAUAUAGUUAGAAUGGGUGGUUCAAAAUCAAAAAUGGCGAUAAUGUUUGUUAUGUUAUUAAUAAUAUUUAAAAGUGGGUGGAGUGAGGGAUGUUUGGAUCACGAGAGAUUUGCUCUUUUGCGACUGCAACAUUUCUUCAAUGAUCCUCGUAAUUCUCUUUACAACUGGGUCGAUGAUGAGGGAGCUACUGAUUGUUGUCAGUGGGAAAGGGUUGAGUGCAGCAACACCACAGGCCGAGUGAUAGCGCUAGACCUUUUUGAAAUGUAUUCGGGAGUACAGCUGGUAUCUGAAUGCUUCUUUGUUUACUCCCUUCCAACAACUUGAGUCACUUGAUUUAACUGCCAACAAAAUAGCCGGUUGUGUUGAGAAUGAAGGUGCUUCGUUUAAUUUAAUUAAUUUACUUUCUCCCCCCUAAUUUAAGUUGAAUAUCAAGACCGAGCAACUAUACGCAUAUUCAUUUAGUCGACAAUUUUGACUUUUUUUUAAGUGAUUAAUUAAUUUUAAAAUUACACCAAUAUCUAUGAUUUUUUUUUUUUUAAUUUUGCUUGCAGGUCUAGAGAGGCUAUCAAGAUUGAACAACUUGAAGAUGCUUAAUUUAAGUGAAAACUCUUUGAAAAAUAGCAUUUUAUCAUCUCUAACUCAUCUUUCAUCAUUAAGCUCAUUAAAUUUAUUUUUAAAUAGAUUGGAAGGAAGUAUUGACUUUAAAGGUACAUAAUUAAAACUUCAUCCCUUCUCCAAGCUCUUUCAUUAACUUGCUAAAAUAAGACUCAAGGCUUUGAAUUCAAUUUUUUUUAUGAUUAGUAUUAAAAAAAACAGUUUUUAAGCAAUUUUAUAAAUACAAGUUUUAAUGGUUAUCGUAAUUUCAUCUUGUAAUUUCAUAUGUCUUGAAUUUAAGAUUAAAAAAAACUCUAAUAGCGAACCAAACACCUCCACAACUUAUUAUUAUUAUUAUUAUUAUUAUUAUUUGUGGUGAGGUUGGAAACAUUCAACUUAAUUUGUACUUAUUACAGAAUUUGAUUCUUUGAGAGAUUUAGAGGAGCUAGACAUUGGCGGGAACAAGAUUGACAAAUUUGUGGUCUCAAAAGUACUACAAAUACCACAAAAAUGUAAACUUUUACAAAUUAGCUGGAUUCUUUGCCAUUUGGUUUAUUAUUUUACAGGUUUGAGUAAGUUGAAGUCUCUUGAUUUAAGUGGUAUCAAACUCAACCGUAGUAUCUUAUCUUCUCUAACUGUCUUUUCUUCAUUAAAGAAUUACAUCUACGUAAUAUCAUAUUCAAAGGAACAUUUGAUGUUCGAGGUAAGCCUAAGCCUUGCUUUCUCAUUUUCUAUAUGCCAACUAGAUUUGUGUAUCAUCGGGCAUAAUUUAAUAUUUAAUUUGAUAAGUCUGAAGGAAUUACAUGCUAAUUUAAACAUACUUUUAUUUACUUUGUCAAUUAAUUAAUUAAUUAAUUACUAUUUGACAUUGGACGGUUCCUCUCUCCAUAUAAGCCUUCUGCAAAGCAUUGCAUCAUUCACUUCGUUAAAAAAUCUGUCGAUGUCUGAUUGUGAAGUCAAUGGUGUCCUACGUGGUCAAGGUAAAAGAAAAGUGUUGAUUGUGAAUAAGCUGUUAAUUAAUUAAUGUUGUUGCUCCUUGCUUCUAAACAGAGUUGCGCAAUUUCACCAACUUGGAAUAUUUGAAUUGGAUUCUUCCUCGCUCCAUAUAAGCCUUCUACAAUUGCUUGAACAAUUUAUUUAUUUAUUUAUUUAUUAUUAUUGUUGUUGUUGUUGUUGUUGAAGUGGGGUGGGCAAGCGUUCACUCAGUUAAUAUGUGGGGAAUUAAAUAUUACAAUCCAAGGUAGAAUUGUGGAAAAUUAAAGCUAAAUGAGAAAUAUGGAAAGAAAGGAAGAAAGUUAAGGGCAUGAAAGACUGGGAGAAUACUAAAAACCACCAAAUAAGUCAACUGAAAACUAGCUGAGGCCUGGGUGUACAAAUUGUUAGAUGUUUGUUAUAAAUAACAUAGAGCCAUCUUGUUGGUUGCAGAGGCAGAGAGACAGAGAGUGUGCAUUUUGUCCAGUUAAAAAUGAUAAAAUUUAUCAUUUGUUUAUAUUGAUUUAUUAACUCUAUUUUAAGUCUUAAGUCUUGGCGUCUUGGCAUGUUUGCAGAAUUUGAUUCCUUGAGCAACUUAGAGGAGUUGGACAUGAGCGGCAAUGAAAUAGACAAUUUCGAGGUUCCUCAAGGUACACAAUUAAAAUAUUAUUUAAUUACAUUAAUUUAAUUCGUUUGAUUAGGGAAGGCCCAAAAUGUACAAAAACAUAAUUAGAAAAAAUAAAGAAACAGAGAAUUCAUAUUAUUUCAAAUAACAAAAGGUAAUACUAUUAUUUCAAAAACAGAUUGUAAUAAAGAUUUGAUUCCAAUUCUUUAAUCUUUACAGUGAUUGAAAAACGAUACUACUUCCCAAAGCAUAAAAUACGAAUUGACUCUCAAUUAAAUUAAUCAUUUAUUUCGUUUAGGUCUAAAUUUAGAAAAAUGAAUUUUGAUUCUCUUGAAUCAUUUCCUAAUAUUAUUAUUCAACAGGUUACAGAGGUUUGAGGAAGCUGAAAAGCCUGCAUCUAUCGGGAGUUGGAAUUAGAGAUGGAAGCAAGUUGUUACAGUCAAUGGGAUCAUUUCCAUCCCUCAACGCUCUUUACCUGAGCAAUAAUAAUUUUACCGGUACAACGUCAACUACUCAAGGUAAGUAAAAGGUACAGAUGUGGCCAAAUUUAUAAAUAAACUGUUAAUUAAUUAAUUUUCUGUAUUAUUAAUAAAGCUAAAUUUUUUGCUCAUUCCUUCUAAUUCUAAACAGAGUUGCACAAUUUCACCAACUUGGAAUAUUUGACAUUGGACGAUUCCUCUCUCCAUAUAAGCCUUCUGCAAAGCAUUGCAUCAAUAUUCCCUUCGUUGAAAAAACUGUCGAUGUCUUAUUGUGAAGUCAAUGGUGUCGUACAUGGUCAAGGUAAAAGAAAAGUGUUGGUUGUGCACUCACUCAGUGGUGUCCUACGUGUUCAAUAUUUUUAUUUAUUUAUUUUAUUGUUUAAUGAGAUGCUUCCACCCUCCCCUUUAAAUCUAUAAUAUUAAUUUUCGAUAAUAUAUAAUUAUAGAAACCAAUCACUUAUAAAAGAAUGCUAUGCAUUUGCCAAUUUUUUUAUAUUUUACUGAUUGAUGAAUUAAUAAAUUUUCAGGCCUCUGUUCGUUGGUGCAUCUACAAGAGUUGUACAUUGCAACUCUUGUAGUAAUUAAUUAAUUAAGUAUUAGUUAAUUAAUUAAUUAAUUAAUUUUCUGUAUUAUUAAUAAAGCUAAUUUUUUUGCUCAUUCCUUCUAAUUCUGAACAGAGUUGCACAAUUUCACCAACUUGGAAUAUUUGGCAUUGGACUCUUCCUCUCUCCAUAUAAGCCUUCUGCAAAGCAUUGCAUCAUUAUUCCCUUCAUUAAAAAAUCUGUCGAUGUCUAGUUGUGAAGUCAAUGGUGUCGUACGCAGUCAAGGUAAAAGAAAAGGGUUGAAUGUGAACUCACUCAAUGGUGUCCUACGUGUUCAACAUUUUUAUUUAUUUAUUUUAUUGUUUAAUCUUUCUGCUAGGUUUUCCUCAUUUCAAGAGUUUGGAACAUUUUGACAUGGAUUUCACGCGCAUUGCACUCAACACUAGCUUUAUUGCACUCAACACUAGCUUUCUUCAAAUCAUCAGUGAAUCGAUGCCUUCUCUUAAGUACUUAUCACUAUCAUAUUAUACUCUUGGAACUAAUAGCAGCGGGACUCUUGAUCAAGGUUAACGAGAUGCUCCCACCCUCCCCUCCUAAUCUAUAAUAUUAAUUUUUUAUUUAAUAUAAUUACACAAACGAAUCACUUAUAAAAGAAUGAUAUGCAUUUGUUAAUUUUUUUAUUGUACUGAUGGAUGAAUUAAUAAAUUUUCAGGCCUCUGUUCGUUGGUGCAUCUACAAGAGUUGUACAUUGCAAGCAAUGAUUUAAGAGGUAGCUUGCCUUGGUGCAUGGCAAAUAUGACAUCCCUCAGAAUAUUAGAUGUUUCUUCUAAUCAACUUACUGGAAGCAUCUCCUCAUCUCCCCUCGUUCAUUUGACAUCCAUUGAAGAGCUGAUGCUUUCAAACAAUUACUUCCAGAUCCCAAUUUCACUUGAACCACUUUUCAAUUACUCAAGACUCAAGAUUUUCAAUGCUGAGAACAACGAAAUAAAAGCUGAAAUAACUGAGUCACAUUCUUUGAUCGCCCCAAAAUUCCAAUUAAAUACUCUCUCAUUGUCUUCCAAUUACGGAGACGGUUUCAUAUUCCCCAAAUUCCUUUACCAUCAACAUGACCUGGAGUAUGUUGAUCUCUCACACAUAAAGAUGAAUGGAGAAUUUCCAAAUUGGUUGUUGGAAAACAACACAAAAUUAGAAACUCUUUUCUGGUUAAUGAUUCUCUUGCAGGACCUUUUCGGUUGCCAAUUCAUUCACACAAGCGGUUAAGACAGUUGGAUGUCUCCAACAACAACAUUCGAGGCCACAUUCCAGUAAAAAUUGGAGAUGUUUUACCAAGUUUAUACGUUUUCAACAAUUCCAUGAAUGCUUUAGACGGUAGCAUUCCCUCUUCAUUUGGUAAUAUGAAAUUCCUCCAAAUUCUGGACUUAUCCAACAAUCACUUGACUGGUGAAAUCCCCGAGCACUUGGCCGUGGGUUGCGUCAACUUGCAGUUUCUUGCAUUAUCAAAUAACAACCUACAAGGUCAUUUGUUCUCUAGAAAUUUUAACUUGACAAACUUGCAAUGGUUACAAUUGGAGGGCAAUCGCUUCGUAGGUGAGAUCCCACAAAGUUUGUCUAAAUGCUCCUCACUAGAAGGAUUGUACCUUAACAAUAAUAGUCUUUUAGGUAAGAUUCCACGAUGGUUGGGUAAUCUGACACGGUUACAAUAUAUUAUAAUGCCCAAUAAUCAUCUUGAAGGCCCUAUUCCAGUGGAGUUUUGCCAGCUUGAUUCGCUUCAGAUUUUGGACAUUUCAGACAACAACAUAUCUGGAAGUUUACCAUCUUGUUUCCAUCCUCUCUCUAUCAAACAAGUUCAUCUUUCAAAAAAUAUGUUACAUGGACAGCUAAAAAGAGGUACAUUCUUUAAUUGCUCUUCCCUUGUGACAUUAGAUCUUAGCUAUAACCGCUUGAAUGGCAGCAUUCCGGAUUGGGUUGAUGGGCUUUCUCAGUUAAGCCACCUUAUCUUAGGUCACAAUAAUCUUGAAGGUGAAGUGUCAGUUCAAUUGUGCGAAUUGAACCAACUACAAUUGUUAGAUCUUUCUAAUAAUAAUCUUCACGGUCCUAUUCCUCCUUGCUUUGAUAACACCACACUUCAUGAAAGUUACAGCAAUAGUUCUAGUCCUGAUGAGCAAUUUGAAAUAUUUUUUUCCAUCGAAGGCCAUCAGGGAUUUUUAGAAAAGCAAAACAUGAAAUUUUUUGAGUUCACAACAAAGAACAUUGCGUACAUUUACCAAGGAAAAGUGCUUAGCCUCCUAUCAGGACUUGAUCUUUCUUUGCAACAAUGCUUAAUUGGUCAUAUUCCUCCUCAAAUUGUGAAAUUUGACAAGGAUUCAAACAUUGAAUCUCUCGCACAAUAACUUGACAGGAUCGAUCCCAUCAACAUUUUCAAACUUGAAGCAUGUCGAAAGUUUGGAUCUUUCCAACAACAAAUUGAAUGGGAAAAUCCCUCAUCAACUAGUGGAGUUAAAGACAUUGGAGGUUUUCAAUGUGGCAUACAAUAACUUAUCAGGCGAAAUUUCCAGAAUGGAAAGCACAAUUUGCAACCUUCAACGAGAGUAGCUAUGAGGGAAAUACUUUUCUUUGUGGACUGCCAUUGCCCAUUUGCAGAUCACCAGCAACUAUGCCGGAGGCUUCAAUUUGGCAAUGAACAAGAUGAUAAUUUAAUUGAUUAUGGACAGUUUCUUUAUCACAUUUACAACAUCGUACGUAAUUGUGAUAUUCGGAAUUGUUAUUGUUUUAUAUGUAAAUUCUUAUUGGCGACGUAGAUGGUUUUACUUUGUUGAAAUGUGGAUAACUUAAUGUUACUAUUUUUGUUUAAACAAUCUUAUUGCAACAAGAUAUUGUCAUUGAAAUUAAUUAGCAGUUUAAUUACGAUUCUUUAAGUUCUAAUCAAGUUUGCUUAGGAAAUAAUUUUUUUUUUAUUUUUUUAUUAAAAUUGUAGUAGUAUUUAGCGCUAUAUAGCUUCCAACUUGGUAGAAAGCUCCAUUUUUUGUUUGGCUACAGUAAAAGCAUGUUGUUUUAUUCUUCUUAUACUUUACGCCUGCAUCAGCUUAAAUCACUUCUUAAACGCUUGCUUUAACUGCACCGCUUCGUACUGCUCUAUAUAUGUAACGGUUAUGCGGUUGUAGCUCACGGCUCAAGCUACGCGUUUGUUUGACGUGGUAGUUACGUUAUGAUGUUUCGAGUCUGUUAAACAUUCGGUGAUAAGAUUAGUUACAACAAACCUACUAGUUUUAUAAAAUUCAAGUGAGAUGGAAUAAAAUAAAAAAUAAAUAUAAAAUUGGCUUUUAUUUUUUUAGGUUAACCAUAUUUGUGUUCUCUUCGGGCACUACUACAAUUGUUCCCUAUACAUCAGUUACACUCACGUAUCAUCGACACGAAAAAUGAAAUCUAAUAUCACCUGUUUAGUUAAAGAAUCACUCAUGAAAAAAAAUUACCAUUUUGAUUGAAGAUCCAUAUUUUGAACUACCAAUUAAUGUUCAUCAAGAACAGAGUGUGGCCGUUAAGUAGAAAAACUAUUUUUGGACAAAUUAUUAAAUUCCAAUAUUGUAUCCAUAUGCAAACGAUGCCUGAAGCAGAGCCUCCAAACAAUGACCAGGGCACAAAACAAGAGUGUAGUAAUCAAGUGUAUUGUCUCAUAAUCAAUUAAAAGCAGAUAUACAGGAUACCAUAUUCAAUUCCAAAUAACAAAAGCAUAAUGAGGAUGAGAAGAACAAUGAUCACUCAAAUAUUUCUUCACUUUGGUUGUCAAUUAUCUAUUCAAAUUAAUCAGUGUCAUUAUGGACUUAUUUAUUUAGAAGAGCGGGUGAUAAAUAUAUUCAAUAUGUGAACAAGAAGUUGAUUAACUUUAUGAUCAUUUGGAAGGUCGGCCGUGUCAUCACUCGUCAAACACAUUGCAUCGAUCCACCAGCAUGAACCGACCGGAUUAUGCCCAAAAAGUUGAAAUAUCAAUAAAAAAAACAAUUAAUUAAAGUCGAAGAUGGGUCCUUUACAUUAUGUUUUGUUUUCGUAUUAGGUAGGAGGUUAUUAUAUUAUAUCAUGUAAUUAAUUUAUUAUUACUCAACACUAAGUAAUAACUUAACUAUAUAAAGACAACAAGAAGAUAAAAUGAUAUAUAAAAAAAAAAAGAAUUUCAAAGAGAUAGCAACAUACAAUAGACUGAAGCCAUUUGAUCUGCUCAUUGAUUUCAGCCUUAAACUUGUAAAUAGUUACUGUCAAAUAUUCUAUUCAUACGAAAAAAAUGUUUAGAUAUCUUACUAUAAAUAUAGCCGUUUGACUGUCUUAAUAAAGUCACACACAACCAUUCUUAUUAAAUUAGCAAGAUCAAACACUGCCCUGGAUCUUGAACAGAUCAACACAAGAUGCACAACUUAUGAUUGAACCAGAAACAAUCAAAUCUUUAGCAAGAACAAUUAAUCAGAGUCAAGAAACAAGUUUAAUGAAUAUAAAACCUAUAAUUGAAACAACAUAGCAAGAAAAAAAUACAGAUUUUACACGGUUCAGUUGUACCUAGGAUGGCACAACCUACACCACGAGAGAAGCUUUCUGGUGAGAUUUUAUUGAUGAUCAAAGAAGAAUCUUUUGACAAAGCUAAUAAUAGAGAUUUCAGAGAAUAAGCUGUAACCCUCUCUCCCUCUUCAAUCUCUCUCUAUUUUGUUCCCAUUGAUGACCCCAAUCUGCUUAGUUAUCCAGCUUUAUAGCUGCAUCAGUAACAAACCAGCAACCCAGAUUGAGCAGAUUGACGACACGUGGAUAACGGCUUUAACGAACCUGGUAAGAACUGCUCACAUGUUCGUCACGCGUGCUGCUUAAAUGAUGGCCAAAACGACUUCAAACAAAUGUCGUUUUGAGGCUUAUGAAUUACAAGUGAUAACACGAGCUUGUCUCAUGACUUUUAAAUGCAACAACGUGCCCACAACGCCGUCGUUUUACUCUGUUGAGUUUGAUUCAUUACUAAGCUUUACGACUGGCAAUGGAGAAGAUGAUAAUUUAAUUGACACGGACAGUUUUUUAUAUCACUUUUACAACAUCCUAUGCAAUUGUAAUAUUGGGAAUUAUUGAUGUUUUAUUCUGUGAAUCCUCAUUGGCAAAAACUAGUGGUUUUAUCUUUGUUGAAAUAUAGAUGACCUCUCGUUACUGUUUUAUUAUAAACAUAUAUUUCGUAAGUGAAACUAUAUGUUUAUAAUAAAUUAACAUAUAGUUUUGUUACAUUUCUGCCUCAUUAAGAUUCUCAAAUACCAGUCAGGUUUGCUUAAGAAAUAAAUUUUUUCCAUUAAAAUUGCAGUAGUAUUUCCAAGCAUAUCGCAUUUUCUAUGAGUUUUCAUAAAUUAAUUAAUCUGCGGUGCCAAUAUCAGAUUUAGUUUUUCAAACUAAAUAAUCAAGAAAGCAAACAUACAAAUAUACAGUUUAGAGGGUAAACUAGGUAGGUGGUUUAGAUUUUAGAACUAAGCCAGCUACCUCGCUAAAUUCCGAUUCGUACAGUGAACUGCAAGAAACUGAGAAAACAAUGUAUUUAUAAUUUAAUAGAAUCAUAAGAAAACAAUGCAGUCAUUGCUCAAUAUAAGAUGAUGAUUUCGGAGAGGCACAUUGUUUUCAAGUUAAUUUGAUCCGUUUAUAAGAGAUGAAGUGGAAUGAAGUUGAAAGUUUAAAUAACAAAUCCUUGUUCUUGAGUUUUACGACGUCGUUACUCCUUCAAGUGGCAGAUUAUGCAAGUGAAUGCAGAAACACAAUGCAUCAUCCGCGGGGAUGAUACAUCAAAAGCGGGAUUUGUUUAUGCCUGCAGAUUAGCAAUUUCACUCAUAUAGAAAAUUAAUUUUUUAUAUAUACUAAUCAACACUAAAUUGAUUAUGUGUUGUAUGUUUAUAUGCUAAUCAACACGAAAUUAUAUUGAAUUAUUAACAUUCAUAUUCCUAAUAAAAAUUAUUUUCCAUCAGUAUUCAAAAUUUUCACUUAUAGAAAAUGCGUUUUACGUGAAUACUAGUUAUUGUGUAAAUUUGAAUGAUAGCGAAAAUAAACCUAUUUGAAAACUGUAAGGGUGUGUUGGGAUAUUUUACAACUGUCGGAAUCUGGUAGGAUAUUGCACCAUUUGCCCAAUAUUUUUAGACGUACUCAACCGGUAUUCAAGAUAAGUAAAAUUUACAAGCGUGGCAAAAUAAAAAAAAAUUAAAUUCGUAACUUGUAAACGAAUUUUCCUGACAUGUAUAGUAAAUGAAGUUGUUGAUCCUUUCUUUGGAUUAUUUCAGCUCUGGUUGUUGGUCACCGAUGAGCCGAAGUCUUAUUUUAAUUUUAUUUAAACUCAUCAUAAGAUUCGUGGAGCACCUAACUAACUUAACUGACUGCGCAGAUCAUCUCAACAUGGCAUAUUUAACCAUCAUUCAAGUGAUGGGUUUAAUAAGACUGCUUUUGUUCUAUCAACUAUCAAGUUCCUCUGCCUCUAAGCAGAAUUACUAUUGAAGGGCCAAAAGAAAAUGAAAACGUGUGAGCUCCAACAACCACCCCACAAAUUCAAUGACGAUGCUCGGAGAGGGUUAGGUUGGGCCUCUGAGAAAAAAAAAAAUUAUUUUGUUAAAAAGUUACCCUUAUUGAAACCUGUAUAAACAUUUUAUAUUAAUUAGUUAUGUCGCCUCUUCAACGAUGAUCAAAUUCUUAUCUGAGCUCAUCAUUUAAUGAGUAAACAUGUAUUUUAAUGAUCUCAAUUAAUAUUUAGAACAAAUAUUUUAAGAAGUAAAGCUCAUUAUAUCUUCCAUUAUUAUGUAUUUCUUUAAUUUCUUAUUUACAUAAUUAUAUUGUACAUUAAAAAUGUAUUGAAUUUGAAGAAAAAAAAAUUCAACUCAAAAAAAAAAAAAAAUGCUGGUAGCUUCGUAAUAAUUACUGUAUUGACUGCACCAGAUAAAGUUUUGUAAAAUAAUAAGUUCUCAUAAGUGGUUUUUCAUUUUUAAUUUUUUUUCCGGCACACCUGAUCAAGAAUUCUAUUUUGUUAACUAAUCAAUUGCAAAGCAUAAGUGUUGAACGGUACAAAAAAAUUUAAAAAAAUACACUUAAAACGUGGGGGUAGGGUAACGGCUUCACUCAAAUCGUUAGGUAGAAAUUGUGGAAAACUUCAAAGCGAAAUGAGAAAUAUAGAAAAAAAGAAGAGGUGGAUUUUUUCUAGUGAAAUUUCUAUGGGUAACGGCUCACUCAUCCUUCUAUGAAUUUCUAGCUGUAUUGACCCCAACUGCUAAAGUUUUGUAAAAAUAAAAAUAAAAAUAAAAAAACUGGAAUUUCAACAAAAUUCAAAACGUUUGAAAUUAAUAUUUUGGCCAUGUGGAACAAAAUGUAAAUUAAGUAAAAAUAUAAAUCUCAAUUGCUUAGUAUGGUUAGGAUUUUGUGAGCAUCACUAAAAAGUGAAAACUAUGAAUGAUAGAGGUGAUGUUUGCAACAUGAAUAAAUGAUGAACUGAAUCAAUUGAUGAUCGUAAUUACAUAAUGAACAAAAUUUACAAAAUCAACAAAAGUUAAUAAAAAAUUUAUUUAAUAAUAAAAAAUCAAUAAAACUUAUUAUUUAAGGGCGCUCUAACCAUGGAAUACCAUAAUCAUAAUCUUCUUUUAAGAAAAUUAUAACUUAUUAUUUUACAGGAUUGAUCCAUUUGGAAUGAAGUGGUCUCAAGUUGAAAGUAAUUAAUUUAUUGAAUAACUUUCGACUUAUUAAUAGUUAUAUCAAGGGUGUUUUACCUCAUCAUGUCUUCAAGUGGAAGAUGAAGACUAUGCAAGUGAAUUCAGGAAUAUUGCAUGCCUGUUGUCUAAAGCAUUACCUCACAAGGUUUCAUGAGAAACGAAAGAUGUGUUUGCUUUGAACAAUUAAAGUUACUGCUACGAACCUCCCCAAAGGUCAAGAAGACAGAACAGGAAGCUAAUGCCAUCAAUGUCUUGUUCAUUAUAGCUGCUGGGUAGUUAGGUGUAGUUUCCUCAUUUGAAGCUGUCUAUACAUAGGCAUUUCCCUGCUUAUGUACAAAUAAAUGAACAACCUUGAAGCUUUAUUAUUCGCAACAAAAAGGGAUUACUAAUUGGAGAAGACUAUACAGAGUUUUCUCUCACACUUUGCUCUCUGUCAAUUUCAUCCAGAAGUCCCUCUGAAAGCUUCUCCCAAAACAGUUAGUCAUCUUUUAUGCUCUGUUUUCUGAAAACAGAGUCCUAACUAAAUUAAUUGACUGUACAGUGCAUUUCAACAUAGCAUAUUUAACCGUUUUAACAGUUAUUUGGACCGUCUUCAGAGGUAACAUCAACAAACUCAUUCAUAUGCUUAAUAAUGAACGAAUAGUCUUGGAUUGAUGUUUUGCAGCAAGAGCAACACGACACAAUCUGGAUUCAACCUCCUCCUUUCUAACAGGGGAUUUCGAUUUGAGUUACUUUGUGCUCAAGCAAAUUCACAUCAUAGUUUUGAUUCUUUAGAUAUGAAUUCAUCUCAUUACAUAUAUCAGAUUAAGUGUAACAAAAUUUGUAAUUUACUGCGAAAAGAAUAUGCACUAAAAAAUGAUUUCAAGACUAUUUGACUACAAAAAGCAGCUGUCAGAGUGCACUAAAAAUUUCUGUAGGAUAUUUUGUAGCUGUUUAAUAUGUUAUGAUGGGCAUAUAAUUCUCAAAUUUUGAUGCCUCUCAGCGAAAAAUAUAUCAAAGUUACGGAUGAUAUCACGUAAAACAUGCAUGGCUCAGGCUCAGGCUCAGGUAAGAAAGCCACAGAAAAUGGAAAAUCUCACUGUCACGACUCACGUCACGCAUCAUUCAAGUGAUGGAUUUAACAAGACUGCUUAUGUUCUAUCAAAUUCCUCUGCCUCUCAGAAGAUAACUUUUCUGGGCCAAAUUUCUCAUCUAAAGCAUAUUAUGCCCCAAAGUCACAGAUAACAAAAUGGGGCACUACCGAUUAUGAAAGAGAACUAGUAGUUGUCAGAAGCCUAAGCCAAAUUCCGGUAGUAAGAAGAGGCCUUUCUUGAGUUUAGAUUAUGUGUUCGAGUUUUAAUAAAUGCCUAAGUUAAUAAUAAUAACAACAGUAAUAAUAAACUAAAAAGCAUAAUUACUAUUGAAUGGUAAAAAAAAAAAUGAAAAUGUGUGAACUCCAAUAACCACCCCAGUGGCGAAUUUUGGAGAGGGCUAGGCCGGGCUUCUUAGAAAUUAUUUUUAUUUAAUUACAAAAUCACCUUUACUGAAACCUAUAUAAAAUUUUUUAUAUUAAUUAAUUAUGUUGCCUCUUCAAUUAUCAUUAAAUUCUUGUCCGUUCAUAAUUUGAUGGAUAAAUGUGUAUUUCAAUAAUUUCAAAUAAUGUCUAGAACAAAUAUUUUGAAUUAUAAAACUCAUUAUGUCCUGCAUUACUAGAUGUAUCUAUAAUUUAUUAUUUACAAAUUAUAUUGUAUGAUAAAAAUGUAUUGAAUUUUUGUUUAAAAAAAAGUUCGGCUCACUCAGAAAAAAAUGUUAUUAGCUUCGCCACUGCACAAAUCUAGAAUAAUAAUUAUUCCUUAUUAUAUUGACUGCACCAAGCAAUAAACUAAUAAGUUCUCAUCAGUGGUUUUUAAUCUUUUUAAUUCUUUUUACCGCACACCUGAUCAAGAAUUUUAUUUUGUUAACUAAUCAAUUGCAAAGCAUAUAUAAGUGUUGAACGGUACACAAGAUUGGAAAAAAAAAAUCUUAAAAAACGUGCGGAUUCGGGUGGCCACACCAGAAAUCUAUUUACAAUAAUUAGCUUUGAUGCUGGGAAUCUUUUAAUUUCUGGCCGUAUUGAAGUUUUUAAAAUAAUAAGUUCCCCUUCUCGUUUUUUUUUUUUUUUAAAUAUAUAUGCUUAUAACAAUUUUAGAAUAAUGAUUCAUUUGUAGAAGAACUUAUGAUUUCCCAUUAAUAUUAAUAUUGAAGUGGGGUGGGUCAAAUCUCAAUUGCUUGAAGAAUUUAUGUAUUAUUAAAUAUUACCAUCCAAGGUAGAAUUGUGGAAAAUUAAAGCAAAAUGACAAGUAUGGAAAGGAAGGCUGAAAGUAAGGCAUGACGAAAGGCUUUGAGAAGGCUGAAGACUACCAAAGAAGUCAACUGAAAACUAGCUGGGGCCUGAGUGUAUAAAUUGUUAGAUGCGUUUGUUAUAAAUAACAUAGAGCCCUUUUGUUAUUUAUAGUUAUAGAGAAAGAGAGAAUGUGUGUUUUUUAAUAGUUAGAGAUAUAGCUAGAAUGGGUUGCUCAAAAUCCAAAAUAGUGACAAUGUUAGUUCUCGUAUUGAUAAUAUUGGGGGGGGGGGGGGGGGGGGGGGGGGGGUGUUGGGAGGUCGAGUGAGGGAUGUUUGGAGCAUGAGCAAUUUGAUCUUUUGCGGCUUAAACAUUUCUUCAAUUAAUAUCGAUCUGGGAGAGUGGUAUCUGAAUGCUUCUCUAUUUACUUCCUUUCAACAACUUGGUAACAAAAUAGCCGGCUGCAUGCGUUGAGAAUGAAGGUGCUUCAUUUAAUUUAAUUUACUUAAUUUCUCCCUCCUAAUUAAUGUCUAUAAUCAUUAGGAGGAACAAGGGAUUUUAUUAACUCAAAUAUAUCUAAUGGAUCUCAUUCUUUGGUUUUACUUGCAGGGCUAGAAGCAGGUGUCAUCUAACAGCUGCUUUGAUAAUUUCCCUCCCCUUCAUCUUUGAUGGAAAGAUGAAAUAAAAACAAAUUGGUGAAAAUGGUAUUGGUACCUGAGGCUAUGUAAUCUAAUUCAAAAACUGCACCAUCAAAACGAUUACAUAAGUCUCAGAAGAAUCAAAUAUCAGUUUGCAAAAUAUCAAUUGCUGGAGGUUUGAUUCUAACUUCCGCUCUUCAUUUUUAUGGCAUAUUGUGUUGUACUUGCAUCCGAAAAUCAUAUUUUAGUUUACUUGCACUCAAUGCUUGGAUUAAAGUUUUUUUGGGGGGGGGGGGGGGAUUGAAGAAGACUAAAAUUACACCAAAAAAGAGUUGAGCGAGAGCGGGUUUUGUCUUCAUUUAAGGAGCUCUUUAUAAAUUUUGGGAUUUUUUUCCUGAGAAAAUUUAUGCCAACUCAUUCUUUGCUUCUUUUCUGAAGGGACACAUGCAACCGAAAGUAUAUUCUUGAAUUCUCCAGGAUAAGAGACAUACGUUUAGAUUCUGGAGCAUUUAAAACAAUGUCAAAUUUUAGAUUGCUGAAAUUUUAUAUAUCCGAGUAUGAUGGUGUUCCAAUUAUAAGCUCCAGGGUGCAACUUCACUGAGGUUUAGAAUGCCUUCCUAUAGAAUUGAGAAAUCUCCAUUGGCAUAAAUAUCUUUUGAAAAUACUGACAUCAGAUUUUGAAUUGGAGAACCUGAUUGGACUCAGCUUGCCCUGUAGUAAGGUUAAGCAAAUUUGGAAAAGAGAAAAGGUAUAAUGUAUUACUAUUACCAAAGUAUCUAUUUUUCUUUCUUUAAGUAUUUAUAAUGAAUAACUUUGAAAUUCAAUGAUGCUCAUUUAGUAUAGUUAUGUAUCUUUGGUUAUAGGAAGCUGUCAAGUUAAAAUCUAUAGACCUUCACCACCCCUUUAUCUCAAUAGGAUCCCAGAAAUACUAAAUCUUAAAAAAAUAAAUCUUUCAAAUUGUGAAAGCAUGCUUACGUUACCCCCGUAUAUCCACAAUUUCAACUAGCUGAGUAUGUUGUGUUUCAGGGAUGCAAAAUUCAUUUUGUUUCUCAUGAAAGGAUUGACUUGUCCGGAUGUAUUAGGGUUAGUAAACCAACUAAUCCCAUAAUUUGUUGAUGUAGGGUCCUAACAAAUUAUUGCAGUAGAUUGUAGAUCAGUACACUAUUCGAAAACGUAUUUGAUCCACACAGUGAAGUGGAUAUUGGACCAAUUUGAUGAUAAUGAAUUUCUUUCAAUCUCAAUCUUUUUUCUUUUUAGCAACAUGACUAGUCAUUGUGCAAAUUCAAACUCUGACAAUAAUUUCUCAAUCGGUUUCUAAGAUGAUGACCAUGCAUGUAUAUGUAUAUGCGUGUGUAUAUGUGUGUGUGUGUAGAGAGAGAGAGAGAGAUCACACGUGUGUGAUUUCCUUUUGCCAAUAGGAUAUGCAGAGAGCUUGAUCUUACCCAAUAGCGAAACAAACUUCCUAAUAAGUGAAGGUAUAGUAUAAAUACUUAUACUUUCAUGUUAUUUUGUUCAUCAGUAGCUUGAUUAUUUUAUAUGCGUCUUCGAUUUUAAUUUUCUUUCCCUAUAAUCGCUAUUAUCUUUGAACUGGUCAUAAUUUGCCCAUAAGAUUUCUCAUGUUGUUUUGAGGUGCAACGGAUUUUGAAUUUAGUGACAAGCAGUGGAAGCCAGAAGGCAAAUUAUGAAAAUGGAUAAAGAUCUAUAAUUAGCUGUUAUGGGAUGUCACAUAUCAUAUUGAUGGUAACGUUAUAUAUAUGUACAUAUAAUUAAUGGGGUUGGCUCACGAGCCCAUUAAUAAUGGUAUAUUAGCUUAUAUACUUCAAACAAUGUACUAUGAAGCAAUUUCACAAAUACUUGUUAGCUUAUGUUGAGCUUUAUUGAAUCAGUAGUUCACAGUUCAAUAAAAUGCAGGUUUGCUAUUUGAAGUACAUGGUUAUGGUGCGUACAUUCUUCAUAAGGCUAACUACUAAUUUAUCAUUGAAACUUGAAAAAUGUGAUAGAGAGAUGUAGAUAACAGCCGCAAAACACUGAGAUUGAAAAUCAGGGCUACUAAAUUCUAUUAAAAGUCCUUAAAAUAGACAGCGAUCACCCUGAAAUGUAUAUACUGAAACUAAGAAAUAUUAAUCGCAAAGUUAUGCAUUAAUAGAACUAUUGACUACUUAUCUUUAGCAUAAAGUAUAUUUUUAACUACAGCUUUCUGCUUUGUUCUAAGAACUAGGCAAAAGUGGUGUAUCUUCAAUCCAAUCAACAUAUAUACCACUUAUCUUCCUCUUCACUUCUGUCUAUUUUGAUUUGCACUUCAUAUCCUGCACUUGCUGCUUAGAAAUAGUCUUUAUUCUGGACAUUGAAAGUAGAAAAAGUACUUGAAACAAUCAUUGGCACAGCCCGAGAUUCCAUUGAAUCGUGGACUCCAAGCUUUCAUAGUUCUAUAAAGAAGAUGACAAAACUUCAUACAACUGGCAUUCUGCUUUUAACAUUUGCACAACCUGAGCGAGUUAGCAAGCCCCUUGUUGCGUUCCCAUUGAAUAGACCUACUUCUGUUAUCCGCAGAAGAUCCACCACUCAAAAUGUUUAUCACCAGGCUAUUCUUAAACUGAGCCUAAACUGAGUAGAAACUUCCGCACAUCUCUCAGCAUUUACAUGAAGAAAUCGACAACUAUCCUCAUCUCUCAGCAUUCUACAAAGUUGCAUUUCACUAAGCAAUCUAUCCUCUCCAUUCCUAGCAAAGUGACAUUGAUUCCCGUAUUUGUAAUCGCCUAACUUGGGUUUUGGGCAUAGCGUGGUCUUAAAAUUACCACCCAAUACUUUGUUCAGUGCCACUGGCAUCCACAAGCUCUAGCCCUGUUAGUUGAAUCAUAUUCAAUGGGACAGUGAGGCAGCAUUUCACUAACAUAUUCAAUUUGACUACUUAUAUUGACGCAAAUAUUAGAAUUUGAAAUCACUUCUUUUAUUGGAAUAUUAUAUUAAUAUGACCCCAAAUGAAAGUUCUUGAAUGGAAAUGAUUUUUAUUUACUUUUCGAACAGAUUCAAGAAAACCCAGAGAACACAAAAUUUACACAGUAAUAUGAUUAAGAGCUGAGAACGUACAUGUAGUAAAUGUCUAUCAAAAAACACCCAAGGGUUUCUUUAAAAUUAGUAACUAGUAAACAAAAAGAAAGAAUCAUUUUACAUUUUUAGCAACUUUGGGGUGAGUGAGUGAGUGAGAAAUUGAAACCCUCAAGUGAUGACAACAGUAAGAUUCAGUAUGAAGUGAAACCCCAAUUUGAAAUGUAGGCAUGAGUUGCUGAGUCAGUAGAUGAAGCUAUAAAUAGGCAUUCGGUUUCCUUCUUUUCGGUUUGGAGGGCCAUGGAAUAGUGUAUUGGAGUGGGCUCCAAGUAAUAGCCUCUAUCACUGGAACGACACAUCUAUAAAAUGUGAUACAUGGGGAAGGAUUGGGCAUUUUAUUCUUAGAUUAGCCCCUUAUUUAGGGUGUAUAUUAAGCAGAUUAUAUAUUACAUGGAGAUGGAGUUUAUGAAAUAGAUUAAAAAGAAAAGGAAAUUUUGGUGCCUAAAGUUUGCCACUUGGAAUAUUUCGGUGUCUAAAAUUCACUCACCACUUAUUUCAUGUUUGAUUAUAUGUUGAAAAGAUAUUAAAAUAGUAUAAUGCUAUUAAGGCUUAACGUAUAUUUUUUAUUAGUAGAGUGUAGAAUUUUUAAGAAAUAAAUUAUUAAAUUAUUAUAACUAACAUAUUAUUUUAAAGUUGUGUUAUGAAAAAAAUGAAAUAAAAAUGUACAGUAAAUAAGAAUAUUUUAAAACUUUUAUCUUUUUAAAAUUAGUUUUUAACAUAAGGUGAACUAUUUUUUUUUUAAAAUCACAUAUUCUAGUUAAAAUCAAAUAUGUAUUUAUACGAAGCUUGUAAUUUUUUUUUUUAGUACUGAUAUUUGAAUAUUAUCAAUAAAAAAAAGGGUAAUGUUCAUGCUGCAUUAUUUUUGUAGCACACAAAAGGACAACACCGUUUAUGGUAUAAUACUAUCGCUUCUGUUAUGAUAAUUUUUUUUGUGGCCAAAUAUCUUUUUUUUUUUUAAGUAAAAAAAAGUGGACAAAAUGCAAAUCAGUUUUUAAUCCUCAAUCUCUCCCAAAAUAUAUAUUUCGGUGUCUAAAAAUUCACUCACAAAACUAUAGCUGACAAAAAGUUACUAACAAAAAGUUAGGUCCAUGGGUUGUUAAAACUAUAGCUGACAAAAAGUUACUAACAAAAACAGAAUGUCCAUUUUAUAACUUUCUUAAAAAACUUUCCUUAACUUUUUAAACAAAAAGUUAUUUCCAAUUUUUAUUUUGUUAUAAUGUUUAUAACAAAAUUCGUAGUUAACUAAACUCUUCUUAUACCCUUUCUCAACUGCCAUACCCUAACCCACUAAACCACGCUCAAUUAAGGCCAUCAGAUUCUCCCGGGCCCACAUUAAUCCAACUGCUCACAGAGACCGACAGCCUCUCUAUCUCCAUUUCAAGCUCCCUCUUCAACUGGCUUCUGCUACCGUCCUACUCUUUCUCGGCUUCGGAGUCCGUAUUUGCUCGGCCUGUCCCACGAAGCUCCCUCUCACUCCAAUUGUCGCCCCACAAGACCAAUUGCUUAAUCAAGACACCGAACAAGAAAAGGAUGAGAAGUUGAAACAAGAAUUUGAGAAUUGGAAAUAAAAAACGUACGCAUUGACCGUGCCUUUGAGAGUCGUUUCUCUUCAGAACUCAGUGCCUCAAUCUUGGAUUAAGGAUUUUAUGCGAAGUCAGGGAAAGAGAUUGAAGUUUCAGAUGAAUUUGUGUGCUAGCAUUGAUGGGAUCUUUAACAAUUUAUCUGUGCCCUUUAACAAAGUUAAGGCUAAGUCAGCUUCUUAUAUGGCUGCUGAUUUGGUUAGUGUUGGUGAUUCAUGGCUUAGUUUUGCCAUUAAAAAGAGAUUGAUUGAGCCAAUGGCUGGAGCUGAAGACCAAGAUUGGUUCAAAUGCUUAAGUCACAAAUGGAAGGUAACAUCUUUGUCUUUGAUCCUCGAGGUAAAAUAUGGGCGGCACCGUACAGGUGGGGCACAACGGUGAUAGCCUACAAGAAAAGUAAAUUUCGAAAGCAUAAUUUGGCUCCGAUUGAGGUAAUAAUUUUCUUUAAACUCAUUUAGUUUUAUAUCAAACAAAAUCAAGACUGCCUUUCUCUUCAAUAUUUUUUAUGAUAAUAUCUUUAGAAGCAUCUCAUUGACGGGUAACAAUGGCAUCCCUGAAAGAGUCUAUAAACUCAAUGAUAUUAUCUUCUACAAAUGGUUCAUUAAACUUUGUCGUUGUACUCAAAUGUACACUCAGAUCAAUGAGAAGCUAUGCUACGUUAGCAUGUAGUGAUGGCACUUAAUAAGUGAGUUGCUAGGAUGUGAACUAGAAAAAUUAAAUAUUGUCUCCUUGGGUAUGCUAGCUGGUAAGUCAGGGUUAAUAUCAGAGCUUAAGAUAGUAUAACCGUGAGAACCUAUUGACUGCCAAUUAAAAUAUCCAUUGAAAUGUCUAGGGAGUUAUGAAGGUGGAGGUAACUUCCAAUUUCUAAGGCCACAGAGUAGACAUCAUCCAGGAUCCUAGGAAAGUCCAGUUAACCUCCUGCUCGAUGCAAUUAAUAAAUUUGGUCAAUGCCACUGAAACCUGCUAACUGACGUCACAAUGCGACAUGAGCACUUCAAAAUGGGACAGACGGUCAGUAGCACUAAAUUUUUCUUGCCCAAGAUUGAGCAAUUGGUCUAACUACUAAUCCCUAUUGUAGGUUGAUCAUUAUUUUUUCAAUUAUGUUCAGUUUGACCCAAAAAGUUGCAGAAUCUUGAGCUGAAUAUUGUCACUGAACACUGUCAAUGUCAUUUAGCAUAGCCAACUAACUUGAUGUUAAAACAAACACACAGUGUGUCUCAUGUCUCACAAUUCAAAUUAUCAUCUGUAAUGUUGGAGAAUUUUUCCAAUGUAUGAAGUAUGCUUUGAUACGUGGGUUACCUUGGAGAAGAUAUCUCAAAAUAAAGAAUAUGGGGAGAAAACAGUUCAGUAGUUUAUUAUUCUGUAGUCAAGUUUUGUCUCGAAAAUGGUCAAAAUUUAAAUGAAUAAGGACAGGGGAUCUUCAUUCUUUUUUCCCUUUUUUAUACCAAGAUAUCUCUCAACCUUUAUAUAAUCCCCACUGGAUAUCUGCUUCUAAUAAUUAAAAUAAAAAUUUCACCGCUCUAACAAUAAAAAGUAACAUCUUUCCUCAAAUAAUUUACAGUUCCUCAUCAUCUUAGUGUGAGACUAUCAGUACAUUCCAAAAACAUAAUAAAACUGGUUUGAUCCUGUUUAUUGAUGUUUAAAUGUUGUUCAUUGUGACAGGUAGAAAUGAUGAGGCGAAGUUUAUUUGGACAUCAAUUAGUAAGAUCUUGUUUGAAGUUGUUUUCUGAAAUGAACUGCCAAAUGGUAGUUUUUUGGGGGCAUUUGAUGGCUCUUUUUUUUUCCUCAUUUUCAACAUGUGCCUGCUUGGAACAUGAAGGAUUAGGCUGCAGAGUUGUUAUAUAUUUUGAGAUGCUCUGGUCAUUGCACAAUUUGUUCACACUGGAAAUUAGAAUGAGAAAUUUGUUGAUGCUGUUUUGAGAGAUCUGCAUUCUAUGCACAAUAACAUGAUUAAUGAAAAUGCAUUGUAGGACUGGAAAGAUCUGUGGCAGCCUGAGCUCGCAGGAAGAAUUUCAAUGGUUAAUUCUCCCCGAGAGGUUAUUGGUUCAGUUUUGAAGUAUAGGGGAACAUCAUACAAUUCAAACUAUAUUGAUUCGCAAGUUGCUGGUGGGAAGAUUGCUGUUCAGCAGAAUCUGGCAUUACUGGCAAACCAGGUACUCUUACAGAAAUCAUAUCUGGUCAUUGCAUGUUAUUGCCUGACAACUGAUUUUGUUUGUAAAAGUCUGCUUCUUCAUACAUAUGAAUGCAUAUGUUAGUGUUUUCUUCUCCUUUUCAUACAUAUAAAUGCAUAUGUUAGUGUUGUCUUUUCCUUUUCACACAUAUUAAUACAUAUGUUGGUGUUCUCUCCUGAGAUGGAUGCAAUAAAGGCUUUUGCUCCUAAAUUUAGCUGAAGAAAUGGCAAGGGAUGUGAGAUUCUGUCUCAUUAAAUUAACAAAAACCCAAAACAAUGAAAAUCCAUAAUAAUGUGGUGUGGGUAAAUUGGCUCCAUUUGGUUCGUUUCCUUAAUGUGAAUGCGCGAGCAAUAGAGACUAACAAAAUGAAGUGACAACAAGAAGUCAGUGUCCUUUGAUGGAUGCAUUUUUAGGCAGAAAUAUGUUUGUAAUUGACCAAAUUUGUCUGGCAUGCCAAUUUCAAAAAAAUUAAAUUAUGUGGUUAUUAGCUGUAAUGAAGGGGGAUAGUAGGUGCAAUCAGGUGUAUCCAGGAAAGUUCAACAAAGUUUUGGUAUGGCGUAGUGAAAUUGGUUUGUGCAACUCAGGAGUCUUUCAGGUGAACGAUGAUAGGUUUUGAUUUAUGAAUAUUAUAAAUCUACUGUGCAUAGUAUUCUAGUAGAAUCAUCUAUAAGUUCUAGUUAUUGUAUACUUUGCCCGGUUUGAGUUAAGGGCACAUGUAAUAUGAAAGAUAGUUGUCGCAUCUUUUAGGUUACCUAACAUUUGAUCAAUCCUAUUAUGGGGGCUUCAAGAUGUCUAACAAUAUGUAGAAUGCCCAUGCUCCUCCCCAUUGUUUAUCUUCUACAAUAAUUUGUUUUAGAUGCUAAUAUCUUUGUCGAUACCGGUAACAAUAUUACAAUAUCUGCGUUUAUUGGGUUUUACAUAGGUUCGACUGUUUGACAGUACACACUAUCUGAAGGCAUUUGCAAUUGGAGAUGUAUGGGUUGCUGUUGGGUGGAUUAGUGAUGUUCUUCCUGCUGUCAAACAUAUGUCUAAUGUUGCUGUUGUUGUUCCCAAGUCUGGUGCUAGCUUAUGGGCUGAUCUUUGGGUAUACCCAUGCCUGCCAUUCUACUUCAAUAUUCACAUUGUUAUCUCCUUCAUAUUAGUGAUCAGUAAACACGAUAAUGUGACUAAUAAGUUCGUAUUCUCUUUAUAGGCAAUCCCUGCUGCCUCAAGACUUGAAACAAAACAAAUUGGAGGGCGAGUCAGAGGUGCAUUUCCAUUAAUCCAUCAAUGGAUAGAAUUCUGCUUGCAAACAGCGAGAGCAUUGCCUUUCAAGCAAGAGGUUAUCCCGAGCGCAUCUCCCUCUGCCCUUGAGAGUACUCUGGUUAAGUUGCCUGAAGAACUUUUCAAGGGUAAACCAAGUCUGGAUACUAACUUAAUUGCUGGAGUACCCCCGACUGAAAUUCUGGCCAGAUGUGAGUUUUUGGAGCCUUUAUUUGAAGCUACAUUGUCGGAUUAUGAGUGGCUGGUUACUAAUCUGCAAAAAUCCACUCCUGUACUGAUCAACAAGAUGCAACAUUACAUGUCAUCAUUGAUCUUUAGCUAAAGGUACAUUGAAAAGUUAAUGGCACUGCAUACCAGUCAUUAUAAUUGGGUCAGGGCAAUUAGGUCAGAGCAUAACUUCAUUAGGAAAAGAUGCUUCAGCUACGUUAAAUAUUACAGGAUGUACUGAGAUGGCUGAAGCUGUUGAGGUUUUACGAGAAUCGAAAGAUAGUGUUUGUUUGAACAAAGUUGUUGCCAAUCUUGCAGAGUUCGAGAAGAAAGAUCACGAAGUGAAUGCCACCGAUUUCUUCAUCAUUGUAGCCUCCAUAGUUGAAGUUUCCUCAUUUGAAGCUGUUUAUGCAUAUGUUUUUUCCCUGCUCAAGUACAGGAAAUUGAAGAAUUAACCAGAUGUGAUAUGCUGAAAGAGGGAAGUUUUCUUCCUUGAAUGUGGUCUUUGUGAUUUGUCUUGAAGGAAUAGGGUGAUCACUGGCAAGAACCCUAUCAAGGUAGAUUUUAUGAUGUUAACAUAUCAUUAAGCAUUUUGUUACAUCAGCAAUGAUGCUUUCAUAGCAGCAUGAAAGUGUUUAAAUUUAACUGAAUGAUCUUGAUUGAUCAAUUAUGAGUUUUAAUCGAGUAAAAACUAAAUACAAUCAUCGUUAACAAAUAUUGAAAUUGGGUAAAUAAGAUCUUGAUAUUGAAGAAUUUGAAAUCACAACCCACACAGGAAAUCACCCUUCGCGUGGGGAUGGAGAUGUUUACUGCAGCGAUAUUGAAUAUGUCCACCGCUCUUUGGGUUAUGGUGCGACUUGCCCUGAAACAAUGGAAAAGAAUAAUUAAUAAUUUAACGCCAAGACAUAAAAUUAAAACGUGUGGACUCCGGUAGCUGCCCUACAAGUCUACAACUCUACAAACAUUAACUCUACAAACAUUAAAACGUGUGGACUCCGGUAGCUGCCCUACAAGUCUACAACUCUACGAGAAUAAUUUCUAGCCCUGUUGACUCCACUAACUAAAGAAAUUUCAAAACGUACAUAGAAUUCCACAACAAGCAAAACGUAUGGAAUUUAAUUUUUUGCCGUGUGGAACAAAAUACAAUUUAACAAAAAAGGAUAAGAAAAAUGGUAAGAUUUCUAAAAUGCAUGGAAGGUGAUUCAUAUUUUACUGAAACGACUUGUCCUGAACAUUAAGACGAUUGAUUUUUUUUUUUUUUUUAAUAACAUCAACUUCCAUAUCUUUCUAACCCCUAGAAUAUGCUCACGUUCAAGUCUAUCUUGGUAAUUUGAAAAAGAAAAUCAAAUCAAAUCAACACCAAAACAAUGAAAAGUAAAACUUUUGAAUUUCAACUUUAAACUUUUGUUAACCCCUAGAAUAUUCAGCGUUUUCAAAUUCUUCCGAUUGCAUAUCUUCUUCCUCCAUCAAUGCAAUAUUUGAACGAUUAUGAAAGAGUUUAAGAACAUAAAAAAUCUCCAAGGUUUAUACGGUAUAACAAAUUUAAAUUCUCAAUUACAAUAGAUAAUAAUUAAACUAAUAAUUUUUUAUGUACUUAUUUUAGUAAUUUCACCUAAGAAUAAUAUUGUAAUUAGAAAAAAAAAUCUAAUAAGUAGGGUGGUCUUAUACAAAAUCAACUGUACUGUGAUGAGUUUCCUUUUGUUAAUAAUUUUAGUCUAAUUUCAAUUGUACUGUGAUCGCUUCUCAAGGUAAGUGAAAGUUACAGAUGUGGCAAAAUAAAUAAUUAAGUUAACAAAAUGCUAACUAAUUUUCCUCAAUACCUAGGGUUGUACAAUUUCACCAACCUGGAAGAAUUGACAUUAAUGGACUGGUCUCCUCCCCAUAUAAUUAUAAUCCUUCUAGAAAGCUAUUUUUUAUUAAAUAUUUGCUUUUAAGUUAAUUUCAAUUAAAAAAUGUUUUAAGUUAUAUAUACUCUAAUGAGAUUCUGAAUUCCUUUAUUCCAAUAAUAAUGAAAACGUAUUAAAUUAGAAAUGAAAAAAUUGGUGUUGAUGAUUCAACCUAUUUGGAUAGAUUACGUGAAUAAAAUUAAAAUUUUGAUUUAAUUUUUGUUUAUUGUUAAUUCUCAGGCUAUCUUAAUUUCAAGAAUUUAGAAUGUUAAUUUGGUCAUGGAUUUCAACCCGUGAGUGUCAUAUUCUAGACUUAAUGGUACCAUUCUUUGAUUGAGGGCAAUGACUCUCACUCCUCUUGUAAAAAAAUAUUUUCAACUAUUUUGAUGACUUAAAAAUUGAUAGAUUUAUUGUUGUCAUGACCAAAUUAUUCAUUUUAAUGAAAUAUAAUUAAUGCAUCAAAGUUACCAGGUUUAUGUUCUAUCUUAAUGCGCUUUUUUUUUUUUUUUCAGUUAUAGCUUCUGCUUACGUCUGUUUCAUUUUUUUUUAAUAAAAAAACAAGGGAAGGUUUUUCCGAGUCAUCCAUUAUUUGAUUACCGUCAAUCAAGAAAACAACCAAAUUAAUUUCUCUCCAAAAUUUCCAAAAGCUAGAAAAUUUUGUUAUUUGAAAAUAACAUCAUUAAUUAUAGAGUGGAUCAAACCGCGUUAUUGUCUUUCAUAAAAUUGAUGUCUUUUUAAGAGUCAAUACUUUUUAUUUACGCAAACCAGUCGACAUCACACAUAUACUCUUUAAUUUGAUAAAUGGUUACACAAAUUUUGUUUACAAAAAUAUAUUAUUCAUGUUCUGUAUUAUUUUUUAACAUCAUAUUUUUAUUUAUUAUAAUUGUUUAAAGUUAAUUGUUAGGUUGAUAUAUAAUAAAAACGUAUAAUCGUUCUCUUACUAAACACACAUACUCAUAGUUUCUGUUCAUUUGUCAUCUCAAUCUAUCUCAUUUAUCCUUUGUUGAUAGCUCAAAACGCGUCACUGUGGAAAAUUAUAGCAAAACGACAAAUAUGGAAAAAAAUGGGAAGAAAAUUAAUGCAUGAAAGAGUUGCAGAAGACAACCAAAUAAGUCAACUAUACGCUAGUUGGGUGUAUAAAUUGUUAGAUGUGUUAUAAACAAAUAGCAUAGAGCCUUGGUUGGUUACAGAGAUAGAAAAAGUGUGUGUGUUUUUUAGAACUUAAAGAUAUAGUUAGAAUGGGUGGUUCAAAAUCAAAAAUGGUGAUAAUGUUUGUUCUGUUAUUAAUAAUAUUAGAAGGUGGGUGGAGUGAAGGAUGUUUGGAUCACGAGAGAUUUGCUCUUUUGCGACUCAAACAUUUCUUCGAUGAUACUGGUAGUUAUCUUUACAACUGGGGAGAUGGUGAGGGAGCUACUGAUUGUUGUCAGUGGGAAAGGGUUGAGUGCAGCAACACCACAGGCCGAGUGAUAGCGCUAGACCUUUUUGGCACGUAUCGGCGAGAGUACAGCUGGUAUUUGAAUGCUUCUUUGUUUACUCCCUUCCAACAACUUGAGUCACUUGAUUUACAUGGCAAAAAUAUAGCUGGUUUUGUUGAGAAUGAAGGUGCUUCGUCUAAUUCAAUUAAAUUACAUUUCGCUCUCCUAAUUUAAGUCGAAUAUCAAGACUGAGCAGCUAUAUGCAUAUUCAUUCAAUUGACAAUUUUUACAUAUUUUUUAAAAUGUUUAAUUUUGAAAUUACACCAAACAUCAUAUGUGAUCUUUGUUUUGAUUUUACUUGCAGGUCUAGAAAGAUUGAGCAACUUGAAGAGGCUUGAUUUAAGUCAUAACUUGUUCAACAAUAGCAUCUUAUCAUCUGUGGCUCAUCUUUCAUCACUAACAUCAUUAGAUUUAUCUGAAAAUAGAUUGGAAGGAAGUAUUAAUGUUAAAGGUACGUAAUUAAAACGUCAUCGCUUUUCCCAACUCUUUCAUUAACAUGUUAAAAUAAGAUUCAAGGCUUUGAAUUCAAUUUUUUUUAUGAGUAAAUAUUAGAAAAAUAGUUUUAAGCAAUUCAUAAAUACAAUUUUCAAUGUUUCUCAUAAUUACUCUAACUGUGAAGCAAAUACCCCAUGACUAAUUUAUCAUUUUGUCCAGUUAAAAAUGAUAAAAUUUAUCAUUUGUUUAUAUUGAUUUAUUAACUCUAUUUUAAGUCUUAAGUCUUGGCGUCUUGGCAUGUUUGCAGAAUUUGAUUCCUUGAGCAACUUAGAGGAGUUGGACAUGAGCUACAAUGAAAUAGACAAUUUCGAGGUUCCUCAAGGUAAACAAUUAAAAUAUUAUUUAAUUACAUUAAUUUAAUUCGUUUGAUUAGGGAAGACCCAAAAUGUACAAAAACAUAAUUAAAAAAAAAUAAAGAAACAGAGAAUUCAUAUUAUUUCAAAAAACAAAAGGUAAUACUAUUAUUUCAAAAAAAGAAUGUAAUAAAGAUUUGAUUCCGGUUCUUUAAUCUUUAUAGCAAUUGAACAACAAUGUUGCUCUUUUCCUAAAGCAUAAAAUAUGAAAUGAGUCAUAAUUGAAUUAGUCAUUUAUUUUGUUUAGAUCUAAAUUUAGACAAUAAAUUUUGAUUUUUUUUUCAAUCCUAUCCUUAUUAUUAUUGUUAAACAGGUUACAGAGGUUUGAGGAAGUUGAAAAGCCUCUAUCUAUCGAAUGUUGGAGUUAGAGAUGGAAGCAAGUUGUUACAGUCUAUGGGAUCAUUCCCAUCCCUCAACACUCUUUACCUGAAGGAUAAUAAUUUUACCGAUAUAGCGACAACUACUACUCAAGGUAAGUAAAAGGUACAUAUGUGGCCAAAUUUAUAAAUAAAUUGUUAAUUAAUUAAUUUUUCCGUAUUAUUAAUAAAGCUAAAUUCGUCGCUCAUUCCUUCUAAUUCUAAACAGAGUUGGCAAUUUCACCAACUUGGAGUAUUUGACAUUGGACUUGUCCUCACUCCAUUUAAGCCUUCUGCAAUUGCUUGAAGAAUGAAUUUAUUUAUUUAUUUAUUAUUAUUAUUAUUGUUGUUGUUGUUGUUGUUGUUGUUGAAGUGAGGUGGGCAAGCGUUCACUCAAUUAAUAUGUGAGGAAUUAAUAAUUACAAUCCAAGGUAGAAUUGUGGAAAAUUAAAGCAAAAUGAGAAAUAUGGAAAGAAAGGAAGAAAGUUAAGGGCAUGAAAGACUAGGAGAAGACUAAAGACCACCAAAUAAGUCAACUGAAAACUAGCUGGGGCCUGGGUGUACAAAUUGUUAGAUGUGUUUGUUAUAAAUAACAUAGAGCCAUCUUGUUGGUUGCAGAGGCAGAGAGACACAGAGUGUGCAUUUUAUUAAUUAAAAAUAUAUAUAAAAUGGGUGGUUCAAAAUCCAAAAUGGUGAUAAUGUUAGUUUUGUUAGUAUUAAUAAUAUUAGAAGGGAGGUGGCGUGAGGGAUGUUUGGUGCAUGAGAGAUUUGGUCUUUCGAGACUUAAAACAUUUCUUCAAUUCUCCUUAUAAUUUUUGUCACGACUGACCGUUGUCAAUAGAAUGGGGCUGGGUGCAGGGUUGAUUUACGUUAGAACAAUAUAGCCGGUAGUGUUGAGAAUGAAGGUGUUUCAUUUAAUUUAAUUAAUUUACUUUCUCCCUCCUAAUUUAAGUGGAAUAUCAAGACAGAACAAUUAUAUGCAUCUUCGUUCAGUUGACAAUUUUGACAUAUUUUUUUAAGUGAUUAAUUUUGAAAUUACACCAAACAUUAUUUGUGAUCUCUGUUUUGACUUUACUUGCAGCGCUAGAGACGUUAUCAAGAUUGAGCAACUUGACGAUACUUGAUUUAAGUUAUAACUUGUUCAAUAAUAGCAUCUUGUCAUUUGUUGCCCGUCUUUCAUCAUUAACAUCAUUAGAUUUAUCUUACAAUGGAUUGGAAGGAAGUAUUAAUGUUAAAGGUACGUAAUUAAAACGUCAUCGCUUCUCCCAACUCUUCCAUUAACAUGCUAAAAUAAGAUUCAAGGCUUUGAAUUCAAUUUUUUUUUAUGAGUAAUAUUAGAAAAAUAGUUUUAAGCAAUUCAUAAAUACAAUUUUCAAUGUUUCUCAUAAUUUCAUCUUGUACUUUUGUAUGUCUUGACUUUAAGAUUAAAAAAAAAUUACUCUAACUGUGAAGCAAAUACCCCAUGACUAAUUUACAAUUUUGUCCAGUUAAAAAUGAUAAAAUUUAGGGAAAUUAUCAUUUGUAUACCCUUAGUUUACUCUAUUAUCAAAAAUACUACAACACUUUGAGGGUGUAUCAAUCGUCCACCCUAAGUUGACAAAAUGUAUUAGCCAACCACCAAACCGUUAGUUGCCGUUUAAAUAUGAUAACAUCAUAAGGGUAAUCUGGUCUUUUCAUAUGAUACAAGUGAUAAUUUAAGGGUAUACAAGUGAUAAAAAGAGAGUUUAAGGGAUACAAGUGAUAAUUUUCAAGGGUAAAAUCGUCAAUUUACUGUAAUUCCAUUAACUUUCAAACGGCAAUUAACAGUUUGGUGGUCGGUUGAUACAUUUCAUCAACUUAGGGUGGACGAUUGAUACACCCUUAAAGUGUUGUAGUAUUUUUGAUAAUAAAGCAAAUAUAGGGUAUACGAAUGAUAAUUUCCCUAAAAUUUAUCAUUUGUUUAUAUUGAUUUAUUAACUCUAUUUUAAGUCUUAAGUCUUAAGUCUUGGCAUGUUUGCAGAAUUUGAUUCCUUGAGCAACUUAGAGGAGUUGGACAUGAGCGGCAAUGAAAUAGACAAUUUCAAGGUUCCUCAAGGUAAACAAUUAAAAUAUUAUUUAAUUACAUUAAUUUAAUUCGUUUGAUUAGGGAAGACCCAAAAUGUACAAAAACAUAAUUAAAAAAAAAUAAAGAAACAGAGAAUUCAUAUUAUUUCAAAAAACAAAAGGUAAUACUAUUAUUUCAAAAAAAGAAUGUAAUAAAGAUUUGAUUCCGGUUCUUUAAUCUUUAUAGCAAUUGAAAAACAAUGUUGCUCUUUUCCUAAAGCAUAAAAUAUGAAAUGAGUCAUAAUUGAAUUAGUCAUUUAUUUUGUUUAGAUCUAAAUUUAGACAAUAAAUUUUGAUUUUUUUUUCAAUUCUAUCCUUAUUAUUAUUGUUAAACAGGUUACAGAGGUUUGAGGAAGUUGAAAAGCCUCUAUCUAUCGAAUGUUGGAGUUAGAGAUGGAAGCAAGUUGUUACAGUCUAUGGGAUCAUUCCCAUCCCUCAACACUCUUUACCUGAAGGAUAAUAAUUUUACCGAUAUAGCGACAACUACUACUCAAGGUAAGUAAAAGGUACAGAUGUGGCCAAAUUUAUAAAUAAACUGUUAAUUAAUUAAUUUUCUGUAUUAUUAAUAAAGCUAAAUUUUUGCUCAUUCCCUCUAAUUCUAAACAGAGUUGCACAAUUUCACCAACUUGGAAUAUUUGACAUUGCACGGUUCCUCUCUCCAUAUAAGCCUUCUGCAAAGCAUUGCAUCAAUAUUCCCUUCGUUAAAAAAUCUGUCGAUAUCUUAUUGUGAAGUCAAUGGUGUCGUACAUGGUCAAGGUAAAAGAAAAGUGUUGGUUGUGCACUCACUGAGUGUUGUCCUACGUAUUCAAUAUUUUUAUUUAUUUAUUUUAUUGUUUAAUGUUUCUGCUAGGUUUUCCUCAUUUCAAGAGUUUGGAACAUUUGGGCAUGAUGUCCACGCGCAUUGCACUCAACACCAACUUUCUUCAAGUCAUCAGUGAAUCGAUGCCUUCUCUUAAGUACUUAUCACUGUCAUAUUCUACUCUUGGCACUAACAGCAGCAGGAUUCUUGAUCGAGGUUAAUCAGAUGCUCCCACCCUCCAUUCUUAAUCUAUAAUAUUAAUUUUCAGUUAAAUAUUUAAUUACACAAACCAAUCACUUAUUAUAAAAGAACAAUACGCAUUCAUUAAUUUUUAUAUUAUAUUAAUUGAUGAAUUUAAUAAAUUCCAGGCCUCUGUUCGCCGGUGCAUCUGCAAGAGUUAUACAUUGGUUCUAACGAUUUAAGAGGUAGCUUGCCUUGGUGCAUGACAAAUUUGACAUCCCUCCGAAUAUUAGAUGUUUCUUCCAAUCAACUUACUGGAAGCAUCUCCUCGUCUCCCCUCAUUCAUUUGACAUCCAUUGAAAAGCUGUAUCUUUCAAACAAUCACUUCCAGAUCCCAAUUUCACUUGAACCACUUUUCAAUCAUUCAAGACUCAAGACUUUUUAUGCUGACAACAACGAACUAAAUGCAGAAAUAACUCAGUCACAUUCUUUGACCGCCCCAAACUUCCAAUUAUCACGUCUCUCAUUGUCUUCCGGUUAUGAAGAUGGCGUCACAUUCCCCAAAUUCCUUUACCAUCAACAUGAUCUGGAGACUGUUGAGCUCUCACAUAUAAAGAUGAAUGGAGAAUUUCCAACUUGGUUGUUGGAAAACAACACAAAAUUGAGACAACUUUCUCUCGUCAAUGAUUCUCUUGGAGGACCUUUCCGGUUGCCAAUUCAUUCACACAAGCGGUUAGGAAUGUUGGAUAUAUCCAACAACAACUUCCGAGGCCACAUUCCAAUAGAAAUUGGAGAUGUUUUACCAAGUCUAUACCUUUUCAACAAUUCCAUGAAUGCUUUAGACGGUAGCAUUCCCUCUUCAUUUGGUAAUAUGAAAUUCCUCCAAAUUCUGGACUUAUCCAACAAUCACUUGACUGGUGAAAUCCCCGAGCACUUGGCCGUUGGUUGCGUCAACUUGCAGUCUCUUGCAUUAUCAAAUAACAACCUACAAGGUCACAUGUUCUCUAGAAAUUUUAACUUGAUAAACUUGAAAUGGUUACAAUUGGAGGGCAAUCGCUUCAUAGGUGAGAUCCCACAAAGUUUGUCUAAAUGCUCCUCACUAGAAGGAUUGUAUCUUAACAAUAAUAGUCUUUCGGGUAAGAUUCCACGAUGGUUGGGUAAUCUCACAUGGUUACAAUAUAUUAUAAUGCCCAAUAAUCAUCUUGAAGGCCCUAUUCCAGUGGAGUUUUGUCAGCUUGAUUUGCUUCAGAUUUUGGACAUUUCAGACAACAACAUAUCUGGAAGUUUACCAUCUUGUUUCCAUCCUCUCUCUAUCAAACAAGUUCAUCUUUCAAAAAAUAUGUUACAUGGACAGCUAAAAAGAGGUACAUUCUUUAAUUGCUCUUCCCUUGUGAUAUUAGAUCUUAGCUAUAAUCGCUUGAAUGGCAGCAUUCCGGAUUGGGUUGAUGGGCUUUCUCAGUUAAGCCACCUUAUCUUAGGUCAUAAUAAUCUUGAAGGUGAAGUGCUAGUUCAAUUGUGCGAAUUGAACCAACUACAAUUGUUAGAUCUUUCUAAUAAUAAUCUUCACGGUCCUAUUCCUCCUUGCUUUGAUAACACCACACUUUAUGAAAGUUACAGCAAUAGUUCUAGUCUUGAUGAGCAAUUUGAAAUAUUUUUUUCCAUCGAAAGCCCUCAGGGAAAUGUAGAAAAGCAAAUCCAUGAAAUUUUUGAGUUCACAACAAAGAACAUUGUGUACAUUUACCAAGGAAAAGUGCUUAGCCUCCUAUCAGGACUUGAUCUUUCUUGCAACAAGCUAAUUGGUCCUAUUCCUCCUCAAAUUGGAAAUUUGACAAGGAUUCAAACAUUGAAUCUAUCACACAACGACUUGAUAGGAUUGAUCCCAUCAACAUUUUCAAACUUGAAGCAUGUCGAAAGUUUGGAUCUUUCCAACAACAAAUUGAAUGGGAAAAUCCCUCAUCAACUAGUGGAGUUAAAGACAUUGGAGGUUUUCAGUGUGGCAUACAAUAACUUAUCAGGCGAAAUUCCAGAAUGGACUGCACAAUUUGCAACCUUCAAUGAGAGUAGCUAUGAGGGAAAUACUUUUCUUUGUGGAUUGCCAUUGCCCAUUUGCAGAUCACCAGCAACUAUGUCGGAGGCUUCAAUUGGCAAUGAACGAGAUGAUAAUUUAAUUGACAUGGACAAUUUCUUUAUCACAUUUACAACAUCGUACGUAAUUGUGAUAUUUGCAAUUGUUAUUAUUUUAUAUGUAAAUUCUUAUUGGCGACGUAGAUGGUUUUACUUUGUUGAAAUGUGGAUAACUUCAUCUUACUAUUUUGUUGUAGACAAUCUUAUUCCAACAAGAUUUUAUCAUUGAAAUUAAUUAGUAGUUUAAUUACGAUUCUUUAAGUACUAAUCAAGUUUGUUUAGGAAAUAUUUUUUUAUUAAAAUUGUAGUAGUAUUUAGCAUUAUAUAGCUUCCAACUUCCAAGCACUUCACAUUUGUCUCUACACUUAAAAAACUGAGUGAUCAUGUUUUGCAGAUCUGGAUUUGGAGCAGGAUGGAUCCAAACCCAUAUCUGUCCACCGUAACUUAUAGCUUCCCUAUACUGUGCAGCAUACUUAAAUAAGAGAACCAUCUCCAAUGUUAAAAGCAUUCACUCUAUAACAUUCAUUUAGAAACUAUAUUCAGAAUAAUUUUAUAAUUAAACACAAGAAAUGAAACACACAGAUACACUUGAUCGCCUAUUUUACUCUAAAAAAGAACGAUUAUUGUGCUAUCAUCAUCUUCUUCACUAGCAACAUUAACACCAAAUCGAUGGACCCAUACAUUUCAUCAAGAAAGGUCUAUAUCCAAUAAAGUUGAAGCCUAACAAAAAAUUCAAGAAGAUUCAUGCCUCGCCACAACAAGGGGCACAACAACAUCAAAGUAGAGAUUAAGCAGUAUUCUCAAAGCUAAAACUCUCAAAUCCACCCACCAGAAUUUCAUAUCUCCUCAACAAUUUUAAGAACUAAAGAUAAUUAGGAUUUAACAUUAGUUUUUUAUAUAUUAGUUUCAUAAUUUACAAAUCAAUGAAGAUGAAGAUUAUGCUAAUAAAUUCAAAUUAUACCAUACAUUCUCUAGAUGUUACCAAAAAUUUCUAAGUCAAUCCCACAUAUUUCAUAAUUUUAAGACUAGAAAAUUUCACUAGUUAGAAGUUUCAUUACCUUCAAGUGGAAGAUGAAGAACAUUAUACAAGUGAUUCAGAUUAUAUCAUACAUACUCCAAAUGCAACUAGAAAUUAACAAGUUCAUGCACACAUAUUUCAUAACAUUAUGAUUGAAAAGUUUCACAGAGAAAUUCUAAAUUCAAUCUCUUGCAUGAAGGCAAUUUGAUUGAUUUGAGUUACUUUCUUAUCAAGCUACUAAUAUAACAUUCAAGUCAGGGAGAAAAUAAAUUAAAACUGGGAAGAAAUAACAGUAAAAAUUUGUUGCUCAACAUGAUGUGUAUUUUUUUUCAAGGCAAUUUGGAAACACAAUUGUUACCACAGAUAUUCUUCUCAACUUGGAGAUAAAUACAAAUAUUAAAAUGCAUAUGAUCGCACAUACUACUUCGAGUUUAGUAAGAUUUCAUUAAAAGAAGCAAUCAAACCACUUAUCAAUUGUCGCAGUCGUUCUAUAAACUAAAAUAGCAAUAUAAUACAAGAAAAAGAACAUAUAGAUACUUGGCAAGAGUUCAUUAAGAAGUCACAUCACAUUCAGGUGAGGAGUUUGCUUCUGAUAUCUUGCUAGCUGGGGCUUUUUCUUGUCUUUCUACGUAUGCCGAGGGAAACCAACCAGCUUGGCCCUUGCAUUCACCUUCCGACCAUCCAAUAGGAGCCACCUUGAGAAGUUAUAACUAAAAUGGUGAAUUAAACAAAAGUUGACCGUUCAAAGACCUAAGGGGAAAACUAAUUCUUUUACGUAGGAGGAGUGAAUUAGUUGUGAUCACUGAAAUAACAGCAUAACUAUGGAAGCAUAACAAGAUAUAAAUUCACACGUCUAUAAGGGUAAACUGGGUGGUUGAGAACUGAGCUAGCAACCCUACUAUAUUCUGAUUUGCACUUCAAUGUAAAAGGGAAUAUAUGGUAGGAAGAAAGAAAACCAACCAUCAUUUGUUAACUCAUUGCUUUUCAAUCAAAAUUUUAAGAACAAAAUGCCAUGUGCUUUGAACAUCAAAUAAGUAUAAGCAUUAGUUCUAAAUUCCACAUAUCAUAAGUUGUUAGAAGGAUAAGUUAAUAGCAGAGUAGAAAAAUCUAUGUGUUGGUAUUUAGAGGGGAAAGUACCUGGCGAACCACAACAUAAUCAUCAAUUGAAAGACUUAGCUCUCCAUUUGCUUGAGCAUCAAAUGGAUGUAUAACCUGCAAGAUAAUGGGAUAAAUAGAACAUAAAAAAAGCAUAACAAAAGCGGCAACAGUAGCAGCAACGUUCAUUGUAACCACUAUGAUCAUGGCCAACAAAGAUAUAUUAGAAACAAAAUUCCAUUUUUACUACGACAUUAAUAUGUACUAUACGAUAUCAUGACGAUUGGGUUACUAAGAGCUAUCAAAGUCUAAUAAGUUCUGUAUAACUUUAUGUAGUUAUUUAAAUUAUGGAUCAGAUUUUAAAUUUGAAAUUUUGACUGCUCUCCACAAAACAUGGCCUAUGCACAAGAAAGUCAUAGAUAAUGAGGAUUACAAGUGUCCGACAUCUUUUGAGUGAUGGAUUUAACAUGAGAGCUUAUGGUCAGUCAAUUUCCUCUGCCUAGCAAUAUAAGCUUUCUCGGCCAGAUUUAUCAUCAAAUACAUAGAUUGCCCCCAAGUCACAUCCAUAUAAACAUAGUUUUUCUAGGUAAACCAAGUAAGGAGUAUCAUAAUUCAGACAUAAUCAUAAAAAGGCCCAUCUAACUUAAGAGAAAAUCUCAAAAAGAGGGAUGCUGAGCUAUCAGUCUUGUAUCUAUAAGCAAUAUCAAGACUUUACGUCACCUGCUACAUCGUGAGUGGCUACACAACUUUCAGUGGUUUGUCUUUCUUUGGCACGCCUAACUCAGCUUUGAUGUUGCUGAGAUAUUGAUAGUAGAGACACAUGAUACUUCUAGCUCAUGCAUUCUAUCUAACUCAUCCAACAACUAUCUCUUUUUUAAUUCAUUAGUGUUUGCUAAACCUCAUGCUUAAAAGUCCUGUUCUCCUAAACAAAGUUUCCUAAGAAUGACUUCCUUAGCACCACAGUUGGACACUUUUAGAGCAAUUUUAUUUGGGGGAAAAGAAUUUUCAAGGUGUUAACUAAUAAAUUUUAAAAAAUAAUUACAAUUUGUCCUACGAUCAUAUGACAAUUUAUCUGGGAUGAAAGGAUACAGAUAGACAUCUUCCACUUUCAAGACUAAUCACUACUUCCGUAGAUGUUGUGCAAUAAUACAAAUACUUGACCAGAUGGUAGAAAAAAAUUUUAUUGCUCCAAAAUUAAAAUAAGAAUGCAAUAUGUUAAGCAAAAGGCUGUGCAACAUCAAAUUAAUUGAUAAGUUUGUAAUUCAGUAAAUUAACAACUUUCAUGGUAAAAUACAACAAAUUUCUUUUGAAAAAAAAUAAAUAAAUCUUAAAAGACAACAUUCAAUUUUGUGUACAUCUUAUUUCUUAAGAUUUUUCAGGAGGAGGGCAAUAGAGGGACUUUCACCUAUGCAAGAGAGCAGAAGCCUUACUUUCCCUAUAAAGUAGACGUCAUUCUGAUUAAUAUGCGUUUGCAAAUCAGCUCCGUUUGAAUCAGUAUUCUGAUAGACACACGAGGCAUUUACAUCCAUUUCCAAAGUCACAUGUUGCGAGGAGGACUCAUUUGAUUGCUCCUAUACGAUCAUCUAAUUCAAGUAGCAAGGGUUGGAAGAGAAUAAAAAGUCACAAUUAUUCUUUUGCAUAAGUGAGACGAAAAUGAUAAAUGCAAUAUUAUCAGCAGUAAACAAGAAGAGAACGCUCCAAGAAAUAGAUAGAUGCAGACAGGCAAGUUAAAAUGCAUAGUCCCAAACCUCCGCAUACAACUUCUCUAAAAUAGCAAUAACGUGUUGAUGCUAUGUUUUCUCAGCAUCUACCUGCAAAGGCCCGAGACCAGGAAAACAACAAUAAAGGAGAAAGUAAAGAAAGAAAUACACUUGACAUAAAUCUUGAAAAGAAGCACAAUUUAAGACAUAACAAACCCCAAUCAUAUUGUUUAGAACUACCAUUCGUUAUUUCGUUAUUGUAGCAUUUCGAACAAGCGUUGACUUAAUUCAACAUUGUUGGAAAGAUAGGCUUUUAGAAGCGGAAGAAAGCCACUCAAACCAAAGUGAUUGUCCUUGUAUUGAUCAAGGGAUGUAAACAUAUUACAUUUGCAGGAUGAGUUUUAAUCACUCCCCUGAUUUAUUUGGGAUGCAGUAAAACUAAGCGAGCAACUGUUUGACUUUCAAGCAACAUCUAAAUCAGCUAUUAAAAUUCAAAUAAAAUUAUAAUAGAAUAAUAACAGGCCAUCUUGCAUCAAAAAUUAAGUUUAAUUUGUGAAUUUUUUUCUAUAGACAUGUUAGUUCCUGCUAUUGAAAUGUUAAAAGCAUUGAAAAAUUAUUCAAUAAAUUAUGCAAACAUUAAAAUAGAGGACAUAUUAAAAAGUUUCUAAUUACAAUGUUAAGAUUUCCUAUAUUUUAGCAUUUGCAUAUUUUAAUUUAUUUAAAAGCUACGUAGAUCAACUUUGGGCAUGAAGAUUUUAGCUUCUACGAGACUUGAUUGGAAUAUGCAUAAGGAAGUGUGUUAAAAUAUGAUGCAUCCAACGAAAGACAAACCACGUGUAGUCUUUUAAUUAAGCCAAAGUAGCAGCUCAAACAAAUGACACUUGGACCAACAUGCAAUCAUGAAGUGGCCGGAAAAAGGACAAAUGCAACUUUGGCUUAAAUAAAAAAUAACAUGUGACUCGACUUUUGCUGGACAUGCAUCAUGUUAUUACAAGACAACAAAAAUCAGUAUGAUAGUACUAAAAGUUGACAAUAACAUGAAGAUAAGAGGCAGAAUGUCAACACAUGCAUAGGCACACACAAGAAAGUAUUAACGUAUAUACCAUAGCAAAAAGUAUUUGAUAUGUCAUCUGUUGCUGCUGUGAUUCAACUGACAGCAUGGCAGCUGUUGCUUCUCUACCAAGAGCCAUUAUUGUAGAUUUAAGCUCGGUCAAUCUUGCUUCUGCAUUUCGAAGCUUCACAGCACUCUCUGCUGAUAUAUCAGAUUCCCUAAUCUUUGAUCGGUGCCUAAAUACUUCAGCUGCCUGGUGAAAAUAUUCAAUAUAAAUCUAAUAUAAUUCUCAUCUUGCCUUAUGCAUGCAUAUGUUACCUCAAAGCUUACCUGGGCUUCAACUUCAUGUCGAAGUUUGUCAUAACGAUGAGUCAGGUGUCGAGCAUCUUCCAAAGGUGCUCCGUUGAUUAACGCCCGUAGUGGCUCAGAUACCUACAUGUCCAAAAACCUGUAACAUAGUUAGAAAAAUGAAAAGAAAGAGCGAAACCUCAAUUAAAAAGUUCCUCCAACAUAAUCAUGGAAUUUGGGCCUACUUCAAGGAUAUAUAUAUAAGGAUAAUUUAUGCAAUUUUGGGUCUUAGGAUGAUUCAUAUUAGGUUAGUGUUCUUCUCUUCUGUAUUUAAGGUUAAAAUAGAAAUAAACCUAUGCAAAUAUAUAAAUUAGGGCUGUAAGACUUCCACAUGCAUCCUUCAGUCUCAUGGAUUUGAUUUUACUAUAGAUGCAAGUGUCUUUAUCGAAAAUGCUUGGAGUCAAUUGAGAGAACUCACGGCCAAUAACUUGUCACACGCUAGUCUUUGCUAGUGAUGUAAGAAGUCACAAGGUCUCUUCAGCAUUUGAACCAAUAAAAUUAUUAAGUCAUGGAUGUCACUAGCAAUGAUUUUAAUAUAAAAUAUUAAAUAUUUCAAGUUGUAACUUUAAAAUGGAUUCUUUUAUUCAAUAUCUUAGAACUAAGUUUCCUUAUGAGAAGAUAAUAGUUUCAGUAGUAAUGUACAUAUAAUUUUCUAUAUUUGAAUUAUUUUCUAGUUAGGGAUGAACUAACCUGAUCACGAAGAAUCCCAAGCAAAGUUUCCCUCUCAUUUUCCAUCAAAUCAUGUGAAGUGCCAAAUUGAAGAGCAGCUCUUGCAACGCAAGAAUUGUCACUUUGAUUCUCCACUCCAUACUUGCAACAAUCUUCGGCCAACUUUCUCGCUACAAUAUUUGAAUACAAAAAUAUUGUACACAAGAACUAGUCAAGAAAAUUAAAAAAAAAAUCAAAUAUUAUAACGAGAGCAAGAGCAAACGAACAACCUAUUUCCAUUUGUUUCAAGCUUACUGCAACAAACACUUCAACGCCACGGACAACAUUCCUCUGACAAUAUUCCAAAUUAUUGUUCAGAUAAAACCAUAGAAACCAUCAUAAUUGUUCAACAUACAUUAAGCUAAAGGAGGAUGGUGCCUUAGCUGCCCUGGUGGAAUUGUAUAGAUUUUGAAGUUGUUGGUGACACUCAAUUUCAGAUUCAUCAACCGCAACAUUUUCAAUACCAAGAUGGAGCAGAUGCUUCAAUACUGCCUGUACAAAUCAUAAAAAACUAAUGAAAAAUAAAUAAAAUCGAGAAAUUUCACUAACUAAAAGUCUAAAUAUAAUUUUUUUAAAAAGAAAAGAAACGGACUUGCUGCUGCUUGGCGACUUGUUCUCGGAGCUUGAUUGCCUGUUUCUUGAUAGCUUCCAUACUGUUUCUUUCAAAAAGCGACGACGGCUCAGCUCAUGGAGGUGGAAAAAAAAAGUGUGAUCGGGAAAAAUAAAAAGGCAUGAAUAAUUUUUGAAAAAAAGCGAAAAUCAAGGAAAGCCAGCUCUUUCCAGAAAAUAAAAAAAGAAAAAAGAAAAAAGAAAAUUAUAAGUUUGAAAGGAGAAGAUGAUUGUGGAAGUGUGCGGUGUGGCUGACAGCUACUUGGAUUGUAUUGUCGGGUAAGGUAAUAGUAGAGAAUUUUUUUUUUUUAAGAAAAAUAGUAGAGAAUUUUUUAAGAAGCUAGAACAGAGCAUGACAUUAGACUUUUGUUGACCAAAGGAUGUUGUUUUAUUCUUCUUAUACUUUACGUUUGGUUUGGUUUUUCAAACUAAAUAAUCAAGUAGCAAAAAUACAAAUUUAGAGAUUAGGGGGUGAACUAGCUAGGUGGUUUACAAAUAUUCCUAUUUGUAAGGUGAAUUAAUUGAAUCAUGAGAAAACAAUGUGACCAUAGCUCAAUAUGAGAUGAUUUCGGAGAGGCAUAUUGUUUUCAAGUGAAUUUGAUCCAUUAAGAGAUGAAGUGGAUUGAAGUGGAAAGUUUAAAUAACAAAUCCUUGUUCUUGAGUUUUACGACGUUGUUACUCCUUCAGGUGGCAGAUUAUGCAAGUGAAUUCAAAAACACAAUGCAUCAAUCACGGGGAUGCUACAUCAAAAGACGGGAUCAUAGUCUAUGCAUUGAACAGUUACAGUUGCUGCUACCAAUUGCCUCGGCAAAGAUCAAGAAGACUGAACGGGAAGUUAAUGCCAUCAAGGAGUUGUCUAGUGUUCUUUUCCUUAUGCUAUGAUCGGUGCUCUUGAGGCUGCCCUGAAACACAGGAAAAUACUUCGAUAUCCUCCAUUCGAUGAUGCAAAGAACCGGUUAAUGUAUGAUUACCUAAUUGACUCAGGAUCAGGUAACAACAACAACAAUUUAUUAAUAGUAAUAUCACAAACGAAGAAGAUUUCGGAGAGGGAGAUGUAAGCGUAUACUGUUUACAGGUUUGAUCCACUGGGGAUGAAGUGGUCUCAAGUGGAAAGUGAUUUAUUAAACAACAAAUCAUUGUUCUUGGGUUAUACCUCAUGAUGUCAUCAAGUGGAAGAUGAAGAUCGUUUGAUAUUGAAGAAUUUGAACAGAAAGCCCAUAGAAAGUACUUAAAUAAGCAUAUUCUUGUUGGGGUAGAAUAUUAAGAAAGGAGUUGUCUACUGUGUGUUGCGUAAUUAUGCUAUGAUCGGUGCUUUCAACAUUGCCCUGAAAACAGUGGGAAAUACUUCAUACCCUCGACAUGAUGAUGAAAAAUUGGUUACCGAUUACCUAAUUGACUCAGGUGACAACAAUCCAUUAAUAGCACAAUUUGACGUGAUGCCGUUUAGGUAUAUGGUUUUCAAGUUUGAUUCAUCAGUGAUGAAGCGGACUAAAAUUAAAAGUUUAAAUGAUAAGUCAUUGUUCUUGGGCAUAUCGUCAUUACUACUUCCAGUGAUCAACGAUGAAGAUGAAGAUGAAAAUUGUGCGAGUUCAAGAUUACCAUUUAUCAUUACUUGGGAUAUUACUUCAACAUAGAUGGGGUUAUAAUUUACUCCCACGAACAUCAACUCAACUUUAUGAUUGGAGUGUCUCACCGUGACUCAGACAAAUUCUGAUUCAACCUCCUUCACCAAUGGAUUUUGAUUAGUUAUUUUGUGAUCAAGCAACUUAAUUAAACUCACAGUUUGUUAGUCUAAUUUUAGUUUUACUGUGACCACUAUUCAAGGUAAGCGAAAGUUACAGAUGUGGCAAAAUCAAUAAUUAAAUUCAUAAAAUGUUAAAAAAUAAAACUUAUAAAUGUUGCAUGACUACUUACUAAUAAAUAAAUAAGUUAGAAUGUAGUUAGUUAAUUUUACACCAUAUUAUAUAUUAUUCGAUAAUAAUAUAAAAUAAAAAUAAUUAAAAAAUAAAUAAUUGAAUAAAUAAAUAUGGCUUUCUAAACAGUAAAAAUUCUAGAGUUAAAAUUUAUAUUAUUAUUUUAUUUUUUAAAAUUGACAUUUUUCUAUUGUCUUACAUGUACAAAGAUUUUGAGAGUUGAGAAGAAUAUAUUUAAUGAAGCUUGAUAACAUUUGAUGGGAUAGCAAGUAAGGGUAAAUAAGAUAUUUUUAUUUGUUAUUUAUUUGAAUUAUAUCUAUUUGUUCAAGUUAAAAUACUAAAUAUAAAUUGGAGGUAGACAUUUUAACAGAUCAUCUAAGCUCUCAAAUCUGAAAUUUUGUGUAGAUUUAAAUUCAUAAUCCCCAAUUAUUUGAUCAGCAACUAUCAAGAACUAACCAAAUUUAUUUCUUCAUGACUUCCAAACACUAGAAAAUUUUGUUAUUUGAUAAUAAUAUCAUUAAUUAGAGUUUAUCAAACCGCAUUAUUUUCUUUCAUAAAAUUGAUGCCUAUUAGUGUCACACUUUAUUUGUAUUACCUAGCGGACAUCAACUUUUUUUUUAAUUUUUUAAAUUAAAAAGACCAUUUGAUUUUAACCCAUGUUCUUGGCCUUAGGGAAGCUGACUUCUUUUAUAGUCAGGCGAUGAGUUAAGAAGUGACAUAGCAUUCAGGCGAUGAGUUUAUUUUUGUUAUCUUGCUAACAGUUUUAGUCUAAUUUUAGUUUUACUGUGACCACUAUUCAAGGUAAGCGAAAGUUACAGAUGUGGCAAAAUCAAUAAUUAAAUUCACAAAAUGUUAACUAAUUAAAUUCAUAGAGUUGCACAAUUUCAUCAACUUGGAAGAAUUGACUUUAAUGGACUGGCCUUCUCCCCCUAUAAUUCUAAUGCUUCUAGGAAGCAAAUUUUUAUAAAUUAUUUAUUUUUGAGUUAAUUUCAAUUUCAAAAAACAAAUUUUUUAAGUUAUUGAUACUCUAAUGAGAGUAUCUUCAUAACAAUUCCCUUGCUCCAAUAAUAACAAAAAGGUGGUUACUUAGAAAUAAUUAAAAUAAAUAAGUGUUGAUUAUAUAUCCUAAUUUGCAUCGAUUUUUUUUUACCUUAAUUUCAGGAAUUUGGAAUAUAAGUUUGUGAAUGGAGGAUGAUCACGCGUGUGUUAAUUUUUCAGUCAUUGACUGUCGUAUUCUCGACUUAACGAUAGUGUUCUUGAUCAAGGGCAAUGACUCCCACCCCUCUUUUAAAAAUAUUGUCAAGUAUAUUGAUGACAAAAUCUCUUAUAGUUAAUAGUCUUUAAAAAUUUAUAGAUUUACUAUUGUCAUGACCAAAUUAUUCAUGUUUAAUGAAAUAUUAAUGCAUCAAAAUAGAUAUCUUCGGAAUCUAAUCCGAUCGGCUCAAUCCGUUUCAUUCGCAAAAGUGCAAUCCGCAAAAAUUUGAUCUGUGGAUUAGUGGAUUGGAUUGGAUUGAAAGUUUAAAAAUCCAUAGUCGAUAAAUUGGAUAUCGAUUUACUUCUCUAAAUAUGCAAAAAUUCAUGAAUUCGCAAAAAAAAAAAAUGUAUUUACUAAUAAAUAAAUAAGUUAAAAUGUAGUUAGUUAAUUUAACACCAUAUUAUAUCUUAUUCGAUAAUAAUAUAAAAUAAAAAUAAUUAAAAAAUGAAUAAUUGGAUAAAUAAAUAUGACUUUCUAAACAGUAAAACUUCUAGAGUUAAAAUUUAUAUUGUUAUUCUAUUUUUUUAAAUUGACAUUUUUCUAUUGUCUUACAUGUACAGAGAUUUUGAGAGUUGAAAAGAAUAUAUUUAAAUAAAAUAUUUUUAUUUGUUAUUUAUUUCAAUUAUAUCUAUUUUGUUCAAGUUAAAAUACUAAAUAUAAAUUGGAGGUAGGCAUUUUAACAGAUCAUCUAAGCUCUCAAAUCUGAAAUUUGUGUAGAUUUAAAUUCAUAAUUUUAGUUAAUUUUCAUAUAUUCAUAUAAACAAAUUUAUGAGAUUUUUUUCUUUUCAACAUGUUAUAUUUUUAAACUUUCAAUGUAUUAUUUUAGCUAUAUUUAAACAAUUAAUUUAUUUAAUUUUAAAUUUGAUCAGUAUAAAAUGUUUUUAUAUCAAAUUUUUUUAUUUAAAUAGUUCGUGGAUUGGACAAAAUUAAACAUUUUUAAUUCUUAAAUGAUGGAUUGGAUAUGAAUUGGAUCAAAUCCACAUUCGAUCCGCAGUUAUAUGGAUUGAAUUUGAAUUGAAUUUCAUCAAUCUAUGGAUUAUAUUGGAUUAAAAAUUUAUAAUCCACAAAAUCGUUGAUUAGAUAUGGAUUGAUGUCCAAUUCGCAAAAUCUAAUUGCCGAACACUCCACUAUCAAAAUUUUCAAAAAUAUGUUUUAUCCUAUAAUUUUUUUUUAAAGUCAUAGUCUAAUGGCAGCUCAAUUUCUACUGCAUUCAUAUAAGCGGAGUUCAAAUCUCAUACCUCUUAUCUCCACACGAGAUUUAACCAGUUGAAAUAGCUAGCACCCACAAAUAUACUAGUACAGCAUCUCUUAACGUUUAACAUACGUAUAAUUAACGCCAUAGCUAUUGAUAAACACAUUGUUCAAUAUAUAUGAUCAAGAAUCUGAUCCUGCGAGCAACAGCAGUAAGAAGAACCAUUAUAAUGCCUAGCUCUUAUCCCGGUUAAUCCUCUGGCCCGAUGCUUCAUCAUAGUGAUUUAAAAAACAAACAACAGCUCUCUAAAAGAGAUGAAGAUAUCAUCUACGUAAAGAACAUGAAACGGAGAUUCACAACCCAUAAGAACUGAGAUAAAUUGGACCAGACCGGUAAUCUUGAGAUAAGUUAAACUGUGACCUAAGUUGAAAUCAGAGGACCAGAAUUUUAAAAUCUUUCGGCUAAGCCCCUGAGCAAUUUUCUAGAGUACGGCUUCUGCUUACCUCUGUUUAAUUUCUCUUUAUAUUUUUCUUUCAUUUCAUUAAUAAAGUCAAAUAAUAAAUCAAAGAACGAGGGAAGAUUUUUCCAAGUCAUGCAUUAUUUGAUUACCAUCAAUCAAGAAACCGACCAAAUUAAUUUCUCUCCGUGAUUUUUAAAAAUUAAAAAAAAAAUUAUUUGAACAUAACAUCAUUAAUUAUAGAGUGGAUCAAACUGCGUUAAUCAUGAAACUGAUACCUAUUAAGAGUCAAACUUUUUACUUAUGCAUACUAAAAGACAUCAAAUUGUUCCGAUCCCCAAUUAUUUGAUCAGCAACUAUCAAGAACUGACCAAAUUUAUUUCUUCAUGACUUCCAAACACUAGAAAAUUUUGUUAUUUGAUAAUAAUAUCAUUAAUUAGAGUUUAUCAAACCGCAUUAUUUUCUUUCAUAAAAUUGAUGCCUAUUAGUGUCACACUUUAUUUGUAUUACCUAGCGGACAUCAACUUUUUUUUUAAUUUUUUUAAAUUAAAAAGACCAUUUGAUUUUAACCCAUGUUCUUGGCCUUAGGGAAGCUGACUUCUUUUAUAGGUGAUAUCUGCUUGAACUUUGGUGUGUUAAUUAUUUCAAUCCCCAAUUAUGUAAUUUUUUAAAUUAUAGCCUAACGGCGGUCUCAUCACCACGUGUGUGAUUUUCUUUUGCCAAUAGGAUCUGCAGAGAGCUUGAUCUCAUCCAAUAGCAAAAUAAACUUCCUAAUAAGUGAAGGUAUAGUAUAAAUAUUUCACCCCCAUAUUAUUUAUUAGCAGCUUGAUUAUUUUAUAUGCAUCUUUGAUUUUAAUUUUUUUUCCCAUAAUUGCUACUAUGUUCGAACUGGUCAUGAAUUAUCUAUAAGAUUUUUCAUGUUGCUUUUAGGUGCAUUGGAUUUUUUGAGUUUAGUGCAAGAGUAGAGGAAGGCAAAUUAAGAAAAAGGAUAAAGAUCUAUGAUUAGCUAUUUUGGGAUGUCUCAUAACAUAUUGAUGCUAACAUUAUACAUAUGUAUAUCUAAAUAAUGGGCUUGGAUCAAGAGCCCAUUAAUAAUCAUAGAUUAGCUUAUAUAGUUCAAAAAAUGUACCAUAAAGCAAUUUUACAAGCACUUGUUAGCCUAUGUUGAGCUUUAUUAUCAAUAGUUCAUAGUUCAUCAGUGCACUGCAAGUUUACUAUUUGAAGUAAAUGUUGUGGUGCGUGCAUUCUUCAUAAGGCCAACUAUUGAAUUUAGCAUUGAAACUUACAAAAUGUAAUAGAAAGAGGUAGAUAACAGCCAUAAAACACUAAGAUUGGAAAUCAGGGCAACUAAAUACUAUUACAAGCCCUUAGAAAAGACAGCGAUCAUCCUGAAAUAUAUAUACUGAAAGUAAGAAAUGUUAAUCGCAAAGUUAUGUGCCAACAGAACUAUUGACUACUUGUCUCUAGUAGAAAGUAAAUAUUUUUAACUUCAGCCCUCUACUUUGUUCUAAGAACAAGGCAAUAUAAGGAAACAUCGGUGUCUAAAAUUUGCCGCUUGGAAUAUUUCACUGUCUAAACAUUCACUCACCACUUAUUUCAUUAAUGAAUUUUGUCUAAUUAUAUGUUGAUAAAGAUAUUAGAGUAAUAUAAUACAUUUAAGGCUUAACUUAUAUUUUUUAUUAGUAGAGUGUAGAACUUUUAAGAAAUAAAUUAUUAAAUUACUAUAACUAACAUAUUAUUUUAAAGUUAUGUUAAGGAAAAGAAUGAAACAAAAAUAAAUAAAUAAAUAAGGGUAUUCUAAAACUUUGAUCUUUUUAAAAGUAGAUUUUGACAUAGAUAAAAUAAUUUUUAUAUUUUUUAAAUCACAUACUCUAGUUAAAAUCAAAUUGUAUUUAUAAAGUUUGUAAAUUUUUUUUUUUUUAGCACUGAUAUUUGAACACUAUCAAGAUAAGAAAUAGGGCACUGGUCAUGCUACAACAUUAUUAUAGCACAUAAAAAGACAAUACCAUUUAUUUUAUUGUACUAUCAUUGUUGUUAUAAUAGUAUUUUUGUUAGUGGUCAAAUAUUAUUUUUUUAAGUAAAAAAAGUGAACAAUGUAAAUUAACUUUUAAUCUCUCCUAAAUUCUAAUUCCUAGUUACGAAACAAAAUUGUUUAAAACCAUAGGUGAUAGGUGAUAGAAGUUACUAACACAAGCAAAUUUGACGGUCCAUUUUAUAAAAUUUGUUAUUUACCAUUUUACCACCUAUAUAAGGAGUGCCGCAUCGACAUAUCAACUCAUUUGCAGAUUAUUUUAAUUUUGUAAAAUUCAUUUAACCUGCACUUGGUCGCCCCUAUUCUCUGAAUGGUUAUGGCGAUAUCAUCAUUAUCGUUACUUGUACCAACGCUAAACCCUUCUUAUUCCCUUUCUCGCCUGUCAUACCCUAACAUUAUAUCCCGUGUCCACACUAAAGACAAGUAGUCAAUUCAAGCCAUCAGAUUAUAGUGGACCCACAUCAAUCCAACUACUUACAAUGACCGACAGCCUCUCCAUCUCCAUUUCAGGUUUCCUCUUCAACUGGCUUCUGCUUCCGCUGUAUUUGCUCCAUUUCUUGGAUUCGGAGUCCGUAUUUGGUCGGUCGGUCCCGCACAGCUCCCUCUCACUCCAAUUGUCACCCAACAAGACCAAUUGCUUAAUCAAGGCACAGAACAAGAAGAGGAUGAGAAAUUGAAACAGAAUUUGAGAAUUGGAAAUCGAAAACGUACGCAUUGACCGUGCCUUUGAGGGCAAUUACUUUUCUUGAGAAUUGAAGUUUGGUAAUGUAAUUUGUUCUCCAUCUGUGUUCCUUUGUAGUCAUUUCAUUUAUUUGUUUGUUUGCUUUAUUUGCACUUACGAAGUCUCAGGUAUACCUACGCAGGAAUGAGCAGGAGAAAUUGAUCCUCGAGGUAACAUAUGGGCGCGCCAUAUCGGUGGGGCACAGUGGUGAUAGCUUACAAGAAAGUAAAUUUCGAAAGCAUAAUUUGGUUCCGAUUGAGGUAAUAAUUGUCUUUAAGCUCAUUUAGUUUUAUAUCAAACAAAAUCAAGACUGCCUUUCUCUUCAAUAGUUUUGAUGAUAAUAUCUUUAGAAGCAUCUCAUUGACAGGUAAUCGUGGUACCCCUUAAAGAGUCUAUAAACUCAAGGAUAUUAUCUUCUGCAAAUGGUUCAUUAAACUUCUUAGAUGUAGUUAAAUGUACACUGAGAACAACGAGAAGCUAUGCCACUGUAGCAUGUAGUGAUGGCACUUAAUGAGUGAGUUGCUAGGAUAUGAACUAGAAAAAUUAAACAUUGUCUCCCUGGGUAUGCUAGCUUGUAAGUCGGUUAAUAUUAGAGCUUGAGAUACUAUAACCAUGAGAAGCUAUUGACCGCCGAUUAAAAUAUCCAUUAAAAUGUCUAGGGAGUUAUGAAGGUGGAGGUGUCUCCCAAUUUCUAAGGCCAUAUAGUAGACAUCAUCCAGGAUCCUAUUAAAGUGCAGUUAGCCUCCUGCUUGAUGCUAAUGUCAAACAAUUAAUAAAUUUGGUCAAUGUAACUGAAACUUGCUAACUGACGUCAGAUUGCGACUUGAGCACCUUAAAAUGGGAUAGACGAUUAGUAGCACUGAAUUCUUCUUGCCUAAGAUUGAGCAAUUGUUCUAACUACUAUCUCCUAUUGUAGGUUGAUUAUUAUGUUCUAAUUAUGUCGAUUUUGACCCAAAAAAUUACAUAAUCUUGAUCUGCAUAAUGUCACUGAACAGUGUCAAUUUCGUUUACCAACUAACUUGAGUUUGAUAUAACAAACACACGGUGUGUCUCUCAUGUCUCACCAUGAUGGAGAAUUUUUCUAAUGCAUGAAGCAAGCUUCGAUAUGUGGGUUAGCUUGGAGAAGAUAUCUUAAAAUGAAGAAUAUGGGGAGUUAAUGGGAAGAAACAGUUCAGUAGUUUAUAAUUCUGUCGUCGAGCUGUAUCUCUAACAUGGUCAAAAUUUAUGUGAAUAAGGACAGGGAAUCUUCAUUCCUCUUUCCCUUUUUAUACCCACAUAUCUCUCAACCUUUAUAUGUUGCUCACUGGAGAUCUGCUUCUGAUAACUAAAAUAAAAAUUUCAUCCACUCAAAUAAAUUCUGACCAAGCUUUCACAAGAAAAAGUAACAUCUUUAGUGAAGUAAUUUACAAGUAAUUUAGAGUUCCUUAUCAUCUUCUUGUGAGUCUAUCAGUAUGAUCCAAAAACAUAAUAAAUCUUGUUAGAUCCUGUUUAUUGAUGUUUAAACGCUGCUCAUUGUGAAAUGUAGAAACAAUGACGUGAAGUUUCUUUGGUCAUCAAUUAGUGAGAUCUUGUUUGAAGUUGUUUUCUGAAAUGAACUGCCAAAUGAUAGUUUUUUUUUUUUUUUCUUUGGACGCAUUUGAUGGCUCUUUUCUCCUCAUUUUAAGCAUGUGCCUGCUUGGUAUGGGAAGGAAUAGGCUUCAGAGUUGUUAUAUAUGUUGACAUGCUCUGGUCAUUACACAAUAUGUUCAAAUUGGAAAUUAGAAUGAGAUAUUUGUCGAUGCUUUUUGAGAGAUCUGCAUUCUAUGCAGCAUAACAUGAUUAAUGAAAAUGGGUUUAAGGACUGGAAAGAUCUGUGGCAGCCCAAGCUUGCAGGAAGGAUUUCAAUGGUUAAUUCUCCCAGAGAGGUUAUUGGUACAGUUUUGAAGUAUAUGGGAGCAUCAUACAAUUCAAACGACAUUAAUUAGCAAGUUGCUGCUGGGAGGAUUGCUGUUCAGCAGAAUCUGGCAUUACUGGGAAACCAGGUACUCUUAAAGAAACGAUAGCUGGUCAAUGCAUAUUAUUGCCUGACGGCUGAUUUUGUUUGUAAAGUGUGCCUUUUCAUACAUAUGAAUGCAUAUGUUAGUGUUGUCUUCUCCUUUCCAUAAAUAUGAAUGCAUAUGUUGGUGUUCUUUUCUGAGAUGGAUGCAAUAAAGGCUUUUCUUCUCUAAAUGACGAGUUUUCAUUUAAAAAUGUUAUAAAUCUGCCAUGCAUAGUAUUCUAGUAGAAUCAUCUAUAAAUUCAAGUUAUUGAAAUUGUCUAUUUGUCCAGUUUGAGUUAAGGACGCAUGUAAUAUGAAAAUAGUUGUCGAAUAUUGUAGGUUAGCUAAUAUUGAUCAAUCCUAUAGGGAGGGCUUUAAGAUGUCUAACAACAUGUAGAAUGCCCCUGCUUCCCCCACAAUUUUUAUCUUAUACAAUUUUUAUCUAUAAACAGUAUUUGCCAGACCUUAACUGUUCAGAUUCCCCUUCUCGACUAUCAUACCCUACGCCCCGUCUCCGUGUCUCCGAUAAACAGCUCAAUUAAGGCCAUCAGAUUAUCCCGGUCCCACAUUGAUCAACGGCUCACAAUGACCGACAACCUCUGUCUCCAUUACAAGCUCCCUCUUCAACUCGCUUCUGCUUCCAUCCUACUCUUUCUCAGAUUCGGAGCCCGUAUAUGCUCGCUGGUCCCACGAAGCUCCCUCUCACUCCAGCUGUCAACCGACAAGACCAAUUGCCUUAUCAAGACAGAGAACAAAAAGAGGAUGAGAAAUUGAAACAAGAAUUGAGAAUUGGAAAUCGAAAACGUACUCAUUGACCGUGCCUUUGAGAGUUGUUUCUCUUCAGAAUUCAGUGCCUCAAUCUUGGGUUAAGGAUUUUAUGCGAAGUCAAGGAAAGUGAUUGAAGUUUCAGAUGAAUUUGUGUGCUAGCAUUGGUGGGAUCUUUAACAAUUUAUCUGCCCUUUAACAAAGUCAAGGCUAAUUCAGCUUCUUAUAUGGCUGCUGAUUUGGUUAGUGUUGGUGAUUCAUGGCUUAGUUUUGCCAUUAAAGAGAGAUUGAUUGAGCCAAUGGCUGGAGCUGAAGACCAAGAUUGGUUCAAAUGCUUAAGUCACAAAUGGAAGGUAACAUCUUUAUCUUUGGCCCGAUAAUUUUUAUUGUCUUACAUUGAAAUUUGGUAAUGUAAUUUGUUCUCUAUCUGUAUUACCCUUUUUAGUCAUUUUAUUUAUUUGUUUAUUUGCUUUUAUUUGCACUAACGAAGUCUCAGGUAUAUCUAUGCAGAAUGAUGCAGGAGAAAUUGAUCCUCGAUGUGAAAUAUGGGCGGCACCAUACAGGUGGGGCACAAUGGUGAUAGCCUACAAGAAAAGUAAAUUUCGAAAGCAUAAUUUGGCUCCGAUUGAGGUAAUAAUUGUCUUUAAACUCAUUUAGUUUUAUAUCAAACAAAAUCAAGACUGCCUUUCUCUUCAAUAUUUUUGAUGAUAAUAUCUUUAGAAGCAUCUUAUUGAUGGGUAAUAAUUGUAUCCCUGAAACAGUCUAUAAACUCAAUGAUAUUAUUUCUACAAAUGGCUCAUUAAACUUUGUCGUUGUAGUCAAAUGUACACUCAGAGCAAUGACAAGCUAUGCCACUGUAGCAUGUAGUGAUGGCACUUAAUAAGUGAGUUGCUAGGAUGUGAACUAGAAAAAUUAAAUAUUGUCUCCCUGGGCAUGCUAGCUCAUAAGUCAGGGUUAAUAUUAGAACUCAAGAUACUAUAACCAUGAGAAGCUAUUGACUGCCAAUUAAAAUAUCCUUUAAAAUGUCUAGGAAGUUAUGAAGGUGGAAGUAUCUUCCGAUUUCUGAGGCCACAUGGUAGAUAUCAUCCAGGAUCCUAGUACAGUGCAGUUAACCUCCUGCUUGAUGCAAUUAAUAAAUUUGGUCAAUGCCACUGAAACAUGCUAACUGACGUCGCAAUGCGACAUGAGCACUUCAAAAUGGGACAGACGGUCGGUAGCACUAAAUUUUUCUUGCCUAAGAUUGAGCAAUUGGUCUAACUACUAACCCCUUUUGUAGUUGAUCAUUAUUUUUCAAUUAUUUUCAGUUUGACCCAAAACGUUACAGAAUCUUGAUCUGAAUAUUGUCACUGAACAUUGUCACUGAACAUUGUCAAUGUCGUUUAGCGUAGCCAACUAACUUGAGUUUGGUAAAACAAACACACAGUGUGUCAUGUCUCACAAUUCAAAUUAUCAUUUGUAAUGAUGGAGAAUUUUUCCAAUAUGAAGUAUGCUUUGAUACGUGGGUUACCUUGGGGAAGGUAUCUCAAAAUAAAGAAUAUGGGGAGAAAAGUUCAGUAGUUUAUUAUUAUGUAGUCAAGUUUUGUCUCAAAAAUGGUCCAAAUUUAAAUGAAUAAGGACCGGGGAUCUUCAUUCUUUUUUCCCUUUUUUAUACCUAGAUAUCUCUCAACCUUUAUAUAAUCCCCACUGGAUAUCUGCUUCUAAUAAUUAAAAUAAAAAUUUCACCCACACAAAUAAAUACUGACCAAGCUCUAACAAUAAAAAGUAACUUCUUUAGUCAAGUGAUUUACAGUUCCUCAUCACCUUAGUGAGACUAUCAGUGUGUUCCAAAAACAUAAUAAAAUUGGUUGUUCCUGUUUAUUGAUGUUUAAAUGUUGUUCAUUGUGACAUGUAGAAAUGAUGAGGCGAAGUUUAUUUGGUCAUCAAUUUGUAAGAUCUUGUUUGAAGUUGCUUUCUGAAAUGAACUGCCAAAUGGUAGUUUCUUUGGGGCAUUUGAUGGCUCUUUUUUCCUCAUUUUAAACAUGUGCCUGCUUGGAACAGGAAGGAUUAGGCUGCAGAGUUGUUAUAUAUUUUGACAUGCUCUAGUCAUUGCACAAUUUGUUCACACUGGAAACUAGAAUGAGAAAUUUGUUGCAUUCUAUGCACAAUAACAUGAUUAAUGAAAAUGGAUUGUAGGACUGGAAAGAUCUGUGGCAGCCUGAGCUCGCAGGACGAAUUUCAAUGGUUAAUUCUCCCUGAGAGGUUAUUGGUUUAGUUUUGAAGUAUAUGGGAGCAUCAUACAAUUCAAACGAUAUUGAUUCGCAAGUUGCUGGUGGGAAGAUUGCUGCUUCAGCAGAAUCUGGCAUUACUGGCAAACCAGGUACUCUCAAAGAAAUGAUAUCUGGUCAUUGCAUGUUAUUACCUGACAACUGAUUUUGUUUGUAAAAGUCUGCUUCUUCAUACAUAUGAAUGCAUAUGUUAGUGUUUUUCUUCCUUUUCAUACAUAUGAAUGCAUAUGUUGCUUCUUUUCCUUUCCAUACAUAUUAAUACAUAUGUUGGUGUUCUCUCCUGAGAUGGAUGCAAUAAAGGUUUUUCUGAAGAAAUGGCAAGGGAUGUGAGAUUCUGUCUCAUAAAAUUAACAAAAACCCAAAACAAUGAAAACCCAUAAUAAUGUGGUGUGGGUAAAUUGACGCCAUUUGGUUCGUUUCCUUGAUGUGAAUACGCGGGCAAUAGAGACUAACAAAAUGAAGUGACAACAAGAAGUCAGUGUCCUUUGAUGGAUGCAUUUUUAGGCAGAAAUAGGUUUGUAAUUGACCAAAUUUGUCUGGCAUGCCAAUUUCAAAAAAAAUUAAAUUAUGUGGUUAUUAGCUGUAAUGAAAGGGGGAUUGUAGGUCCAAUCAGGUGGAUCCAUGAAAGUUCAACAAAGUUCUGGUAUGGCGUAGAAAUUGGUUUGUGCAACUCAAGAGUCUUUCUGGUGAACGAUGAUGGGUUUUGAUUUUAUAAAUGUUAUAAAUCUACUGUGCAUAGUAUUCUAGUAGAAUCAUCUAUAAGUUCUAGUUAUUGAAAUUGUCUACCUUGUUCAGUUUGAGUUAAGGGCACAUGUAAUAUGAAAAAUAGUUGUUGCAUCUUUUAGGUUACCUAACAUUUGAUCAAUCCUAUUAUGAGGCUUCAAGAUGUCUAACAAUAUGUGGAAUGCCCAUGCUCCUCCCCAUUGUUUAUCUUAUAUAAUAAUUUGUUUUAGAUGCUAAUAUCUUUGUCGAUACCGGUAACAAUAUUACAAUAUCUGCGUUUAUUGGGUUUUACAUAGGUUCGACUGUUUGACAGUACACACUCUCUGAAGGCAUUUGGAAAUGGAGAUGUAUGGAUUGCUGUUGGGUGGAGUAGUGAUGUUCUUCCUGCUGUCAAACGUUUGUCUAAUGUUGCAGUUGUUGUUCCCAAGUCUGGUGCUAGCUUAUGGGCUGAUCUUUGGGUAUACCCAUGCCUGCCAUUCUACUUCAAUAUUCACAUUGUUAUCUCCUUCAUAUUAGUGAUCAGUAAACAUGAUAAUGUGACUAAUAAGUUCGUAUUCUCUUUAUAGGCAAUCCCUGCUGACUCAAGACUUGAAACAAAACAAAUUGGAGGGUGAGUCAGAGGUGCAUUUCCAUUAAUCCAUCAAUGGAUAGAAUUCUGCUUGCAAACAGCGAGAGCAUUGCCUUUCAAGCAAGAGGUUAUCCCGAGCGCAUCUCCCUCUGCCUUGAGAGUACUCUGGUUAAGUUGCCUGAAGAACUUUUGAAGGGUAAACCAAGUCUGGAUACUAACUUAAUUGCUGGAGUACCCCUGACGGAAAUUCUGGCCAGAUGUGAGUUUUUGGAGCCAUUAUCUGAAGCUACAUUGUCGGAUUAUGAGUGGCUGGUUGCUAAUCUGCAAAAAUCCACUCCUGUACUGAUCAACAAGAUGCAACAUUACAUGUCAUCAUUGAUCUUUAGCUAAAGGUACAUUGAAAAGUUAAUGGCACUGCAUACCAGUCAUUAUAAUUGGGUCAGGGCAAUUGGGUCAGGGCAAUUAGGUCAGAGCAUAACUUCAUUAGGAAAAGAGGCUUCAGCUACGUUAAAUAUUACAGGAUGUACUGAGAUGGCUGAAGUUGGUGAGGUUUUACGAGAAACGAAAGAUAGUGUUUGUUUGAACAAAGUUGUUGCCAAUCUUGCAGAGUUCGAGAAGAAAGAUCACGAAGCGAAUGCCACCGAUUUCUUCAUCAUUGUAGCCUCCAUAGUUGAAGUUUCCUCAUUUGAAGCUGUUUAUGCAUAUGCUUUUUCCCUUCUCAAGUACAGGAAAUUGAAGAAUUAACCAGAUGUGAUAUGCUGAAAGAGGGAAGUUUUCUUCCUUGAAUGUGACCUUUGUGAUUUGUCUUGAAGGGAUAGGGUGAUCACUGGCAAGAACCCUAUCAAGGUAGAUUUUAUGAUGUUAACAUAUUAUUAAGCAUUUUGUUACAUCAGCAAUGAUGCUUUCAUAGCAUGAAAGUGUUUAAAUUUAACUGAAUGAUCUUGAUUGAUCAAUUAUGAGUUUUAAUCGAGUAAAAACUAAAUACAAUAAUCGUUAACAAAUAUUGAAAUUGGGUAAAUAAGAUCUUGAUAGUGAAGAAUUUGAAAUCACACCCACACAGGAAAUCACCCUUCGCGUGGGGAUGGAGAUGUUUACUGCAGCGAUAUUGAAUAUGUCCACUGCUGGACUAAUUCUGAUUACCUAAUUGACUCAGGAUCGGCUGGCAAUAAUAACAGUUUAUUAACAAUGCACAGUCCGAGUACUUUUCCAGGAUCAGAUACGACGUGGUCUAAUGUUGAUAAUAAUAGAUUAUCAAAUGACAAAUCGUUGUUCUACUAUUGCAAGCCCCCAGAUUUAAGAAUCUUUUUCAGAAAUUAAAUACAUUCUGAGAGAUGCUGGUCUACUAUUGCAAGCCCCCAGAUUUAAGAAUCUUUUGACGGUAAUUUAUCACCUGUAACUGUGCCGGAAGAUUCAACUAGCACUGAAAAAGAUGAUAAAUUAAUUGAUAUGGAGAGUUUUCAUAUCACUUUUAAAUCAUCUUAUGUAAUUGUGAUGUUAGGAAGCAUUAGUGAUCUAUAUGUGAAUUAUUAUUGGCGCCAUUGGUGGUUUUAUCUUGUUAAAAUAUGGAUGAAUUCCAGUUACUAUUUUGUUGCAGACAAUCUUCUUCAAUUAACAUAUGGUUUAAAAUCAUUAUGUAAAUCAAUCUAUUAAUUUUCAAGAUAUUUAACUGAGUUAAAACUAAGUGCACUCAAUAAAUCUCUUUUCCUUUAAAAAACUGUUACGCUUUGAUUUUAGUGCUUAAUAUUUAUUGAACUCCGAUACAGGGAAUUUGAAAUCAAACUCGUAACUACAUAUUAUCUAAUUGCAAGUUUCUAUCCAUAGCUGCUGAUUUGUAGUGAUUAUCUAAUUGACUGAGGUGACGACAAUUUUUUUUUUUUUAAAUUUUCAAUAGCACAAUGUGGAAUUCAAUAAUUAAAUUCUCCUUUUUAAUUUGUUUCCAGUUAAAUUAUUAAUUACUUAAACUCUGUUUUAAGUCUUUAAGUUUAUGUGUUUAUGCAGAAUUGGAUUCUUGAGCGUGUUGGACACGACCAACAAUGAAAUUGACAGUAAAAAAAACAAUACAACGUGUGGACUCCGGUAGAUGCCAUACAAGUCUACAACUUUACAAAUAAUAAUUGAGUAAGCAACUUUGAUUCUCGGGGCCCUUCAAUGAAUUUCUAGCCCCGUUGACUCCGCCAACUAAAGUUUGUAAAAUAAAAAAAUACAUAGAAUUCCACUAAAUGCAAAACGCGUGGAAUUUAAUUUUCGGCCAUGUGGACCAAAACAUAAUUUAAUGAAAAAGGAAAAAAAUGAUAAGAUUUCUAAAAUAUGUGAAAGAUGAUCCAUAUUUUACUGAAACGACUUAUUAAAUUUUUCAAAGAUUUAGAAUAUUUAGUCAUAAAUUACGUGCAUGUUAAUUUUUCCGCCAUUGACUAUCAUAUUCUAAACUUAAUAGUACAUUUCUUGUUGAAGGGUACUUAAUCUCUCUUCUCCUCUUAUAAAAAUUAUAUUGAUGGAUUUCUUGUUAUAGUUAAUAGUCUUUAAGAACGGAUAACUUUAUUGUUUUCGUGACCAAAUUAUGUCCGCCUAAGGUUGUGACUAUUAAUAAAAUUAAUAUUUAAUGUUUAUGUUAAAAGAUAUAAGAUUUUAUGCGUUCAUUAAUUGUUAUUAGCUAAAGGAUGAAUUAUUUUUUCAACCCAAUCAGUUGAUGCAUCUGCAAGAGUUUUUUCUUUUAUUGACCAUAAUUAUGUUCCGGGUACAAUAAAUUGUCUUUGGUGCUUGGAAAAUAUGACUUCUUACUUCAAGUUUGAUAUGUCUCUCUCCAUAAACUUACUGGAAAUAUAUCCUCAUCUACUGUCAUUUAUCUAAUAUCAAUUGAAGAUCUCACUUUUUCAAACUAUCACUUCCAAGUCUCAUUGUCACUUGGCCAUUCUUGGACCAUUCAAAACCAAUCAAGUGUUGAAAUAAUCAAAUAUAUGCAAAAUUAGAGUCACGAUUUUUGGUCCCCCAAAUUCUAAUUAUAUAACUUCUAUAUAUUUCAUUGCCAGGUCACGAACUUGUUGGCACAUUUUCCAAAUUCCUCUUCCAUCAGCUCUCACACGUUAACUUAAGUGAAAAGUUUCCAAGUUGAUUGCUAGAAAGCAACGCAAAAUCAGACACACUUGAUCUGUCCCCUAAUUCUCUUUUCUACGUUGAAAAAGAAAAAAAAAAAUAAAAUACAUACAUACAUAUAUAUAUAUAUAUAUAUAUAUAUAUAUAUAUAUAUAUAUAUAUAUAUCUAUGUAAAAAUAAAUAAUAAACUGAGUAAAAGUACAUUUGUUUAAUUAACAUCUGAUCGGGGCAUUUUUGGUGUAAGCCACAACUAAAAUCAAACAGCCCCUUAGCAUACUUCUUCCAUUUUAUCGGCUACUUUUGUGGAUCUUAUAGGGUGGGCAUGUGGACAGAAUUUAAAAGUUUUAAUAGGCUCAAAGAAGAAGAUGUGUUAAAUCUAAAGUUGUUGCACCUUCUGAUUAAAUAAAGUUGUACAAUUUCAUCAACUUGAAAGAAUUGACAUUAAUGAACUGGUCGCCUCUCCAUGUAUGAAGCCUUCUUAAAAGUUAAUUUUUAUUUCAGAAAAAAAAAGUUUAAGUUACAUAUAUUACAGUAAGAUUUUUUGAGACCAAUUCCCUUCUUGAAAUAAUAAUAGAAAAGUAUUAAUUUAAAAAUAAAAUGAAUAUGUAUUGAUUAUAUCCUGAUUUUCAUCGAUUAUAGUUAGAGUUUCACCAAAUCAAUUCCCUUAUUCAAAUAAUACAGAAAAAAUAGUAAUUUAAUAGUAAAAUAAACAGGUGUUGAUUAUAUAUCCUAAGUUUCAUCGAUUAUGUGAUCAAAGUGGCAUUGUUGAUUUAUUUUUUGUUCAAUGUUAAUUUUUAGGUUAUAUAAAUUUCAAGGAUUUAAAAUCUUUGGCCAUGAAUUACACGCUUGUUAAUUUUCCUGCCAUUGACUGUCAUAUUCUAGACUUAAUGAUACCUUUCUUGAUCAAGGGUAAUUACUCUCUCUUCUCCUCUUAUAAAUUCCUCUUCCAUUAACAUCACUAGGAGUAUGUUGAUCUCUCAGACGUUAACUUGAGUGGAGAGUUUCCAAAUUGAUUGUUACAAAACAACACAAAAACUAGACACACUUGAUCUGUCUAAUAAUUCUCUUUCGGUAAAAUUAAAUAAUUUUAGGGGAAUAUUCGGCCAACCUCUAUAAUUUCAUAGUGAUCAUUAAUUAAUUAAUCGAUACAAAUAUCUAAAGUGAUUAAAUGUGACUUGAAAUUUGAUCUCUAUCGAUUGGUUUACAAAUGGACGUACUUGUGCCUUUGUGGCGAUAAUCGAACAAGUACCCAUGAUUAUUAUUUUUUCCAAAAACUUUUUUACAACAAAUUCAUCUCGUCAAAAAUUCUAUGUUGCUAACUAACAAUAAUUGAGCACUUGGCCGCAUUGACUCCACGUCUCCACCUCUUUCUAAAUUCUAAGUAAAAACAUGGAAAUGUAAUUUCCACAAAAUGCCAAAUGUGUGGAAUUUAAUUUUUUGCCUUGUGGAUCAAAAUACAAAUGAAAGAAACAGAAGAAAAAAAAGGCCCAAAGACUUCUAAAAGAUGAAGAAGUCUUUGUGCCUUUUUAUAAUGGUGAAUUUUUUUAAAGAAAAAAAAUAACAACAUUUUUAUGGUUUGUUUUGAUAAUCAUAUUUACAUAUACUCUCUAAUUUUCAAAAUGGACACAUAAAUCUUUUUUUUUUACAAAAUAUAUAUUAUUCAUAUUUUUUUUAUUUUUUUAUUAUCAUAUUUUUAUUUAUUAUAAAUGUUUAGAGCAAAUUUUUAGGUUGAAAUAUAAUAAAAAGGUAUAAUUGUUCUCUUAUUAAACACACAUACUUUUAUUAGUUUCUAUCCAUUUGUCAUCUCAAUCUCUCUCAAUUAUUCUUUAUUGCUAGCUCAAAACGCGUUGCUGUUGCAAAUUAUAGCAAAAUGACAAAUAUGGAAAAAAAGGGAAGAAAAUUAAUGCAUGAAAGACUUGGAGAAAACAACAAAAUAAGCCAACUAUGAGCUAGUUGGGUGUAUAAAUUGUUAGAUGUGUUAUAUACAAAUAGCGUAGAGCCCUCUAGUUGGUUCCAGAGACAGAAAGAGCGUGUGUGUUUUUUCACAGUUAGAGAUAUAGUUAGAAUGGGUGGUUCAAAAUCAAAAAUGAUGAUAAUGUUUAUUAUGUUAUUAAUAAUAUUUAAAAGUGGGUGGAGUGAGGGAUGUUUGGAUCACGAGAGAUUUGCUUUUUUGAGACUCAAACAUUUCUUCAAUGAUCCUCUUAAUUCUCUUUACGACUGGGUAGAUGGUGAGGGAGCUACUGAUUGUUGUCAGUGGGAAAGGGUUGAGUGCAGCAACACCACAGGCCGAGUGAUAGCACUGGACCUUUCUUAUAUAUAUUCGGGAGAGUACAGCUGGUAUCUGAAUGCUUCUUUAUUUACUCCCUUCCAACAACUUGAGUCACUUGAUUUAACUCAAAACAAAAUAGCCGGAUGUGUUGAGAAUGAAGGUACUUUGUUUAAUUUAAUUAAUUUACUUUCUCCCCCCUAAUUUAAGUUGAAUAUCAAGACCGAGCAAUUAUAUGCAUAUUCAUUUAGUCGACAAUUUUGACUUUUUUUUAAAUGAUUAAUUUUGAAAUUACACCAGUAUCUAUGAUCUUUUUUAUUUUAUUUUAUUUGCAGGUAUAGAGAGGCUAUCAAGAUUGAACAACUUGAAGAUGCUUAAUUUAAGUCGAAACUCAUUCAAUAAUAACAUUUUAUCAUCUCUAACUCAUCUUUCAUCAUUAAGAUCAUUAAAUUUAUUGUGGAAUAGAUUGGAAGGAAGUAUUGACGUUAAAGGUACAUAAUUAAAACUUCAAGCUCUUUCAUUAACUUGCUAAAAUAAGAUUCAAGGCUUUGAAUUCAAUUUUUUUAUGAUUAAUAUUAAAAAAACAGUUUUAAGCAAUUUAUAAAUACAAGUUUUAAUGUUUCUUGUAAUUUCAUCUUGUACUUUCAUAUGUCUUGAAUUUAAGAUUAAAAAAAAAACUCUAAUAGCGAACCAAACACCUCCACAACUUAUUAUUAUUAUUUUAAUUUGUGGUGAGGUUUGAAACAUUCAACUCAAUUUGUACUUAUUACAGAAUUUGAUUCUUUGAGAGAUUUAGAGGAGCUAGACAUUGGCGGGAACAAGAUUGACAAAUUUGUGGUCUCAAAAGGUACUACAAAUACCAUAAAAAAAUAUGCUAACUUUUACAAAUUAGUUAGAUUCUUUGCCAUUUGGUUUAUUAUUUUACAGGUUUGAGUAAGUUGAAGUCUCUUGGUUUAAGUGGUAUCAAACUCAAUCGUAGCAUCUUAUCUUCUCUUUCUUCGUUAAGAGAAUUAGAUAUAAGUCGUACGGGAUUCAAAGGAACAUUUGAUGUUCGAGGUAAGCCUAAACCUUGCUUUCUCAUUUUAUAUAUGCCAACUAGAUUUGUGUAUCAUCGACAUAAUUUAAUAUUUAAUUUGAUAAGUCUGAAUGAAUUACAUGCUAAUUUAAACACACUUUUAUUUACUUUGUCAAUUAAUUAAUUAAUUAAUUACUAUUUGGCUUGGUUUGGACGAAAUUCUCAUGAUGUUUUAAUUUCUUUAAAUUAAUUAAUUAAUUAACUCUGUUUUUAAGUCUUAAGUCUGGGCAUGUUUGCAGAAUUUGAUUCCUUCAAUAACUUAGAAGUGUUGGACAUGAGUUGGAACGAAAUCGACAAUCUUGUGGUUCCUCACGGUAAACAAUUAAAAUGUUAUUCAAUUACAUUAUUUUAAUUCAUUUGAUUAGGGAAGGCCAAAAAGGUAAAAAAAAUAAUAAUAAAGAAACAGAGAAUUUGUAUUAUUUAAAAAACAGAAUGUAAUAAAGAUUUGAUUCUGGUUCUUUAAUCUUUAAAGUGAUUGAAAAACAAUGUUGCUCUUUUCCCAAAGCAUCAAAUACGAAUUGAAUGCCAAUUAACUUAAUCAUUCAUUUCGUUUAGCUCUAAAUUUAGACAAUGAAUUUUUAUAUUAUUUCAAAAACAUGACGUAAUAGAAUUUUUUUAAAAACAGAUUCUAAUAAAGAUUUGAUUCCAAUUCUUUAAUCUUUACAGUGAUUGAAAAACGAUACUACUCUUUUCCCAAAGCAUAAAUACGAAUUGACUCCCAAUCAAAUUAAUCAUUUAUUUCGUUCAUCUCUGAAUUUAAAUAAUGAAUUUUGAUCUUCAAUCGUAUUAUAAUUACUAUUAAAGAACAGGUUACAGAGGUUUGAGGAAGUUGAAUCAUCUUGAUCUAUCGGGAGUUGGAAUUAGAGAUGGAAGCAAGUUGUUACAGUCAAUGGGAUCAUUCCAUCCCUCAACACUCUUUACCUUUCGUGGAAUAAUUUUAUCGAUACAGCGACCGCUACUCAAGGUAAGUAAAAGGUACAAAUGUGGCCAAAUUUAUAAAUAAAUUGUUAAUUAAUUAAUUUUUCCGUAUUAUUAAUUAAGCUAAAUUUGUUGCUCCUUCCUUCUAAAUCUAAACAGAGUUGCACAAUUUCACCAACUUGGAAUAUUUGACAUUGGACUUUUCCUCUCUCCAUAUAAGCCUUCUCCAAAGCAUUGCAUCAUUAUUCCCUUCGUUAAAAAAUCUGUCGAUAUCUCAUUGUGAAGUCAAUGGUGUCCUACGCGGUCAAGGUAAAAGAAAAUCGUUGAUUGUGAACUCACUCAAUGGUGUCCUACGUGUUCAACAUUUUUAUUUAUUUAUUGUUUAAUGUUUCUGCUAGGUUUUCCUCAUUUCAAGAGUUUGGAACAUUUGGAUAUGGAUUACACGCGCAUUGCACUCAACACCGGCUUUCUUCAAAUCAUCGGUGAAUCGAUGCCUUCUCUUAAGUACUUAUCACUGUCAAGGUUAAUCUAUAAAUCGAUGCCUUCUCUUGAUCAAGGUUAAUCAGAUGCUCCCACUCUCCCCUCUUAAUCUAUAAUAUUAAUUUUCAAUUCAAUAUUUAAUUACACAAACGAAUCACUUAUUAUAAAAGAAUAAUACGCAUUCAUUAAUUUUUAUAUUGUAUUAAUAAUUGAUGAAUUUAAUAACUUUUCAGGUCUCUGUUCGUUGGUGCAUCUGCAAGUGUUGAACAUUGCAGGCAAUGAUUUAAGAGGUAGCUUGCCUUGGUGCUUGGCAAAUAUGACAUCCCUCCGAAUAUUAGAUGUUUCUUCCAAUCAACUUACUGGAAGCAUCUCCUCAUCUCCCCUCGUUCAUUUGACAUCCAUUGAAGAGCUGAUGCUUUCAGACAAUCACUUCCAGAUCCCAAUUUCACUUGAACCAUUUUUCAAUCACUCACGACUCAAGAUUUUCCAUGCUUACAACAACGAAAUAAAUGCAGAAAUAACUGAGUCACAUUCUUUGACUGCCCCAAACUUCCAAUUAAAAUAUCUCUCAUUGUCUUCCGGUUACGGAGAUGGUGUCACAUUCCCCAAAUUCCUUUACCAUCAACAUGAUCUGGAGACUGUUGACCUCUCACAUAUAAACAUGAGCGGAGAAUUUCCAAAUUGGUUGUUGGAAAACAACACAAACUUAGAAUAUAUUUUUUUGGUUAAUGAUUCUCUUGCAGGACCUUUCCGGUUGCCAAUUCAUUCACACAAGCGGUUAAGACUGUUGGAUAUAUCCAACAACAACAUCAGAGGCCACAUUCCAGUAGAAAUUGGAGAUGUUUUACCGGGUUUAUUUUCUUUAAACAUUUUCAUGAAUGCUUUAGACGGUUGCAUUCCCUCUUCAUUUGGUAAUAUGAAAUUCCUCCAAUUUCUGGACUUAUCCAACAACCAAUUGACUGGUGAAAUCCCUAAGCACUUGGCCGUGGGUUGCGUCAACUUAGAGUCUCUUGCGUUGUCAAACAACAACUUAGAAGGUCAUAUGUUCUCCAGAAACUUCAACCUGACAAACUUGAAAUGGUUACAAUUGGAAAGCAAUCACUUCGUAGGAGAGAUCCCACAAAGUUUGUCUAAAUGCUCCUCACUAAAAGGAUUGUAUCUUAACAAUAAUAGUCUUUCGGGUAAGAUUCCACGAUGGUUGGGUAAUCUCACAUGGUUACAAUAUAUUACAAUGCCCAAUAAUCAUCUUGAAGGUCCUAUUCCAGUGGAGUUUUGUCAGCUUGAAUGGCUUCAGAUUUUGGACAUUUCAGACAACAACAUAUCUGGAAGUUUACCAUCUUGUUUCCAUCUUCUCUCUAUCAAACAAGUUCAUCUUUCAAAAAAUAUGUUACAUGGACAGCUAAAAAGAGGUACAUUCUUUAAUUGCUCUUCCCUUGUGACAUUAGAUCUUAGUUAUAACCGCUUGAAUGGCAGCAUUCCGGAUUGGGUUGAUGGGCUUUCUCGGUUAAGCCACCUUAUCUUGGCUCACAAUAAUCUUAAAGGUGAAGUGCCAGUUCAAUUGUGCAAAUUGAACCAACUACAAUUGUUAGAUCUUUCUAAUAAUAAUCUUCACGGUCCUAUUCCUCUUUGCUUUGAUAACACCACACUUCAUGAAAGUUACAGCAAUAGUUCUAGUCCUGAUGAGCAAUUUGAAAUAUAUGUUUUCAUCGAAGGCCCUCAGGGAGGUGUAGAAAAGAAAAUCCAUGAAAUUUUUGAGUUCACAACAAAGAACAUUGCGUACAUUUACCAAGGAAAAGUGCUUAGCCUCCUAUCAGGACUUGAUCUUUCUUGCAACAAGCUAAUCGGUAUUAUUCCUCCUCAAAUUGGAAAUUUGACAAGGAUUCAAACAUUGAAUCUAUCGCACAACAACUUGACAGGAUCGAUCCCAUCAACAUUUUCAAACUUGAAGCAUGUCGAAAGUUUGGAUCUUUCCAACAACAAAUUGAAUGGGAAAAUCCCUCAUCAACUAGUGGAGUUAAAGACAUUGGAGGUUUUCAGUGUGGCAUACAAUAACUUAUCAGGCGAAAUUCCAGAAUGGAAAGCACAAUUUGCAACCUUCAACGGGAGUAGCUAUGAAGGAAAUACUUUUCUUUGUGGACUGCUAUUGCCCAUUUGCAGAUCACCAGCAACUACGUCGGAGGGUUCAAUUGGCAAUGAACGAGAUGAUAAUUUAAUUGACAUGGACAAUUUCUUUAUCACAUUUACAACAUCGUACGAAAUUGUGAUAUUCGGAAUUGUUAUUGUUUUAUAUGUAAAUUCUUAUUGGCGACGUAGAUGGUUUUACUUUGUUGAAAUGUGGAUAACUUCAUGUUAUUAUUUUAUUGUAGACAAUCUUAUUACAACAAGAUAUUGUCAUUGAAAUUAAUUAGGAGUUUAAUUACGAUUCUUUAAGUUCUAAUCAAGUUUGCUUAGGAAAUAAAUUUAUUUUUAUUUUUUAUUAAAACUGUAGUAGUAUUUAGCUCUAUAUAGCUUCCAACUUCCAAGCACUUCACAUUUGUCUCUACACUUCCAAACCCAUAUCUAUCCACCAUAACUUAUACUUCCCUAUACUGUGCAGCAUACUUAAAUAAGAGAACCAUCUCCAAUGUUAAAACCAGCCACUCUAUAACAUUCAUUUAGAAUAGUUUUAUUAUCAUACACAAGAAAUGAAACACCUAGAUGCACUUGAUCGCCUAUUUUACUUUAAAAAAUAAUGAUUAUGGUGCUAUCAUCAUCUUCUUCACUAGCAACAUUAACACCAAAUCCAGCGAUGGACCCAGACAUUUUAUCAAGAAAGGUAUAUAUAUAAUAAAGUUGAAGCUUGACAAAAAAUUCAGGAAGAUUAAUGCCUCGCCACAACAAGGGCACAACAACAUCAAAGUAGAGAUGAAGCAAUAUUUUCAAAUCUAAAACUCUCAAAUCCACCCACCAAAAUUUCAUAUCUCCUCAACAAUUUUAAGAACUAAAGAUAAUUAGGAUCUAACAUUAGUUUUUUAUAUAUUAGUUUCAUAAUUUACAAAUCAAUGAAGAUGAAGAUUAUGCUAAUGAAUUCAAAUUAUACCAUAGAUUCUCGAGAUGUUUACCAAAAAUUUCUAAGCCAAUCCCACAUAUUUCAUAAUUUUAAGACUAGAAAAUUUCAUUAGUUAGAAGUUUCAUUACCUUCAAGUGGAAGAUGAAGAACAUUAUACAAUUGAUUCAGAUUAUAUCAUACAUACUCCAAAUGCAACUAGAAAUUAACAAGUUCAUGCGCACAGAUUUCAUAACAUUAUGAUUGGAAAGUUUCACAAAGAGAAAUUCUAAAUUCAAUCUCUUGCAUCAAGGUAGUUUGAUUGAUUUGAGUUACUUUCUCAUCAAGCUACUAAUAUAACAUUCAAGUCAGGGAGAAAGUAAAUUAAAACUGGGAAGAAACAACAGUAAAAAUUUGUUGCUAAACAUGAUGUGUAUUUUUUUUUAAGGCAAUUUGGAAACACAGUUGUUACUACAGAUAUUCUCCUCAACUUAGAGAUAAAUACAAAUAUUAAAAUGCAUAUGAUCGCACAUAUUACUUGGAGCUUAGUAAGAUUUCAUUAAGAGAAGCAAUCAAACCACUUAUCAAUUGUUGCAAUCGUUCUAUAAGCUAAAAUAGCAAUAUAAUACAAGAAAAAGAACAUAUAGAUACUUGGCAAGAGUUCAUUAAGAAGUCGCAUCACAUUCGGGUGAGUUUGCUUCUGAUAUCUUGCUAGCUGGGGCUUUUUCUUGUCUUUCUACGUAUGCCGAGGGAAACCAACCAGCUUGGCCCUUGCAUUCACCUUCCGACCAUCCAGUAGGAGCCACCUUGAGAAGUUAUAACUAAAAGUCUAAAACAAUGAAUUAAACAAAAGUUGACCGUUCAAAGACCUAAGGGGAAAACUAAUUCUUUUACGUAGGAGGAGUGAAUUAGUUGUGAUCACUGAAAUAACAGCAUAACUAUGGAAGCAUAACAAGAUAUAAAUUCACACGUCUAUAAGGGUAAACUGGGUGGUUUAGAACUGAGCUAGCAACCCUACUAUAUUCUGAUUUGCACAUCAAUGUAAAAGGGAAUAUAUGGUAGGAAGAAAGAAAACCAACCAUCAGUUGUUAACUCAUUGCUUUUCAAUCAAAAUUUUAAGAACAAAAUGCCAUGUGCUUUGAACAUCAAAUAAGUAUAAGCAUUAGUUCUAAAUUCCACAUAUCAUAAGUUAGAAGGACAAGUCAAUAGCAUAGUAGAAAAAUCUAUGUGUUGUUAUUUAGAGGGGAAAGUACCUGGCGAACCACAACAUAAUCAUCAAUUGAAAGACUUAGCUCUCCAUUUGCUUGAGCAUCAAAUGGAUGUAUAACCUGCAAGAUAAUGGGAUAAAUAGAACUUAAUCUUAAAAAAAGCAUAACAAAAGCAGCAACAGUAGCAGCAGCGUUCAUUGUAACCACUAUGAUCAUGGCCAACAAAGAUAUAUUACAAACAAAAUUCCAUUUUUACUACGACAUUAAUAUGUACUAUAUGAUAUCAUGACGAUUGGGUUACCAAGAGCUAUCAAAGUCCAAUAAAUUCUGUAUAACUUUAGGUAGUUAUUCAAAUUAUGGAUCAGAUUUUAAAUCCGAAAUUUUGACUGCUCUCCACAAAACAUGGCCUAUGCACAAGAAAGUCAUAGAUAAUGAGGAUUACAAGUGUCUGACAUCUUUUGAGUGAUGGAUUUAACAUGAGAGCUUAUGGUCAGUCAAUUUCCUCUGCCUAGCAAUAUAAGCUUUCUCGGCCAGAUUUAUCAUCAAAUACAUAGAUUGGCCCCAAGUCACAUCCAAAUAAACAUAGUUUUUCUAGGUAAACCAAGUAAGGAGAAUCAUAAUUCAGACAUAAUCAUAAAAAGGCCCAUCUAACUUAAGAGAAAAUCUCAAAAAGAGGGAUGUUGAGCUAUCAGUCUUGUAUCUAUAAGCAAUAUCAAGACUUUACAUCACCUACUACAUCGUGAGUGGCUACACAACUUUCAGUGGUUUGUCUUUCUUUGGCAUGCCUAACUCAGCUUUGAUGUUGCUGAGAUAUUGAUAGUAAAGACACAUGAUACUUCUAGCCCAUGCAUUCUAUCUAGCUCAUCCGACAACUAUCUCUUUUUUAAUUCAUUAGUGUUUGCUAAACCUCAUGCUUAAAAGUCCUAUUCUCCUAAACAAAGCUUCCUAAGAAUGACUUCCUCAGCACCACAUUUGGACACUUUUAGAGCAAUUUUAUUUGGGGGAAAAGAAUUUUCAAGGUGUUAACUAAUAAAUUUUAAAAAAUAAUUACAAUUUGUCCUACAAUUAUAUGACAAUUUAUCUGGGAUGAAAGGAUACAGACAGACAUCUUCCACUUUCAAGACUAAUCACUACUUCCGUAGAUGUUUUGCAAUAAUACAAAUACUUGACCAGAUGGUAGAAAAAAAUUUUAUUGCUCCAAAAUUAAAAUAAGAAUGCAAUAUGUUAAGCAAAAGACUGUGCAACAUCAAAUUAAUUGAUAAGUUUGUAAUUCAGUAAAUUAACAACUUUCAUGGUAAAAUACAACAAAUUUCUUUUCAAAAAAAAAAAAAAAAAUUAAAAGACGGCAUUCAAUUUUUUGGGCAUCUUAUUUCUUAAGAUUUUCCAGGAGGAGGGCACUAGAGGGACUUUCACCUAUGCAAGAGAGCAGAAGCCUUACUUUCGCUAUAAAGUAGACGUCAUUCUGAUUAAUAUGCGUUUGCAAAUCAGCUCCAUUUGAAUCAGUAUUCUGAUAGACACGUGAGGCAUUUACAUCCAUUUCCAAAGUCACAUGUUGCGAGGAGGACUCAUUUGAUUGCUCCUCUAGGAUCAUCUAAUUCAAGUAGCAAGGGUUGGAAGAGAAUAAAAAGUCACAAUUAUUCUUUUGCAUAAGUGAGACGAAAAUGAUAAAUGCAAUAUUAUCAGCAGUAAACAAGAAGAGAACACUCCAAGGAAUAGAUAGAUGCCGACAAGCAAGUUAAAAUGCACAGUUCCAAACCUCCGCAUACAACUUCUCUAAAAUAGCAAUAAUGUGUUGAUGAUAUGUUUUCUCAGCAUCUACCUGCAAAGGCCUGAGACCAGGAAAACAACAAUAAAACCACUAGCUAAAGGAGAAAGUAAAGAAAGAAAUACACUUGACAUAAAUCUUGACAAGAAGCACAAUUUAAGACAUAACAAACCCCAAUCAGAUUGUUUAGAACUACCAUUCGUUAUUUCGUUAUUGUAGCAUUUCGAACAAGUGUUGACUUAAUUCAACAUUGUUGGAAAGAUAGGCUUUUAGAAGCGGAAGAAAGCCUCUCAAACCAAAGUGAUUGUCCUUGUAUUGAUCAAGGGAUGUAAACAUAUUACAUUUGCAGGAUGAGUUUUAAUCACUCCCCUGAUUUAUUUGGGUUGCAGUAAAACUAAGCGAGCAACUGUUUGACUUUCAAGCAACAUCUAAAUCAGCUAUUAAAAUUCAAAUAAAAUUAUAAUAGAAUAAUAACAGGCCAUCUUGCAUAAAAAAUUAAGUUUAAUUUGUGAAUUUUUUUCUAUAGACAUGUUAGUUCCUGCUAUUGAAAUGUUAAAAGCAUUGAAAAAUUAUUCAAUAAAUUAUGCAAACAUUAAAAUAGAGGACAUAUUAAAAAGUUUCUAAUUACAAUGUUAAGAUUUCCUAUAUUUUAGCAUUUGCAUAUUUUAAUUUAUUUAAAAGUUACGUCAAUCAACUUUGGGCGUGAAGAUUUUAGCUUCUACGAGACUUGAUUGGAAUAUGCAUAAGGAAGAGUGUUAAAAUAUGAUGCAUCCAACGAAAGACAAACCACGUGUAGUCUUUUAAUUAAGCCAAAGUAGCAGCUCAAACAAAUGACACUUGGACCAACAUGCAAUCAUGAAGUGGCCGGUAAAAGGACAAAUGCAACUUUGGCUUAAAUAAAAAAUAACAUGUGACUUGACUUUUGCUGGACAUGCAUCAUGUUAUUACAAGACAACAGAAAUCAGUAUGAUAGUACUAAAAGUUGACAAUAACAUGAAGAUAAGAGGCAGAAUGUCAACACCUGCAUAGGCACACACAAGAAAGUAUUAACAUAUAUACCAUAGCAAAAAGUCUUUGAUAUGUCAUCUGUUGCUGCUGUGAUUCAACUGACAGCAUGGCAGCUGUCGCUUCUCUACCAAGAGCCAUUAUUGUAGAUUUAAGCUCGGUCAAUCUUGCUUCUGCAUUUCGAAGCUUCACAGCACUCUCUGCUGAUAUAUCAGAUUUCCUUAUCUUUGAUCGGUGCCUAAAUACUUCAGCUGCCUGGUGAAAAUAUUCAAUAUAAAUCUAACAUAAUUCUCAUCUUGCCUUAUACAUGCAUAUGUUACCUCAAAGCUUGCCUGGGCUUCAACUUCAUGUCGAAGUUUGUCAUAACGAUGAGUCAGGUGUCGAGCAUCUUCCAAAGGUGCUCCGUUGAUUAACGCCCGUAGUGGCUCAGAUACCUACAUGUCCAAAAACCUGUAACAUAGUUAGAAAAAUGAAAAGAAAGAGCGAAACCUCAAUUAAAAAGUUCCUCCAACAUAAUCAUGGAAUUUGGGCCUACUUCAAGGAUAUAUAUAAGGAUAAUUUAUGCAAUUUUGGGUCUUAGGAUGAUUCAUAUUAGGUUAGUGUUCUUCUCUUCUGUAUUUAAGGUUAAAAUAGAAAUAAACCUAUGCAAAUAUCUAAAUUAGGGCUGUAAGACUUCCACAUGCAUCCUUCAGUCUCAUGGAUUUGAUUUUACUAUAGAUGCAAGUGUCUUUAUCGAAAAUGCUUGGAGUCAAUUGAGAGAACUCACAGCCAAUAACUUGUCACAUGCUAGUCUUUGCUAGUGAUGCAAGAAGUCACAAGGUCUCUUCAACAUUUGAACCAAUAAAAUUAUUAAGUCAUGGAUGUCACUAGCAAUGAUUUCAAUAUAAAACAUUAAAUAUUUCAAGUUGUAACUUUAAAAUGGAUUCUUUUAUUCAAUAUCUUAGAACUAAGUUUCCUUAUGAGAAGAUAAUAGUUUCAGUAGUAAUUUACAUGAAAUUUUCUAUAUUUGAAUUAUUUUCUAGUUAGGGAUGAACUAACCUGAUCAUGAAGAAUCCCAAGCAAAGUUUCCCUCUCAUUUUCCAUCAAAUCAUGUGAAGUGCCAAAUUGAAGAGCAGCUCUUGCAGCGCAAGAAUUGUCACUUUGAUUCUCCGCUCCAUACUUGCAACAAUCUUCAGCCAACUUUCUCGCUACAAUAUUUGAAUACAAAAAUAUUGUACACAAGAACCAGUCAAGAAAAUAAAAAAAAAAUCAAAUAUUAUAACGAGAGCAAGAGCAAACAAACAACCUAUUUCCAUUUGUUUCAAGCUUACUGCAACAAACCCUUCAACGCCACGGACAAUAUUCCUCUGAAAAUGCUGUGCUACAGAGCAUAUAUUCCAAAUUAUUGUUCAGAUAAAACCAUAGAAACCAUCAUAAUUAUCAACAUACAUUAAGCUCCGUUUGGUAAAUACUUGCAACUUCAGUCUAGAAAAUACAGUUGUUUGUACCAUAUUUGACAAAAUUAUUAUUUAAAAAUCAUAACUAAUUACCAAAAGCCACAAUAAAUCAAUAUCAAACAGAGUCUUAUUAUUAGCUAAAGGAGGAUGGUGCCUUAGCUGCCCUGGUGGAAUUGUAUAGAUUUUAAAGUUGUUGGUGACACUCAAUUUCAGCUUCAUGAACCGCAAUAUUUUCAAUACCAAGAUGGAGCAGAUGCUUCAAUGCUGCCUGUACAAAUCAUAAAAAACUAAUAAAAAUAAAUAAAAUCGAUAAAUUUCACUAACUAAAAGUCUAAAUAUAAUUUUUGAAAAAAGAAAAGAAACGGACUUGCUGCUGCUUGGCGACUUGUUCUCGGUGCUUGAUUGCCUGUUUCUUGAUAGCUUCCAUACUGUUUCUUUCAAAAAGCAACGACGGCUCAGCUCAUGGAGGUGGAAAAAAAAAGUAUGAUCGAGAAAAAUAAAAAGGCAUGAAUAAUUUUUGACAAAAAGCGAAAAAUAAAAAGGCAUGAAUAAUGAAUAAUUUUUGACAAAAAGCUCUUUCCAGAAAAUAAAAAAAGAAAAAAGAAAAAAGAAAAUUAUAAGUUUGAAAGGAGUAGAUGAUAGUGGAAGUGUGCGGUGUGGCUGCCAGCUACUUGAAUUGUAUUGUCGGGUAAGGUAAUAGUAGAGAAUUUUUUUUUUUGAAGAAAAAUGGGUAAUUUUUAAAAACCUCCCCUGAGGUUUGGGCUUGUUGUAAGUAGAUGGCGAGAAUCCAUUUAUUUGUAAAAAACCCCCUACGUUUUUGCUCCGCUUGGUUGCCGUUUGGGCAAUUGUGGGCAUUGUUGACAUUUCGCAAUAAAACAAAUCUUUUGCAACUUUCGUUUCCUUGAGAACAAUAGCUAGAUUUCUCAAUCUGUUUCAUCCAACACUUCAAAAAUUUCAACUUUUAUGAGUUAUUGCAUUCUCUGGCAAAGUAGACUUCUUCUAAUUUUAUCACAGUGCUUUCAGGAACAAGAAUGGGAUCCAUUAACAUCCCCUCAAAUUUUACAGCUUCCUUACAGCUAUACACUGCUGUAACACGAAGUUUAAUGAUUCCAUCGCCAAAUAGUCCCCAAAAUCUAUUCUUCCCCAUAUUGAACAACUUAAGUUCACAACACUUGCAUUCUAAAGGCUUCCCACUAACAUCUAAUAUCUCAAGACUCAACGUUGCUUUACAAUAAUUGUUAUUACUACCAAACAAACAUGAAGAAACCCCGAUUAUCGGAUAAAUCAACCCAAAAUGAACAAGAGAAGAACCCAAAACAAGUGAAUCGCUAGAGCAAAACCCCCAACCCAUAUCCCUAAUCCCACACUCAAAAAAACCCAAUUUCUCUCCAAAGUCAUUGACACUAGCAUCACUACUAGACUCUAAUUCCAAUCCUAGAUUACAUUUAAUGUUAACCCAACUAAAAUGAAUGUUCUUACUACAAUACGCAUCGUUUACACUCUCAAACAACGCGCUGAACUUACUCUUAAACGAUCCCACAUUGGUCAAACACUCAUCACUCACAUCGACAUCCAAGAAUUCACUCAAAAACUUCAUAGACUCGACAAUUGGAGAAAACAAAACCACUAAACUCAACUUUAUACAAGCAUACCCAUCGAGAAUCUUACCGUCAUUAACCGAAUCACAACAAAUCACCGGGUCCCACGCGCAGUCGUGAACGAGCUUACGCAUGGACGGGGCAACAUUUAACCCCCGCGGCAAAAACGACGAAGCUUUGGAAAAAUUGUGUUUUAGAGCUGGGUUGAGGAGUAGAGAUUGGAGAGAUUGGAAGGUGGAAUCGGGACGGUCAAAGGAAAGAGAGAGAGAAGGGAAGGGGAUCUUUAAAAGAGAAGUGGGGAGAGGGAGGAGAAGAAGGAUUUGAAAGAGAAAAGAGAGGAACGGAGAGGCGGGAAUGAGAUUAAGGUUUUCACUGCAACUAAAAGAGUAAUCAUGUAUGGCUCUUGGUCUUGGAGAUGAAGGAGAGGAUUCAGGUCGAUUAAGAGGACUAUACGCUGCAUUUUGGUGUAGUCUGCCGCCAUUGGUAGAAGUUUCGAAGUGGGUUUCUGUUUAGAUCCGAGUUUGACGAAGAAACGUGGUGGUUGCGCUUGGGACAAUAUUGUUUUUGCACUGGUCAAUGUAGAAAUUAAACGAUGGUAGGGUGUUUUUUUAUAAAUAAAUGAAUUCUCGCCAUUUAUAACAAGCCGAAACCUCAAAAGAAGAUUUUAAAAAUUACCCGAAGAUUCGAAAAAUAGUAGAGAAUUUUUUAAAAAGCUAGAACAGAGCAUGCUAGACUUUUGUGGACCAAAUUCAAAAGCCGAAGGGCACGGCCCAAAAGCUUUUGAAUACAAUAACUUACUAGAAAGCUCCAUUUUUUGUUGGCUACAGUAAAAGUAUGUUGUUUUAUGCUUCUUAUAUGUUACGCUUGCAUCAGCCUCAAUCACUUCUUAAUCGCUUGCUUUAACUGCAUCGCUCUCUGUGUACUCUUCUACACAUGUAACGGUUAUGCGGUUGUAGUUCACGGCUGAGGCUACGUGUUGGUUUGACGCGGCAGUUACGUUACGACAUUACGAGUCUGUUAAACAUUCAGUGAUAGAGCAUUAUUAGUUAUUUUAAGGGGACAAAUAAGAUUGGUUGCAAUAAACCCACUAAUAUUAUAAAAUUCGAGUAAUAUAGAAUAAAAUAAAAAAAUACAUACAAAAUUGGCUUUUAUUUUUUAUGGUUGACUGUAUUUUGUGUUCUCUUUCGGCACUACUACAUCAGUCACACCCAUAUAUCAUCAAUACAAGAAAUGAAAUCUAAUGUCACCUAUUUAGUUAAAGAAUUACUCAUGAAAAAAUUUUACCAUUUUACUUUGAGGAUCCAUAUUUUGAACUGCAAGCUAAUGUUCAUCAAGAAUCACUAAUGUUCAUAAAAAACAGAGCAUGGCCGUUGAGUAGAAAAACUAUUUUUGGACAAAUUAUUUUUGUUGAUAAAAGAAUUUCUUAAGGGACUACUAAUAUUAUGAAUAACAAUGUAGAACACACCCACAUAUCAUCGACACAAUUGACUUUAAGGAUCCAUGCUUUGAAUUGCCACCUAAUGUUCAUCAAGAACAGAGUAUGCCUUGUGAGUUGUGAGUAGAAAAUUUUAUGAUUUUGGUCCGAAAUAAAAAGAAAUUAAAUUAGAUGAGAAUCUGCCACUUUCUCAUAAAGAAAGGCAUACGGAGCAUACCAUGGUACCAUACAAUACAAAGAGUCUCUAUUCUCUGGUUUUUCAAACUCUGAAGGGGCCAAUAUUCCCGAAUUCCCCCUUGAAAAUUCUGAUUACGACAUUAUUCAAUUCUUGACACAAUCAAAGUAGCGACAAAGUUAAGAAAAAUAUGAGUCCUAAGUAAUGGCUAGGUAGGGUUCUUGAGAGCAAAAUUGUCCUAAGCAUUAUAUGCAUACAUGGUGUGGUACAUAGAGCACGUUGAAUUCCACACUAUAACACAAACCCAGAAAGACAAGUAAUAACUCAACUGAUAUAAAAACAAAAAGAAGAUAAAAUGAUAUAGAAAAAAGAAUUUCAAAGAGACAGCAACAUACGAUAGACUGAAGCCACUUGAUCUGCUCACUGAUUGCAGCCUUAAACUUACAAAUAGUUACUGUACGCUAGUGCUCUAAGAAGUGAAAAUGAUAAGAGACCUAAUUUCCUUUUGACUUCCAUUUACUGUCAAACAUUCUAGUAAUACAAAAAAUUGUUUAGAUAUCUUGCUAUAAAUAUAGUCGUUUGACUGUCAUAAUAAAGUCACAAAUAACCAUUCAUAUUGAUCCACUGUCACACAGCAUGCUUUAUGCAUACAACAUCUGCAUGUAUACCAACUCCUAACCUUAUCAAUACAUUUGGCAAAAACUUAAGAAGAAAACUAUUUCUCCAUCUCUUUUUUGAAAUUUCACAAUAAACCAGCACAUUGUGAAAGCUAUGUUCUAAUCUUAUGAUAAAUGCUCUAGACUCCAAAAGGAUUUUAUUUAUGAGAGUUUGUUGCAACAGAUAUAUUGACUUAUCAAGUAUGAAUCAUUGUCUGGAUGAACUAUCUUUAAAUAAAAGAAUAUUAGAACCACUGUAGAAUAUCUUUACGCUGCUGGUUCUAACAGGAAUCUGCAUGUGGCAACAAUUGCUAGAUCCACAAUUCCCCAACUUGAAAUACAUAGUUGCACACCGUGAGAUAGUGCUGCAAUCUACUGAGAUCUAACUUAUUUGAUACUUUAAGCUACUAAUGUUUGCAUAUUUCUACAUGUUAAAUUGACACUACCAUCUAUAAUCACCCCAAAACGACAAAUGAAAAGCAGCUUUUGGCCACUUAUUACUAGCAUCCACAACACAAUUAUAAAUAAGAGAUCAUGGGUUUACUUGUUGCAACUACUUAAUGAUCUGCAUUUGAUACCCUGACGCAAGGUUUAAAUAGUGACUGCUUAGAACCCUUGUAGUUGGAUCUUGACCUCUCCCAUUGUAGCCAAGAUUGGCUACUCUGGUAAUGAAUCAACACUCUCCUGCUUAUUUUUUUAUUUUUAAAAAAUAACGAAAUCAUAAAAUAAAUAAACACGUGUUUGGUUUUGGGCAUUUUCGUUUGUUCAUUUAAUAUCAUCUGGUUCCCUGAUUUUUGACUAAUUAACAACGGAAUCCUGUUAGUUUCUAAAUUGAAAUAAUAAAAGGUCAUGAGAUUAUUUACUCCAUUUAGCACUGUAGACUUAGAGUAUAUUGAAAAAGCUUUGUCAAAUAGUAGUAAUAGGGGCAUAAUAAAUAAGUUUUUCAGAAUUUACAUAAUGUACUUGGCUCUAGGAAGAUUGCCCUCUUAUCACUCAAGUUAAGUUUUGCCUUAGAGUUGAGGUAAAUCAUUAAAAUAAAUUAUAGCUAUCACAAAUUCGUUAGGAGAAUUUCAAUUUUUUUUCCAUUAAAUGGCUAUGAGGCAAAAUUACCUCAGCUUAUAUUGCAACACUAAUACUUCAAAUCCUAACAAUAAAAUUGAUGACAAUGGUUUUUAUGUAUAGUAAUUUUCACUCUUUUGUUUGAUCUAAAAGUAGUUCUUAAAAUGACAAUGAUGACUUAUUUAGAAGAAAUGGCAAACUUAUAGUUUGUAAUAUUGUUUGCACAAACAAUAAAGACUAAUUUGAUAAUAAUGAAGUGUUAAUUACUAUUUAACAUUUUUAAUUAAUUUUUAAAUUUAAAAAAAAAUGAAGGCCCAAACUUGUGCAUUAAAUUUUAAUUAAAAGUUGAUUGCUUCGAAGGUUGGAUCGUGACAAAUUGACAAUUGAAAAAAGAAGUAGGGAAUAUAUAUUCUGAUGAAAGGGACAAGAUUAAGCAAGGGGACAAUAUUGUCUAUUGGACCUACAAAUGGGGGCAAAGAUAUAUAUAUUCCAAAAUUUCUUAUUUGUGGAUUGGCCACCACGUGUAACUAAUAUAAAAAGAGAAAAUUUGGCAUGGUUUUAACCGAUAUAAGGGUCCGUUUGAGAUUGAGGUGCUGUAACUUUUAAGGUAUAGCUGCUGUGGAAAAAAAAACUGUAAGUAUUAAAUAAAAGUUAAUAAUAUAUAGUAAAUAUAAAUUUUAAAUAAUAAUUUUGAUGAAAUUAUUAAAGAUAUAAUAGAUUUUUUAUUAUACAAAUGAAAAUUCAUAUCAACAUAGCUUAAAAGUUACAGCAGUUAGUGUUUACCAAACACUUUAGUGCUGUAGCUUUUAAGCUACAGCUGCCCAACCUCAAUCCCAAACGCACCCUAAGAAGAGAAAAUUUUGAGUGUAUAAGAAGAGAAAAUUUUGAGUGCACAACAAGAACAAAGCAAAACCCAUGAAAAUUCACCUUUCAUGUGGGUUGGAUUGGAUAAAAUCAAUAUCUUGAAUAAAACAAAAUGUUUGGUACUUGAAGGUUUUUUUAACAUUUUCAUUUUUUUUCCAUUUAUGAAGUCCAAUUUUUUUUUAAUUUUGAUUUUUUUGAAUGAUUUUGCAGGUGUUGAUAUAAGGUCAUCAAAAGUUUGUGAACUUGGGGUGUUGAAUUAUAAGGCGAAGCGUGUGUUUUAUCCAUUUGAAGCAAGUAAAUUUCGUUGUCGGUAUGAUUACUAUUGGGCUUCUAUCUUCAAGGUAUUCAUACAUUUUCCCCUGUACUAUAAGCUUCUUAGUGGCGGUCUUGUGAGCGGAAGUGAGCGGUGUGGCUGACAGCUUCUUGAAAAUUAUAAGUUUGAACAGAGCAUGUUAGACUUUUGUUGACCAAAUUCGAAAGCCAAAUGGCACAGCUCAGAAGCUUUUGAAUUGAAUAACUUACUAGAAAGCUCCAAUUUUUUGUUGGCUACAGUAAAAAGAGGUUGUUUUAUUCUUCUUAUACUUUACGCUUGCAUCAGCUUAAAUCACUUCUUAAACGCUUUGCUUUAACUCCACCGCUUCGUACUGUUCUAUAGAUGUAUCGGGUAUGCGGUUGUAGUUCACUGCUGAGACUACGUGUUUGUUUAACGUGGAAGUUACGUUACGAGUCUGUUAAAACAUUCGGUGAUUAAAGUAUUAUCAGUUAUUUCAAAGGGACAAAUAAGAUUAGCUACAACACACACUAGUUUUAUAAAAUUCGAAUGAGAUGGAAUAAAAUAAAUAAGUAAAUUGACUUUUAAUUUAGUGCUUGAAUAUAUUUUGUAUUCUCUUUGGGCACUGCUGUAAUUGUUCCUUAUCACACCCAUAUGUUAUAGACACAAGAAAUGAAAUUUAAGAUCACCUGUUUAAUUAAAGAAUCACUCAUGAAAACAUUUUGUCAUUUUGAUUUGAGGAUCCACAUUUUGAACAACCAACUUAUGUUCAUUAAGAACAAAGCAUUGCCUGUGAGUAGAAAAUGAUUUUUGAACAAAUUAUUUUUUGUUUAUAGAAGAAUUUCUCAAGGGACUAUUAAAAUUACUAAUAAAAAUGUCAGACGCACCCAUGUACCAUCGACAAAAUUAACUAUGAGGAUCCAUGUUUUGAACUGCCACCGAAUGUUCAUCAAGAACAUAGUAUAACUUGUGACAAGAAAAUUUUUUGAAUUUGGCCUAGAACAAAAUGAAAUUAAAUUGAAGGAGAAUCUACUACUUUCUCAUUAAGAAAGGCAGACGGGGCAUACCAUGGUACCAUACAAUACAAAAAGUGUCUGUUCUCUGACUUUUCAAACUCUGAAGGGGGCAAUAUUCCCCAAUUCCCUUGUGAAAAUUCUGAUUACGACAUUAUUCAUCGCUUGAUACAUAAGUAAAAGUAGUGAUAAAAUUAGAAAAAAUAUGACUUAUAAGUAAUUACUAGGCAGGGCUCUUGAGAGCAACAUUGUGCUAGGCUUUAUAUGCAUACAUUGUGUGGUACAUUCUACACUAUAACACAAACCCAGAAAGACAAGUAAUAUCUCAAAUUAUAUAAAGACAAAAAGAAGAUAAAACGAUACAGAACAAAGCAUUUCAAAGAGACAGCAACAUACAAUAGACUAAAGCCAGUUGAUCUGCUCGUUGAUUGCAGCCUUAAACUUGCAAAUGUUUACUGUAGCCUGGUGCUCUAAGAAGUGAAAGUGAUGCAAACCUUGAUUCCCUGUUUACUUCCAUUUACUGUCAAACAUUCUAUUCAUACGAAAAAAAUUGUUUAGAUAUCUUGCCGUAAAUAUAGCCAUUUGAUUGUCUUAAUAAAGCCACACACAACCAUUCAUAUUGAUCCACAUUGCCAUAUAGCCUGAUUUAAGCAUACAACAGCUGAAUGCAUACUGACUCCUAACCUUAUCAAUACAUUGGAGACAACUUAAGAAUAAAACGAUUUCUCCAUCUCUUUUUUUUAAAUUUCACAAGAAAACAGCACAACGUAAGAGCUGCAAUGAAAAUGGACCGUCAGGAACUAUGGCGGAAGCUUCAACUAGUGUAGUGAUUUGACCUUCUUAUUAACUUAGCGAUAUCAAGCACUGCCCUUGAUCUUGAACAGAUCAAUACAAUACGCACAACUUAUGAUUGAAUCCAGAAACAAUCAAAUCUUUAGCAAGAAAAAUUAAUCAGAAUCAAGAAACAAGUUCAAUGAAUAUAAACCUAUAAUUGGAACAAACACAGCCAAAGAACCCAAGAAUGACACAACCUACACCACGGGAGAAGCUUUCCAGUGAGAUUUUAUUGAUGAUCAAAGAAGAAUCUUUUUACAAAGCUAACAAAAGAGAUUUCAAAGAAUAAGCUAUGACUCUCUCUCUUCAAUCUCUCUCUAGUUUGUUCACAGUGAUGACCCCAAUCUGCUUCGUUAGCCAGCUUCAUAAUUGCGUCAGUGACAAACUAGCAAACCCAGAUUGAGCAGAUUACCGACACGUGGAUAACGGCUAUUAAGAACUUGGUUAAAGAACUGCUCACAUAUUCGUCACGCGUGUUACUUAAAUGAUGGCCAAAACGACUUCAACCAGAUGUCGUUUUGAAGCUUGUGAAUUAAAUUGAAAACACGUGCUUGUCUCGUGACACUUAAAUACAACAACAAGCCCAAAACACUGCCGUUUCACUUUGUUGAGUUUGCCAUCUCUAAGCUUCACAACUAGCAACGGAGAAGAUGAUAAUUAAAUUGACAUGGAGAGUUUUUAUAUCACUUUUACAACAUUCUAUAUAAUUGUGAUAUUGGGAAUCGUCGGUGUUGUAUAUGUGAACUCUCGUUGGCGACACUGGUGGUUUUAUUUUUGUUGAAAUAUGGAUGACAUUUCGUUACUAUUUUAUUGUACACAACCUUAUUCUUAGGAGAUUUAAUCAUUGAAAUUAACAUGUUAGUUUCAUUAGCCACUAGGCCUUUGGCUGAGUCGUUCGGGUGUCUGCCCUCCAACUUGGAGGGCACCAGUUUGAACCCCCACAAGCGCAAUGUGGGGUAUUUUCUUCUUUAAUCCCUCGAAUAUUACUGAGGGUUAAAAUCUAGGUAGAGCUCCAUAAGUAUUAAUGUAAGUUGGUUCCAGUAAUAGUCUAAUUUAAAAAUAUCAGUUAUAGUCUCAUGUAAGAUGAGUUGUAAUUUGAGCAAUAGUCUCAUAUAAUAAUAAUAAAAUAAAAUAAACAUGUUAGCUUCAUUACAUUUUUCUUCGUUAAAAUUCUCAAGUAUUAGUCAGGUUUGCUUAAGUAAUAAAAUUUUGUCAUUAAAAUUGUAGUAGUAUUUCUGAGCACCUCACAUUUUCAAUGAUUGUUCAUAAAUCAAUUAAUCUGCCGUACCGAUAUUAGGUUUAGUUUUUCAUACUAAAUAAUCAAGAAAGCAAACAUACAAAUUCACAGUUUAGAGGGGUAAACUAGGUUGGUGGUUUAGAUUUUAGAACUAGGCUAGCUACCCCACUAAAUUCCAAUUUGUACAGUGAACUACAAGAAAUUGAGAAAACAGUGUAUUUAUAGUUUAAUUGAAUCGUGAGAAAGCAAUGUAGUCAUAGCUCAAUCUGAGAUGAUCACGGAGAGGCAUAUUCUUUUCAAGUUAAUUUGAUCAAUUUAUAAGAGAUGAAGUGGAUUGAAGUUAAAAGUUUAAAUAACAAAUCCUUGUUCUUGAGUUUUACGACGUCGUUACUCCUUCAAGAGGCAGAUUAUUUAUGCAAGUGAAUGCAGAAACGCAAUGCAUCAUCCACGGGGAUGGUACAUCAAAAGGCGGGAUCAUAGUCUAUGCCCGCAGAUUAACAAUUUCGCUCAUAUAGAAAAUUAAUUUUUUAUAUAUACUAAUCAACACUAAAUUGAUUAUGUUUUGUAUGUUUAUAUGCGAAUCAACACUAAAUUAUAUUAAAUGAAGAAAUAAUUCAAUUUUUUUCUAAUUUAAUUUAGAAAAUAAAAUUAUUAACAUUAAUAUUCCCAACAAAAAUUAUUUUCCAUUAGUAUUCAAAGUCUUCACUUAUGGAAAAUGUGUUUUACAUGAAUAUUAGUUACUGUGUGAAUUUGAAUGAUAGUGAAAAAUAAUUUUUUAAUUAUUGUAAAAAUAAUUAACCAUAUCAAAUCCCUUACGUAAAUAAUUUUUAUUUUUUAAAAAGAUAGAAAGAUGGUUAAUGCACAAGUAAAUUUUAAGCCCCUCUCUUCUUGGCCGAAGAUUCAAACUCAGAUGACUAGUUAAAUAAACCUAUGUGAAAAUCAUUCGGCCAGGUCCGCGGGGCAAAAAUACAAGAUCCUUAAUUUCAUAAUAUAUAUGAAUUAAUGUCAUUUACUUGAAUUAUCCAAAUUCAUCAGAGGUUAACGAAUUUUCCUGACAUGUAGUAGAUGAAGUUGUUGCUUCCUUCUUGGCAUUAUUUCAGCUCUGGUUGUUGGUCCCGAUGAGCUUUAGUCUUAUUUUAAUUUUAUUUAAACUCAUCAUAAGAUUCGUGGAGCACCUAACUGCUUAACUGACUGUGCAGAAAUGUCACAUAGCAUAUUUAACCGUUUUAACAGUAAUUUUGAACGGUCUUCGCAGUUAUCAUCAACAAACUCCUUCAUACUGGUCCAAUAUUCCGGACGAUAUCAUAUGCCUAAUAAUGAAUGAAUGGUCUUGGAUCGGUGUUUCGCAGCAAGAGCAACUCGACAAAAUCUGGAGUCAAGCUCCUCCGAUCGAACAAGGGAUUUCGAUUGAUGAUUGAGUUUCUUUGUGCUCAAGCAAGUUCAAAUCAUAGUUUUGAUUCUUUAGAUAUGAAUUCAUCACAUUACAUAUAACAGAUUGAGUUAAACAAAAUUUUAAUUUACUGAGAAAAGAAUUCUAUUUUGUGAACUAAUCAAUUGCAAAGCAUUAGUGUUGAACGAUACAAAAAAUUGGGAAAAAAAAAAAACUUAAAACGUGUGGACUCGGAUAGUCACACUAGAAAUCUACCACAAUAAUUACCUUUGAUGCUUGGAAUCUUUUAAUUUCUAGCCGUGUUGACUCCACUAGGUGAAGUUUUUGAAAUAAUAAUAAGCUCCCAUUCUUGAUUUAAAAAAAUGUGCUUAUAAUAAUUUUAGAAUAAUGGCUUAUUUAUAGAACAACUUAUGAUUUCCCAUUAGCAUUAUUAUUGAAGUGGGGUGGGUAACGGUUCACUCAAUUCGUCGGGAAUAAAAAAUUACCAUCCAAGGCAGAAUUGUAGAAAAUUAAAGCGAAAUGGGAAAUAUGGAAAUGAAGGAAGAAAGUUAAGGCAUGAAAGACUUCCAGUUGAAAUUGGUAAUCAUGUUUCUCUUUGGUAACUAAUCAAAUGGGAAACUGAACCAUAAACAGACAUUAAAACAUGUGUACUCCGCUGGCUGCCUUACAAGCCUACAAUAAUAACUGAGUACCUUUGAUUCAUCCUUCUAUGAAUUUCUAGCCGUAUUGACUCCACCGAAAUUUCCACAAAAGCAAAAAAAAAAAAAAAAAAAAAAAAAAGAAGAAUUUCCACAAAAUGCAAAACGCAUGGAACUUAAUUUUUGGCCCUGUGAUCACUAAGAUACAAUCCUUCUAGUGAAGAGCAAUCAGGCAAAUUUUUUUAGAUCUCUCCGACAAAGUGAUUACCAUCUAAUCGCAAUAUUGAACAAAAAUAAAAAUUUUAAUGGGAGUUUGACCUUAAAUUUAGAAAAUGAAUUUUCACUUUCUUCAAUUAUUAAACAGAUUACAGACAUUUGAGGAAUUUGAAAACACUUUAUCCAUCGAAAGUUAAAAUUAGAGAUGGAAGCUAGGUGCUACAGCUAAUGGGAUCAUUAAUUCCCCUCCCUCAAAUGUGUAGUUGUUCCUCUUUCCACAGCAUAAGCCUUAUAGUUAGAGUUUCUUUUAAAAAAAAAUGUUAAACAAUUUCGGUUGAGCAUGGUUUUGGUAGUUGAAUAGACACCUCCGCCGUACCUCAAACAAAACUGUCAUUAUUCGUGUCAUGAAACAUGUUUCGGCCGUCAAAGUCAUGAGUAGGAGUGGGCAUGGGUUGGUUUGGGUUAGAUUUUAAGUCAAUUUAAAGCAAACCAUAAAAAUUUGGGUUCAAUCCAAACCAACCCACAUAUUUUUAACCCAACCCAAACCAACCUAUUUGGGUUUGGUUUGGGUUUGGGUUUUGUUUGAAUUUUAUAAUUAAAAUAUUUUUUAUUUUAAUAAAUUUAACUAUAUCAAAUUAUAAUAAUUAUUAAAUUAAUAUUAAAAUACGAAAAAAUGUGGUGGAUAAAAAUUAUGAAUAAUGGAUUUUACAAUAACUUUGUUCUUAAAUAUUAACCAUAUUACAACAUAAAUUUUAACAAUGUCAAUACAAAUUAAAGUAAGAUAAGAUAUCUCAACUCAAGCAUCAAAGCAAUCCAUCAAAAUUAAAUUAUUUAAUUUUAUAAAUUUAAAUCUUCCGAGAAAUAAAUCUAAAAUUUAUUGUAAUUAGAAAAAGCGCCAAAAUUUUAAACGCAGUAAGAAAAAUUAGACAUGAAAUCUAAUUAGGUUUAAAUUUAAUUAAAAAAUAACAAUAGAAUUAUAUUUUAUUUGAUAAAAUCUUAAAAUCAAUUGCAUUUUUAAUUUUAGUAAGUUACAAUACAAAUAGGAUUAUAAAAUUAUAUUACAGGAUUUCAUAAAAAUAUUAUUUGAGUAAUUUAUUAAAGGACUCACCUACGUUGCCACAGUUGUAGCUUACCACACUUUUUGUCUUUUUCCAGUAAAAUCGUAGAUGCUUUCAAAUUUAAUCUAACGGCUGCAAUUAAUUAUUAGAUAAUUUAAUCAGCCGUUGGCAACCUUUACAACCGGUUAUAUUCUCUCGUUACAUUUCUCGGCUACCAAACAAUCCCCAAGAAAAUGACGAAGUGAGUAACUAAUACACACACCGCAGAGAAAGAUGACAGGAGAAGAGAUGACGGUAGGCCCACCGGCACAAAGGUUCUUCGAUUGCUCAAUUUCUUCGGCGCCAGAUUUAUCUACACAGCUACAAUCGACAAGUGGCGGGAACUCGAGCGGAAGUCAUUGAAGAAGAAACAGCAAGAGAGCAAUCUAUGGACUGAUGAUAACUCAGCAACUACGGUAAAGAAAGCCGUCAAAUGAUUUUUUUUAUUUGACUUUUGAUGGAUUUUCAAGAGUUUUGGUAAUAAAAUGUCUCUUAAUUUUUCAUUUCAAUGGCCUAUUGUUUGAGUUAUUAUUAUGCAUAAUUGUUGGAAGAGUUAGGGUUUUACUAUUGGAUUUUGGAAUUUGUAUUUUGGCUUUGAUAUGUUAUUGUUGUGAUGUCGGUCAAGAAAUUUUUGACAACACUCUCCUCGAGUUUGAUACUAUAGCUAAUGAAAUUUUAUGGCAAAUAUAUUCUUUUCUUUGAAAAAAAAAAAAACACUUUACAACUGGUUAUGCAUUCAUUUAGGAGUUGUUAACUGAGCGUGAGUUCCAUAAUUUUCCAACCAGUGGUUAGGGUUUCAUAGAAAAAUGUCGACAUUGAUCUUUAGGCAGCACUUAAGACUGAAAUUGGUUGUAGAGGAUCGAAUUUGGGGAACUAGAAAUUUCUGAUCAUUAAUAAUUGAAAAUGGCCUCUCACUUGUAGGCAGUUGUUGGAUGUAAUGUAUCCAGUUUCUGAAAUCGAAAGCAGAGUGAGUUCUUAGGUUAGAUGUAACUACAUGCAUUAAGGUUCGAAGAUGUAGAAUAGGCCAAUUGUUUGAUGUCAGCUUUGUUGCACAUGUUCUGAAAUUGAUCAUUUAAGAUGGCUUGGAAGCACUCCGUGAUGUGACUAAGAAGAUUCGAGGAAGUAUUAAAUAUGUUGAAAGUUCACAAUUAAUAUAAGGAAAGUUCAAUGAGAUCACCCAACAAGUUGAAAUCAACGGUCAAAAGAGCCUAAAGUGUGAUAUUUUUCUCUUGGAUUGUUUUUUUAUUUUCCAUUUCAAAGCUGAUAGUGUAAAUAUUUUGUUUGCAAAAGUUUCUAAAAAGUACUUGAGUCAAGAUGGUUAGGUAUUUCAUAACUUCCUUUUUACUCUUAACUAGAUUCAUAGAGAGUUAUAACAUUAACAUAAUUUUUCUUUUAAAAGUGAUCAAUUAGACACUGAUGAGAUAUCUCACUUUUGAAUCAUUUAGCUUUAUGUAAUGUCAUUACUAUUAUAUGCCCCCAGGAAUUGUUGAAGUAUAUAUAUCUUGGCAUUUCUUCACUGACUGAAUUAUCUUUCAUAAUAUUCCAGCUUCAAAUGGGUACACUGCAGAGCCGAUUGGAUGCAGAAUUCCUUCUAGCUCAUAUGUGCUCUGUAAAAUUCAAAGACUGAAUAGUGGUUAUGGCAACUCUUUUUAGAUGAUCUAAGGUAUAAUGCCCAAUUAUUGCUUUUGCUUUCUCUGUUUUACCUUGCAACAUUUUGAAAUUUAUGAGAAGCAUAAAAUUACUGAGCCAAAAUUGAGGAUCUGAACUUUCGUAAAAAUAUUUGUAUUUUUAAAUUAUAAAAUAUUGCAUUUGAUGCUUUAGGUGGAACUUAGUUCACUACAGAAAGGAAAAUUAUGUUGGGCAUAACCAGAUGUUUUUCAAGAGAAAAUUUCACUGAUAUUUUUCUGAGGAUUUUACUUGGCCAUCUUAUUUCAAGCUGCUUGAAUUUUUUCUUUAUAUCAUCUUGGUUGUAUACUAUAACUCGUUGAAUUUGCUAGCACUUUUGCUAGUUGUUUAUUCUAUAUGUGAUUGUGGUGGUAAAGUUUGGAAGUUGUUUUUCUUAAUAACUCCAAUUAACUUGAAGUUGUUACCUGAUUUAUUAUGACAGUGUGCAUUACGAUAAGUAUCCUUGCAUAUUAAGAUUUUCCUUCCAGAUCUUUGCGGUACUUUUUGAUCUUUUCCGACAUGAUAUGCGAUUAUGGGAAGCAUAUGCCAUCACCUUACAGGUAUUCUCUUAAUUUUUAGAUAGUGCUCAAGAUGACAUUCAAGUUGGCUAUUAUUGGGUGCAAGAUUUACCAUGCUCUUAUUUUGCUUUUUUAGUCUAACCCGACAUUUGCUUAAUACCAUGAUCUGCUUCAAGCCUUGGAUGGAAAACUUUCAUUUUUUGUAUAUUCUGCAAUGAGAUGAGGGUAGUUUUUCUGAUGAUAUUUAGCAGUAAAUUGGGACUAAGGUGGCGUUUGUUUUUUAACUUAAUGACUUAAAGUGACUUAACUUAAUUAAUUAAGUUAAUUAGAGAUGUUUGUUUUUAUAACUUAAUGAGACUUUUUUGAUAAUUUUGACUUAAUAAAAUAAGCCAAUUUUUUUGGCUUUUUACUUAAUGGAGAAAUCUUAAUUAAGUCAAUUACUUACUAAUGUCAAAAAUAUCCCUGCUUUAUAAUUUAUUUUUCAUGUCUAUCCCAAAACUCACCCAUAGACAUUUACCCCACAUAAAAAUAUCCAUGUUUUUUCUUUCUUAUAUUAUAUACGAUAAAAUUUGAAAUUUAUGGUAUUUUAUAUAUUAAAAUUCCAAAAUAAUUAUGUAUUCACUUGAAUAUAGUUUUAUUUAUAAAUGUUAAAAUAUUAUGGUAUUUAAUAUAUUAUUUAUUUGACAUUCAAAUUUAAUAAGGAUACAAAUGUAAAAGUAUAUAUUUUCAGCUUUUUAAGUUAAAAAAACAAACAACUUAAUACUUAUUUUUCAAGAUUCAGACGAAAAAAUAAACAUAUUAUUCAGAUUCAGAUAUUCAGAUCUAUUCAGAAUUCAGACUAAUUCAGGUCUAUUCAGAUUUCAGACAAAAAAACAAACGCCACCUAACUAAAGUAAUUUUCUUAAUGGCAUGUCUACUUCUCAGAUGAAUGACCGUCUGUUCAGACUCCCAAGUGAUGAAUUAACAACCACCGAUCUAUUCUGGGUGAAGAUGAUGACGUUGACACCAAGCCAGUGGAAUGACUAGGACUUCCCUUUUGUUACAAUAAAUUGUGUUCAUUAGACACACACAGUUAAUUAGUGUAGAUAAAGGAGGUCUAUGAACAAUAGACUGUUUUGUAUUUCGAGAGUCCUUUUUUUGUUUCUUUCAUUCUCCAUUCUUUUGAAAUUAUGUACAAUGGUUAUAUUGUCUAUAUUAUUACGGAUUUAUGAUGGGAGUAUCCUAAGUUUAUGGAAUAAUUAUAAAUAAGGACUUUAAAUUUUUGUUGAAAGAAGUUGAGUGAGAGAAAAGAAGCUAAAGCAGUAAGCAUUUGUUAUACUUCAUUCGAUUGUAUCUAAAUUACAAAGGUUGGUGGCCUUAUUUAUAGUGAAGUUCCCACAGGCCACUUGCACUCAAAACAUUCGAAAUAUGCAAACAUAUUGAUAUAUAAACAUACAGAAUUAAUAUUCUGAAUCCUUGUAAGUAAUGCAAAUAAAAGUGAGGUUGGGGCAGACAAUAUUUACAUCAUGUAUUAAUAGAAAUAAAAUCAAUUAUUUCCAAAUAAAGUCACUUAGUUCAAAGCACGGGCUUCAGUUAAGUUGAACAAGCAAGCCAAUUUUUGUUGUUACUUCAUGAUUGUCGUAAGCCGUGGGUAGUGGAUCGUGUUCCCUAUAAAAGACAAACAGAAGCAUAAGUUUCUCUCAAUUAAGGCACCUGAAAUGUAUUUCCAUGUCUACUAACCUGGUCAUUCGUCCAUGAACUAAACCCUUCUGAGGAUCUUGAAUAGAUUUAUAGAGAUCUCAGAUAAUUUCCUGGUGUGCCUGAGUAAAGACAAGUCUUAUGUACUUGAUUACUUCUGGCCAAUCUAUCGAGGCCACCACCUGUCUCAGUCAAUUCAAUCUUUUAAUAGAGUGAAUUACUAGAAUAAAAUUGAUUAAAGUUGAUAUAAAAUCUAAAUUAAAAAAAUCAGAUAAGAGAAUGAUCCAAAAUCCAAAAAAUCAAAUAUUUAAGGAGUGGACUUGUGACCCUCUAUAGAAUCCAUGGAAGAGUAACUAAGGGAAAAACAUUAGAGGUGCUUUUGGCGAUACUAUUAGUAUUCUUGUGCUGAUCAUAAUCUUGGGGGUAGAUCUAGACUAAUUAGCUAUUCAUUGAACAAUCCAUUUCUCCACAGUUACAUGCAAAAAUGCAGCUUGCAGUUGCAGCCUAGACCAUAGAAAUAUAGAAUUCCAAUUAUCAACAUCUAAAGCUACUGUAGUGACUUGCAACCAUGAGAUGAUAUAUACAUAUGCUGAGAUUCAAAUAUUUGAGAAGUUUAAACAUCCUGAUGAAAAAUAGACUAGUUCACAGCUACUUUGGGGAAGUUGAUUUCUAAUAGCAGUAGAAAAUACAAGUUUUUUUAAACAUACCUACUCCAGUAAACUCAAUUAACCAAAACAAAACUCAAAGCAUGAAAAAGAGGGAUUUUAACUAACCUAAUCAUUAUCAUUGAUAUUUUAACAUAUUGAUCUUCACAUGGAGUUAACAAACACAAGACUUAGUGCCUAGUACAUAUGUCUGGGGUUGCACAGUCUGUUCGACAAAUUUAUUGAAACUAUAUCCAUGCUCCUUCUUCAAUAAAUAAAUAUCCUCUUGCUUCUUCCAUCCUACUCUAAUUCUUCCUGGAAAGCAUUCUCCCCUUCUCUAAUUCUUCCGAAAAAACAUAACCGACAAUCCUAAACUAAUUACCACCGUUAAAUCUUUCAAACAAAAUUUACAAUUUCUUAUCAGUAGUUUCCUGCCGCAUCCGAUCGAACGGCUCAUCAACGAAUCAAACAGACUUCUUUCCACCCUUUUUCCAUAUAAUUACAUUUGCCUAAUUCCUAAAGUUUCGGCUCCGCCCAAUGUCGGCCGCAAUUGGCUGCCGCAGCGAUAUGUUCAUCUUCAACUUCUCUGCUGCGAUUUCAAAUUUACUUCAGCCUCGUACCACCACACUUCCACUGGCAAUUAAUUUCAUUAUCCGAUUUUACUAUGUGUGGAAUAGAUUUGAGCAAUUUAUGAGUUUUCGCUACGAUUUCGACGAUGUCCUCUCAACACUAAUUUGAUCACCUAAUUUUAACUGUUUUGGGUUAUUUAUUUUUUUAUUAUAUUUAUCUACAGUCUCUGCAGGCAACUGACUACUUCACUUAUAUGUGGAACUCAUCUGAGCUAUUAGAUGGAGGCCCUCCAGAUCCUACGGCGAUUAUAUAUGAGGACAAAAAGUGUUGUAUGUUGGAACUGUUGCAACGUAGGAGGAUCCUUUAUUAAAAUGUUAAUUUAGUUUUUUAACUCAAGUUUAGACCGUAAAAAAUUGUUAUAUAAUAGUGUAUUGUAUAACCAAUUACAUAUGUAUUUGCCUUGUGCAACACUUCUAUUAUUAUUAUAUAAUAAUAAUUAGUAGUAGUAUAAUUACUAUAUAAUAAUAAUUCUAAUAAAAAAUUAUUAUUAAAAUAUUGAUUUAGCCUUUUAUUUUAUUUAAUUUACUUUUUAUUAAUAUGUUAUCUUGAAUUUGUUCAUGACCCAUGAGUAAACCAUACCCAAACCAUUAUAAAAUAAUUUCUUUCAUAAAAACUCAAAUUUAACCCAUUUCAUGAUUUAUCCAACCCAAAUAAUUUAAUUUAGUUUGGGUUUGGAUAAACCUAUGGAUUGUGGGUUUAUGCCCAACCCUAGUCAUGAGAGGGGUGACGACGCUGCAUAUGAUGACACACCAGCCGACAAUGUAGUAACAGCACAAAACCAAAAUCUACCAAAAUCAACCAAAGUCAAUAAAAAAUUAUUUUAUUAAUAAAAAAAAAAAUUAUUAUUUGUGGGGAUGUGUAUCUGAUUCUGUGGACUGAAAUGGAAAAUAUGACGAAGUUCAGAGUCGUUGUAUAGAUUGACUUCAGUUGAACGGGUCUAAUAGAUAUUUUAUGCUGACGUGGCACGAAUUAGUUAUAAUCUGUUAUAACGAUUCCAGAAAUAUCAGUAUAAAUAGAAGCUGAUGAGCAGUGCCUGUUGUACGAUCCUUUUCUUCUUCAGUUGUUCGUCAAUUUGCAUAGAAUCUGUUUCAUUGUGAUCUGUGCAAAGUCUUCUGUAAAUCCACGUAUGUUUGAUUAGUUAUUGAUCAAUAUCGAGAGUAAAUUUUUCCUUCAAAUCUUGCUGGUUCGUGCCCCUGUUUCAGUUCUGGAUUUUUCUUUUUUUGUUUAGUUCUGGUUUCUUAAUUCAAUUGAAUUUCUUGGUGCUUAAUUCAUCAAGAUUCAGUGGAAUCGACUUGAAAAGGACUCAAUAGACUCAAAAUUAUUUAACGACACUCUGACCGUGGGGUACCGUAAUCAUAAUCUGAUUUUAAGAAAAUUACAACUUAUUUUAAAUAGCGCUUCAAUGUAAUUCUAAAUAUUUAAAAGGAAAACAUUAUCCACCUGGAACGACUUCAAGUCCAAAGUAAAAGACAAGAGUGGCUCCCCGCAAUUUUCUUGUUUUCAGUAUAUUUUCUCUUUUUCUUUUUUAAAAUCUUUUGACGCAUGCAUAAUCUACCCUUGUUUAUUUUUAAAAUGGACUUUGCUCUGCUCAAGUCCAUUUUUUUCAAAUAUUAUUUUAAAUAAUAAAUUGAAUAAAAUUACAUUUGUGUAAUUAAUUAGUAUCUGAGGGGGGCAUAUUUGGUGUAAUGCUAUGUAAGACUCAGCUAUUAUAUCACACAUACGCAUAUAAUAUAAUUAAGCAUUUGUUAUUAUAGCAAAGAUCCAUAGCAUGAAAGUGAAUAAAUUUAACUAAAUGAUUAAUUAAUCAAUUAAGUUUCAUGAGCUUUAAUCGAGUUAAAACCAAGUACAAACAUCGUUAACAAAUACUGAAAAUUAGGAAAUUAAAAAAAAAAACUAAUUCAAGUAAGAUGUAGUUUUUACAUGUUGAUCAGCAGAAUACAACAUUACAUUUUGUCAUUGACAAUAUUGCAUACCAGUCAUCCAAAGCAUUACCUCACGAGGUUUUAUGAGAAACGAAAGAUAAGUGUUUGCUCUGAACAAUUAAAGUUGCUGCUACCAACCUCCCCGAAGACCAAGAAGACGGAACAGGAAGCUAAUGCAUCAAUGUCUUCUUCAUUACAGCUGCUGCGUAGUUAGGUGUAGUUUCCUCAUUUGAAGCUGUCUAUACAUAGGCUUUCCCCCUGCUUAUGUACAAAUAAAUGAACAGCCUUGAAGCUUUAUUAUUCGCAACAAAAGGGGUUACCAAUUGGAGAAGACUUUACAGAGUUUCUCUCACACUCUCUCUCUCUCUCAAUUUCAUCUAGAAGUCCCUCCAAAAGCAUCUCCCAAAACAGUUAGUCAUCUUUAAUACUCUGUUUUCUAGAAACAGAGUCCUAACUAGAUUAAUUGACUGUACAGUGCAUUUCAACAUAGCAUAUUUAACCGUUAACCGUCUUCUGAGUUAUCAUCAUCAAAUUCAUUCAUAUUUCUCCAGUCUUACGGACGAUAUCAUAUGUUUAAUAAUGAAUGAAUAGUCUUGGAUCAGUGUUUUGCAGCAAAUUCACAUCAUAGUUUUGAUUCUUUAGAUAUGAAUUCAUCACAUUACCGAAAAGAAUAUGCGCUAAAAAAUGAUUCCAAGACUAUUUGACUACCAAAAGCUGCUGUCAGAGUGCACUGAAAUUUCCGUAGGAUACUUUGCGGUUGUUUAUUAUGUUAUGAUGGGCAUAUAAUUCUCAAAUUUUGACUCCUCUCAGCGAAAAAUAUAUCAAAGUUUAGAUUAUGUGUUCGAGCUUUAAUAAAUGCCUGAGUUAAUAAUAAUAACAACAAUAAUAAUAAACUAAAAAGCAAAAUUACUAUUGAAUGAUCGGAAAAAAAAAUUAGAAAACGUGUGAACUCCAAUAACCACCCCACAAAUUCAGUGGCGAAUUUUGGAGAGGGCAAGGCCGGGCUUCUCAGAAAAAAAAAAAAAAAAAAUUAUUUGGAGAGGGCAAGGCCGAGCUCAUUCUUUGGUUUUACUUGCAGGGAUUGAAGAAGACUAGAAUGACACAAAAAAAAAAGAAAAAAAGAGUUGAGCGAGUGCAGGUUUUGUCUUCAUUUAAGGAGCUCUUUAUAAAUUUUAGGAUUUUUUUCCUGAGAAAAUUUAUGCCAACUCAUUCUUUGCUUCUUUUCUGAAGGGACACAUGCAACCGAAAGUAUAUUCUUGAAUUCUCCAGGAUAAGAGACAUACGUUUAGAUUCUGGAGCAUUUAAAACAAUGUCAAAUUUUAGAUUGCUGAAAUUUUAUAUAUCCGAGUAUGAUGGUGUUCCAAUUAUAAGCUCCAGGGUGCAAGUUCACUGAGGUUUAGAAUGCCUUCCUAUAGAAUUGAGAAAUCUCCAUUGGCAUAAAUAUCUUUUGAAAAUACUGACAUCAGAUUUUGAAUUGGAGAACCUGAUUGGACUCAGCUUGCCUUGUAGUAAGGUUAAGCAAAUUUGGAAAAGAGAAAAGGUAUAAUGUAUUACUAUUACCAAAGUAUCUAUUUUUCUUUCUUUAAGUAUUUAUAAUGAAUAACUUUUAAAUUCAAUGAUGCUCAUUUAGUAUAGUUAUGUAUCUUUGGUUAUAGGAAGCUGUCAAGUUAAAAUCUAUAGACCUUCACCACCCCUCUAUCUCAAUAGGAUCCCAGAAAUACUAAAUCUUAAAAAAAUAAAUCUUUUAAAUUGUGAAAGCAUGCUUACGUUACCCCCGUAUAUCCACAAUUUCAACUAGCUGAGUAUGUUGUGUUUCAGGGAUGCAAAAUUCAUUUUGUUUCUCAUGAAAGGAUUGACUUGUCCGGAUGUAUUAGGGUUAAUAAACCAACUAAUCCCAUAAUUUGUUGAUGUAGGGUCCUAACAAAUUAUUGCAGUAGAUUGUAGAUCAGUACACUAUUCGAAAACGUAUUUGAUCCACAUAGUGAAGUGGAUAUUGGACCAAUUUGAUGAUAAUGAAUUUCUUUCAACCUCAAUCUUUUUUCCUUUUAGCAACAUGACUAGUCAUUGCGCAAAUUCAAACUCUGACAAUGAUUUCUCAAUCGGUUUCUAAGAUGAUGACCAUGUAUGUAUAUGUAUAUGCGUGUGUGUAUGUGUGUGUGUGUGUAGAGAGAGAGAGAGAGAUCACACGUGUGUGAUUUCCUUUUGCUAAUAGGAUAUGCAGAGAGCUUGAUCUUACCCAAUAGCGAAACAAAAUUCCUAAUAGGUGAAGGUAUAGUAUAAAUACUUAUACUUUCAUGUUAUUUUGUUCAUCAGUAGCUCGAUUAUUUUAUAUGCGUCUUCGAUUUUAAUUUUCUUUCCCUAUAAUCGCUAUUAUCUUUGAACUGGUCAUGAUUUGCCUAUAAGAUUUCUCAUGUUGUUUUGAGGUGCAAUGGAUUUUGAAUUUAGUGACGAGCAGUGGAAGCCAGAAGGCAAAUUAUGAAAAUGGAUAAAGAUCUAUAAUUAGUUGUUAUGGGAUGUCACAUAUCAUAUUGAUGGUAACAUUAUAUAUAUGUACAUAUAAUUAAUGGGGUUGGCUCACGAAACCAUUAAUAAUCAUAUAUUAGCUUAAAUACUUCAAACAAUGUACCAUGAAGCAAUUUCACAAAUACUCGUUAGCUUACGUUGAGCUUUAUUGAAUCAGUAGUUCACAGUUCAAUAAAAUGCAGGUUUUCUAUUUAACGUACAUGGUUAUGGUGUGUGCAUUCUUCAUAAGGCUAACUACUAAUUUAUCAAUGAAACUUGAAAAAUGUAACAGAAAGAUGUCGAUAACAGCCGCAAAACACUGAGAUUGAAAAUCAGGGUUACUAAAUUCUAUUAAAAGCUCUUAAAAUAGACAGCGAUCAUCCUUAAUCGCAAAGUUAUGCACUAAUAGAACUAUUGACUACUUAUCUUUAGCAGAAGGUAUAUUUUUAACUACAGCUUUCUGCUUUGUUCUAAGAACUAGGCAAAAGUGGUAUAUCUUCAAUCCAAUCAACAUAUAUACCACUUAUGUUCCUCUUCACUUCUGUCCAUUUUGAUUUGCACUUCAUAUCCUGCACUUGCUGCUUAGAAAUAGUCUUAGUCCGGACAUUGAAAGUAGAAAAAGUACUUGAAACAAUCAUUGGCACAGCCCGAGAUUCCAUUGAAUCGUGGACUCCAAACUUUCAUAGUUCUAUAAAGAAAAUGACAAAACUUCAUACAACUGGCAUUCUGCUUUUAACAUUUGCACAACCUGAGCGAGUUAGCAAGCCCCUUGUUGCGUUCCCAUUGAAUAGACAUACUUCUGUUAUCCACAGAAGAUCCACCACUCAAAAUGUUUAUCACCAGGCUAUUCUUAAACUGAGCCUAAUGUCACGGGAUGAGUGUUUUGCGCAGCUAACCCGUGUGGCACUUAGACAACUUUGCCGAAUGUUGCUAAGUAAGCCUAGAGCUUCUCGAACUAGAGAAGAGAGCAAUUGAGCCAAAGAAGAAAACUUGUAUUGCACAAAGAGAGAAUACAAUGCUUGAGUUGCUUACAAUGUUUGUUGGAUACAAAUGCCUAAUGCCAUCCCAUAUUUAUAGGGGAGUCUUGACAAGCUCUAGAGAUUCUAGAGAAUUCUACCCACUAUCUAGAAUUUACAUGUGCUGGAAAGUCAUAGAGAAUUCUAGAAUAUUUACAUGUUCACAUGUGCUAGAGUUGCCUAGAACCUUCCGGAAUUGGGCCAAGCUAGCACUCUUGGCCUUGUAUUGGCUCUCUAGCCCGAAAUUGUGGGCAAUUGGGCUAGUGAAUUGGGCGGUCCGCAACAUCCUCCCCCACCUAAGCUCGCGGCGUCCUCGUCGCGCUCUCGUGCUUGAACCUUUGGAUGUGCUCAGCGAAUUGCCACAAAUCAUCUUCACGUUCCCAAGUGGCUUCGCUCUCGGGGAGGCUUUUCCACUUCACCAAGUACUCGCUAUGUGUUGGCACGCCCCUCCUCAAAACCACGCGGUCCGCAAUGAUGUAGUCCACAUCUUUGUCGAAUGCGGUAACAACGGCAGUUGGCACGCGCCUCGAUUCUCCGCGACUUGGUUCUCCCAUGUCUUCGUGAUAUGGCUUGAGAAGGCUCACAUGGAAGACCGGAUGGAUCUUGAGUCUUGGCGGAAGUUGGAGUUGAUAUGAGACACUGCCCACACGUCGAACAACCCGGAAGGGUCCCUCGUAGCGCCUCACUAACCCCUUGUGAACUUUCCGCAAAGUCUUGAACUGUUGGGGUAGGAGCUUGAUCAUGACUUGAUCACCUUCCUUGUGCUCAACAUGCCGUCUCCUUGUAUCCGCCCAUUUCUUCAUUUUCCUCGCGGCUUUGUCGAGGUAGGCUUGCGUGAUGUCCGCUUCCUCAUGCCAUUCGCGGGCGAGCUUGUGUGCCGCGGGGCUUUUCCCUCCGUAAGUCGAGGCAUUGGGGGUCAUGGGCUGGAAUCCCAUGAUGAUCUCGAAUGGACUCUUGCCCGUAGCCUCACUUCGCUGCAAGUUAUAAGAAAAUUGGGCGACGUCAAGUAGUUUUGCCCAAUCCCGCAGAUGAGCGCUCACAUAAUACCUCAAGUACAUCUCGAGGAGCCCAUUAAUGUGCUCGGUCUGCCCAUUCGUUUGUGGGUGGAAGCUUGUCGAGAACUUGAGAUCGGUCCCCAACAUCUUAAAGUGCUCCAUCCAAAAACGCCCAGUGAACCGAGGGUCUCGGUCGCUCACAAUGCUCUUCGGAACUCCCCAAAGCUUCACAAUGUGCUUGACGAAUAGGCGGGCUGCCUCAUCCGCUUUGCAAUCGACUGGUGCGGCAAUGAAUGUGGCAUACUUGCUGUAUCGGUCGACAAUGACCAUGAUGCUUCCGCAACCUUCGGACUUGGGCAGCGAUGUGAUGAAGUCCAUGGAGACACUUUCCCAUGGCCUUGUUGCUAGUGGUAGCGGUUCCAACAAUCCCGCUGGAAGUUGGUGAUCCACCUUGUCUUGUUGGCACACAAGACAAGUUCGCACAUAUGCCUCGAUGUCGUCCCUCAUGUGCGGCCAAAAAUACGAGGCUUGGACUAGUGCGGUGGUGCGCUCAAUUCCUGGGUGACCAGCCCACUUAGAGUCGUGGCACUCUUUGAUUACUUCCUUCCGCAAGUUUCCCCACCUUGGCACGAACAGCCGAUCUCCUUUGGUGAGGAGGAUGCAUUCCUCUUGCCAAAAUCGCCUUGUCUUUCCCUCGAGCACCUUCUCCAGCAAGUCCUUUGCUAGCGGAUCUUGUUGGAGGCCUUCCUUGAUGCGUGAGACAAUGUCGGACUUCGGUUGGCUCAUGCUAAGCGUUGCCAAUUCCGCCUUGCGGCUUGGAGCGUCCGCAACGACAUUGGCUUUACCCAGUUUGUACUCUAGCCGAUAGUUGAAUUCCGCAAGGAAAUCUUGCCACCGUGCUUGCUUCGGACUCAACUUCUUUUGAGUUUGGAAGUACCUUGUCGCCACGUUGUCCGUCAUGAUCGUGAAGUGUGAGCCAAGCAAAUAAUGUCGCCACACUCUUAGACAAUGGAUGAUGGCUGUCAUCUCCUUUUCUUGCACCGUGUAGCGGCGUUCCGUGUCAUUUAGCUUUCGACUCUCGAACGCUAUUGGGAGGCCUUCUUGCGUAAGGACUCCUCCUAUGGCGAAAUUCGAGGCAUCCGUUUGGACUUCGAAGGGUUUAGUGUGGUCCGGAAGAGCGAGGACGGGUUCCUCCGAAAUUGCCUUCUUCAACUCCUCGAAUGCGCGUUGGCACUCUUCGGACCAAUGCCACAUUAUGUUUUUCUUGAGCAUAUCCGUCAAGGGUGCCGCCUUGGUCGAAUAACCCUUGAUAAAGCGGCGGUAGUAAUUCACCAGCCCAAGGAAUGAGCGAAGCUCGGGAACUUUCGAGGGAGGCUCCCAAUCGAGGAUGGCCUUUACUUUGGCAUUCUCCAUCAUAAUCUUCCCACCAGCAAUCUUGUGGCCAAGGAACUCCGGAAGAGCGAGGACGGGUUCCUCCGAAAUUGCCUUCUUCAACUCCUCGAAUGCGCGUUGGCACUCUUCGGACCAAUGCCACAUUAUGUUUUUCUUGAGCAUAUCCGUCAAGGGUGCCGCCUUGGUCGAAUAACCCUUGAUAAAGCGGCGGUAGUAAUUCACCAGCCCAAGGAAUGAGCGAAGCUCGGGAACUUUCGAGGGAGGCUCCCAAUCGAGGAUGGCCUUUACUUUGGCAUUCUCCAUCAUAAUCUUCCCACCAGCAAUCUUGUGGCCAAGGAACUCCACUUCUUGUUGGGCAAACGAGCACUUUUCCAACUUGAGGAAGAGCUCGAUGUCUUGGAGUACUUGGAGGACUUGUCGCAAGUGUUGGGCAUGAUCCUCGAGUGUGGUGCUAUACACCACGAUGUCGUCCAAGUACACGACCACGAAGCGGUUGAGGAAUGGUUGGAGUACCUUGUUCAUGAGUGUGCAAAAUGUGGCGGGUGCAUUAGUAAGGCCAAAAGACAUCACAAGGAAUUCGAAAGACCUGUACCUUGCUGUGCACGCUGUCUUCGGUUCGUCUCCCUUGGCGAUGCGCACUUGGUAGUACCCGGAACGCAAGUCAAGUUUGGUGAAGUACCGCGCUUUGCCAAGCUGGUCGAACAAGUCCGCAAUCAAUGGAAUCAGAUACUUGUUCUUGAUGGUGAUCUUGUUGAGCGCUCUAUAGUCGAUGCACAUCCGCAGCGAUCCAUCCUUUUUCUUUUGGAAGAGAACCGGUGCACCGAAUGGGGCCUUUGAGGGGUGAAUGUAGCCUGCGUCCAGCAAGUCUUUGAGUUGUCUCCGCAACUCCUCUAGUUCGGGUGGUGCCAUGCGGUAGGGCGCCAAGGCUGGUGGCUUCGGGCCUUGUUCCAGCUCGAUUGCAUGAUCUACCUCUCGUCGAGGUGGGAGCUUCUUCGGAAGUUCUGGAGGCAUCACGUCCUUGAACUCAUUGAGGAUGGUUUGAAUUCGCGGAGGGACUUGGCUUGGCGACGUUCCUCUAUUUCCUUCCUCGUUUAGUUCUCGGAUUGAGACCAAGAAGCUUGGGUCCUUUUUUAAAGCCCUCUUGAAUUGCACGGCGGAGAGUGUCUUCUCCUCGGACUUGCCUCGUUUCGUGAGAACCAUGCAUGCUUUACUCCCGUCGAGGAUGCUUAGGGAGUUUGUAGCAGGCAGCGGGAAAGCAUGCACUUGGUCGAAGAAUUCCAUGCCGAGGACCAUCUUAAAGUCGUCCAUGGGCACGAUGGAGAAGUCAAACUUUCCGCUCCACGUACCAAGUGUGAUGUGCACGCCUUGUGCAAUUCCCGCAAUUGGCUUGGCGGGUGAGUUUACUACCUUCAUUGUGCCUCUUUCCUUAGUAGCCUUGAGGCCUAAGCGCUUGGCCUCGUCUACAGACACGAAAUUGUGCGUUGCUCCCGUGUCUAGUAGCGCGCGAACGGACUGACCGUUUACCUUUGCGCUUACAUACAUGAGCCCUUUCUUGACGAGUGCGGGUUGUUGGCGAUUAAGUGCGCCGAGGCGUUGGAGAGAACCCAUGCUGAGUUGGGGUUCCUCCGCGGACAUUGUGGGGUUGCUCUUGAGUUGGGCAGCAAGAGCGUUAAGUGACCUUUUCUCUGGACAGUCACGUACCCAAUGAGGACCAUUGCAUAUGAAGCAUGGGCUUCGCGGCUUUGGCGCCUCCUUCUUGCCCUCCAAUUUUCCUUGCCCGCUCUUGUUGCUAGGCGACUUUUUCUGCCCUCAAUCUUUGCGGUUGUUGCCCUUGUCCUUGCGACUCUCUCCCCCACCUUUGCCUUGGCUAGACUUCUUGUCUUUGGAUUGGGUAGAGUAUUUGGUGAGCGAUUCCGCAACGGCGAUGGCGUCGUCAAGUGUUUGAACACCACGCCUAUCAAGCUCGGUCUUGGCCCAAUCUUUGAGGCCAUCUUGGAAGUAGAAGAGUAAAUCUUUGUCGGACAUGUUGCUUAUCUCCAACAUAAGGGUAGUGAACUCAUUGAUGUAGUCCUGAAUGCUACCCGAUUGCUUGAGGUGACGUAAGCGCGCUCGCGCUUCCUUCUCCGCAUUGCUUGGGGCGAACUGCUUUCAGAGUUCUUGCUUGAAGUCGGCCCAAGUGUCGAUGGCGCAAAUGCCCUUGCCCAUCUCGCCAUGCUUGCGACGCCACCAUAGUUGUGCAGCGCCUCGAAGAUAGGUGGGUGCAGUGCCCACUUUCGAUGCCUCAUCUCGGACACCCAUGGCAUCGAAGUAUUGAUCCAGCCCGAAUAGGAAGUUGUCCACGAUUGUGGCGUUGCGUGUGCCAUCGUAGGUGUCGAGCUUUGGCACAUCAAUGCGGCGCGCAUCACUCGAGUUUGCGGAAGCUGGACUAGCGGAGAGUGUGCGCUUGUGCCAUGCCCAAUCCGAGCGGACUUCAUCCACUUCCGCACGGACAGCUCGUAGUUCAUCUUGAACAAAACUACGAAGUUUUAGCAACUCAUCAUGAAAAGAACGAAACUCACCUCGGAGAGUGUUUGCUUGCUCUUGGAUGAGAGCUUUGGUUGCCACCGUGAACUCGGCGUAUUCCCCCUCGAGACCGUCCACUCGUUCCUCCAAUCCCUCGAGGCUAUCCUGAGCGGCGGACAAUGCUAUUUCGAGAGUGCCUACACGAGGCUCCAACGCAUCCACGGAUAGGGCCUUGGACUUGCCGCGAGUCUUGCCUUGGGCGCGUUCUCCCUCUCGGCCGCGGCUUGGUUCUGGUGGAGCAUCCACACUAACAACACCCUCUUAUGCUACGUUCGAAGGGUUGGCCAUUGCUUCGUGAGCUAAUUUGUGUGCGUGCAAACCUUAGCUCUGAUACCACUUGUCACGGGAUGAGUGUUUUGCGCAGCUAACCCGUGCGGCACUUAGACAACUUUACCGAAUGUUGCUAAGUAAGCCUAGAGCUUCUCGAACUAGAGAAGAGAGCAAUUGAGCCAAAGAAGAAAACUUGUAUUGCACAAAGAGAGAAUACAAUGCUUGAGUUGCUUACAAUGUUUGUUGGAUACAAAUGCCUAAUGCCAUCCCAUAUUUAUAGGGGAGUCCUAACAAGCUCUAGAGAUUCUAGAGAAUUCUACCCACUAUCUAGAAUUUACAUGUGCUGGAAAGUCAUAGAGAAUUCUAGAAUAUUUACAUGUUCACAUGUGCUAGAGUUGCCUAGAACCUUCCGGAAUUGGGCCAAGCUAGCACUCUUGGCCUUGUAUUGGCUCUCUAACCCGAAAUUGUGGGCAAUUGGGCUAGUGAAUUGGGCGGUCCGCAACACUAAACUGAGUAGAAACUUCCGCACAUCUCUCAGCAUUUACAUGAAGAAAUCGACAACUAUCCUCAUCUCUCAGCACAUCUCUCAGCAUUCUACAAAGUUGCAUUUCACUAAGCAAUCUAUCCUCUCCAUUCCUAGCAAAGUGACAUUGAUUCCCGUAUUUGUAAUCACCUAACUUGGGUUUUGGGCAUAGCGUGGUCUUAAAAUUACCACCCAAUACUUUGUUCAGUGCCAAUGGCAUCCACAAGCUCUAGCCCUGUUAGCUGAAUCAUAUUCAAUGGGACAGUGAGGCAGCAUUUCACUGACAUAUUCAAUUUGACUACUUAUAUUGACGCAAAUAUUAGAAUUUGAAAUCACUUCUUUUCUUGGAAUAUUAUAUUAAAAUGACCCCAAAUGAAAGUUCUUGAAUGGAAAUGAUUUUUAUUUAAUUUUCCAACAGAUUCAAGAAACCCAGAGAACACAAAAUUUACACAGUAAUAUGAUUAAGACCUGAGAACGUACAUGUAGUAAAUGUCUAUCAAAAAACAUCCAAGGGUUUCUUUAAAAUUAGAAACUAGUAAACAAAAAGAAAGAAUCAUUUUACAUUUUUAGCAACUUUGGGGUGAGUGAGGAGUGAGAAAUUGAAACCCUAAAGUGAUGACAACAGUAAGAUUCAGUAUGAAGUGAAACCCCAAUUUGGAAUGUAGGCAUGAGUUGCUGAGUCAGUAGAUGAAGCUAUAAAUAGGCAUUCGGUUUGGAGGGCCAUGGAAUCGUGUACUGGAGUGGGCUCCAAGUAAUAGCCUCUAUCACUGGAACGACACAUCUGUAAAAUGUGAUACAUGGGGAAGGAUUGGGCAUUAUAUUCUUAGAUUAGCGCCUUAUUUAGGGUGUAUAUUAAGCAGAUUAUAUAUUACAUGGAGAUGGAGUUUAUGAAAUAGAUUAAAAAGAAAAGGAAAUUUCAGUGCCUAAAAGUUUGCCACUUGGAAUAUUUCGGUGUCUAAAAAUUCACUCACAAAACUAUAGCUGACAAAAGGUUACUAACAAAAAGUUAGGUCCAUGGGUUGUUAAAACUAUAUAGCUGACAAAAAGUUACUAACAAAAACAGAAUGUCCAUUUUAUAACUUUCUUAAAAAACUUUCCUUAACUUUUUUAAAAAGUUACCAACAAAAACUUAUUUCCAAUUUUUAUUUUGUUAUAAUUUUUAUAACAAAAUUCGUAGUUAACUAAACUCUUCUUAUUCCCUUUCUCAACUGCCAUACCCUAACCCACUAAACCACGCUCAAUUAAGGCCAUCAGAUUCUCCCGGGCCCACAUUAAUCCAACUGCUCACAGAGACCGACAGCCUCUCUAUCUCCAUUUCAAGCUCCCUCUUCAACUGGCUUCUGCGACCGUCCUACUCUUUCUCGGAUUCGGAGUCCGUAUUUGCUCGGCCGGUCCCACGCAACUCCCUCUCACUCCAAUUGUGACCCAACAAGACCAAUUGCUUAAUCAAGGCACAGAACAAGAAGAGGAUGAGAAGUUGAAACAAUAAUUUGAGAAUUGGAAAUCGAAAACGUACGCAUUGACCGUGCCUGUAAGGUUUGUUUCUCUUCAGAAUUCAGUGCCUCAAUCUUGGGUUAAGGAUUUUAUGCGAAGUCAAGGAAAGAGAUUGAAGUUUCAGAUGAAUUUGUGUGCUAGCAUUGAUGGGAUCUUUAACAAUUUAUCUGUGCCCUGUAACAAAGUUAAGGCUAAGUCAGCUUCUUAUAUGGCUGCUGAUUUGGUUAGUGUUGGUGAUUCAUGGCUCAACUUUGCGAUUAAAAAGAGAUUGAUUGAGCCAAUAGCUGGAGCUGAAGAUCAAGAUUGGUUCAAAUACUUAAGUCAAAAAUGGAAGGUAACAUACUAACAUCUUUAUCUUUGACCCGAUAAUUUUUAUUGUCUUACAUUGAAAUUUGGUAAUGUAAUUUGUUCUCUAUUUGUGUUACCCUUAGUAGUCGUUUUAUUUAUUUGUUUAUUUGCUUUUAUUUGCACUAACGAAAUCUCAGGUAUAUCUACGCAGGAAUGAUGCAGGAGAAAUUGAUCCUCGAGGUAAAAUAUGGGCGGCACCAUACAGGUGGGGCACAACGGUGAUAGCCUCCAAGAAAAGUAAAUUUCGAAAGCAUAAUUUGGCUCCGAUUGAGGUAAUAAUUUUCUUUAAACUCAUUUAGUUUUAUAUCAAACAAAAUCAAGACUGCCUUUCUCUUCAAUAUUUUUUAUGAUAAUAUCUUUAGAAGCAUCUCAUUGACAGGUAACAAUGGCAUCCCUAAAAGAGUCUAUAAACUCAAUGAUAUUAUCUUCUACAAAUGGUUCAUUAAACUUUGUCGUUGUACUCAAAUGUACACUCAGAUCAAUGAGAAGCUAUGCCACUUUAGCAUGUAGUGAUGGCACUUAAUAAGUGAGUUGCUAGGAUGUGAACUAGAAAAAUUAAAUAUUGUCUCCUUGGGUAUGCUAGCUCGUAAGUCAGGGUUAAUAUCAGAGCUUAAGAUACUAUAAUUGUGAGAACCUAUUGAUUGCCAAUUAAAAUAUCCAUUAAAAUGUCUAGGGAGUUAUGAAGGUGGAGGUAACUUCCAAUUUCUAAGGCCACAGAGUAAAAUAAUUUGGAUAGAACUAUUGACUACUUAUCUUUAGCAGAAGGUAUAUUUUUAACUACAGCUUUCUGCUUUGUUCUAAGAACUAGGCAAAAGUGGUAUAUCUUCAAUCCAAUCAACAUAUAUACCACGUAUCUUCCUCUUCACUUCUGUCCAUUUUGAUUUGUACUUCAUAUCCUGCACUUGCUGCUUAGAAAUAGUCUUACUCUGGACAUUGAAAGUAGAAAAAGUACUUGAAACAAUCAUUGGCACAGCCCGAGAUUCCAUUGAAUCGUGGACUCCAAGCUUUCAUAGCUCUAUAAAGAAAAUGACAAAACAUCAUACAACUGGCAUUCAGCUUUUAACAUGUGCACAACCUGAGCGAGUUAGCAAGCCCCUUGUUGCGUUCCCAUUGAAUAGACCUACUUCUGUUAUCCACAGAAGAUCCACCACUCAAAAUGUUUAUCACCAAGCCAUUCCUAAACUGAGUAGAAACUUCCGCACAUCUCUCAGCAUUUACAUGAAGAAAUCGACACCUAUCCUCAUAUUUGCAAGUUUUCUGAUAAUAGAACUCUCCACAAAGCUGCAUUUCACUAAGCAAUCUAGCCUCUGCAUUUAUAGCAAAGUGACAUUGAUUCCCGUAUUUGUAAUCACCUAACUUGGGUUUUGGGCAUAGCAUGGUCUUAAAAUUACCACCCAUUACUUUGUUCAGUGCCACUGGCAUUCACAAGCUCUAGCCCUGUUAGCUGAAUCAUAUUUAAUGGGACAGUGAGGCAGCAUUUCACUAACAUGUUCAAUUUGACUACUCAUAUUGACGCAAAUAUUAGAAUUUGAAAUCACUUCUUUUCUUGGAAUAUUAUAUUAAAAUGACCCCAAAUGAAAGUUCUUGAAUGGAAAUGAUUUUUAUUUAAUCUUCCAACAGAUUCAAGAAAACCCAGAUAACACAAAAUUUACACAGUAAUAUGAUUAAGAGCUAAGAACGUACAUGUAGUAAAUGUCUAUCAAAAAACACCAAAGGGUUUCUUUAAAAUUAGAAACUAAGAAUCAUUUUACAUUUUUAGCAACUUUGGGGUGAGUGAGUGAGUGAGAAAGUGAAACCCUAAAGUGAUGACAACAAUAGAUUCAGUAUGAAGUGAAACCCCAAUUUGAAAUGUAGGCAUGAGUUGCUGAGUCAGUAGAUGAAAUUAUAAUUAGGCAUUCGGUAUCUUUCUUUUCGGUUUGGAGGGCCAUGGAAUAGUGUAUUGGAGUGGGCUCUAAGUAAUAGCCUCUAUCACUGCAAUGACACAUUUGCAAAACGUGAUACAUAGGGAAGGAUUGGGCAUUAUACUCUUAUAUUAGUGCCUUAUUUAGGGUGUAUAUUAAGUAGAUUAUAUAUUACAUGGAGAUGGAGUUUAUAAAAUAAAUUAAAAAGAAAAGGAAAUUUAGUGUUUAGAGUUUGCCACUUGGAAUAUUUCGGUGUCUAAACAUUCACUCACCACUUAUUUCAUGUCUGAUUAUAUGUUGAAAAGAUAUUAAAGUAAUUUAACGCAAUUAAGGCUUAACGUAUAUUUUUUAUUAGUAGAGUGUAGAACUUUUAAGAAAUAUAUUAUUAAAUUACUAUAACUAACAUAUUAUUUUAAAGUUGUGUUAUGAAAAAAAAUGAAAUAAAAACGUAAAGUAAAUAAGAAUAUUCUAAAACUUUUAUCUUUUUAAAAUUAGUUUUUAACAUAAGGUGAACAAUUUUUUUUUAAAUCACAUAUUCUAGUUAAAAUCAAAUAUGUAUUUAUAUGAAGCUUGUAAAUUUUUUUUUAGUACUGAUAUUUGAAUAUUAUCAAUAAAAAAAAAAGGGUAAUGUUCAUGCUGCAUUAUUUUUGUAGCACACAAAAGGACAACACCGUUUAUGUUAUAAUACUAUUGCUUCUGUUAUGAUAGUAUUUUUGUUAGUGGCAAAAUAUCAUUUUUUUUUUAAGUAAAAAGGUGGACAGAAUGCAAAUCAGUUUUUAAUCCUCAAUUUCUCCCAAAAUUUAAAUUCGUAAUUAGUCAAAUAAAAUUGAUCGAAAACCAUUAAGCUAGGUCCAUGGGUUGUUAAAACUAUAGCUGACAAAAAGUUACUAACAAAAACAGAAUGUCCAUUUUAUAACUUUCUUAAAAAACUUUCUUUAACUUUUUUAAAAAGUUACCAACAAAAAGUUAUUUCCAAUUUUUAUUUUGUUAUAAUGUUUAUAACAAAAUUCGUAGUUAACUAAACUCUUCUUAUCCCCUUUCUCAACUGCCAUACCCUAACCACGCUCAAUUUAGGCCAUCACAGUGACCGACAGCCUCCCUAUCUCCAUUUCAAGCUCCCUCUUCAACUGGCUUCUGCUUCGGUCGUACUCUUUCUUGGAUUCAGAGUCCGUAUUUGCUCGGCCGGUCCCGCACAACUCCCUCUCACUCCAAUUGUCACCCAACAAGACCAAUUGCUUACUCAAGGCACAGAACAAGAAGAGGAUGAGAAGUUGAAACAAGAAUUUGAGAAUUGGAAAUCGAAAUCGAAAACGUACGCAUUGACCAUGCCUUUAAGGGUUGUUUCUCUUCAGAAUUCAGUGCCUCAAUCUUGGGUUUAGGAUUUUAUGCGAAGUCAAGGAAAGAGAUUGAAGUUUCAGAUGAAUUUGUGUGCUAGCAUUGAUGGGAUCUUUAACAAUUUAUCUGUGCCCUUUAACAAAGUUAAGGCUAAGUCAGCUUCUUAUAUGGCUGCUGAUUUGGUUAGUGUUGGUGAUUCAUGGCUUAGUUUUGCCAUUAAAAAGAGAUUGAUUGAGCCAAUUGCUGGAACUGAAGAUCAAGAUUGGUUCAAAUACUUAAGUCAAAAAUGGAAGGUAACAUACUAACAUCUUUAUCUUUGACCCGAUAAUUUUUAUUGUCUUACAUUGAAAUUUGGUAAUGUAAUUUGUUCUCUAUUUGUGUUACCCUUAGUAGUCGUUUUAUUUAUUUGUUUAUUUGCUUUUAUUUGCACUAACGAAAUCUCAGGUAUAUCUACGCAGGAAUGAUGCAGGAGAAAUUGAUCCUCGAGGUAAAAUAUGGGCGGCACCAUACAGGUGGGGCACAACGGUGAUAGCCUCCAAGAAAAGUAAAUUUCGAAAGCAUAAUUUGGCUCCGAUUGAGGUAAUAAUUUUCUUUAAACUCAUUUAGUUUUAUAUCAAACAAAAUCAAGACUGCCUUUCUCUUCAAUAUUUUUUAUGAUAAUAUCUUUAGAAGCAUCUCAUUGACAGGUAACAAUGGCAUCCCUGAAAGAGUCUAUAAACUCAAUGAUAUUAUCUUCUACAAAUGGUUCAUUAAACUUUGUCGUUGUACUCAAAUGUACACUCAGAUCAAUGAGAAGCUAUGCCACUUUAGCAUGUAGUGAUGGCACUUAAUAAGUGAGUUGCUAGGAUGUGAACUAGAAAAAUUAAAUAUUGUCUCCUUGGGUAUGCUAGCUUGUAAGUCAGGGUUAAUAUCAGAGCUUAAGAUACUAUAACCGUGAGAACCUAUUGACUGCCAAUUAAAAUAUCCAUUAAAAUGUCUAGGGAGUUAUGAAGGUGGAGGUUACUUCCAAUUUCUAAGGCCACAGAGUAGACAUCAUCCAGGAUCCUAGGAAAGUCCAGUUAACCUCCUGCUCGAUGCAAUUAAUAAAUUUGGUCAAUGCCACUGAAACCUGUUAACUGACGUCACAAUGCGACAUGAGCACUUCAAAAUGGGACAGACGGUCAGUAGCACUAAAUUUUUCUUGCCUAAGAUUGAGCAAUUGGUCUAACUACUAAUCCCUAUUGUAGGUUGAUCAUUAUUUUUUCAAUUAUGUUCAGUUUGACCCAAAAAGUUGCAGAAUCUUGAGCAGAAUAUUGUCACUAAACACUGUCAAUGUCGUUUAGGUUAGCCAACUAACUUGAUGUUAAAACAAACACACAGUGUGUCUCAUGUCUCACAAAUCAAAUAAUCAUCUGUAAUGAUGGAGAAUUUUUCCAAUGUAUGAAGUAUGCUUUGAUACGUGGGUUACCUUGGAGAAGAUAUCUCAAAAUAAAGAAUAUGGGGAGAAAACAGUUCAGUAGUUUAUUAUUCUGUAGUCAAGUUUUGUCUCGAAAAUGGUCAAAAUUUAAAUGAAUAAGGACAGGGGAUCUUCAUUCUUUUUUCCCUUUUUUAUACCAAGAUAUCUCUCAACCUUUAUAUAAUCCCCACUGGAUAUCUGCUUCUAAUAAUUAAAAUAAAAAUUUCACCGCUCUAACAAUAAAAAGUAACAUCUUUAGUCAAAUAAUUUACAGUUCCUCAUCAUCUUAGUGUGAGACUAUCAGUACAUUCCAAAAACAUAAUAAAACUGGUUUGAUCCUGUUUAUUGAUGUUUAAAUGUUGUUCAUUGUGACAUGUAGAAAUGAUGAGGUGAAGUUUAUUUGGACAUCAAUUAGUAAGAUCUUGUUUGAAGUUGUUUUCUGAAAUGAACUGCCAAAUGGUAGUUUUUGGGGGCAUUUGAUGGCUCUUUUUUUUUCCUCAUUUUCAACAUAUGCCUGCUUGGAACAGGAAGGAUUAGGCUGCAGAGUUGUUAUAUAUUUUGAGAUGCUCUGGUCAUUGCACAAUUUGUUCACACUGGAAAUUAGAAUGAGAAAUUUGUUGAUGCUGUUUUGAGAGAUCUGCAUUCUAUGCACAAUAACAUGAUUAAUGAAAAUGCAUUGUAGGACUGGAAAGAUCUGUGGCAGCCUGAGCUCGCAGGAAAAAUUUCAAUGGUUAAUUCUCCCCGAGAGGUUAUUGGUUCAGUUUUGAAGUAUAGGGGAGCAUCAUACAAUUCAAACGAUAUUGAUUCGCAAGUUGCUGGUGGGAAGAUUGCUGUUCAGCAGAAUCUGGCAUUACUUGCAAACCAGGUACUCUUACAGAAAUGAUAUAUGGUCAUUGCAUGUUAUUGGCCUGACAACUGAUUUUGUUUGUAAAAGUCUGCUUCUUGAUACAUAUGAAUGCAUGUGUUAGUGUUUUCUUCUCCUUUUCAUACAUAUAAAUGCAUAUGUUAGUGUUGUCUUUUCCUUUUCAUACAUAUUAACACAUAUGUUGGUGUUCUCUCCUGAGAUGGAUGCAAUAAAGGCUUUUGCUCCUAAAUUUAGCUGAAGAAAUGGCAAAGGAUGUGAGAUUCUGUCUCAUUAAAUUAACAAAAACCCAAAACAAUGAAAAUCCAUUAUAAUGUGGUGUGGGUAAAUUGGCUCCAUUUGGUUCAUUUACUUAAUGUGAACGCGCGAGCAGUAGAGACUAACAAAAUGAAGUGACAACAAGAAGUCAGUGUCCUUUGAUGGAUGCAUUUUUAGGCAGAAAUAGGUUUGUAAUUGACCAAAUUUAUCUGGCAUGCCAAUUUCAAAAAAAAAAAUUAUGUGGUUAUUAGCUGUAAUGAAGGGGGAUAGUAGGUGCAAUCAGGUGGAUCCAGGAAAUUUCAACAAAGUUUUGGUAUGGCGUAGGGAAAUUGGUUUGUGCAACUCAGGAGUCUUUCAGGUGAACGAUGAUAGGUUUUGAUUUAUGAAUAUUAUAAAUCUGCUGUGCAUAGCAUUCUAGUAGAAUCAUCUAUAAGUUCUAGUUAUUGAAAUUGUAUGCUUUGCCCGGUUUGAGUUAAGGGCACAUGUAAUAUGAAAGAUAGUUGUCGCAUCUUUUAGGUUACCUAACAUUUGAUCAAUCCUAUUAUGGGGGCUUCAAGAUGUCUAACAAUAUGUAGAAUGCCCAUGCUCCUCCCCAUUGUUUAUAUUAUACAAUAAUUUGUUUUAGAUGCUAAUAUCUUUAUCGAUACUGGUAACAAUAUGACAACAUCUGCGUUUAUUGGGUUUUACAUAGGUUCGACUGUUUGACAGUACACACCAUCUGAAGGCAUUUGCAAUUGGAGAUGUAUGGGUUGCUGUUGGGUGGAUUAGUGAUGUUCUUCCUGCUGUCAAACGUAUGUCUAGUGUUGCUGUUGUUGUUCCCAAGUCUGGUGCUAGCUGCCUGCCAUUCUUCUUCGAUAUUCACAUUGUUAUCUCCUUCAUAUUAGCGAUCAGUAAACACGAUAAUGUGACUAAUAAGUUUGUAUUCUCUUUAUAGGCAAUCCGUGCUGCCUCAAGACUUGAAACAAAACAAAUUGGAGGGCGAAUCAGAGGUCCAUCUCCGUUAAUCCAUCAAUGGAUAGAAUUCUGCUUGCAAACAGCGAGAGCAUUGCCUUUCAAGCAAGAGGUAAUCCCAGGUGCAUCUCCCUCUGCCCUUGAAAGUACUCUGGUUAAGUUGCCUGAAGAACUUCUGGAGGGUAAACCAAGUCUGGAUACUAACUUAAUUGCUGGAGUACUCCCGGCUGAAAUUCUGGCCAGAUGUGAGUUUUUGGAGCCAUUAUCUGAAGCUACUUUGUCAGAUUAUGAGUGGCUGGUUGUUAAUCUGCAAAAACCUGCUCCUGUCUUGAUGAAAAGGGUGCAACAUUACUUGUCAUCAUUAAUCCAAAGCUUUCUAGCAAGAGCUACGUUGAAAAGUUAAUGGCGCUGCAUGCCAGUCAUUAUAAUGCUGUCAGGGCAAUUGGAUCAGGGCAAUUAGGUCAGAGCAUAACUUCAUUAGGAAAGGAGGCUUCAGCUACGUUAAAUAUUACAGGAUGUACUGAGAUGGCUGAAAUUCUUGAGGUUUUAUGAGAAACGAAAGAUGAGUGUUUGUUUGAACAAAGUUGUUGCCAAUCUUGCAGAGUUCGAAAACAAAGAUCAUGGAGCGAAUGCCACCGAUUUCUUCAUCAUUUUAGCCUCCAUAGUUGAAGUUUCCUCAUUUGAAGCUGUUUAUGCAUACGAUUUUUCCCUGCUCUAGUACAUGAAAUUGAAGAAUUACCAGAUGUGAUAUGCUGAAAGAGGGAAGUUUUCUUCCUUGAAUGUGGCCUUUGUGAUUUGUCUUGAAGGAAUAGGAUGAUCACUGGCAAGAACCCUAUCAAGUUAGAUUUUAUGGUGUUAACAUAUUAUUCAGCAUUUUGUUACAUUAGCAAUGAUGCUUUCAUAGCAUGAAAGUGUUUAAAUUUAACUGAAUGAUCUUGAUUGAUCAAUUAUGAGUUUUAAUCGAGUAAAAACUAAAUACAAUAAUCGUUAACAAAUAUUGAAAUUGGGUAAAUAUGAUCUUGAUAUUGAUGAAUUUGAAAUCACGACCCACACAGGAAAUCACCCUUCGCGUGGGGAUGGAGAUGUUUACUGCAGCGAUAUUGAAUAUGUCCACUGCUCUUUGGGUUAUGGUGCGACUUGCGAUUUCAAGGUUGCCAUGAAACAAUGGAAAAGAUUAACAUACCCUCCAAUGAAUGAAAACGGGUGGACUAAUUCUGAUUACCUAAUUGACUCAGGAUCAGGAUCGGCUGGCAAUAAUAACAGUUUAUUAACAAUGCACAGUCCGAGUACUUUUCCAGGAUGAGAUACGACGUGGUCUAAUGUUGAUAAUAAUAGAUUAUCAAAUGACAAAUCGUUGUUCUUGGGUGUUGAUUUCAGAAAUAAAAUACAUUCUGAGAGAUGCUGGUCUACUAUUGCAAGCCCCCAGAUUUAAGAAUCUUUUGAUGAUAAUUUAAUUGAUAUGGACAGUUUCCAUAUCACUUUUAAAUCAUCUUAUGUAAUUGUGAUGUUAGGAAGCAUUAGUGAUCUAUAUGUGAAUUAUUAUUAGCGACAUUAGUGGUUUUAUCUUGUUAAAAUAUGGAUGACUUCCAGUUAUUAUUUUAUUGUAGACAAUCUUAUUCAAUUAACAUAUAGUUUAAAAUCAUUAUGUAAAUUAAUCUAUUAAUUUUCAUGAUAUUUAAUUGAGUUAAAACUAAGUGCAAUCAAUAAAUCUCUUUUCCAUUAAAAAACUGCUACCUUUUGAUUUUAGUGCUUAAUAUUUAUUGAACUCUGAUGCAGGAAAUUUGAAAUCAAACUCGUAAUACAGAUUAUCUAAUUGCGAGUUACUGUCCAUAGCUGCUAAUUUGUAGUGAUUAUCUAAUUGACUGAGGUGACAAUAAUUCUUUUAUUUUCAAUAGCACAAUGUGGAAUUCAAUAAUUAAAUUCUCCUGUUUAAUUUGUUUCAAGUUAAAUUAUUAAUUACUUAAACUCUGUUUUAAGUCUUUAAUUUUAUGUGUUUAUGCAGAAUUGGAUUCUUGAGCGUGUUGGACACGACCAACAAUGAAAUUGACAGUAAACAAACAUUAGAACGUGUGGACUCCGGUAAGCACCAAUGAAUUUCUAGCCCCGUUGACUCCGCCAACUAAAGUUUUGUAAAAUAAAAAAAAAAUACAUAGAAUUCCACCAAAUGCAAAAUGCGUGAAAUUUAAUUUUCUGCCGUGUGGACCAAAACAUAAUUUAACGAAAAAGGAAAAAAUGAUAAGAUUUUUAAAAUGUGUGGAAGGUGAUCCAUAUUUUACUGAAACGACUUGUUAAAUUUUUUAAGGAUUUAGAAUAUUUAGUCAUAAAUUACGUGCAUGUUAAUUUUUCCGCCAUUGACUAUCAUAUUCUAGACUUAAUGGUACCUUUCUUGAUGAAGGGUACUUAGUCUCUCUUCUCCUCUUAUAAAAAUUAUAUUAAUUGAUUUCUUGUUAUAGUUAAUAGUCUUUAAGAACGGAUAGAUUUAUUGUUUUCAUGACCAAAUUAUGCAUGCCUAAGGUUGCCACUAUUAAUAAAAUUAAUAUUUAAUGUUUAUUUUAAAAGAUAUAAGAUUUUAUGCAUUCAUUAAUUGUUAUUAGCUAAAGGAUGAAUUAUUUUUUCCCAAUCAAUUGAUGCAUCUGCAAGAGUUUUUUUUUUUCUUUUAUUGACCAUAAUUAUAUUCCGGGUACAAUAAAUUGUCUUUGGUGCUUGGAAAAUAUGACAUCUCUCUGUCAACUUACUGGAAAUAUCUCCUCAUCUACUCUCAUUUAUCUAAUAUCAAUUGAAGAUCUCAUAUUUCCAAACUAUGACUUCCAAAUCUCAUUAUCAUUUGAGCAUUCAAAACUAAUCAAGUGUGGAAAUAAUCAAAUAUAUGCAAAAAUCGAGUCACAAUCUUUGGCCCCUCAAAAUUCUAAUUAUAUAACUUCUAUAUAUCUCAUACAUUUUCUAAAUGCCUCUUCCAUCAACAUCACUAGGAGUAUGUUCAUCUCUCACACAUUAACUUGAGUGGAGAGUUUCCAAAUUGAUUGUCAGAAAACAAUACAAAAGUUAGACACGCUUGAUCUGUCUAAUAAUUCUCUUUCGGUAAAAUUAAUUAAUUUUAGGGGAAUUCAGCCAACCACUGUAAUUUUAGAGUGAUCAUUAAUUAAUUAAACAAUACAAAUAUCUAAAGUGAUUAGAUGUUUGCUGACAAUACAAGUUCAUGGCUUGAAAUUUGAUCUCUAUCGAUUGGUUUUUUAGUGCUUAAUAUUUACGGAACUCCGGGAAUUUGAAAUCAAACUCGUAACUACAAAUUAUCUAAUUGCAAGUGUUUGUCCAUAGCUGCUGAUUUGUAGUGAUUAUCUAAUUGACUGAGGUGACAACAAUUUUUUUUUUUAAUUUUCAAUAGCAUAAUGUGGAAUUCAAUAAUUAAAUUCUCCUUUUUAAUUUGUUUCCAGUUAAAUUAUUAAUUACUUAAACUCUGUUUUAAGUCUUUAAUUUUAUGUGUUUAUACAGAAUUGGAUUCUUGAGCGUGUUGGACACAACCAACAAUGAAAUUGACAGUAAACAAACAUUACAACGAGUUGAGUGUCGACUCCGGUAGCUGCCCUACAAGUCUACAACUUUACAAAAAAUAAUUGAGUACACACAUUUGAUUCUCGGGACCCUUCAAUGAAUUUCUAGCCCCGUUGACUCCACUGACAAAAGUUUUGGAAAAUAAAAAAAAAAUUCAUAGAAUUCCACCAAAUGCAAAACGCAUGGAAUUUAAUUUUCGGCCGUGUGGACCAAAACAUAAUUUAAUGAAAAAAAAAAGAUAAAUUUUCUAAAAUGUGUGGAAGGUGAUCCAUAUUUUAUUGAAACAACUUGUUAAAUUUUUUAAGGAUUUAGAAUAUUUGGUCAUAAAUUACGCUCAUGUUAAUUUUUCCGCUAUUGACUAUCAUAUUCUAGACUCACUGGUACCUUUCUUGAUGAAGGGUACUUAGUCUCUCUUCUACUCUUAUAAAAAUUAUAUUAAUUGAUUUCUUAUUAUAAUAAAUUGUCUUUAAGAACGUAUAGAUUUAUUGUUUUCGUGACCAAAUUAUGCUAGAUUAAGGUUGCGACUAUUAAUAAAAUUAAUAUUUAAUGUUUAUGUUAAAAGAUAUAAGAUUUUAUGCAUUCAUUAAUUGUUAUUAGCUAAAGGAUUAAUUAUUUUUUCAACCCAAUCAGUUGAUGCAUCUGCAAGAAUGUUUUCUUUUAUUGACCAUAAUUAUAUUCCGGGUACAAUAAAUUAUCUUUGGUGCUUGGAAAAUAUGACUUCUUACUUCAAGUUUGAUGUGUCUCUCUCCAUAAGCUUACUGGAAAUAUAUCCUCAUCUACUGUCAUUUAUCUAAUAUCAAUUGAAGAUCUGACUUUUUCAAACUAUCACUUCCAAGUCUCAUUGUCACUUGGCCAUUCUUGGACCAUUCAAAACCAAACAAGUGUUGAAAUAAUCAAAUAUAUGCAAAAUUAGAGUCACGACUUUUGGUCCUCCAAAUUCUAAUUAUGUUACUUCUAUAUAUCUCAUUGUCACGUCACGAACUUGUUGGCACAUUUUCCAAACUCCUCUUCCAUCAGCUCUCACACGUUAACUUAAGUGGAAAGUUUCCAAGUUGAUUGCUAGAAAGCAACGCAAAAUCAGACACGCUUGAUCUGUCCCCUAAUUCUCUUUUCUACGUUGAAAAAGAAAAAAAAUAAGAAAAAAGAAAAUAGAUCUAUGUAAAAAUAAAUAAUAAACUGAGUAAAAGUACAUUUGUUUAUUUAACAUCUGAUCGGGGCAUUUUUGGUGUAAUUUCGUGCUGUGUAACCCACAACUAAAAUCAAACAGCCCCUUAGAAUACUUCUUCCAUUUUAUCUGCUACUUUUGUGGAUCUUAUAGGGUGGGCAUGUGAACAGAAUUUAAAAAUUUUAAUAGUCUCAAAGAAUAAGAUAUGCUAAAGCUAAAGUUGUUGCACCUUCUAAUUAAAUAAAGUUGUAUAAUUUCACCAACUUGGAAGAAUUGAUAUUAAUGGACGGUCCCCUCUCCAUAUAUGAAGCCUUCUUAAAAGUUAAUUUUUAUUUCAGAAAAAAAAAGUUUAAGUUACAUAUAUUAUAGUAAGAUUUUUUGAGACCAAUUCCCUUCUUGAAAUAAUAAUGGAUAAGUAUUAAUUUAAAAAUAAAAUGAAUAUGUAUUGAUUAUAUCCUGAUUUUCAUCGAUUAUAGUGAGAGUUUCUACAAAUCAAUUCCCUUAUUCAAAUAAUACAGAAAAAAUAGUAAUUUAAUAGUAAAAUAAACAUGUGUUGAUUAUAUAUUCUAAGUUUCAUCGAUUAUGUGAUCAAAGUGGCAUUGUUGAUUUAUUUCUUGUUCAAUGUUAAUUUUUAGGUUAUAUAAAUUUCAAGGAUCUAAAAUCUUUGGUCAUGGAUUACACGCUUGUUAAUUUUUCUGCCAUUAACUGUCAUAUUCUAGACUUAAUGAUACCUUUCUUGAUCAAGGCUAAUUACUCUCUCUUCUCCUCUUAUAAAUUCCUCUUCCAUUAACAUCACUAGGAGUAUGUUGAUCUCUCAGACGUUAACUUGAGUGGAGAGUUUCCAAAUUGAUUGUUACAAAACAACACAAAAACUAGACACACUUGAUCUGUCUAAUAAUUCUCUUUCGGUAAAAUUAAUUAAUUUUAGGGGAAUAUUCUGCCAACCUCUGUAAUUUCAGAGUGAUCAUUAAUUAAUUAAAUGAUACAAAUAUCUAAAGUGAUUAGAUGUUUGCCGACAAUACAAGUUCAUGACUUGAAAUUUGAUCUCUAUCGAUUGGUUUACAAAUGGACGUACUUGUGCCUUUGUGGCGAUAAUCGAACAAGUUCCCAUGAUUAUUAUUUUUUCCAAAAACUUUUUUACAACAAAUUCAUCUCGCCAAAAAUUCUAUGUUGCUAGCUAACAAUAAUUGAGCACUUGGCCGCAUUGACUCCACGUCUCCACCUCUUUCUAAAAACAUGGAAAAUGUAAUUUCCACAAAAUGCCAAACGUGUGGAAUUUAAUUUUUUUGCCUUGUGGAUCAAAAUACAAAUGAAAGAAACAGGAGAAAAAAAAGGCCCAAAGACUUCUAAAAGAUGAAGAAGUCUUUGGGCCUUUUUAUAAUGGUGAAUUUUUUAAAAGAAAAAAAAUAACAACAUUUUUAUGGUUUGUUUUGAUAAUCAUAUUUACAUAUACUCUCUAAUUUUCAAAAUGGACACAUAAAUCUUUUUUUUUCACAAAAUAUAUAUUAUUCAUAUUUUUUAUUUUUUAUUAUCAUAUUUUUAUUUAUUAUAAAUGUUUAGAGUAAAUUUUUAGGUUGAAAUAUAAUAAAAAUGUAUAAUCGUUCUCUUAUUAAACACACAUACUUUUAUUAGUUUCUAUGCAUUUGUCAUCUCAAUCUCUCUCAAUUAUUCUUUAUUGCUAGCUCAAAACGCGUUGCUGUUGCAAAUUAUAGCAAAAUGACAAAUAUGGAAAAAAAGGGAAGAAAAUUAAUGCAUGAAAGACUUGGAGAAAACAACAAAAUAAGCCAACUAUGAGCUAGUUGGGUGUAUAAAUUGUUAGAUGUGUUAUAUACAAAUAGCAUAGAGCCCUCUAGUUAGUUCCAGAGACAGAAAGAGCGUGUGUGUUUUUUCACAGUUAGAGAUAUAGUUAGAAUGGGUGGUUCAAAAUCAAAAAUGAUGAUAAUGUUUAUUAUGUUAUUAAUAAUAUUUAAAAGUGGGUGGAGUGAGGGAUGUUUGGAUCACGAGAGAUUUGCUCUUUUGCGACUCAAACAUUUCUUCGAUGAUAGUUAUCUUUAUGACUGGGCCGAUGAUGAGGGAGCUACUGAUUGUUGUCAGUGGGAAAAUGUUGAGUGCAGCAACACCACAGGCCGAGUGAUAGCGCUAGACCUUUUUGACACGCAUGGGGGAGAGCACAGCUGGUAUCUGAAUGCUUCUUUGUUUACUCCCUUCCAACAACUUGAGUCACUUGAUUUAACUUACAACAAUAUAGCCGGUUGUGUUGAGAAUGAAGGUGCUUCGUUUAAUUUAAUUAAUUUACUUUCUCCCCCCAAAUUUAAGUUGAAUAUCAAGACCGAGCAAUUAUAUGCAUAUUCAUUUAGUCGACAAUUUUGACUUUUUUUUAAAUGAUUAAUUUUGAAAUUACACCAGGAUCUAUGAUCUUUUUUUAUUUUAUUUUAUUUGCAGGUAUAGAGAGGCUAUCAAGAUUGAACAACUUGAAGAUGCUUAAUUUAAGUCGAAACUCAUUCAAUAAUAGCAUUUUAUCAUCUCUAACUCAUCUUUCAUCAUUAAGAUCAUUAAAUUUACUUUGGAAUAGAUUGGAAGGAAGUAUUGACGUUAAAGGUACAUAAUUAAAACUUCAUCCCUUCUCCAAGCUCUUUCAUUAACUUGCUAAAAUAAGAUUCAAGGCUUUGAAUUCAAUUUUUUUUAUGAUUAGUAUUAAAAAAAAAAACAGUUUUAAGCAAUUUAUAAAAACAAGUUUUAAUGUUUCUUGUAAUUUCAUCUUGUACUUUCAUAUGUCUUGAAUUUAAGAUUAAAAAAAAAAACUCUAAUAGCGAACCAAACACCUCCACAACUUCUUAUUAUUUGUGGUGAGGUUUGAAACAUUCAACUCAAUUUGUACUUAUUACAGAAUUUGAUUCUUUGAGAGAUUUAGAGGAGCUAGACAUUGGCGGGAACAAGAUUGACAAAUUUGUGGUCUCAAAAGGUACUACAAAUACCAUAAAAAAAAAAUGCUAACUUUUACAAAUUAGCUGGAUUCUUUGCCAUUUGGUUUAUUAUUUUACAGAUUUGAGUAAGUUGAAGUCUCUUGGUUUAAGUGGUAUCAAACUCAACUGUAGCAUCUUAUCUUCUCUGACUGUCUUUUCUUCGUUAAGAGAAUUAGAUAUAAGUGAAACCGGAUUCAAAGGAACAUUCGAUGUUCGAGGUAAGCCUAAACCCUGCUUUCUCAUUUUAUAUAUGCCAACUAGAUUUGUGUAUCAUCGACAUAAUUUAAUAUUUAAUUUGAUAAGUCUGAAUGAAUUACAUGCUAAUUUAAACACACUUUUAUUUACUUUGUCAAUUAAUUAAUUAAUUAAUUACUAUUUGGCUUGGUUUGGACGAAAUUCUCAUGAUGUUUUAAUUUCUUUAAAUUAAUUAAUUAAUUAACUCUGUUUUUAAGUCUUAAGUCUGGGCAUGUUUGCAGAAUUUGAUUCCUUCAAUAACUUAGAAGUGUUGGACAUGAGUGGCAAUGAAAUCGACAAUCUUGUGGUUCCUCAAGGUAAACAAUUAAAAUAUUAUUCAAUUACAUUAUUUUAAUUCAUUUGAUUAGGGAAGGCCAAAAAGGUCCAAAAAAAUAAUAAUAAUAAAGAAACAGAUAAUUUGUAUUAUUUAAAAAACAGAAUGUAAUAAAGAUUUGAUUCCAGUUCUUUAAUCUUUAAAGCGAUUGAAAAACAAUGUUGGUCUUUUCCCAAAGCAUAAAAUACGAAUUGAAUGCCAAUUAACUUAAUCAUUCAUUUCGUUUAGCUCUAAAUUUAGACAAUGAAUUUUUAUAUUAUUUCAAAAACAGGACGUAAUAGAAUUUUUUUAAAAAACAUAUUGUAAUAAAGAUUUGAUUCCAAUUCUUUAAUCUUUACAGUGAUUGAAAAACGAUACUACUUCCCAAAGCAUAAAAUACGAAUUGACUCUCAAUUAAAUUAAUCAUUUAUUUCGUUCAUCUCUGAAUUUAAAUAAUGAAUUUUGAUCUUCAAUCUUUUCCUAAUUAUUAUUAAUAAACAGGUUACGGAGGUUUGAGGAAGUUGAAAAGCUUUGGUCUAUCGGGAGUUGGAAUUAGAGAUGGAAGCAAGUUGUUACAGUCAAUGGGAUCAUUCCCAUCCCUCAACACUCUUGACCUGAGCUAUAAUAAUUUUACCGAUAUAGCGAUAACUACUACUCAAGGUAAGUAAAAGGUACAGAUGUGGCCAAAUUUAUAAAUAAAUUGUUAAUUAAUUAAUUUUUCCGUAUUAUUAAUAAAGUGAAAUUUGUUGCUCCUUCCUUCUAAAUCUAAACAGAGUUGCACAAUUUCACCAACUUGGAAUAUUUGACAUUGGACGAAUCCUCUCUCCAUAUAAGUCUUCUGCAAAGCAUUGCAUCAUUAUUCCCUUCAUUAAAAAAUUUGUCGAUAUCUUAUUGUGAAGUAAAUGGUGUCUUACGCGGUCAAGGUAAAAGAAAAGCGUUGAUUGUGAACUCACUCAAUGGUGUCCUACGUGUUCAACAUUUUUGUUUAUUUAUUUAUUUAUUGUUUAAUGUUUCUGCUAGGUUUUCCUUCUUUCAAGAGUUUGGAACAUUUGCACAUGAGCUUCGCGCCCAUUGCACUCAACACCAGCUUUCUUCAAAUCAUCGGUGAAUCGAUGCCUUCUCUUAAGUACUUAUCACUGUCAGGUUCUAUUCUUGGCACUAACAGCAGCAGGAUUCUUGAUCAAGGUUAAUCAGAUGCUCCCACCCUCCCUUCUUAAUCUAUAAUAUUAAUUUUCAAUUCAAUAUUUAAUUACACAAACCAAUCACUUAUUAUAAAAGAACAAUACUCAUUCAUUAAUCUUUAUAUUGUAUUAAUAAUUGAUGAAUUUAAUAAAUUUUCAGGCCUCUGUUCGCUGGUGCAUCUGCAAGAAUUGCGCAUGGCUGAUAAUGAUUUAAGAGGUAGCUUGCCUUGGUGCUUGGCAAAUAUGACAUCCCUCCGAAUAUUAGAUGUUUCUUUCAAUCAACUUACUGGAAGCAUCUCCUCAUCUCCCCUCGUUCAUUUGACAUCCAUUGAAAUGCUGAUACUUUCAGACAAUCACUUCCAGAUCCCAAUUUCACUUGAACCACUUUUCAAUCAUUCAAGACUCAAGAUUUUUUAUGCUGACAACAACGAACUAAAUGCAGAAAUAACUCAGUCACAUUCUUUGACCGCCCCAAACUUCCAAUUAAAUAGACUCUUGUUGUCUUCCAGUUACGGAGACGGUUUCAUAUUCCCCAAAUUCCUUUACCAUCAACAUGACCUGGAGUUUGUUGAUCUCUCACACAUAAAGAUGAAUGGAGAAUUUCCAACUUGGUUGCUGGAAAACAACGCAAAAUUAGAAACUCUUUUUCUCAUCAAUGAUUCUAUUGGAGGACCUUUUCGAUUGCCAAUUCAUCCACACAGGCGGUUAAGAUUCUUGGAUGUCUCCAACAACAACUUCCAAGGCCAUAUGCCAGUAGAAAUUGGAGAUAUUUUACCAAGUUUAUUUUCUUUUAACAUUUCCACGAAUGCCUUGCAUGGUAGCAUUCCCUCUUCAUUUGGUAAUAUGAAAUUCCUCCAAAUUCUGGACUUAUCCAACAAUCACUUGACUGGUGAAAUCCCCGAGUACUUGGCCGUCGGUUGCGUCAACUUGAAUUCUCUUGCAUUAUCAAACAACAACCUACAAGGUCACAUGUUCUCUAGAAAUUUUAACUUGACAAACUUGAAAUGGUUACUAUUGGAGGGCAAUCGCUUCGUAGGUGAGAUCCCACAAAGUUUGUCUAAAUGCUCCUCACUAGAAGGAUUGUAUCUUAACAAUAAUAGUCUUUCGGGUAAGAUUCCACGAUGGUUGGGUAAUCUCACAAGGUUACAAUAUAUUAUAAUGCCCAAUAAUCAUCUUGAAGGCCCUAUUCCAGUGGAGUUUUGUCAGCUGGAUUUGCUUCAGAUUUUGGACAUUUCAGACAACAACAUAUCUGGAAGUCUACCAUCUUGUUUCCAUCCUCUCAAUAUCAAACAAGUUCAUCUUUCAAAAAAUAUGUUACAUGGACAACUAAAAAGAGGUACAUUCUUUAAUUGCUCUUCCCUUGUGACAUUAGAUCUUAGCUAUAACCGCUUGAAUGACAGCAUUCCGGAUUGGGUUGAUGGGCUUUCUCAGUUAAGUCACCUUAUCUUAGGUCACAAUAAUCUUGAAGGUAAAGUGCCAGUUCAAUUGUGCGAAUUGAACCAACUACAAUUGUUAGAUCUUUCUAAUAAUAAUCUUCACGGUCCUAUUCCUCCUUGCUUUGAUAACACCACACUUCAUGACAGUUACAGCAAUAGUUCUAGUCUUGAUGAGCAAUUUGAAAUAUCUUUUUCCAUCGACGGCCCUGACGGAGAUGUAGAAAAGCAAAUCCGUGAAAAUUUUGAGUUCACAACAAAGAACAUUGCGUACAUUUACCAAGGAAAAGUGCUUAGCCUCCUAUCAGGACUUGAUCUUUCUUGCAACAAGCUAAUCGGUCAUAUUCCCCCUCAAAUUGGAAAUUUGACAAGGAUUCAAACAUUGAAUCUAUCACACAACAACUUGACAGGAUUGAUCCCAUCAACAUUUUCAAACUUGAAGCAAAUCGAAAGUUUGGAUCUUUCCUACAACAAAUUGAAUGGGAAAAUCCCUCAUCAACUUGUGGAGUUAAAGGAAUUGGCCGUUUUCAGUGUGGCAUACAAUAACUUAACAGGCGAAAUUCCAGAAUGGGAAGCACAAUUUGCAACCUUCAACGAGAAUAGCUAUGAGGGAAAUACUUUUCUUUGUGGACUGCCAUUGCCCAUUUGCAGAUCACCAGCAACUAUGUCGGAGGCGUCAAUCGGCAAUGAACGAGAUGAUAAUUUAAUUGACACGGACAGUUUCUUUAUCACAUUUACAACAUCGUACGUAAUAGUGAUAUUUGGAAUUGUUAUUGUUUUAUAUGUAAAUUCUUAUUGGCGACGUAGAUGGUUUUACUUUGUUGAAAUGUGGAUAACUUCAUGUUAUUAUUUUGUUGUAGACAAUCUUAUUCCAACAAGAUUUUGUCAUUGAAAUUAAUUAGUAGCUUAAUUACGAUUCUUUAAGUACUAAUCAAGUUUGCUUAGGAAAUAAAUUUAUUUUUAUUUUUUAUUAAAAUUGUAGUAGUAUUUAGCGUUAUAUAGCUUCCAACUUCCAAGCACUUCACAAUUGUCUCUACACUUCCAAACCCAUAUCUAUCCACCAUAACUUAUACUUCCCUAUACUGUGCAGCAUACUUAAAUAAGAGAACCAUCUCCAAUGUUAAAAGCAGCCACUCUAUAACAUUCAUUUAGAAACUAUAUUCAGAAUAGUUUUAUAAUCAUACACAAGAAAUGAAACACCUAGAUGCAGUUGAUCGCCUAUUUUACUUUAAAAAAUAAUGAUUAUGGUGCUAUCAUCAUCUUCUUCACUAGCAACAUUAACACCAAAUCCAGCGAUGGACCCAGACAUUUUAUCAAGAAAGGUAUAUAUAUAUAAUAAAGUUGAAGCUUGACAAAAAAUUCAGGAAGAUUAAUGCCUCAGCCACAACAAGGGGCACAACAACAUCAAAGUAGAGAUGAAGCAAUAUUCUCAAAGCUAAAACUCUCAAAUCCACCCACCAGAAUUUCAUAUCUCCUCGACAAUUUUAAGAACUAAAGAUAAUUAGGAUUUAACAUUAGUUUUUUAUAUAUUAGUUUCAUAAUUUACAAAUCAAUGAAGAUGAAGAUUAUGCUAAUGAAUUCAAAUUAUACCAUACAUUCUAUAGAUGUUACCAAAAAUUUCUAAGUCAAUCCCACAUAUUUCAUAAUUUUAAGACUAGAAAAUUUCAUUAGUUAGAAGUUUCAUUACCUUCAAGUGGAAGAUGAAGAACAUUAUAUAAGUGAUUCAGAUUAUAUCAUACAUACUCCAAAUGCAACUAGAAAUUAACAAGUUCAUGCGCACAUAUUUCAUAACAUUAUGAUUGGAAAGUUUCACAAAGAGAAAUUCUAAAUUCAAUCUCUUGCAUCAAGGUAGUUUGAUUGAUUUGAGUUACUUUCUGAUCAAGCUACUAAUAUAACAUUCAAGUCAGGGAGAAAGUAAAUUAAAACUGGGAAGAAAUAACAGUAAAAAUUUGUUGCUAAACAUGAUGUGUAUUUUUUUUAAAGCAAUUUGGAAACACAGUUGUUACUACAGGUAUUCUCCUCAACUUGGAGAUAAAUACAAAUAUUAAAAUGCAUAUGAUCGCACAUAUUACUUGGAGCUUAGUAAGAUUUCAUUAAGAGAAGAAAUCAAACCACUUAUCAAUUGUUGCAGUCAUUCUAUAAGCUAAAAUAGCAAUAUAAUACAAGAAAAAGAACAUAUAGAUACUUGGCAAGAGUUCAUUAAGAAGUCACAUCAUAUUCGGGUGAGGAGUUUGCUUCUGAUAUCUUGCUAGCCGGGGCUUUUUCUUGUCUUUCUACGUAUGCCGAGGGAAACCAACCAGCUUGGCCCUUGCAUUCACCUUCCGACCAUCCAGUAGGAGCCACCUUGAGAAGUUAUAACUAAAACGGUGAAUUAAACAAAAGUUGACCGUUCAAAGACCUAAGGGGAAAACUAAUUCUUUUACGUAGGAGGAGUGAAUUAGUUGUGAUCACUGAAAUAACAGCAUAACUAUGGAAGCAUAACAAGAUAUAAAUUCACAUGUCUAUAAGGGUAAACUGGGUGGUUUAGAACUGAGCUAGCAACCCUACUAUAUUCUGAUUUGCACUUCAAUGUAAAAGGGAAUAUGGUAGGAAGAAAGAAAACCAACCAUCAUUUGUUAACUCAUUGCUUUUCAAUCAAAAUUUUAAGAACAAAAUGCCAUGUGCUUUGAACAUCAAAUAAGUAUAAGCAUUAGUUCUAAAUUUCACAUGUCAUAAGUUAAUAGCAUAGUAGAAAAAUCUAAUAGCAUCGUAGAAAAAUCUCUGUGUUGUUAUUUAGAGGGGAAAGUACCUGGCGAACCACAACAUAAUCAUCAAUUGAAAGACUUAGCUCUCCAUUUGCUUGAGCAUCAAAUGGAUGUAUAACCUGCAAGAUAAUGGGAUAAAUAGAACUUAAUCUUAGAAAAAGCAUAACAAAAGCAGCAACAGUAGCAGCAGCGUUCAUUGUAACCACUAUGAUCAUAGCCAACAAAGAUAUAUUAGAAACAAAAUUCCAUUUUUACUACGACAUUAAUAUGUACUAUAUGAUAUCAUGACGAUUGGGUUACCAAGAUCUAUCAAAGUCCAAUAAGUUCUGUAUAACUCUAUGUAGUUAUUUAAAUUAUGGAUCAGAUUUUAAAUCUGAAAUUUUGACUGCUCUCCACAAAACAUGACCUAUGCACAAAAAAGUCAUAGAUAAUGAGGAUUACAAAUGUCUGACAUCUUUUGAGUGAUGGAUUUAACAUGAGAGCUUAUGGUCAGUCAAUUUCCUCUGCCUAGCAAUAUAAGCUUUCUCGGCCAGAUUUAUCAUCAAAUACAUAGAUUGCGCCCAAGUUAAGGAGAAUCAUAAUUCAGACAUAAUCAUAAAAAGGCCCAUCUAACUUAAGAGAAAAUCUCAAAAAGAGGGAUGUUGAGCUAUCAGUCUUGUAUCUAUAAGCAAUAUCAAGACUUUACAUCACCUGCUACAUCGUGAGUGGCUACACAACUUUCAGUGGUUUGACUUUCUUGGGCAUGCCUAACUCAGCUUUGAUGUUGCUGAGAUAUUGAUAGUAGAGACACAUGAUACUUCUAGCUCAUGCAUUCUAUCUAGCUCAUCCGACAGCUAUCUCUUUUUUAAUUCAUUAGUGUUUGCUAAACCUCAUGCUUAAAAGUCCUGUUCUGCUAAACAAAGUUUCCUAAGAAUGACUUCCUCAGCACCACAUUUGGACACUUUUAGAGCAAUUUUAUUUGGGGGAAAAGAAUUUUCAAGGUGUUAACUAAUAAAUUUUAAAAAAUAAUUACAAUUUGUCCUACGAUUAUAUGACAAUUUAUCUAGGAUGAAAGGAUACAGACAGACAUCUUCCACUUUCAAGACUAAUCACUACUUCCGUAGAUGUUUUGCAAUAAUACAAAUACUUGACCAGAUGGUGGUGAUGGUAGAAAAAAAUUUUAUUGCUCCAAAAUUAAAAUAAGAAUGCAAUACGUUAAGCAAAAGACUGUGCAACAUCAAAUUAAUUGAUAAGUUUGUAAUUCAGUAAAUUAACAACUUUCAUGGUAAAAUACAACAAAUUUCUUUUCAAAAAAAAAAAAAUCUUAAAAGACAGCAUUCAAUUUUGGGCGCAUCUUAUUUCUUAAGAUUUUCCAGGAGGAGGGCAAUAAAGGGACUUUCACCUAUGCAAGAGAGCAGAAGCCUUACUUUCGCUAUAAAGUAGACGUCAUUCUGAUUAAUAUGCAUUUGCAAAUCAGCUCCAUUUGAAUCAGUAUUCUGAUAGACACAUGAGGCAUUUACAUCCAUUUCCAAAGUCACAUGUUGCGAGGAGGACUCAUUUGAUUGCUCCUCUAGGAUCAUCUAAUUCAAGUAGCAAGGGUUGGAAGAGAAUAAAAAGUCACAAUUAUUCUUUUGCAUAAGUGAGACGAAAAUGAUAAAUGCAAUAUUAUCAGCAGUAAACAAGAAGAGAACACUCCAAGGAAUAGAUAGAUGCGGACAAGCAAGUUAAAAUGCAUAGUUCCAAACCUCCGCAUACAACUUCUCUAAAAUAGCAAUAACGUGUUGAUGAUAUGUUUUCUCAGCAUCUACCUGCAAAGGCCCGAGACCAGGAAAACAACAAUAAAACCACUAGCUAAAGGAGAAAGUAAAGAAAGAAAUACACUUGACAUAAAUCUUGACAAGAAGCACAAUUUAAGACAUAACAAACCCCAAUCAUAUUGUUUAGAACUACCAUUCGUUAUUUCGUUAUUGUUGCAUUUCGAACAAGUGUUGACUUAAUUCAACAUUGUUGGAAAGAUAGGCUUUUAGAAGCGGAAGAAAGCCACUCAAACCAAAGUGAUUGUCCUUGUAUUGAUCAAGGGAUGUAAACAUAUUACAUUUGCAGGAUGAGUUUUAAUCACUCCCCUGAUUUAUUUGGGUUGCAGUAAAACUAAGCGAGCAACUGUUUGACCUUCAAGCAACAUCUGAAUCAGCUAUUAAAAUUCAAAUAAAAUCAUAAUAGAAUAAUAACAGGCCAUCUUGCAUCAAAAAUUAAGUUUAAUUUGUGAAUUUUUUUCCAUAGACAUGUUAGCUCCUGCUAUUGAAAUGUUAAAAGCAUUGAAAAAUUAUUCAAUAAAUUAUGCAAACAUUAAAAUAGAGGACACAUUAAAAAGUUUCUAAUUACAAUGUUAAUAUUUCCUAUAUUUUAGCAUUUGAAUAUUUUAAUUUAUUUAAAAGCUACGUCGAUCAACUUUGGGCGUGAAGAUUUUAUCUUCUACGAGACUUGAUUGGAAUAUGCAUAAGGAAGAGUGUUAAAAUAUGAUGCAUCCAACGAAAGACAAACCACGUGUAGUCUUUUAAUUAAGCCAAAGUAGCAGCUCAAACAAAUGACACUUGGACCAACAUGCAAUCAUGAAGUGGCCGGAAAAAGGACAAAUGCAACUUUGGCUUAAAUAAAAAAUAACAUGUGACUUGACUUUUGCUGGACAUGCAUCAUGUUAUUACAAGACAACAGAAAUCAGUAUGAUAGUACUAAAAGUUGACAAUAACAUGAAGAUAAGAGGCAGAAUGUCAACACAUGCAUAGGCACACACAAGAAAGUAUUAACUUAUAUACCAUAGCAAAAAGUCUUUGAUAUGUCAUCUGUUGCUGCUGUGAUUCAACUGACAGCAUGGCAGCUGUUGCUUCUCUACCAAGAGCCAUUAUUGUAGAUUUAAGCUCGGUCAAUCUUGCUUCUGCAUUUCGAAGCUUCACAGCACUCUCUGCUGAUAUAUCAGAUUCCCUAAUCUUUGAUCGGCGCCUAAAUACUUCAGCUGCCUGGUGAAAAUAUUCAAUAUAAAUCUAACAUAAUUCUAAUCUUGCCUUAUACAUGCAUAUGUUAACUCAAAGCUUACCUGGGCUUCAACUUCAUGUCGAAGUUUGUCAUAACGAUGAGUCAGGUGUCGAGCAUCUUCCAAAGGUGCUCCGUUGAUUAACGCCCGUAGUGGCUCAGAUACCUACAUGUCCAAAAACCUGUAACAUAGUUAGAAAAAUGAAAAGAAAGAGCGAAACCUCAAUUAAAAAGUUCCUCCAACAUAAUCAUGGAAUUUGGGCCUACUUCAAGGACAUAUAUAAGGAUAAUUUAUGCAAUUUUGGGUCUUAGGAUGAUUCAUAUUAGGUUAGUGUUCUUCUCUUCUGUAUUUAAGGUUAAAAUAGAAAUAAACCUAUGCAAAUAUCUAAAUUAGGGCUGUAAGACUUCCACAUGCAUCCUUCAGUCUCAUGGAUUUGAUUUUACUAUAGAUGCAAGUGUCUUUAUUGAAAAUGCUUGGAGUCAAUUGAGAGAACUCACGGCCAAUAACUUGUCACACGCUAGUCUUUGCUAGUGAUGUAAGAAGUCACAAGGUCUCUUCAGCAUUUGAACCAAUAAAAUUAUUAAGUCAUGGAUGUCACUAGCAAUGAUUUUAAUAUAAAACAUUAAAUAUUUCAGAGUUGUAACUUUAAAAUGGAUUCUUUUAUUCAAUAUCUUAGAACUAAGUUUCCGUAUGAGAAGAUAAUAGUUUCAGUAGUAAUUUACAUAUAAUUUUCUAUAUUUGAAUUAUUUUCUAGUUAGGGAUGAACUAACCUGAUCACGAAGAAUCCCAAGCAAAGUUUCCCUCUCAUUUUCCAUCAAAUCAUGUGAAGUGCCAAAUUGAAGAGCAGCUCUUGCAACGCAAGAAUUGUCACUUUGAUUCUCCGCUCCAUACUUGCAACAAUCUUCGGCCAACUUUCUCGCUACAAUAUUUGAAUGCAAAAAUAUUGUACACAAUAACUAGUCAAGAAAAUUAAAAAAAAAAAUUCAAAUAUUAUAACGAGAGCAAGAGCAAACAAACAACCUAUUUCCAUUUGUUUCAAGCUUACUGCAACAAACACUUCAACGCCACGGACAACAUUCCUCUGAAAAUGCUGCGCUACAGAGCAUAUAUUCCAAAUUAUUGUUCAGAUAAAACCAUACAAACCAUCAUAAUUAUUCAACAUACAUUAAGCUCCGUUUGGUAAAUACUUGCAACUUCAGUCUAGAAAAUACAGUUAAUUUUUAUUUAAAAAACAUCAUAAUUAUCAACAUACAUAUUUGACAAAAUUAUUAUUUAAAAAUCAUAACUAAUUACCAAAAGCCACAAUAAAUCAAUAUCAAACAGAGUCUUAUUAUUAGCUAAAGGAGGAUAGUACCUUAGCUGCCCUGGUGGAAUUGUAUAGAUUUUGAAGUUGUUGGUGACACUCAAUUUCAGCUUCAUCAACCGCAACAUUUUCAAUGCCAAGAUGGAGCAGAUGCUUCAAUACUGCCUGUACAAACCAUAAAAAACUAAUGAAAAAUAAAUAAAAUCGAGAAAUUUCACUAAUUAAAAGUCUAAAUAAUUUAAAAACAAAAAAAGAAAAGAAACGGACUUGCUGCUGCUUGGCGACUUGUUCUCGGAGCUUGAUUGCCUGCUUCUUGAUAGCUUCCAUACUGUUUCUUUCAAAAAGCGACAACGGCUCAGCUCGUGGAAGUUGGGAAAGAAAAAACAGUGUGAUCAAGAAAAAUAAAAAGGCGUGAAUAAUUUUUGACAAAAAGCGAAAAUCAAGGAAAGCCGGCUCUUUCCAGAAAAUAAAAAAGAAAAAAGAAAAAAGAAAAAAGAAAAUUAUAAGUUUGAAAGGAGAAGAUGAUAGUGGAAGUGUGCGGUGUGGCUGCCAGCUACUAGGAUUUUACUGUUGGGUAAGGUAAUAGUAGAGAUUUUUUUUUUUUUUUUGAAGAAAAAUAGUAGAGAAUUUUUUAAGAAACUAGAACAGAGCAUGACAUUAGACUUUUGUGGACCAAAUUCAAAAGCCGAAUGGCACGGCCCAGAAGCUUUUGAAUAGAAUAACUUGCAUCAGCCUCAAUCACUUCUUAAUAUGCAUAAGUGCAUAAGUGCAUAAGUGCGGUGUGGCUCCAUUUUUUGUCGGCUACAAUAAAAGUAGGUUGUUUUAUUCUUCUUAUACUUUACGCUUGCAUCAGCCUCAAUCACUUCUUAAUCGCUUGCUUUAACUGCAUCGCUCUCUCUGUGCUCUUCUAUAUAUGUAACAGUUACGCGGUUGUAGUUCACGGCUGAGGCUACGCGUUGGUUUGACGUGGCAGUUACGUUACAAGGGGAUAAAUAAGAUUGGUUGCAACAAACCCACUAAUUUUAUAAAAUUCGAGUAAUAUAAAAUAAAAUAAAAAAAUUAAUGCAAAAUUGACUUUUAUUUUUUAUGGUUGACUGUAUUUUGUGUUCUCUUCCGGCACUACUACAAUUGUUCCCUAUAUAUCAGUCACACCCAUAUAUCAUUAACACAAGAAAUGAAAUCUAAUGUCACCUAUUUAGUUAAAGAAUCACUCAUGAAAAAAUUUUACCAUUUUGCAUUGAGGAUCCAUAUUUUGAACUGCAAGCUAAUGUUCAUCAAGAAUCACUAAUGUUCAUAAAAAUCAUAGUAUGGCCGUUGAGUAGAAAAACUAUUUUUGGACAAAUUUUUUUUGUUGAUAGAAGAAUUUCUUAAGGGACUACUAAAAUUAUUAAUAAAAAUGUAGAACACACCCACAUAUCAUCAACACAAUUGACUUUGAGGAUCCAUGCUUUGAAUUGCCGCCUAAUGUUCAAGAACAGAGUAUGCCUUGUGAGUAGAAAAUUUUAUGAUUUUGGCCCAAAAUAAAAAGAAAUUAAAUUAGAUGAGAAUCUGCCACUUUCUCAUAAAGAAAGGCCUAUGGUUUUUCAAACUCUGAAGGGGCCAAUAUUCCCGAAUUCCCCCUUGAAAAUUCUGAUUACGACAUUAUUCAUCGCUUGACGCAAUCAAAGUAGCGACAAAGUUAAGAAAAAUUUGAGUCCUAAGUAAUUGCUAGGUAGGGUUCCUGAGAGCAAAAUUGUCCUAAGCAUUAUAUGCAUACAUGGUGUGGUACAUAGAGCACGUUGAAUUCCACACUAUAACACAAACCCAGAAAGACAAGUAAUAACUCAACUGAUAUAAAGACAAAAAGAAGAUAAAAUGAUAUAGAAAAAAGAAUUUCAAAGAGACAGCAACAUACGAUAGACUGAAGCCACUUG
rnacentral:lncRNA from 1 species